rnacentral:lncRNA from 1 species
UUUUUUUAUUGUACUGAUGGAUAAAUUAAUAAAUUUUCAGGCCUCUGUUCGUUGGUGCAUCUGCAAGUGUUGUACAUUUAUAAUAAUGAUCUGAGAGGCAGCUUGCCUUGGUGCUUGGCAAAUAUGACAUCCCUCCGAUUAUUAGAUGUUUCUUCCAAUCAACUUACUGGAAGCAUCUCCUCAUCUCCCCUCAUUCAUUUGACAUCCAUUGAAGAGCUGAUGCUUUCAAACAAUCACUUCCAGAUCCCAAUUUCACUUGAACCACUUUUCAAUCACUCAAGACUCAAGAUUUUCAAUGCUUAUAACAAUGAAAUAAAAGCUAAAAUAACUGAGUCACAUUCUUUGACCGCCCCAAACUUCCAAUUAUCACGUCUCUCAUUGUCUUCCAGUUACGGAGACGGUUUCAUAUUCCCCAAAUUCCUUUACCAUCAACAUGACCUGGAGUAUGUUGAUCUCUCACACAUAAAGAUGAAUGGAGAAUUUCCAACUUGGUUGUUGGAAAACAACACAAAAUUAGAAACUCUUUCUCUCGUCAAUGAUUCUCUUGGAGGACCUUUUCGGUUGCCAAUUCAUUCACACAAGCGGUUAGGAAUGUUGGAUAUAUCCAACAACAACUUCCGAGGCCACAUUCCAGUAGAAAUUGCAGAUGUUUUACCAAGUUUAUACGCUUUCAACAAUUCCAUGAAUGCUUUAGACGGUAGCAUUCCCUCUUCAUUUGGUAAUAUGAAAUUCCUCCAAUUUCUGGACUUAUCCAACAAUCACUUGACUGGUGAAAUUCCCGAGCACUUGGCCGUGGGUUGCGUCAACUUGAGGUUUCUUGCGUUAUCAAAUAACAACCUACAAGGUCACAUGUUCUCUAGAAAUUUUAACUUGACAAACUUGAAAUGGUUACAAUUGGAGGGCAAUCGCUUCGUAGGUGAGAUCCCACAAAGUUUGUCUAAAUGCUCCUCACUAGAAGGAUUGUAUCUUAACAAUAAUAGUCUUUCGGGUAAGAUUCCACGAUGGUUGGGUAAUCUCACAAGGUUACAAUGUAUUAUAAUGCCCAAUAAUCAUCUUGAAGGCCCUAUUCCAGUGGAGUUUUGUCAGCUUGAUUUGCUUCAGAUUUUGGACAUUUCAGACAACAACAUAUCUGGAAGUUUACCAUCUUGUUUCCAUCCUCUCUCUAUCAAACAAGUUCAUCUUUCAAAAAAUACGUUACAUGGACAACUAAAAAGAGGUACAUUCUUUAAUUGCUCUUCCCUUGUGACAUUAGAUCUUAGCUAUAACCGCUUGAAUGGCAGCAUUCCGGAUUAGGUUGAUGGGCUUUCUCAGUUAAGCCACCUUAUCUUAGGUCACAAUAAUCUUGAAGGUGAAGUGCCAAUUCAAUUGUGCGAAUUGAACCAACUACAAUUGUUAGAUCUUUCUAAUAAUAAUCUUCACGGUCCUAUUCCUUCUUGCUUUGAUAACACCACACUUCAUGAAAGUUACAGCAAUAGUUCUAGUCCUGAUGAGCAAUUUUAAAUAUCUUUUUUCAUCCAAGAAACUCAAGGAUAUGUAGAAAAGCAAAUCCAUGAAAUUUUUGAGUUCAUAUAUGUAGAAAAGCAAAUCCGUGAAAAAUUUGAGUUCACAACAAAGAACAUUGCGUACAUUUACCAAGGAAAAGUGCUUAGCCUCCUAUCAGGACUUGAUCUUUCUUGCAACAAGCUAAUCGGUCCUAUUCCUCUUCAAAUUGGAAAUUUGACAAGGAUUCAAACAUUGAAUCUAUCACACAACAACUUGACAGGAUCGAUCCCAUCAACAUUUUCAAACUUGAAGUAUGUCGAAAGUUUGGAUCUUUCCAACAACAAAUUGAAUGGGAAAAUCCCUCAUCAACUAGUGGAGUUAAAGACAUUGGAGGUUUUCAGUGUGGCAUACAAUAACUUAUCAGGCGAAAUUCCAGAAUGGACUGCACAAUUUGCAACCUUCAAUGAGAGUAGCUAUGAGGGAAAUACUUUUCUUUGUGGAUUGCCAUUGCCCAUUUGCAGAUCACCAGCAACUAUGUCGGAGGCUUCAAUUGGCAAUGAACGAGAUGAUAAUUUAAUUGACAUGAACAGUUUCUUUAUCACAUUUACAACAUCGUACGUAAUUGUGAUAUUCGCAACUGUUAUUAUUUUAUAUGUAAAUUCUUAUUGGCGACGUAGAUGGUUUUACUUUGUUGAAAUGUGGAUAACUUCAUCUUACUAUUUUGUUGUAGACAAUCUUAUUCCAACAAGAUUUUGUCAUUGAAAUUAAUUAGUAGCUUAAUUACGAUUCUUUAAGUACUAAUCAAGUUUGCUUAGGAAAUAUUUUUUUAUUAAAAUUGUAGUAGUAUUUAGCAUUAUAUAGCUUCCAACUUCCAAGCACUUCACAUUUGUCUCUACACUUAAAAAACUGAGUAAUCAUGUUUUGCAGAUCUGUCCACCAUAACUUAUAGCUUCCCUAUACUGUGCAGCAUACUUAAAUAAGAGAACCAUCUCCAAUGUUAAAAGCAUUCACUCUAUAACAUUCAUUUAGAAACUAUAUUCAGAAUAAUUUUAUAAUUAAACACGAGAAAUGAAACACAUAGAUACACUUGAUCGCCUAUUUUACUCUAAAAAAGAACGAUUAUUGUGCUAUCAUCAUCUUCUUCACUAGCAACAUUAACACCAAAUCGAUGGACCCAUACAUUUCAUCAAGAAAGGUAUAUAUCCAAUAAAGUUGAAGCCUAACAAAAAAUUCAAGAAGAUUAAUGCCUCGCCACAACAAGGGGCACAACAACAUCAAAGUAGAGAUUAAGCAGUAUUCUCAAAGCUAAAACUCUCAAAUCCACCCACCAGAAUUUCAUAUCUCCUCAACAAUUUUAAGAACUAAAGAUAAUUAGGAUUUAACAUUAGUUUUUUAUAUAUUAGUUUCAUAAUUUACAAAUCAAUGAAGAUGAAGAUUAUGCUAAUAAAUUCAAAUUAUACCAUACAUUCUCUAGAUGUUACCAAAAAUUUCUAAGUCAAUCCCACAUAUUUCAUAAUUUUAAGACUAGAAAAUUUCACUAGUUAGAAGUUUCAUUACCUUCAAGUGGAAGAUAAAGAACAUUAUACAAGUGAUUCAGAUUAUAUCAUACAUACUCCAAAUGCAACUAGAAAUUAACAAGUUCAUGCGCACAUAUUUCAUAACAUUAUGAUUGAAAAGUUUCACAAAGAGAAAUUCUAAAUUCAAUCUCUUGCAUGAAGGCAGUUUGAUUGAUUUGAGUUACUUUCUUAUCAAGCUACUAAUAUAACAUUCAAGUCAGGGAGAAAAUAAAUUAAAACUGGGAAGAAAUAAUAGUAAAAAUUUGUUGCUCAACAUGAUGUGUAUUUUUUUUCAAGGCAAUUUGGAAACACAAUUGUUACUACAGAUAUUCUUCUCAACUUGGAGAUAAAUACAAAUAUUAAAAUGCAUAUGAUCGCACAUAUUACUUCGAGUUUAGUAAGAUUUCAUUAAAAGAAGCAAUCAAACCACUUAUCAAUUGUCGCAGUCGUUCUAUAAACUAAAAUAGCAAUAUAAUACAAGAAAAAGAACAUAUAGAUACUUGGCAAGAGUUCAUUAAGAAGUCGCAUCACAUUCGGGUGAGGAGUUUGCUUCUGAUAUCUUGCUAGCUGGGGCUUUUUCUUGUCUUUCUACGUAUGCCGAGGGAAACCAACCAGCUUGGCCCUUGCAUUCACCUUCCGACCAUCCAAUAGGAGCCACCUUGAGAAGUUAUAACUAAAACGGUGAAUUAAACAAAAGUUGACCGUUCAAAGACCUAAGGGGAAAACUAAUUCUUUUACGUAGGAGGAGUGAAUUAGUUGUGAUCACUGAAAUAACAGCAUAACUAUGGAAGCAUAACAAGAUAUAAAUUCACACGUCUAUAAGGAUAAACUGGGUGGUUCAGAACUGAGCUAGCAACCCUACUAUAUUCUGAUUUGCACUUCAAUGUAAAAGGGAAUAUAUGGUAGGAAGAAAGAAAACCAACCAUCAUUUGUUAACUCAUUGCUUUUCAAUCAAAAUUUUAAGAACAAAAUGCCAUGUGCUUUGAACAUCAAAUAAGUAUAAGCAUUAGUUCUAAAUUCCACAUAUCAUAAGUUGUUAGAAGGAUAAGUUAAUAGCAGAGUAGAAAAAUCUAUGUGUUGGUAUUUAGAGGGGAAAGUACCUGGCGAAUCACAACAUAAUCAUCAAUUGAAAGACUUAGCUCUCCAUUUGCUUGAGCAUCAAAUGGAUGUAUAACCUGCAAGAUAAUGGGAUAAAUAGAACUUAAAAAAAGCAUAACAAAAGCAGCAACAGUAGCAGCAACGUUCAUUGUAACCACUAUGAUCAUGGCCAACAAAGAUAUAUUAGAAACAAAAUUCCAUUUUUACUACGACAUUAAUAUGUACUAUACAAAUUCUAAUAAGUUCUGUAUAACUUUAUGUAGUUAUUUAAAUUAUGGAUCAGAUUUUAAAUUUGAAAUUUUGACUGCUCUCCACAAAACAUGGCCUAUGCACAAGAAAGUCAUAGAUAAUGAGGAUUACAAGUGUCCGGCAUCUUUUGAGUGAUGGAUUUAACAUGAGAGCUUAUGGUCAGUCAAUUUCCUCUGCCUAGCAAUAUAAGCUUUCUCGGCCAGAUUUAUCAUCAAAUACAUAGAUUGCCCCCAAGUCACAUCCAUAUAAACAUAGUUUUUCUAGGUAAACCAAGUAAGGAGUAUCAUAAUUCAGACAUAAUCAUAAAAAGGCCCAUCUAAAUUAAGAGAAAAUCUCAAAAAGAGGGAUGCUGAGCUAUCAGUCUUGUAUCUAUAAGCAAUAUCAAGACUUUACAUCACCUGCUACAUCGUGAGUGGCUACACAACUUUCAGUGGUUUGUCUUUCUUUGGCACGCCUAACUCAGCUUUGAUGUUAGUGAGAUAUUGAUAGUAGAGACACAUGAUACUUCUAGCUCAUGCAUUCUAUCUAACCCAUCCAACAACUAUCUCUUUUUUAAUUCAUUAGUGUUUGCUAAACCUCAUGCUUAAAAGUCCUAUUCUCCUUAGCACCACAGUUGGACACUUGUAGAGCAAUUUUAUUUGGGGGAAAAGAAUUUUCAAGGUGUUAACUAAUAAAUUUUAAAAAAUAAUUACAAUUUGUCCUACGAUCAUAUGACAAUUUAUCUGGGAUGAAAGGAUACAGAUAGACAUCUUCCACUUUCAAGACUAAUCACUACUUCCAUAGAUGUUGUGCAAUAAUACAAAUACUUGACCAGAUGGUAGUGAUGGUAGAAAAAAAUUUUAUUGCUCCAAAAUUAAAAUAAGAAUGCAAUAUGUUAAGCAAAAGGCUGUGCAACAUCAAAUUAAUUGAUAAGUUUGUAAUUCAGUAAAUUAACAACUUUCGUGGUAAAAUACAACAAAUUUCUUUUGAAAAAAAUAAAAAAAAUAAAUCUUAAAAGACAGCAUUCAAUUUUGUGCGCAUCUUAUUUCUUAAGAUUUUUCAGGAGGAGGGCAAUAGAGGGACUUUCACCUAUGCAAGAGAGCAGAAGCCUUACUUUCCCUAUAAAGUAGACGUCAUUCUGAUUAAUAUGCGUUUGCAAAUCAGCUCCGUUUGAAUCAGUAUUCUGAUAGACACACGAGCCAUUUACAUCCAUUUCCAAAGUCACAUGUUGCGAGGAGGACUCAUUUGAUUGCUCCUAUACGAUCAUCUAAUUCAAGUAGCAAGGGUUGGAAGAGAAUAAAAAGUCACAAUUAUUCUUUUGCAUAAGUGAGACGAAAAUGAUAAAUGCAAUAUUAUCAGCAGUAAACAAGAAGAGAACGCUCCAAGAAAUAGAUAGAUGCAGACAAGCAAGUUAAAAUGCAUAGUCCCAAACCUCCGCAUACAACUUCUCUAAAAUAGCAAUAACGUGUUGAUGCUAUGUUUUCUCAGCAUCUACCUGCAAAGGCCCGAGACCAGGAAAACAACAAUAAAACCACUAGCUGAAGGAGAAAGCAAAGAAAGAAAUACACUUGACAUAAAUCUUGACAAGAAGCACAAUUUAAGACAUAACAAACCCCAAUCAUAUUGUUUAGAACUACCAUUCGUUAUUUCGUUAUUGUAACAUUUCGAACAAGUGUUGACUUAAUUCAACAUUGUUGGAAAGAUGGGCUUUUAGAAGCAGAAGAAAGCCUCUCAAACCAAAGUGCUUGUCCUUGUAUUGAUCAAGGGAUGUAAACAUAUUACAUUUGCAGGAUGAGAUUUAAUCACUCCCCUGAUUUAUUUGGGUUGCAGUAAAACUAAGCGAGCAACUGUUUGACUUCCAAGCAACAGCUAAAUCAGCUAUUAAAAUUCAAAUAAAAUCAUAAUAGAAUAAUAACAGGCCAUCUUGCAUCAAAAAUUAAGUUUAAUUUGUGAAUUGUUUUCUAUAGACAUGUCAGUUUCUGCUAUUGAAAUGUUAAAAGCAUUGAAAAAUUAUUCAAUAAAUUAUGCAAGCAUUAAAAUAGAGGACAUAUUAAAAAGUUUCUAAUUACAAUGUUAAUAUUUCCUAUAUUCUAGCAUUUGCAUAUUUUAAUUUAUUUAAAAGCUACGUCGAUCAACUUUGGGCAUGAAGAUUUUAGCUUCUACGAGACUUGCUUGGAAUAUGCACAAGAGUGUUAAAAUAUGAUGCAUCCAACGAAAGACAAACCACGUGUAGUCUUUUAAUUAAGCCAAAGUAGCAGCUCAAACAAAUGACACUUGGACCAACAUGCAAUCAUGAAGUGGCCGGAAAAAGGACAAAUGCUACUUUGGCUUAAAUAAAAAAUAACAUGUGACUUGACUUUUGCUGGACAUGCAUCAUGUUAUUACAAGACAACAGAAAUCAGUAUGAUAGUACUAAAAGUUGACAAUAACAUGAAGAUAAGAGGCAGACUGUCAACACAUGCAUAGGCACACACAAGAAAGUAUUAACUUCUAUACCAUAGCAAAAAGUCUUUGAUAUGUCAUCUGUUGCUGCUGUGAUUCAACUGACAGCAUGGCAGCUGUUGCUUCUCUACCAAGAGCCAUUAUUGUAGAUUUAAGCUCCGUCUAUCUUGCUUCUGCAUUUCGAAGCUUCACAGCACUCUCUGCUGAUAUAUCAGAUUCCCUAAUCUUUGAUCGGCGCCUAAAUACUUCAGCUGCCUGGUGAAAAUAUUCAAUAUAAAUCUAACAUAAUUCUAAUCUUGCCUUAUACAUGCAUAUGUUACCUCAAAGCUUACCUGGGCUUCAACUUCAUGUCGAAGUUUGUCAUAACGAUGAGUCAGGUGUCGAGCAUCUUCCAAAGGUGUUCCGUUGAUUAACGCCCGUAGUGGCUCAGGUACCUACAUGUCCAAAAACCUGUAACAUAGUUAGAAAAAUGAAAAGAAAGAGCGAAACCUCAAUUAAAAAGUUCCUCCAACAUAAUCAUGGAAUUUGGGCCUACUUCAAGGAUAUAUAUAAGGAUAAUUUAUGCAAUUUUGGGUCUGAGGAUGAUUCAUAUUAGGUUAGUGUUCUUCUCUUCUGUAUUUAAGGUUAAAAUAGAAAUAAACCUAUGAAAAUAUCUAAAUUAGGGCUGUAAGACUUCCACAUGCAUCCUUCAGUCUCAUGGAUUUGAUUUUACUAUAGAUGCAAGUGUCUUUAAAGAAAAUGCUUGGAGUCAAUUGAGAGAACUCACGGCCAAAAACUUGUCACACGCUAGUCUUUGCUAGUGAUGUAAGAAGUCACAGGGUCUCUUCAACAUUUGAACCAAUAAAAUUAUUAAGUCAUGGAUGUCACUAGCAAUGAUUUUAAUAUAAAACAUUAAAUAUUUCAGAGUUGUAACUUUAAAAUGGAUUCUUUUAUUCAAUAUCAUAGAACUAAGUUUCCUUAUGAGAAGAUAAUAGUUUCGAUAAUAAUUUUACAUAUAAUUUUCUAUAUUUGAAUUAUUUUCUAGUUAGGGAUGAACUAACCUGAUCACGAAGAAUCCCGAGCAAAGUUUCCCUCUCAUUUUCCAUCAAAUCAUGUGAAGUGCCAAAUUGAAGAGCAGCUCUUGCAACGCAAGAAUUGUCACUUUGAUUCUCUGCUCCAUACUUGCAACAAUCUUCAGCCAACUUUCUCGCUACAAUAUUUGAAUACAAAAAUAUUGUACACAAGAACUAUAAAAAACUAAUGAAAAAUGCCAAGAUGGAGCAGAUGCUUCAAUACUGCCCGUACAAACCAUAAAAAACUAAUGAAAAAUAAAUAAAAUCAAGAAAUUUUACUAAUUAAAAGUCUAAAUAUAAUUUUGAAAAAAGAAAAGAAACGGACUUGCUGCUGCUUGGCGACUUGUUCUCGGAGCUUGAUUGCUUGUUUCUUGAUAGCUUCCAUACUGUUUCUUUCAAAAAGCGACGACGGCUCAGCUCAUGGAAGUGGAAAAAAAAAGUGUGAUCGAGAAAAAUGAAAAGGCGUGAAUAAUUUUUGACAAAAAGCGAAAAUCAAGGAAAGCCGGCUCUUUCCAGAAAAUAAAAAAAGAAAAAAGAAAAUCAUAAGUUUGAAAGGAGAAGAUGAUAGUGGAAGUAUGCAGUGUGGCUGCCAGGUACUUGGAUUGUAUUGUCGGGUAAGGUAAAAGUGGAGAAUUAUAAGUUUGAACAGAGCAUGUUGGACUUUUGUUGACCAAAUUCAAAAGCCCAAUGGGACGGUCCAGAAGCUUUUGAAUAGAAAAACUUGCUAGAAAGCAUCAGUUUAAAUCACUACUUAAACGCUUGCUUUAACUGCACCGCUUUGUACUGUUUUAUGUAUGUAGCGGUUGUGCGGUUGUAAUUCACGGCUGACGCUACGUGUUUGUUUGUACUGUUCUAUUCGGUGACAGAGUAUUAUUAGUUAGGCCAAAACUAUGUUGCAACAGUGGUACAAUAGCACUGUUGUUUUCAGUCAUUAGAUCUAUAGUUGUACAGUUGCAUUAACAAGAUCCAAUGGUUGAAAACAACAGUGGUACCGAACUACUGUUGCAACAUAGCUGGACCCUAUUAGUUAUUUCAAAGGGAUAAAUAAGAUUGGUUACAACAAACCUACUAAUUUUAUAAAAUUCAAGUAAUAUAGAAUAAAAUAAAAAAAUAAAUACAAAAUUGACUUUUAUUUUUUAUGGUUGACUAUAUUUUGUGUUCUCUUCGGGCACUGCUACAAUUCUUCCCUAUAUAUCAAUUACACCACAUACUAUCGACACAAGAAAUGAAAUCUAAUAUCACCUAUUUAGUUAAAAAAUCACUCAUGAAAAAAUUUUACCAUUUUGAUUUGAGGAUCCAUAUUUUGAACUACAAGCUAAUGUUCAUCAAGAAUCACUGAUGGCCGUUGAGUAGAAAAAUUAUUUUUGGACAAAUUAUUUUUGUUGAUAGAAGAAUUUCUUUAGGGACUACUAAAUUAUUAAUAAAAAUAUCGAACACACCCAAAUAUCAUCGACACAAUUGAUUUUGAGGAUCCAUGCUUUGAACUGCCGCCUAAUGUUCAUCAAGAAUAGAGUAUGGCUUGUGAGUAUAAAAUUUUCUUAUUUUGGCCCGAAAUAAAAAAAAAUUAAAUUGGAUGAGAAUCUGCCACUUUCUCAUGAAGAAAGGCAUACGGAGCAUACCAUGGUACCAUACAAUAUAAGGAGCCUCCGUUCUUUGGUUUUUCAAACUCUGAAGGGGCCAAUAUUGCCAAAUUCCCCCUUGAAAAUUCUGAUUACGACAUUAUUCAUCGCUUGAUGCAAUCAAAGUAGUGACAAAGUAAUUGCUAGGCAAGGUUGCUGAGAGCAAAAUUGUCCUAAGCAUUAUAUGCAUACAUGGUGCGGUACAUAGAGCACGUUGAAUUCCCCACUAUAACACAAAUCCAGAAAGACAAGUAAUAACUCAACUGAUAUAAAGACAAAAAGAAGAUAAAAUGAUAUAGAACAAAGAAUUUCAAAGAGACAGCAACAUACGAUAGACUGAAGCCACUUGAUCUGCUCAUUGAUUGCAGCCUUAAACUUGCAAAUAGUUACUGUACGCUAGUGCUCUAAGAAGUGAAAAUGAUGCAAGCCCUGAUUCCCUUUUGACUUCCAUUUACUGUCAAACAUUCUAGUAAUACAAAAAAUUGUUUAGAUAUCUUGCUAUAAAUAUAGCCGUUUGACUGUCAUAAUAAAGUCACAAAUAACCAUUCAUAUUGAUCUACUAUCACACAGCAUGCUUUAUGCAUACAACAGCUGUAUGUAUACCAACUCCUAACCUUAUCAACACAUUUGGCAAAAACUUAGGAAGAAAACUAUUUCUCCAUCUCUUUUUUGAAAUUUCACAAUAACCAGCACAAUGUGAAAGCUAUGUUCUAACCUUAUGAUAAAUGCUCCAGACUCCAAAAGGAUUUUAUAUAUGAGAGUUUGUUGCAGCAGAUAUAUUGACUUAUCAAGUAUGAAUCAUUGUCUGGAUGAACUAUCUUUAGAUAAAAGAAUAUUAGAACCACUGUAGAAUAUCUUUACGCUGCUGGUUCUAACAGGAAUCUGCAUGUGGCAACAAUUGCUAGAUCCACAACUCCCCAACUUGAAAUACAUAGUUGCACACCAUGAGAUAGUGCUACAAUCUACUGAGAUCUAACUUAUAUGGUACUUUAAGCUACUAAUGUUUGCAUAUUUCUACAUGUUAAAUUAACACUAUUAUCUAUAAUCACUCCAAAACAACAAAUGAUAAGCAACUUUUGGCCACUUAUUACUAGCAUCCACAAUUAUAAAUAAGAGAUCAUGGGUUUACUUGUUGCACCUACUUAAUUAUCUGCAGUUGACAUCCUGACGCAAGGUUUAAAUAGUGACUGCUUAGAACCCUUGUAGUUGGAUCUUGACCUCUCCCAUUGUAGCCAAGAUUGGUUACUCUGGUAAUGAAUCAACACUCUCCUGCUCAGGGCCAUGAAGAUCUGAAAGCUCAGCACUAGUGGAGAACUUCAUCAAUCUCUUCUUCUCAGCAUACUUGAGACAAGGCUGCCUUACGAGACCAAUCACCAUAGCACCAACGCUUAAAACUGCAACUUUUAAAGAAGAAAGAGCCAACACAACACAACACAACACAAAUCAAUAUGGUUGGAGGAAUACACAUGAUAAUGGCUCCAACAGUGACAGUGGGUAUCUUGUAGGGACGAGAUGCAGCAGGAUAUUGCAUCCUUAACCAUACAAAUGCUAUGAACUCCAUAAUCAUUCCAAAACAGUACAGGAAGUUCUCUGCAGCUACAAUAUCUCAAAAGCUCAGCCAUGAUAGCAAAACCACACCGGAUGCUGAGAAUAUGAUUCCAAUCAAAGGAGUCCCAUAACAAGACCUCUUAGCAAAAAACUCAGGUAGCGUUCCACGCUCAGCCAUCCCCAAAAGUUGGAAAGAGUCGCUGCUCAUCUCAGCCACAAACAUGCCCAUAUUGGACAUUGCUGCAGCCCCCUGGAUGCACCAUCUCAACCAAACUCCUCCAAGCACUUUAGCGAUAUCUGAAAAGUAACCAUCGGUCCACAAGUCGCGAUCUAAUGGAAUAGCUCCAGUUCCAACUAGAAGGGGAAAGAAAUAUCCAAAAACGACCAAGAUCAAAGCAUAAAACAAAGCCUUUGGAAGAGUCUUCUUUGGGUUAUCCACCUCUCCAGCUAGUUUACUUAUUGAGUCCCAGUAGUUGGAGAUUCCAAAACAGGGUGUUCAAAUACAAAUUCCAGUCCACUUCACCUAAAUUUACUACAAGCCAUCUUGAAGGCUCUAACUUGGGAAGGGACACAAGUCCCAUAACCACAAAAGGAAGGAAUGAGAAAAUCUCUAAAAGAACAGCAGCCCAUCCCACAAUGGUUAGACCCCUAUAGUUCAUGAAAGUGAGAACAAAAGUCAAAGCUAACGCCGCAAAGGCUCUAGGUAACCCAUCGCCCAAAGCAGGGAUAUACCAGACUUCAAGUAGUCAAGAAACAGAACUGGGUAUAAAGCAUUAUCAAUAACCCCACUUAGCCAUUUCAUCCAAACUUGCUGAAAACCCCAAUAUGGGCCUAAGGCAGAUGAAACCCAAACCACAUAACCACAAUUUUCAGGAAACACGGUACCCAUCUCGGCAGUAAUUAAAGCUUCAGGGACACUCCAUAUAAUCGGAAACACCAAGAAACCAAGAAGUGCUAAAAGAGGACCAGCUGCCUUUACACUAUCCUCAACACCAAACGCCCCCCCAGAAACCUCAUAGAAUAUAAGGAAAAUAAGUGGCAAGAUUGAUACUUUUUUAGCGCCAUGGACUCUAGGAGAAGAUGGUUGGUCAUUGAUAUUAACAUAUUCAACAGCAUCAGACUGCCCCAUUUCUACUGAAAGUUGCCUAUUCACAGUGUUCCUCAAUUUCUGCAUCAAGUUUAAGCAUAACUAUCAAAAGGGUAUCGGCAUCUAAAUUAUGAAACAAAAUGAGCAUUUACUUAUUAAAAAAAUUCAAAAAAACAGAAAUGGAUUUCACAGAACACAUGAAUUUAAGUUCAACAUUAAACAGGCGCUUAAGAAAACAAAAGGGUCUGGUCGUAAAGCCAUCAGAUUGCAAGAUUGAACAACAUUAACGGAAUCAAUAGAAUCGAUGUAAAGAGAUCUGAAAAGAAAAUAAAAUAAAAGAUGAAGAGGGAUAAAACGACCCAUCAAAUAAGUGCAUGCAGAGCAGAGAGGCAGAUACUAGAGAAGCUCCGUCAUGUUAGAGAGAGCCUAAAUCAAUCAGAGCUCACUGAGUUUCUUUUCAACUGACCGGCAGAUUUGGAGUAGCAUAACAUAAUAUUUUUGCUUUUAAUUUUCGGAACACUUUUGAAUGGAAUUUUUUGUUUUUCAAAACUAACGAAAUCGUAAAAAUAAAUAAACACGUGUUUGGUUUUGGGCUUCUUCUUUUGUUCAUUUAAUAUCAUUUGGUUCCCUGAUUUUUGACUAAUUAUCAACGGUAUCCUGUUAGUUUCCAAAUUGAAAUAAUAUUAGGUCAUGAGAUUAUUUACUCCAUUUAGCAAUGUAGACUUAAUAGUGUAUUGAAAAAGCUUUGUCAAAUAGUAGUAAUAGGGGCAUAAGAAAUAAGUUCUUCAGAAUUUAGAUAAUAUACUUGGCUCUAGGAAGAUUCCCCUCUUAUCACUCAAGUUAGGCUUUUACCUUAGAGUUGAGUAAAUUAUUAAAAUAAAUUAUAGCUAUCACAAAUUCGUCAGGAGACUUUCAAUUUUUUUCCAUCAAAUGGCAAUGAGGCAAAAUUACCUCAACUUAUAUUUCAAAACUAAUACUUCAAAUUCUGACAAUAAAUUUGAUGACAGUCAAUUUUAUGUAUAGUAAUUUUGACUCUUUUGUUUGGUCUAAAAGUAAUUAUUUAAAAUGACAAUAUAACUUAUUUAGAAGAAAUGGUAAACUUAUAGUUCGUAAUAUUAUUUACACAAAUAAUAAAGACUAAUUUGAUAAUAAUCUUUCAAAUAAUAAUGAAGUGUUAAUUACUAUUUAACAUUUUUGAUUAAUUUCUAAAUUUAAAACAAAUAUGAAAGUUGAUUGCUUUGAAGGUUGGAUCGUGACAAAUUGACAAAUGAAAAGAGAAGUAGAGAAUAUAUAUUCUGAUGAAAGGGACAAGAUUCAGCAAGGGGACAAUAUUCUCUAUUGGACCGACAAAUGGGGGAAAAGAAUAUAUAUAUAUAUAUAAUUUCUUAUUUGUGGAUUGGCCAACACGUGUAACAAAUAUGAAAAGAUAAAAUUUGGCGUGGUUUUAACCGAUAUAAGACAAGAAGAACAAAGCAAAGCCCAUGAAAAUUCACCUUUCAUGUGGGUUGGAUCGGAUAAAAUCAAUAUCUUGAAUCAAACAAAAUGUUUGGUACAUAAAGUUUUUUUUUUUUACAUGAUAUUAGAUUUUUAUCCCUCGAAUUUUUACAUGAUAUUAGAUUUUUAACCCUCACUAAUAUUCGAGAGAUAUCUACUCCUCAUUUUUGGGUAAGGGAGAAGACUACCUUCACUCAAUUAUAAUUAAGGAAUGAAAUACCCCCACAUUACACUUGUAGGGGUUCAAACUGUUGCCCUCCAACUUGGAGUGCAGCAGCGCUGACCACUCGGCCAAAGUCCGAGUGGCUGGUACAUGAAGGUUUUGAGUGUGUGUAAUGAGCCAAAAUUUACAUAAGGAUAUUUUAGUAAAUAUAAGAAAAAAAGGCUCAGGGAAUGGCCUAUAGAUAGAAGCACGCAGCCCAUGAGUGAUGAGAAUACAAUUUAACUGUUCAAACUAAUUAGAAGCAAAUUCUUUCAUAUCUUUCUUUAAUUUUUCCGCUUAGUUCCUUAGCAUCCAAUCAAGUUCAAGUUAAAACACUGUUGAGACAACAAUAUGCAGGCAUCAAUAAGCAUAGUAGUUUUUUAUAUGUAUUCUAUACGACAAUUAUAGAACUUUUUGCAGCAACUUUUUUUCAUUAACUAAUGUUUGAAGAACUUGUUAAAAAAAAUGGUAAAUUUAUAAUUUUGAAAAAAAAGAAAGAAAGUGACGUUACCUCAUCGUCAUUAGAGACUUGUUGCAAUGAUAGCUCAAAAUUAAAAUUUUUGAAGAAUUAGUAGACGACGAUGAUGUAAUAUUUAUACAGUCACCAACAUGUUGAUUUUUGUUUAAUGUUUGAUCGAUAGAAACGCUUGUCGUCGUCGCUGUUGUUGAAUUCAUACAUAGAACACAGAAGAGAAGGAGGGAGGAAAGGGAAGAGAAGAAGAGAGAAGUGGCAUAUAGCAAAUAUGAUAUGCUAGCUGCAUACCAGCCUUAGAGAGAUUUUUUUUAAUAUUUAUUAUAUUUUUGUUUUUGUUAUUGGUUUGUCAUAUGCUUCCAGGGAAGCAAUACGUUACAUCAUAAAUUGCACCUUUUAGGGGAGGUGGUAAAAAACGUGAGAGCACUACGCUCCAGCGCAUACAUAUAGAAAGAGUUUUCGAAUUUUAAAAAGUUUCUUUAUUUCUUCCAUGUUUUUGUGCUUAAAAUAAAAUUUAAUUGUAUUUUGCAUUAACUUAGAAAAGAAAAGCCAGUUCUAUAUAUAAACUCAUGCAUUAAUUAGAAGAGUUGAACUAUUGGCACCCCUCUAUAAUCUUUAUAAAAUUCCUCUCCUAUUGUAAUUACAUUAAAGGACAAAAUAAAUCUAAUUAUAUCAUUAUAUUUCUCUUUUCAACUCUUUACACCCGUGCAACUACACCAAAGUCUUUUACAAUUUUUGUUUCCUCACAAACAACUUUUUCUUGAGAGAUUUACAAAACUUAUUUUUAAUUUUAAAAAAUAAAUAAUAGUUAUUUGAGUCCACUUUAAUUUACAAAACUUUCUAAUAAUAAGUUUUGUAGACUUAUUUUUCAUUUACAAAACUUUCUGAACUUAUUUUUAUUUUUAAAAAAUAAAUAAUAGCUAUUUGAGUCCACUUUAAUUCUACUUAAUUCAUACAUGUAUUUGAUUUUUUUGAGUAAAAUAUGUAUGAUUUAAUAAUUCAAAAAUUUAUAAAAACAAUAUUUGUAAUUGGAGUUAUUUGGAAGAAACUGAAUUGUUUUUCUUUUUGAAUAAAAAAAAGCUGAAAAAAGAAAAAGGAUAUUUUAGGAAUUAAAAUAGAUUUUGAUAGAAAAGGGGUUUGAACAGAAAAUUACAGGGUGCUAAUAGUCCCACUCUAAUUAAAAAAUGAGUUCAUGUGGAUGCAAAUGUACAAUAAAAGAGAUUCUCUUUUGUAUAUUGGAAGUAACAUAACUAGUGAGUAUAAUAUGUAAAUACAAGUUACCAAGAAUUUGCACUAGUGCUAAUUAAUGGCACAACUUUUGAGCUAUGAAUUUCUUCUUGAUAGUUUAAUUAUAUUUUUGAGUUUUCGGUAAACCUAUUUUAAUAAUUAUUAAAUUAUUUUCACUUCUUACGCCUUAAUAAAAAAAAAUCAAUAUUUUCUGGUCUAUUCUAUAUUUUGAAACUUAAUUUUUAAUUCUUUAUAUUGCAAACCAAACUAAGUCAAACAGAGUAUGCUCUUCAAAGAAUUUUUCCAUUGGCCAUUGCCUUCAAGAAGAUUUUAUUUUAUUUUUAUAUAUUAAUUUAACAUUUUUCCGUGCACUUGUAAACCGGGCCGUCGGAUUCCACAUAAAGCAAAUGAUCAAACCGUUACAAGACCGACCCGGACCCACUGACUCUCAUUUUCUUUCAUUUGACCAUUAAAAGCUUUUGACCACCCCCGCCAAAUAAAUAAAUAAGCUCUUGUUCUCUUUUGUUCCUUCUUAAAGGAAAAUAUAUCUGAUCACCAGAUAAUGAUUCCGGUGUCACAAAAUAUCAAGACAACCCCUAAAUUCCCUUAAAUUUACGAUAACACCCCACCAUGGAUGAUUCCGUUGAAAUGCCGCCUUACGAUGAAAGGCCUUAGAAGGGUUUUAACUUCACACCCAUGCGCUUGAUCUUAACCCUCAUUUUCCCAAUUUUAACUUUCUUUUCGUUGGCAUUUUUGAUCGAGAUCGUUACUGUUUUAUUCGGCGAAUCAUCAGUUUCGAGUUCCAUUUUUGUCCCUUCCCAGUGCAAGAUAGUGCCAGCAGUAAGCUUUUUUAAAAUUUUCAAUUUUUUUCCAUUUAUGAAGCUCAAAAAUUUUAUUAAUUUUUGAAUUUUUUUUGAAUGAUUUUGCAGGUGUUGAUAUAAGGUCAUCAAAGGUUUGUGAACUUGGAGUGUUGAAUUAUAAGGCGAAGCGUGUGUUUUAUCCAUUUGAAGCAAGUAAAUUUCGCCGUCGAUAUGAUUACUAUUGGGCUUCUAUCUUCAAGGUAUUCAUACAUUUUCUCAACUUUAAUUACUUACCUGUACUAUUAGCUUCUUAGUGGCGGUCUUGUUUUGUGUUUUUGAUGAAUGUGUUUAAGGGUCAGUUUGGGAAUGCUGGUAAUAGGAUGUUGUUAGUGUUUGGCAGUAAAUUUGCUAUGCAUAAUUCAGCAAUGUGCUUGAUUUUGGUUAUUGUCUUUAACAAUUUUUAGGUAGAGUACUUAGAUCAUUCACUGGGACAAACGCAGAGCUUGGUUGACCAAAGAUAAGUUCCAGGCUGGGGUCGGCAAUGCAGAGCUUCUGCGUGUAUUAAAAUUUGAAGCCUAGUAAAUGAAUUUCUAAUUUAUUUAUAGUGUUUGUUUUAUCUUGAUAGAAAUGAAUGCUAACUCAAGAUUUUCCCAACUUUGAUUACUUACCUGUACUAUAAGCUUCUUAGUGGCGGUCUUGUGAGCGGUGUGGCUGACAGCUUCUUGAAAAUUAUAAGUUUGAACAGAGCAUGCUAGACUUUUGUUGACCAAAUUCGAAAGCCAAAUGGCACAGCUCAGAACCUUUUGAAUUGAAUAACUUACUAGAAAGCUCCAAUUUUUUGUUGGCUACGGUAAAAGGAUGUUGUUUUAUUCUUCUUAUACUUUACGCUUGCAUCAGCUUAAAUCACUUCUUAAACGCUUUGCUUUAACUCCACCGCUUCAUACUGUUCUAUAUAUGUAUCGGGUAUGCGGUUGUAGUUCACUGCUGAGACUACGUGUUUGUUUGACGUGGUAAUUACGUUACGAGUCUGUUAAACAUUCGGUGAUUAAAGUAUUAUCAGUUAUUUCGAGGGGACAAAAAAGAUUAGUUACAACACACCCACUAGUUUUAUAAAAUUUGAAUAAGAUGGAAUAAAAUAAAAAAAUAAAUAAGUAAAUUGACUUUUAAUUUAGUGGUUGAAUAUAUUUUGUAUUCUCUCGGGGUACUGCUGUAAUUGUUCCUUAAAUGUCAGUCACACCCACAUGUUACAGACACAAGAAAUGGAAUCUAAGAUCACCUGUUUAAUUAAAGAAUCACUCAUGAAAAAAUUUUGCCAUUUUGAUUUGAGGAUCCACAUUUUGAACAACCAACUUAUCUUCAUCAAGAACAGAUCAUGGCCUGUGAGUAGAAAGAUUAUUUUUGGACAAAUUAUUUUUGUUAAUAGAAGAAUUUCUCAAGGGACUAUUAAAAUUACUAAUAAAAAUGUCAGACACACCCACGUACCAUCGACACAAUUGACUAUGAGGAUCCAUGUUUUGAACUGCCACUUAAUGUUCAUUAAGAACAGAGUAUGGCUUGUGAGAAGAAAAUUUUCUGAUUUUGGCCUGGAACAAAAAAAAAUUAAAUUGAAGGAGAAUCUGGUACUUUCUCAUUAAGAAAGGCAGACGGGGCAUACUAUGGUACCAUAAAAUACGAAAAGUCUCCAUUCUCUAGCUUUUUAAACUCUGAAGGGGGCAAUAUUCCCCAAUUACCCCGUGAAAAUUCUGAUUACGACAUUACUCAUCGGUUGAUACAUAAGUACAAGUACUGACAAAAUUAGGAAAAAUAUGACUCAUAAGUAAUUACUAGGCAGGGCUCUUGAGAGCAACAUUAUACUAGGCUUUAUAUGCAUACAUGGUGUGGUACAUAGAGCACGUUGAAUUCCACACUAUAACACAAACCCAGAAAGACAAGUAAUAUCUCAACUGAUAUAAAGACAAAAAGAAAAUAAAAUGAUAUAGAAAAAAGAAUUUCUAAGAGACAGCAACAUACAAUAGACUGAAGCCAGUUGAUCUGCUCAUUGAUUGCAGCCUUAAACUUGCAAAUGUUUACUGUAGCCUGGUGCUCUAAGAAGUGAAAAUGAUGCAAACCUUGAUUCCCUGUUUACUUCCAUUUACCAUCAAACAUUCUAUUCAUAAGAAAAAAAAUCUUUAGAUAUCUUGCCGUAAAUAUAGCCAUUUGAUUGUCUUAAUAAAGCCACACACAACCAUUCAUAUUGAUCCACAUUGCCACAUAGCCUGAUUUAAGCAUACAACAGCUGAAUGUAUACUGACUCCUAACCUUAUCAAUACAUUGGCGACAACUUAAGAAAAAAACUAUUUCUCCAUCUCUUUUUUGAAAUUUCACAAUAAAACAGCACAAUGUAAGAGCUGGAAUGAAAAUGGACCGUUUGGAACUAUGGCGGAAGCUUCAACUAGUGUAGUGAGUUGACCUUCUUAUUAACCUAGCGAGAUCAAACACUGCCCUUGAUCUUGAACAUAUCAAUACGAUACGCACAACUUAUGAUUGAAUCCAGAAACAAUCAAAUCUUUAGCAAGAAUAAUUAAUCAGAAUCAAGAAACAAGUUUAAUGAAUAUAAACCUAUAAUUGGAACAAACACAGCCAAAGAACCCAAGAAUGACACAACGAACACCAAGGGAGAAGCUUUCCAGUGAGAUUAUAUUAAUGAUCAAAGAAGAAUCUUUUUACAAAGAUAACAAAAGAGAUUUCAGAGAAUAAGCUAUGACCCUCUCUCUCUUCAAUCUCUGUCUAGUUUGUUAACAGUGAUGACCCCAAUCUGCUUCGUUAGCCAGCUUCAUAACUGCGUCAGUGACAAACUAGCAAACCCAGAUUGAGCAGACUAACGACACGUGCAUAACGGCUUUAACGAACUUGGUUAAAGAACUGCUCACAUGUUCGUCACGCGUGUUGCUUAAAUGAUAGCCAAAACGACUUCAACCAAAUGCCGUUUUGAAGCUUAUGAAUUAUAAGUGAAAACACGUGCUUGUCUCGUGACAUUUAAAUGCAACAACAAGCCCAAAACACUGCCGGUUCACUAUGUUGAGUUUGCCAUCUCUAAGCUUCACAACUAGCAGCGGACAAGAUGAUAAUUUAAUUGACAUGGAGAGCUUUUAUAUCACUUUUACAACAUUCUAUAUAAUUGUGAUAUUGGGAAUCGUCGGUGUUGUAUAUGUGAACCCUCGUUGGCGACACUGGUGGUUUUAUCUUUAUUGAAAUAUGGAUGACUUUUCGUUACUAUUUUGUUGUACAUAACAUUAUUCUCAGGAGAUUUAAUCAUUGAAAUUAACAUGUUAGUUUCAUUAGAAGGCUGAGUGGUUAGGGCUGCUACCCUCCAACUUGGAGGGCAAUAGUUUGAACCCACAAGCGCAGUGUGGGGGUAUUUCAUUCUUUAAUUACAUUGUAUAAUUGAAUAAAGAUAAUAUUCUCUCUUACCCAAGUGUGAGUGGAGUAGACAUCCUUCGAAUAUUAGCGAGGGUUAAAACUUGGGCAGAGCUCAAUAAGUAUUGAUGUAAGUUGGUCCUAAUAAUAGUCUGAUUUGUAAAUAUCAGUUAUAGUCUCAUGUUUCCUUCCUUAAUUAUAUUGUAUAAUUAAGUAAAUGUACUCUUUUCUCUUACCCAAGUGUGAGUGGAGUAAACAUCCCUCGAAUAUUAGUGAGGGUUAAAAUCUGGGUAGAGCUCCAUAAGUAUUGAUGUAAUUUGAUCCUAAUAAUAGUAUGAUUUGUAAAUAUCAGUUAUAUUAUCAUGUAAUAUGAGUUGUAAUUUGAGUAAUAAUUUCAUGUAAUUACAAAAAAAAUGUUACUUUCAUUACUUUUUUCUUCGUUAAAAUUCUCAAGUAUCAAUUAUGUUUGCUUAAGAAAUAAAAUUUCGUUAUGAAAAUUGUAGCAGUAUUUCCGAGCACCUCACAUUUUCAAUGAUUUUUCAUAAAUCAAUUAAUCUGCCAUACCAAUAUCAGGUUUAGUUUUUCAGACUAAAUGAUCAAGAAAGCAAACAUACAAAUUCACAUUUUAGAGGGGUAAACUAGCUUUUAGAUUUUAGAACUAGGCUAGCUACCUCACCAAAUUCCAAUCUGUACAGUGAACUACAAGAUUAAGAAAAUAAUGUAUUUAUAGUUUAAUUGAAUCAUGAGAAAACAAUGUAGUCAUAGCUCAAUCGGACAUGAUCACGGAGAGGCAUAUUCUUUUCAAGUUAAUUUGAUCCAUUUAUAAGAAAUGAAGUGGAUUGAAGUUAAAAGUUCAAAUAACAAAUCCUUGUUCUUGAGUUUUACGACGUCGUUACUCCUUCAAGAGGCUGAUUAUGCAAGUGAAUGCGGAAACAGAAUGCAUUAUCCACGGGGAUGAUAAAUCAAAAGGCGGGAUCAUAGUCUAUGCCCGCAGAUUAACAAUUUCACUCAUAUAGAAAAUUAAUUUUUUUAUAUAUACUAAUCAACACUAGAUUGAUUAUGUUUUGUAUGUUUAUAUGCUAAUCAACAAUAAAUUAUAUUAAAUGAAGAAAUGCUUCAAAUUUUUCUAAUUUAAUUUAGAAAAUCAAUUAUUAACAUUAAUAUUCCUAAUAAAAAUUAUUUUCCAUCGGUAUUCAAAAUUUUCACUUAUAGAAAAUGUGUUUUACGUGAAUACAAGUUAUUGUGUAAAUUUGAAUGAUAGCGAAAAAUAAUUUUUUUAAUUAUUGUAAAAAUAAUUAACCAUAACAAAUCCCUUGUGUAAAUAAUAAUCAUUAUUUAAAAGGUAGAAAGAUGGUUAGUGCACAAUCAAAUUUUAAGCCCCUACCUCCUCGGCCCAAGAUUCAAACUUAGAUGAUCAGCCAAAUAAAAUUAUUUGAAAAUCAUUCAAUCAGGUUCUCGGGGAAAAAAUACAAGAUCCGUAUUUGCAUGAUAUAUAUGAAUUAAUGUAAUUUAUUUGAAUUAUCCAAAUUCAUUAGAGAUAAAACUAUAAAAGAUACCAAAAAAGUUAGAAGGAAGGGUGUGCUGGGAUAUUUUACAAACUAUAGGAAUCUGGUGAGAUUUUGAGCCAAACUGUAGGGAGUUGAAGGCAUUUGCCCAAUAUGUUUAGACGUACACUAACCGUUAUUUGAUCUUGUUGUUGGUCAUGUGAACUAAGAUGUAAAUUAAAGAAAAAGUAUAAAAUUAAAAAAAGAUAAGAUUUCUAAAAUGUGUGGAAGGUGAUUCAUGAUUCACUAAAAUUACUUGCCCCACAUAUAAAGGUAAACAUGUCUAAUUUCAUUAAAAAUAGGUGGAAAAAAUUAACUAAUAGAAAGCUACGGAAAUUAACCCCCACAAAAAUGACUUUUUAUAGAAGAAUUUAUGUUUUUUAAAAUAUGUUAUCAAAGUGUAUUUGAUCAAAUCUCAAUUGCUUAGUAUGGUUAGGAUUUUGUGAACAUAACUAAAAAGUGAAAAAUAUGAAUGAUAGGGGUGAUGCUUGCAAUAUGAAUAAAUAAUGGACUGAUUCAAUUGAUGAUUAAAUUUAUAUAUUAUUGAUUAUUUAUGAAUUUUCAGACUUGUUAUGAUGUAUAACUAUGUGAUUUUGAAACUUGAAACCGUGGCAAACAUUGAAAGGAAUUAUAACUUGAAAUCAUGACUCACGGGGUAUGUCAUGAUUCACGUGCACAAAAAAGGUAGAAUUGUGGAAAUUUACAACCCAACGACAAGUACGGAAAGAAAGGAAGAAAAUUAAAAGACUUCGGGCCUAGCCUGCGUGUAUUAAUUAUUAGAUUACUUUUUUUUAUAAGGGUAAUCAUCAAUUUACUCCAUAACAAUCUUUAAUUCAUUUCUUAAAAAUAUCAAAACUUUAAUUUAUCUUUUAAACAUCGUUACCUCUCUAUUGGUUUUAACAGUUCAAAGGGUAAAAUUAUAUUUGCAUAUUUUCUUGACCGCCAACUAAAUGAUAAAACUCAAAAUUCAAUCUUGUUAUCUUGUUUCAAUCCUCUAUCAAUCAAAUAAGAUUUCUAAAAUAUGUGGAAGAUAUUGCAUGAUUUCCUCAACCUACCUGGCCCGAACAUCAAGGUAAAUAUCUCUAAAAUAGUUGAUUAAAUCUCAGUUGCUAAGUAUAGUUAGGAUUGUGUGAACAUCACUGAAAACUAUGAUUGAUAGAAGUGAUCUUUGCAAUAUGAAUAAAUAAUUAACUGAAUCAAUUGAUUUAUAUAUUAAAGUUUAUGAAUUUUCGGGCUUGUUGCGAUAUAAUAAUAGCAUAUGAUUUUGAAACUUGAAACAGUGGUAAAUAUUGAAAGGAAUUAAUUUGAAAGCAUGAUCCGUGGGGAAUGUGAUGAAUCGUGUUUACAAAAAAGGUAGAAUUGUGGAAAUUUAUAACAGAACGAUAAAUAUGGUAAAAAGGAAGAAAAUUGAAAGACUUGGGGCCUGGCCUGGGUGUAUUUUCUAACUAUCCAAUGGACAAAAUUAUAUUUCUAUACUUUCUCUUACCUAAGUUUCAUAGAAUAGCUCAUUUCAUUUUUAUUUUUUAAAUAAUAGCCCAAAAUAUCAUUAUGUUAACUCAUUAUUAGUUGAAUGGCGUUUGUUAGUAAUUCAUUAAGGGUAAAAAAUGAUUUUCUAUCAAAGAGAAAAUUAGAAAAAUAAAUAAAAAUUGAUAUAUAACUAAAAAUUAUUUUAUCUAAUCCCACUAAAUAAGAAAUGCCAAAAAAGAUGAAAAAAUUAUAUUUCAAGCAAUUCUUUUUUCACUUAUUUCUAUUUUGGCAACAUGAAAGCCCUAUAAACCCUAGAUCUAAGUACCAAAAAUAUCACAAUUUUCUUAUUCAUAUAAGUAUACUCUCUAAUUGCAUUGUAAAAUGGCUUGAAUUGAAUUGAAGAUAAAGAAGAUAUUCAGCACAUGCAAGCACAUAAAAAUUGGUGGCAUUUUUGAGUUUUUCUUCCAAUGAUUUAAAGAUAUUGUUUUAAUUACAGUUUGUUCCUUAUGACAAUUAUUCAAUGGCGAUAUCAAACUAUAUCAUCGUUGAUUUCAUUUAAGAAAAAAGUUAAUGAAUUUUGCAUACUUUGUAGUGUUAUUUAAUUGUGUAAAAAAAUUAUUUUAAUAUAGUUUGUAUCGCUUUAAUGAAAAAUCCUAUUUUGCCCUCAAUGAAUUACUGGUUAACGAUUUUACACUAAUGGUGAGUUAAUGGAAAGAUAUUUUAGGCUAUUGUUUGAAAAGUAGGGAUAAAAUGAGCUAUUGCAUUAAACUCUAAGGAUGAAAAAUGAUUUUUCCCUUUUAUUAUCAAUCAACUAUCUGAUAAAAGUCAAAACUCAUAUUUUUUUUUCCCUUGUUUCAAUCCCCUCUCAAUCAAAAAAGUUUCCUUGUCUAAGCAAUGAGGAAUAUGGCUAGAAAGAUUGUUAUUAGAAAGAUUUAUCAAUAGUAAUUAGUUCACAACUGAACAGUUUUAGAUUAUUGUGAGUCAAUAUAGGUCCUGUUUAGGAUUGAAGUGUUGCAGUUUUUAAGCUACAGCUGCUGUAGAAAAAAAAACUAUAAUUAUGAAAUAAGAGUUAAUAAUAUAUAAUAAAUAUAAAUUUUAAAUAAUAAUUUUGACAAAAUUAUUAAAAAUAUAAUAGAUUUUUCAUAAUACAAAUAAAAAAAUCAUAUCAACAUAGCUUGCAAGGUACAACAGUUAGUAUGAUGUUAGUUUAUUUUUGCGUCAAUAUAAGUAGUCAAAUUGAAUAAGUUAGUGAAAUGCUGCCUCACUGUCCCAUUGAAUAUGAUUCAGCUAACAGGGCUAGAGCUUGUGGAUGCCAAUGGCACUGAACAAAGUAUUGGGUGGUAAUUUUAAGACCACGCUAUGCCCAAAACCCAAGUUAGGCGAUUACAAAUACGGGAAUCAAUGUCACUUUGCUAGGAAUGGAGAGGAUAGAUUGCUUAGUGAAAUGCAACUUUGUAGAAUGCUGAGAGAUGUGCUGAGAGAUGAGGAUAGUUGUCGAUUUCUUCAUGUAAAUGCUGAGAGAUGUGCGGAAGUUUCUACUCAGUUUAGGCUUAGUUUAAGAAUAGCCUGGUGAUAAACAUUUUGAGUGGUGGAUCUUCUGUGGAUAACAAAAGUAGGUCUAUUCAAUGGGAACGCGACAAGGGGCUGGCUAACUCGCUCAGGUUGUGCAAAUGUUAAAAGCAGAAUGCCAGUUGUAUGAAGUUAUGUCAUUUUCUUUAUAGAACUAUGAAAGCUUGGAGUCCACGAUUCAAUGGAAUCUCGGGCUGUGCCAAUGAUUGUUUCAAGUACUUUUUCUACUUUCAAUGUCCAGACUAAGACUAUUUCUAAGCAGCAAGUGCAGGAUAUAAAGUGCAAAUCAAAAUAGACAGAAGUGAAGAGGAAGAUACGUGGUAUAUAUGUUGAUUGGAUUGAAGAUAUACCACUUUUGCCUAGUUCUUAGAACAAAGCAGAAAGCUGUAGUUAAAAAUAUACCUUCUGCUAAAGAUAAGUAGUCAAUAGUUCUAUUAGUGCAUAACUUUGCGAUUAAGGAUGAUCGCUGUCUAUUUUAAGAGCUUUUAAUAGAAUUUAGUAGCCCUGAUUUUCAAUCUCAGUGUUUUGCGGCUGUUAUCGACAUCCCUCUGUUACAUUUUUCAAGUUUCAUUGAUAAAUUAGUAGUUAGCCUUAUGAAGAAUGCACACACCAUAACCAUGUACGUUAAAUAGCAAACCUGCAUUUUAUUGAACUGUGAACUACUGAUUCAAUAAAGCUCAACAUAAGCUAACAAGUCUUUGUGAAAUUGCUUCAUGGUACAUUGUUUGAAGUAUUUAAGCUAAUAUAUGAUUAUUAAUGGGCUCGUGAGCCAACCCCAUUAAUUAUAUGUACAUAUAUAUAAUGUUACCAUCAAUAUGAUAUGUGACAUCCCAUAACAGCUAAUUAUAGAUCUUUAUCCAUUUUCAUAAUUUGCCUUCUGGCUUCCACUGCUCGUCACUAAAUUCAAAAUCCAUUGCACCUCAAAACAACAUGAGAAAUCUUAUAGGCAAAUCAUGACCAGUUCAAAGAUAAUAGCGAUUAUAGGGAAAGAAAAUUAAAAUCGAAGACGCAUAUAAAAUAAUCAAGCUACUGAUGAACAAAAUAACAUGAAAGUGUAAGUAUUUAUACUAACCUUCACUUAUUAGGAAGUUUGUUUCGCUAUUGGGUAAGAUCAAGCUCUCUGCAUAUCCUAUUGGCAAAAGGAAAUCACGCACGUGUGAUCUCUCUCUCUCUCUCUACACACGCACACAUAUACACACGCAUAUACAUAUACAUGCAUGGUCAUCAUCUUAGAAACCGAUUGAGAAAUUAUUGUCAGAGUUUGAAUUUGCGCAAUGACUAGUCAUGUUGCUAAAAAGAAAAAAGAUUGAGAUUGAAAGAAAUUCAUUAUCAUCAAAUUGGUCCAAUAUCCACUUCACUGUGUGGAUCAAAUACGUUUUCGAAUAGUGCACUGAUCUACAAUCUACUGCAAUAAUUUGUUAGGACCCUACAUCAACAAAUUAUGGGAUUAGUUGGUUUAUUAACCCUAAUACAUCCGGACAAGUCAAUCCUUUCAUGAGAAACAAAAUGAAUUUUGCAUCCCAUGAAACACAACAUACUCAGCUAGUUGAAAUUGUGGAUAUACGGGGGUAACGUAAGCAUGCUUUCACAAUUUGAAAGAUUUAUUUUUUAAGAUUUAGUAUUUCUGGGAUCCUAUUGAGAUAGAGGGGUGGUGAAGGUCUAUAGAUUUUAACUUGACAGCUUCCUAUAACCAAAGAUACAUAACUAUACUAAAUGAGCAUCAUUGAAUUUCAAAGUUAUUCAUUAUAAAUACUUAAAGAAAGAAAAAUAGAUAUUUUGGUAAUAGUAAUACAUUAUACCUUUUCUCUUUUCCAAAUUUGCUUAACCUUACUACAAGGCAAGCUGAGUCCAAUCAGGUUCUCCAAUUCAAAAUCUGAUGUCAGUAUUUUCAAAAGAUAUUUAUGCCAAUGGAGAUUUCUCAAUUCUAUAGGAAGGCAUUUUUUUUUUUUGAAACUGAUUAAGCAUCAGUUGGUUACUGUAUUACACAGAGAUAUAUACAACUGCUAUGACAGCAGGUCAUUACACUGAUAUUUACAAUCAGAUAUAUACAUGUGACUUAUAUUAUUACAUUUUUAUUCUAUGAAGUACAUGCCCAUCCAAAUACCCCUCACAGAGGAGGGAUGUCUCUACUCCACUCCCAUUGCGCAAGGGAGAAAGACGUUGUAAGAAGUCUCCAUACAAUUAUAUUUAAUUGAGGGAGGUUGAGUCCGUGGGGACUCGAACCAUUGCCCUCAUAGUCAUGCUUAACUUUGAGGGCAAUGAUUCACCACUGGGCUACAAGCCCAAGUGGCUAUAGGAAGGCAUUCUAAACCUCAGUGAAGUUACACCCUGGAGCUUAUAAUUAGAACACCAUCAUACUCGGAUAUAUAAAAUUUCAGCAAUCUAAAAUUUGACAUUGUUUUAAAUGCUCCAGAAUCUAAACGUAUGUCUCUUAUCCUGGAGAAUUCAAGAAUAUACUUUCGGUUGCAUGUGUCCCUUCAGAAAAGAAGCAAAUAAUGAGUUCGCAUAAAUUUUCUCAGGAAAAAAAUCCUAAAAUUUAUAAAGAGCUCCUUAAAUGAAGACAAAACCUGCACUCGCUCAACUCUUUUUUUUUUUUUUUAUGUUGUUCUAGUCUUCUUCAAUCCCCCCCUCUAAAACUUUAAUCCAAGCGUUAAGUGUAAGUAAACUAAAAUAUGAUUUUCGUAUGCAAGUACAACACAACAUACCCAUAAAAAUGAAGAGCGGAAGUUAGAAUCAAACCUCCAGCAAUUGAUAUUUUGCAAACUGAUAUUUGAUUCUUCUGAGACUUAUGUAAUCGUUUUGAUGGUGCAGUUUUUGAAUUAGAUUACAUAGCCUCAGGUACUAAUACCAUUUUCACCAUUUUGUUUUUAUUUCAUCUUUCCAUCAAAGAUGAAGGGGUGGGAAAUUAUCAAAGCAGCUGUUAGAUGACACCUGCUUCUAGACCUGCAAGUAAAACCAAAGAAUGAGCUCCAUUAGAUACAUUUGAGUUAAUAAAAUCCCUUGUUCCUCCUAAUGAUUAUAGACAUUAAUUAGGAGGGAGAAAUGAAGUAAAUUAAAUUAAAUGAAGGACCUUCAUUCUCCACGCAUGCAGCCGGCUAUUUUGUUACCAAGUUGUUGAAAGGAAGUAAAUAGAGAAGCAUUCAGAUACCACUCUCCCAGAUCGAUAUUCCUAGUAAGACCAAGGUGUAGUUGUACCACUCGGCCUGUGGAGUUGCUGCAGUCAACCCUUUCCCUUUGUUCAUCUACCCAGUUUUGAAGUCUAUAAGGGGAAUUGAAGAAAUGUUUAAGCCACAAAAGAUCAAAUUCCUCAUGCUCCAAACAUCCCUCACUCCACCCCCCCCACCCCCCGGCGCCCUCUUCUAAUAUUAUUAAUACGAGAACUAACAUUGUCACCAUUUUGAAUUUUGAACCACCCAUUCUAGCUAUAUCUCUAACUAUUAAAAAACACACAUUCUCUCUUUCUCUAUAACUAUAAAUAACAAAAGGGCUCUAUGUUAUUUAUAACAAACACAUCUAACAAUUUAUACACUCAGGCCCCAGCUAGCUUUCAGUUGUCUUCUUUGGUAGUCUUCAGCCUUCUCAAAGACUUUCGUCAUGCCUUACUUUCAGCCUUCCUUUCCAUAUUUGUCAUUUUGCUUUAAUUUUCCACAAUUCUACCUUGGAUGGUAAUAUUUAAUUCGCCACGAAUUGAGUGAAACGCUGGUCCGUUACCCAUCCCACUUCAAUAUUAACAAUAUUAAUAAUAAUAAAUAAAUUCUUCAAGCAAUUGAGAUUUGACACCCACCCCACUUCAAUAUUAAUAUUAAUGGGAAAUCAUAAAUUCUUCUACAAAUGAGUCAUUAUUUUAAAAUUGUUAUAAGCUUAUUUAUUUAAAAAAAAAAAAACGAGAAGGGGAACUUGUUAUCUUAAAAUUAAAAGAUUCUGGUGUGGCUACCCGAAUCCGCACGUUUUUUAAGAUUUUUUUUCCAAUCUUGUGUACCGUUCAACACCUAUAUAUGCUUUGCAAUUGAUUAGUUAACAAAAUAAAAUUCUUGAUCAGUUGUGCGGUAAAAAUAAUAUUAUUUUACAAAGCUUUACCUGGUGCAGUCAAUACGGCUAGAAAUUAAAGGAUCCCCAGCAUGAUAAUUAAGGAAUAAUUAUUAUUCUAGAUUUGUGCAGUGGCGAAGCUAAUAGCAUUUUUCGUUUUCGAGUGAGCUGAACUUUUUCCCCCCCCUAAUUCAAUACAUUUUUAUCGUACAAUAUAAUUUUGUAAAUAAGAAAUUAUAGAUGCACCUAAUAAUGCGCGACAAAAUAAGCUUUACCUCUCAAAAUAUUUGUUCUAAACAUUAUUUAAAAUAAUUUAGACACAUAUUUAUUCACAAAAUGAUGAACAGACAAGAAUUUGAUGAUAAUUGAAGAGGCAGCAUAACUAAUUAAUAUAAAAAUUUUUAUAUAGGUUUCAAUAAAGGAAAUUUUGUAACUAAAUAAUUUUUUUUCUGAGAAGCCCGGCCUUGCCCUCUCCAAAAUUCGCCACUGAAUUUGUGGGGUGGUUACUGGAGUUCACACGUUUUCAAAUUUUUUUUUCCCGAUCAUUCAAUAGUAAUUUUGCUUUUUAGUUUAUUAUUAUUGUUGUUAUUAUUAUUAACUCAGGCAUUUAUUAAAGCUCGAACACAUAAUCUAAACUUUGAUAUAUUUUUUGCUGAGAGGAGUCAAAAUUUGGGAAUUAUAUGCGCAUCAUAACAUAAUAAACAACCGCAAAGUAUCCUACGGAAACUUUCAGUGCACUCUGACAGCAGCUUUUGGUAGUCAAAUAGUCUUGGAAUCAUUUUUUAGCGCAUAUUCUUUUCGGUAAUGUGAUGAAUUCAUAUCUAAAGAAUCAAAACUAUGAUGUGAAUUUGCUGCAAAAACUGAUCCAAGACUAUUCAUUCAUUAUUAAACAUAUGAUAUCGUCCGUAAGACUGGAGAAAUAUGAAUGAAUUUGUUGAUGAUAACUCAGAAGACGGUUAACGGUUAAAUAUGCUAUGUUGAAAUGCACUGUACAGUCAAUUAAUUUAGUUAGGACUCUGUUUCUAGAAAACAGAGUAUAAAAGAUGACUAACUGUUUUGGGAGAUGCUUUUGGAGGGACUUCUAGAUGAAAUUGAGAGAGAGAGAGUGUGAGAGAAACUCUGUAAAGUCUUCUCCAAUUGGUAACCCCUUUUGUUGCGAAUAAUAAAGCUUCAAGGCUGUUCAUUUAUUUGUACAUAAGCAGGGGGAAAGCCUAUGUAUAGACAGCUUCAAAUGAGGAAACUGCACCUAACUACGCAGCAGCUGUAAUGAAGAAGACAUUGAUGCAUUAGCUUCCUGUUCCGUCUUCUUGGUCUUCGGGGAGGUUGGUAGCAGCAACUUUAAUUGUUCAAAGCAAACACUUAUCUUUCGUUUCUCAUAAAACCUCGUGAGGUAAUGCUUUAGAUGACUGGUAUGCAAUAUUGUCAAUGACAAAAUGUAAUGUUGUAUUCUGCUGAUCAACAUGUAAAAACUACAUAUUACUUGAAUUAGUUUUUUUUUUUUUUAAUUUACUAAAUUUCAGAAUUUGUUAACGAUGUUUGUACUUGGUUUUAACUCGAUUAAAGCUCAUGAAACUUAAUUGAUUAAUUAAUCAUUUAGUUAAAUUUAUUCGCUUUCAUGCUAUGGAUCUUUGCUAUAAUAACAAAUGCUUAAUUAUAUGCGUAUGUGUGAUAUAAUAGCUGCGUCUUACAUAGCAUAACACUACACCAAAUAUGCCCCCCUCAGAUACUAAUUAAUUACACAAAUGUACUUUUAUUCAAUUUAUUAUUUAAAAUAAUAUUUGAAAAAAAAUGGACUUGAGCAGAGCAAAGUAGAGAUAAUAAACAAGGGUAGAUUAUGCAUGCGUCAAAAGAUUUUAAAAAAGAAAAAGAGAAAAUAUACGGAAAACAAGAAAAUUGCGGGGAGCCACUCUUGUCUUUUACUUUGGACUUGAAGUCGUUCCAGGUGGAUAAUGUUUUCCUUUUAAAUAUUUAGAAUUAUAUUGUGGCGCUAUUUAAAAUAAGUUAUAAUUUUCUUAAAAUCAGACUAUGAUUACGGUACUCCAUGGUCAGAGUGUCGUUGAAUAAUGCUGAGUCUAUUGAGUCCUUUUCAAAUCGAAACCAGAACUAAAGAAAAAUCCAGAACUGAAACAAGGGCACGAACCAGCAAGAUUUGAAGGAAAAAUUUACUUCGUUAGUGAUCAACAACUAAUCAAACGUAAGUGGAUUUACAGAAGACUUUGUACAGAUCACAAUGAAACAGAUUCUAUGCAAAUUGACGAACAACUGAAGAAGAAAAAGGAUCGUACAACAGGCACUGCUCAUAAGCUUCUAUUUAUACUGAUGUUUCUGGAAACGUUGUAACAGAUUAUAACUAAUUCGUGCCACGUCAGCAUAAAAUAUCUACUAGACCCAUUUAACUGAAGUCAAUCUGCACAACGACUCUGAACCUCUUCAUAUUUUCCAUUUCAGUCCACAGACUCAACUACACACGUCUCCAAAAAUAAUAAGUUUUAUUUAUUUAUUUUUAUUAAUAAAAUAAAUUUUUAUUAACUUUCGUUGAUUUUGGUAGAUUUUGUUUUUGAGCUGUUACUACACUGUCGGCUGGUGUGUCAUCAUACGUAGUAGCGUCAUCAACCCUCUCAUGACUUUGACGGCCGAAACAUGUUUCAUGGCACAAAUAAUGACAGAUUUGUUUGAGGUACGGCGGAGAUGCCUAUUCAAAUAUUUGAAGCCAGCCCCUCCUUGUUUAACAUUUUUUUUUUUAAAAGGGGAACAACUGCUUUAGCUGUAUAUAUCAAGAAAAUUAGCUAACAGUUUAUGCACUUAAUUAUUUAUUUUGCCACACAUUUGUAAGUGGUCAAUGCUGCCGUAAAAUUAUUAGACCCAAAAUAAAGUGUGAUGAGGGACAGGAAUUAAUGUUCCCAUUAGCUGUAGCACCUAUCUUCCAUCUCUAAUUUUAACUUUCGAUUGAUGAAGUGUUUUCAAAUUUGUCAAAUGUCUGUAAACUGUUUAAUAAUUGAAGAAAGUUAAAAUUCAUUUUCUAAAAAUUAUUUUCAUUCAAAAUUGCGAUUGGAUGGUAAUCAGGGUUAAUAUCAGAGCUUAAGAUACUAUAACCGUGAGAACCUAUUGACUGCCAAUUAAAAUAUCCAUUAAAAUGUCUAGGGAGUUAUGAAGGUGGGGGUAACUUCCAAUUUCUAAGGCCACAGAGUAGACAUCAUCCAGGAUCCUAGGAAAGUCCAGUUAACCUCCUGCUCGAUGCAAUUAAUAAAUUUGGUCAAUGCCACUGAAACCUGCUAACUGACGUCACAAUGCGACAUGAGCACUUCAAAAUGGGACGGACAGUCAGUAGCACUGAAUUUUUCUUGCCUAAGAUUGAGCAAUUGGUCUAACUACUAAUCCCUAUUGUAGGUUGAUCAUUAUUUUUUCAAUUAUGUUCAGUUUGACCCAAAAAGUUGCAGAAUCUUGAGCUGAAUAUUGUCACGGAACACUGUCAAUGUCGCUUAGCAUAGCCAACAAACUUGAUGUUAAAACAAACACACAGUGUGUCUCAUGUCUCACAAAUCAAAUUAUCAUCUGUAAUGAUGGAGAAUUUUUCCAAUGUAUGAAGUAUGCUUUGAUACGUGGGUUACCUUGGAGAAGAUAUCUCAAAAUAAAGAAUAUGGGGAGAAAACAGUUCAGUAGUUUAUUAUUCUGUAGUCAAGUUUUGUCUCGAAAAUGGUCAAAAUUUAAAUGAUUAAGGACAGGGGAUCUUCAUUCUUUUUCCCCUUUUUUAUACCAAGAUAUCUCUCAACCUUUAUAUAAUCCCCACUGGAUAUCUGCUUCUCAUAAUUAAAAUAAAAAUUUCACCGCUCUAACAAUAAAAAGUAACAUCUUUAGUCAAAUAAUUUUGCGGUUCCUCAUCAUCUUAGUGUGAGACUAUCAGUACUUCCAAAAACAUAAUAAAACUGGUUUGAUCCUGUUUAUUAAUGUUUAAAUGUUGUUCAUUGUGACAUGUAGAAAUGAUGAGGCGAAGUUUAUUUGGGCAUCAAUUAGUAAGAUCUUGUUCGAAGUUGUUUUCUGAAAUGAACUGCCAAAUGGUAGUUUUUUGGGGGCAUUUGAUGGCUCUUUUUUUUUCCUCAUUUUCAACAUGUGCCUGCUUGGAACAGGAAGGAUUAGGCUUUAGAGUUGUUAUUUAUUUUGAGAUGCUCUGGUCAUUGCACAAUUUGUUCACACUGGAAAUUAGAAUGAGAAAUUUGUUGAUGCUGUUUUGAGAGAUCUGCAUUCUAUGCACAAUAACAUGAUUAAUGAAAAUGUAUUGUAGGACUGGAAAGAUCUGUGGCAGCCUGAGCUCGCAGGAAGAAUUUCAAUGGUUAAUUCUCCCCGAGAGGUUAUUGGUUCAGUUUUGAAGUAUAGGGGAGCAUCAUACAAUUCAAACGAUAUUGAUUCGCAAGUUGCUGGUGGGAAGAUUGCUGUUCAGCAGAAUCUGGCAUUACUGGCAAACCAGGUACUCUUACAGAAAUGAUAUCUGGUCAUUGCAUGUUAUUGCCUGACAACUGAUUUUGUUUGUAAAAGUCUACUUCUUCAUACAUAUGAAUGCAUAUGUUAGUGUUUUCUUCUCGUUUUCAUACAUAUAAAUGCAUAUGUUAGUGUUGUCUUUUCCUUUUCAUACAUAUUACUACAUAUGUUGGUGUUCUCUCCUGAGAUGGAUGCAAUAAAGGCUUUUGCUCCUAAAUUUAGCUGAAGAAAUGGCAAGGGAUGUGAGAUUCUGUCUCAUUAAAUUAACAAAAACCCAAAGCAAUGAAAAUCCAUAAUAAUGUGGUGUGGGUAAAUUGGCUCCAUUUGGUUCGUUUCCUUAAUGUGAAUGCGCGAGCAAUAGAGACUAACAAAAUGAAGUGACAACAAGAAGUCAGUGUCCUUUGAUGGAUGCAUUUUUAGGCAGAAAUAGGUUUGUAAUUGACCAAAUUUGUCUGGCAUGCCAAUUUCAAAAAAAUUAAAUUAUGUGGUUAUUAGCUGUAAUGAAGGGGGAUAGUAGGUGCAAUCAGGUGGAUCCUGGAAAGUUCAAUAAAGUUUUGGUAUGGCGUAGUGAAAUUGGUUUGUGCAACUCAGGAGUCUUUCAGGUGAACGAUGAUAGGUUUUGAUUUAUGAAUAUUAUAAAUCUACUGUGCAUAGUAUUCUAGUAGAAUCAUCUAUAAGUUCUAGUUAUUGAAAUUGUAUACUUUGCCCGGUUUGAGUUAAGGGCACAUGUAAUAUGAAAGAUAGUUGUCGCAUCUUUUAGGUUACCUAACAUUUGAUCAAUCCUAUUAUGGGGGCUUCAAGAUGUCUAACAAUAUGUAGAAUGCCCAUGCUCCUCCCCAUUGUUUAUCUUCUACAAUAAUUUGUUUUAGAUGCUAAUAUCUUUGUCGAUACCGGUAACAAUAUUACAAUAUCUGCGUUUAUUGGGUUUUACAUAGGUUCGACUGUUUGACAGUACACACUAUCUGAAGGCAUUUGCAAUUGGAGAUGUAUGGGUUGCUGUUGGGUGGAUUAGUGAUGUUCUUCCUGCUGUCAAACAUAUGUCUAAUGUUGCUGUUGUUGUUCCCAAGUCUGGUGCUAGCUGCCUGCCAUUCUACUUCGAUAUUCACAUUGUUAUCUCCUUCAUAUUAGCGAUCAGUAAACACGAUAAUGUGACUAAUAAGUUCGUAUUCUCUUUAUAGGCAAUCCCUGCUGCCUCAAGACUUGAAACAAAACAAAUUGGAGGGCGAGUCGGAGGUCCAUCUCCGUUAAUCCAUCAAUGGAUAGAAUUCUGCUUGCAAACAGCGAGAGCAUUACCUUUCAAGCAAGAGGUAAUCCCAGGUGCAUCUCCCUCUGCCCUUGAAAGUACUCUGGUUAAGUUGCCUGAAGAACUUCUGGAGGGUAAACCAAGUCUGGAUACUAACUUAAUUGCUGGAGUACUCCCGGCUGAAAUUCUGGCCAGAUGUGAGUUUUUGGAGCCAUUAUCUGAAGCUACUUUGUCAGAUUAUGAGUGGCUGGUUGUUAAUCUGCAAAAACCUGCUCCUGUCUUGAUGAAAAGGGUGCAACAUUACUUGUCAUCAUUAAUCCAAAGCUUUCUAGCAAGAGCUACAUUGAAAAGUUAAUGGCGCUGCAUGCCAGUCAUUAUAAUGCUGUCAGGACAAUUGGGUCAGGGCAAUUAGGUCAGAGCAUAACUUCAUUAGGAAAGGGGGCUUCAGCUACGUUAAAUAUUACAGGAUGUACUGAGAUGGCUGAAGUUCUUGAGGUUUUAUGAGAAACGAAAGAUGAGUGUUUGUUUGAACAAAGUUGUUGCCAAUCUUGCAGAGUUUGAAAACAAAGAUCACGGAGCGAAUGCCACCGAUUUCUUCAUCAUUUUAGCCUCCAUAAUUGAAGUUUCCUCAUUUGAAGCUGUUUAUGCAUACGAUUUUUCCCUGCUCUAGUACAGGAAAUUGAAGAAUUAACCAGAUGUGAUAUGCUGAAAGAGGGAAGUUUUCUUCCUUGAAUGUGGCCUUUGUGAUUUGUCUUGAAGGAAUAGGAUGAUCACUGGCAAGAACCCUAUCAAGGUAGAUUUUAUGGUGUUAACAUAUUAUUCAGCAUUUUGUUACAUUAGCAAUGAUGCUUUCAUAGCAUGAAAGUGUUUAAAUUUAACUGAAUGAUCUUGAUUGAUCAAUUAUGAGUUUUAAUCGAGUAAAAACUAAAUACAAUAAUCGUAACAAANNNNNNNNNNNNNNNNNNNNNNNNNNNNNNNNNNNNNNNNNNNNNNNNNNNNNNNNNNNNNNNNNNNNNNNNNNNNNNNNNNNNNNNNNNNNNNNNNNNNUGCUACCUUUUGAUUUUAGUGCUUAAUAUUUAUUGAACUAUGAUGCAGGGAAUUUGAAAUCAAACUCGUAAUACAGAUUAUCUAAUUGCGAGUUGCUGUCCAUAGCUGCUAAUUUGUAGUGAUUAUCUAAUUGACUGAGGUGACAAUAAUUCUUUUAUUUUCAAUAGCACAAUGUGGAAUUCAAUAAUUAAAUUCUCCUGUUUAAUUUGUUUCAAGUUAAAUUAUUAAUUACUUAAACUCGGUUUUAAGUCUUUAAUUUUAUGUGUUUAUGCAGAAUUGGAUUCUUGAGCGUGUUGGACACGACCAACAAUGAAAUUGACAGUAAACAAACAUUAGAACAUGUGGACUCCGGUAAGCACCAAUGAAUUUCUAGCCCCGUUGACUCCGCCAACUAAAGUUUUGUAAAAUAAAAAAAAAUACAUAGAAUUCCACCAAAUGCAAAACGCGUAAAAUUUAAUUUUCGGCCGUGUGGACCAAAACAUAAUUUAACAAAAAAGAAAAAAAUGAUAAGAUUUUUAAAAUGUGUGGAAGGUGAUCCAUAUUUUACUGAAACGACUUGUUAAAUUUUUCAAGGAUUUAGAAUAUUUGGUCAUAAAUUACGUGCAUGUUAAUUUUUCCGCCAUUGACUAUCAUAUUCUAGACUUAAUGGUACCUUUUUUGAUGAAGGGUACUUAGUCUCUCUUCUCCUCUUAUAAAAAUUAUAUUAAUUGAUUUCUUGUUAUAGUUAAUAGUCUUCAAGAACGGAUAGAUUUAUUGUUUUCAUGACCAAAUUAUGCAUGCCUAACGUUGCAACUAUUAAUAAAAUUAAUAUUUAAUAUUUAUGUUAAAAGAUAUAAGAUUUUAUGCAUUCAUUAAUUGUUAUUAGCUAAAGGAUGAAUUAUUUUUUCCCAAUCAGUUGAUGCAUCUGCAAGAGUUUUUUUUUCUUUUAUUGACCAUAAUUAUAUUCCGGGUACAAUAAAUUGUCUUUGGUGCUUGGAAGAUAUGACAUCUCUCUGUCAACUUACUGGAAAUAUCUCCUCAUCUACUCUCAUUUAUCUAAUAUCAAUUGAAGAUCUCAUAUUUCCAAACUAUGACUUCCAAAUCUCAUUAUCAUUUGAGCAUUCAAAACUAAUCAAGUGUGGAAAUAAUCAAAUAUAUGCAAAAAUCGAGUCACAAUCUUUGGCCCCUCAAAAUUCUAAUUAUAUAACUUCUAUAUAUCUCAUACAUUUUCCAAAUUCCUCUUCCAUCAACAUCAUUAGGAGUAUGUUCAUCUCUCACACAUUAACUUGAGUGGAGAGUUUCCAAAUUGAUUGUCAGAAAACAACAAAAGAACUAGACACGCUUGAUCUGUCUAAUAAUUCUCUUUCGGUAAAAUUAAUUAAUUUUAGGGGAAUUCAGCCAACCUCUGUAAUUUUAUAGUGAUCAUUAAUUAAUUAAACAAUACAAAUAUCUAAAGUGAUUAGAUGUUUACUGACAAUACAAGUUCAUGGCUUGAAAUUUGAUCUCUAUCGAUUGGUUUUGUAGUGCUUAAUAUUUACAGAACUCCGGGAAUUUGAAAUCAAACUCGUAACUACAGAUUAUCUAAUUGUAAGUUUUUGUCCAUAGCUGCUGAUUUGUAGUGAUUAUCUAAUUGACUGAGGUGACAACAAUUGUUCUUUUAAUUUUCAAUAGCAUAAUGUGGAAUUCAAUAAUUAAAUUCUCCUUUUUAAUUUGUUUCCAAUUAAAUUAUUAAUUACUUAAACUCUAUUUUAAGUCUUUAAUUUUAUGUGUUUAUGCAGAAUUGGAUUCUUGAGCGUGUUGGACACGACCAACAAUGAAAUUGACAGUAAACAAACAUUACAACGCGUUGAGUGUCGACUCCGGUAGCUGCCCUACAAGUCUACAACUUUACAAAAAAUAAUUGAGUACACACAUUCGAUUCUCGGGACCCUUCAAUGAAUUUCUAACCCCGUUGACUCCACCGACAAAAGUUUUGGAAAAUAAAAAAAAAAUUUAUAGAAUUCCACCAAAUGCAAAACGCGUGGAAUUUAAUUUUCGGCCGUGUGGACCAAAACAUAAUUUAAUGAAAAAAAAGAAGAUAAAAUUUCUAAAAUGUGUGGAAAUUGAUCCAUAUUUUACUGAAACAACUUGUUAAAUUUUUCAAGGAUUUAGAAUAUUUGGUCAUAAAUUAUGCUCAUGUUAAUUUUUCCGCUAUUGACUAUCAUAUUCUAGACACAAUGGUACCUUUCUUGAUGAAGGGUACUUAGUCUCUCUUCUCCUCUUAUAAAAAUUAUAUUAAUUGAUUUCUUAUUAUAAUAAAUAGUCUUUAAGAACGUAUAGAUUUAUUGUUUUCGUGACCAAAUUAUGCCUGCCUAAGGUUGUGACUAUUAAUAAAAUUAAUAUUUAAUGUUUAUGUUAAAAGAUAUAAGAUUUUAUGCAUUCAUUAAUUGUUAUUAGCUAAAGGAUUAAUUAUUUUUUCAACCCAAUCUGUUGAUGCAUCUGCAAGAGUUUUUUCUUUUAUUGACCAUAAUUAUAUUCCGGGUACAAUAAAUUGUCUUUGGUGCUUGGAAAAUAUGACUUCUUACUUCAAGUUUGAUAUGUCUCUCUCCAUAAGCUUACUGGAAAUAUAUCCUCAUUUACUGUCAUUUAUCUAAUAUCAAUUGAAGAGCUCACUUUUUCAAACUAUCACUUCCAAGUCUCAUUGUCACUUGCCAUUCUUGGACCAUUCAAAACCAAACAAGUGUUGNNNNNNNNNNNNNNNNNNNNNNNNNNNNNNNNNNNNNNNNNNNNNNNNNNNNNNNNNNNNNNNNNNNNNNNNNNNNNNNNNNNNNNNNNNNNNNNNNNNNNNNNNNNNNNNNNNNNNNNNNNNNNNNNNNNNNNNNNNNNNNNNNNNNNNNNNNNNNNNNNNNNNNNNNNNNNNNNNNNNNNNNNNNNNNNNNNNNNNNNNNNNNNNNNNNNNNNNNNNNNNNNNNNNNNNNNNNNNNNNNNNNNNNNNNNNNNNNNNNNNNNNNNNNNNNNNNNNNNNNNNNNNNNNNNNNNNNNNNNNNNNNNNNNNNNNNNNNNNNNNNNNNNNNNNNNNNNNNNNNNNNNNNNNNNNNNNNNNNNNNNNNNNNNNNNNNNNNNNNNNNNNNNNNNNNNNNNNNNNNNNNNNNNNNNNNNNNNNNNNNNNNNNNNNNNNNNNNNNNNNNNNNNNNNNNNNNNNNNNNNNNNNNNNNNNNNNNNNNNNNNNNNNNNNNNNNNNNNNNNNNNNNNNNNNNNNNNNNNNNNNNNNNNNNNNNNNNNNNNNNNNNNNNNNNNNNNNNNNNNNNNNNNNNNNNNNNNNNNNNNNNNNNNNNNNNNNNNNNNNNNNNNNNNNNNNNNNNNNNNNNNNNNNNNNNNNNNNNNNNNNNNNNNNNNNNNNNNNNNNNNNNNNNNNNNNNNNNNNNNNNNNNNNNNNNNNNNNNNNNNNNNNNNNNNNNNNNNNNNNNNNNNNNNNNNNNNNNNNNNNNNNNNNNNNNNNNNNNNNNNNNNNNNNNNNNNNNNNNNNNNNNNNNNNNNNNNGUAUUUUACUUGGAAGAUAUGACAUCUCUCUGUCAACUUACUGGAAAUAUCUCCUCAUCUACUCUCUUUUAUCUAAUAUCAAUUGAAGAUCUCAUAUUUCCAAACUAUGACUUCCAAAUCUCUCAUUAUCAUUGAGCAUUCAAAACUAAUCAAGUGUGGAAAUAAUCAAAUAUAUGCAAAAAUCGAGUCACAAUCUUUGGCCCCUCAAAAUUCUAAUUAUAUAACUUCUAUAUAUCUCAUACAUUUUCCAAAUUCCUCUUCCAUCAACAUCAUUAGGAGUAUGUUCAUCUCUCACACAUUAACUUGAGUGGAGAGUUUCCAAAUUGAUUGUCAGAAAACAACAAAAGAACUAGACACGCUUGAUCUGUCUAAUAAUUCUCUUUCGGUAAAAUUAAUUAAUUUUAGGGGAAUUCAGCCAACCUCUGUAAUUUUAUAGUGAUCAUUAAUUAAUUAAACAAUACAAAUAUCUAAAGUGAUUAGAUGUUUACUGACAAUACAAGUUCAUGGCUUGAAAUUUGAUCUCUAUCGAUUGGUUUUGUAGUGCUUAAUAUUUACAGAACUCCGGGAAUUUGAAAUCAAACUCGUAACUACAGAUUAUCUAAUUGUAAGUUUUUGUCCAUAGCUGCUGAUUUGUAGUGAUUAUCUAAUUGACUGAGGUGACAACAAUUGUUCUUUUAAUUUUCAAUAGCAUAAUGUGGAAUUCAAUAAUUAAAUUCUCCUUUUUAAUUUGUUUCCAAUUAAAUUAUUAAUUACUUAAACUCUAUUUUAAGUCUUUAAUUUUAUGUGUUUAUGCAGAAUUGGAUUCUUGAGCGUGUUGGACACGACCAACAAUGAAAUUGACAGUAAACAAACAUUACAACGCGUUGAGUGUCGACUCCGGUAGCUGCCCUACAAGUCUACAACUUUACAAAAAAUAAUUGAGUACACACAUUCGAUUCUCGGGACCCUUCAAUGAAUUUCUAGCCCCGUUGACUCCACUGACAAAAGUUUUGGAAAAUAAAAAAAAAAUUCAUAGAAUUCCACCAAAUGCAAAACGCAUGGAAUUUAAUUUUCGGCCGUGUGGACCAAAACAUAAUUUAAUGAAAAAAAAAAGAUAAAUUUUCUAAAAUGUGUGGAAGGUGAUCCAUAUUUUAUUGAAACAACUUGUUAAAUUUUUUAAGGAUUUAGAAUAUUUGGUCAUAAAUUACGCUCAUGUUAAUUUUUCCGCUAUUGACUAUCAUAUUCUAGACUCACUGGUACCUUUCUUGAUGAAGGGUACUUAGUCUCUCUUCUACUCUUAUAAAAAUUAUAUUAAUUGAUUUCUUAUUAUAAUAAAUUGUCUUUAAGAACGUAUAGAUUUAUUGUUUUCGUGACCAAAUUAUGCUAGAUUAAGGUUGCGACUAUUAAUAAAAUUAAUAUUUAAUGUUUAUGUUAAAAGAUAUAAGAUUUUAUGCAUUCAUUAAUUGUUAUUAGCUAAAGGAUUAAUUAUUUUUUCAACCCAAUCAGUUGAUGCAUCUGCAAGAAUGUUUUCUUUUAUUGACCAUAAUUAUAUUCCGGGUACAAUAAAUUAUCUUUGGUGCUUGGAAAAUAUGACUUCUUACUUCAAGUUUGAUAUGUCUCUCUCCAUAAACUUACUGGAAAUAUAUCCUCAUCUAUUAUCAUUUAUCUAAUAUCAAUUGGAAGAUCGCACUUUUUCAAACUAUCACUUCCAAGUCUCAUUGUCACUUGGCCAUUCUUGGACCAUUCAGAACCAAUCAAGUGUUGAAAUAAGUCGAGAGGGGGGGCAAAAUUAGAGUCACAAUUUUUGGUCCCCCAAAUUCUAAUUAUAUAACUUCUAUAUAUUUCAUUGCCAGGUCACGAACUUGUUGGCACAUUUUCCAAAUUCCUCUUCCAUCAACUCUCACACGUUAACUUAAGUGGAAAGUUUCCAAGUUGAUUGCUAGAAAGCAACGCAAAAUCAGACACGCUUGACCUGUCCCCUAAUUCUCUUUUCUACGUUGAAAAAGAAAAAAAAAAUAUAUAUAUAUAUCUAUGUAAAAAUAAAUAAUAAACUGAAUAAAAGUACAUUUGUUUAAUUAACAUCUGAUCGUGGCAUUUUUGGUGUAAUUUCGUGCUGUGUAAGCCACAACUAAAAUCAAACAGCCCCUUAGCAUACUUCUUCCAUUUUAUCUGGUACUUUUGUGGAUCUUAUAGGGUGGGCAUGUGGACAGAAUUUAAAAGUUUUAAUAGUCUCAAAGAAUAAGAUAUGUUAAAGCUAAAGUUGUUGCACCUUCUAAUUAAAUAAAGUUGUACAAUUUCACCAACUUGGAAGAAUUGACAUUAAUGGACUGGUCCCUUCUCCAUAUAUGAAGCCUUCUUAAAAGUUAAUUUUUAUUUCAGAAAAAAAAAGUUAAAGUUACAUAUAUUAUAGUAAGAUUUUUUGAGACCAAUUCCCUUCUUGAAAUAAUAAUGGAAAAGUAUUAAUUUAAUAAUAAAAUGAAUAUGUAUUGAUUAUAUCUUGAUUUUCAUCGAUUAUAGUGAGAGUUUCUCCAAAUCAAUUCCCUUAUUCAAAUAAUAUCGAAAAAAUAGUAAUUUAAUAGUAAAAUAAACAGGUGUUGAUUAUAUAUUCUAAGUUUCAUCGAUUAUGUGAUCAAAGUGGCAUUGUUGAUUUAUUUCUUGUUCAAUGUUAAUUUUUAGGUUAUCUAAAUUUCAAGGAUUUAAAAUCUUUGAUCAUGGAUUACACGCUUGUUAAUUUUUCUGCCAUUGACUAUCAUAUUCUAGACUUAAUGAUACCUUUCUUGAUCAAGGGUAAUUACUCUCUCUUCUCCUCUUAUAAAUUCCUCUUCCAUUAACAUCACUAGGAGUAUGUUGAUCUCUUACAAAACAACAAAAGAACUAGACACACUUGAUCUGUCUAAUAAUUCUCUUUCGGUAAAAUUAAUUAAUUUUAGGGGAAUAUUCGACCAACCUCUGUAAUUUUAGAGUGAUCAUUAAUUAAUUAAACGAUACAAAUAUCUAAAGUGAUUAGAUGUUUGCUGACAAUGCAAGUUCAUGACUUGAAAUUUGAUCUCUAUCGAUUGGUUUACAAAUGGACAUACUUGUGCCUUUGUGGCGAUAAUCGAACAAGUUCCAAUGAUUAUUAUUUUUUCCAAAAACUUUUUUACAACAAAUUCAUCUCGCCAAAAAUUCUAUGUUGCUAGCUAACAAUAAUUGAGCACUUGGCCGCAUUGACUCCACGUCUCCACCUCUUUCUAAAUUCUAAGUAAAAACAUGGAAAUGUAAUUUCCACAAAAUGCCAAACGUGUGGAAUUUAAUUUUUUGCCUUGUGGAUCAAAAUACAAAUGAAAGAAACAGGAAAAAAAAAAAAGGCCCAAAGACUUCUAAAAGAUGAAGAAGUCUUUGGGCCUUUUUAUAAUGGUGGAUUUUUUAAAAGAAAAAAAUAACAACACUUUUAUGGUUGGUUUUGAUAAUCAUAUGUGCGUAUAUACUCUCUAAUUUUCAAAAUGGACACAUAAAUCUUUUUUUUUCACAAAAUAUAUAUUAUUCAUAUUUUUUAUUUUUUAUUAUCAUAUUUUUAUUUAUUAUAAAUGUUUAGAGUAAAUUUUUAGGUUGAAAUAUAAUAAAAGGGUAUAAUCGUUCUCUUAUUAAACACACAUACUUUUAUUAGUUUCUAUGCAUUUGUCAUCUCAAUCUCUCUCAAUUAUUCUUUAUUGCUAGCUCAAAACACGUUGCUGUUGCAAAUUAUAGCAAAAUGACAAAUAUGGAAAAAAAGGGAAGAAAAUUAAUGCAUGAAAGACUUGGAGAAAACAACAAAAUAAGCCAACUAUGAGCUAGUUGGGUGUAUAAAUUGUUAGAUGUGUUAUAUACAAAUAGCAUAGAGCCCUCUAGUUGGUUCUAGAGACAGAAAGAGCGUGUGUGUUUUUUCACAGUUAGAGAUAUAGUUAGAAUGGGUGGCUCAAAAUCAAAAAUGAUGAUAAUGUUUAUUAUGUUAUUAAUAAUAUUUAAAAGUGGGUGGAGUGAGGGAUGUUUGGAUCACGAGAGAUUUGCUCUUUUGCGACUCAAACAUUUCUUCACUGGUCCUUGUAAUUAUCUUUACGACUGGGUAGAUGGUGAGGGAGCUACUGAUUGUUGUCAGUGGGAAAGGGUUGAGUGCAGCAACACCACAGGCCGAGUGAUAACGCUAGACCUUUUUGACACGUAUGGGGGAGAGCACAACUGGUAUCUGAAUGCUUCUUUGUUUACUCCCUUCCAACAACUUGAGUCACUUGAUUUAACUUACAACAAAAUAACCGGUUGUGUUGAGAAUGAAGGUGCUUCGUUUAAUUUAAUUAAUUUACUUUCUCCCCCCUAAUUUAAGUUGAAUAUCAAGACCGAGCAAUUAUAUGCAUAUUCAUUCAGUUGACAAUUUUGACUUUUUUUUUAAAGAUUAAUUUUGAAAUUACACUAGUAUCUAUGAUCCUUUUUUUUUUUAUUUUACUUGCAGGUAUAGAGAGGCUAUCAAGAUUGAACAACUUGAAGAUGCUUAAUUUAAGUGAUAACUCGUUCAACAAUAGCAUUUUAUCAUCACUAACUCAUCUUUCAUCAUUAAGAUCAUUAAAUUUAUAUGGGAAUAGAUUAGAAGGAAGUAUUGACGUUAAAGGUACAUAAUUAAAACUUCAUCCCUUCUCCAAGCUCUUUCAUUAACUUGCUAAAAUAAGAUUCAAGGCUUUGAAUUCAAUUUUUUUUAUGAUUAGUAUUAAAAAAAAACAGUUUUAAGCAAUUUAUAAAUACAAGUUUUAAUCUUUCUCAUAAUUUCAUCUUGUACUUUCAUGUGUCUUGAAUUUAAGAUUAAAAAGAAAUCUAAUAGCAAACCAAACACCUCCACAACUUAUUAUUAUUAUUAUUAUUAUUUGCGGUGAGGUUUGAAACAUUCAACUCAAUUUGUACUUAUUACAGAAUUUGAUUCUUUGAGAGAUUUAGAGGAGCUAGACAUUGGCGAGAACAAGAUUGACAAAUUUGUGGUCUCAAAAGGUACUACAAAUACCAUAAAAAAAAAUGCUAACUUAUACAAAUUAGUUGGAUUCUUGGCCAUUUGGUUUAUUAUUUUACAGGUUUGAGUAAGUUGAAGUCUCUCUGUUUAAGUGGUAUCAAACUCAAUCGUAGCAUCUUCGCUUCUCUUUCUUCGUUAAGAGAAUUAGAUAUAAGUUAUACGGGAUUCAAAGGAACAUUUGAUGUUCGAGGUAAGUCUAAGCCUUGCUUUCUCAUUUUAUAUAUGCGAACUAGAUUUGUGUAUCAUCGACAUAAUUUAAUAUUUAAUUUAAUAAGUCUGAAGGUAUUACAUGCUAAUUUAAACAUACUUUUAUUUACUUUGUCAAUUAAUUAAUUAAUUAAUUAAUUACUAUUUGGCUUGGUUUGGACGAAAUUCUCAUGAUGUUUUAAUUUCUUUAAAUUAAUUAAUUAAUUAACUCUGUUUUUAAGUCUUAAGUCUGGGCAUGUUUGCAGAAUUUGAUUCCUUCAAUAACUUAGAAGUGUUGGACAUGGGAUACAAUGAAAUCGACAAUCUUGUGGUUCCUCAAGGUAAACAAUUAAAAUAUUAUUCAAUUACAUUAUUUUAAUUCAUUUGAUUAGAGAAGGCCAAAAAGGUCCCAAAAAAAUUAAUAAUAAAGAAACAGAUAAUUUGUAUUAUUUAAAAAAAACAGAAUGUAAUAAAGAUUUGAUUCCAGUUCUUUAAUCUUUAAAGCGAUUGAAAAACAAUGUUGCUCUUUUCCCAAAGUAUAAAAUACGAAUUGAAUGCCAAUUAACUUAAUCAUUCAUUUCGUUUAGCUCUAAAUUUAGACAAUGAAUUUUUAUAUUAUUUCAAAAACAGGACGUAAUAGAAUUUUUUUAAAAACAGAUUGUAAUGAAGAUUUGAUUCCAAUUUUUUAAUCUUUGCAGCGAUUGAAAAACCAUACCGCUCUUUUCCCAAAGCAUAAAAUACGAAUUGACUCCCAAUUAAAUUAAUCAUUUAUUUUGUUCAUCUCUGAAUUUAAAUAAUGAAUUUUGAUCUUCAAUCAUAUUCUAACUACUAUUAAAAAACAAGUUACAAAGGUUUGAGGAAGCUGAAAAGCCUUGAUCUAUCGGAAGUUGAAAUUAGAGAUGGAAGCAAGUUGUUACAGUCGAUGGGAUCAUUCCCAUCCCUCAACACUCUUUACCUGAAGGAUAAUAAUUUUACCGAUAUAGCGACAACUACUACUCAAGGUAAGUAAAAGGUACAGAUGUGGCCAAAUUUAUAAAUAAAUUGUUAAUUAAUUAAUUUUUCCGUAUUAUUAAUUAAGCUAAAUUCGUUGCUCCUUCCUUCUAAAUCUAAACAGAGUUGCACAAUUUCACCAACUUGGAAUAUUUGACAUUGACCGGUUCCUCUCUCCAUAUAAGCCUUCUGCAAAGCAUUGCAUCAAUAUUCCCUUUGUUAAAAAUUUUGCCGAUGAUUGGUUGUGAAGUCAAUGGCAUCCUACGUGGUCAAGGUAAAAGAAAAGCGUUGAAUGUGCACUCACUGAGUGUUGUCCUACGUGUUCAAUAUUUUCAUUUAUUCAUUUUAUUGUUUAAUGUUUCUGCUAGGUUUUACUCAUUUCAAGAGUUUGGAACAUUUGGACAUGGAUUACGCGCUCAUUGCACUCAACACCAGCUUUCUUCAAAUCAUCAGUGAAUCGAUGCCUUCUCUUAAGUACUUAUCACUAUCAAAUUCUACUCUUGGCACUAACAGCAGCAGGAUUCUUGAUCAAGGUUAAUCAGAUGCUCCCACCCCCCUUCUUAAUCUAUAAUAUUAAUUUUCAAUUAAAUAUUUAAUUACACAAACGAAUCACUUAUUAUAAAAGAAUAAUACGCAUUCAUUAAUUUUUAUAUUGUAUUAAUUGAUGAAUUUAAUAAAUUUUCAGGCCUCUGUUCGUUGAUGCAUCUGCAAGAGUUGUACAUUGAUAAUAAUGAUUUAAGAGGUAGCUUGCCUUGGUGCAUGGCAAAUAUGACAUCCCUCCGAUUAUUAGAUGUUUCUUCCAAUCAACUUACGGGAAGCAUCUCCUCAUCUCCCCUCGUUCAUUUGACAUCCAUUGAAGAGUUGAUGCUUUCAAACAAUCACUUCCAGAUCCCAAUUUCACUUGAACCACUUUUCAAUCACUCAAGACUCAAGAUUUUCAAUGCUUAUAACAAUGAAAUAAAAGCUAAAAUAACUGAGUCACAUUCUUUGAUCGCCCCAAAAUUCCAAUUAAAUACACUCUUGUUGUCUUCCAGUUACGGAGACAGUUUCAUAUUCCCCAAAUUCAUUUACCAUCAACAUGACCUGGCGUAUGUUGAUCUCUCACACAUAAAGAUGAAUGGAGAAUUUCCAACUUGGUUGUUGGAAAACAACACAAAAUUGAGCCAACUUUCUGUCGUCAAUGAUUCUCUUGCAGGACCUUUUCGGUUGCCAAUUCAUUCACACAAGCAGUUAAGACUGUUGGAUAUAUCCACCAACAACAUCCGAGGCCACAUUCCAGUAGAAAUUGGAGAUGUUUUGCCACGUUUAUACGUUUUCAACAAUUCCAUGAAUGCUCUAGACGGUAGCAUUCCCUCUUCAUUUGGUAAUAUGAAAUUCCUCCAAAUUCUGGACUUAUCCAACAAUCACUUGACUGGUGAAAUCCCCGAGCACUUGGCCGUGGGUUGCGUCAACUUGCAGGCUCUUGCAUUAUCAAAUAACAACCUACAAGGUUACAUGUUCUCUAGAAAUUUUAACUUGACAAACUUGAGAUGGUUACAAUUGGAGGGCAAUCGAUUCGUAGGUGAGAUCCCACAAAGUUUGUCUAAAUGCUCCUCACUAGAAGGAUUGUAUAUUAACAAUAAUAGUCUUUCGGGUAAGAUUCCACGAUGGUUGGGUAAUCUCACAUGGUUACAAUAUAUUAUAAUGCCCAAUAAUCAUCUUGAAGGCCUUAUUCCAGUGGAGUUUUGUCAGCUUGAUUCGCUUCAGAUUUUGGACAUUUCAGACAACAACAUAUCUGGAAGUUUACCAUCUUGUUUCCAUCCUCUCUCUAUCAAACAAGUUCAUCUUUCAAAAAAUAUGUUACAUGGACAACUAAAAAGAGGUACAUUCUUUAAUUGCUCUUCCCUUGUGACAUUAGAUCUUAGCUAUAACCGCUUGAAUGGCAACAUUCUGGAUUGGGUUGAUGGGCUUUCUCGGUUAAGCCACCUGAUCUUAGGUCACAAUAAUCUUGAAGGUGAAGUGCCAGUUCAAUUGUGCGAAUUGAACCAACUACAAUUGUUAGAUCUUUCUAAUAAUAAUCUUCACGGUCCUAUUCCUCCUUGCUUUGAUAACACCACACUUCAUGAAAGUUACAGCAAUAGUUCUAGUCCUGAUGAGCAAUUUGAAAUAUUUUUUUCCAUCGAAAGCCCUGUGGGAGAUGUAAAAGAGCAAAUCCAUGAAAUUUUUGAGUUAACAACAAAGAACAUUGCGUACAUUUACCAAGGAAAAGUGUUUAGCCUCCUAUCAGGACUUGAUCUUUCUUGCAACAAGCUAAUCGGUCAUAUUCCUCCUCAAAUUGGAAAUUUGACAAGGAUUCAAACAUUGAAUCUAUCGCACCAUAACUUGACAGGAUCGAUCCCAUCAACAUUUUCAAACUUGAAGCAUGUCGAAAGUUUGGAUCUUUCCAACAACAAAUUGAAUGGAAAAAUCCCUUAUCAACUAGUGGAGUUAAAGACAUUGGAGGUUUUCAGUGUGGCAUACAAUAACUUAUCAGGCGAAAUUCCAGAAUGGAAAGCACAAUUUGCAACCUUCAACGAGAGUAGCUAUGAGGGAAAUACUUUUCUUUGUGGACUGCCAUUGCCCAUUUGCAGAUCACCAGCAACUACGCCGGAGGGUUCAAUCGGCAAUGAACGAGAUGAUAAUUUAAUUGACAUGGACAGUUUCUUUAUCACAUUUACAACAUCGUACGUAAUUGUGAUAUUCGGAAUUGUUAUUGUUUUAUAUGUAAAUUCUUAUUGGCGACGUAAAUGGUUUUACUUUGUUGAAAUGUGGAUAACUUCAUGUUAUUAUUUUAUUGUAGACAAUCUUAUUACAACAAGAUAUUGUCAUUGAAAUUAAUUAGCAGUUUAAUUACGAUUCUUUAAGUUCUAAUCAAGUUUGCACUUGAUCGCCUAUUUUACUUUAAAAAAUAAUGAUUAUGGUGCUAUCAUCAUCUUCUUCACUAGCAACAUUAACACCAAAUCCAGCGAUGGACCCAGACAUUUUAUCAAGAUAUCCACCAUAACUUAUACUUCCCUAUACUGUGCAGCCUACUUAAAUAAGAGAACCAUCUCCAAUGUUAAAACCAGCCACUCUAUAACAUUCAUUUAGAAACUAUAUUUAGAACUCUCCAAUCCACCCACCAGAAUUUCAUAUCUCCUCAACAAUUUUAAGAACUAAAGAUAAUUAGGAUAUAACAUUAGUUUUUUAUAUAUUAGUUUCAUAAUUUACAAAUCAAUGAAGAUGAAGAUUAUGUUAAUGAAUUCAAAUUAUACCAUACAUUCUCGAGAUGCUACCAAAAAUUUCUAAGUCAAUCCCACAUAUUUCAUAAUUUUAAGACUAGAAAAUUUCAUUAGGUAGAAGUUUCAUUACCUUCAAGUGGAAGAUGAAGAACAUUAUACAAUUGAUUCAGAUUAUAUCAUACAUACUCCAAAUGCAACUAGAAAUUAACAAGUUCAUGCGCACAGAUUUCAUAACAUUAUGAAUGGAAAGUUUCACAAAGAGAAAUUAUAAAUUCAAUCUCUUGCAUCAAGGUAGUUUGAUUGAUUUGAGUUACUUUCUGAUCAAGCUAUUAAUAUAACAUUCAAGUCAGGGAGAAAGUAAAUUAAAACUGGGAAGAAAUAACAGUAAAAAUUUGUUGCUAAACAUGAUGUGUAUUUUUUUUUUAAGGCAAUUUGGAAACACAGUUGUUACUACAGAUAUUCUCCUCAACUUAGAGAUAAUACAAAUAUUAAAAUGCAUAUGAUCGCACAUAUUACUUUGGAAGCUUAGUAAGAUUUCAUUAAGAGAAGCAAAUCAAACCACUUAUUUCAUUGUUGCAUCGUUCUAUAAGCUAAAAUAGCAAUAUAAUACAAGAAAAAGAACAUAUAGAUACUUGGCAAGAGUUCAUUAAGAAGUCGCAUCACAUUCGGGUGAGUUUGCUUCUGAUAUCUUGCUAGCUGGGGCUUUUUCUUGUCUUUCUAUGUAUGCCGAGGGAAACCAACCAGCUUGGCCCUUGCAUUCACCUUCCGACCAUCCAGUAGGAGCCACCUUGAGAAGUUAUAACUAAAACAGUGAAUUAAACAACAGUUGACCAUUCAAAGACCUAAGGGGAAAACUAAUUCUUUUACGUAGGAAGAGUGAAUUAAUUCUGAUCACUGAAAUAACAGCAUAACUAUGGAAGCCUAAAAAGAUAUAAAUUCACACGUCUAUAAGGGUAAACUGGGUGGUUUAGAACUGAGCUAGCAACCCUACCAUAUUCUGAUUUGCACUUCAAUGUAAAAGGGAAUAUAUGGUAUGAAGAAAGAAAACCAACCAUCAUUUGUUAACCCAUUGCUUUUCAAUCAAAAUUUUAAGAACAAAAUGCCAUGUGCUUUGAACAUCAAAUAAGUAUAAGCAUUAGUUCUAAAUUCCACAUAUCAUAAGUUAGAAGGAUAAGUUAAUAGCAUAGUAGAAAAAUCUGUGUUGUUAUUUAGAGGGGAAAGUACCUGGCGAACCACAACAUAAUCAUCAAUUGAAAGACUUAACUCUCCAUUUGCUUGAGCAUCAAAUGGAUGUAUAACCUGCAAGAUAAUGGGAUAAAUAGAACUUAAUCUCAAAAAAAGCAUAACAAAAGCAGCAACAGUAUCAGCAGCGUUCAUUGUAACCACUAUGAUCAUGGCCAACAAAGAUAUAUUAGAAACAAAAUUCCAUUUUUACUACGGCAUUAAUAUGCACUAUAUGAUAUCAUGACGAUUGGGUUACCAAGAGCUAUCAAAGUCCAAUAAAUUCUGUAUAACUUUAUGUAGUUAUUCAAAUUAUGGAUCAGAUUUUAAAUCUGAAAUUUUGACUGCUCUCCACAAAACAUGGCCUAUGCACAAGAAGGUCAUAGAUAAUGAGGAUUACAAGUGUUUGACAUCUUUAGAGUGAUGGAUUUAAGAUGACAGCUUAUGGUCAGUCAAUUUCCUCCGCCUAGCAAUAUAAGCUUUCUCGGCCGGAUUUAUCAUCAAAUAUAUAGAUUGCCCCCAAGUCACAUCCAUAUAAACAUAGUUUUUCUAGGUAAACCAAGUAAGGAGAAUCAUAAUUCAGACAUAAUCAUAAAAAGGCCCAUCUAACUUAAGAGAAAAUCUCAAAAAGAGGAAUGUUGAGCUAUCAUUCUUGUAUCUAUAAGCAAUAUCAAGACUUUACAUCACCUGCUACAUCGUGAGUGGCUACACAACUUUCAGUGGUUUGUCUUUCUUUGGCAUGCCUAACUCAGCUUUGAUGUUGCUGAGAUAUUGAUGGUAGAGACACAUGAUACUUCUAGCUCAUGCAUUCUAUCUAGCUCAUUCGACAGCUAUCUCUUUUUUAAUUCAUUAGUGUUUGCUAAACCUCAUGCUUAAAAAUCAUGCUGUUCUAAACAAAGUUUCCUAAGAAUGACUUCCUCAGCACCACACUUAGACACUUUUAGAGCAAUUUUAUUUGGGGGAAAAGAAUUUUCAAGGUGUUAACUAAUAAAUUUUAAAAAAUAAUUACAAUUUGUCCUACGAUUAUAUGACAAUUUAUCUAGGAUGAAAGGAUACAGACAGACAUCUUCCACUUUCAAGACUAAUCACUACUUCCGUAGAUGUUUUGCAAUAACACAAAUACUUGACCAGAUGGUAGUGAUGGUAGAAAAUAUUUUAUUGCUCCAAAAUUAAAAUAAGAAUGCAAUAUGUUAAGCAAAAGACUGUGCAACAUCAAAUUAAUUGAUAAGUUUGUAAUUCAGUAAAUUAACAACUUUCAUGGUAAAAUACAACAAAUUUCUUUUCAAAAAAUUUUUUUAAAAGACAGCAUUCAAUUUUGUGCGCAUCUUAUUUCUUAAGAUUUUCCAGGAGGGCAAUAGAGGGACUUUCACCUAUGCAAGAGAGCAGAAGCCUUACUUUCGCUAUAAAGUAGACGUCAUUCUGAUUAAUAUGCGUUUGCAAAUCAACUCCAUUUGAAUCAGUAUUCUGAUAGACACAUGAGGCAUUUACAUCCAUUUCCAAAGUCACAUGUUGCGAGGAGGACUCAUUUGAUUGCUCCUCUAGGAUCAUCUAAUUCAAGUAGCAAGGGUUGGAAGAGAAUAAAAAGUCACAAUUAUUCUUUUGCAUAAGUGAGACGAAAAUGAUAAAUGCACUAUUAUCAGCAGUAAACAAGAAGAGAACACUCCAAGGAAUAGAUAGAUGCGGACAAGCAAGUUAAAAUGCACAGUUCCAAACCUCCGCAUACAACUUCUCUGAAAUAGCAAUAACGUGUUGAUGAUAUGUUUUCUCAGCAUCUACCUUUAAAGGCCCGAGACCAGGAAAACAACAAUAAAACCACUAGCUAAAGGAGAAAGUAAAGAAAGAAAUACACUUGACAUAAAUCUUGACAAGAAGCACAAUUUAAGACAUAACAAACCCCAAUCAUAUUGUUUAGGACUACCAUUCGUUAUUUCGUUAUUGUAGCAUUUAGAACAAGUGUUGACUUAAUUCAACAUUGUUGGAAAGAUAGGCUUUUAGAAGCGGAAGAAAGCCACUCAAACCAAAGUGAUUGCCCUUGAAUUGAUCAAGGGAUGUAAACAUAUUACAUUUCCAGGAUGAGUUUUAAUCACUCCCCUGAUUUAUUUGGGUUGCAGUAAAACUAAGCGAGCAACUGUUUGACUUUCAAGCAACAUCUAAAUCAGCUAUUAAAAUUCAAAUAAAAUCAUAAUAGAAUAAUAACAGGCCAUCUUGCAUCAAAAAUUAAGUUUAAUUUGUGAAUUGUUUUCUAUAGACAUGUUAGUUCCUGCUAUUGAAAUGUUAAAAGCAUUGAAAAAUGAUUCAAUAAAUUAUGCAAACAUUAAAAUAGAGGACAUAUUAAAAAGUUUCUAAUUACAAUGUUAAGAUUUCCUAUAUUUUAGCAUUUGCAUAUUUUAAUUUAUGUAAAAGCUACGUCGAUCAACUUUGGGCGUGAAGAUUUUAGCUUCUACGAGACUUGAUUGGAAUAUGCAUAAGGAAGAGUGUUAAAAUAUGAUGCAUCCAACGAAAGACAAACCACGUGUAGUCUUUUAAUUAAGCCAAAGUAGCAGCUCAAACAAAUGACACUUGGACCAACAUGCAAUCAUGAAGGGGCCGGAAAAAGGACAAAUGCAACUUUGGCUUAAAUAAAAAAUAACAUGUGACUUGACUUUUGCUGGACAUGCAUCAUGUUAUUACAAGACAACAGAAAUCAGUAUGAUAGUACUAAAAGUUGACAAUAACAUGAAGAUAAGAGGCAGAAUAUCAACACAUGCAUAGGCACACACAAGGAAGUAUUAACUUAUAUACCAUAGCAAAAAGUCUUUGAAAUAUCAAUAAAAAAAAAACAAUUAAUUAAAGGUCGAAGAUGGGUCCUUUACAUAUGUUUUUGUUUUCGUAUUAGGUAGGAGGUUAUUAUAUUAUAUCAUGUAAUUAAUUUAUAUUAUAUCAUAUUAUAUCAUAUAUAUAUGAAAAAAAAAAAGAAUUUCAAAGAGAUAGCAACAUACAAUAGACUGAAGCCAUUUGAUCUACUCAUUGAUUUCAGCCUUAAACUUGUAAAUACUUACUGUACGCUAGUGCUCUAAGAAGUGAAAAUGAUGCAAACCCUGAUCCCCUUUUGACUUCCAUUUACUGUCAAAUAUUCUAUUCAUACGAAAAAAAUGUUUAGAUAUCUUACUAUAAAUAUAGCCGUUUGACUGUCUUAAUAAAGUCACACACAACCAUUCUUAUUAAAUUAGCAAGAUCAAACACUGCCCUGGAUCUUGAACAGAUCCACGCAAGUUGCACAACUUACGAUUGAAUCCGGCCAGAAAAAAUCAACUCUUUAGCAAGAAAAAUUAAUCAGAGUCAAGAAACAAGUUUAAUGAAUAUAAACCUAUAAUUGAAACAAACAUAGCCAAGAAACAAAUAGAGAUUUUACAUGUUUCAGUUGUACCAAGGAUGGCACAACCUACACCACGGGAGAAGCUUUCUGGUGACCCCAAUCUGCUUAGUUAAUAAUAGAGAUUUCAGAGAAUAAGCUAUAACCCUCUCUCCCUCUUCAGUCUCUCUCUAUUUUGUUCCCAUUGAUGACCCCAAUCUGCUUAGUUAUCCAGCUUUAUAGCUGCAUCAGUAACAAACCAGCAAACCCAGAUUGAGCAGAUUGACGACACGUGGAUAACGGCUUUAACGAACCUGGUUAAGAACUGCUCACAUGUUCGUCACGCGUGCUGCUUAAAUGAUGGCCAAAACGACUUCAAACAAAUGUCGUUUUGAGGCUUAUGAAUUACAAGUGAUAACACGAGCUUGUCUCAUGACUUUUAAAUGCAACAACGUGCCCACAACGCCGUCGUUUUACUCUGUUGAGUUUGAUUCAUUACUAAGCUUUACGACUGGCAAUGGAGAAGAUGAUAAUUUAAUUGAUACGGACAGUUUUUAUAUCACUUUUACAACAUCCUAUGCAAUUGUAAUAUUGAGAAUUAUUGAUGUUUUAUAUCCUCAUUGGCAAAAACUAGUGGUUUUAUCUUUGUUGAAAUAUAGAUGACCUCUCGUUACUGUUUUAUUAUAAACAUAUAGUUUCAUAAGUGAAACUAUAUGUUUAUAAUAAAAUUAACAUAUAGUUUCGUUACAUUUCUGCCUCAUUAAGAUUCUCAAAUACCAGUCAGGUUUGCUUAAGAAAUAAAAAUUUUCCAUUAAAAUUGCAGUAGUAUUUCCAAGCAUAUCGCAUUUUCUAUGAUUUUUCAUAAAUUAAUUAAUCUGCGGUGCCAAUAUCAGAUUUAGUUUUUCAAACUAAAUAAUCAAGAAAGCAAACAUACAAAUAUACAUACAAAUAUACUAAGCCAGCUACCUCACUAAAUUCCGAUUCGUACAGUGAACUGCAAGAAAUUGAGAAAACAAUGUAUUUAUAAUUUAAUAGAAUCAUAAGAAAACAAUGUAGUCAUUGCUUAAUAUAAGAUGAUUUCGGAGAGCCACAUUGUUUUCAAGUUAAUUUGAACCGUUUAUAAGAGAUGAAGUGGAAUCAAGUUGAAAGUUUAAAUAACAAAUCCCUGUUCUUGAGUUUUACGACGUCGUUACUCCUUCAAGUGGCAGAUUAUGCAAGUGAAUGCAGAAACAUGUGCAGAGCAUGUCAACAUGGCACAUUUAACCAUCAUUCAAGUGAUGAUGGGUUUUAUAAGACUGCUUAUGGGUUUUAUCAAGUUCCUCUGCCUCUAAGCAAAAAAUUAAAUUCGUAAUUUGUAAACGAAUUUUCCUGACAUGUAUAGUAAAUGAAGUUGUUGAUCCUUUCUUUGGAUUAUUGCAGCUCUGGUUGUGGGUCACCGAUGAGCCAAAGUCUUAUGGGUUUUAUCAAGUUCCUCUGCCUCUAAGCAGAAUUACUAUUGAAGGGCCAAAAAGAAAAUGAAAACGUGUGAACUCCAACAACCACCCCACAAAUUCAAUGACGAUGCUCAGAGACGGUUACGUUGGGCCUCUGAGAAAAAAAAUUUAUUUAGUUAAAAAAUUACCCAUAUUGAAACAUGUAUAAAAAUUUUAUAUUAAUUAGUUAUGUUUCCUCUUCAACUAUGAUCAAAUUCUUAUUCGAGCUCAUUAUUUAAUGAAUAAACGCGUAUUUUAAUUAUCUCAAUUAAUAUUUAGAACAAAUAUUUUAAGAAAUAAAGCUCAUUACAUCUCCCAUCAUUAGGUAUCUCUUUAAUUUCUUAUUUACAAAAUUAUAUUGUACAUUAAAAAUGUAUUGAAUUAGAAGAAAAUAAAUUCAACUCACUCCAAAAAUAAAUAAAAAAUGCUGGUAGCUUCGUAAUAAUUACUGUAUUGACUGCACCAGAUAAAGUUUUGUAAAAUAAUAAGUUCCCAUUAGAGGUUUUUAAAUUUUUUUUUCCGGCACACCUGAUCAAGAAUUCUAUUUUGUUAACUAAUCAAUUGCAAAGCAUAAGUGUUGAACGGUACAAAAAAUUUGAAAAAAACACUUAAAACGUGGGGUGGGUAACGGUUCACUCAAUUCGUUAGGUAGAAUUUUGGAAAACUAAAGCGAAAUGAGAAAUAUAGAAAGAAAGGAAGAAAGUUAAGAUAUGAAAGAUCAGCAGUGAAAUUGAUAGUCAUGUUUGAUUCAUCCUUCUAUGAAUUUCUAGCUGUAUUGACCCCAACUGCUAAAGUUUUGUAAAAUAAAAAAAAAAAAAAACUGGAAUUUCAACAAAAUUCAAAACGUGUGAAAUUUAAUUUUUGGCCAUGUGGAACAAAAUGUAAAUUAAGGAAAAAAAGUAUAAAUCUGAAUUGCUUAGUAUGGUUAGGAUUUUGUGAGCAUCACUAAAAAGUGAAAACUAUGAAUGAUAGAGGUGAUGUUUGCAACAUGAAUAAAUGAUGAACUGAAUCAAUUGAUGAUCGUAAUUAUAUAAAAUUUUACAAAAUCAACAAAAGUUAAUAAAAUUUUAUUUAAAUAAUAAAAAAUCAAUAAAAACUUAUUAUUUUACGACGCUCUAACCAUGGAGUACCAUAAUCAUAUUCUUCUUUUAAGAAAAUUAUUCUAGAUAUUUAAAAGAAAACAUUAUCCACCUGGAAUGACUUGAAGUCUAAAGAAAAAGAGAGAAUGGCUCCCCGCAAUUUUCUUGUCUUCAGUAUAUUUUCUUUUUUUUUUCUUUUUUAAAAUCUUUUGCCGCAUACUUAAUCUACCCUUGUUUAUUAUCUCUACUUUGCUCUGUUCAAGUCCUUUUUUUUUUCAAAUCUUAUUUUAAAUAAGAAAAUUGAAUAAAAGUACAUUUGUGUAAUUAAUUAGUAUCUGGGGGGGGGGGGGGGGGAUAUUUGGUGUAAUGUUUUGCUAUGUAAGACUCAGCUAUUAUUAAACAGUUCCUUAACCUGUUUCGCAGUUUAUUUGCUAUCUUUGUGGAUCUCAUAGGCGUUGCAGAAUUUAAUAAUUUUAUUCGUCAGAAGAAUAGGAUAUUGGCUUCAAUAAAUUUAAUUUAAACCAACUUUUAUUUACUCCAUCAAUUAAUUAAUAUUAUGCAUUUAUUAAUUGUUAUAAUCUAAAAAAAAUUAAUUAGUUCAGGUCAAUCUGAGUUGAUGCAUCUGCAGGAGAUUUUUUUUAAAUUUUUUUUUCCCCUUAUUGACCAUAAUGAUCUAAGGGGUAUAAUUCGACCUUGGUUCUUGGGAAAAAUGACAUCUCCUUCAACAUGACUAUUGACUAGGAGCAUGUAAAAACAUGGAAACAGAAUUUCCACAAAAUGCCAAACGUGUGGAACUUAAGUUUUGGCCAUGUGGACCAAAUGCAAAUGAAGGAAAAAUGAUUUCCCCUGCUUAUGUACAAAUAAAGGAACAACCUCGAAGAAAAAGGGGUUACCAAUUGGAGAAGACUUUACAGAGUUUCUCUCACACUCUCUCUGUCAAUUUCAUCUAGAAGUCCCUCUGAAAGCAUCUCCCAAAACAGUUAGUCAUCUUUUAUGCUCUGUUUUCUAGAAACAGAGUCCUAACUAAAUUGAUUGACUGUACAGUGCAUUUCAACAUAGCAUAUUUAACCGUUUUAACUGUUAUUUGAACCGUCUUCAGAGUUAACAUCAACAAACUCAUUCACAUUGGUCCAAUCUUACGGACGAUAUCAUAUGCUUAAUAAUGAACGAAUUGGAUCAGUGUUUUGCGGCAAGAGCAACUCGACACAAUCUGGAUUCAACCUCCUCCUAUCUAACAAGGGAUUUCGAUUUGAGUUACUUUGUGCUCAAGCAAAUUCACAUCAUAGUUUUGAUUCUUUAGAUAUGAAUUCAUCACUUUACAUAUAUCAGAUUAAUGUGUAACAAAAUUUUUAAUUUACUGCGAAAAGAAUAUGCACUAAAAAAUGAUUUCAAGACUAUUUGACUACCAAAAGCAGCUGUCAGAGUGCACUAAAAAUUUCUGUAGGAUAUUUUGUAGCUGUUUAAUAUGUUAUGAUGGGCAUAUAAUUCUCAAAUUUUGAUGCCUCUCAGCGAAAAUCUAUCAAAGUUACAGAUGAUAUCACGUAAAACAUGCAUGGCUCAGGCUCAGGCUCAGGUAAGAAGCCACGGAAAAGGAAAAUCUCACUGUCACGACUCACGUCACGCAUCAUUCAAGUGAUGGAUUUAACAAGACUGCUUAUGUUCUAUCAAAUUCCUCUGCCUCUCAGAAGAUAACUUUUCUGGGCCAAAUUUCUCAUCUAAAGCAUAUUAUGCCCCAAAGUCACAGAUAACAAAAUGGGGCACUACCGAUUAUGAAAGAGAACUAGUAGUUGUCAGAAGCCUAAGUCAAAUUCCGGUAGUAAGAAGAGGCCUUUCUUGAGUUUAGAUUAUGUGUUCGAGUUUUAAUAAAUGCCUGAGUUAAUAAUAAUAACAACAGUAAUAAUAAACUAAAAAGCAUAAUUACUAUUGAAUGGUAAAAAAAAAAAAAUUGUGUGAACUCCAAUAACACCCCAGUGGCGAAUUUUGGAGAGGGCUAGGCCGGGCUUCUUAGAAAAAAAAAAUAUUUAAUUACAAAAUUACCUUUAUUGAAACCUAUAUAAAAAAUUUAUAUUAAUUAGUUAUGAUGCCUCUUCAAUUAUCAUUAAAUUCUUGUCUGUUCAUCAUUUGAUGGAUAAAUGUGUAUUUAAAUAAUCUUAAAUAAUGUCUAGAACAAAUAUUUUGAAUGGUAAAACUCAUUAUGUCUUGCAUUACUAGAUGUAUCUAUAAUUUAUUAUUUACAAAUUAUAUUGUAUGAUAAAAAUGUAUUGAAUUUUUUUUUUAAAGUUCGGCUCACUCAGAAAAAAAAAUGUUAUUAGACUCGCCACUGCACAAACCUAGAAUAAUAAUUAUUCCUUAUUAUAUUGACUGCACCAGGCAAUAAACUAAUAAGUUCUCAUCAGUGGUUUUUAAUCUUUUUAAUUCUUUUUACCGCACACCUGAUCAAGAAUUCUAUUUUGUUAACUAAUCAAUUGCAAAGCAUAUAUUAGUGUUGAACGGUGCACAAAAUUGAAAAAACAAAAUCUUAAAAAACGUGCGGACUCGGAUAGCCAGACCAGAAAUCUAUGACAAUAAUUAGAUUUGAUGCUGGGAAUCUAUUAAUUUCUGGCCGUAUUGACUCCACCAGUGAAGUUUUUAAAAUAACAAGUUCCCAUUCUCGGCUUAUAAUAAUUUUAGAAUAAUGACUUAUUUGUAGAAGAAUUUAUGAUUUCCCAUUAAUAUCAAUAUUGAAGUGGCAUGGGUCAAAUCUCAAUUGCUUGAAGAAUCUAUUUAUUAUUAUUAUUAAUAUUGAAAUGGGGUGGGUAACGGUUCACUCAAUUAAUAUGUGGGGAAUUAAAUAUUACCACCCAAGGUAGAAUUGUGGAAAAUUAAAGCAAAAUGAGAAAUAUGGAAAGGAAGGCUGAAAGUAAGGCAUGAUGAAAGGCUUUGAGAAGGCUGAAGACCACCAAAUAAGUCAACUGAAAGCUAGUUGGGGCCUGGUAUAUAUGUUAGAUGUGUUUGUUAUAAAUAACAUAGAGCCCUUUUGUUAGCUAUAGCUAUGGAGACAGAGAGAGUUUGUGUUUUUUAGUAGUUAAAGAUAUAGCUAGAAUGGGUGGUUCAAAAUCCAAAAUGGUGACAACGUUAGUUUUGUUAUUAAUAAUAUUAGAAGGGGGUGAAGUGAGGAAUGUUUGGAGCUUGAGAGAUUUGCUCUUUUGCGGCUUAAGCAUUUCUUCAAUUCUCCUUAUAGACUUUAAAACUAGGUAGACGAGCAAAGAGAUUGUUGUCAGUGGGAAACCGUUGAGUGCAGGAAAGUGAUACGACUACAUCUUAGUCUUACCAGGAAUAUCGAUCUGGGAGAGUGGUCUCUGAAUGCUUCUCUAUUUACUCUCUUUCAACAACUUGGCAACAAAAUAGCCGGUUGGGUUAAGAACGAAGGUCCUUCAUUUAAUUUAAUUUACUUAAUUUCUCCCUCUUAAUUAAUGUCUAUAACCAUUAGGAGAAAUAAGGGAUUUUAUUAACUCAAAUAUGUCUAAUGGAGCUCAUUCUUUGGUUUUACUUGCAGGUCUAGAAGCAGGUGUGUCAUCUAACAGCUGCUUUGAUAAUUUCCCACACCUUCAUCUUUGAUGGAAAUAUGAAAUAAAAACAAAUUGGUGAAAAUGGUAUUGGUACCUGAGGCCAUGUAAUCUAUUUCAAAAACUACACCAUCAAAACGAUUACAUAAGUCUCAGAAGAAUCAAACAUCAGUUUUGCAAAAUACCAAUUGCUGGAGGCUAGAUUCUAACUUCCCCUCUUGAUUUUUAUGGGCAUGUUGUGUCGUACAUGCAGACAAAAAUCAUAUUUUACUUUACUUAUUUCUUACUUUCACUUGCAACCCAAAGUGGCAAGAAAUAAAUAACAUGCUCCGAUUAGCUGGACAAAAGGAUGAUGACAAUCGAGUCGAUAUUAUAUGCAGAGUUUUCGAGAUAAAAUUAUUCCAACUAAUGCAAGAUCUGAAAAAAGAUCAACCAUUUGGAAAAAUAAUUGCAUGUAAGUUCACUUCAAAUUCGUAUACAUAACAAAUUCAACUCAUUUGUUAUUGAAAAGUGCAGGGAAGAACAAUAAUUUCACAAUUGAAAUCAAUGUUUCUAACUUUUAAAUUUUACUCCAUUUUGUGGCAGGUCUAUAGACAAUUGAGUUUCAAAAAAGAGGCUUGCUGUUGUGCAAAUUUUAAUGUACUCGCAAGCGCACGAAUCUAUUGUAGUAUAGAUCAAUGGUGACGAGUGUCGAUCCCACGAGGAGGUGGAUUUUAAUUGUGUAGAAUUAAUUUUGUGAAUGGGUGAUUGGAUUUUGUGGUGAAGGUGACUUAGAUUAUCCUAAAAUUGGAAUUGAAAUGGCGAGAAUAACUUGAAGAGAAUUCUAUUGAAAUGACGUACUUGGGUAUCUGGAUCCGUAUCAACAUGCAUCAUGGGCUAAAUAAUCUGUAUUAAUGCCAAUUAAAUCAUGAGGGGGGAAUCCACACUUCAUGAACCACGCUCUAAUCAAUAUGGUGCUAAGGGCUUAUCGUGCCAAAUAAUAAUAACCUUGUACUAGAGGGCCGGUGAAACCAAGGCGGUACUAGACAAGAUUAGUAUUAUUUAUCGACGAGAAGUCAAAACAUCCACAAAAACUAGAGGGGAAGAGAAAAUAAAUUUACCAAAUUAAGCCCAUGACACAUGUUGAGACUUCACCUUCAACCCAAGCUUGAAAGAAAAUUAGCCACUCAUAAUUGAACUAGGGGUAAAAUGGGAAUUUAUUACAAUACGAAGAAAAUACAAGAUGGAGAGGGAAUUACAGAAAACAGAGUCCAAAAAUGGAUUCAGAGGUAUCAAAUUAGGGGGGGGGAGGCCCCCUUUUUAUAGAUACAUGGAGUAAAUCAUGGCCAUCGGAUUAAAAACAGUUUGGACGCUCAGGAUUGCGCCACGUCAUCAGUCAACAGUCCACGGUUUGACCACGCGGAUGAACAGUAAUACGGUUUGACUCGGAUGAACAGUAACGUGGUUUGACUCGGAUGAACAGUAACGCAGUUUGGUUGAAAAUAAUCCUGUGUGAUGCAUGUACCGUACGCGAGAUUUUUCAUCCACUGAUAUGCUGCCACGUCACCAUCAACAGUACAUAAGAAUUUUAGCCCAACAGGAUCGUGACACCUCAUCAGUCAAUGCCACAUCAUCGGUCAAUGCCAUGUCAUCGAUCCGUCUAUGUGAACAGUGUUGUGAACAGUAACGUAGAUAGUACCGUACACGUGAAUAGUACCGUACAUAUGAAUAGUGCCAUUUUUCCUUUUAUGCUUCUCCUAAGGUUUUCGACCGUCCUGAGUUCAAAAGUGAUGUUCGUUUUGCCGUCUGAUCUCUCCUUUAUUGUGAAAUGACUAUAAUGCCCCUAAAAUACAUAAAAUACUUAAUUAAAAUAAAACACAUGUAAUUAAAUCACAAGAAGGUUAAAUACAUAAAAGUAAGGGUUGUUAGUAAGACUUGAAAUGUAAAAUGACGGUUUUCUCCUUUAUAAAUAUGCAUUUUCUAACACUCAACACACCCCCCAACCAGCUUAUUGCUAGUCCCUAGCAAAUAAAGCGAAAACAAAAUUUAAUUCAAAAUAUUUUUUUUUUUUAAUAAAAACACUCGUAUUUAUUCCAUCAGAUUAAUGAUAGCAAUCAAAUAAAAGUAUAAGCAUUAUCUCCAGUCUAAAGCAACAUCACACCCACAUCAACCAUCCACAUGAAUCAGCCCAGUAGACUUUUUUAUAGCUACUUUCAAGAAUGACAUGUCAAACCCCAAAAUCUCACUGGAAGUAGUGACACUCUCACAAAGAAAUUAAAACCAAUAAAAAUAGUCACUCCAAUGAAUGGUAAUUGAGAGAGAAAAUAAUAAAGAAGUGAUAUCACAUGCUCUCACCAAGAUGAAAUAAAUAUGCCCUUAGCUUAUAAAUAAUACGAUCUCAAGUCAAACAAAAAUGGUAGUCAACCCAAUUUAUUUAUCUUUUAUUUAUUUAUUUUUAUUAUGCACCACUACAUCUUUUUAGCCCAUAUAACUAGCUUCUACUUCAAACUAUAGUUCCCUAAAAUCAAGAAGGACUUUUAUUAGGACGUAACGUAGGCUAGGGAUAUGGCUAACAAAGAAAGGAAAUAAGGAAAACAAAGUGUAUGUUUGAGAAAAAUGCAGAGAAUUUUUUUUUUUUUUUGGAAGUUGCAAGGUGGAUUUCACCUAUUUUUAUUCUUUUGAAACAACAACUUUUGUUUUUGUUUUUUUUUUUGCUUUUAUUUGGCAUAACUUCACUGAACAAAAUAAUUAUUUACAUUUUCUCAAACAUAAAUAGGUGAUGGAACUUAUAAGAUAUCGGGUAACACUCCAAAUCGGAGUGGGUCAAGAUGAUAAGUUGACAAAGAAAAUGAUUUUUUUUUUAAAGGCUCAAAAUGGUUAACUAUGGAUAUUUAAUAAAAGGGAUGGCUAGAAAGGCUCAAACGGAUCAAAGAUGGCCUUUCCAUCGUCUUUUAGGGCUCUAAAUAAUCAUCCAUAUCUACUAGUUAGAUGGGCCUCCCAAUGUAGCAACACACAUUUUUUUUUCUUUUUUUUUAUUUUACCAUUUUUUUUUAAGGGUUAACGCAAAAGAAAUCUAGAGAUCGUGUAUAAAAUAAUAAACUGUUAAGCUGUAUAAAGAAUGGGCAAAAGGGUUACUCUCCAAGAAAAAUGAUAGGCUCAAAAACUCACUUAGUACUUAUUAUGACAUGUUCAUUCCUUCAAGCAACUCAUAUAUGUCUCCGACAUCAACAUGUAGAGUAGCAAACAUAAUGUAACAUCACUUAAGACCAAAGAUAAUACAAAUACUAAAAUUUGAAAUUAAUCAUGUCAUCCAAUGUUAAAACAAAUCACACAAUUUUUAUUUUUUUAAACAACAUUCUACCCCCCAACCUAUUCUAAACAUGAAAGGAAAAAUAUGCAUGCAGGAAUGUGAAAAUGAUGCAUAAAAACUAAUUAAAAAAAGUUACACUUAAAAUGAUAGAAAACGAAAAUGGGUUUUUUUUUUUUAACUUAGAAGAUGCGUUUCUAGAGGCACUACUCUCCAUAUUCAGCCAUCUUCGACUCAAAAUUUUGAAAAUAUAUAUUUAUAAGGAGAAAUUAAAAAGAAGAAGAAAAAUAAACAUCAAAACAUAAUAAAGAAAAAAAAAAUGUCUGAAUUUUUUUUUUUAGUUUUUUUUUUAAUUUUUUUUUUAAAACGAUGAAGAUGCGUUUCUAGAGUCACUACACUCCAUAUUCAGCCAUCUUCAACACAAAAAGUUAGCAACAGUUAGUUUCUACAACAAAAAAUUAGUAAAAACCUAACCAAAAUUCCACAAUUGUCGACUAUUCCCUCCCCCCAACCAGAAUGAAACAUUGUCCUCAAUGUUUGAAAGGAAAGAAGUAGAGUUUAGAAGACAUCACCUGGGUGGUGCAACACAGAAGAAAAUAUUUACAGGCGGAGAGUUAAAUCUAAUUUGUACUUCUUACUGCUGCUACUGUUACCAUCAUUAUUUGGACGCUCCAACACAAAGGUCCAGGGGUCUGGCUCCGGUCUAUAAGCUUGUAACAGAUCAAGUAGCUCAUUAGCAGUGUGAGCACAAAUAAAGAGUUUUUUCACAUUAGCGGGAAUGAAAUAGUUUUUUAUUGCAUGGUUAAGAAAUGCGAUAAAGCCAUCAUAAAAGUUAUUGACAUUUAACAAACCGAUGGGUUUCUGGUGGAUGUGGAGAUGGGCCCAAGAUGCUAGUGUGAUAAGUGCCUCUAGUGUUGCAAGAUCUCCUGGAAGGAAAAUAAAAGCAUCAGCAUGAUUAAGCAUUUCAGUUAUUCUUUCUUGCAUACCUGAGACAACUAACUCUUCUCCAGUUGAUGAGUCAGACGAACUGCCCAACGGUUUUAGGACUCUUGGGAUGAUGCCUAACACUUGGCUGCCUCUGAUUAAAGCUGCUUCUGAGACCAUUUUUGAUAACCCUCGAUUACCUCCUCCAUACACCAAGUGUAAUUUUCUCUCUGCUAUACUUCGACCAAGAUCUAUGGCUGCCUCAACGAACUCUUUAUGUUUGCCAUAGGUAAAUCCGGAAAGCACACAAAUGUUCUUGAAUUGUCUAUUGGGAGUAGCUACCAUUGCGAUACUUCUCAAAAACAAUUUGUGAGUGCUUGACAAAAGAUAUCACAUUUAAGAGUCUUGGUGAUAGUGGGUCAUGGUUGUGUAUGAGGUAAUAUGUCAGUGUCAAAUAACGCUUAAAGCACGUGGCUCGCAAGUAAAAAAGGAAACAGUAAAAAUGAAAAAGUAAACAGUAAUAAGAAAAAAGCAAACAGUAAUAAAAUUAUUAAGGACAAUAAUACACACAAUAAACAAUAGUGAAAUAAAAUAACAGUAAAGUGAAAGGAUAUUUACAGGUAGUUGCGACUGUGGCUCACAUCUUCCUCUGGUUUUAUGUCCAGAAAUGGCUUGAACGCCCUCUAUGGGUCGAGGAUAGGCUUCCUAUCCAGUUUUCUUAUAAACUGGCAAACAAGGUCGUUUAUAGUCAGAUUCCCAAGACUAUAUCGUGCAUGCUCUUUCUGGAAUAAUGGCCAUAACUGGAGAAUCGCUCCUUGCACAUAUCCACUGGGAUGCGUUUCAAGAGACAAAAGGAUAUCAUCCAAUGACUCCUUAUUCAAGCCAUCCCUAAUGAAUUGAAUCUUAUCUUCCCUGUUAUCAGACAUCAUUCCUAAAGAACAUGGGUUUUUAUUGCAACUCAUUCUGGCACACUUAUGACAAGCAACAGAAAUUCUUCGAGCUCGUCGUUUUCUUGCAUAAUUUCCUUUACCACAACCAGGCAUGUAUGUAAUAAAUUUUGGAGGUAACUCACCUGCCGAUCGUACUUUAGCCUCAAUUAACCAACGGAUGUCAGCAGGUAUGUUAUUCCUCAUAAGUAAUCGCAUGCGUUCGGACCGAGCUUUAUAGACCGUAAGGAGGGCAUUCUGAGGAAGUGAAGGGAAUCGCUUGUGAAGCUUCGCUAGAGUCUCGUUUCUGUCCAUACUUUCGCCUCAGAAUAUCAGUUAUUAUGGGAAACUGAAGUAACCGACUUGAUUGUCACGGAGUACCGUUAUCCGCCACUUCACCGGGGUAACAAACUAAAGCACACAAAUAGAAAAAAAAAAUUAAAACACACAAAGAAAAUUAAAAUCGUCCUCUUAUUGAAUAUACCUCAAGCUCCAACUGGAUGUCGUAAACACUUCUCUCAAUGUCUCUGAGUUGGAGUUCUAAACCCUCAACAUAGGCUACUAACUCUGGUGGUUGUAGAGCCCAAAUGCGUUGUGUUUUACAAAAUUGAAUCUGCCUUUUGAGAUGAGUUUUGACACGUUGAAGUGGUUUAAGAAUGUUCAGGAGGAACGGUCUAAGUAAUGUACUCAUGAUUAAAAAUGAUAAAAGAAAACAUACUAGUUAAACAAAUACACUUAUACAAAAAUAAUUUCAAUUAGCAAAAGAAUAAUAUAAAGAAAGAAAGAAAAAUCAAAUCAACGAAAAGAAAAAUCAAUUCAAAUCUGGUGGGUCACUCAAAUUUAUUUCGGUGUCUUCUCCAUGUGAUUGGUAUUCUAGAUAUGGCUUUAAUCUUUGACCAUUAACUUUAAACGUGACACCGUUCUUUGGGUCCUUAAUUUCAAUUGCCCCAUGUGGAAAAACAGUAUGAACAAUAAAUGGGCCAGACCAACGAGAGCGUAACUUACCUGGGAAUAGGUGCAAGCGAGAAUUGAAUAAAAGCACUUUCUGACCUGGAGUGAAAGAUUUUCUCAUAAUUUGCUUGUCAUGGAAGACUUUCAUUCGUUGCUUGUAAAUCUUGGCAUUUUCGUAUGCAUCAUUGCGAAUUUCUUCAAGUUCUGCCAACUGUAAUCUUCUUUCUGAGCUGGCUUGCUGCAUGUCAAAAUUGAAUUUCUUGAUGGCCCAAUAUGCACGAUGCUCGAGUUCCACAGGUAGGUGGCAAGCUUUUCCAUACACUAGCCUGUAGGGUGACAUCCCAAUCGGGGUCUUGAAAGCCGUUCUAUAUGCCCAUAAGGCAUCAUCAAGUCUUAAUGACCAAUCUUUUCUGUCUGGCCUCACCGUCUUUUCUAAUAUGUGCUUUAUUUCUCGAUUGGAGAUCUCAACUUGGCCACUGGUUUGCGGAUGAUACGGAGUCGCCACUUUGUGUGUGAUUGAAUACUUUGUCAAAAGAGAUUUGAAUGCUUUGUUACAAAAGUGGGCACCACCAUCACUAAUUAUUGCUCGAGGGAAUCCAAAGCGCGAGACAAUGUUGCUUUUCAAAAAUCCUAUCACCACCUUGUGAUCAUUAGUACUGCAUGGAAUUGCUUCUACCCAUUUGGAUACAUAGUCAACAGCAACCAAUAUGUAUUGAUGGCCAAAAGAAGGGGGAAAGGGUCCCAUGAAGUCGAUACCCCAUACGUCAAAAAUUUCAACCACUAAAAUUGGAUUUAAUGGCAUCAUGUUCCUUCGUGUAAUGCUCCCCAUUCGUUGACACCUAUCACAUGAAGAACAAAAAGUGUAAGCAUCUCGAAAUAUAGUUGGCCAAUAGAAACCACAUUGCAAAACUUUAGUAGCUGUUUUCUUAGCACUGAAAUGGCCUCCACAAGCUUGUUCAUGGCAGAAUGAAAGGAUAUUCUGAAUUUCAUUUUCUGGGACACAUCGUCUAACAAUUUGAUCAACACAAUACUUGAACAAAUACGGGUCAUCCCAAAAGAAAUUCUUUAUCUCUGCAAAGAAUUUAGCCUUAUCUUGCUUGGUCCAAUGCUUUGGAAGUUGACCUGUAACAAGAUAAUUCACGAUGUCAGCAUACCACGGUAAUACUUCCACAUUCAUCAAUUGUUCAUCAGGGAAUGACUCAUUUAAUGGUAAUGGCUCUGUAGUUGUGUCAAAAUGGAGACGAGAGAGGUGGUCCGCCACAACAUUUUCUGUCCCUUUCUUAUCUUUGAAUUCCAAGUCAAAUUCCUGCAAAAGUAACACCCAACGAAUUAGUCUAGCUUUUGCAUCUUUCUUUGUGAGAAGAUAUUUAAGAGCAGCAUGAUCCGUGAAUAUAAUUAUUUUACAACCAAUGAGAUAAGAUCGAAAUUUUUCUAAUGCAAACACUACUGCUAGCAUUUCUUUUUCAGUAGUUGAAUAGUUCAACUGUGCAUCAUUCAAUGUCAUACUAGCAUAGUAAAUAACGUGGGGAAUUCGAUCAACUCUUUGUCCUAAUACUGCUCCUACUGCAUAAUCAGAUGCAUCACACAUGAGCUCAAAUGGUAAGUUCCAGUUCGGGGGCUGAAUGAUGGGUGAUGAUGUCAACAAAUGCUUUAAUUUUUCAAACGCAACAAGACAUGAAUCAUAAAAAACAAAAGGUACAUCUUUAGCAAGUAGAUUGCAUAAGGGUCUAGAAACUUUGCUAAAAUCUUUAAUGAAACGUCUAUAAAAACCAGCAUGCCCAAUGAAAGAUCUUACUUCUCUGACUGUUUUGGGUGAAGGAAGAUUAGAAAUGAGAUCCACCUUAGCUUUGUCAACCUCAAUACCUUUGCUCGAAAUGAUGUGACCGAGAACAAUACCUUGUUUUACCAUAAAAUGACACUUCUCCCAAUUUAAGACCAAGUUCUUCUCGAUACAUCUCUGCAGAACUAGUGUUAGAUGAUGUAAACAUUGAUCAAACGAAUCACCAAAGACAGAAAAGUCAUCCAUAAAGACUUCAAGGAAUCGUUCAACCAUAUCAGAAAAAAUGCUCAACAUGCAUCGUUGAAAUGUAGCAGGUGCAUUACAUAAUCCAAAUGGCAUCCUCCUAUAUGCAAAAGUGCUAAAGGGCAAGUGAAAGUAGUUUUCUCUUGAUCUUUUGGUGCUAUGGGAAUCUGAUUAUAUCCUGAGUAGCCAUCUAGAAAGCAAUAAAAUUCAUGGCCUGCCAAUCUAUCAAGCAUUUGAUCGAUAAAUGGUAAAGGAAAAUGGUCUUUACGUGUGACAGAAUUCAACUUUCUAUAAUCAAUGCAUACACGCCAUCCUGUAGUCACUCUAGUGGGUAUCAAUUCAUUAUCAGCAUUGGUAACUACUGUGACUCCUGACUUUUUGGGGAUGACUUGUACAGGACUGACCCAUGAACUAUCAGAAAUUGGGUAAAUGAUACCUGCAUCUAAUAGCUUAAGGACUUCUGUUCUAACAACUUCUUUCAUAUUAGGAUUUAACCGACGUUGCAUUUCCCUAGUAGAUUUAGCAUUUUCAUCGAGGUGAAUGUAAUGCAUGCAGUCUACUGGAUUUAUACCUUUUAUAUCUGCUAUGGUCCAUCCUUAUGCUCCUUUGUGCUCUUUUAAAACAUCCAACAACUUACCUUUUUGUUCGUCAUUUAGGGAUGAUGAGAUGAUUACCGGCAGAGUACUUUCUUCUCCCAAAAACGCAUAUUCCAAAGUGUUGGGCAAUGGUUUGAGCUCGAGUUUCGGUGGUGAUUCUGAUGAUGGGAUGAGUUUCUUCUCUGAUGGUGCUACUCUUGACUUCCAUUUAUUAGUGUCCAUGGAUGGUGCUGAGUCAAGUAGGGCGUUGACCUCAUCGACCGAUCUGUCAAUAUCAAUAUCAAAAUCCAAACCAAAGUGAGUUAAACAUGUUUGUAAAGGAUCACCACUAAGGUUUGAAAGAAAAGUGUCAUCAACUAAUGAUUCAAUUAAAUCCACAUCAACAAUUCCAUCAUCUACACUGUGAGGUUGUUUGGCAAUGUUGAAAAUGUUUAGCUCCAUAGUCAUGUUGCCGAAGGACAACUGCAUAUUUCCAGUCCUGCAUUGAAUGUGAGCAUCCGCAGUUGCCAAGAAAGGUCGGCCUAGGAUAAUGGGGAUGUGCUUCCUUGAAUCCUGUAUUGGUUGAGUGUCAAUUACAAUGAAAUCAACAGGAAAAUAAAACUUGUCUACCUGGAUAAGCACGUCCUCCACAAUACCACGAGGUAUUUUCGUGGACCGAUCUGCGAGUUGUAACACCACUAGAGUUGGGUGCAAUUCUCCAAGUCCAAGUUUCACAAACACAGAGUAAGGCAAUAAAUUUACACUAGCUCCUAAAUCCAACAAAACAUUCUCAAUUGUGUGGUUCCCUAUACUACAUGAGAUAGUGGGGGAGCCUGGGUCUUUGCAUUUUAAAGGAAUUUUAUGUUGGAGUAUAGAACUAACGUUUUCUGUUAAAAAUGCCUUCUUUUGAACAUGCAUAUUUCUCUUUUUAGUACAAAGGUCUUUAAGAAACUUGGCAUAAGAUGGAACUUGCUUAAUAGCAUCAAGCAAAGGGAUGUUAACACUUACCUGUUUGAAGAUUUCAAGAAUCUCACUUGUGGAUUUUCCCUUUUUUCCUUUAGCUAACCUCUGAGGAAAUGGAGCUUUGGGAACAUAUUCCCGUGGGUUGGUUUCUUCUUUCUCCUCCGGUGAUGAGUCUUCAACAUUCACAGGUACAAUUUGAUUUUCUUUUGUCACCGGCAUCUCCACUUUGUUGUCGACUUCUUUUCCUUUUCAUAAGGUCAUGACUGCUUUGACCUCUCCAUGCUGCUGUGAUGAACUGGUACUUGCUUCAUGUACUCCUUUAGGAUUAGGCACUGGUUGACUUGGAAAUUUGCCUUUCUCAACAGUCAUUGCCAAUGUCUGAACUGAAGAAGCAAGUUGUCCCACCAUCUUCUCGAGGCUUGAAACUGAUUGAGCUUGUGAGUUGAAGCCUUCUCUCAACUCAUUUCGUAGUCCAUCAAUGGUGCGGUUCUGUUGCUCAAUCGUGGAGUGAGUAACAUUCCUGAAAUUCUGGAAUUCAUCCUCCCAUGGUCUAGGUUGAGAGUGGUUCUGGUUCUGAUUGUAUGGUCUAAAUGGUGGCUGAGAGGCUUGAGGAACUUGAGGAAUUUGUUGCAUUGGUGGAGCUGGAGCUGCUGGUCCAUUCUGUUGGAAUCCUUGAGACCAUGAAAAAUUGGGGUGGUCUCUCCAUCCAGGAUUAUAUGUGUUGGAGUAUGGGUUGUAAUUUGAUGGUUUUUUCAUUAUACCUAUGGCAUUGGCUUGAUCUGAGUAUGAGUCAAGGUCAUGUGGUUCAGUUGAUUUAGCAGUCGAUAACGAUGCUAUUUGUCGAGCAAGACCUUCAACCAUCUCCUUGACUUCUUUGAUUCCUGAAGUUGAUUCGCCAAUUUAAACCUCAUUCACUCCUUUAAUUCUUCUAGUAGUCCUGAGUGAUCGACUCCGUUGUUGGGAAUUAUCUGCUUGUCGUUGGAAGAAUUCCCAAAUUUCUGAUGCACUUUUUGACAUUAGCUCUCCUCCACUUGUUGCCAUUAGCCAUUCUUGCACAUUUGGUAGUAAUCCCUCCAAAAAGUAUUGGCAUUGGUGCCAUUUCUCGUACCCAUGAUGUGGACACUUCAAGAGUAGCCCAUUAAAUCGCUCCCAUGUUUCGAAAAAUUGUUCGUCCUCUCUCUGGGUAAACUCCGAGAUUUCCCUGCGAAUAGCAUUGGUUUUAUGCACUGGGAAAUAUUUAUUCAAAAAUUUAGUUACCAUUUGUUCCCAUGAUGAAAUGCUAUUAGCAGGUAAAGUAUUUAACCAUGAACGAGCUCUAUCUUUUAAAGAAAAUGGGAAUAGUCUAAGUUUAACAUUAUCGUCUGAAAAAUUUUCAUAUUUAAAAGUUUGACAAAUGGCAUGAAAAUCAUUCAGAUGAUUAUAUGGAUCCUCAUUUUCUAGGCCAUAAAAUGUUGGGAGACAAUUUAGCACACUGGGUUUUAAUUCAAAACUCCUAGCAGCUACAUUUGGGUAUCUUAUGCAUGAUGUGCUCAAAUUAGCUAAGGGACUGAAGUAGUCCUUAAAUGGCCUCUCCUGUGGUUGCAAAUCCAUUUUAUUUUUAAUUUGUUUGUGUGUGCGAAGUGUUCUUUCUAGUUCAAGGUCCAUAGGUUCAAGAUUAGGUAAUAAUGACCUACGACCAUGCAUGCAAAACAAAUAAAAAAAAUAAAGAUGGGAACAAAAAAAUAAAAUAAAAAUAAAGAAGAGGGAGAAAUUACGAUACUAACCUUAUUGCGCUAUUACAAUCUUUCUAUAAAAAUACACAAAAAUAAAUACGUGAAAUAAAUUAACUAAAAAUAAAUUAAUAAGAUAAACAAAAAAAAAUUACAAAGAAAAAUAAGUUGAAAAUGAAAUAAUAGAAUUUUAAAGAAGAGAAAAAGAAAAAAAAAUACUAACCUUUAAAUGUAGGUUCACUUUUUUUUCUUUUUUUUUUAAGAAAAAAAUAUAUAAGAAAACAAAUAAAAGAUAUUAUUCACACAAAUUAAUUCUAUGAAUUAAAAUUACUUACCUCCCCGGCAACGGCGCCAAAAACUUGUUGUGCAAAUUUUAAUGUACUCGCAAGCGCACGAAUCUAUUGUAGUAUAGAUCAAUGGUGACGAGUGUCGAUCCCACGAGGAGGUGGAUUUUAAUUGUGUAGAAUUAAUUUUGUGAAUGGGUGAUUGGAUUUUGUGGUGAAGGUGACUUAGAUUAUCCUAAAAUUGGAAUUGAAAUGGCGAGAAUAAAUUGAAGAGAAUUCUAUUAAAAUGACGUACUUGGGUAUCUGGAUCCGUAUCAACAUGCAUCAUGGGCUAAAUAAUCCGUAUUAAUGCCAAUUAAAUCAUGAGGGGGGAAUCCACACUUCAUGAACCACACUCUAAUCAAUAUGGUGCUAAGGGCUUAUCGUGCCAAAUAAUAAUAACCUUGUACUAGAGGGCCGGUGAAACCAAGGCGGUACUAGACAAGAUUAGUAUUAUUUGUCGAUGAGAAGUCAAAACAUCCACAAAAACUAGAGGGGAAGAGAAAAUAAAUUUACCAAAUUAAGCCCAUGACACAUGUUGAGACUUCACCUUCAACCCAAGCUUGAAAGAAAAUUAGCCACUCAUAAUUGAACUAGGGGCAAAAUGGGAAUUUAUUACAAUACGAAGAAAAUACAAGAUGGAGAGGGAAUUACAGAAAACAGAGUCCAAAAAUGGAUUCAGAGGUAUCAAAUUAGGGGGGGAGGCCCCCUUUUUAUAGAUACAUGGAGUAAAUCAUGGCCAUCGGAUUAAAAACAGUUUGGACGCUCAGGAUUGCGCCACGUCAUCAGCCAACAGUCCACGGUUUGACCACGCGGAUGAACAGUAACACGAUUUGACUCGGAUGAACAGUAACGUGGUUUGACUCGGAUGAACAGUAACGCAGUUUGACUCGGAUGAACAGUAACGCGGUUUGGUUGAAAAUAAUCUUGUGUGAUGCAUGUACCGUACGCGAGAUUUUUCAUCCACUGAUAUGCUGCCACGUCACCAUCAACAGUACAUAAGAAUUUUAGCCCAACAGGAUCGUGACACCUCAUCAGUCAAUGCCACAUCAUCGGUCAAUGCCACGUCAUCGAUCCGUCUAUGUGAACAGUGUUGUGAACAGUAACGUAGAUAGUACCGCACACGUGAAUAGUAAUGUACAUAUGAAUAGUGCCAUUUUUCCUUUUAUGCUCCUCCUAAGGUUUUCGACCGUCCUGAGUUCAAAAGUGAUGUCCGUUUUGCCGUCUGAUCUCUCCUUUAUUGUGAAAUGACUAUAAUGCCCCUAAAAUACAUAAAAUACUUAAUUAAAAUAAAACACAUGUAAUUAAAUCACAAGAAGGUUAAAUACAUAAAAGUAAGGGUUGUUAGUAAGACUUGAAAUGUAAAAUGACGGUUUUCUCCUUUAUAAAUAUGCAUUUUCUAACACUCAACACUUGCCCCAUGCACACAUACUGCUUUUUUUGCAUCCAACAAUGAAAAAUCCUUCUGCAAACCAUAUUGAUAAAAUAAUAAUUGCAGAAAUCCCUAACUUAAAUGUUGAUCCUGAUGGUUAUAAUGCAGUUAACAAAUUUAUGAUUCAUGGACCGUGUGGAAAACACAAUUCUCACUCUCCAUGCAUGAUGCAAGACAAGUGCACAAAACAUUUUCCAAAAAAAUUCAAUGAUCAAACAAUAGUGGAUACAUAUGGCUUUCCAGUCUUUAAAAGGAGAAAUACAGGUAUUCAUGUCGAAAAGAAAGGUGUCUUCUUGGAUAAUCGAUAUGUGGUCCCUUAUCACAGGAAUUUAAUUGUCAAAUUUGAUGCACAUAUUAAUGUUGAGAUUUGUAAUUACUCGAGACCAGUUAAAUAUUUUUUCAAGUAUGUCCAUAAAGGGUCUGAGAGAACAACUGCAACAAUAGAAUCUAUUGACACUACCCAAGAAAUGGACGAGUGAUGGGUGUUGAAGCCAACAAAAAUAAAUUCCUACUCUAAAUAAAUUGUGUAUAGUGAUUGAGCAGGGUCGUGUCCACAGAGAUCGGUAAUUAUUUAAAUCCUUUUGAAACGUAAAACGUAAAAUGGGGGAAUUGUUGACAAUAAUAAAAAUCAAAUUAAAAAUAACAAGAAUGCAAAUUAAAGUUGUAAUUCAAAUUGGAGAAAGCUCUGGUUGAAGGAAUUAACUCAGCUUGAUUCGACUACUGAUCAUUGAUUCAAAUAUAGAUGAUUAUUACUCAUGAAUAGACUGGUUAUAGCUACUGAGACCCUCUAAUAGCCAAUCUCUCCUUAACUAGUCGAUAACCAAGGUACGACCAUUGGUUAUUUCCCUAAUCAAUAGACAACCCUAGAUACGAUCAUAGAAUUUAAUCAAUUGACAGCCUGAAAAACCAGAGAGACCCAAAUCCUAAUCAACACAUAUGAUGAUUCAUUUAAAUUAGAUUGUUUAUUCUCACAACACAACUCUCUGCUAUGUUAUUUGUCACAAGCAUUAAAUUCUUCAUACGAUGAAUCCUUUAAUUGACAAUAGAUUAAGUUGAUAAUUAAAUAGUGGCCAAUUACCUAAUUAACAAACAUAAUCAUGAAAAUAAUUUAGAGAAUAAACAAAUACCCAAAAAGCAAUAAAACAAUUAAAGCACAAGAAAGAUCUCACAGUAGUGAUGAAUCAAAGCUUCGUUAUCCUUCAACUAGAAAAAUAGGUUUAGUUCUUCAUAGAGAGAAGAGAAAAAUUAAAUCUAGGGUUUCUUUCUUUUUCUCCAAUCCAAAAAAUCCCCCCUUUUUCACAAUUGAUUCCUCCCUUAAAUACUCUCUCUCUCUUCUCUUUUAGAGUUCUAUUUAAAAUAAAAUACUAAUAUCUAAAAUAUUAAAUUCGUAAUUACAAAAAUAGCCAAAAAUAUAAAACACGUUAAACUAAAAACUGCAGGUCCGCAAUUGACAGCACGCGCCCACGCCUUAUCAACAAAGUUCUUCUGCCGCUCAUAAUUUCUCCAAGGGAACAAUCAUCCCUAAACAUCAUCUUGUAGCUCAAUUUUAUCACCAAUCAAUAGAAUUGCACCUACAAAAGUAAAUCACAGGUAAAUCACUAUUAUUAAAUGCAAAACAUCGAUAUUAAGGGAAGUAAACAAUGCAAAACUAGUGCAUAAAUUGCACUCUAACAAAUUCCCCCACACCAAGAUGAUGCUUGUCCUCAAGCAUAUAACUCAAGAUUAAUCUCAAAUUUCCACUCAAUUCUCAUCUCAACUCAUCCAAAAACAAUUUUAAGCAAGCAUACCUCAAGAAAUUAAGUCGUUCAACGUUCGAGAGACAAGGAUUUUAAAGCAUAGAAUUUCGUAAGAUAGAAUAAGAACAUUCAACCACCAAGAAGAUCCAUUCAAAACUCAAGUGCAGCAAGAUUUAAUAGCCCUCUCAAUAACUUCACUCCAUGCACUCAAAGUGUUUAGGGUGUCAUUUAUCCACUCAAAUCAAAUCAAAGAAUGCUAUUACCAUAAGCUUGCUCAUAUAUCACAUCUCAAUCCACAAAACAUGAAUAAAAUGCAAAAAUCUAAGGGUCUUAAAAGGGUUGUAAUGGGGUUAAAUUGGAGAAAUGAAAAAGAAAGGUUUAUGAAAGAAAAAGAGAUCAAAAUGAGAAGAAUGAACUCAUUGAAUGAACUUAUGAUAUCAAAAUGCUUAUUUCUACUCAAGUCACCAAGAAUGUAAAAUUUUUUUUUUCGAUUUUUCUUUUUCUUUUUUUUUCUUUUUUUUCUUUUUUUUUCUUCUUUUUUUUUCUUUUUUUUUUGUUUUUGAUUUUUUUUUUGAAUCAAACAAAAGAAACGAACCUUGCACAAUUUAAUUCAAGCAUAAUGCUUGUUGAUCUAAUUGAGAAACUUUAAUACAAGGUAGAAAAAGCAACAAAAUAUAUCCACACAAUGAGUCCAAAAAUCUCCUUAAAUUGAGGCUCAAAAAGAAGAAAAAUGGUUAAGUCGACGGAGAGAAUUAGAUGGGUAAUGGUUAAGGCUCAAACAAAGGUAGCAAAUAAAGGUCUUCGGGUAGAGAAGGAAAAAAAAAUGCGAGAAUAGAAAAAUGGAAUAUGGUUUGCCCUUAUCAUUUUAAUGCAUAAAAUCCCGUAAUGUGGCUUCAACAUGCAUAAUAAAGCAAGUUCUAGAAUAAACAAAGUAGGAUUGAUAUUCACAUAACAAAAAUAAUUAGAGCAAAGUGGUUGCUCAUAGGCUCAAAUCCUCACAAAGUUGGUAAAUUUGCCAUCAAAUCAUGUACACUCUUCAAAUGAAUCAACCAUCAAUAGUGGUGUAGAAUGAGAAGAAGGUAUGAGUGAGAUGUAAAAGGAAAGGUAAAAAUGAUAAGAAGUGAGAAAGAUGUAUGUAGUAAUAUGAAAAGUGAAAGAUAAAAUGUGAGUGAUGAAAGAGUAUGAUAGAAUAAAAAUAGAUGUAAAUAAUUUGAGAUAGAUGGGAAAAGAGUAGUGAGAGAGAGAGGAAAAGAAAAUUAAUAAUAUAUGAAGCAUACUGCAAAAAUCAUUUAAGGAUGAGUAGAGUGAAAACAAUAAUUUCAGACAUCAAUAAUGCAAAAAUCCCUCCCCCACACUAAGAACUGACAUUGUCCCCAAUGUAAGAUAAUCAAAGCUCACAUAAAAAUUAAAGCGUAAGGAUAAAAGAUUAAGGGCAAAAACUUCCUUGAAUUGUGAGCUUUGAUCCUCAUAACGUCUAUGGGCUUGGCGGGAAUGGUGGGAUAAAUCCCACACUCUUGAAGUAUGCGGCCAAAUUCUGCUCCAUCUUGUCACGGAUUUCGAUUCACGGACCUGGAAUGCAGGUCGUAGGCUGGUUGCGUUGCGAUUGCUGCUCGGCUGGAGCUUGCUUGAUGGACGCGGGAUGGCACUGAUUGUGUUGCGCGCGCGCGCUGGGGCUGCUGGAUCUGCGCGUUGCGUGGGCUGUGUUGUGCGCGAGAGCUGGGCUGACGCUGGUGCUGCGUUGCGUUGCGCGCGCGGGACUGAUGCGCUGCGUGAUGGUGAUGGCUGGAGCUUGCUGCGUUGCGCGUGGCUGGUUUCGCUGGUGGGACUUCGUUGCGCGCUGCUGGGCUGCGAGACACGGGAUGCUGGUGCUUGCGCUCACGGGAUGGUGCGUUUUCCGGCGGGUUGGUUUGCUGCUGGUGUGCUGCAAGCGGCUGGAGAAGAAAACAAGUUCUGGAAAAUUAGGGAUUUUGUGAACAGUGAAUAGUGAACAGUGAUUUUCGAUUUUUGGUUUUUUUUUUAAUAAAUAAAUAAAUAAAAAGAAAGAAAGGAACGAAAAAAGAAAAAGAAAAAAAAAUAAUAAAUAAUUUUUUUUUUUUUAUAGUGAUGAAUCACUUUGAGACACUAAAAAUUUCAGAAGUACUUUUCUAAUAAGUACAUGGGCACGCCUUAUAAAAAAUUUUCUUCUGACCAAAAUAAGCAAACACAUUAAAUUUCAGAAGUACUUUUCUAUUAAGUACGUGGGCACGCCUUAAAACUAUGUUACUUUAAAAAUUACAGAAGUACUUAUUAGCUAAGACGUGGGCACGCCUUAUCAAAAAUUUUCUUCUGACCAAAAUAAGCAAAAUUUUUCUUUUUUUUUUUUGAAUUAAAAUUAAAAGAAGAUAUAACAAAAACCAAAACAAACAAAUCAUUUGGGUUGCCUCCCAAAAAAGCGCCUUUGUUUUAUGUCUUUGGCUAGACACAUUUAUGCAUCAAUCUCCAUAAUUGGGACUCUCGAGAGCCACAUCCUCCACAAUAUUCACCGAAAAACCUUCAUAAAAAGGUUUUAAGCGAUGACCAUUAACCUUAAAAACUUUGUCAGAGGUCGGGCUCCGAAUCUCAACUGCACCAUAAGGAAAAACAUUAGUAACAAUAAAAGGUCCAACCCAACAAGAACGUAAUUUACCCGGAAAAAGUUUAAGCUUAGGAUGAAAAAGAAGAACUUUUUGACCAACAGAGAACUCCUUUCUCAAAAUCAUUCUAUCAUGAAAUGUCUUCGUCUUUUCCUUGUAAAAAAUUUCCUGCGCUAUAGGGUUAAUAACAUCCACAGAAAAUACCGAAUGUUCCUCACUAGGAUAUUUCAUGGCAUCAUUCAUAUUGAAUUCUAUAACCUCUCCAUCAAACUCCAUAGUGAGAGUCCCUUUAUGUAUAUCCAUUUUAGUCCUAGCAGUCUUAAGAAAAGGUCUUCCUAGCAAAAUUGGGAUAGAAUUAGAGGAGUUAUCAUCUUCCAUAUCAAGUACAUAAAAAUCAGCAGGAAAAACCAACUCAUUAACUUGUACUAAGACAUCUUCUAAUACCCCAUCAGGAUAUGCAUUAGACCUAUCAGCUAGUUGAAUUAUCACACAAGUUUCUUUUAAUGGACCAAUAUUCAAAGAUGAAUAAAUGGAACGAGGCAUGACAUUAAUAGAAGCUCCUAGAUCUAACAAAGCCUUUUCAACUCUAACACUACCAAUUUUACAAGGGAUAGUAAACAUACCUGGAUCCUUGCACUUAGGAGGUAGUUUCUUUUGAAGAACUGCUGAAACAUUCUCCCCCAUGUGAACUUUUUCAUCUCCUCUUAAUUUUCUCUUGGAGGUGCACAGUUCCUUAAGGACUUUAGCAUAUCGAGGUAUUUGUUUUAUAGCAUCUAAUAAAGGAAUAUUUACCUCAACCUUGCGAAAUGUCUCAAGGAUGUCUUUCUCUUGUUCCUCCUUCUUGGAUUUUACAAAUCGGCUUGGAAAAGGAGGAGGUAUCACAAUAGGUAGGGGUUUCGCUUUGGUGGGUUGCGCAUCUUGAGAUUUAGGUAUCAAUUCAUUCUUCUCAAGCUCAUCUUCUACAUGCUUUGUCACUUUCUUACUAGGCUCUUGCAACUCCUUCCCACUUCUAAGGAUGACAGCACUAACGUUUUGCUUUGGAUUCACCUCAGAUUGUGAAGGCAAUCUUCCUAAUACUUGAGACUCCAGACGGCUUACUGUAGUCGCCAAUUGACUCAUUUGGUUCUCCAAGUUCUGAAUGCUUGUUGUAGUUGCCUGCUGAAAUUGUUGAGUGUUAGUCGCAAGUGAUUUAACAAUUUCUUCAAGAGAUAUACCUGACUUGGAGUUUGACUGUGGAGGUGUUGGUUGUCUUGGUGGAUACUGUUGUGGGAAUCCUGACGGCCUAAUGCCAUAGCUGAAGUUUGGAUGAUCCUUCCAUCCCGGAUUGUAUGUUUGUGCAUAAGGAUCAUACCUCCUCUGAGGCAUGCCUGGAAAUCCUCCAACUGCAUUGGCUUGUUCAACGGGUUCUUCUUGAAGUGUAGGACACAUAUCAGUUGAAUGACCCAUAUUGUAACAAAUACCACAAGUCUUCACCUGUUGCACAUUACCUACAACAAACUUUUCCACAAGAGAAGUGAGUUUAUCUAAACGUUGUUCAACAGAAGAAAUAUUUACCUCAUUCACAUUCCUUAAGGUGGCAUCUUGUCUGCUGCCAAAUUGUUGUGCAUUGGCAGCCAUAUUUGAUAUCAACUCCCUUGCUUGAGUAGGAGUCUUGUUCACCAACACACCUCCACUAGCAGCAUCUAUCAUACUCCUAUCCAUCAAUGAUAGUCCUUCGUAAAAAUAUUGAAUAAGAAGUUGAUCAGAAAUCUGAUGCUGAGGACAACUGGCACACAAUUGUUUGAAUCGCUCCCAAUACUCAUACAAAGUCUCCCCAGGAAGUUGUCUGAUCCCACAAAUAUCUUUUCUGAUGUUGGCAGCUCUUGAAGCAGGAAAGUACUUCUCGAGGAACUGCUUCUUCAAACCAUUCCACGUUGUAAUCGAUUCAGGAGGCAAGUAGUACAACCAAUCUUUAGCUAGCCCAUCUACAGAGAACGGAAAAGCACGCAGCUUAAUCUGCUCUUCAGUCACGCCUUGUGGCCUCAUACUUGAGCACACAACAUGAAACUCCUUGAGAUGUUUAUGAGGAUCUUCACCUGCAAAACCAUGAAACUUGGGUAAUAAGUGAAUAAGACCAGACUUUAAUUCAAAAUUUACCUCCAAGUCUACAUAUUGAAUGCAGAGUGGUUGUUGAUUCAAGUCUGGGUCAGCUAACUCUCUAAGAGUUCUUUCUACAGGUGCAGGUCUAUCCAUCACUUGUUCUUCUGAAUCGCUAGAUGAUUCAACUAAAUCAGGCACCGUAUCUGUUUCAGAAAGCAAAGGCGACGAGGAUCGUUGCUUAGCUCGUUUUGUCUGCUGUCUCAGCUGGCGAGCUGUCUUCUCAAUUUCAGGAUCAAACGAAAGUGUACCUGUACGAGAAGAACGAACCAUACACCAAGUAAAACGUAAAAAGGAUUAAAUAAAUGACACCAAUCCCCGGCAACGGCGCCAAAAUUUGAUGGGUGUCGAAGCCAACAAAAAUAAAUUCCUACUCUAAAUAAAUUGUGUAUAGUGAUUGAGCAGGGUCGUGUCCACAGAGAUCGGUAAUUAUUUAAAUCCUUUUGAAACGUAAAACGUAAAAUGGGGGAAUUGUUGACAAUAAUAAAAAUCAAAUUAAAAAUAACAAGAAUGCAAAUUAAAGUUGUAAUUCAAAUUGGAGAAAGCUCUGGUUGAAGGAAUUAACUCAGCUUGAUUCGACUACUGAUCAUUGAUUCAAAUAUAGAUGAUUAUUACUCAUGAAUAGACUGGUUAUAGCUACUGAGACCCUCUAAUAGCCAAUCUCUCCUUAACUAGUCGAUAACCAAGGUACGACCAUUGGUUAUUUCCCUAAUCAAUAGACAACCCUAGAUACGAUCAUAGAAUUUAAUCAAUUGACAGCCUGAAAAACCAGAGAGACCCAAAUCCUAAUCAACACAUAUGAUGAUUCAUUUAAAUUAGAUUGUUUAUUCUCACAACACAACUCUCUGCUAUGUUAUUUGUCACAAGCAUUAAAUUCUUCAUACGAUGAAUCCUUUAAUUGACAAUAGAUUAAGUUGAUAAUUAAAUAGUGGCCAAUUACCUAAUUAACAAACAUAAUCAUGAAAAUAAUUUAGAGAAUAAACAAAUACCCAAAAAGCAAUAAAACAAUUAAAGCACAAGAAAGAUCUCACAGUAGUGAUGAAUCAAAGCUUCAUUAUCCUUCAACUAGAAAAAUAGGUUUAGUUCUUCAUAGAGAGAAGAGAAAAAUUAAAUCUAGGGUUUCUUUCUUUUUCUCCAAUCCAAAAAAUCCCCCCUUUUUCACAAUUGAUUCCUCCCUUAAAUACUCUCUCUCUCUUCUCUUUUAGAGUUCUAUUUAAAAUAAAAUACUAAUAUCUAAAAUAUUAAAUUCGUAAUUACAAAAAUAGCCAAAAAUAUAAAACACGUUAAACUAAAAACUGCAGGUCCGCAAUUGACAGCACGCGCCCACGCCUUAUCAACAAAGUUCUUCUGCCGCUCAUAAUUUCUCCAAGGGAACAAUCAUCCCUAAACAUCAUCUUGUAGCUCAAUUUUAUCACCAAUCAAUAGAAUUGCACCUACAAAAGUAAAUCACAGGUAAAUCACUAUUAUUAAAUGCAAAACAUCGAUAUUAAGGGAAGUAAACAAUGCAAAACUAGUGCAUAAAUUGCACUCUAACAACGAGAUCAAAACAUAUUUGGAGUGCAGAUAUAUAUCAGCAACCGAAGCUUGCUAACGAAUCUUCUAAUUUGACAUACAUUAAAGAAAGCCGGCAGUUGAAAGAUUGCCGUUCCAUUUACCGGGAGAGCAUACAGUAAUAUUCGAAGAAUCCAAGUGCUUAGAAAAUGUGCUUACCAUACCUGGAAUAGAAAAAACAAAGUUCACAGAAUGGUUGCAGGCAAACAAGAAUUAUGAUGAUGCACGAGAGCUAACUUAUUCUAAUUUCCCUACAUGUUGGGUAUGGAAUUCAAAAGACAAAACUUGGACUAGGAGAAAAAAUGGCUUAGCAAUUAGAAGAAUUUACUUUGCACAUCCUUCAAGUGGAGAACGAUUUUAUAUGAGAAUGUUGCUCAAUUUUGUAAAAGGAAGCACUUCAUUUGAAAGUACUAGAACAGUAAAUGGAGUGACAUAUCCAACUUUUAAAGCUGCGUGCUAUGCUUUGGGAUUAUUAGACGAUGAUAAAGAAUGGAUCGACUGCUUGACUGAAGCUGCAAUAUGGGCGACUGGAAAUGAAUUAAGACAUCUUUUUGUCACGAUACUCAUUCAUUGUCAGGUUUCUGAUGCAUCCCAACUUUGGAAAUCUAAUUAUACUAGUUUAUCAUAAGGCAUAACUUCAUUGCAAAGGAAAAGAUUCAGAUUGAAAGAUCUUCAGUUAACCGAGCAACAAGUUGAAGCAUACACAUUGUUGGAGAUUGAAACUAUCAUGUUGAAAAUGGGAAAAAGUUUAAGAGACAUAGAUGGAAUGCCACUUCCUAAUUCUUCUUUGAUAAGAGAUUCAGGUAACCGAUUGGUCAAUGAAGAGCUUGAUUAUGAUCGUGAUCAAUUAAAGAAGUUGCAUGAGAAAUCAUUUACUGCUCUAAAUGCUUGCAAAAAAUCAGCCUAUGAAGCAAUAAUGCAUUCUGUUGAGAAUGAAGAAGGGUGUUUAUUUUUUAUCAAUGGACAUGGUGGUACUGGUAAAAUAUUUUUGUGGAAUACAAUUAUUGCAAAGCUCAUAUCACAUUCUAAAAUAGUCUUGCCUGUUGCAACUUCAGGUAUAGCAGCUUUGUUAUUGCCUAAUGGUAGGACAGCUCAUUCGCGAUUUCAUAUUCCUUUGGAUGUGAUAGCAGAGUGCACUUGUGAAAUCCGACAAGGCACCUUAUUAGCUGGACUUCUUAUGAAAACUUCUUUGAUCAUUUGGGAUGAAGCGCCUAUGGCACAUAAGUUCUGCUUUGAAGCUUUGGAUAAGACCUUGAGAGAUAUUCUAAGAACAAGGUAUGAAAAUACUUCUAUCAAACCUUUUUGAGGACUUACAAUAGUAUGUGGUGGUGAUUUCCGUCAAAUAUUGCCAGUUGUGCCAAAGGGGACAAGAGCAGACAUUGUUGACGCUUCACUUAACUCAUCCUACUUAUGGCCAUUUUUCAAAAUUUAUGAGCUCAAACAAAAUAUGAGGCUCUAUAAUGGAAGCAUGAGUGGCUCUGAGGCUGCUAAAAUAGCUUCUUUUGACAAAUGGUUGUUACAGAUUGGAGAUGGUUCAUUAUAUGAUGACAUUGAUAGAGAGUUAGUUAAACUACCUUCUGAUAUCUGUAAGAAACCAUAAAAAAAUCUAAUGAAAUCAAUAGUCGACACUAUCUACCCAUCAAUUCUACAUAAUUACAGUGAUCCAACAUAUUUGAAAGAAAGAGCAAUAUUAACGCCAAAAAAUGAAAUGGUGCAUGAAUUGAACGAGAUGAUUAUGAAUAUAAUACCUGGUCAAGGGAGAACCUAUUUUAGCUCAGACAGUAUAUGCAAAGCAAGCGCAAACACAAAUGAUGAAGAUGUUCUGUAUCCAACUGAAUUUUUGAAUAGUUUGAAAUUCAAUGGCAUCCCUAAUCAUGACAUACGACUUAAGGAAGGUGCUCCCGUAAUGCUUCUCAGAAAUCUAAAUCAAAUAGAAGGCCUAUGUAACGGCACAAGAUUGAUUGUAACUCGUCUUAGUAAAUGGUCCAUUAGAGGUGACAUCAUUUCUGGAACAAAUAUUGGACAAAAUGUCACAAUUCCAAGAAUUGUUAUGUCUCCUAAUGAAUCAAGAUGGCCAUUCAAGCUUAACAGACGGCAACUUCCUUUGGCACCAUGUUUUGCCAUGACGAUCAACAAAAGCCAAGGACAAUCUCUUAAACAUGUUGGCUUGUAUCUCCCUAAGCAAGUAUUCACACAUGGUCAAUUAUAUGUCGCCGUAUCUCGAGUUACCACAAGAGAAUGAUUGACCAUACUAAAUGCUGAUCAAGAGGUAGAAGACCGAACCUUCAUAAAAAAACAUUGUCUACAAAGAAGUAUUUCAAAAUAUUCACACAUUAGCUCACAAAAUCAAGGUAUCACAUUUUUAGAUUAUAUUUUAAAAUUUAAUUUAUACAUUGCAAGCUCUUACUUCACCCUAUAAUAAUGAUUUUUAUUAUGUGUUUUAAUUAUUCAGUAGACAAAUGAAUAAAUCAAAGGAACUAUCGAGACAGCAAAAUGGUAGUUUGGUUGAGUUUUCCAAGCUAUUAUGGAGAAUUUAAUCGCCAAAGAACAUAGUACGUGAAGAAGCAUUCCUUUUUACAUCAACUAUUUCUCCUUUCAUUCUCUCUAAUCCAUGGAGACAUGGUUUAUAUACAGAUAAAGAACAUUUUGGCACUAGGUGUUGCUGAUCCCCAUUGGAACUUGCCAUAGCUGCAAGCUUGAUAUAAACAACUGCUCACCUACGCAGCUACAAACGAUGCAAAAUAACUUACAGAAGUCUUUACAUGUAUUUUACUUAUUUCUUUUAUAAUUCAACGCAUUGCUAAGGAUCCUCAAUUACAAAAUUUAAUUUGGAACUUAUCAACUACAAAAGGUAUAAGGUCUGUACACCUAGACUAUACACGUUAAUAUAUAUAUUUAAAGUUAACAAAAAAAUAGUUAACUUUCAUAAAUAACAUUAGUUUUAUAAGGCUACCUCAUUUUAAAAAAAAUCAAUUUAUAUUUUUUAUCAGUUUUAUUGAGUAUAAAGAAAGAAAAAUUGAUAAUACUAAAUUCAUUUUCUAAAGCCGCGCGAAGCGCGGUUUUAUUUCCUAGUAUAUAUAUAAAGCUGGGACUAUAAGAGGUGAUGUGACAUCACCAUUUCUCAUCUUUGUAUAUUUUCUAUUAUCUAAUAAAUAGAGAAUUUUUCUUUCAAAUUUGGCUUUUCAUCUUCUCAUAAUUAAUUUGAUUGUUAUUACAAUUAUGUAAAUGUUUUAAUGAGGCAUAUUCUUUAUAAUGAACAUCCAAUGGGGAGUGUUAUAAAUUUAUUAAAAUAAAUGUGGAUGUUCAUAACAUAUAUCUCUUAGUCUCUCCACUAUCUCUCAUUAGCAACCUUUAGCUUCUCUGUAACUCCCACAAUCUCACAAGGAAUUAUGAUCCAUAAUUUUUCAUUAAUUUCAUGGAGUGAUUAUGUAACUACAAAAGGAGAGCUCAUCUUUUUGUUUUGUAUACACAAUUGGAAUGAAUAAAAUCACUCUAAAAUAUAUUCUCUCAUUUUAUUCUUUAUCUUGCGUUGCUUCUUUAUUUGUGUUGUUGGCUAAUAGUUUUUUUUUUAUUUAAACCACCCGGUUUCCGACGACCGCAUUGGAUACUUCUACUGCAUUCAACAUUUCUAAUUUUUAUUGGUUGAUAUACGUGUGAAUGACAACACAAUCCUCUGAGGUAUUUUUUUAAUUAUUAAUGUUUGUUAAUCUUUAAGUGUAUAUUAGAAAUUAUUGAUCCUUAUGUUUUAACAUAUUUAUGUUAUUUUCCCAUAAUAUUACAGAUGUUGUCGGAAGUUUAUGUGGUGUGGGUGAUAUUGAGAUUGUUGGAGCUGGUUGGAAAAAAAGACAUAUAAAAGUUCUAAAAGAUUAGCAAGUUGAAUAUAAUUUGGAACUUAUCAACAACUACAAAAGGUAUAAGGUUUGUACACUUACUAUACACAUUAAUAUAUAUAUAUUUAAAGUUAACAAACAAAUAAUUAACUUUAAUAAAUAACAUUAAUUUUAUAAGGUUGCCUCAUCUUUAAAAAAAAUCAAUUCAUAUUUUUUAUCAGUUUCAUCAAGUGUAAAGUAAGAAAAAAUGAUAAUACUAAAUUAUUUUUUUAAAGCCGCGUGAAAUGCGGUUCUAUUUUCUAGUAAUUUAUAAACCGAGGCCGGGCCCCAAGUCUUUUAAUUUUCUUCCUUUCUUUCCAUAUUUGUCGUUGGGUUAUAAACUUCCCCAAUUCUACCUUUUAUGUGCACGUGAAUCAUGACAUACCCCUUGAGUCAUGCUUUCAAGUUAUAAUUCCUUUCAAUCUUUGCCACGGCUUCAAGUCUCAAAAUCACACAGCAAUACAUCAUAACCCGAAAAUUUAUAAAUAAUCAAUAAUAUAUAAAUGUAAUCAUCUAUUGAAUCAGUUCAUUAUUUAUUCGUAUUGCAAGCAUCACCCCUAUCAUUCAUAGUUUUCACUUUUUAGUGAUGUUCACAAAAUCCUAACCAUACUAUGCAAUUGAGAUAUGAUCAAUAACACUUUGAUAACAUAUUUUAAAAAACAUAAAUUCUUCUAUAAAAAGUCAUUAUUCUGGGGGUUAAUUUCCAUAGGUUUCUAUUAGUUAAUUUUUUCCAACUAUUUUUGAUGAAAUUAGAUAGAUUUGCCUUCAUAUUUGGGGCAAAUAGUUUCAGCGAAUCAUGAAUAAGCUUCCACACAUUUUAGAAAUCUUAUCUUUUUUAAUUUUAUACUUUUUCUUUAAUUUGCAUUUUGGUUCACAUGACCAAAAAUUAAGUUCCAUGCGUUUUUCAAUUUGUGGAAAUUCAGUUUUUUUUUUUUGUGGAAAUUUCGGUGGAGUCAAUAUGGCUAGAAAUUCGUAGAAGGAUGAAUCAAAAUACUCAAUUAUUGUUGUAGACUUGUAAGGCAGCUAACGGAGUCCACACGUUUCAAUGUUUGUUUACAGUUCAGCUUUCCCUUUGAUUAGUUAUCAAAAUAGAAACAUGAUUAUCAAUUUCAACUGUAUGUCUUUCAUGCCUUAACUUUCUUCCUUUCUUUCCAAAUUUCUCAUUUUGCUUUAAUUUUCCACAAUUUACCUCCACGAAUUGAUUGACCUGUUACCCACCACACUUCAAUACUAAUAAUAAUAAAUAAAUUCUUCAAGCAAUUGACAUUUGACCCACCCCACUUCAAUAAUAAUGCUAAUGGGACAUCAUAAAUUCUUCUAUUCAAAUAUAAUACUCAUGACUUUGACGGCCGAAACAUGUUUCAUGGCACAAAUAAUGACGGUUUUGUUUGAGGUACGGUGGAGGUGUCUAUUCAAAUAUUUGAAGCCAGCCCCUCGUUUUAUCUAAACCACAAGCAGGCUCAGCCGAAAUUGUUUAAUAUUUUUAUUUUUUCAAGAAACUCUCACUAUAAGGCUUAUGUGAAAAUUUGGUUGACAGUUUAUGUAUUUAAUUAUUUAUUUUACCACACAUGUCAUGUGUAGGUUUUAUUUACCUUGAGCAGUGGUCAAUGCAUUAGACCCAAGAUAAAGUGUGUUGAGGUAGGGGAAUUAAUGAUCGCAUUAGCUGUAGCACCUAUCUUCAAUCUCUAAUUUUAACUUUCUAUAGAUGAAGUGUUUUCAAAUUCCUCAAAUGUCUGUAAUCUGUUUAAUAAUUGAAGAAAGUUAAAAUUCAUUUUCUAAAUUUAAGGUUAAACUCCCAAUAAAAAAUUUUAUUUUCAUUCAAUAUUGUCAUUAGAUGGUAAUCACUUUGUACGAGAGAUUCCAAAAAAUUUGUCUCAUUGCUCCUCACUAGAAAGAUUGUAUCUUAGUGAUAAUAAUCUCUUGGUAGGAUUUCACAAUGGUUGGAUAAUCUUUCAACAUUACAACAUUUUAUAAUGCUCAAGAAACACAUUCUUGAAGGUCUUAUUUCAAUGGAGUUUUAUCAGCUUGAUUCUCUUCAAAUUUUGGACAUUUCAAACAAUAAUGUAUUUAAGAGUUUAUUAUCUUGUUUACAUAAAAAUAUAUGCCUAUAGGCAGGUAAAAGAAGGUACAUUUUUUAAUUACUCUUCCUUAGGGACAUCAUAUCUUAGCUAUAGCCACUUGAAUGAGAUCAUUUCAAGUUGGGUUGAUAGGCUUUCUCAAGCAAGCCACUUCAUACUGACCCACAAUAAUCUUAAAGAUGAAGUAUCUGCUCAGUUGUGCCGAUUGAACCAAUUGCUAUUGAUAAAUCAUGCUGAUAACAGUCUUUCCAGCCAUAUUCUUCAUUGCUUAAACAAGUGAACUUGUUUCAUUGAGAGAGUAGUGAAACAAGGAAAAAAAAAAGUUUUGACUUUUAUCAGUUAGUUGACUGUUAAGUAAAAAGUAUGCAAAUAUCAUUUUAUACUUUAGAUUGUUAAAAACUAAUGGAAAAAUAACGUCAUUUGAGGAUAAAUUGAAAUUUUCAUACUUUUAAAAAGUAAAGUGAAAAUUAUCAUUCUAAGUGUGGAUAAAUUAAAGUUACACUCAUAAAAAACACAUCUAAUAAUUUAUACACCAAGGCAGGCCCAAGUCUUUCAAUUUUCUUCCUUUCUUACCAUACUUAUCGUCCUGUAAUAAAUUUCCACAGUUCUACCUUUUUUGUACACAUGAUUCAUGACAUACUCCAUGAGUCAUGCUUUCAAGUUAUAAUUCCUUUCAAUAUUUGCCACGUUUGCAAGUUUCAAAAUCACAUAGUAAUAUGUCAUAACAAGUCCGAAAAUUCAUAAAUAAUCAAUAAUAUAUAAAAGGAAAUUAUCCACCGUCUAUCCGUUUUUUCAACUUUUUCAAAAAUACACAAUUUUUUUUUUUUUUGCUGGAAUCCACCUGAAGUUACAUUUCUUUUCACUUUUCCACUUCCGUUUGGAAUCCGUUAAGGAAAUUAAGGGAAUAUUGUUAAAUGACUUUUUUACCCUCAAAUGUAAAAGAUAAUUUAUCCAUCGACCACUUGUUUUUUCGUAUUUUUUCAGAAAUACACAAUUCUUAAUUUUUUUUUUGCUGACCUCCACUCGAAGUUGUAUUGUUUUACACCUAUCCACCACUGUGUCGUUGUAAAAUGAUGAUUUACCCUUAUAAUGUUAGCAAAGUUAUAACGGUCUCCAAACGGAAGUGGAAAAGUGAAAAGAAAUGUAAUUUCAGGUGGAUUCCAGCAAAAAAAAAAAAGAAUUGUGUAUUUUUGAAAAGCAGUGAAAAACGGGUGGAUGGUGGAUAAUUUCCCAUAUAUAAAUAUGAUCAUCAAUUGAAUUUGAAUCAGUUCGUUAUUUGUUCAUAUUGCAAACAUCACCUCUAUCAUUCAUAGUUUUCACUUUUUAGUGAUGUUCACAAAAUCCUAACCACACUAAGCAAUUGAUAUUCAAUCAAAGACACUUUGAUAACAUAUUUUAAAAAACAUAAAUUCUUCUAUAAAAAGUCAUUAUUCUAGGGGUUAAUUUCUGUAGGUUUCUAUUAUUUAAUUUUUUUCCAAUUAUGUUUUAUGAAAUUAGAAGAUUUGUCUUCAUAUCUAGGGUACUUAGUUUUAGUAAAUUAUGCAUCACCUUCCACACAUUUUAGAAAGAUGAUCUUUUUUUUAAUUUUAUACUUUUCUUUCAUUUACUUUUUGGUUCAUAGGGCCAAAAUUUAAGUUCCAUGCAUAUGCAUUUUGUGGAAAUUCAGUUUUUAUUUUUUUAUUUUGUGGAAAUUUCGGUGGACUCAAUACGGCUAGAAAUUCUUAGAAGGAUGAAUCUAGGGCAGCUAGCAGAGUCUACGAGUUUUAAUGUUUGUUUACAGUUCAAUUUUCCAUUUGAUUAGUUAACAAAAUAGAAACAUGAUUAUCAAUUUCAACUAUAGUUCUUUCAUGCCCUUAACUUUCUUCCUUCCUUUCCAUAAAUUCUCAUUUUGCUUUAAUUUUUCACAAUUCUACCUUGGAUGGUGUUGAUUCAAAUUUUUUCUCAAUGUACAAUGAUUGAUUUGUGUUUCGGACAUUCUUCUAAAUCGAGUUCUGUGGCAUAUUUUUUUCCUUGAGGCGAGUGUCUCAAAUCAUAUGUCUCCUUGUGGUUAAUUAUUUUGUAAAAAGAAACAAUUAUCAAAGGGUGCCGACAUGCCGGCAAUAACCCUCCGACACUCAAGUUAGUUCUUUUUACUCAAGUUUUAAAGAGAGAGAAUCUAGAGCAAGAUGGGCAGAGUUUUGCUCGCAUUUUAUGCCUUUUUUCCUCUUACUUUCAAAUGCCGGUCUUGGCCUUUAUAUAGACAACUUAGAGUCAAUUGGAGAGAUUAUGUGGCACUUUUCUUGUGACAAGUGUCAGCCAAAGUCCAUGCAUGGCGACAUAUAUUCAUAUGUGUCAAUACUUGCUCAUGACAAAUAAUCUUUGGACAUUUGUCAUGUUUUUGGGCUAUUAACCUUUAAUGGACUUUAGCUUAAAUUCGGCACUUAUAUUGGUUUCUUACAAAGAGGAUUGAUUUUGCAACAUUUUGCCCAUAAGCACAUUCCGCAAAAUGUUUGUUAGCCAGUAGGUGUUGAGUGUUAGAAAAUGUAUAUUUAUAAAGGAGAAAAUCAUCAUUUUACAUUUCAAGUUUUACUAACAAUCCUUACUUUUAUGUAUUUAAGCUUCUUGCAAUUUAAUUAUGUGUGUUUGAUUUUAAUUAAGUAUUUUAUGUAUUUUAGGGGCAUCAUGGUUAUUUCACAAUAAACGAGAGAUCAGACGGCAAAACGAAUAUCACUUUUGAACUUAGGACGGUCGAAAACCUUAGGAGGAGCAUAAAAGAAAAAAUGGCACUAUUCACAUGUACGGUAUUAUUCACGUGUACGGUACUGUUUACGUUACUGUUCAUAAUACUGUUCACAUAGACGGAUUGAUGACGUGGCAUUGACUGAUGAGGUGUCACGAUCCUGUUGGGCUAAAAUUCUUAUGUACUGUUGAUGGUGACGUGGCAGCAUAUCAGUAGACGAAAAAAUCUCGCGUACGGUACAUGCAUCACACAGGAUUAUUUUCAACCAAACCGCGUCACUGUUCAACCCAGGUCAAACCGUGUUACUGUUCAUCCACGUGGUCAAACCGCGUACUGUUGACUGAUGACGUGGCGCAAUCCUGAGCGUCCAAACUGUUUUUAAUCCGAUAGCCAUGAUUUACUUCAUGUAUCUAUAAAAAGGGGGCCUCUCCCCCCUAAUUGGAUAGCUCUGAAUCCAUUUUUGGGAUCCAUUUUUUGUAAUUCCUUCUCCAUUUUGUAUUUUCUACAUAUUUUAAUAAUUCCCAUUUUGCCCCUAGUUCAAUUAUGAGUGGCUAAUUUUCUUUCAAGCUUGGGUUGAAGGUGAAGUCUCAACAUGUGUCAUGGGCUUAAUUUGGUAGAUUUACUUUCUCUUCCCAUCUAAUUUUUGUGGAUGUUUUGACUUCUCGUCGACAAAUAAUACUAAUCUUGUCUAGUACCGCCUUGGUUUCACCGGCUCCGUAGUACAAGGUUAUUAUUAUUUGGCACGAUAAGCCCUUAGCACCAUAUUGAUUAGAGUGUGGUUUAUGAGGUGUGGAUUUCCCCCUUAUGAUUUAAUUGAUAUUAAUAAGGAAUAUUUAGCCCAUGGUACAUGUUGAUACGGAUUCAGAUACCCAAGUACGUCAUUUCAAUAGAAUUCUCUUCAAUUUAUUCUCGCCAUUUCAAUUCCAAUUUUAGAAUUUAUUCUCGCCAUUUUAAUUUAAAUUUUAGCAUAUUCCAAAUCAUUUCCACCACAAAUCCAAUCACCCAUUUACAAAAUUAAUUCUACACACAAUUAAAAUCCACCUCCUCGUGGGAUCGACACUCGUCACCAUUAGUCUAUACUACAAUAGAUUCGUGCGUUUGCGAGUACAUUAAAAUUUGCACAGCAGUAGGCUCGCUCCGUGGAAUGUUUGUUGGCCCGUUGGCACAUUCCAUAAAAUGCAUAUAUUUGCCCGUAUGCACAUAUUGUAGAAUGUAUAUUUCUUCGUAGGCGCAAUCUGCCCGUAGCCGCCAUCCGUAGAAUGUGUAUUUGUCCAUAGGCCUAUUGCAUAGAAUGUGUGUUUGCCUGUAGACCCAUUCCGUAGAAUGUGCAUUUGCCCGUACGCCCAUUUCGUAGAAUGUGUAUUUGCCCGUAGGCUCAUUCUAUAGAAUGUAUAUUUGCCCGUAGGUGCACUCCGAGUAGCUCAUGUGCUCUUAGAAAUAUUUUUGAAGUGUCUAGAUCAUGAACGGACCUAGGUCAUUUUUUGUGAGGAAUGGACCUAGGUCGUUCUUUGUAAAAAAUAGACCUAGGUCCUUCUUUGUUGAAUCAUGCCUUUGGCACUUUGUGAAGACUCGUAAGGAAUGGACUUAGGUCAUUCUUUGUAAGCAAUGAACGUAGAUCAUUCUUUAAGACUUAGGUUUUUCUAUGAUAAAUCACGCUUUUGGCUUUUUGUCGUGUCUUGCAUUUAGACACUUUAGUUAGAAUUGUAAAUACCUUGGCCAUUCUUAUAGAGAACACACAUGGGUUAUUUUAUAUAAAAUAAUUUUAUUGGGCCUAUAUUUUUUGUGGGUUUUGGACCUUUCAUAAUUUGGGCUAACAGAGGCCCCCGAAGUCUUACUUUUCAAUUUUGAGAAGUGAGACUUUUUUUGUACUUUUUUUUAGGCUUUUCUUUGGCUUUUCUUAUUACAAAUUAAAUUUUAAGGCUUGAAAUUUCUCUAAGGCACCUAUCCUAUUAAAAUUAGUCUACAACCAAUCUCACAUACUUCAUUUAAUGAUUUGUAGCUCUCUACAAUCUAUCUUAAUUUAACAAUUAUUGAAAAGUAUAAAAAUAAGGAGUUAGUAAAAGUAUCAUUUAAAAAGAGAUACUUGACUUUUUCUAAAUAGUAUGUGAGAAUUUUCUGACAAUUCUUUGGCGAGCUACUGUUGAAGCUCUUCGAGUGCUCAUCGAUCUAAGAAGCAAUGCCAAAUCUUUUCCUGAAAGGUCAUCUUUGAAACUGAAUUGCUUCAAUGGUAAACAUUUUUGUAGAUAGCGAUCCCAGUCAAUUCUCAUAUAUACUUACCCUUAGGCAUUUUGGUUGAGAUCAACCAAAGCUGUAGUCAACAUCCGCCCUUGGAAGAUUUAGUCAAUAGUUGCCCCUAAGCUUUUUGACAUUGGCUUUAAGGUGUUUCUCGUCAACACUAACUCUCGGACGUUUUUAUCUAAAACAUGUCAUUAGGUGUUUCAGACAAUCAUUUGCCUUUUAAUGUUUCACUUAGAAUAUUUUCCCUCAGGUCUAUUAUUAUAAUUCGCUUGUGGACGGUUUCCUUCAAAAAUUAAUUUGAAGUAAUUGGACCUAGGUCAUCCUUUAAAAGAAAGGACCUAGGCCCUUUUAUCAUAAUUUACUCGUGGGCAGUUUCGUAGAACUUAGCCCGUAAGCAUUCUCUUUAGAAUGAUUUUUCUAAGAAUUGGACCUAGGUCAUUUUUUACAAGAAUGGACCUAGGUCUUUUUAUUAUAAUUCGCAUGUGGGCACUUUUUAUAGAAUACUAAUUCUAAGUGAUUGGACCUAGAUCAUUCUUUGAAAGAAAGGACCUAUAUCUUUUUAUCAUAAUUCAGCCAUAUAUGGUUUCCUUAGAAGAUUAAUUCUAAGUAAUUUGACGUAGGUCUCUUUAUUAUAAUCCGCCCGUAGGCACUUUCCUUAGAAAAUUGAUUUUAAGUAAUUGGGCUUAAGUCUCUUUUUAAAGGAAAUGACGUAGGUCUCUUUUUAAAUUGAUUCUAACUUUGUCACUACUUUGAUUGCAUCAAGUGAUGAAUAAUGUCGUAAUCAGAAUUUUCAAGGGGGUAUUUGGGAAUAUUGCCCCCUUCAGAGUUUUAAAAGCCAGAGAAAGAAGACUUUUUGUAUUGUAUGGUACCAUGGUAUGCCCCGUAUGCCUUUCUUAAUGAUAAAGUAGCAGAUUCUCCUUCAAUUUAAUUUCUUUUUGUUCCAAGCCAAAAUAAAAAAAUUUCUGCUCACUAGCCGUACUCUGUUCUUGAUGAACAUUAGGAGGCAGUUCAAGACAUGGAUUCUCAAAGUCAAUUGUAUCGAUGAUACUUGGGUGUGUAUGACAUUUUUAUUAAUAAUUUUAAUCAUUCAUUGAUAAAUUCUUCUAUUAACAAAAAUAAUUUCUCCAAAAUUAAUUUUUCUACUCGCAGACCAUACUUUGUUCUUGAUGAACAUUAGUUGGUACUUCAAAACGUGGAUCCUCAAGUCAAAACGGUAAAUUUUUUUCAUCAGUGAAUCAUUAACUAAACAAGUGAUCUUAGAUUUCAUUCUUGUGUCUAUGAUAUGUGGGUGUGACUGACAUUUGAGGAACAAUUACAAGAGUGAAAAAGGAGAAUACAUAAUAUAUUCAACCACUAAAAAUAAAAGUCAUUUUUAUUUUAUUCCAUCUUACUCGAAUUUGAUACAACUAGUGGGUGUGUUGUAACUAAUCUUAUUUGUCCCUUUGAAAUAACCGAUAAUAAUCUUAUCACCGAAUGUUUAACAGACUCGUAACGUCAUAACGUAACUACCACGUCAAGCAAACACGUGGACUCAGCCGUGAACUACAACCGCAUAACCGUUACAUAUAUAGACUAGUAUGAAGCGGUGGAGUUAAAGCAAGCGUUUAAGAAGUGAUUUAAGCUGAUGCAAGCGUAAAGUAUGAGACGAAUAAAACAACAUACAAUUCAACAAAAGUCUAACAUGCCCUGUUCAAACUUAUAAUUUUCUACUAUUACCUUACCCGACAAUACAAUCCAAGUAGCUGGCAGCCACACCGCAAACUUCCACUAUCAUCUUCUCCUUUCAAACUUAUAAUUUUCUUUUUUCUUUUUUAUUUUCUGGAAAGAGCUGGCUUUCCUUGAUUUUUGCUUUUUGUCAACAAUUAUUCAUGCCUUUUUAUUUUUCUCCAUCACACUUUUUUUCUUUCCCAACUUCCACGAGCUGAGCCGUCGUCGCUUUUUGAAAGAAACAGUAUGGAAGCUAUCAAGAAACAGGCAAUCAAGCUCCGAGAACAAGUCGCCAAGCAGCAGCAAGUCCGUUUCUUUUCUUUUUUUGUUUUUAAAUUAUUUAGACUUUUAAUUAGUGAAAUUUCUCGAUUUUAUUUAUUUUUCAUUAGUUUUUUAUGGUUUGUACAGGCAGUAUUGAAGCAUCUGCUCCAUCUUGGCAUUGAAAAUGUUGCGGUUGAUAAAGCUGACAUUGAGUGUCACCAACAACUUCAAAAUCUAUACAAUUCCACCAGGGCAGCUAAGGCACCAUCCUCCUUUAGCUAAUAAUAAGACUCUGUUUGAUAUUGAUUUAUUGUGGCUUUUGGUAAUUAGAUAUGAUUUUUAAAUAAUAAUUUUGUCAAAUAUGGUACAAACAACUGUAUUUUCUAGACUGAAGUUGCAAGUAUUUACCAACGGAGCUUAAUGUAUGUUGAACAAUUAUGAUGGUUUGUAUGGUUUUAUCUGAACAAUAAUUUGGAAUAUAUGCUCUGUAGCGCAGCAUUUUCAGAGGAAUAUUGUCCGUGGCGUUGAAGGGUUUGUUGCAGUAAGCUUGAAACAAAUGGAAAUAUGUUGUUUGUUUGCUCUUGCUCUUGUUAUAAUAUUUGAUUUUUUUUUAUUUAUUUUCUUGACUAGUUCUUGUGUACAAUAUUUUUGUAUUCAAAUAUUGUAGCGAGAAAGUUGGCCGAAGAUUGUUGCAAGUAUGGAGCGGAGAAUCAAAGUGACAAUUCUUGCGUUGCAAGAGCUGCUCUUCAAUUUGGCACUUCACAUGAUUUGAUGGAAAAUGAGAGGGAAACUUUGCUUGGGAUUCUUCAUGAUCAGGUUAGUUCAUCCCUAACUAGAAAAUAAUUCAAAUAUAGAAAAUUAUAUGUAAAUUACUACGGAAACUAUUAUCUUCUCAUAAGGAAAUUUAGUUCUAAGAUAUUGAAUAAAAGAAUCCAUUUUAAAGUUACAACUCUGAAAUAUUUAAUGUUUUAUAUUAAAAUCAUUGCUAGUGACAUCCAUGACUUGAUAGUUUUAUUGGUUCAAAUGUUGAAGAGACCUUGUACUUCUUACAUCACUAGCGAAGACUGGCGUGGGACAAGUUAUUGGCCGUGAGUUCUCUCAAUUGACUCCAAGCAUUUUGGAUAAAGACAUUUGCAUCUGUAGUAAAAUCAAAUCCAUGAGACUGAAGGAUGCAUGGGGAAGUCUUACAACCUUUAUUUGCAUAGGUAGAUGCUGAGAAAACAUAUCAUCAACACGUUAUUGAUAUUUUAGAGAAGUUGUAUGCGGAGGUUUGGGACUAUGCAUUUUAACUUGCUUGUCCCCAUCUAUCUAUUCCUUGGAGCGUUCUCUUCUUGCUAUUUUCGUCUCACUUAUGCAAAAGAAUAAUUGUGACUUUUUAGUCCCUUCCAACCCUUGCUACUUGAAUUAGAUGAUCCUAUAGGAGCAAUCAAAUGAGUCCUCCUCGCAACAUGUGACUUUCGAAAUGGAUGUACAUGCCUCAUGUGUCUAUCAGAGUACUGAUUCAAAUGGAGCUGAUUUGCAAACGCAUAUUAAUCAGAAUGACGUCUACUUUAUAGCAAAAGUAAGGCUCCUGCUCUCUUGCAUAGGUGAAAGUCCCUCUAUUGCCCUCCUCCUGGAAAAUCUUAAGAAAUAAGAUGCGCACAAAAUUGAAUGCUGUCUUUUAAGAUUUUUUUUUUUAAAAAAAAAGAAUUUUGUUGUAUUUUACCAUGAAAGUUGUUAAUUUACUGAAUUACAAACUUAUCAAUUAAUUUGAUGUUGCACAGUCUUUUUCUUAACAUAUUGCAUUCAUAUUUUAAUUUUGGAGCAAUAAAAUUUUUUUUCUACUAUCACUACCAUCUGGGCAGGUAUUUGUAUUAUUGCACAACAUCUACGGAAGUAGUGAUUAGUCUUAAAAGUUGAAGAUGUCUGUCUGUAUCCUUUCAUCCUAGAUAAAUUGUCAUAUGAUCGUAGGACAAAUUGUAAUUAUUUUUUAAAAUUUAUUAGUUAACACCUUGAAAAUUCUUUUCCCCCAAAUAAAAUUACUCUAAAAGUGUCCAAAUGUGGUGCUGAGGAAGCCAUUCUUAGGAAACUUUAUUUAGGAGAACAGGACUUUUAAGCAUGAGGUUUAGCAAACACCAAUGAAUUAAAAAAGCGAUAGAUGUCGGAUGAGCUAGAUAGAAUGCAUGGGCUAGAAAUAUCAUGUGUCUCUACUAUCAAUAUCUUAGCAACAUCAAAGCUGAGUUAGGCAUGCCAAAGAAAGGCAAACCACUGAAAGUUGUGUAGCCACUCACGACGUAGCAGGUGAUGUAAAGUCUUGAUAUUGCUUAUAGAUACAAGACUGAUAGCUCAACAUCCCUCUUUUUGAGAUUUUCUCUUAAGUUAGAUGGGCCUUUUUAUGAUUAUGUCUGAAUUAUGAUUCUCCUUACUUGGUUUACCUAGAAAAACUAUGUUUAUAUGGAUGUGACUUGGGGGCAAUCUAUGUAUUUGAUGAUAAAUCUGGCCGAGAAAACUUAAAUUAUUAGGCAGAGGAAAUUGACUGACCAUAAGCUGUCAUGUUAAAUCCAUCACUUAAAAGAUGUCGGUCACUUGGAAUCCCCAUUAUCUAUGACUUUCUUGUGCAUAGGCCAUGUUUUGUGGAGAGCAGUCAAAAUUUCAGAUUUAAAAUCUUAUCCAUAAUUUAAAAAUGGAAUUUUGUUUCUAAUAUAUCUUUGUUGGCCAUAAUCAUUGUAGUUACAAUGAACGCUGCUGCUACUGCUGCUGCUUUUGUUAUGCUUUUUUAAAGAUUAAGUUCUAUUUAUCCUAGUAUCUUAUAGGUUAUACAUCCAUUUGACGCUCAAGCAAAUGGGGAGCUAAGUCUUUCAAUUGAUGAUUAUGUUGUGGUUCGCCAGGUACUUUCCCCUCUAAAUAACAACACAGAGAUUUUUCUACUAUGCUAUUAACUUAUCCUUCUAACAACUUAUGAUAUGUGGAAUUUAGAACUAAUGCUUAUACUAAUUUGAUGUUCAAAGCACAUGGCAUUUUGUUCUUAAAAUUUUGAUUGAAAAGCAAUGAGUUAACAUAUGAUGGUUGGUUUUCUUUCUUCCUACCAUAUAUUCCCUUUUAUAUUGAAGUGCAAAUCAGAAUAUAGUAGGGUUGCUAGCUCAGUUCUAAACCACCCAGUUUACCCUUAUAGAUAUGUGAAUUUAUAUCUUGUUAUGCUUCCAUGGUUAAUGUUGUUAUUUCAGUGAUCACAACUAAUUCACUCCUCCUACGUAAAAGAAUUAGUUUUCCCCUUAGGUCUUUGAACGGUCAACUUUUGUUUAAUUCACUGUUUUAGUUAUAACUUCUCAAGGUGGCUCUUAUGGAUGGUCGGAAGGUGAAUGCAAGGGCCAAGUUGGUUGGUUUCCCUCGGCAUACAUAGAAAGACAAGAAAAAGCCCCAGCUAGAAGGAUAUCAGAAACAAACUCCUCACCCAAAUGUGAUGCGACUUCUUAAUAAACUCUUGCCAAGUAUCUAUAUGUUCUUUUUCCUGUAUUAUAUUGCCAUUUUAGUUUAUAGAACGACUGCGACAAUUGAUAAGUGGUUUGAUUGCUUCUCUUAAUGAAAUCUUACUAAGCUCCAAGUAAUAUGUGCGAUCAUAUGCAUUUUAAUAUUUGUAUUUAUCUCCUAGUUGAGGAGAAUAUUUGUAGUAACAACUGUGUUUCCAAAUUGCCAAAAAAAAAAAAAUACACAUCAUGUUUAGCAACAAAUUUUUACUAUUAUUUCUUCCCAGUUUUAAUUUACUUUCUCCGUGAAUUGAAUGUUAUAUUAGUAGCUUGAUCAGAAAGUAACUCAUAUCAAUCAAACUACCUUGAUGCAAGAGAUUGAAUUUAGAAUUUCUCUAUCUUUGUGAAACUUUCCAAUCAUAAUGUUAUGAAAUAUGUGGGCAUGAACUUUUUAAUUUCUAGUUGCAUUUGGAGUAUGUAUGAUAUAAUCUGAAUCACUUGCAUAAUGUUCUUCAUCUUCCANNNNNNNNNNNNNNNNNNNNNNNNNNNNNNNNNNNNNNNNNNNNNNNNNNNNNNNNNNNNNNNNNNNNNNNNNNNNNNNNNNNNNNNNNNNNNNNNNNNNUUCUAACUAAUGAAAUUUUCUAGUCUAAAUUAUGAAAUAUGUGGGAUUGACUUAGAAAUUUUGGUAACAUGUCGAGAAUGUAUGGUAUAAUUUGAAUUCAUUAGCAUAAUCUUCAUCUUCAUUGAUUUGUAAAUUAUGAAACUAAUAUAUAAAAAACUAAUGUUAGAUCCUAAUUAUCUUUAGUUCUUAAAAUUGUUGAGGAGAUAUGAAAUUCUGGUGGGUGGAUUUGAGAGUUUUAGCUUUGAGAAUAUUGCUUCAUCUCUACUUUGAUGUUGUUGUGCCCCUUGUUGUGGCGAGGCAUUAAUCUUCCUAAAUUUUUUGUCAAGCUUCAACUUUAUUAUAUAUAUACCUUUCUUGAUAAAAUGUCUGGGUCCAUCGCUGGAUUUGGUGUUAAUGACACUAGUGAAGAAGAUGAUGAUAGCACCAUAAUCAUUAUUUUUUAAAGUAAAAUAGGCGAUCAAGUGCAUCUAGGUGUUUCAUUUCUUGUGUAUGAUUAUAAAACUAUUCUGAAUAUAGUUUCUAAAUGAAUGUUAUAGAGUGGCUGCUUUUAACAUUGGAGAUGGUUCUCUUAUUUAAGUAUGCUGCACAGUAUAGGGAAGUAUAAGUUAUGGUGGAUAGAUAUGAGUUUGGAAGUGUGGAGACAAAUGUGAAGUGCUUGGAAGUUGGAAGCUAUAUAACGCUAAAUACUUCUACAAUUUUAAUAAAAAAUAAAAAUAAAUUUAUUUCCUAAGCAAACUUGAUUAGUACUUAAAGAAUCAUAAUUAAGCUACUAAUUAAUUUCAAUGACAAAAUCUUGUUGGAAUAAGAUUGUCUACAACAAAAUAAUAACAUGAAGUUAUCCACAUUUCAACAAAGUAAAACAAUUUACGUCGCCAAUAAGAAUUUACAUAUAAAACAAUAACAAUUCCAAAUAUCACUAUUACGUACGAUGUUGUAAAUGUGAUAAAGAAACUGUCCGUGUCAAUUAAAAUGUCUGGGUCCAUCGCUGGAUUUGGUGUUAAUGUUUCUAGUGAAGAAGAUGAUGAUAGCACCAUAAUCAUUCUUUUUAAAAGUAAAAUAGGCGAUCAAGUGCAUCUAGGUGUUUCAUUUCCUGUGUAUGAUUAUAAAACUAUUCUGAAUAUAGUUGGCGAUCAAGUGCAUCUAGGUGUUUCAUUUCUUGUGUAUGAUUAUAAAACUAUUCUGAAUAUAGUUUCUAAAUGAAUGUUAUAGAGUGGCUGCUUUUAACAUUGGAGAUGGUUCUCUUAAAUAAAGUUUGCUGCACAGUAUAGCGAAGUAUAAGUUAUGGUGGAUAGAUAUGGGUUUGGAAGUGUAGAGACAAAUGUGAAGUGCUUGGAAGUUGGAAGCUAUAUAACACUAAAUACUACUACAAUUUUAAUAAAAAAUAAAAAUAAAUUUAUUUCCUAAGCAAACUUGAUUAGAACUUAAAGAAUCGUAAUUAAACUGCUAAUUAAUUUCAAUGACAAUAUCUUGUUGCAAUAAGAUUGUUUACAACAAAAUAGGAACAUGAAGUUAUCCACAUUUCAACAAAGUAAAACCAUCUACGUCGCCAAUAAGAAUUUACAUAUAAAACAAUAACAAUUCCGAAUAUCACAAUUAUGUACGAUGUUGUAAAUGUGAUAAAGAAACUGUCCAUGUCAAUUAAAUUAUCAUUUUUUGUUGGGGGGGGGAAAAAAGGGGCCCCCAAAAAAAAAAAAAAAAAAACUUUUUUUUUUUAAAAAAAAAAAAAUUUUUAAAAAUUUUUGGAAGGCGUUAAAUGUUGCAAAUUGUNNNNNNNNNNNNNNNNNNNNNNNNNNNNNNNNNNNNNNNNNNNNNNNNNNNNNNNNNNNNNNNNNNNNNNNNNNNNNNNNNNNNNNNNNNNNNNNNNNNNNNNNNNNNNNNNNNNNNNNNNNNNNNNNNNNNNNNNNNNNNNNNNNNNNNNNNNNNNNNNNNNNNNNNNNNNNNNNNNNNNNNNNNNNNNNNNNNNNNNNNNNNNNNNNNNNNNNNNNNNNNNNNNNNNNNNNNNNNNNNAUCAGCUUGUUGCAAGAAAGAUCAAGUCCUGAUAGGAGGCUAAGCACUUUUCCUUGGUAAAUGUACGCAAUGUUCUUUGUUGUGAACUCAAAAUUUUCACGGAUUUGCUUUUCUACAUCUCCGUCAGGGCCGUCGAUGGAAAAAGAUAUUUCAAAUUGCUCAUCAAGACUAGAACUAUUGCUGUAACUGUCAUGAAGUGUGGUGUUAUCAAAGCAAGGAGGAAUAGGACCGUGAAGAUUAUUAUUAGAAAGAUCUAACAAUUGUAGUUGGUUCAAUUCGCACAAUUGAACUGGCACUUUACCUUCAAGAUUAUUGUGACCUAAGAUAAGGUGACUUAACUGAGAAAGCCCAUCAACCCAAUCCGGAAUGCUGCCAUUCAAGCGGUUAUAGCUAAGAUCUAAUGUCACAAGGGAAGAGCAAUUAAAGAAUGUACCUCUUUUUAGUUGUCCAUGUAACAUAUUUUUUGAAAGAUGAACUUGUUUGAUAUUGAGAGGAUGGAAACAAGAUGGUAGACUUCCAGAUAUGUUGUUGUCUGAAAUGUCCAAAAUCUGAAGCAAAUCCAGUUGACAAAACUCCAUUGGAAUAGAACCUUUAAGAUGAUUCUUGUGCAUUGUAAUAUGUUGUAAACUUGUGAGACUGCCUAACCAUCGUGGAACCUUACCCGAAAGACUGUUAUUAUUAAGGUACAAUCCUUCUAGUGAGGAGCAUUUAUAUAAACUUUGUGGGAUCUCUCUUAUGAAGUGAUUGUCCUCCAAUUGUAACCAUAUUAAAUUUGCCAGGUUAAAAUUUCUACAGAACAUGUGACCUUUUAGGUUGUUGUUUGAUAACGCUAGAAACUCCAAGUUAACGCAACCGACGGCCAAGCGCUCAGGGAUUUCACCAGUCAAUUGAUUGCUGGAUAAGUCCAAAAUUCUGAGGAAGUUCAUUUUACCAAAUGAAGAGGGAAUGCUACCAUGCAAGGCAUUCGUGGAAAUGUUAAAAGAAAAUAAACUUGGUAAAAUAUCUCUAAUUUCUACUGGAAUAUGGCCUUGGAAGUUGUUGUUGGAGACACCCAAGAAUCUUAACCGCCUGUGUGGAUGAAUUGGCAAUUAAAAAGGUCCUCCAAUAGAAUCAUUGAUGAGAAAAAGAGUUUCUAAUUUUGUGUUGUUUUCCAACAACCAAUUUGGAAAUUCUCCAUUCAUCUUUAUAUGUGAGAGAUGAACAUCCUCCAGGUCAUGUUGAUGGUAAAGGAAUUUGGGGAAUGUGACACCAUCUCCACAACCGGAAGACAACAAGAGAGAUUGUAAUUGGAAGUUUGGGGCGGUCAAAGAAUGUGACUCAGUUAUUUCAGCUUUUAUUUCAUUGUUGUAAGCCCAUAAGCUCUUGAGUCUUGAGUGAUUGAAAAGUGGUUUAAGUGAAAUUGGGAUGCAGAAGUGAUUCUUUGAAAGUAUUAGCUCUUCAAUGGAUGUCAAAUGAACGAGGGGAGUGAUAACUCUAGGAAAUGAGAGUUAUUACAUCAAUUCUAAACUUGAAUCAGGAUCUUUUAGAGAACAAAUAAGGUGUUUUUAUUACAUUUUGCUUAAACAUUCAUUUUAGUUGAGUAUUAAUAAGUUUUGCUUGAAUUAUAGUAAUUUGUGCUAAAAACAUAUGCAUAAUUGUAGGUUCUUGGAAAGUCUUAAUUCAUGAGGGGAUGUUGAGGCAUUAGAUGAGCAAGAGGAGGAAAUAAGCCAGUCAUAAAAGAACAAAAGCACAAUCGGGAGUAAUGCAGUGCUGUUACGGAUGUUAGAGCAACCCGUUCUGUAGCAAUCUGGAAGUAAAUGCGAGAGAAAACUUGGGCGCGGGUCAGCACAUGUUUCUUAAUUUAACGCAUGCACACUCAUAGGCUUGUGUUUACCCUAAUUUGCAAUAUAAAAGGGAGGCAAUACCACAAAGAAAGGCGGCAAGGAAAUUAUCACUAGAAUAAUCACAAAGGAACGAAGAAGAAGAAGAUCAGAAUUAAAGAGUUUUGUUUUGGAAACAUUGGAGAAUCGUGCAGAAUUACUUGGCUUUGAUUUUCGCCGUGCUCAACUUAUAUUUAUCUUCUUCCUUUAAUUAUUUUGAUGUAUUCCGGGAUCAAUAUAUUUAUGAUUAUUUUUGUCAUCCAGAUUAUGAACUAAAUUUACUUGUAGUUGAGUGACAAAUAAUCCAAUGGGUUCUUGAUUGUUCUUAUAUGUUGUUAUGGUAAUGCUGUAGCAUUUUACUCUAGUAGUUUUUAUGAGUAUAACUGUUAUUUCGGUUGACCACCCAUUUAAUAGUUUCAGUUAAGAGCAGCAAAGGGGCAUGUCUUAGCGGACAUUAUUAGAGUAUUACUUGUUCUUAAAUUGAGUUUCCUGGAUUAGGUUAUCUUGAAUCCCAUAAGGGCAAUACUUGAAGUUAAGAUUUGUGACACUCUGGACAUAGGUGUUCACCUUGUAGGGUAGAGAGAUUAAAGGAUAUAAUGACGUACCAUAAAUAUAUGAGCAACUGGUCAUUGUUAGUAGAUUUAAAGGUAUGAGAUUUCUAACAUGCGAUAGCUGAGGAUGCAGAUUUAUUCUGCCCAGUGCUGCAGCACUUAUUGUAACAACUGGUGCUAAUUUGGUAAACACCAAUCACCCCAUUAGGAGAGUUUGAUUAUUCAACUACUAUAUUCUCAAUUGAAUCUUAGACACAGUUAACUUAGUUUAUUUCAUUACAGUAUUGUUUUAUUUCCAUCUCUCGCAAUUAUUAAUUACGAUAGAAUUAUUUAACAAUUGUUUGUUUCGGUUUUAGUUAAUUUGCACUAUUGUGAUUGCUUUAGCAUUUUGAGUAACAUCAAUCCCUGUGGAGACGAUCUUGAAUACUCAUCACUUUAUUACUUGUUGUGUAUAUGAUGAAGAGUAGGAAUCCAUAUUAUACUAGGAUUAGUUUCCUUAUUAACUAAAGUUUAAGACUUUUAAAUUCCUUUCUAAUUUAGAAUUUUGUUUCCCUUUCAAUUUAGGAUUUUGUUUUUACUUCAUGAAUUAGGAUAAUUACUACUACUAUAAAUAGCUUCCUCUUGUAACCUUUGAAUGCAUAAUUUUGAGUUCAAUAAUAUUUCAAUUUUCAAAUCUCUUUGUGAGUAUUUGAACAGUUAACUCUCGGUAUUCUGCGGAAUCAACGAGUCUUAAUCCCUAAAUUCACGGUAUUCUUUUGAAUCAACGUGAAUUUAAUUAUUAUUUUGUUCCGGUAUUCUCUAGAAUCAACGGAAUAUUUUGAACAUUAAACUUCCGCUGCAUCAGUAUAUUUGCACAUCGGCAUUGGUAGUAAUUGAUUAUAAAAAUAAAUCAAUAAGUGUUUGGGGUCGUUGCCGGGGAUUGAUUGUUUAUUUUUAAAGUGUAAAGUAAAUCUUGAUAGCGCCAAAUUUGAUUUGAUUUAUUCUAUUUAUUAGGAGAUCGGUACAUGCAUGCGCAAAGACAGGUCUGUGGUAUUCUAAUUCGAUCCUGAGAUUGAAAGGACUGUCAGGAGAUUGCGAAGAGAACAAAGGAAUUCAGAAAUUGAUUCAAGCAUGAAUAAUUUGCAGGAUGCGGGAAAUUUGAAUCCUCACGGGCCCUUACAACCAGUAAACAUUCAAGGAGAGCAGAAUGAACAUGUUAACGGGAGACAGCCAGGCAAUAACAAUAUUAUUUACAUGGCUGAUGACAGAGACAGAGCUAUAAGAGAUUAUGCUGUGCUAACUCCUCAAGUUGUACAUCCUGACAUCAUCAGACCUGAAGUAGACGUUGCAAAUUUUGAGUUAAAGCCAGUGAUGUUUCAAAUGUUGCAAACAGUUGGUCAAUUCAAUGGAUUGCCAGAUGAAGAUCCUCAUCUCCAUCUUAAAUUGUUCUUGGAAGUAAGUGAUACUUUCAAGAUUGCUGGAGCAAUACAAGAUGCUUUAAGGCUGAGACUCUUUCCUUAUUCCUUAAGAGAUCAAGCAAGAGUAUGGUUAAAUUCGUUACCAUCUGAUUCCAUCACUACAUGGAAUGAAUUGGCUGAUAAAUUCCUAAUGAAAUAUUUCCCACCAACAAAAAAUGCAAAGUUGCGGAAUGAGAUUACUUUCUUCCAUCAACUUGAAGAUGAAAUGCAAAAAAUGCAAAAAAUGCAAUGUUAGUUAAUGAGUGACCUCAUUAACUAACAUAGUAAAGGCCUUGACAUCUGCUCCAGCAACAGUAAAGCAAGUUACUGAACUUUCUUGUGUAUACUGUGGUGAAGAGCAUAACUUUGAUAAUUGUCCUGGAAACCCAGCUUCAGUAAACUAUGUGGGUAAUUUCAGUUGAUAACCUCAGAACAACCCAUAUUCAAAUACUUACAACCCUGGCUAGAAGCAACACCCAAAUUUUGCAUGGAGCAGUCAGAAUCGAAAUGCUCCAGCAUUAAAUAGACAAAAUAAAAACACACAACCACUUGGUUUUCAUCAGCAGAGUCAAGGGCAAAAGCAUAACAGUCAGGAUCCAAUCACUUCACUGGAAGCACUGAUUAAAGAGUACAUUGUAAAGAAUGAAGCAAUUGUGCAGAGUCAAGCUGUAUCCUUGAGAAACCUGGAAAACCAAAUGGGACAACUAGCCACAGUAAUAAGCAGCAGAACUCAAGGAAGCCUACCUACCAACACAAAAGACCCUAGGAGGGAGGGCAAAGAACACUGCAAAGUAAUUAAUUUGAGGUCUGGAAAGAAUGUUGAUAUCCCAGCUGAUGUAACAAAAAAUGGGAUGGAAUUCAAUUCAGCACAAAAAUUACCUCAAAAGGGAAGCAUGUUACAACAACCUCCUCUUCAAGACACUGGUUACAUGGGCCAAGUUACAGCAACUACAGAGGAAAUUCAACCAAAACAUGUUGAAAAAGAAAUUGCAACACCAGUAGUCACAACCUGCACCAAACCAAACAAACAGAGUUUGAUAUCUCCUGAAGCUACCUAGCAGUUUAGACAUCCACCACCUUUCCCACAAAGGAUCCAGAAGCAAUAACAAGACAAGCAGUUUAGCAAAUUCCUGGAAGGGCUGAAACAACUGCACAUAAAUAUACCUUUUGUGGAAGUUUUGGAGCAAAUGCCAAAUUAUGUGAAAUUUUUAAAAGAUAUCUUAGCAUGAAAAAGAAAGCUGAGAGAGUUUGAAACUGUUGCUUUAACACAGAAGAGCAGCCAUAUGCUCAAGAGUAAAAUUCUCACAAAAGUAAAAGAUCCAGGGAGUUUUACAAUACCCUGCGCUAUAGGAACUAGGUAUGCUGGCAAAGCACUUUGUGACUUGGGAGCUAAUAUUAAUUUGAUGCCAUUAUCUGUAUUUAAGCAGCUGGGAGUAGGGGAGUGCAGACCAACAACAGUCACUCUGCAAUUAGCUGAUAGAUCUCAUGCAUACCCUGAAGGAAAAAUAGAGGAUGUAUUGGUGAAGGUUGACAAAUUCAUUUUUCCAGUGGAUUUCAUUGUACUGGACUUUGAAGUUAAUAAAGAGGUACCCAUUGUAUUGGGAAGACCUUUUCUAGCAACUGGAAAGACUUUGAUAGAUGUGCAGAAAAGAGAGCUCACCAUGAGAGUGAAUGAUCAGCAAGUCACAUUUAAUGUCCUAGAGGCUAUGAGAAACCCCGAUGAAGUAGAAGAUUGCAAUUUCCUAAGUGCAGUGGAUUUUGUUGUAGCAAACAAAAUGGACAGAUGCUACAAUAAUGCACUUGACAAAGUCACCACCUUUGAAGAUGUUGCAGCAAUCCAAACAUAUUAGAUGGACAAACAGCAAUCUAAUAGGCACAACAUGUUUAUUGAACACCUGAAUGUUUCAGACAGGGAAGUAAAAACAACUUUACCAUCUAUUGAAUCACCUCCUAGUUUUGAAUUAAAACUGUUACCUUCACAUUUGAAGUAUGCAUAUCUUGGUCAAAACAACACACUCCCUGUAAUCAUUUCUUCUACUGUGGAUGCAGGUCAAGAACAGAGUCUAGUAGAUUUACUGGGAAAAUACAGAAGAGCAAUUGGAUGGACCAUGGCAGAUAUAAAGGGGAUAAGUCCAUCAAUAUGCAUGCAUAAAAUCCUGUUAGAAGAUUGUUCCAACAAUUCGGUGGAGCACUAGAGAAGGAUGAAUCCUAUUAUGAAAGAAGUGGUGAAGAAGGAAAUCAUCAAAUGGUUGGAUGCUGGAAUCAUAUACCCAAUAUCGGACAGUUCAUGGGUAAGCCCAGUUCAAUGUGUUCCAAAGAAAGGAGGGAUAACAGUAAUGGCUAAUGAAAAGAAUGAACUUAUUCCUACAAGGAUAGUGACUAGAUGGAGAGUGUGUAUGGAUUACAGGAAACUCAACAAAGCCACAAGGAAAGACCAUUUCCCACUUUCAUUCAUAAAUCAGAUGUUGGACAGACUUGCUGGAAAACAAUACUAUUGUUUCUUAGAUGGGUACUCAAGUUACAACCAUAUUGCUAUAGCUCUAGAAGAUCAAGAGAAUACUACAUUUACUUGUCCCUAUGGAACAUUUGCCUUCAGAAGAAUGUCAUUUGGGCUAUGCAAUGCUCUAGCAACUUUUCAGAGAUGCAUGAUGUCUAUAUUUUCUGAUAUGGUAGAGCAGACUUUGGAAGUUUUCAUGGAUGACUUCUCAGUUUUUGGAGAAACAUACAAUGAUUGUUUACACAACUUGGAAGAAGUUCUUAAAAGAUGUGAGAUGACCAACUUAGUACUCAAUUCGGAAAAGUGUCAUUUCAUGGUGCAAGAAGGAAUAGUGUUGGGUCACAAGAUAUCCAAGGAUGGUAUUGAGGUAGACAAAGCUAAGAUAGAGGUAAUAGAUAAACUGCCACCUCCAACUUCAGUAAAGGGAAUUAGGAGUUUUUUGGGCCGUGCUGGAUUCUACAGAAGAUUCAUUAAGCAUUUUUCCAAAGUAGCUAAACCACUGUGUUCAUUGCUGGAGCAUGACAAACCGUUUCACUUUGACAAAGAUUGCCUUCAAGCAUUUGGAGAAUUAAAGAAAGCUUUGAUCACUGCUCCAGUAGUUAUAUCUCCAGACUGGACUUUACCAUUUGAAUUGAUGUGUGAUACUAGUGAUCACUCUGUGGGGGCAGUAUUAGGGCAAAGAAAGGAUAAAGUUUUUCACUUCAUCUACUAUGCAAGAAAACUCUCACUCAAACUCAAAUCAAUUACACCACUACAGAGAAAGAGUUGCUAGUAGUAGUAUUUGCUUUUGACAAAUUCAGAGCCUACUUAGUAGGCACUAGAGUGACUGUAUAUACAGACCAUGCAGCAAUCAAAUACUUAAUUUCAAAGAAGGAUGCCAAGCCAAGAUUAAUUAGAUGGAUUUUAUUGCUUUAAGAAUUUGAUCUGGAAAUUAAAGAUAGAAAGGGGACUGAGAAUCAAGUAGCAGACCACCUGUCACGGCUGGAUGCAGACACAAGCACAUUGACCAGAAACGACAUCACUGAAACUUUUCCUGAUGAACAGCUGUUGGUAGUACAAUAAGCACAGAUGCUGCAGCAGUCAGAAUCUCCAUAGUAUGCAGAUUUUGCUAACUAUUUAGUAAGUGGGUUGCUACCACCUGAGCUAAAGUUUUAAGAGAAAAAGAAAUUUCUUCAUGAUGUUAGAAGUUAUCAGUGGGAUGACCCACAUUUAUAUAAGCUAUGCUCAGAUCAAGUAAUAAGAAGAUGUGUUGCAGCAGAAGAGAUACCCCAUAUACUGGAGUCAUGUCAUGCUGCAGCAUAUGGAGGACAUUUUGGUGGUCACAGAACAGCUGUCAAAGUUCUGCAAUUAGGUUAUUAUUGGCCCACUAUUUUUAAAGAUACUUAUGAAUUUGUUAAAUGUUGUGACAGGUGUCGAAGGACAGGGAACAUAAGUAGAAGACAUGAAAUGCCACUGACCAACAUCCUGGAAGUGGAAGUUUUUUAUGUCUGGAGAAUAGAUUUUAUGGGACCCUUCCCGCCAUCUUUUGGGAACUUAUAUAUCCUUGUUGCUGUGGAUUAUGUCUCCAAGUGGGUAGAAGCUGCAGCAUUACCUACCAAUGAUGCUAAAACAGUUGUGGCUUUUCUUCAGAAAAAUGUUUUCUCUAGGUUUGGCACUCCUAGAGCAAUUAUUAGUGAUGAGGGCACACAUUUUACAACAAAAUCUUUGCUGCAGCAAUGAUGAAAUAUGGAGUCAGGCUGAAGUGUCCAACAGAGAAAUUAAAAAGAUCUUAGAAAAAGUGGUGAAUCCAAUAAGGAAGGAUUGGUCUUUACACUUGCAUGACUCUCUAUGGGCCUACAGAACAGCAUACAAAACUCCACUCGGAAUGUCUCACUACCGAAUUGUUUAUGGCAAAGCUUGUCAUUUGCCACUAGAGCUAGAGCAUAAAGCACAUUGGGCACUGAAGAAAUUAAAUUGGGAUAUGCAUGCUGCAACAGAGCAAAGGAAACUUCAACUUUGUGAGCUUGAUUAAUUACAACUAUUUUCAUAUGAAAAUGCAAGAAUCUAUAAAGAGAGGACAAAACACUGGCACGACAAGCAUAUUCAGCACAGGAAAUUCAACCCUAGUCAAUUAGUGUUGCUCCACAAUACAAGACUAAGAUUAUUUUUGGGAAAGCUCAAGUUACGAUGGUCUAGCCCGUUUAAGUUGUUAAAAUCUUAUUCUCAUGGAGUUGUUGAUCUUCUAGAUGAACAAACAGGCCACGAAUUCAAAGUUAAUGGACACAGGGUUAAGCAUUACAUACAUCCAGCAGUAGAAUGUUCAAAGGAGAUGUUACUCCUUAAAGAACCCAGCUAUUGAACAAUGAAGGAAGGUCAGGCUGAAGGACCUUAAAUCAAGCGCUCCAUGGGAAGCAGCCCAUUUGGGAGACAACCACUUCAAACCAAUUUUGAUCUCCUUUGGUUUAGUUGACAGCUCUCCCUCCUUACCAUUUUAUUUAAUUUUGUUCUUUCAUUCUAGCUAUUUAAUUUUAUCUUUUCAAAUUAUUGCAUUCUUUAAUUUUGCUAUCAUUUAAUCUAUUUAUUUUUAAAUGUUAGAAUUAAUUUGAAUUUGUGGGAAGUAUGUGUAACAAUUGAAUUCCAUACUGACAAGUGAGGUUGUAUGGUGGCAGAGUAUAGAGGUGAGCCACGUGUCAGAGGCUUUAGUGUGGAGUAUGUACCGUUGCUAGAGUAAGCGAAUGGGUGCUGCAGCAACCAAUUUUACCGUUGCAAUAAAUUGAAAGAUGAAGCCUCUCACUUACCGUUGGAGAUAAAUCAUGACAGAUGGAGGCUUGGAUGUGGAUAGAAAUUGCAAAUAAAUCUCUGAAAUUAAUGCCUUAAAUUACCUAGCCGAUGUUUUUGGGAUACGCGCUUUAAAUUAAAAAAUAUUUUCUUCCCUCAUUUAUCUUUAGUUACCGUAUUUAUCUCCAAUUAAAAGUCCACUAUAAAAAAGUCAUUGUACUUAGUGCUCUACACCACUAUUCCCCAUCUCCUUCGCAAAUCCAACUCUCCUAAUUCUUAGCCUCUUCUUCUCUUUUUACUCUCAGGAACAGUAGACUAAAUUUGUUACUGCUACAGUAAUGCCGAGAUAUAAGAAAACAGCAAGCCGCCUCAAAGAUCCGUCACGAUUCUAAAGUUACCACGCCGAAAAAAAAUAUGAAGAAUUCAUAGAGCCGCGUAGGAUUCUGGAAGAAAAAAGGUUUCAAUUUCCAGACCAACUCACGGGAAUUGUGCAAACAAUUCAUAAUGCUGCAGCAAAGCGAGGAUGGCUAGAGUUUUACAAACACCCUCGGGAUCCUGUGCUGCCUGUAGUAAAAGAAUUUUACGCCAAUUUGGUAAGCCCUGAUCAGCACAACAUUUGGAUAAGAAAUACACUUGUCCCAUUAGACUCUCGUGUUAUCAAUGCUUUUUAUAACUUACCUGCUGAAAUUACUUGUGAGUAUGCUAAGUUGCGUGAUAAGUUAACCCCGAAAAAGUGGAACACCAUUUUUACAACUCUUACAAUCGAAAGAGCAUCAUGGGCUAACAAGGAAGGGCGUGUAGUUAAUAGGAUAGAUUUGAAACCUAUUGCUAAGAUGUGGGUGAAAUUUCUGAAAUCUAGGCUUAUGCCCACCACUCACACUACUACAGUUUUGCAAGAAAGGUUGGUCUUGUUAUAUGUCAUAGUUCGCGGGCUUCCCAUAGAUGUGGGUAGCAUCAUCGCAAAAGAAAUCCGAGAUUGUGCAGUCAAGACUCACCGAACUGCUGCUUUGCUAUUUCCAUCACUCGUUACUAGCAUUUGUGUAGUUUCAGGUGUUCAUCUUGACGCCAGAGAUGACCAUGUCAAUAAUGAUGGUGCCUUUACGGCAUGAACCAUUGAGAGAGUUGCUGGUGAGAGUGCUGGAACAACCACUGAACCAGCUGCUGAGACAGGAGCAAGAUGAGCUAUUGGCUUAGAAAAGACCAUCCAGGCACUCAGCACAAGUAUAACUCAAUGUACGGAACCACAGCAGUGGGAAAACGAUCGAUUUUGGAGCUAUCUCCAGCACCUGGACAACCAACUACACCAAUUUUCUCUGUACAUGAAACGCACUCACCGGAACUUCCUUGAUGCACUGCUCCAGCAGUACAAUUUUGACACCAACACCACAAAUGCAUCAACAGAGGCUAGUGCAGAAGCCACUGCCACAGAGGAACCAGCAGAAGAUGCUACAGCCGAACCUCAAGCAGAGGAAGAAUCAGAAGAUGCUGAACCAUCUGAUUAGCCUGAGGAAGAAGGUGACAAGUCUGAGAUUGAUAGCUCACCUACAGAGGAAGAAGACAACUCGGAGAAAGACCGUGAGGAACCAACCAUCCUAACCCAGCCCAAAACCAGAAAAAAAAAAAGCACGUUAUUCAAGAAAAUGAGGAGGAAGACCUUGAAGAGGAGCCGUAUAUUCCAGUCCUUGCAGGCAAGAGAAAGGACAAGGGUAAAGCAAAAAUGGCAACAACUCCAGCCUCUGAAGAUGAGAUGGAGCAAGUCGAUGCUAAGCUGGCUGCUGCAGCAGCCAGAGCUAUGCCUACACCUAAGCAAGCUAAGCAACUACUUGCGGUUAUUGCUGCCAUCACAACUGAGGGCCAGGCAGCUGAUGCAUUAACUCAACAACCUCCACAGCAAACUCCUAGCCAGCCUAUUCGCACAAGUCCAAGACAAUCCAGCAAACAAAAAGGCAGUACGUCUACAAGUACUUCUACAGCAACCCCAGCCACAACUCCUCUCACCAGCCGCGCAGUGAAAAAGACAAAGACAUUGCCAGCUACUUCCCCAAAAGCUUCACCAAAGGAUGAGCUGCGCAGUGCAUCCAAGAAGUGCUGAUAGCAUCCCGUCAUGCACUCCAGUCCCCACCACAGGGGAGUACUCUAUCCUUACUAGUUCAUAUUUAAAAAAAAAAAAUUAUGUUUGUCAAUUUGUAUGCCUUUGUUAUGUAUGCUUGUGAGGACACAGCAUCUCUCAAGUUUGGGGGGAUUGUGUCCGAAUGCAUGUGUUUAUGUAUGUGUUUAUGUUUGUGUUGUGUGAAGCUCUGUUAUCUGUUAUUUGUGUAUGGAUUUGAAAACCUAAUAAAGAUAAAUUGAGUGUUAUUCAGUAUUUAUGAGAAUGCCAAGUAGAGAUAGUUAUAGAUAGAAGUGAAAUUAUGUCCCAACACUUAGACUUUGGUUGAAUUGUAUGAGACUGUUAGAGCAAAGCCAAAAGAAUAGAAAAUAUCUUAAGUUUGAAGGGAGAAGCAAGUUGAUUGACUGUGAUAUUUAUGAGAUAAAACUCUACUCCAAUGGCUCAAGUUGCUGAGUAACCAAAUCUGAGUAUGUACCCCAUAUGCAGAAUUGUGUAAAAGGUAGCAAGAGUUAUGAGCAAUGCUGUAGCAAAUAAAAAAAAAAGUCCUAUGUCUAAGGCAUUGAGUAGUCAGGUCUGUUCAUGAACCCCAUGUUCAGCCUUGAGUAAAAGAUACCUUUAGAUGAGAUUAUACCGCAAAUAUUGCUGCAGCAACUCUGAUCUGGGCAUGGUUUAAGUAAUUGGGUGUCAUCAUUACAAGUGAUUGACAUUCACAUGAAAGAUAAAUGUUACAGUAAGGAGGUUGAUUACUCCCCAGUUUAUCAAUGUAAAACAAUCACAGUUUGAAUAUGUGAAAUUUAUGCUACCCCAUUUAUGAAUGAAGUAUAUCACUGCUGAAAUUUAUGCAGUCCUUUGGUGAUGUUACAGCAUAUCUGGAAUUCAAUCAAAGGAAGCACACACACACAAUGGACAGAAAGAAGCUUAAGUCUAGAACUGAUUUACUAUGGCAUUUUGUAUGAUUGGGAUUGUGAUCUGAAGGUGGAAGAAUCCUUGCAAAUUUGAUAAAAGAGCUAAAGUUGUGUGCAUGUUUGUUUGCGGAAAAUGUUAGUAUGUGUCAUUACUUGAAGGCAAGUAAUGGUUUAAGUUUGGGGGUGUGAUAACUCUAAGAAAUGAGAGUUAUUACAUCAAUUCUAGACUUGAAUCAGGAUCAUUUAGAGAACAAAUAAGGUGUUUUUAUUACAUUUUGCUUAAACAUUCAUUUUAGUUGAGUAUUAAUAAGUUUUGCUUGAAUUAUAGUAAUUUGUACUAAAAACAUAUGCAUAAUUGUAGGUUCUUGGAAAGUCUUAAUUCAUGAGGGGAUGUCGAGGCAUUAGAUGAGCAAGAGGAGGAAAGAAGACGGUCAUAAAAGAAGAAAAGCACAAUCGGGAGUAAUGCAGUGCUGUUGUGGAUGUUAGAGCAACCCGUGCUAUAGCAAUCUAGAAGUAAAUGUCGGAGAAAACUUAGGCUCAGGUCAGCACAUGUUUCCUAAUUUAACGCACGCACGCUCAUGGGCUUGUGUUUACCCUAAUUUGCAAUAUAAAAUGGAGGCAAUACCACAAAGAAAUGCGGCAAGGAAAUUAUCAUUAGAAUAAUCACAAAGGAACGAAGAAGGAGAAGAUCAGAAUUGAAGAGUGUUGUUUUGGUAACAUUGGAGAAUCGUGCAGAAUUACUUGGCUUUGAUUUUCACCGUGCUCAACUUAUAUUUAUCUUCUUCUUUUAAUUGUUUUGAUGUAUUCCGAGAUCAAUAUAUUUAUGAUUAUUUUUGUCAUCCAGAUUAUGAACUAAAUUUACUUGUAGUUGAGUGACAAAUAAUCCAAUGGGUUCUUGACUGUUCUUAUAUGUUGUUAUGUUAAUGCUGUAGCAUUUUACUCUAGUAGUUUUUAUGAGUAUAACUGUUAUUUAGGUUGACCACCCAUUUAAUAGUUUCAGUUAAGAUAGAGCAGCAAAAGGGCAUGUCUUAGCGGACAUUAUUAGAGUAUUACUUGUUCUUAAGUCGAGUUUCCUGGAUUAGGUUAUCUUGAAUCCCAUAAGGGCAGUACUUGAAGUUAAGAUUUGUGACACUCUAGACAUAGGUGUUCACCUUGUAGGGUAGAGAGAUUAAAGGAUAUAAUGACGUACCAUAAAUAUAUGAGCAACUGGUCAUUGUUAGUAGAUUUAAAGGUAUGAGAUUUCUAACAUGCGAUAGCUGAGGAUGCAGAUUUAUUCUGCCCAGUGCUGCAGCACUUAUUGUAACAACUGGUGCUAAUUUGGUAAACAACAAUCACCCCAUUAGGAGAGUUUGAUCAUUCAACUACUAUAUUCUCAAUUGAAUCUUAGACACAGUUAACUUAGUUUAUUUCAUUACAGUAUUGUUUUAUUUCUAUCUCUCGCAAUUAUUAACUACGAUAGAAUUAUUUGACAAUUGUUUGUUUCGGUUUUAGUUAAUUUGCACUAUUGUGAUUGCUUUAGCAUUUUGAGUAACAUCAAUCCCUGUGAAGACGAUCUUGAAUAUUCAUCACUUUAUUACUUAUUGUGUAUACUUGCACAUUGGCAUUGGUAGUAAUUGAUUAUAAAAAUAAAUCAACAGGGAGAUAAGGAGAUGCUUCCAGUAAGUUGAUUGUAAGAAACAUCUAAUAUUCGGAGGGAUGUCAUAUUUGCCAAGCACCAAGGCAAGCUACCUCUUAAAUCAUUGCUUGCAAUGUACAACUCUUGUAGAUGCACCAACGAACAGAGGCCUGAAAAUUUAUUAAUUCAACCAUUGGUACAAUAAAACAAUUAACAAAUGCAUAACAUUCUUUUAUAAGUGAUUGGUUUGUGUAAUUAUAUUUUUAAUUGAAAAUUAAAAUUAUAGAUCAAGAGGGGAGGGUGGGAGCAUCUGAUUAACCUUGAUCAAGAAUCAUGCUGCUGUUAAUGCCAAUAGUAGAACCUGACAGUGAUAAGUACUUGAGAGAAGACAUCGAUUCACCGAUGCUUUGAAGAAAGCUGGUGUUGAGUGCACUGCGCAUGAAUUCCAUGUCCAAAUGUUCCAAACUCUUGAAAUGAGGAAAGCCUAGCAAAAACAAUAAAAUAAAUAAAUAAAAAUGUUGAACACUUAAGACGACAUUGAGUUCACAAUCAACACUUUUCUUUUACCUUGACCACGUACGACACCAUUGACUUCACAACCAAUCACCGACAGAUUUUUUAACGAAGGGAAUAUUGAUGCAAUGCUUUACAGAAGGCUUAUAUGGAGAGGGGAAUCGUUCAAUUUCAAAUAUUCCAAGUUGGUGAAAUUGUGCAACUCUGUUUCGAAGCAAUAAUUUUAGCUUUAUUAACAAUACGGAAAAAUAAUUAAUUAUUUAACAGUUUAUUUAUAAAUUUGGCCACAUAUGUACCGUUUAUUAAUAAUAUGGAUAAUUAAUUAAUUAAUUAGCUGCUUAUUUAUAAAUUUGGCCACAUUUGUACCUUUUACUUACCUUGAGUAGUAAUUGUCACUGUUUCCGUAAAAUUAUUAGACGAAAGGUAAAGAUUGUUGAGGGAUGGGAAUGAUCCCAUUGACUGUAACAACUUGCUUCCAUCUCUAACUCCAACUCUCGAUAGAUCAAGGCUUUUCAACUUCCUCAAACCGCUGUAACCUAUUUAAUAACAAUAAUUAGGAUAGGAUUUAAGAAAAUCAAAAUUCAUUGUCUAAAUUUAGAGCUAAACGAAAUAACUGAUUAAUUUAAUUAGGAGUCAAUUUGUAUUUUAUGCUUUGGGCAAAGAUCAGUAUCAUUUUUCAAUCGCUGCAAAGAUUAAAAAAUUAAAAUGAAAUCUUUAUUACAUUUUGUUUUUGAAAUAAUAAUAUUACGUCCUAUUUUUGAAAUAAUAUAAAUUCUAUGUUUCUUUAUUUUUAUUUUUAUUUUUUUGUACCUUUUGGGCCUUCCCUAAUCAAAUGAAUAAAAUUUAUGUAAUUGAAUAAUAUUUUAAAUGUUUACCUUGAGGAACCACAAGAUUGUUGAUUUCAUUGAAGCUCAUGUCCAACAAUUCUAAGUUGUUGAAGGAAUUGAAUUCUGCAAACAUAAACAGACUUAAGACUUAAAACAGAGUAAAUUAAUUAAUAAAUUUAAAGAAAUUAAAACGUCAUUAGAAUUUCGUCUAAACCAAACCAAAUAGUAUUUAAUUAAUUGAUUGAAAAAGUAUGCUUACUUUGUAUGUAAUUCCUUCAGGCUAAUCAAAUUAAAUAUUAAAUUAUGUCGAUAAUACAGAAGUCUAGCUGGCAUAUAUAAAAUGAGAAAGCAGGGCUUAGACUUACCUCGAACAUUGAAUGUUCCUUUGAAUCUCGUACCACUUAAACUAAGAGACUUCAAUUUACUCAAACCUGUAAAAUAAUAAACCAAAUGGCAAAGAAUCCAGCUAAUUUGUAUAAGUUAGCAUUUUUUAUGGUAUUUGUAGUACCUUUUGAGACCACAAAUUUGUCAAUCUUGUUCCCGCCAAUGUCUAGCUCCUCUAAAUCUCUCAAAGAAUCUAAUUCUGUAAUAAGUACAAAUUGAGUUGAAUGUUUCAAACCUCACCAAAUAAUAAUAAUAAUAAUAAUAAUAAGUUGUGGAGGUGUUUGGUUCACUAUUGGAGUUUUUUUUUAAUCUUAAAUUCAAGACAUAUGAAAGUACAAGAUGAAAUUACGAGAAACAUAAAAACUUGUAUUUAUAAAUUGCUUAAAACUGUUUUUUUUAAUAUUAAUCAUAAAAAAAUUGAAUUCAAAGCCUUGAAUCUUAUUUUAGCAAGUUAAUGAAAGAACUUGAAGUUUUAAUUAUGUACCUUUAACGUCAAUACUUCCUUCCAAUCUAUUCCAAAAUAAAUUUAAUGAUCUUAAUGGUGAAAGAUGAGUUAGAGAUGAUAAAAUGCUAUUAUUGAAUGAGUUUCCACUUAAAUUAAGCAUCUUCAAGUUGUUCAAUCUUGAUAGCCUCUCUAUACCUGCAAGUAAAAUAAAAAAAAGAUCAUAGAUACUGGUGUAAUUUCAAAAUUAAUCAUUUAAAAAAAAAGUCAAAAUUGUCGACUAAAUGAAUAUGCAUAUAAUUGCUCGGUCUUGAUAUUCAACUUAAAUUAGGGGGGAGAAAGUAAAUUAAUUAAAUUAAACGAAGCACCUUCAUUCUCAACACAACUGGCUAUUUUGUUGUCAGUUAAAUCAAGUGACUCAAGUUGUUGGAAGGGAGUAAACAAAGAAGCAUUCAGAUACCAGUACUCUCCCCCAUACGUGUCAGAAAGGUCUAGCGCUAUCACUCGGCUCAUGGUGUUGCUGCACUCAACCCUUUCCCACUGACAACAAUCAGUAGCUCCCUCACCAUCUCCCCAGUCGUAAAGAAAAUUAUAAGGAUCAUUGAGGAAAUGUUUGAGUCGCAAAAGAGCAAAUCUCUCAUGAUCCAAACAUCCCUCACUUCACCCACCUUCAAAUAUUAUUAAUAACAAAACAAACAUUAUCACCAUUUUUUUAUUUUGAACCACCCAUUCUAACUAUAUCUUUAAGUUUUAAAAAACACACACACUCUUUCUAUCUUUGUAACCAACCAGAGGACUAUACGCCAUUUGCUUAUAACGCAUGUAACUAUUUAUACACCCAACUAGCUUAUAGUUGACUUUUUUAGUUGUUUCUCCAAGUCCUUCAUGCAUUAAUUUUCUUCCCUUUUUUUUUCAUCUUUGUCAUUUUGCUAUAAUUUGCAACAGCAACGCGUUUUGAGCUAGCAAUAAAUAAUAAUUGAGAGAGAUUGAGAUGACAAAUGGAUAGAAACUAAAAGUAUGGGUGUUUAAUACGAGAACGAUUAUACCCGUUUAUUAUAUUUCAACCUAAAAAUUUACUCUAAGCAUUUAUAAUAAAUAAAAAUAUGAUAAUAAAAAUAAUAAAAAAAUAUGAAUAAUAUAUAUUUGUAAAAAAAAAAGAUUUAUGUGUCCAUUUUGAAAAUUAGCGAGUAUAUGUAAAUAUAAUUAUCAAAACAAACCAUAGAAGUGUUGUUAUUUUUUCCUUUCAAAAAAUCCACCAUUAUAAAAAAAGCCCAAAGACUUUGACAUCUUUUAGGAGUCUUUGGGCCUUGUUUUUUUCCCUCUUUUUCUUUCAUUUGCAUUUUGAUCCACAAGGCCAAAAAUUAAAUUCCACACCUUUGGCAUUUUGUGGAGAUUACAUUUCCAUGUUUUUACUUAGAAAGUAGGUGGAGACGUGGAGUCAAUGCGGCCAAGUGCUCAAUUAUUGUUAGUUAGCAAAAUAGAAUUUUUGGCGAGAUGAAUUUGUUGUAAAAAAGUUUUUGGAAAAAAUAAUAAUCAUCGGAACUUGUCUUGUGUCUUUAUAACAAUUUACUACUGCGAAAUCUUUACAACUUCACAUCUUUGAUUCAAUUAUCGCCACAAAGGCACAAGUACGUCCAUUUGUAAACCAAUCGAUAGAGAUCAAAUUUCAAGCCAUGAACUUGUAUUGUCAGCAAACACCUAAUCACUUUAGAUAUUUGUAUCGUUUAAUUAAUUAAUGAUCACUCUGAAAUUACAGAGGUUGGCCGAAUAUUCCCCUAAAAUUAAUUAAUUUUACCGAAAGGGAAUUAUUAGACAGAUCAAGUGUGUCUAGUUUUUUUGUUGUUUUGUAACAAUCAAUUUGGAAACUCUUCACUCAAGUUAGCAUCUUAGAGAUCAAGAUAAACAAACUCCUAGUGAUGCUAAUGGAAGAGGAAUUUAUAAGAGGAGAAGAGAGAGUAAUUAUGCUUGAUCAAGAAAGGUACCAUUAAAUCUAGAAUAUGACAAUUAAUGGUAGAAAAAUUAACAAGCAUGUAAUCCACGAUCAAAGAUUUUAAAUCCUUGAAAUUUAGAUAACCUAAAAAUUAACAUUGAACAAGAAAUAAAUCAACACUGCCACUUUGAUCACAUAAUCGAUGAAACUUAGGAUAUAUAAUCAACACCUGUUUAUUUUACUAUUGAAUUACUAUUUUUUCUGUAUUAUUUGAAUAAGGGAAUUGAUUUGGAGAAACUCUCACUAUAAUUGAUGAAAAUCAAGAUAUAAUCAAUACAUAUUCAUUUUAUUUUUAAAUUAAUACUUUUCCAUUAUUAUUUGAAGAAGGGAAUUGGUCUCAAAAAAUCUUAUUGUAAUAUAUGUAACUUAAACUUUUUUUUUCUGAAAUAAAAAUUAACUUUUAAGAAGGCUUCAAAUAUGGAGAGGGGACCAGUCCAUUAAUGUCAAUUCUUCCAAGUUAGUGACAUUGUGCAGCUUUAUUUGAUUAGAAGGUGCAACAUCUUUAGCUUUAACAUAUCUUAUUCUUUAAGACUAUUAAAACUUUUAAAUUAUGUCCACAUGCCCACCCUAUAAGAUCCACAAAAGUAGCAGAUAAAAUGGAAGAAGUACGCUAAGGGGCUGUUUGAUUUUAGUUGUGGCUUACACAGCACGAAAUUACACCAAAAAUGCCCCGACCAGAUUUAAUAAAACAAAUGUACUCUUACUCAGUUUAUUAUUUAUUUUUACAUAGAUAUAUUUUCUUUUUUUUCUUUUUUUUUCUUUUUCAACUUAGAAAAGAGAAUUAGGGGACAGAUCAAGUGUGUCUGAUUUUGCGUUGCUUUCUAGCAAUCAACUUGGAAACUUUCCACUCAAGUUAACAUGUGAGAGCUGAUGGAAGAGGAAUUUGAAAAAUCGUGACUCUAAUUUUGCAUAUAUUUGAUUAUUUCAACACUUGAUUGGUUUUGAAUGGUCCAAGAAUGGGCAAGUGACAAUGAGACUUGGAAGUGAUAGUUUGAAAAAGUGAGAUCUUCAAUUGAUAUUAGAUAAAUGAGAGUAGACUAGGAUAUAUUUCCAGUAAGCUUAUGGAGAGAGACAUAUCAAACUUGAAGUAAGAAGUCAUAUUUUCCAAGCACCAAAGACAAUUUAUUGUACCCGGAAUAUAAUUAUGGUCAAUAAAACAAAAAACUCUUGCAGAUUCAUCAACUGAUUGGGUUGAAAACAUAAUUCAUCCUUUAGCUAAUAACAAUUAAUGAACGCAUAAAAUCUUAUAUCUUUUAACAUAAAUGUUAAAUAUUAAUUUUAUUAAUAGUCGCAACCUUAUGCAGGCAUAAUUUGGUCAUGAAAACAAUAAAUCUAUCCGUUCUUAAAGGCUAUUAACUAUAACAAAAAAUCAAUUAAUAUAAUUUUUAUAAGAGGAGAAGAGAGACUAAGUAUCCUUCAUCAAGAAAUGUACCAUUAAGUCUAGAAUAUGAUAGUCAAUGGCGGAAAAAUUAACAUGCGCAUAAUUUAUGAUCAAAUAUUAUAAAUCCUUGAAAUUUAACAAGUCAUUUCAUUAAAAUAUGGAUCACCUUCCACACAUUUUAGAAAUCUUAUCAUUUUUUUUCUUUUUUCAUUAAAUUAUGUUUUGGUCCACACAACCGAAAAUUAAAUUCCACGCAUUUUGCAUUUAGUGGAAUUCUAUGUAUUUUUUAAUUUUACAAAACUUUAGUCGGUGGAGUCAAUGGGGCUAGAAAUUCAUUGAAGGGUCCCGAGAAUCAAAGGUGCUUACUCAAUUAUUAUUUGUAAAGUUGUAGACUUGUAGGGCAGCUACCGGAGUCCACACGUUGUAAUGUUUUGUUCACUAUCAAUCUCAUUGUUGGUCGUUUCCAACACGCUCAAGAAUCCAAUUCUGCAUAAACACAUAAAAUUAAAGACUUAAAACAGAGUUUAAGUAAUUAAUAAUUUAACUGGAAACAAAUUAAAAAGGAGAAUUUAAUUAUUGAAUUCCACAUUGUGCUAUUGAAAAUUAAAAAAAAAAAUUGUUGUCACCUCAGUCAAUUAGAUAAUCACUACAAAUAGUUCUUUAUGUAGAUGAUAUUCUUCUAAUUGGAAAUGAUAUAGGAAUAUUGACUACAAUAAAGAGUUGGUUAGCAAAACAAUUUGAUAUGAAAGAAAGACAUGAGAGAAGCAAGUUAUAUUCUUGGUAUCAAAUUACUACGAGACCGGAAGAAUAAAACUUUAGCCUUGGCUCAAGUGGUCUAUAUCGACAAGAUAUUGGUUAGAUUUAGCAUAGAAAAUUCCAAGACUGGUUUAUUACCAUUUAGACAUGGAAUUGUAUUCUCUAAGGACCAAUCACCUAAAACAUCUAAAGAGAUGGAGAAAAUGAGACGAGUUCCCUAUGCAGAAGUUGUGGGAAGUCCCAUGUAUGUCAUGCUUUGCACUAGGCUAGACAUCUGUUUUGUGGUAGGAAUGGUUAGCAGAUAUCAAAUCCUGGACCUGAACACUAGACUGUAAUCAAGCAUAUAAUGAAGUAUCUUAAAAAAACUAAAACUUAUAUGCUUGUGUAUUCUAGUGAUGAACUCAUUCCAGUGGAUUCUAGAAAAUCAACUUUCGGCUAUAUGUUUACAUUAGGAAGUGGAGCUAUUAAUUGGAGGAGUGUGAAACAAUUUGUAUCACAGACUCCACAACUGAAGCUGAAUAUGUGGAUGCAUCUGAAGCUGCAAAAGAAGUUGUAUGGCUUUGCAAGUUCCUACAAAAUCUUAAGGUGGUACCUGUUGUAACUGCACCCCUUAAACUAUUUUGUGAUUAUGGUGGUGCAGUAGCUCAAUCUAAGGAACCACAAGAAACAAAAACAUAUUGAGAGGAAACAUCAUCUUAUAAGGGAAUAGUAUAGAAAGACUAUAUGACAGUACCCCAAAUGACAUUAGAUGCUUUAUGGUAGAUUUUAUUACAAUGGCCAUUAGUGGGAAACCUUUAUAACCUGCACUUAGAGCCCCUAGAGCAUGUGCAAUAUGCCAGAUAUGCUUUAAAGAGCUAGUGGGAGAUUGUUGGGAUUAUGUGCUCUUUUAAAAGUAUUAUUAAUUUAUUUUCUGAUUAAUAAAAUAUUUGAGAUAUUUCAAUUGCAUAAAUAUAUUGAAUAAGGUCCGUUUAAUCAUAUUAUAUUUUCUCUUGCUAGUUGCUUUUAGUAGUGAUAAAAGCACCCACACGUCAAGUGCAGAUCAAACUUGAGUCAUAACCCAGAAGAUUAUUUGGUGACAGAUCGUGAUCUAACAAGCGUGGUGGUGACAGAUCGUGAUCUAACAGGCGUGAUGGUGACGGAUCAUGAUCUGGGAAGCCUGGAUUAAUUUCAAUUGUUCAUCUUCUCAGUUGCACUCAAUGUGUAUUAGAAUCCACGAAGGUCCGAUCCNNNNNNNNNNNNNNNNNNNNNNNNNNNNNNNNNNNNNNNNNNNNNNNNNNNNNNNNNNNNNNNNNNNNNNNNNNNNNNNNNNNNNNNNNNNNNNNNNNNNAACGUAGAACCCUGUAGUUGGUUGCAGAGAUAGAAAGAGUGAGUGUGUUUUCCAUAGUUAAAGAUAUAGUUAGAAUGGAUAGUUCAAAAUCAAAAAUGGUGAUAAUGUUUGUUCUGUUAUUAAUUAAAUUUGAAGGUGGGUGGAGUGAGGGAUGUUUGGAUCAUGAGAUAUUUGCUCUUUUUCGACUCAAAUAUUUCUUCAAUGAUCUUCAUGAUUGGGUAGAUGAUGAGGGAGCUACUGAUUGUUGUCAAUGGGUAAGGGUUGAAUGCAACAACACCACAGAUCGAGUGAUAGCACUAGACCUUUCUGAUACUAGGAAUUGGGAUUUGGGAGAGUGGUAUCUGAAUGCUUCUUUGUUUACUCCCUUUCAACAACUUGAGUCACUUGAUUUAAGUUGGAACAAAAUAGCCGGUUGUGUUGAGAAUGAAGGUGAAUUUACUUCUCCCUCCUAAUUUAAGUGGAAUAUCAAGACUGAGCAACUAUAUGCAUAUCGAUUCAGUUGACAAUUCUGACAUUUUUUUUAAGUGAAUAAUUAAUUUUGAAAUCACACAAGUAUCUAUAAUCCUUUUUUAUUUUACUUGCAGGUCUAGAGAGGCUAUCAAAAUUGAACAAUUUGAAGAUGCUUGAUUUAAGUGAAAACUUGUUCGACAAUAGCAUCUUAUCAUUUGUAGGUCGUCUUUCAUCAUUACGAUCAUUAAAAUUAUCUUACAAUAGAUUGGAAGGAAGUAUUGAUGUUAAAGGUACAUAAUUAAAACUUUAUCUCUUCUCCAAGCUCUUUCAUUAACUUGCUAAAAUAAGAUUCAAGGUUUUGAAUUCAAUUUUUUAAUGAUUAAUAUUUUAAAAAAAUAGUUUUUAGCAAUUCAUAAAUACAAGUUCUAGUGUUUCUCAUAAUUUCAUCUUGUACUUUCAUAUGUAUUGUAUUUAAGAUGAAAAAAAAAUUCUAAUUGCGAACCGCACACCCCCACAACUUAUUUUUUUGUGAGGUUUGAAACAUUCAACUCAAUUUGUACUCUUUACAGAAUUAGAUUCUUUGAGAGAUUUAGAGGAGCUAGAUAUUGGCUGGAACAAGAUUGACAAAUUUGUGGUCUCAAAAGGUACUACAAAUACCAUAAAAAAUAUAAACUUUUACAAAUUAGCUGGAUUCUUUGCCAUUUGUUUUAUUAUUUCGUAGGUUUGAGGAAGUUGAAGUAUCUCGGUUUAAGUGGCAACAAACUCAAUCAUAGCAUCUUAUCUUCUCUGACUAUCUUUUCUUUGUUAAGAGAAUUAUAUCUACGUGAUACGGGAUUCAAAGGAACAUUUGAUGUUCGAGGUAAGCCUAAGCCUUGCUUUCUCAUUUUAUAUAUGUCAGCUAGACUUGUGUAUCAUCGACAUAAUUUAAUAUUUAAUUUGAUUAGUCUGAAGGAAUUACAUGCUAAUUUAAACAAACUUUUAUUUACCCUGUCAAUCAUUAAUUAAACACUAUUUGGUUUGGUUUAAACCUACUUUUUUAUUUUAUAUGCUAGCUAGACUUAGAUACUAACUAUUUUGAUGAGUCUGAAGGAAUUAGAUACUAACUAAACAUACUUUUAUGUACUCCCUCAAUUAAUUAAUUAAUUAUUUCACUUGGUUUGGACGAAAUUCUCAUGAUGCUUUAAUUUCUUUAAAGUUAUUAAUUAAUUAAUUCUGUUUUUAAGUCUUAAGUCUGGGUAUGUUUGUAGAAUUCAAUUCCUUCAAUAACUUAGAAGCGUUGGACAUGAGCAACAACGAAAUCGACAAUCUUGUGGUUCCUCAAGGUAAACAAUUAAAAUAUUAUUCAAUUACAUAAAUUUAAUUCAUUUGAUCAGGGAAGACGCAAAAGGUACAAAAAUAAUAAUAAUAAAAUAAAGAAACAGAGAAUUUAUAUUAUUUCAAAAACAGGACGUACUAGUUAUUUCAAAAACAGAAUGUAAUAAAGAUUUGAUUCCAGUACUUUAAUCUUUACAGUGAUUGAAAAACGAUACUAAUCCUUUCCCAAAGUAUAAAAUACGAAUUGACUCCCAAUUAAAUUAAUCAUUUAUUUAGUUCAUCUCUAAAUUUAAACAAUGAAUUUUGAUCUUCAAUCCUAUUCUAAUUACAAUUAAAAAACAGGUUAUAGAGGUUUAAGGAAUUUGAAAAGCCUUGAUCUAUCAGAAGUCGGAAUUAGAGAUGGAAGUAAUUUGUUACGGUCAAUGGGAUCAUUCCCAUCCCUCAACACUCUUUACUUGACUUCUAAUAAUUUUAUCGAUACAACGUCAGGUACAGAUGUGUCCAAAUUUAUAAAUAGGCUGUUAAUUAAUUAAUUAAUUUUCUGUAUUGUUGAAAAAGCUAAAUUUGUUGCUUCGAAACAGAGUUGCACAAUUUCACCAACUUGGAAUAUUUGGCAUUGGACUCUUCCUCUCUCCAUAUAAGCCUUUUACAAAGCAUUGCAUCAUUCACUUCGUUAAAAAUAUUGACGAUGACUAAUUGCGAAGUCAAUGGCGUCCUAAGUGGUCAAGGUAAAAGAAAAGUGUUGAUUAUAAAUAAACUAUUAAUUAAUUAAUUAAUUUUCCGUAUUAUUGAUAAAGCUAAAUUUGUUGAUCCUUCCUUUUAAUUCUAAACAGAGUUGCACAAUUUCGCCAACUUGGAAUAUCUGGCAUUGGACUUUUCCUCCCUCCAUACAAGCCUUCUGCAAAGCAUUGCAUCAUUCACUUCGUUAAAAAAAUUGUCGAUGACUAAUUGUGAAGUCAAUGGUGUUCUAAGUGGUCAAGGUAAAAGAAAAGUGUUGAUUAUGAAUAAGCUGUUAAUUAAUUAAUGUUGUUGCUCCUUGCUUCUAAAAUGAGUUGCGCAAUUUCACCAACUUGGAAUAUUUGAAUUGGACUCUUCCUCGCUCCAUAUAAGCCUUCUGCAUCUGCAAUUGCUUGAAGAAUUUAUUUAUUUAUUUAUUAUUGUUGUUGUUGUUGUUGAAAUGGGGUGGGCAAGCGUUCACUCAGUUAAUAUGUGGUGAAUUAAAUAUUACAAUCCAAGUUAGAAUUGUGGAAAAUUAAAGCAAAAUGAGAAAUAUGGACAGAAAGGAAGAAAGUUAAGGGCAUGAAAGACUAGGAGAAGACUGAAGACCACCAAAUAAGUCAAUUGAAAACUAGCUGGGGCUUGGGUGUACAAAUUGUUAGAAGUGUUUGUUAUAAAUCACAUAGAGCCCUCUUGUUGGUUGCAGAGCCAAAGAGACAAAGAGUGUGCAUUUUAUUAAUUAAAAAAAUAUAUAGAAUGGGUGGUUUAAAAUCCAAAUGGUGAUAAUGUUAGUUUUGUUAGUAUUAAUAAUAUUAGAAGGGGGUAGCGUGAGGGAUGUUUGGUGCAUGAGAGAUUUGCUCUUUCGAGACUUAAAAAAUUUCUUCAAUUCUCCUUAUAAUUUUUGUCACGACUGACCAUUGUCAAUGGGAUGGGGCUGGGUGCAGCAACACCACAGGGCGAGUGGUAUCUGAAUGUUUCUUAGUUUACUCUUUUUCAACAAAUUGAGUGGGUUAAUUUAAGUUGGAACAAUAUAGUUGGUAGUGUUGAGAAUGAAGGUGUUUCGUUUAAUUUAAUACUUUCUCCCUCCUAAUUUAAGUCGAAUAUCAGGAUUGAGCAACUAUAUGUAUCUUUAUUCAGUUGACAAUUUUGACAUAUUUUUUUAAAUGAUUAAUUUUGAAAUUACAUCAAACUGAUGUGAUCUCUGUUUUGAUUUUACUUGCAGCACUAGAGACGCUCUCAAGAUUAACCAACUUGAAGAUGCUUGAUUUAAGAGGAAACUUGUUCAAUAAUAGCAUUUUAUCAUCUCUAGCUCAUCUUUCAUCAUUAACAUCAUUAGAUUUAUCUGAGAAUAAAUUGGAAGGAAGUAUUAAUGUUAAAGGUACGUAAUUAAAAUGUCAUCGCUUCUCCCAACUCUUUCAUUAACAUGCUAAAAUAAGAUUCAAGGCUUUGAAUUCAAUUUUUUUUAAUGAGUAAUAUUAGAAAAAUAGUUUUAAGCAAUUCAUAAAUACAAGUUUCAAUGUUUCUCAUAAUUUCAUCUUGUACUUUUGUAUGUCUUGACUUUAAGAUUAAAAAAAAAAAUUAUUCUAACUGUGAAGCAAAUACCCCACGACUAAUUUAUUAUUUUGUCUAGUUAAAAAUGAUAAAAUUUAUUAUUUGCUUAUAUUGAUUAAUUAACUCUAUUUUUAAGUCUUAAGUCUUGGCGUCUUGGCAUGUUUGCAGAAUUUGAUUCCUUGAGCAACUUAGAGGAGUUGGACAUGAGCGGCAAUGAAAUAGACAAUUUUCAGGUUCCUCAAGGUAAACUAUUAAAAUAUUAUUCAAUUACAUUAAUUUAAUUCGUUUGAUUAGGGAAGGCCAAAAGGUACAAAAACAUAAUAAAAAACUAAAGAAACAAAGAAUUUAUAUUAUUUCAAAAAAUAAAAUGUAAUACUAUUAUUUCAAAAAUAGAAUGUAAUAAAGAUUUGAUUCCGGUUCUUUAAUCUUUACAGCAAUUGAAAAACAAUGUUGCUCUUUUUCUAAAGCAUAAAAUAUGAAAUGAGUCAUAAUUGAAUUAGUCAUUUAUUUUGUUUAGCUCUAAAUUUAGAUAAUAAAUUUUGAUUUUUUUCAAUCCCAUCCUUAUUAUUAUUAUUAUUAUUAUUAUUAUUAUUAUUAUUAUUAUUAUUAAACAGGUUACGGAGGUUUGAGGAAGCUGAAAAGCCUGCAUCUAUCGAGAGUUGGAAUUAGAGAUGGAAGCAAGUUGUUACGGUCAAUGGGAUCAUUCCCAUCCCUCAACACUCUUUACCUUUGGGGUAAUAAUUUUACGGAAACAAUGACAACUACAACUCAAGGUAAGUAAAAGGUAUAGGUUUGGCCAAAUUUAUAAAUAAAUUGUUAAUUAAUUAAUUUUCCACAUUAUUAAUGAAGCUAAAUUCCUUGCUCCUUCUUUGUAAUUCUAAACAGAGUUGCACAAUUUCACCAACUUGGAAUAUUUGACAUUGGACCAUUCCUCUCUCCAUAUAAGCCUUCUGCAAAGCAUUGCAUCAAUAUCCCCUUCAUUAAAAAAUUUGUCGAUGUGUGGUUGUGAAAUCAAUGGUGUCGUACGUGGUCAAGGUGAAAGAAAAGGGUUGAAUAUGAACUCACUCAAUGGUGUCCUAUGUGUUCAACUUAUUUAUUUUUUUAUUAAUUUUAUUUUUUAAUGUUUCUACUAGGUUUUCCUCAUUUCAAGAGUUUGGAACAUUUGGAGAUGGAUGACGCGCGCAUUGCACUCAACACCAGCUUUCUUCAAAUCAUCGGUGAAUUGAUGCCCUCUCUUAAGUACUUAUCACUAUCAUAUUCUACUCCUGGCACUAACAGCAUCGAGAUUCUUGAUCAAGGUUAAUGAGAUGCUCCACUCUCCCCGCUUAAUCUAUAAUAUUAAUUUUUGAUUAAAUGUUUAAUUACACAAACGAAUCACUUAUUUUAAAAGAAUAAUACGUAUUCAUUAAUUUUUAUAUUGUAUUAAUUGAUGAAUUUAAUAAAUUUUCAGGCCUCUGUUCGUUGAUGCAUAUGCAAGAGUUACACAUUGCUCAUAACGAUUUAAGAGGUAGCUUGCCUUGGUGCUUGGCAAAUAUGACAUCCCUCAGGAUAUUAGAUGUUUCUUCCAAUCAACUUACUGGAAGCAUCUCUUCAUCUCCCCUCAUUCAUUUGACAUCCAUUGAAGAGCUGAGGCUUUCAGACAAUCAUUUUCGGAUUCCAAUUUCACUUGAACCACUUUUUAAUCACUCAAGACUCCAGAUUUUCGAUGCUUACAACAACGAAAUAAAUGCAGAAAUAACUCAAUCACCUUCUUUGACCCCAAACUUCCAAUUAUCACAUCUCUCAUUGUCUUUCGGUUAUGGAGAUGGUGUCACAUUCCCCAAAUUCCUUUACCAUCAACAUGACCUUGUGAAUGUUGAUCUCUCACACAUAAAGAUGAAUGGAGGAUUUCCAAAUUGGUUGUUGGAAAACAACACAAGAUUAGAAACUCUUUCUUUGGUCAAUGAUUCUCUUGCAGGACCUUUCCGAUUGCCAAUUCAUUCACACAAGCAGUUAAGACUGUUGGAUGUCUCCAACAACAACUUCCAAGGCCACAUUCCAGUAGAAAUUGGAGAUAUUUUACCAAGUUUAAUAUCCUUUAACAUUUCAAUGAAUGCUUUAAACGGUAGCAUUCCCUCUUCAUUUGGUAAUAUAAACUCCCUUCAAAUUCUGGACUUAUCCAACAAUCAAUUGAUUGGUGAAAUACCCGAGCACUUGGCUGUGGGUUGCGUCAACUUGGAGUAUCUUACAUUAUCAAACAACAACCUAGAAGGUCAUAUGUUCACUAGAAAUUUUAACCUGACAAACUUGAGAUGGUUACAAUUGGAAAGCAAUCACUUCGUAGGAGAGAUCCCACAAAGCUUGUCUAAAUGCUCUUCACUAGAAGGAUUGUAUCUUAAUAAUAACAGUCUCUCGGGUAAGAUUCCACGAUGGUUAGGUAAUCUCAAAGGGUUAAAACAUAUUAUAAUGCCCGAGAAUCAUCUUGAAGGUCCUAUUCCAAUGGAGUUUUGUCAACUUUAUUCGCUUCAGCUUUUGGACAUUUCAGACAACAACAUAUCUGGAAGUUUACCAUCUUGUUUCCAUCUUCUCUCUAUCGAACAAGUUCAUCUUUCAAAAAAUAUGUUACGUGGACAGCUAAAAAGAGGUACAUUCUUUAAUUGCUCUUCCCUUGUGACAUUAGAUCUUAGCUAUAAUCGUUUGAAUGGCAGCAUUCCGAAUUGGGUUGAUGGGCUUUCUCAACUAAGGCACCUUAUCUUAGGUCACAAUAAUCUUGAAGGUGAAGUGCCAGUUCAAUUGUGCGGAUUAAACCAACUGCAAUUGUUAGAUCUUUCUAAUAAUAAUCUUCAUGGCCAUAUUCCUCCUUGCUUUGAUAACACCACACUUCAUGAAAGUUAUAGCAAUAGUUCUAGUCUUAAGCCAUUUGAAAUAUCUCUUGUCAUGGAAAGCGGGAUGAUCUAUGCAGAAAAGCAAAUCCAUGAAAUUUUUGAGUUCACAACAAAGAACAUUGCGCACAUUUACCAAGGAAAAGUGCUUAGCCUCCUAUCAGGACUUGAUCUUUCUUGCAACAAGCUAAUCGGUCAUAUUCCUCCUCAAAUUGGAAAUUUGACAAGGAUUCAAACAUUGAAUCUAUCACACAACAACUUGAUAGGAUCGAUCCCAUCAACAUUUUCAAACUUGAAGCAAAUCGAAAGUUUGGAUCUUUCUUACAACAAAUUGAAUGGGAAAAUCCCUCAUCAACUUAUGGAGUUAAACGCAUUGGCUGUUUUCAGUGUGGCAUACAAUAACUUAUCAGGCGAAAUUCCAGAAUGUAAAGCACAAUUUGCAACCUUCAACGAGAGGAGCUAUGAGGGAAAUACUUUUCUUUGUGGACUGCCAUUGCCCAUUUGCAGAUCACCAGCAACUAUGCCAGAGGCUUCAAUUGGCAAUGAACGAGAUGAUAAUUUAAUUGACAUUGACAGUUUCUUUAUCACAUUUACAACAUCAUACAUAAUUGUGAUAUUUGGAAUUGUUAUUGUUUUAUAUGUAAAUUCUUAUUGGCGACAUAGAUGGUUUUACUUUGUUGAAAUGUGGAUAACUUCAUGUUACUAUUUUGUUGUAGACAAUCUUAUUCCAACAAGAUUUUGUCAUUGAAAUUAAUUAGUAGUUUAAUUACGAUUCUUUAAGUACUAAUCAGGUUUUCUUGGGAAAUAAAUUUUUUUAUUUUUUAUUAAAAUUGUAGUAGUAUUUAGCAUUAUAUAGCUUCCAACUUCCAAGCACUUCACAUUUGUCUCUACACUUAAAAAGCGAGUGAUCAUGUUUUGUAGAUCUGGAUUUGGAGCAGGAUGGAUCCAAACCCAUAUCUAUCCAUCAUAGCUUAUAGCUUCCCUAUACUGUGCAGCAUACUUAAAUAAGAGAACCAUCUCCAAUGUUAAAAGUAGCCACUCUAUAACAAUCAUUUAGAAACUAUAUUCAGAAUAGUUUUAUAAUCAUACACAAGAAAUGAAACACCUAGAUGCACUUGAUCGCCUAUUUUACUUUGAAAAAGAACAGUUAUGGUGCUUUCAUCAUCUUCUUCACUAGCAACAUUAACACUAAAUCCACCGAUGGACCCAGACAUUUCAUCAAGAAAGGUAUAUAUCUAAUAAAGUUAAAGCUUGACAAAAAAUUCAGGAAGAUUAAUGCCUCGCCACAACAAGGGCCACAACAACAUCAAAGUAGAGAUGAAGCAGUAUUCUCAAAGCUAAAACUCUCAAAUCCACCUAGGGGUGUUUAGAAUCCAAUUUGAUCCGCUCAAUCCGUCUAAUCCAUAGAAAUCCAAUUUGUAAAAAUCUGAUCCGUGGAUUGGUGGAUUAGAUUAGAUUGAAAAUUUGAUAAUCCGCAAUCGGUGGAUUAGAUACGGAUCUACUUCUGUAAAUCUAUAAAAAUCUGUGAAUCCGCAAAAAAAUAAAAAGUAUUUAUUUAAUUAAAAAAUAAAACUUGUAAAUAUGGUAUUAGUACUUACUAGUACAUAAAUAAGUUAAAAUAUAGUUAUAUUAACAGUAUGUUAUAUCUUAUCCGAUAAUAAUAAAAAAUAAAAAAAUAAUUAAAUAAACAAAUAUAGCUUUCUAAAUAGUUAAUUUCUAUGUACUGAUCUAAACGAAUGAGAUUUUUUUCGUUUUGAUGUGUUAUAUUUCGAAACUUUAAAUGAAUUUUUUAAGCUUUAUUUAAACAAUUAAUUUAUUUAAAUCUUAUUUAAUUUUAAAUUUGAAGUCCGUAAACCAAUCCGCAAAAUAUUAGAUUUGGUCAAAUCUGCAUCCGAUCCGUAGAUGUAUGGAUUGGAUUUGGAUUGAAUUUUACCAAUCCGUGGAUUGAAUUGAAUUGAAGAUUUAUAAUCCGCAAAAUCGUAGAUCGGAUAUGGAUUGAGGUCUAAUCCAUAAAAUCCGAUCCACGAACACCCUUAGUUGGAUUCUUGAGUGAGAACAAUUCCUAGGCCAAAUCCAAAUUGUCUACAAGAAAUCCAACGUCCUCAAGAGAUCAUAUAUAGUUUUCAAAUUGCGGGAAAGCUCUAAAACUUGUGAAUUGAGAAAUUGUACAUGCAUGUCAAGCUUUAACCAAUGAAUUUGCUUUAAUUUAUCAACAAUAAGAAUAUAAGAUGAGAUUUGACCUAGUUGUUACUCUUGUGAAUAAAAAAAUUGUGUGCCUGAACAUGAUUUAACUAAUGAAAUGAAUUUUCUUUAAUUUUUUUUAAUAAUAGGAUGAGACUUUCCUGAAACGAAAAGUACGGAUAUAUAAUUUGUUGGCUUUAGUUACCUUACAUAAUAAUGUAUGGUACAUAACCGUUUGAUGAAAAUCCAACAGUCGUGGAAAUAAUAAAAUUUUAUUAUCUUAUAUUUUCACAACUGUUGGAUUUUCAUCAAACGGUUGUGGAAAAUCAAAUGGUUGUGGAAGAGUCAUUUACCUUACAUUAUUAUGUAAGGUAACAAGCUCCUAAUUUAUUUAGUAUGAUUGAAAAUUAUGAAUGAAAAUAGUUUUGCCAAAAUUGACAAAAUCAAAAUCUUUAAAUUAGUGAAAAGUCUUCAAGUCCUAUGUGAUAUAAACACGUAUUUGGCCUACUUCUUAGAACUCUUAUGGCUAUAGUCAAGCUAGAUGAAAAAGAGAUUUACUAAUUCUGAGUUAGAGAUCAUGAUGGUAACAUCUACACCUUACUCAAUAAAAUUCUUUGCUUAUUUUUUUAUUACUUAUGGUUGAAUUAGAAAUUCAAUUAUUCUUUUAUAACGUGGUUUAAAAUAUUUAAUAAAAGGAAAUUCUUAAAUACUUUGGAGAUUUCAGAGCUUUUUUUUUAAUUUUUAAAAAAGAUAGAGAUGUGACAAAACUAAAAAAAAAAAAUUAAACUCAGAUGACCAACUAAAAGUUAUCUGAUCACUUUAUUUGAACGAAAACUUUAAUGCUGUUAUGAAAAUGUGUAGAUCAAGCAAUGAAAAAUUCCAAAAUAUUGGUAAUAACUUCAAAUUACAACGACGGAGGUAGGUUGACGGCGACCUUAUGUAGCGGAGGCAGCCAUAAAUUUUAAAUUUUGUUUGCGUUGAAGUCAAAAUUCAACUGUCGCCGACCCAUUUGGUUUGAACUCUAUGUCAAUCGGGUCUGCCCAAAACCAAACACAACCCAAACCAUAGCCAGCAUAGGUGCUAAGAAGAUUCUUUUACUUUGUCACUUGUCGCCUACAAUGAAAUUGACAUUAAACAAACAUUAAAACGUGUGGACUCCGAUAGCUGCCCCACAACUGUACAAUAAUAAUUGAGUAUGCACUUUUGAUUCUCGGGACCUUUCAAUGAGUUUCUGCCCCGCUGAUUCUAUCAACUAAAGUUUUGUAAAAUGAAAAAAAAAAAGUACAUAGAAUUCCACAAAAUGCAAAACGUGUGGAAUUUAAUUUUUGGCCGUGUGGACCAAAAUAUAAUUUAACGAAAAAGGGCAAAAAUGGUAAGAUAUUUAAAAUGUAUGGAAGAUGAUCCAUAUUUUACUGAAACGACUUAUCUCGAACAUUAAGAUGAUUGAUUUUUUCUUUUUGAAUAAUAUCAACUUCCAUAUCUUUCUACCGGAGAACAUGCUCACAUUAAAGUCUAUCUUACUAAUUUGAAAAAGAAAAUCAAAUCAACACCAAAGCAAUGAAAAGUAAAGCUUUUGAAUUUUAACUCCGGCUGGCAAACGUAUUCAGGAAUUCUUCCCAUUGCAUAUCUUAUUCCUCCAUCAAUGCAAUAUUAAGUAAUUUUUCUUUAUCAUAUUCUUUUCUUUGCAUUUCUUCUUCCUCUAUCAAUGCAAUAUUUGAACAAUUAAGAAAGAGUUUAAGAACAUAAAAGAUCUCCUAGAUUUAUACGGUAUAACAAAUUUAAAUUCUCAAUUAUAAUGGAUAAUAAUUAAACUAAUAAUUAUUUAUUUACUUAUUUUAAUAGUUUCACCUAAGAAUAAUAUUGUAAUUAGAAAAAAUCUAAAAAGCGGGGUGGUUUUAUACAAAAUCAAUUGCAUACACAUAUCCAGAAGCAUAUGCGGAUGCAAAUAAUAUUUUUUAUUCUUUUUUUAUAAGAAAAUUGUGUAUUGAGAUGAAUAAAAUGUUUAAUUUAAUUAAUUUCCUUACUUUCAUAUACAUUGUCUUUCUAUCUAAAGAAAGCUCAUGUUUGUUAGUAUUCAUUCUUAGAGAGGUGAAAAAAUUACAAAUCUUGAACAACAAGGAGUAGUUUAAUUGCCACUAACUUUACUUGGCCUUCUUUAGUUGGAGCUGUGUUUUCUGAUAAGCCAAAGAAUUAGUAGCUGUUAGAAAGCUGAAAUGAGAUUGUAAACUUUGUUUGGAAGCUAAGAAAAUGAAAAGAAAAUGUUCUGGAAAUUUCUUGAUUUUAUUCAAUUUUUCUCAUUACAUAACAAAUACAAUCACGAUAGUAUUUAUACUAAAUCAAGUCUCUAAAACAAAAAUAAUAGUUUGCUUAACAGCUGACGAACAGGACGUAAUGCAUGCUUAACGGAAUUGCUGAGCUGGCUUCUUUUCUUAACUAACUGCUGACGUGUCAUUGGCACACACGUGUUGAAUAUGCAGCUCCCUUUUGUACAAUGUGUGCUUCCUUAACAGCCCCCCUCAAACUCAAGGGGCAGGGAUGCACAUUGAGUUUGCUUCUAAAGUAGUUAAAGUGAAUGAAUGUGAGAGGCUUGGUCAAGAUGUCUGCAAUCUGCUCUUCACUGGGAAUGUAAUUGAUCUCCAGCUCUCUUGCCAACACUUUAUCUCUUAUGAAGUGCAUGUCUAGUUCAAUAUGUUUAGUUCUCGAGUGGUAGACAUGAUUUUUGGCUAGCUCAGUUGCACUUAUAUUAUAGCACUAUUUUGUAGGCACUGAAACACAUUCUAUCUUGAUCGUCUUGAAUAAUGACUGCAACCAUGUAAUUUCUGCACUUGCAAAAGCAAGAGCUCUGCACUCACUCUCUGCACUUGAUCUUGUGACUAUUGAUUGCUUCUUGGAUGACCAAGAUAUCAAAUUAUGCCCCAAGUAAAUGCAGUAUGCCCCUAUUGAUUUUUCUAUCAUCAACAUCAUAUGCCCAAUCUGCAUCUGCAUAUUCUAUUAGCUUUAUUUCUCCACCAGCUGUACACUUUAAUCCAUAGUCUUCUGUUUCUUUCAAAUAUCUAAGUAUCCUCUUACAAGCCAUGAUAUGUUGAAGUGUUAGUGUAGACACAUAUUGACUUAAUUUGUGCACUGCAAAAGCAAUUUCUAGCCUAGUCAGGACUAAAUACUGUAACUCUCCAAUCAAGCUUCUAUAACUAGUUGCAUCUUCAACAUACUGACCCAAAGAUCCCUUAACUUCUUUAUGAAGUUUUGUUCUUGUAACCAUUGGAGUAUCACACCCUUUGCAGUCAAGCAUAUCAACUUUUCUCAGCAAGUCUUUAAUAUAUUUUUUUUUGGGACAGAUAUAUAUCAUUCUCAGUAUAAGAGACUUCUAUACCAAGAAAAUAUGAAAGCUUUCCUAAAUCUUUUAAUGCAAACAUUUUGCUCAAACCUGAGAUAAAUUUUUCAAGUUCAUCACUAUUAGGUCAUGUUAUCAAUAUGUCAUCAACGUAAAUCAGGAUUAGUAUCAUUGAAUUCUGUUCUCCCUUGAAAAAUAGUGAAGUGUCGGCUCUGGAAUUUUGAAAACCCCAAUUUGUAACCAAACAACUCUUCAGUUUGUCAAACCAUACUCUAGGAGAUUGUUUCAACCCAUAUAAGGCCUUCUUCAACUUGCAUACAUAAUCAGGUCUUAUCUCAUCAACAAAUCCUUCAGGUUGGCACAUGUAAACAUCCUCUGUCAAGUCUCCAUUUAGGAAAGCAUUACUAACAUCUACUUGUCUGAUCAUCCACCUAUGCAUUACAGCCAAGCUCAAUAUAACUCUCACUGUAGAAGCCUUUAUAACAGGGCUAAAUCUUUCAAAAUAAUUGAUUCCUUUAGUUUGUUGGAACCCUUUUGCAACCAACCUAGCUUUAUAUUUGGCAAUACUGCCAUCACUAUUUUGUUUGACUCUAAACACCCAUUUGUUUCCAACAAUUUUGUAUUCAGCUGGAGGUGGUAUAAGAGACCAAGUCUCAUUUCUGAUCAAGGCUUCAUAUUCCUCUUUCACGGCCUUAUACCAGUGUUUAUCAUUAAGAGCUUCUCGAACUGUGUUAGGUUCUUUGUUGAUCAAGGUGGUUGUGUACAACUUAGGCUUGAAUAUUCCAGACUUCGAUCUAAUGGUCAUUUUGUGUGUGGGUUGUGAAGUCAGAAUUCUGUUUGGACUGAGUUCAGUUUGUUGUUGACUGGUUACAUGUGGUUCAAAUUGUGUUUGAGUUGGUUCAGGAAUAUGACGGAUAGUUUGUGAUGUUGAUGAUUUUGAUAUGAAUGACUAGAUGAUUCUUGUUGAUGCUGAUUAUUUGUAUGCUCAGGUAAUACAGGUGUUUGUUCAUUACUCGGUACUCUUGCUGAGUAAGUAUCUUCAAAGCUGCUGUUGAGUAAGGGUAAUGUUGAGAGAUGAUAGAUUUGUUGUUUAGAGAAAUUUGACACUGGAGUUUCUGAUUGGAUGACAUUUUCAGAAGAAGAAGUGGCAAAGAUUGUUGCAUAUGGAAAUACAGUCUCAUCAAAGACAUCAUGCCUAAGAAUAUGAACUUGACCUGAGCUUGUAAGACAUUUGCAUCCUUUAUGAGAUGAGCUAUAUCCAAUAAAGAUGCAUUUGCUAGUAUGAAAAUCAAACUCAUGUCUGUUAAAGUCUCUCAUGUAUGGAUAACAAAGACAACCAAAUCAUUUAAGGAAAUUGUAAUCAGGUUUAUGCUUGAAAAGUUUCUGAUGUGGGGAUAAGAGUCUCAAUACAGGUGUUGGCAACCUGUUUAUGUGAUAUACUGCUAUAUGAACAGUUUCCCACCAGAAUUUGAAAGGAAGAUCAGCUUGAGUUAAAAGAGUCAAGGCCAAUUCAAUUAUAUGCCUAUGUUUUCUUUCUACCAGUCCAUUCUGGUGAUGAGUGUAAGGGCAUGAGUGUUUGAAAAUGAUCCCAUUUUGGUUCAAAAAAUCAGUGAAUACUCAAUAUUCUCCCCCUAGUCAGAUUACAUCAUCUUAAUUGUUGUAUUGAACUGAUUCUAUAAUUCUGUCUUUAGAAAUGCAACUAAAUUUUUAAUCUCUUACUCUACAUAAAAUUGAAAUUCGAGUGGCUUAUCAAAUAAAAUUAAAACUAUUAAUUAACCAAAUAAAAUUAUUUAAAACCAUUGGGUAUGGUAGCAGGAGUUCUUGAAACUAUCGAUGCCAUGAAAUUUACUGGCGAAAAGGGUUUUAGAUGUCUAUUUUAUAAAUCUUUUAAUAAUUUUUUUAUUUACCAUUUUACUAUCCAUGGUAAAAGUGUCGCAUCGACAUUGAACAGUUCAACAUAUCAGUCAUUUCUCAUUCAGUCAUUAAGAAUUUACGUUUGGGGUAUUUUUGUAAUUAUGAGAAGGUAAACUAAUCGCAAAAUUCAUUUGGCUUGCACUUGCUCGCCUUUGCUGUGUGUUUGGUUAUGGCGUUAUCAUUAUCAUCUUCUCCACUCCUGCUGACACCAGACCUUAACCGUUCAGAUUCCCUUUCUCGACUGUCAUACCCUACGCCCCGUCUCCGUGUCUCCGAUAAACAGUGCUCAAUUAAGACCAUCAGAUUAUCCCGGACCCACAUUAAUCCAACGGCUCACAAUGACCGACAACCUCUCCAUCUCCAUUACAAGCUCCCUCUUCAGCUGGCUUCUUCUUCCGUCCUACUCUUUCUCGGAUUCGGAGCCCGUAUAUGCUCGGCUGGUCCCACGCAGCUCCCUCUCACUCCAGCUGUCAACCAACAAGACCAAUUGCUUGAUCAAGACACAGAACAAAAAGAGGAUGAGAAAUUGAAUCAAGAAUUUGAGAAUUGGAAAUGGAAGACGUACGCAUUGACCGUGCCUUUGAGAGUCGUUUCUCUUCAGAAUUCAGUGCCUCAAUCUUGGGUUAAGGAUUUUAUGCGAAGUCAAGGAAAGAGAUUGAAGUUUCAGAUGAAUUUGUGUGCUAGCAUUGAUGGGAUCGUUAACAAUUUAUCUACGCCCUUUAACAAAGUUAAGGCUAAGUCAGCUUCGUAUAUGGCUGCUGAUUUGGUUAGUGUUGGUGAUUCAUGGCUCAGUUUUGCGAUUAAAAAGAGAUUGAUCGAGCUAAUAGCUGAAGCUGAAGAUCAAGAUUGGUUCAAAUGCUUAAGUCACAAAUGGAAGGUAACAUCUUUAUCUUUUACCCGAUAAUUUUUAUUGUCUUACCUUGAAAUUUGGUAAUGUAAUUUGUUCUCUAUCUGUGUUACCCUUUAUAGUCAUUUUAUUUAUUUGUUUAUUGCUUUUAUUUGCACUAACGAAAUCUCAGGUAUAUCUACGCAGCAAUGAUGCAGGAGAAAUUGAUCCUCGAGGUCAAAUAUGGGCGGCACCAUACAGGUGGGGCACAAUGGCGAUAGGCUACAAGAAAAGUAAAUUUCAAAACCAUAAUUUGGCUCCGAUUGAGGUAAUAAUUGUACUUAAACUCAUUUAGUUUAAUAUCAAGCAAAAUCAAGACUGCCUUUCUCUUCAAUAUUUUCAAUGAUAAUAUCUUUAGAAGCAUCUCAUUGACGGGUAACAAUGGUAUCCCUGAAAGAGUCUAUAAACUCAAUGAUAUUAUCUUCUACAAUGGCUCAUUAAACUUUGUCGUUGCAGUCAAAUGUACACUCAGAGCAAUGAAAAGCUAUGCCACUGUAGCAUGUAGUGAUGGCACUUAAUAAGUGAAUUGCUAGGAUGUGAACUAGAAAAAUUAAAUAUUGUCUCCUUGGGUAUGCUAGCUCGUAAGUCAGGGUUACUAUUAGAGCUUAAGAUACUAUAACCAUGAGAAGCUAUUGACUGCCAAUUAAAAUAUCCAUUAAAAUGUCUAGGGAGUUAUGAAGGUGGAGGUAGCUUCCAAUAACUAACUUGAGUUUGGUAAAACAAACAGACAGUGUGUCUCAUGUCUCACAAUUCAAAUUAUCAUCUGUAAUGAUGGAGAAUUUUUCUAAUGUAUGAAGUAUGCUUUCAUACGUGGAUUAGCUUGGAGAAGAUAUCUCAAAAUAAAGAAUAUGGGGAGCGAAUGGGAAAAAAACAGUUCAGUAGUUUAUUAUUCUGUAGUCAAGUUUUGUCUUGAAAAUGGUCAAAAUUUAAAUGAAUAAGGACAGGGGAUCUUCAUUCUUUUUUCCCUUUUUUAUACCAAGAUAUCUUUCAACCUUUAUAUAAUCCCCACUGGAUAUCUGCUUCUAAUAAUUAAAAUAAAAAUUUCACCCACACAAAUAAAUACUGACCAAGCUCUAACAAUAAAAACUAACAUCUUUAGUCAAGUAACAUCUUUAGUCACGUAAUUUACAGUUCCUCAUCAUCUUAGUGUGAGCUAUCAGUACGAUCUAAAAACAUAAUAAAACUGGUUUGAUCCUGUUUAUUGAUGUUUAAAUGUUGUUUAUUGUGACAAGUAAAUUAGUAAGAUCUUGUUUGAAGUUGUUUUCCGAAAUGAACUGCCAAAUGGUAGUUUUUUUGGGGCAUCUGAUGGCUCUUUUUUCCUCAUUUUAAACAUGUGCCUGCUUGGAAUGGGAAGGAUUAGGCUGCAGAGUUGUUAUAUAUUUUGACAUGCUCUGGUAAUUACACAAUUUGUUCACACUGGAAAUUAGAAUGAGAAAUUUGUUGAUGCUGUUUUGAUAGAUCUGCAUUCUAUGCACAAUAACAUGAUUAAUGAAAAUGGAUUGUAGGACUGGAAAGAUCCGUGGUGGCCUGAGCUCGCAGGAAGAAUUUCAAUGGUUAAUUCUCCCCGAGAGGUUAUUGGUUCAGUUUUGAAGUAUAUGGGAGCAUCAUAAAAUUCAAACAAUAUUGAUUUGCAAGUUGCUGGUGGGAAGAUUGCUGUUCAGCAGAAUCUGGCAUUACUGGCAAACCAGGUACUCUUAAAGAAAUGAUAUCUGAUCAUUGCAUGUUAUUGCCUGACAACUGAUUUUGUUUGUAGAAGUCUGCUUCUUCAUACAUAUGAAUGCAUAUGCUAGUGUUUUCUUCUCCUUUUCAUACAUAUGAAUGCGUAUGUUGGUGUUGUCUUUUCCUUUUCAUACGUAUUAAUAAUACAUAUGUUGGUGUUCUCUCCUGAGAUGGAUGCAAUAAAGGCUUUUGCUCCUAAAUUUAGCUGAAGAAAUGGCAAGGGAUGUGAGAUUCUGUCUCAUUAAAUUAACAAAAACCCAAAACAAUGAAAAACCAUAAUAAUGUGGUGUGGGUAAACUGGCUCCAUUUGGUUCGUUUCCUUAAUGUGAAUACGCAAACAAUGGAGACUAACAAAAUGAAGUGACAACAACAAGUCAGUGUCCUUUGAUGGAUGCAUUUUUAAGCAGAAAUAGGUUUGUAAUUGACCAAAUUUGUCUGGCAUGCCAAUUUCGAAAAAAUUAAAUUAUGUGAUUAUUACCUGUAAUGAAGGGGGAUAGUAGGUGCAAUCAGGUGGAUCCCGGAAAGUUCAACAAAGUUCUGGUAUGGUGUAUUGAAAUUGGUUUGUGCAACUCAAGAGUCUUUCAGGUGAACGAUGAUGGGUUUUGAUUUAUGAAUGUUAUAAAUCUACUGUGCAUAGUAUUCUAGUAGAAUCAUUUAUAAGUUCUAGUUAUUGAAAUUGUCUACUUUGUCCGGUUUGAGUUAAGGGCACAUGUAAUAUGAAAAAUAGUUGUCGCAUCUUUUAGGUUACCUAACAUUUGAUCAAUCCUAUUAUGAGGGCUUCAAGAUGUCUAACAAUAUGUAGAAUGCCCAUGCUCCUCCCCAUUGUUUAUCUUAUACAAUAAUUUGUUUUAGAUGCUAAUAUCUUUGUCGAUACUGGUAACAUUAUUACAAUCUCUGCUUUUAUUGGGUUCUACAUAGGUUCGACUGUUUGACAGUACACACUAUCUGAAGGCAUUUGGAAUUGGAGAUGUAUGGGUUGCUGUUGGGUGGAGUAGUGAUGUUCUUCCUGCUGUCAAACGUAUGUCUAAUGUUGCUGUUGUUGUUCCCAAGUCUGGUGCAAGCUUAUGGGCCGAUCUUUGGGUAUUCCCAUGCCUGCCAUUCUACUUCGAUAUUCACUUUGUUAUCACCUUCAUAUUAGUGAUCAGUAAACACGAUAAUGUGACUAAUAAGUUUGUAUUCUCUUUAUAGGCGAUCCCUGCUGCCUCAAGACUUGAAACAAAACAAAUUGGAGGGCAAGUCAGAGGUCCGUCUCCAUUAAUCCAUCAAUGGAUAGAGUUCUGCUUGCAAACAGCAAGAGCAUUGCCUUUCAAGCAAGAGGUUAUCCCAGGCGCAUCUCCCUCUGCCCUUGAAAGUACUCUGGUUAAGUUGCCUGAAGAACUUCUGAAGGGUAAACCAAGUGUGGAUACUAACUUAAUUGCUGGAGUACCCCCCCGCUGAAAUUCUGGCCAGAUGUGAGUUUUUGGAGCCAUUAUCUGAAGCUACAUUGUCAGAUUAUGAGUGGCUGGUUGCUAAUCUGCAAAACCUGCUCCUGUCUUGAUGAAAAGGGUGCAGCAUUACUUGUCAUCAUUAAUCCAAAGCUUUCUAGCAAAGCUACAUUGAAAAGUUAAUGGCACUGCAUACAAUCAUGAGUUUUAAUGGAGCAAGAACUAAAUACAAUUAUCGCUAACAAAUACUGAAAACACAACCCACACAGGAAAUCACCCUUCGCGUGGGGAUGGAGAUGUUUACUGGAGCGAUAUUGAAUAUGUGCAAGGUGUUGUCCACUGCUCUUUGGGUUAUGGUGUGACUUGCGAUUUCAAGAUUGCCCAGAAACAAUGGAAAAGAUUAACAUAUCCUCCCAUGAGUGAAAACGGCUUGACUAAUUCUAAUUACCGAAUUGACUCAGGAUCAGGUAGCAAUAAUAACAGUUAACUAACAUUGCACAGUCCCGAGUACUUUUCCAGGAUCAGAUACAACGUGGUCUAAUGUUGAUAAUAAUACCUUAUUAAAGGACAAAUCAUUGUUCUUGGGUGUUGAUAGUAAUAGCUUAUUAAAGUAGAAGAUGAAGGUUGUGCAGGUGAUUUCAGAAAUAAAAUACAUUCUGAGAGAUGAUGGUCUACUAUUGCAAGCCCCCAGAUUUCAGAAUCUUUUGAUUGCGGCAUUUGGCAACGAUUCCACAAAUUCUAGAUUCCAACUGAGUUAUCAAUUGAAAAUGAAGUUGAAUUGAAAAAGAACAACAAAUACACAGUGAAGUUGAAUUGAAAAUGAAGUUGCAAGUUGCGCCCAUAGCUGCUGACUAAUAAUAAAACGAGACAAAUUAAUUAAACUCAGAUCUCUAUGUACAUGUCAACCUAACUUUACUUUUCCUUGUUUGUUAUAUUCACUUAACACUUGAUGCCUAAACCAUUAAAACCAAAUGACCAUAGAGGUAUUUGUAAUAUGUAAAAACAAACAAAAACACGUAAAAAAUUUUAAAAACAAUUAAUAAUCACACUCUAAAUUUACCACUCAACUCUAAAUAAUAACCAUACUCAAACAAUUUACAACUUUUGACGGGAGUAGCUAUGAGGAAAAUCCUUUCUCAAUGGAUUGCCAUUGCCCAAGAGUUGCAAUGAAAACGUACCACCUGCAGCUGUGCCGGAAGAUUCAACUAGGUCUGAAAAAGAUGAUAAUUUAAUUGAUAUGGACAGUAAUUGUGAUAUCGGAAAGCAUUAGUAUUCUAUAUGUGAACCAUUAUUGGCGACAUCGAUAGUUUUAUAUUAUUAAAAUGUGGAUGACUUCCAUUUACUAUUUUGUUAUAGACAAUCUUAUUCAAUUAACAUAUAGUUUUAAACUAUUAUGUAAAUCAAUCUAUUAAUUUUCAUGAUAUUUAACUGAGUUAAAACUAAGUGCAAUCAAUAAAUCUCUUUUCCUUUAAAAAACCGCUACGUUUUAAUUUUAGUGCUUAAUAUUUAUUGAACUCUGAUACAGGAAAUUUGAAAUCAAACUCGUAACUACAAAUUAUUUAAUUGCGAGUUGCUGUCCAUAGCUGCUGAUCUGUAGUAAUUAUCUAAUUGACUGAGGUGACAACAAUUUUUUUUUUUUUCGGAAAAAUGUCAAUAGCACAAAUUCAAUAAUUAAAUUCUCAUGUUUAAUUUGUUUCAAGUUAAAUUAUUAAUUACUAAAACUCUGUUUUAAGUCUUUAAUUUUAUAUCUUGGCGUAUAUGCAGAGUUGGAUUCUUGAGUGAGUUGGGCAUUAAAAUGUGUGGACUCCGGUAGCUGUCCCACAAGUGUACAACUCUACAAUAAUAAUUGAGUACACACUUUUAAUUCUGGGGACCCUUCAAUGAAUUUCUAGCCCCGUUGACUCCACUGACUAGAGUUUUGUAAAAUAAUAAAAAAAAAGUACAUAGAAUUCCACCAAAUGCAAAAGCAAAAUGUGUGGAAUUUAAUUUUUGGCCGUGUGGACCAAAAUACAAUUUAACGAAAAAAGAAAAAAAAAAUUGUAAGAUUUCUAAAAUAUGUGGAAAGUGAUUCAUGUUUUACUGAAAUGACUUGUCUCAUGAUUGAUUUUUUUUUUUUUUUGAAAAAUAUCAACGUCCAUAUCUUUCUACCCUAGAACAUGCUCACAUUCAAGUCUAUCUUUGCUAAUUUGAGAAAGAAAAUCAAAUCAAAUCAAUACCAAAGCAAUGAAAAGUUAAGCUUUUGAAUUUUAACUUCAGCUAGCAAACGUAUUCAGCGUUUUCAAAUUCUUCCCAUUGCAUAUCUUCUUCCUCCAUCAAUGCAAUAUUAAGUACUUUUUCUUCAUUAUAUUCUUUUCUUUGCAUUUCUUCUUCCUCCAUCAAUGCAAUAUUUGAACAAUUAAGAAAGAGUUUAAGAACAUAAAAAAUCUUCUAGGUUUAUACGGUACAACAAAUUUAAAUUCUCAAUUAUAAUAGAUAAUAAUUAAACUAAUAAUUAUUUAUUUACUUAUUUUGGUAAUUUCACCUAAGAAUAAUAUUGCAUUAGAAAAAAUCUAAUAAGUGGGGUGGUUUUAUACAAAAUCAACUACAUACAGUAAUAAGUGAGUACGCACCUUUGAUUCUCGGGACCCUUCAAUGAAUUUCUAGCCCCGUUGACUCCACGGGCUACGGCUAAAGAUCUGUAAAACAAGUAAAUAGAAUUUCCACAAAAUGCAAAACUUGUCGAAUUUAAUUUUUGACCAUGUGGAUCAAAAUGUAAAUUAAAGAAAAAGACAAAACAAAAAGAGGUAAAAUUUCCAAAACGUGUGAAAGAUGACUCAUGAUUUAUUAAAACGACCUGCCUCGAAUAUCAAGACGAUUAAUCUUUUUAAAUUUUUUUUUUUGAAAUAAUAUCAACUCUCAUAUUUUUCCACUCGCAGAACAAGUUCACAUUCAAGUCUAACUUGCUAAUUUGGAAAACGAAAUCAAAUCAAAUCAAUAUCAAAGCAAUGAAAAGUAAAACUUUUGGAUUCUAACUCCAGCUAGCAAACGUUGGAAUGCAAUAAUUAAAUUCUUCUGUUUAAUUUGUUUUAAGUUAAAUUACUAAUUACUUAAACUCUGUUUUAAGUAUUUAAUUUUAUGUGUUGGUGGGUAUGCAGAAUUGGAUUCUUGAGUGACUUGGACAUGACCACAAUGAAAUUGAUGGCAAACAAACAUUAAAAUGUGUGGACUCCGGUACCUGCCGCACAAUUCUACAAUAAUAAGUGAGUACGCACCUUUGAUUCUCGGGACCCCUUCAAAAAAUUUCCAGCCUUGUUGACUCCACUGGCUAAGGCUAAAAUUUUGUAAUAGAAAAAAGGUCAAUUCUUGUGGAAUUUAAUUUUUGGCCUUGUAGACCAAAAUGUAAAUUAAAGAAAAAGACAAAAAAGAAAAGGGGCAAGAUUUAUAAAACGUGUAGAAGGUGGUCCAUGAUUUAUUCGAAUAACCUGCCUCGACUCGAAUAUUGUAAUGAUUGAUUUUUUUUAUUUUUUUAAAAUAAUAUCAAUUCUCAUAUCUUCCCACUCCUUGAAAAUGCUCACAUUCAAGUCAAAUUAAAUGGACACCAAAACAAUGAAAAUUGAAAAGUAAAACUUUUGAAUUCUAACUCUAGCUGGCAAACGUAUUCAGUAUUUUUAAAUUCUUCGAAUCGCUUAUCUUCUUCCUCCAUCAAUGCAAUAUCAAGUAUUUUUUUCUUUUUCGUAAUCUUUUCUUUGCAUUUCUUUUUGCUCCAUUAAUGUAAUUUAACUUCUUUUUUUAUUUGAACGGCUCGGAAAGAGUUGAAGAACAUAAAAAAGCUCUUGGUUUUAUACGGUAAAACAAAUUUAACUUAUAAUUAUUCAACUAACAAUUAUUUAUUUACCUAUUUUAGUAAUUUCACCGAAGAAUAAUAAUCUAAUUACAAAAAAUCUAGUCAGUUGGGUGGUUUUAUACAAAGAGUAAUGAUAUAGCCACAAACUCUUGUACAAACUUAUUUUGUACAAACUGAUGUGGCGUUAAUUCAUUGGUUGAAUUAAAUAUCUCUUGGCCCACAUGAUUUGUUUAUAUUAUUUUAUAUUUCUAUUCAACCAAUGAAUUAAUGCCACAUCAGUUUGUAUAAUAUAAAUUUAUACAAGAGUUUGUGGCUGUAUCAUUACUCUUAUACAAAAUCAACUACAUACCCAUAUACAGAUGCAAAUGCAAAUAAUAUUUUUAAAUAAGAAAAUUGUAUAUUGAGAUGAAUAAGAUGUUUCUAUGAUUCUAUCUUAGGAAAGCUCGGUGGUGGUAACGACAUGAAGUUGCGAGUUGCCGCACACAGUUGCUAGUAAUAUAAUAAAACAAGACAAAUUAAUUAAACUCAGGCCUUUACGUAUAUGUUAUCUUAACUUUACUUGCCCUUGUUUGAUGAUAUUCAUUCUUGGAGCUAAGGGCGCAUGUAAUAUUUGUAAUUGUAUUAAGUAUAUAUUAAUGUGAUUUUCAAAAUCAGGUUUUAAAAUCUGUAGGAUAGGCUGAUUUUGGUAGUUUUGGGUCGGCCGUUGCAGUCAUUGGGACUGACUUAUUAUUAUUAUUAUUAUUAUUAUUAUUAUUAUUAUUAUUAUUAUUAUUAUUAUCAUCAUUAUUAUUAUUAUUAUAAUUAUAAUAUCAACUUCCAUAUCUUUCUAAACCCGGAAUAUGCUCACGUCACGUUCAAGUCUAUCUUGCUAACCUGAAAAAGAAAAUCAAAUCCAAUCAACACCAAAACAAUGAAAAUUAAAGCUUUUGAAUUUCAACUCCAGCUAGCAAACAUAUUCAGCGUUCCCAAUUUCUUCCCAUUGCAUAUCUUCUUCCUCCAUCAAUGCAAUAUUAAGUACUUUUUCUUGAUCAUAUUCUUUUCUUUGCAUUUCUUCUUCCUCCAUCAAUGCAAUAUUUGAUCGAUUAGGAAAGAGUUUAAGAACAUAAAAAAUCUCCUAGGUUUAUACGGUAUAGCAAAUUUAAAUUCUCAAUUAUAAUAGAUAAUAAUUAAACUAAUAAUUAUUUAUUUACUUAUUUUAGUAAUUUCACCUAAGGAUAAUAUUGUAAUUAGAAAAAACUAAUUAGAACAAUUUAAUUUUUGGCCGUGUAGACCAAAAUAUAAUUUAACGAAAAAGGAAAAAAAAAAGGGUAAAGAUUUUUAAAAUGUGUGGAAAGUGAUCCAUAUUUUGUUCGACUUGUCCCGAACAUCACGACGAUUGAUUUUUUUAUUUUUUUUUUAAUAACAUCAACUUCCAUAUCUUUCUACCCUCAGAACAUGCUCACAUCCAUAUUUUUUAUGUACUUAUUUUAGUAAUUUCACCUAAGAAUAAUAUUGUAAUUAGAAAAAAAUCAAAUAAGUAGGGUGGUCUUAUACAAAAUCAACUGCAUACAUAUAUGCAGAUGCAGAUAAUAAUUUUUAAUUCCUUUUUUUAAUAAGAAAAUUGUGUAUUGAGAUGAAUAAGAUGUUUAAUUUAAUUAAUUUCCUUACUUUCAUAUACAUUGUCUUUCUAUCUAGAGAAAGCUUGGUGCUCAGAACGACAUGAAGUUGCGAGUUGUCGCCCAUGGCUGCUGAUUAAUAAUAAAACGACACAAAUUAAUUGAACUCUGGCCUCCAAGUAUAUGUUAUCCUAACUUUACUUGCUCUUGUUUGUUAAUAUUCAUUCUUAGAGAGGUGAAAAAAAUUACAAGUCUUGAAUAACGAGGAGUUUAAUUGCCUCUAACUUUACUUGGCCUUCUAUAAUCUCAUUAAUAAUACAGAGAAUUAAUUAUCUUUUUAUUAUUAAACCAAAGAAUUAGUAGCAGUUAAUAUUAAUAUUGCCCACCCAAGAAAUAUGAGUGAAUUAAAGUAUUGGCAAGAGUUCGCUCAGAGGAGCAUUUAAACCACUUCCUUAUCAAUUGCGGCAGCCGUCUAUUAACUAAAACGCCAAUCUAAUACACGAAGAAAGAACAUUUACAGACUUGGCAAUUGAGUUCAUUAAGAAGUAGCAUCGCAUUCGGGUGAUGAGUUUCCUUUUGUUAAUAAUUUUAGUCUAAUUUCCAUUGUACUGAGAUCGCUUCUCGAGGUAAGUGAAAGUUACAGAUGUGGCAAAAUAAAUAAUUAAAUUAACAAAAUGCUAACUAAUUUUCCUAAAUACCUAGGGUUGUACAAUUUCAUCAACCUGGAAGAAUUGACAUUAAUGGACUGGUCUCCUCCCCAUAUAAUUAUAAUCCUUCUAGAAAGCUAAUUUUUAUUAAAUAUUUUCUUUUAAGUUAAUUUCAAUUAAAAUUUUUUUUAAGUUAUAUAUACUCUAAUGAGAUUCUGAAUUCCUUUCUUCCAAUAAUAAUGAAAACGUAUUAAAUUAGAAAUGAAAAAAUUGGUGUUGAUGAUUCAACCUGUUUGGAUAGAUUACGCGAAUAAAAUUGAAAUUUUGAUUUAAUUUUUGUUUAUUGUUAAUUCUCAGGCUAUCUUAAUUUCAAGAAUUUAGAAUGUUAAUUUGGUCAUGGAUUUCAACCCAUGAGUGUCAUAUUCUAGACUUAAUGGUACCAUUCUUUGAUUGAGGGCAAUGACUCUCACUCCUCUUGUAAAAAACUAUUUUCAACUAUUUUGAUGACUUAAAAAUUGAUAGAUUUAUUGUUGUCAUGACCAAAUUAUUCAUUUUAAUUAAACAUAAUUAAUGCAUCAAAGUUACCAGGUUUAUGUUCUAUCUUAAUGCGCUUUUUUUUUUUUUUCAGUUAUCAGCUAUGCCCCUGAGGCAUUUUGUAGAGUAUAGCUUCUGCUUACCUCUGUUUCAUUUUUUUUAAUAAAAAAAACAAGGGAAGGUUUUUCCGAGUCGUCCAUUAUUUGAUUACCGUCAAUCAAGAAAACGACCAAAUUAAUUUCUCUCCAAAAUUUCCAAAAGCUAGAAAAUUUUGUUAUUUGAAAAUAACAUCAUUAAUUAUAGAGUGGAUCAAACCGCGUUAUUGUCUUUUAUAAAAUUGAUGUCUUUUUAAGAGUCAAUGCAUUUUAUUUACACAAACCAGUCGACAUCAACUUGAACUUCCAUAUUUUUAUUAUUAUGUUAUUUAUUUUAAUCCCCGAUUAUUUGAUUAGCCACUAUAUAUAUCAAGAAAGCGACAAAAUUUAUUUCUCAUGACUUCCAAAAACUAGAAAACAACAUCAUUUAUUAUUUUUUUGCAACCCUAAUUGACAUCAACUUUAACUUUAUUAUGUUAUUAUUUCAAUCCCCCAUUAUGACCUUUCUAAUCCUCCAUUAUGCAUCUUUUAUAGUGCAAAUUUAAUUGCACAUCUAAAUAAAUUGAUUAUUGUCACUCCACCACCAAUAUUUCAAAUAGUCACUAGACCAUUUCUGCCUUUAAUUUUCCCUUAACUAUUGACUGUUUUUAGCAUCUUAAAAUAUACAUUUAUUCCUUGAUUAUGUGAUAAAAUUAUGAAAAUAUCCAUUUUAGCUUAAAUUAAUUGAAAUAACCAUAAGCGUAACUUAAAUUAAUAGAACAAAAUUAUCAAGUGUAUGUUCUAUGUUACAUUUUGAAGAAUUUAACAUAUACAAUGCUAUACUAUUAAUUCAUUUAUCAUUUAAUAUAUAUGUUCAAAUAUUUUAUAUAUUUAUUAAUUGUUAUAUAGUCAAAGGAUGAAUGAUUUUUCAGGUCUACAUGAGUUGGUGCAUCUGCAAGACUCAAUUUUGACAACAAUGAUCUAAGGGGUAAUUUACCUUGGCGUUUGACAAAUUUAACCUCUCUUCAAGAUUUACUUCCAAUCUACUUACUGUAAAUAUCUCCUCAUCUCCUCUCAUUUAUAUGAUAACCCUUGAAGAUCUCACAUUUUCAAACAAUCAUAUUAGGGUUUUUAUUAUUAGCAUCAUCGUGUCAAUAAUAUAUGUUGCAGUAAGAUUUUUUCAGACCAAUUCCCUUCUUCAAAUAAUAAUGGAAAAGUAUUAAUUUAAAAAUAAAAUGAAUAUUGUAAAAUAAAGAACAGAGUUUAUGAAUAAAACUCUUGUAUUCCUUGCAUUAACGUUGCUACAUAUAUAUAUAGAUGUACAACCCUAAAGAAUAGAAUCCCAGGUAGAAAAGCAUUACAGAUUCAUAAUAUAUAUACAAAUCUAAUUGCUUUAAAUAUGAAACCGAAUUCUAUACGACUUCUAUAUACAAAACCGAAUGCUAUACGAAUUCUAUACGUUAAUAAAUAUGCAUUGAUUAUAUCCUAAUUUUCAUCAAUUAUAGCGAGAGUUUCUCCAAAUCAACUCCCUUAUUCAAAUAAUACAGAAAAAAUAGUAAUUUAAUAGUAAAAUUAACAAGUGUUGAUUAUAUAUCCUAAGUUUCAUCGAUUAUGUGAUCAAAGUGGCAUUGUUGAUUUAUUUCUUGUUCAAUGUAAAUUUUUAGGUUAUCUAAAUUUCAAGGAUUUAAAAUCUUUGUUCAUGGAUUACACGCUUAUUAAUUUUUCUGCCAUUGACUGUCAUAUUCUAGACUUAAUGGUACCUUCCUUGAUCGAGGAUAAUUACUCUAUGUUCUCCUCUUAUAAAUUCUUCUUCCAUUAACAUCACUAGGAGUAUGUUGAUCUCUCAGACGUUAACUUCAGUGGAGAGUUUCCAAAUUGAUUGUCACAAAACAACACAAAAACUAGACACACUUGAUCUGUCUAAUAAUUCUCUUUCGGUAAAAUUAAUUAAUUUUAGGGGAAUAUUCGACCAACCUAUAUAAUUUUAGAUUGAUCAUUAAUUAAUUGGACGAAAAAAGUACUUGUGCUUUUGUGGCGACAAUUGAACCAGAGAAGUGAAGCUGUAAAGAUUUGGCAGUAGUAAAUUGUUAGAAAGACAUAAAGACAAGUUCCCAUUAUUAUAAUUUUUUCAAAAAACUUUUUUACAACACAUGCACCUGGCCAAAAAUUUUAUUUUGCUAACUAACAAUAAUUGAUUAGCUGACCGAAUUGACUCCACCUACUUGCUAAAGUAAAAAAAUAGAAAUAGAAUUUCCACAAAAUGGCAAACAUGUAAAAUCUAAUAUUUGGCCGUGUGGAACAAAAUACAAAUGAAAAAAAAAAUAGAAAAAAGGCCUAAAGACUUUUAAAAUGUGUGGAAGUCUUUCUGCCCUUUUAUAAUGGUGUGUUUUUCAAAGGAACAAAUAAUAAUAAUGACACUUCAACGGUUUGUUUUGAUAAUCACACCUAUACUCUUUAAUUUGAUAAAUGGUUACACAAAUUUUGUUUACAAAAAUAUAUUAUUCAUGUUCUGUAUUAUUUUUUAACAUCAUAUUUUUAUUUAUUAUAAUUGUUUAAAGUUAAUUGUUGGGUUGAUAUAUAAUAAAAAUGUAUAAUCGUUCUCUUACUAAACACACAUACUCAUAGUUUCUGUUCAUUUGUCAUCUCAAUCUAUCUCAUUUAUCCUUUGUUGAUAGCUCAAAACGCGUCACUGUAGAAAAUUAUAGCAAAACGACAAAUAUGGAAAAAAUGGGAAGAAAAUUAAUGCAUGAAAGAGUUGCAGAAGACAACCAAAUAAGUCAACUAUACGCUAGUUGGGUGUAUAAAUUGUUAGAUGUGUUAUAAACAAAUAGCAUAGAGCCUUGGUUGGUUACAGAGAUAGAAAAAGUGUGUGUUUUUUAGAACUUAAAGAUAUAGUUAGAAUGGGUGGUUCAAAAUCAAAAAUGGUGAUAAUGUUUGUUCUGUUAUUAAUAAUAUUAGAAGGUGGGUGGAGUGAAGGAUGUUUGGAUCACGAGAGAUUUGCUCUUUUGCGACUGCAACAUUUCUUCAAUGAUCCUUAUAAUUAUCUUCCCAACCGGGUAGAUGAUGAGGGAGCUACUGAUUGUUGUCAGUGGGAAAGGGUUGAGUGCAGCAACACCACAGGCCGACUGAUAGCGCUAGACCUUUUUGGCACGUAUUGGCGAGAGUACAGCUGGUAUCUGAAUGCUUCUUUGUUUACUCCCUUCCAACAACUUGAGUCACUUGAUUUACAUGGCAACAACAUAGCCGGUUUUGUUGAGAAUGAAGGUGCUUCGUCUAAUUCAAUUAAAUUACAUUUCGCUCUCCUAAUUUAAGUCGAAUAUCAAGACUGAGCAGCUAUAUGCAUAUUCAUUCAAUUGACAAUUUUUACAUAUUUUUUAAAAUGUUUAAUUUUGAAAUUACACCAAACAUCAUAUGUGAUCUUUGUUUUGAUUUUACUUGCAGGUCUAGAAAGAUUGAGCAACUUGAAGAGGCUUGAUUUAAGUUAUAACUUGUUCAACAAUAGCAUCUUAUCAUCUGUGGCUCGUCUUUCAUCAUUAGCAUUAUUAUAUUUAAGUGGUAAUAGGUUGGAGGGAAGUAUUGAUGUUAAAGGUACAUAAUAAAAACGUCAUCUCUUCUCCCAACUCUUUCAUUAACAUGCUAAAAUAAGAUUCAAGGCUUUGAAUUCAAUUUUUUUUAUGAGUAAAUAUUAGAAAAAUAGUUUUAAGCAAUUCAUAAAUACAAUUUUCAAUGUUUCUCAUAAUUUCAUCUUGUACUUUUGUAUGUCUUGACUUUAAGAUUAAAAAAAAAAUUACUCUAACUGUGAAGCAAAUACCCCAUGACUAAUUUACAAUUUUGUCCAGUUAAAAAUGAUAAAAUUUAUCAUUUGUUCAUAUUGAUUUAUUAACUCUAUUUUAAGUCUUAAGUCUUGGCGUCUUGGCAUGUUUGCAGAAUUUGAUUCCUUGAGCAACUUAGAGGAGUUGGACAUGAGCUACAAUGAAAUAGACAAUUUCGAGGUUCCUCAAGGUACACAAUUAAAAUAUUAUUUAAUUACAUUAAUUUAUUUCGUUUGAUUAGGGAAGGCCCAAAAUGUACAAAAACAUAAUUAAAAAAAAUAAAGAAACAGAGAAUUCAUAUUAUUUCAAAAAACAAAACGUAAUACUAUUAUUUCAAAAAAAGAAUGUAAUAAAGAUUUGAUUUCGGUUCUUUAAUCUUUACAGCAAUUGAAAAACGAUGUUGCUCUUUUCCUAAAGCAUAAAAUAUGAAAUGAGUCAUAAUUGAAUUAGUCAUUUAUUUUGUUUAGAUCUAAAUUUAGACAAUAAAUUUUGAUUUUUUUUUCAAUCAUUUCCUAAUUAUUAUUAUUAAACAGGUUACAGAGGUUUGAGGAAGCUGAAAAGCCUGCAUCUAUCGGGAGUUGGAAUUAGAGAUGGAAGCAAGUUGUUACAGUCAAUGGGAUCAUUCCCAUCCCUCAACACUCUUCACCUUUCGUUUACUAGUUUUACGAAAACAGUGACAACUACUCGAGGUAAGUAAAAGGUACGGAUGUAGCCAAAUUUAUAAAUUAAUUGUUAAUUAAUUAAUUUUUCCGUAUUAUUAAUUAAGCUAAAUUUGUUGCUCCUUCCUUCUAAAUCUAAACAGAGUUGCACAGUUUCACCAACUUGGAAUAUUUGAGAUUGGACGACUCCUCUCUCCAUAUAAGCCUUCUGCAAAGCAUUGCAUCAAUAUUCCCUUCAUUAAAAAAUCUGUCGAUGUUGGGUGGUAAAGUCAACGGUCUCCUACGCGGUCAAGGUAAAAGAAAAGCUUUGAUUGUGAACUCACUCAAUGGUGUCCUACGUGUUCAACAUUUUUAUUUAUUUAUUUUAUUGUUUAAUGUUUCUGCUAGGUUUUCCUCAUUUCAAGAGUUUGGAAUAUUUGAAUAUGGAUUUCACGCGCAUUGCACUCAACACCAACUUUCUUCAAAUCAUCAGUGAAUCGAUGCCUUCUCUUAAGUACUUAUCACUGUCAGAUUCAUAACAGUAAAAAUUUGUUGCUCAACAUGAUGUGUAUUUUUUUUCAAGGCACUUUGGAAACACAAUUGUUACUACAGAUAUUCUUCUCAACUUGGAGAUAAAUACAAAUAUUAAAAUGCAUAUGAUCACACAUAUUACUUCGAGUUUAGUAAGAUUUCAUUAAAAGAAGCAAUCAAACCACUUAUCAAUUGUCGCAGUCGUUCUAUAAACUAAAAUAGCAAUAUAAUACAAGAAAAAGAACAUAUAGAUACUUGGCAAGAGUUCAUUAAGAAGUCGCAUCACAUUCGGGUGAGGAGUUUGCUUCUGAUAUCUUGCUAGCUGGGGCUUUUUCUUGUCUUUCUACGUAUGCCGAGGGAAACCAACCAGCUUGGCCCUUGCAUUCACCUUCCGACCAUCCAAUAGGAGCAACCUUGAGAAGUUAUAACUAAAACGGUGAAUUAAACAAAAGUUGACCGUUCAAAGACCUAAGGGGAAAACUAAUUCUUUUACGUAGAAUGAGUGAACUAGUUGUGAUCACUGAAAUAACAACAUAACUAUGGAAGCAUAACUAGAUAUAAAUUCACAUGGCUAUAAGGGUAAACUGAGUGGUUUAGAACUGAGCUAGCAACCCUACUAUAUUCUGAUUUGCACUUCAAUGUAAAAGGGAAUAUAUGGUAGGAAGAAAGAAAACCAACCAUCAUUUGUUAACUCAUUGCUUUUCAAUCAAAAUUUUAAGAACAAAAUGCCAUGUGCUUUGAACAUCAAAUAAGUAUAAGCAUUAGUUCUAAAUUCCACAUAUCAUAAGUUGUUAGAAGGAUAAGUUAAUAGCAGAGUAGAAAAAUCUAUGUGUUGGUAUUUAGAGGGGAAAGUACCUGGCGAACCACAAUAUAAUCAUCAAUUGAAAGACUUAGCUUUCCAUUUGCUUGAGCAUCAAAUGGAUGUAUAACCUGCAAGAUAAUGGGAUAAAUAGAACUUUAAAAAAGCAUAACAAAAGCAGCAACAGUAGCAGCAACGUUCAUUGUAACCACUAUGAUCAUGGCCAACAAAGAUAUAUUAGAAACAAAAUUCCAUUUUUACUACGACAUUAAUAUGUACUAUACGAUAUCAUGACGAUUGGGUUACUAAGAGCUAUCAAAGUCUAAUAAGUUCUGUAUAACUUUAUGUAGUUAUUUAAAUUAUGGAUCAGAUUUUAAAUUUGAAAUUUUGACUGCUCUCCACAAAACAUGGCCUAUGCACAAGAAAGUCAUAGAUAAUGAGGAUUACAAGUGUCCGACAUCUUUUGAGUGAUGGAUUUAACAUGAGAGCUUAUGGUCAGUCAAUUUCCUCUGCCUAGCAAUAUAAGCUUUCUCGGCCAGAUUUAUCAUCAAAUACAUAGAUUGCCCCCAAGUCACAUCCAUAUAAACAUAGUUUUUCUAGGUAAACCAAGUAAGGAGUAUCAUAAUUCAGACAUAAUCAUAAAAAGGCCCAUCUAACUUAAGAGAAAAUCUCAAAAAUGGCUACAUCGUCUUGUAUCUAUAAGCAAUAUCAAGACUUUACAUCACCUGCUACAUCGUGAGUGGCUACACAACUUUCAAUGGUUUGUCUUUCUUUGGCAUGCCUAACUCAGCUUUGAUGUUGCUGAGAUAUUGAUAGUAGAGACACAUGAUACUUCUAGCUCAUGCAUUCUAUCUAACUCAUCCAACAACUAUCUCUUUUUUAAUUCAUUAGUGUUUGCUAAACCUCAUGCUUAAAAGUCCUGUUCUCCUAAACAAAGUUUCCUAAGAAUGACUUCCUUAGCACCACAUUUGGACACUUUUAGAGCAAUUUUAUUUUGGGGAAAAGAAUUUUCAAGGUGUUAACUAAUAAAUUUUAAAAAAUAAUUACAAUUUUUCCUACGAUCAUAUGACAAUUUAUCUGGGAUGAAAGGAUACAGAUAGACAUCUUCCACUUUCAAGACUAAUCACUACUUCCGUAGAUGUUGUGCAAUAAUACAAAUACUUGAUCAGAUGGUAGUGAUGGUAGAAAAAAAUUUUAUUGCUCCAAAAUUAAAAUAAGAAUGCAAUAUGUUAAGCAAAAGGCUGUGCAACAUCAAAUUAAUUGAUAAGUUUGUAAUUCAGUAAAUUAACAACUUUCAUGGUAAAAUACAACAAAUUUCUUUUGAAAAAAAUAAAUCUUAAAAGACAGCAUUCAAUUUUGUGCGCAUCUUAUUUCUUAAGAUUUUUCAGGAGGAGGGCAAUAGAGGGACUUUCACCUAUGCAAGAGAGCAGAAGCCUUACUUUCCCUAUAAAGUAGACGUCAUUCUGAUUAAUAUGCGUUUGCAAAUCAGCUCCGUUUGAAUCAGUAUUCUGAUAGACACACGAGGCAUUGACAUCCAUUUCCAAAGUCACAUGUUGCGAGGAGGACUCAUUUGAUUGCUCCUAUACGAUCAUCUAAUUCAAGUAGCAAGGGUUGGAAGAGAAUAAAAAGUCACAAUUAUUCUUUUGCAUAAGUGAGACGAAAAUGAUAAAUGCAAUAUUAUCAACAGUAAACAAGAAGAAGAUGAUAGUGGAAGUAUGCGGUGUGGCUGCCAGGUACUUGGAUUGUAUUGUCGGGUAAGGUAAUAGUAGAGAAUUAUAAGUUUGAACAGAGCAUGUUGGACUUUUGUUGACCAAAUUCAAAAGCCCAAUGGCACGGCCCGGAAGCUUUUGAAUAGAAAAACUUGCUAGAAAGCAUCAGUUUAAAUCACUACUUAAACGCUUGCUUUAACUGCACCACUUUGUACUGUUUUAUGUGUGUAGCGGUUGUGCGGUUGUAAUUCACGGCUGACGCUACGUGUUUGUUAGGUCAAAACUAUGAUACAAUAGUGGUACGGUACCAUUGUUACUUUCAAUCAUUGGAUCUAUAGUUGUACAGUUGCAUUAAUAAGAUCUAAUGGCUGAAAACAACAGUGGUACCAUACCACUGUUGCAACAUAACAGGACCCUAUUAGUUAUUUCAAAGGGAUAAAUAAGAUUGCUUACAACAAACCUACUAAUUUUAUAAAAUUCAAGUAAUAUAGAAUAAAAUAAAAAAAUAAAUACAAAAUUGACUUUUAUUUUUUAUGGUUGACUAUAUUUUGUGUUCUCUUCGGGCACUACUACAAUUCUUCCCUAUAUAUCAAUUACACCACAUACUAUCGACACAAGAAAUGAAAUCUAAUAUCACCCGUUUAGUUAAAAAAUCACUCAUGAAAAAAUUUUACCAUUUUGAUUUGAGGAUCCAUAUUUUAAACUGCAAGCUAAUGUUCAUCAAGAAUUACUGAUGGCCGUUGAGUAGAAAAAUUAUUUUUGGACAAAUUAUUUUUGUUGAUAGAAGAAUUUCUUUAGGGACUACUAAAUUAUUAAUAAAAAUGUCGAACACACCCACAUAUCAUCGACACAAUUGAUUUUGAGGAUCCAUGCUUUGAACUGCAGCCUAAUGUUCAUCAAGAAUAGAGUAUGGCUUGUGAGUAGAAAAUUUUCUUAUUUUGGCCCGAAAUAAAAAGAAAUUAAAUUGGAUGAGAAUCUGCCACUUUCUCAUGAAGAAAGGCAUACGGAGCAUACCAUGGUACCAUACAAAAUAAGGAGCCUCUAUUCUUUGGUUUUUCAAACUCUAAAGGGGCCAAUAUUGCCAAAUUCCCCCUUGAAAAUUCUGAUUACGACAUUAUUCAUCGCUUGAUGCAAUCAAAGUAGUGACAAAGUUAGGAAAAAUAUGAGUCCUAAGUAAUUGCUAGGCAGGGUUCCUGAGAGCAAAAUUGUCCUAAGCAUUAUAUGCAUACAUGGUGCGGUACAUAGAGCACGUUGAAUUCCCCACUAUAACACAAACCCAGAAAGACAAGUAAUAACUCAACUGAUAUAAAGACAAAAAGAAGAUAAAAUGAUAUAGAAAAAAGAAUUCAAAGAGACAGCAACAUACGAUAGACUGAAGCCACUUGAUCUGCUCAUUGAUUGCAGCCUUAAACUUGCAAAUAGUUACUGUACGCUAGUGCUCUAAGAAGUGAAAAUGAUGCCAGCCCUGAUUCCCUUUUGACUUCCAUUUACUGUCAAACAUUCUAGUAAUACAAAAAAUUGUUUAGAUAUCUUGCUAUAAAUAUAGCCGUUUGACUGUCAUAAUAAAGUCACAAAUAACCAUUCAUAUUGAUCUACUGUCACACAGCAUGCUUUAUGCAUACAACAGCUGUAUGUAUACCAACUCCUAACCUUAUCAAUACAUUUGGCAAAAACUUAAGAAGAAAGCUAUUUCUCCAUCUCUUUUUUGAAAUUUCACAAUAACCAGCACAAUGUGAAAGCUAUGUUCUAACCUUAUGAUAAAUGCUCCAGACUCCAAAAGGAUUUUAUAUAUGAGAGUUUGUUGCAGCAGAUAUAUUGACUUAUCAAGUAUGAAUCAUUGUCUGGAUGAACUAUCUUUAGAUAAAAGAAUAUUAGAACCACUGUAGAAUAUCUUUACGCUGCUGGUUCUAACAGGAAUCUGCAUGUGGCAACAAUUGCUAGAUCCACAAUUCCCCAACUUGAAAUACAUAGUUGCACACCAUGAGAUAGUGCUACAAUCUACUGAGAUCUAACUUAUAUGGUACUUUAAGCUACUAAUGUUUGCAUAUUUCUACAUGUUAAAUUAACACUAUCAUCUAUAAUCACUCCAAAACAACAAAUGAUAAGCAGCUUUUGGCCACUUAUUACUAGCAUCCACAAUUAUAAAUAAGAGAUCAUGGGUUUACUUGUUGCACCUACUUAAUUAUCUGCAGUUGACAUCCUGAAGCAAGGUUUAAAUAGUGACUGCUUAGAACCCUUGUAGUUGGAUCUUGACCUCUCCCAUUGUAGCCAAGAUUGGUUACUCUGGUAAUGAAUCAACACUCUCCUGCUCAGGGCCAUGAAGAUCUGAAAGCUCAGCACUAGUGGAGAACUUCAUCAAUCUCUUCUUCUCAGCACACUUGAGACAAGGCUGCAUUACGAGACCAAUCACCACAGCACCAACGCUUAAAACUGCAACUUUUAAAGAAGAAAGAGCCAACACAACACAACACAACACAACACAAAUCAAUAUGGUUGGAGGAAUACACAUGAUAAUGGCUCCAACAGUGCCAGUGGGUAUCUUGUAGGGACGAGAUGCAGCAGGAUAUUGUAUCCUUAACCAUACAAAUGCUAUGAACUCCAUAACCAUUCCAAAACAGUACAGGAAGUUCUCUGCAGCUACAAUAUCUCGAAAGCUCAGCCAUGAUAGCAAAACCACACCAGAUGCUGAGAAUAUGAUUCCAAUCAAAGGAGUCCCAUAACAAGACCUCUUAGCAAAAAACUCAGGUAGCAUUCCACACUCAGCCAUCCCCAAAAGUUGGAAAGAGUUGCUGCUCAUCUCAGCCACAAACAUGCCCAUAUUGGACAUUGCUGCAGCCCCCUGGAUGCAUUAUCUCAACCAAACUCCUCCAAGCACUUUAGCGAUAUCUGAAAAGUAACCAUCGGUCCACAAGUCGCGAUCUAAUGGAAUAGCUCCAGUUCCAACUAGAAGGGGAAAGAAAUACCCAAAAAUGACCAAGAUCAAAGCAUAAAACAAAGCCUUUGGAAGAGUCUUCUUGGGGUUAUCCACCUCUCCAGCUAGUGUACUUAUUGAGUCCCAGUAGUUGAGAUUCCAAAACAGGGUGUUCAAAUACAAAUUCCAAUCCACUUCACCUAAAUUUACUACAAGCCAUCUUGAAGGCUCUAACUUGGGAAGGGACACAAGUCCCAUAACCACAAAAGGAAGGAGUGAGAAAAUCCCUAAAAGAACAGCAGCCCAUCCCACAAUGGUUAGACCCCUAUAGUUCAUGAAAGUGAGAACAAAAGUCAAAGCUAACGCCGCAAAGGCUCUAGGUAACCCAUUGCCCAACGCAGGGAUACCAGACUUCAAGUAGUCAAGAAACAGAACUGGGUAUAAAGCAUUAUCAAUAACCCCACUUAGCCAUUUCAUCCAACCUUGCUGAAAACCCCAAUAUGGGCCUAAGGCAGAUGAAACCCAAACCACAUAACCACAAUUUUCAGAAAACACGGUACCCAUCUCGGCAGUAAUUAAAGCUUCAGGGACACUCCAUAUAAUCGGAAACACCAAGAAACCAAGAAGUGCUAAAAGAGGACCAGCUGCCUUUACACUAUCCUCAACACCAAACGGCCCCCCAGAAACCUCAUAGAAUAUAAGGAAAAUAAGUGGCAAGAUUGAUACUUUUUUAGUGCCAUGGACUCUAGGAGAAGAUGGUUGGUCAUUGAUAUUAACAUAUUCAACAGCAUCAGACUGCCCCAUUUCUACUGAAACUUGCCUAUUUACAGUGUUCCUCAAUUUCUGCAUCAAGUUUUAGCAUAACUAUCAAAAGGGUAUCCGCAUGUAAAUUAUGAAACAAAAUGAGCAUUUACUUUUUAAAAAAAAAUCAAAAAACAGAAAUGGAUUUCGCAGAGCACAUGAAUUUAAGUUCAACAUUAAACAGGCGCUUAAGAAAACAAAAGGGUCUGUUCGUAAAGCCAUCAGAUUGCAAGAUUGAACAACAUUAACGGAAUCAAUAGAAUAGAUGUAAAGAGAUCUGAAAAGAAAAUAAAAUAAAAGAUGAAGAGAGAUAAAACGAACCAUCAAAUAAGUGCAUGCAGAGCAGAGAGGCAGAUACUAGAGAAGCUCCGUCAUGUUAGAGAGAGCCUAAAUCAAUCAGAGCUCACUGAGUUUCUUUUCAACCGACCGGCAAAUUUGGAGUGGCACAAAAUAAUAUUUUUGCUUUUAAUUUUUGGAACACUUUUGAAUGGAAUUUUUUGUUUUUAAAAAAGGUAAGGGAGAUUAGGGCAUCAUAAAAAGAUUUUUUAAAUAAAAUUUUAUUAAUUAUUUAAAAAAUUAUUUUAAUAUUUAAUAUUUUAAAAAAUAUUUUAAUUAAAAUUUUUUAAAUAAAAAAUAAUUUUUUUUAAAUUUAGAGAAUUAAUUUUUUUUAUAAUUUUUUUUAUUAUUUUUUAUUGAAAAAAAAGAGAUAAAUACUUUAAUUGUUAUUAUUUUUUUUAAAUAAUUAUUUGAUUAAAAUAAUAUUAAAUUAUUUUUAUUUGAAGAGUUUUUUAAAAAAUAUCAUAUUUUUUUAUCCUUCUAUUUGCCACAUGAGUAAACAAAUAGAUAUUUAAAGAAUAAAAUUUAUAUAAUCUUUUGGAAAUGCUCUUAAUAUUUAUUUAGUCUUAUAUUUUUUAAAAUAUUUUUAAAAUAUUUUUGUCGUUAAAAUAUUGAUAUUAUUAUUAUUUUUUUAUAUUUUUUAAUUUAUUUUUAUAAUAUUAUUUUUAUAAUAAUUUUUUAUUUAGAUAUUAAUAAAAAAAUAAUUUAAUUAAUAAUUUAAUCCUAAAAUAAAUAAACACGUGUUUGGUUUUGGGCCUUUUCUUUUGUUCGUUUAAUAUCAUCUGGCUCGCUGAUUUGUGACUAAUUAUCAACGGAAUCCCGUUGGUUUCUAAAUUGAAAUAAUAGAAGGUCAUGAGACUAUUUACUCCAUUUAGCACUGCAGACUUAGAGUAUAUUGAAAAAGCUUUGUCAAAUAGUAGUAAUAGGGGCAUAAGAAAUAAAUUAUAGCUAUCACAAAUUCGUUAGGAGAAUUUCAAUUUUUUCCGUCAAUAAUGGCUAUGAAGCAAAAUUACCUUAGGUUAUAUUGCAACACUAAUACUUCAAAUCCUGAUAAGGGGUGAUAAAAUUAAGGUUGUUCAAAUCCCUUAAAAUGCUCCUUUGUUUAGUUUAAAAGUUGUUCUUAAAAUGGAAACGAUGACUUAUUUAGAAGAAAUGGUAAAUUUAUAAUUUGUAAUAUUAUUUGCACAAACAAUAAUAAUGAAGUGUUAAUUACCACUUAACAUUUUUAAUUAAUUUCUAAAUUUAAAACAAAUAUGAAAGUUGAUUGCUUCGAAGGUUGGAUCGACAAAUUGACAUUUGAAAAGAGAAGUAGGGAAUGUAUAUUCUGAUGAAAGGGACAAGAUUAAGUAAGGGGACAAUAUUCUCUAUUGGACCUACAAAUGGGGGGAAAGAUAUAUAUAUAUAUAUAUAUAUUCUUAUUUGUGGAUUGGGCAUCACGUGUAACUAAUAUAAAAGGAGAAAAUUUAGCAUGGUUUUAACAUAUAUAAGAAGAGAAAAUUAAUUGUUCAAACAAAUUAGAAGCAAAUUCUUUCAUAUCUUUCUUUAUUUUUCCGCUUACUUUCUUAGCAUCCAAACAAGUUAAAGUUAAAACGCUGUUGAGCCAACAAUAUGCAGGCAUCAAUAAGCAUAGUAGUUUUGUAUAUGUAUUCUAUACGAUAUUCUGGGGAUGUCAAUUGUAGAACAUUUUGUGGUAACUUUUUUACAUUAAUUAAUGUUUGAAGAACUUGUUAAAAAGAAAAUGGUAAUUUUAUUAUUUUGAAAGACAAAAAAAAAUAAAAAUAAAAGAGUGAAAGUGGCGUUACCUCAUGGUCAUUAGAGACUUGUUGCAAUGAUAGCUCAAAAUUAAAAAUUUGUGAAGAAUUAGUAGACAACGACGAUACUAUAUUUAUAUAGUCACCAACAUGUUGAUUUUUGUUUAAUGUUUGAUCGAUAGAAACUUUUGUCGUCGUCGUCGCCGUUGUUGAAUUCAUGCUUAGAAUACCACAAGAGAAGAAGAAGGGAUGAAAGGGAAGAGAAGAAGAGAGAAGUAGUGGAUAGCAAAUAUGAUAUGCUAGCUACACACAGGCCUUAGAGAGUUUUUUUUUUAAUAUUUAUUGUAUUUUUGUUUUUGUUAUUGGUUUGUCAUAUGCUUCCAAGGCAGCAAUGUGUUACAUCAUAAAUUGCACCUUUUAGGGGAGGUGGUAAAAAACAUGAGAGGAAUGCAUUCUAGCGCAUACAUGCAGAAAGAGUUUCCAAAUUUUCAAAAGUUUGUUAUUUCUUCCACCUUUUUUUUGCUUAAAAUAAAUUUUAAUUGUAUUUUGCAUUAACUUAGAGAAAAAAAAAAUCAAGUUCUAUGCAUAAACGCAUACAUUGAUUAGAAAAUGAGUUUUAUGGACACAAAGGGACAAUAUAAGAGAUUCUUUUUGUUUAUUAGAAGUAACAUAACUAGUUAGUGUAACAUGUAAUUAUAAGCUACCAAGAAUUUGCACUGAUGAUAAUUAACGGUAUAGAUUUUGAGCUAUGAAUGUCUUGUGGCUAGUUUAAUUGGAUUUUCGAGUUUUCAGCAGAUCUAUUUUAAUGAUUAUUAAAUUAUUUUCACUUCUUAUGCUUUAAUAAAAAAAAUUCAAUAUUUUUUGCUGUAUUCUAUAUUUUAAAACUUAAUUUUUAAUUCUUUAUAUUGCAAACCAAACUGAGUCAAAUAGAGUAUGCUCGAAUUUUUCCAAUGCCUUCAAGAAGAAUUCAUUUUAUUUUUAUAUAUUAAUUUAACACAUGUAAACCGGGCCGUUGGAUUGCACAUAAAGCAAAUGAUCAAACCGUUACAAGACCGGCCCAGGCCCACCGACUCUAUUUUCUUUCAUUUGACCAUUAAAAAGCUUUUGGCCACCCCCACCAAAUAAAUAAGCUCUUGUUCUCUUUUGUUUCCCUCUCAAAGGAAAAUAUCUGAUCACCGGAUAAUGAUUCCGGUGACACAAAAGAUCGAAACACCCCCCUAAAUUCCCUAAAUUUACAAUAAUACCCCACCAUGGAUGAUUCCGUUGAAAUGCCGCCUUACGAUGAAAGGCCUAAAAAGGGUUUUAACUUCACCUCCAUGCGCUUGAUCUUAACCCUCGUUUUCCCAAUUUUAACUUGCUUUUUGUUGGCAUUUUUUAUUGGAAUCGUAGCUGUUUUAUUCGGCGAAUCAUCAGUUUCCAGUUCCAUUUUUGUCCCUUCCUAGUGCAAAAUAGUGUCCAGCAGUAAGCUUUUUUUAACAUUUUCAAUUUUUUUUCCAUUUAUGAAGUCCAAAAAUUUUAUUAAUUUUGAUUUUUUUGAAUGAUUUUGCAGGUGUUGAUAUAAGGUCAUCAAAAGUUCGUGAACUUGGGGUGUUGAAUUAUAAGGCGAAGCGUGCGUUUUAUCCAUUUGAAGCAAUUAAAUUUCGCUGUCGGUAUGAUUACUAUUGGGCUUCUAUCUUCAAGGUAUUCAUACAUUUUCCCCUGUACUAUAAGCUUCUUAGUGGCGGUCUUGUGAGCGGAAGUGAGCGGUGUGGCUGACAGCUUCUUGAAAAUUAUGAACAGAGCAUGUUAGACUUUUGUUGACCAAAUUCAAAAGCCAAAUGGCACAACUCAGAAGCUUUUGAAUUGAAUAACUUACUAGAAAGCUCCAAUUUUUUGUUGGCUACAGUAAAAGGAUGUUGUUUUAUUCUUCUUAUACUUUACGCUUGCAUCAGCUUAAAUCACUUCUUAAACGCUUUGCUUUAACUCUACCGCUUCAUACUGUUCUAUAUAUGUAUCGGGUAUGCGGUUGUAGUUCAUUGCUGAGACUACGUGUUUGUUUGACGUGGUAGUUACGUUCCGAGUCUGUUAAACAUUCGGUGAUUAAAGUAUUAUCAGUUAUUUCAAAGGGGCAAAUAAGAUUAGCUACAACACACCCACUAGUUUUAUAAAAUUCGAAUAAGAUGGAAUAAAAUAAAAAAAUAAAUAAGUAAAUUGACUUUUAAUUUUUGUGGUUGAAUAUAUUUUGUAUUCUCUCAGGGCACUGCUGUAAUUGUUCCUUAAAUGUCAGUCACACCCACAUGUUACAGACACAAGAAAUGAAAUCUAAGAUCACCUGUUUAAUUAAAGAAUCACUCAUAAAAAAAUUUUGCCAUUUUGAUUUGAGGAUCCACAUUUUGAACAACCAACUUAUCUUCAUCAAGAACAGAUCAUGGCCUUUGAGUAGAAAAAUUAUUUUUGGACAAACUAUUUUUAUUAAUAGAAGAAUUUCUCAAGGGACUAUUAAAAUUACUAAUGAAAAUGUCAGACACACCCACGUACCAUCGACACAAUUGACUAUGAGGAUCCAUGUUUUGAACUGCCACUUAAUGUUAAUCAAGAACAGAGUAUGGCUUGUGAGAAGAAAAAUUUCUGAUUUUGGCCUGGAACAAAAAGAAAUUAAAUUGAAGGAGAAUCUGGUACUUUCUCAUUAAGAAAGGCAGACGGGGCAUACUAUGGUACCAUACAAUACGAAAAGUCUCCGUUCUCUGGCUUUUAAACUCUAAAGGGGGCAAUAUUCCCCAAUUACCCCGUGAAAAUUCUGAUUACGACAUUAUUUAUUGCUUGAUACAUAAGUAAAAGUAGUGACAAAAUUAGGAAAAAUAUGACUCAUAAGUAAUUACUAGGCAGGGCUCUUGAGAGCAACAUUGUACUAGGCUUUAUAUGCAUACAUGGUGUGGUACAUAGAGCACGUUGAAUUCCACACUAUAACAUAAACCCAGAAAGACAAGUAAUAUCUCAACAUAUAUAAAGACAAAAAGAAGAUAAAAUGAUACAGAACAAAGAAUUUCUAAGAGACAGCAACAUACAAUAGACUGAAGCCAGUUGAUCUGCUCAUUGAUUGCAGCCUUAAACUUGCAAAUGUUUACUGUAGCCUGGUGCUCAAAGAAGUGAAAAUGAUGCAAACCUUGAUUCCCUAUUUACUUCCAUUUACCAUCAAACAUUCUAUUCAUAAGAAAAAAAAUGUUUAGAUAUCUUGCCGUAAAUAUAGCCAUUUGAUUGUUUUAAUAAAGCCACACACAACCAUUCAUAUUGAUCCACAUUGCCACAUAGCCUGAUUUAAGCAUACAACAGCUGAAUGUAUACCUGACUCCUAACCUUAUCAAUACAUUGGCGACAACUUAAGAAGAAAACUAUUUCUCCAUCUCUUUUUUGAAAUUUCACAAUAAAACAGCACAAUGUAAGAGCUGCAAUGAAAAUGGACCGUCUGGAACUAUGGCGGAAGCUUCAACUAGUGUAGUGAUUUGACCUUCUUAUUAACCUGGCAAGAUCAAACACUGCCCUUGAUCUUGAACAGAUCAAUACGAUACGCACAACUUAUGAUUGAAUCCAGAAACCAUCAAAUCUUUAGCAAGAAUAAUUAAUCAGAAUCAAGAAACAAGUUUAAUGAAUAUAAACCUAUAAUUGGAACAAACACAGCCAAAGAACCCAAGAAUGACACAACGUACACCAAGGGAGAAGCUUUCCAGUGAGAUUAUAUUGAUGAUCAAAGAAGAAUCUUUUUACAAAGGUAACAAAAGUGAUUUCAGAGAAUAAGCUAUGACCCUCUCUCUUUUCAAUCUCUGUCUAGUUUGUUAACAGUGAUGACCCCAAUCUGCUUCGUUAGCCAGGUUCAUAACUGCGUCAGUGACAAACUAGCAAACCUAGAUUGAGCAGACUAACGACACGUGCAUAACGGCUUUAACGAACUUGGUUAAAGAACUGCUCACAUGUUCGUCACGCGUGUUGCUUAAAUGAUAGCCAAAACGACUUCAACCAGAUGCCGUUUUGAAGCUUAUGAAUUAUAAGUGAAAACACGUGCUUGUCUCGUGACAUUUAAAUGCAACAACAAGCCCAAAACACUGUCGUUUCACUAUGUUGAGUUUGCCAUCUCCAAGCUUCACAACUAGCAGCGAACAAGAUGAUAAUUUAAUUGACAUGGAGAGCUUUUAUAUCACUUUUACAACAUUCUAUAUAAUUGUGAUAUUGGGAAUCGUCGGUGCUGUAUAUGUGAACCCUCAUUGGCGACACUGGUGGUUUUAUCUUUGUUAAAAUAUGGAUGACUUUUCGUUACUAUUUUGUUGUACAUAACCUUAUUCCUACGAGAUUUAAUCAUUGAAAUUAUGUUAGUUUCAUUAGAAGGCUGAGUGGUUAGUGCUGCUACCCUCCAAUUUGGAGGGCAGUAGUUUGAACCCCCACAAGCGCAAUGUGGGGGUAUUUCCUUCUUUAAUUACAUUGUAUAAUUGAGUAAAGGUAAUUUUCUCUCUUACCCAAGUGUGAGUGGAGUAGACAUCCCUCGAUGGUUAAAACCUGGGCAGAGCUUCAUAAGUAUUGAUGUAAGUUGGUCCCAGUAAUAGUCUGAUUUGUAAAUAUCAGUUAUAGUCUCAUGUUUCCUUCCUUAAUUAUAUUGUAUAAUUAAGUAAAGGUACUCUUUUCCCCUACCCAAGUGUGAGUGGAGUAAAUAUCCAUCGAAUAUUAGUGAGGGUUAAAAUCUGGGCAAAGCUCCAUAAGUAUUGAUGUAAGUUGAUCCCAGUAAUAGUAUGAUUUGUAAAUAUCAGUUAUAGUCUCAUGUAAUAUGAGUUGUAAUUUGAGCAAUAGUUUCAUGUAAUUAAAAAAAAUGUUACUUUCAUUACAUUUUUCUUCGUUAAAAUUCUCAAGUAUCAAUUAUGUUUGCUUAAGAAAUAAAAUUUUGUCAUUAAAGUUGUAGUAGUAUUUCUAAGCAUCUCACAUUUUCAAUGAUUUUUCAUAAAUCAAUUAAUAUGUCGUACCAAUAUCAUGUUUAGUUUUUCAGACUAAAUAAUCAAGAAAGCAAACAAAUUCACAGUUUAGAGGGGUAAACUAGCUUUUAGAUUUUAGAACUAGGCUAGCUACCUCACCAAAUUCCAGUUUGUACAGUGAACUACAAGAUUGAGAAAAUAAUGUAUUUAUAGUUUAAUUGAAUCAUGACAAACAAUGUAGUCAUAGCUCAAUCGGACAUGAUCACGGAGAGGCAUAUUCUUUUCAAGUUAAUUUGAUCCAUUUAUAAGAAAUGAAGUGGAUCGAAGUUAAAAGUUCAAAUAAAAAAUCCUUGUUCUUGAGUUUUACGACGUCGUUACUCCUUCAAGAGGCUGAUUAUGCAAGUGAAUGGAGAAACAUAAUGCAUUUAUAAUUUUUUUAAUAAUUAUAAAAAUAAUUAACCAUAACAAAUCCCUUGCGUAAAUAAUAAUCAUUAUUUAAAAGGUCCAAAGAUGGUUAGUGCACAAUCAAAUUUUAAGCCCCUACCUCCUCGGCCCAAGAUUCAAACUUAGAUGAUAAGCCAAAUAAAAUUAUUUGAAAAUCAUUCAAUCAAGUUCCGGGGCAAAAAUACAAGAUCCUUAUUUACAUGAUAUAUAUGAAUUAAUGUAAUUUAUUUGAAUUGUCCAAAUUCAUUAGAGAUAAAACUAUAAAAUAUACCAAAAAAGUUAGAAGGAAGGCUGUGUUGGGAUAUUUUACAAACUAUAGGGAUCUGGUGAGAUUUUGAGCCAAACUGUAGGGAGUUGAAGGCAUUUGCCCAAUAUGUUUAGACGUACACUAACCGUUAUUUGAUCUUGUUGUUGGUCCCGGAUGAGCUGUAGUCUUAUUUUAAUUUUAUUUAAACUCACCAUAAGAUUCGCGGAGCUCCUAACUAACUUAAAUGACUCUGCAGAGCAUGUCAACACAUACCAUGUUUAACCGUUUUAUUUGUAGAAGAAUUUAUGAUUUCCCAUUAGCAUUAUUAUUGAAGUGGGGCAGGUCAAAUCUCAAUUGCUUGAAAAUUUUAUUUAUUAUUAUUAGUCUUGAAGUGGGGUGGGUAACGGUUCGCUCAAUUCGAGGGGAAUCAAAUAUAUCAUCCAAGGUAGAAUUGUGGAAAAUUAAAGCAAAAUAAGAAAUAUGGAAAGACAAGAAGAAAGUUAAGGCAUGAAAGACAUAUACAGUUGAAAUUGAUAAUCAUGUUUCUAUUUUGUUAACUAAUCAAAUGGAAAGCUGAACUGUAAACAAACAUUAAAACGUGUGGACCAAGCUCGCUGUCCUACAAGUCUACAAUAAUAAUUGAGUACUUUGAUUCAUCCUUCUAUGAAUUUCUACCCAUAUUGACUCCACCGAAAUUUCCACAAAAUAAAAUUAAAAAAAAAAACUGAAUUUCCACAAAAUACAAAACCCGUUGAACUUAAUUUUUGGUCAUGUGAACUAAGAUGUAAAUUAUAAAAAAAAGUAUAAAAUUAAAAAAGAUGAGAUUUCUAAAAUGUGUGGAAAGUGAUUCAUGAUUCACUGAAAUUACUUACCCCAGAUAUAAAGGUAAACCUAUCUAAUUUCAUUAAAAAUAGUUGAAAAACAUUAACUAAUAGAAAGCUACGGAAAUUAACCCCCCACAAAAAUGACUUUUUAUAGAAGAAUUUAUGUUUUUUAAAAUAUGUUAUCAAAGUGUAUUUGAUCAAAUCUGAAUUGCUUAGUAUGGUUAGGAUUUUGUGAACAUCACUAAAAAGUGAAAACUAUGAAUGAUAGGGGUGAUGCUUGCAAUAUGAAUAAAUAAUGGACUGAUUCAAUUUCUGAUUACAUUUAUAUAUUAUUGAUUAUUUAUGAAUUUUCAGACUUGUUAUGAUGUAUAACUAUGUGAUUUUGAAACUUGAAACCGUGGCAAACAUUGAAAGGAAUUAUAACUUGAAAGCAUGACUCACGGGGUAUGUCAUGAUUCACGUGCACAAAAAAGGUAGAAUUGUGGAAAUUUACAACCCAACGACAAGUACGGAAAGAAAGGAAGAAAAUUAAAAGACUUUGGGCCUAGCUGCGUGUAUAAAUUAUUAGAUUACUUUUUUUUUUAUAAGGGUAAUCAUCAAUUUACUCCAUAAAAAUCUUUAAUUCAAUUAAAAUUUAUGGUAUUUUAUAUAUUAAAAAUUCUAAAAUAAUUAUGUAUUCACUUGAAUAUAGUUUUAGUUAUAAAUGUUAAAAUAUUGUGGUAUUUAAUAUAUUAUUUAUUUGACAUUCAAAUUUAAUAAGGAUACAAAUGUAAAAGUAUAUAUUUUUCAGCUUUUUAAGUUGAAAAAAACAAACAACUUAAUACUUAUUUUUUGAGAUUCAGACAAAAAAAUAAACAUAUUAUUCAGAUUCAGACAUUCAGAUCUAUUCAGAAUUCUCACUAAUUCAGAUCUAUUCAGAUUUCAGAUAAAAAAAAAAAAAACAAAACGCCACCUAAGUAUAGUUAGGAUUGUGUGAACAUCACUGAAAACUAUGAUUGAUAGAAGUGAUCUUGGCAAUAUGAAUAAAUAAUUAACUGAAUCAAUUGAUUUAUAUAUUAAUGAUUGUUUAUGAAUUUGCGGACUUGUUGCGAUAUAAUAAUAGCAUAUGAUUUUGAAACUUGAAACAGUGGUAAAUAUUGAAAGGAAUUAAUUUGAAAGCAUGAUCCGUGGGGAAUGUGAUGAAUCGUGUUUACAAAAAAGGUAGAAUUGUGGAAAUUUAUAAUAGAACGAUAAAUAUGGUAAAAAGGAAGAAAAUUGAAAGACUUGGGGCUUGGCCUGGGUGUAUUUUCUAACAGUCCAAUGGACAAAAUUAUAUUUGUAUACUUUCUUUUCAGGAAAAAGUUAUUCUCAUCCCUAGGUUUCAUGCAAUAGCUCAUUCCAUCCUUAUUUUUUAAAUAAUAGACCAAAACAUUCUUCCGUUAACUCACUGUUAGUUGAAUGUCGUUUGUUAGUUAUUCAUUAAGAGUAAAAAAUGAUUUUCUAUCAAAGAGAAAAUUAGAAAAAUAAAUAAAAGUUGACAUAUAACUAAAAAUGAUUUUAUCUAAUCCCACUAAAUAAGAAAUACCAAAAAAGAUGAAAAUUUUAUAUUUCAAGCAGUUCUUUUUUCACUUAUUUCUAUUUUGGCGGUAUGAAAGCCCUAUAAACCCUAGAUCUAAGUACCAAAAAUAUUGCAAUUUUCUUAUUCAUAUAAGUAUACUCUCUAAUUGCACUAUAAAAUGACUUGAAUUGAAUUGAAGAUAAAGAAUAUAUUCAGCACAUACAAAGCACAUAAAAAUUGGUGGCAUUUUUGAGUUUUUCUUCCAAUGAUUUAAAUAUAUUAUUUUAAUUACAGUUUGUUCCUUAUGACAAUUAUUAAAUGGCUAUAUCAAACUAUAUCAUCGUUGAUUUCAUUUAAAAAAAAAAGUUAAUGAAUUUUGCAUACUUUGUAGUGUUAUUUAAUUGUGUAAAAAAAUUAUUUUAAUAUAGUUUGUAUCACUUUAAUGAAAAAUUCUAUUUUGCCCUCAAUGAAUUACUAGUUAACAGUUUUACACUAACGGUGAAUUAACAUAAGGAUAUUUUAGGCUAUUGUUUGAAAAGGAGGGAUAAAAUGGGCUAUUACAUUAAACUCUAAGGAUGAAAAAUGCUUUUUCCCCUUUCUUAUCAAUCAACUAACUGAUAAAAGUCAAAACUCAUAUUUUUUUUUCCUUGUUUCAAUCCCCUCUCAAUCAAAAAAGUUUCAUUGUCUAAGCAAUGAGGAAUAUGGCUAGAAAGAUUGUUAUUAGAAAGAUUUAUCAAUAGUAAUUGGUUCACAAUUGAACCGUUUUAGAUUAUUGUGAGUCAAUAUAGGUCCUGUUUGGAAUUGAAGUGUUGCAGCUCUUAAGUUAUAGAUGCUUUGGAAAAAAAACUAAAAUUAUGAAAUAAGAGUUAAUAAUAUAUAAUAAAUAUAAAUUUUAAAUAAUAAUUGUGACAAAAUUAUUAAAAAUAUAAUAGAUUUUUGAUAAUACAAGUAAAAAAAUCAUAACAACAUAGCUUGCAAGCUACAACAGUUAGUGUUUAACAAAUACUUUAAUACUGUGGCUUUUAAGUUACAGCUGUUCAAUACCUCAAUUCCAAACGCACCUAUAAAAUGGCUUGCUUCAAAAGUCUAUCAACCCAACUUGGAAUGCUCUCAUUCAAGUGGCUAUAACUAAGAUAAAACUUCGCUAAGGAAGAGUAAUUAAAAAAUGUAACUUUAACAUGUCCAUAUAGCAUUUUUGUUUACAAGUGAAUUUGUGUGAUAGAGAGAGGAUGUAAGCAAGAUAGUAAAGUCCUAAAUAUAUUAUUGUGUAUAAUGUCUAAAAUUUAAAGAGAAUCAAGCUGAUAAAACUCCAUUGAAAUUAGACCUUCAAGAAUACGGUUCUUGGGCAUUAUAAAAUGUUGUAAUGUUGAGAGAUUACCCAACCAUUAUGGAAUCCUACCAAGAUGAUUGUUACCACUAAGAUACAAUCCUUCUAGUGAACAACAAUCAGAUAAAUUUUUUGGGGAUCUCUCUUACAAAGUGAUUACCAUCCAAUCGCAAUUUUGAAUGAAAAUAAAUUUUUUUUAUUGGGAGUUUAACCUUAACAUUAAAUUUAGACAAUGAAUUUUAACUUUCUACAGUUAUUAAGCAGAUUACGGACAUUUGAGGAAUUUGAAAACAUUUCAUCCAUCGAAAGUUAAAAUUAGAGAUGGAAGAUAGGUGCUACAGCUAAUGGGAACAUUACUUCCUGUCCCUCAUCACACUUUAUUUUGGGUCUAAUAAUUUUACGGUAGCAUUGACCACUGCUCAAGGUAAGUAAAACUUACAAAUGUGUGGCAAAAUAAAUAAUUAAGUACAUAAACUGUUAACCAAUUUUCUUGAUAUAUACAGCUAAAGUAGUUGUAUAUUAGUGUCCUGAAACAUGUUUAUUAUGAUAGACACCUCCACCGUACCUCAAACAAAUCUGUCAUUAUUAGUGUCCUGAAACAUGUUUCGGCCGUCAAAGUCAUGAGAGGGUUGAUGACGCUACUACGUAUGAUGACACACCAGCCGACAGUGUAGUAACAGCUCAAAAACAAAAUCUACCAAAAUCAACGGAAGUUAAUAAAAAAAUAUUUUAUUAAUAAAAAAACUUAUUAUUUGUGGAGAUAUGUGUAUUUGAGUCUGUGGACUGAAAUGGAAAAUAUGAAGAAGUUCAGAGUCGUUGUGCAGAUUGACUUCAGUUGAGCGGGUCUAAUAGAUAUUUUAUGCUGACGUGGCACGAAUUAGUUAUAAUCUGUUAUAACGAUUCCAGAAAUAUCGGUAUAAAUAGAAGUUGAUGAGCAGUGCCUGUUGUACGAUCCUUUUCUUCUUCAGCAGUUCGUCAAUUUGCAUAGAAUCUGUUUCACUUAUGUUUGAUUAGUUGUUGAUCGAUAACGAGAGUAAAUUUUUCCUUCAAAUCUUGCUGGUUCGUGCCCCUGUUUCAGUUUUGGGUUUUUUUUUUUUUUUAGUUCUGGUUUCUUAAUUCAAUUGAAUUUCUUGGUGCUUAAUUCAUCAAGAUUCAGUGGAAUUGACUUGAAAAGGACUCAAUAGACUCAACAUUAUUUAACGACACUCGGACCGUGGGGUACCGUAAUCAUAAUAUUAAAAGAUUUAAAAUUUUAUGCAUUUAUUAAUUGUUAUAAUCUAAAAAAAAAUUAAUUAAUUCAGGUCAAUCUGAGUUGGUGCAUCUGCAGAGCCUUUUUUUUUUUUCCCCUUAUUGACCAUAACUUUCGACUUAUUAAUAGUUAUAUCAAAGGGUGUGGGUGUUUUACCUCAUCAUGUCUUCAAGCGGAAGAUGAAGACUAUGCAAGUGAAUACAGUGCAUUUCAACAUAGCAUAUUUAACCGUUUUAACAGUUAUUUGGACCGUCUUCAGAGCUAACAUCAACAUACUCAUUCAUAUGCUUAAUAAUGAACGAAUAGUCAUGGAUCGAUGUUUUGCAGCAAGAGCAACUCGACACAAUCUGGAUUCAACCUCCUCCUUUCUAACAGGGUGAUACGCCGCGGAGGUCGUCAAGGAUUCCAAAGCCUAGCAACAAGUAUGCUGGGUACAUUUGAAUUAUGCAUGGAUGCUUGGAAGUCGAACGGUCACAUGGCUCAAGACUUAUGCAUACGUUACAUGCAACAUGCAGCACGUUGGAAGAAUGGUCAUUGGAGCAGUCUACAUGGAUCAUGGGGGGGAUUCGGUCAACAUGGGAUCACUUGCUGAUUUAAUGGAGAUUUAUCAUUUGGUUUAAUUCAUUUUCGGUUGUUUAGUUAAGCUAAAAGAAUAAGUUAAGUUGUUAGCUUAGGACCUGCCUACAAUCUCGAGUGAUAGUUAGAUUGUUUGGCUAAGUUGUUUUAAGUAUAAAUAAGCUCCAACGGACUUGAAUAAAGGGCAUUGACUAUUAUCCAAAAAUCAAAUAUCUUGUGGUCUUAUUUCUCACCCUAAGUAGAAAUAUAUUCAACCACUUACGCUUUGACUGGGACCCCUAUCAGUGGUAUCAGAGCGAGGUUACUAUGUCAACCAACAAGGAACGCAUAGAGCGUGUGGAAGCCGAGAUCGGAAGCUUGCAAGAUGGAAUGAAGCGUAUGGAACUAGGGCUUACUGACAGAUUGCACCGCCUAGAAGAAACAAUGAGCAAACUGGUAGAUUCACUUCCAACUUCAAAAGGGAUGCCAAGUCACAACAAUUCUGAUCACGUUGGAUCCUCACAGCCUAGCCGUGGAGAUAGUGAAGGGAGCCGCCAUCAGCUAGCAUCAAGACUUACCAAACUGGAGUGUCCACGAUAUUCCGGCGACGACCCAACGGAGUGGUAUAAUAGGAUCAUGCAAUUUUUCGAGUACCAGAAAGCAACCAAUGAACAGAAAGUCUCCUUAGCUUCUUUUCACCUCGAAGGAGAGGCCAACCAAUGGUGGCAGUAGAUGCGACGAACUUAUCAAGAAGACGAAAAAAUAGUAACGUGGGAAAUUUUUGUGGAGGAGCUUUGGGCACGGUUUGGCCCUACUGAGUGCGAAGAUUAUGAUGAGGCGUUGUCCAGGGUUAAGCAGACAGGGUCACUACGUGAUUAUCAGAGGGAAUUCGAAAGGCUUGGGAACUGGGUACGAGGCUGGACGCAAAAGGCCUUGGUCGGGACCUUUAUGGGAGGAUUGAAGCCGGCAAUCUCAGAGGAAAUUCGGAUGUUUCGGCCCAAAACUUUAAAAGAAGCUAUAAGCCUCGCACGUAUGAAGGAUGAUCAAUUAACGCGACAAAGGAAGUUGCUACGACCACAGUACCUCAACCGUACACCACCAACACCAACAAACAAUACCCGUGCCCAACCAACGAGACCCAUCAAACGGCUGACUUGGGACGAAAUGCAGCGGCAUCGAGUAAUGGGACUUUGCUUCAAUUGCAACGAUCGGUUUACAGCAGGUCAUAAGUGCACCCAACCUCAGCUAUUGCUCCUUGAAAGUGAGACAAUGAAUGAUGAAACUACAUAUGAGGGAAUUCCUGAAGUCUUAUGAACAAAACCUGACACUAAAGAGCCUACCGAUCCAAAAAUCACUUUCUAUGCCCUCACUGGAUGGGCAGCCCCAAGAACCAUGCGGGUCACGGCAACGGUAGGACCAUAUGAGAUUAUGGUUCUGAUCGAUAGCGGUUCAACUCACAAUUUCAUCAGCUCCCGAAUGGCCAACAUGUUACGGCUGCCAAUCAUUCCCACAGCAGGAUUUUUGGUGCGAGUGGCAAACGGAGAAACGCUAUCGUGCAAGGGAAAAUUCGAACGGGUUCAGGUAUUAUUACAAGAAGUUCCAUUCACUUUGACUCUUUAUUCACUUCCAAUUACAGGGUUGGAUAUGGUGCUUGGAGUCUAGUGGCUUGAGAUGCUAGGCUCAGUGGUUUGCAAUUGGAAACAACUUACCAUGGAUUUCACUUGGGAGAACAAAAGUUGCCGGUUACAAGUCAUCGGGCCUCAAUCAAUCCAAACAGCAUCCUUGACCGAAAUUACCAAAGAGCUGAGACAAGGGCAGUCCGGUUUUGCUAUUUGUUUCCAUGUGAAUGUAGAAGACUCUCUCAACACAACAACUCCAGAUAUGCAAGACUUGUUAAAGGAAUACAACACUUUAUUUCAAAAGCCAACAAAACUGCCACCUAGACGAGAAAUCGACCAUAACAUCACAUUGAAAGAGGGAACUGAGCCAGUCAACGUACGGCCAUACCGUUAUGCCUAUUUCCAGAAAGCCGAAAUUAAAAAACAAGUCCAGGAGAUGCUGAAUUCGGGACUCAUUCGGCCUAGUACCAGCCCUUUUUCAUCACCAGUACUACUUGUCAAAAAAAAAGAUGGAAGUUGGCGAUUUUGCACCGACUAUCGGUCUCUCAAUAACGCCACUGUUAAAGACCGAUUUCCAAUCCCUACAGUCGAUGACAUGCUGGACGAGUUACAUGGAGCAGCAUACUUCACUAAAUUGGACCUAAGGGCCGGAUACCAUCAGGUACGUGUAAACCCAGCCGAUAUCCACAAAACGGCUUUUCGUACAUACAAUGGACAUUACGAAUACUUAGUAAUGCCGUUUGGCUUAUGCAAUGCACCAUCGACAUUCCAGGCCAUCAUGAACUCUAUCUUCCGUCCCUAUCUCAGGAAAUUUAUCCUUGUUUUCUUUGACGAUAUAUUGAUAUACAGUCCCUCUUGGUGUAGCCACCUUACUCAUGUUAAGCAGGCAAUGGAGGUUCUUAAACAACAUCAAUUUUUUCUUAAAGCAAGCAAGUGCACUUUUGGCCAACAAGAACUCGAGUACCUUGGCCACAUAAUUACCAGCCAAGGGGUAAAAGUAGAUGAGACAAAAAUUGCGGCCAUGGUCUCCUGGCCUCAACCGAAGAACAUCUCAGAGUUACGGGGAUUCCUUGGCCUUACAGGUUACUAUAGAAAGUUCGUCCAAGGAUAUGGAGUUUUAGCUCGGCCACUCACGAAUCUUCUAAAAAAAGGACAGUUUGAAUGGAAUGCAGAAGCGGACAAAGCUUUUAUCAAUUUAAAAAAGGCAAUGACAAGUACACCCACAUUAGCCAUGCCUAAUUUUAAUGAAACUUUUAUUAUUGUGACAGAUGCAUCCGGUGACGGCAUCGGCGCAAUACUCCAGCAACAAGGGCAUCCCAUCGCAUUUAUGAGUCGUGCCUUGGGAGUCACAAAAAAAUCUUAGUCCACAUACGCAAAAGAGAUGUUGGCGAUUAUAGAAGCUAUCCGUGUGUGGCGACCUUAUCUGGUGGGACGAAAGUUUAUCAUCCAAACCGAUCAACGCAGCCUUAAGUACCUUUUGGAACAAAAAAUAACGACACCCGAAUAGCAACAGUGGCUGGCCAAAUUGAUGGGGAUUGAAUAUGAAAUCCAAUAUAGGCCCGGCCGUGAGAAUGUUGCCGCCGACGCCCUUUCACGACGACCUGACAGUUCUGCUCUUAACAGUUUAUUUGUGGCGCAGGUAUCUAUUUGGAAUGAAAUAAAAACGGCUGCCCAAGAUGAUGAUUACAUGCAGCAAAUUACACAUCAGGCUCUGACUCAACCUACUGGCCCUUAUUUCAUGCGUAACGGGCUAAUUUUCUUCAAGGGCCGAGUUGUAGUUCCUCUUCGACUCCGUCAAUCUUUAAUUUUUUAAGCCCAUGACACUAAGAUGGGAGGUCAUUCAUGAGUUCUACGUACUUACAAACGUUUGAAACAACAAUUCUAUUGGCCUUCAAUGUUUCAAACGGUUCAUGACUAUGUAGGUAAAUGCGAGAUUUGUCAAAAAACGAAAGCAUCAACCCUUAAGCCUGCGGGUCUCCUCCAGCCCUUGCCAAUUCCUUGCCAAGUGUGGGAUGAUAUCACGCUCGACUUCAUUGAAGGGCUGCCAAACUCACACGGUAAAAAUUCUAUUCUAGUGGUGGUGGAUCGGCUCAGCAAGAGUGCACACUUUAUGGCCUUGACUCACCCAUUCACAGCAAAAACAGUGGCUGAGAAGUUUAUUGAUGGAGUGGUAAAAUUACAUGGCAUGCCGAAAUCAAUAAUCAGUGACCGAGACCCUAUUUUUAUUAGCAAGUUUUGGCAGGAGUUUUUUCAUAUGUCCGGUACACAACUCAAUAUGAGUUCUGCGUACCAUCCGCAAACCGACGGUCAAACGGAAGUUAUUAAUAGAUGUCUUGAACAAUACCUGCGAAGCUUUGUUCACCAAUGGCAGAAGCAAUGGAACUCUUACCUACCUUGGGCAGAAUACUGGUACAACACAACGUACCAUGAGUCCACAAGCAUGACUCCUUUUUUGGCUUUGUAUGGGCGACAUCCACUGGUAGUACCAAUGUAUCAUGUGGAAUCUUCUCCAGUGCACAAGGUAGAUCAAGCUUUGUUGUCUAGGGAUGAGCUGCUGCGACAAUUAAAACAGAAUUUGAAAAUGGCAACCAAUCGCAUGAAACAAUUUGCGGAUACAAAAACGCGCGACGUGGAGUUUAAGGAGGGUGACAUGGUAUUCCUAAGACUUCCACCGUAUAGGCAGACUACUGUAUUCCGUCGUGCUCAUCAGAAGUUGACCAGCAAAUACUCUGGGCCAUAUCCAAUUCUGCGAAGAGUGGGACAAGUGGCUUAUGAGCUUAAACUACCGACGGGAUCUCGAGUGCAUCCGGUAUUUCAUGUGUCCUUACUCAAAAAAUACGUUGGUGAGAUGCCUCAAUUCAGUGCAGAUCUUCCAUAUGUCAAUGACGACGGAGUACUCGUUUUAGAACCGGACAAAAUUAUUGAUGUUCGUUGGCUUAAAAGAGGUGGCAAGUUGGUGGAACAAAGUCUUGUCCGUUGGAAACGCCUUCCACAUGAGGACGCAACAUGGGAAGAUUCAGAGUUCCUGGCAAAGCAAUUCCCUCACCUGACCCUUGAGGACAAGGGUCCUCUUCGUGGAGGCGGUAUUGAUACACCGCGGAGGUCGUCAAGGAUUCCAAAGCCUAGCAACAAGUAUGCUGGGUACAUUUGAAUUAUGCAUGGAUGCUUGGAAGUCGAACGGUCACAUGGCUCAAGACUUAUACGUUACAUGCAACAUGCAGCACCUUGGAAGAAUGGUCGUUGGAGCAGUCUACAUGGAUCAUGGGGGGGAUUCGGUCAACAUGGGAUCACUUGCUGAUUUAAUGGAGAUUUAUCAUUUGGUUUAAUUCAUUUUCGGUUGUUUAGUUAAGCUAAAAGAAUAAGUCAAGUUGUUAGCUUAGGACCUGCCUACAAUCUCGAGUGAUAGUUAGAUUGUUUGGCUAAGUUGUUUUAAGUAUAAAUAAGCUCCAACGGACUUGAAUAAAGGGUAUUGACUAUUAUCCAAAAAUCAAAUAUCUUGUGGUCUUAUUUCUCACCCUAAGUAGAAAUAUAUUCAAUCACUUACGCUUUGACUGGGACCCCUAUCACAGGGGAUUUCGAUUUGAGUUACUUUGUGCUCAAGCAAAUUCACAUCAUAGUUUUGAUUCUUUAGAUAUGAAUUCAUCACAUUACAUAUAUCAGAUUAAGUGUAACAAAAUUUUUAAUUUACUGCGAAAAGAAUAUGCACUAAACAAUGAUUUCAAGACGAUUUGACUACCAAAAGCAGCUGUCAGAGUGCACUAAAAAUUUCUGUAGGAUAUUUUGUAGCUGUUUAAUAUGUUAUGAUGGGCAUAUAAUUCUCAAAUUUUGAUGCCUCUCAGCGAAAAAUAUAUCAAAGUUUAGAUUAUGUGUUCGAGCUUUAAUAAAUGGUCGGAAAAAAAGCUGCUGUCAGAGUGCACUGAGUGAAUAAUAAUAACGACAAUAAUAAUAAACUAAAAAACAGAAUUAAUUACUAUUGAAUGGUCGGAAAAAAAUUUGAAAACGUGUGAACUCCAAUAAUCACCCCACAAAUUCAGUGGCGAAUUUUGGAGAGGGCAAGGCCGGGCUUCUCAGAAAAAAAUUUAUUUAGUUACAAAAUUAUCUUUAUUGAAACCUAUAUAAAUUUUUUUUUAUAUUAAUUAGUUAUGUUACCUCUUCAAUUAUCAUCAAAUUUUUGUCUGUUCAUCAUUUGGUGAAUAAAUGUGUGUCUAAAUAAUUUCAAAUAACAUUUAGAACAAAUAUUUUGAGAGGUAAAGUUUAUUUUGUCUCCCAUUAUUAGGUGCAUCUAUAAUUUCUUAUUUACAAAAUUAUAUUGUACGAUAAAAAUUUAUUGAAUUAGGGGGAAAAAAAAAGUUCAGCUCACUCAAAAACAAAAAAUGGUAUUAACUUCGCCACCGCACAAAUCUAGAAUAAUAAUUAUUCCUUAUCAUGCUGGGGAUCCUUUACUUUCUAGCCGUAUUGACAGCACCAGGUAAAGCUUUGUAAAAUAAUAAGUUACUCAUUAGUGGUUUUUAAUCUUUUUAAUUCUUUUUACCGCACACCUGAUCAAGAAUUUUAUUUUGUUAACUAAUCAAUUGCAAAGCAUAUAUAAGUGUUGAACGGUACGCAAGAUUGGAAAAAAAAAUCUUAAAAAACGUGUGGAUUCGGGUGGCCACACCAGAAAUCUAUUACAAUAAUUAGCUUUGAUGCUGGGAAUCUUUUAAUUUCUGGCCGUAUUGAAAUUUUUAAAAUAACAAGUUCCCCUUCUCGUUUUUUUUUUUAUAAAUAUAUAAGCUUAUAACAAUUUUAGAAUAAUGACUCAUUUGUAGAAGAAUUUAUGAUUUCCCAUUAAUAUUAAUAUUGAAGUGGGGUGGGUCAAAUCUCAAUUGCUUGAAGAAUUUAUUUAUUAUUAUUAAUAUUAUUAGUAUUGAAGUGGGGUAGGGAACGGACCAGCAGUUCACUCAAUUCGUGGCGAAUUAAAUAUUACCAUCCAAGGUAGGAUUGUGGAAAAUUAAAGCAAAAUGACAAGUAUGGAAAGGAAGGCUGAAAGUAAGGCAUGACGAAAGGCUUUGAGAAGGCUGAAGACUUACCAAAGAAGUCAACUGAAAACUAGCUGGGGCCUGAGUGUAUAAAUUGUUAGAUGCGUUUGUUAUAAAUAACAUAGAGCCCUUUUGUUAUUUAUAGUUAUAGAGAAAGAGAGAAUGUGUGUCUUUUAAGAGUUAGAGAUAUAGCUAGAAUGGGCGGCUCAAAAUCCAAAAUGGUGACAAUGUUAGUUCUCGUAUUGGUAAUAUUUUGGGUGGGGGGGGGGGGGGGGGGGGGGGGGGGUUGUGAGGGAAGGAAGGUCCACAGGCCGAGUGGUACAACUACACCUUGGCCUUACUAGGAAUAUCGAUCUGGGAGAGUGGUAUCUGAAUGCUUCUCUAUUUACUUCCUUUCAACAACUUGGUAACAAAAUAGCCGGCUGCAUGCGUUGAGAAUGAAGGUCCUUCAUUUAAUUUAAUUUACUUAAUUUCUCCCUCCCAAUUAAUGUCUAAUGGAGCUCAUUCUUUGGUUUUACUUGCAGGUCUAGAAGCAGGUGUCAUCUAACAGCUGCUUUGAUAAUUUCCCACCCCUUCAUCUUUGAUGGAAAGAUGAAAUAAAAACAAAAUGGUGAAAAUGGUAUUGGUACCUGAGGCUAUGUAAUCUAAUUCAACAACUGCACCAUCAAAACGAUUACAUAAGUCCCAGAAGAAUCAAACAUUAGUUUGCAAAAUAUCAAUUGCUGGAGGUUAGAUUCUAACUUCCGCUCUUGAUUUUUAUGGGCAUGUUGUAUUGUACUUGCAUACGAAAAUCAUAUUUUAGUUUACUUACACUCAAUGCUUGGAUUAAAGUUUCAGGUGGGGAAAAUUGAAGGAGACUAAAAUGACUCAAAAAAAUAGUUGAAUGAGUGAGGGUUUUGUCUUCAUUUGAGGAGCUCUUUAUAAAUUUUAGGAUUUUUUUUCCCGAGAAAAUUUAUGCCAACUUAUUCUUUGCUUCUUUUCUGAAGGGACAAAUGCAACUGAAAGUGUAUUCUUGAAUUCUCCAGGAUAAGAGACAUAUGUUUAAUUAGAUUCUCGAGCCUUCAAAACAAUAUAAAAUUUUAUAUAUCUGAGCAUGAUGGUGUUUGACAUGACUUAAAAUUGUUUAAUUUACUCUCACGUACAAGAAUGCCUAGUUAUAUUGUCGCUCAGAGUCCGAGGUUAAUCCAUAAAGAAAUGAUUUAAUUUGUUUAUUUAAGAUUAUCCCAAAAAAUAAAAAUAAAAUUUAAAUAUAUGUAAUUUAAUUUGAAAAAAGUUAUGAAAUUAAAUUAUUUAGAGUCAUGGAUCCACUCUUAGUAAUAAAUACAAUUUAAUAAAUUCUUUUUAUUUUUAUUUUAUUGCCCAAAAGAUUAAUUAUAUAAAUUAUAAUUAUUUUUCCAUUAAUUUUAUUAUGGAUUAAGUACUUAAUGUGCCAAAACUUAACUUGUCUACAAUAUGUCAAAAUACCAUUUUACCAUACUUUAUGCUAAGAUAUUAAGAAUUCAUGUGCCAAACUCCCAUGUUUGUCUACAAUAAAUCCAAAUUUCAAAACAUAAAAUAUGGAUCAAAUUAAAUAAAAAAUAAUUUAAUUUAUAUAAUUAAAAAUAGAAUUUGAUUAAAUCAUAUUUUUCUACUUAGAGUUUUACCUCACCCUAACUAUUAGUAUUUAGCUAAACAUAUUUGAAAUAAAUGAAAUUAUUAAAAUUGAAAAAUACAUAAUUAAAAAAAUGGUAUUUGAAAAUUAGAAAUAAAACUAAUUUUAUUUAUUGAAAAUGUAUUACAAAGAGAGAUGAGAAGAAGAAUUUGAGGGAAAAGAAGAGAAGAAAAUGUGUGGAGAGGUGUGUGAAAUUAUAUUGUAAAGAUGUUACACAAACAAAUGAAUAAAAAAAAACUAAAUGAAAAUUACACAAAUUAAAAAGAAAAUGAAAAUUAAAUAAAAAAGAUAAAUGUGUAAGAAAAAAAUGCGCAAUAAAAAUAAAUAAACUGAAAAGUAAUUAACUAAAAUUAAAAUAACUAAAUAGGCGGUAAACAAAGUAAAUGCCAAAAAUAAAAUAAGUGCGAAAAUUAAAUUACAGAAAUUAAAAGAAGAAAGAAAGAAAAAAAUAAUUAUCUCAAAGUGUAAACUCUUUUUCUUUUUCUUUUCAAAUUUUAAAUAUUACCAGCCAAUUAAGUGAUUAAUUCAAAUUAUUAGGCUUUAAUAGUAAUUUUUAAAAUCAAUAUUCAGUUUAUUGAGUCCAAAUAAGGUCCAAAGAAGUUCAAGUUGUUGGUCUAAAAUUGAGAAUUUUGGGAAAUAUUGGCAACGGACCUAUUCAAAAAGCUCUAUAAUUUUGUGGUCAAACUGCAAUUAUGAGAAGAAUGAUCCAAAAAUUAGAAUUUUUGGGGUGAGUGAGAUUUAGAAAGAUUUUGUGGAUAUAACAUAAUUUAAGAAAGAAAAAGGAGGUAAAUGAAAAUUUACACAAAAAGUAUAAAAAGAAAGAAAAAAGAAAACAAAAUAAAUACCUCUCCCAGCAAUGGCGGUAAAAACUUAACACGACUUAAAAGCAUUUAAUUUACUCUAAAGUAUAAGAGUACCUAGUUAUAUUAUAUCGCGAGAAGUCCGAGAUCGAUCUACAGAAAAAUGAUUUAAUUUAUUUAUUUAAGUUUAUCUAAAAAAUAAAAAUAAAAUUAAAUACAUGCAAUUUAAUUUGAGAAAAACUAUGAAAUUGAAGUAGUUAGGAUUAUGGAUCUACUCCUAGUAAUAAAUGUAAUUUAAUAAAUUCUUUUUAUUUUUAUUUUAUUGACCAAAAGAUUACUUGUAUAAAUUACAAUUAUUUUCCCAUUAAUUUUAUUAUGGAUUAAGUACUUAAUGUGCCAAAGCUUAACUUGUCUACAAUAAGUCAAAAUACUAUUUUACCAUACUUUAUACUAAGAUAUUAACAAUUCAUUGUGCCAAACUCCCAUGUUUGUCUACAAUAAAUCAAAAUUUCAAAAUAUAAAAUAUAGAUAAAAUUAAAUAAAAAAUAAUUUAAUUUAUAUAAUUAAAAAUAGAAUUUGAUUAAAUCAUAUUUUUCUACUCAGAGUUUUACCUCACCCUAACUAUUAGUAUUUAGCUAAACCUAUUUGAAGUAAAUGAAAUUAUUAAAAUUGAAAAAUACAUAAUUAAAAAAAUAGUAUUUGAAAAUUAGAAAUAAAACUAAUUUUAUUUAUUGAAAAUAUACUACAAAAAGAGAUGAGAAGAAAAAGUUGAGGGGAAUGAAGAGAAAAUAAGGUGUGGAGAGGUGUGUUCCUCCCCCCACUUCUCUAUUUAUACUAAUACAUGAUUAAUCUAUACCACACAAAUAAAUAAAACUAAUUACAUCUUAGGCAUACAUUUGUCCCACUAACAAAAUAUAAACCUAAGUUAAUCCACUUAAGCACAUCCAACACAUUUCACUAACAAUUACCACACCUAACAUGAUAAAAACUUAUAAUUUCACAAUUACCACAUUUACUUUUACAACAAAAACCACGAAUCUUCUCGACAAUAACCUAAUUUCUCGGACUUUCGGAAUCUAAAAAUUUAAAUAAUAUUAAAUUUAUCUAAUAUAAUUAAAUGUAUUAAAUAAAAUAAUGUUUCAUUUUAUAUUUACCCUCCUUUUAUUAAAUUUACUAUAAUUAUAUUUAAUAAAAUAAAUAAUAUUAUAUAUUUAAAUAAUAUUAGUUAUAUUUAACUAAAUUAAAGCAAAAUGACAAGUAUGGAAAGGAAGGCUGAAAGGAAGGCAUGACAAAAGGCUUUGAGAAGGCUGAAGACUACCAAAGAAGUCAACUGAAAGCUAGCGGGGGCGUGAGUGUAUAAAUUGUUAGAUGUGUUUGUUAUAAAUAACAUAGAGCCCUUUUGUUAUUUAUAAUUAUAGAGAAAGAGAAUGUGUGUUUUUUAAUAGUUAGAGAUAUAGCUAGAAUGGGUGGCACAAAAUCCAAAAUGGUGACAAUGUUAGUUCUCGUAUUGAUAGGGGGGGGGGGAGAGGUCGAGUGAGGGAUGUUUGGAGCAUGAGAAAUUUGAUCUUUUGCGGCUGGAUGUUUGGAGCAUGAGAAAUUUGAUCUUUUGCGGCUUAAACAUUUCUUCAAUUCCCCUUAUACACUUCAAAACUGGGUAGGUGAACAAAGGGAAAGGGUUGAGUGCAGCAACUCCACAGGCCAAGUGGUACAACUACACCAUGGCCUUACUAGGAAUAUUGAUCUGGGAGAGUGGUAUCUGAAUGCUUCUCUAUUUACUUCCUUUCAACAAUUUGGUAACAAAAUAGCCGGCUGCAUGCGUUGAGAAUGAAGGUCCUUCAUUUAAUUUAAUUUACUUAAUUUCUCCCUCCCAAUUAAUGUCUAAUGGAGCUCAUUCUUUUGUUUUAUUUGCAGGUCUAGAAGCAGGUGUCAUCUAACAGUUGAUUUGAUAAUUUCCCACCCCUUCAUCUUUGAUGAAAAGAUGAAAUAAAAACAAAAUGGUGAAAAUGGUAUUGGUACCUGAGGCUAUGUAAUCUAAUUCAAAAACUGCACCAUCAAAACGAUUACAUAAGUCCCAGAAGAAUCAAACAUUAGUUUGCAAAAUAUCAAUUGCUGGAGGUUUGAUUCUAACUUCUGCUCUUCAUUUUUAUGGGCAUAUUGUGUUGUACUUGCAUCCGAAAAUCAUAUUUUAGUUUACUUACACUCAACGCUUGGAUUAAAGUUUUAGGGGGGGCAUUGAAGAAGACUAAAAUGACACAAAAAAAGAGUUGAGCGAGUGCGGGUUUUGUCUUCAUUUAAGGAGCUCUUUGUAAAUUUUAGGAUUUUUUUCCUAAGAAAAUUUAUGCCAACUCAUUCUUUGCUUCUUUUCUGAACGGACAGAUGCAACCGAAAGUAUAUUCUUGAAUUCUUUAGGAUGAGAGACAUACGUUUAGAUUCAUCGAGCCUUUAAAACAAUAUCAAAUUUUAGAUUGCUGAAAUUUUAUAUAUCUGAGUAUGAUGGUGUUCCAAUUAUAAGCUCCAGGGUGCAACUUCACUAAGGUUUAGAAUACCUUCCUAUAGAAUUGAGAAAUCUCCAUUGGCAUAAAUAUCCUUUGAAAAUAUUGCCAUCAGAUGUUGAAUUGGAGAACCUGAUUGAACUCAGCUUGCCUUGUAGUAAGGUUAAGCAAAUUUGGAAAAGAGAAAAGGUAUAAUGUAUUACUAUUACCAAAGUAUCUAUUUUUCUUUCUUUAAGUAUUUAUAAUGAAUAACUUUGAAAUUGAAUGAUGCUCAUUUAGUAUAGUUGUGUAUCUUUGGUUAUAGGAAGCUGUCAAGUUAAAAUCUAUAGAUCUUCACCACCCUCUGUAUCUCAAUAGGAUCCCAAAAAUACUAAAUCUUAAAAAAAUAAAUCUUUCAAAAUGUGAAAGCAUGCUUACGUUACCCGCGUAUAUCCACAAUUUCAACUAGCUCAGUAUGUUGUGUUUCAUGGGAUGCAAAAUUCAUUUUGUUUCUCAUGAAAGGAUUGACUUGUUCGGAUGUAUUAGGGUUAAUAAACCAACUAAUCCCAUAAUUUGUUGAUGUCGGGUCCUAACAAAUUACUGCAGUAUAUUGUAGAUCAAUACACUAUUUGAAAACGUAUUUGAUCCACACAGUGAAUGUUUGAGGGUGCAUUUCUCGCGAACCAGCCAUACCCUAAACGAGGAGCCGGUCUCCUUGUAAUUGAGCAGGCAGGUGAAGUCUGGUAGCAAAUAUCCAAGAGCAGGAAUUCUAUGCUCAAUCACAAGGACAUCCUCUUUUGGACUAUAAUUCGAACAAGGUUCCUGCUAGGAGCCGAGAGCCUUUCCUGCUGGAGAGCGGGGUCGGCAGGCCUAGUCUAUAACGGUUAGCGAGACGUGCACUCCUAUUCGAGAAUCUAGGCACGAAACCAACUCAGCUGCAACUACGACAUUCAGGCAUCCACUUCCGUAAGCUGAGGGAGGUGAUGGACGUGGAUCGUAGGGCGUCGGAUUUGUAAGACGGCUAUAAAACGGUAAUCAACGAAGGUAAAGGGGUUAGACACUUUUACACUAGAACUUAAGAAAUAAGACCAUUUACUAAAAAAGGAGAGAAACACUCAUAGGUGUUCCACUGCCUAAGAGAUCAUGAGAGAGCCACGAGAUCAGUGGCCGAGUUUCCCAAAAAGUAAACCUAAAUUUCUGACUUGAGCGUAGGAGGAUUUUUCCGGCGUGCUCUGACAAGUUUUUGUGUGCGCAUGAGUCUGCUAAGUCAUACAAGGCAUAGCUUUGCUCGGUUAGAAGAGUUACGUGAAGUAUCCUAGGUUGGUCGUGAGUUCGGGAGUUAAGGAGAGAUCCUGGUUGCAGACGAGCAGACACCAGAAUCUCGCAUCAACAGUGAAGAUGAUUCAAUAUUAAGCAUGUCAUAUAAUCUAGAAGUGGAUAUUGGACCAAUUUGAUGAUAAUGAAUUUCUUUCAAUCUCAAUCUUUUUCUUUUUAGCAACAUGACUAGUAAUUGUGCAAAUUUAAACUCUGAGAAUGAUUUCUCAAUCGGUUUCUAAAAUGAUGACCAUGCAUGUAUACGUGUGUGUGUGUAGAGAGAGAGAGAGAGAGAUCACACGUGUGUGAUUUCCUUUUGCCAAUAGGAUAUGCAGAGAGCUUGAUCUUACCCAAUAGCGAAACAAACUUCCUAAUAAGUGAAGGUAUAGUAUAAAUACUUAUACUUUCAUGUUAUUUUGUUCAUCGGUAGCUUGAUUAUUUUAUAUGCGUCUUCGAUUUUAAUUUUCUUUCCCUAUAAUCGCUAUUAUCUUUGAACUGGUCAUGAUUUGCCUAUUAGAUUUCUCAUGUUGUUUUGAGGUGCAAUGGAUUUUGAAUUUAGUGACGAGCAGUGGAAGCCAGAAGGCAAAUUAUGAAAAUGGAUAAAGAUCUAUAAUUAGCUGUUAUGGGAUGUCACAUAUCAUAUUGAUGGUAACAUUAUAUAUAUGUACAUAUAAUUAAUGGGGUUGGCUCACGAGCCCAUUAAUAAUCGUAUAUUAGCUUAUAUACUUCAAACAAUGUACUAUGAAGUAAUUUCACAAAUACUUGUUAGCUUAUGUGGAGCUUUAUUGAAUCAGUAGUUCACAGUUCAAUAAAAUGCAGGUUUGCUAUUUGAAGUACAUGGUCAUGGUGCGUACAUUCUUCAUAAGGCUAACUACUAAUUUAUCAUUGAAACUUGAAAAAUGUGAUAGAGAGAUGUAGAUAACAGCCGCAAAACACUGAGAUUGAAAAUCAGGGCUACUAAAUUCUAUUAAAAGCCCUUAAAAUAGACAGCGAUCAUCCUAAAAUAUUAAUUGCAAAGUUAUGCACUAAUAGAACUAUUGACUACUUAUCUUUAGCAGAAGGUAUAUUUUUAACUACAGCUUUCUGCUUUGUUCUAAGAACUAGGCAAAAGUGGUAUAUCUUCAAUCCAAUCAACAUAUAUACCACUUAUUUUCCCCUUCACUUCUGUCCAUUUUGAUUUGCACUUCAUAUCCUGCACUUGCUGCUUAGAAAUAGUCUUAGUCUGGACAUUGAAAGUAGAAAAAGUACUUGAAACAAUCAUUGGCACAGCCCGAGAUUCCAUUGAAUCGUGGACUCCAAGCUUUCAUAGUUCUAUAAAGAAAAUGACAAAACAUCAUACAACUGGCAUUCGGCUUUUAACAUUUGCACAACCUGAGCGCGUUAGCAAGCCCCUUAUUGCGUUCCCAUUGAAUAGACCUACUUCUGUUAUCCACAGAAGAUCCACCUCUCAAAAUGUUUAUCACCAGGCUAUUCUUAAACUGAGCCUAAACUGAGUAGAAACUUCCGCACAUCUCUCAGCAUUUACAUGAAGAAAGCGACAACUAUCCUCAUCUCUCAGCACAUCUCUCAGCAUUCUACAAAGUUGCAUUUCACUAAGCAAUCUAUCCUCUCCAUUCCUAGCAAAGUGACAUUGAUUCCCGUAUUUGUAAUCGCCUAACUUGGGUUUUGGGCAUAGCGUGGUCUUAAAAUUACCACCCAAUACUUUGUUCAGUGCCACUGGCAUCCACAAGCUCUAGCCUUGUUAGCUGAAUCAUAUUCAAUAGGACAGUGAGACAGCAUUUCACUGACAUAUUCAAUUUGACUACUUAUAUUGACGCAAAUAUUAGAAUUUGAAAUCACUUCUUUUAUUGGAAUAUUAUAUUAAAAUGACCCCAAAUGAAAGUUCUUGAAUGGAAAUGAUUUUUAUUUAAUUUUCCAACAGAUUCAAGAAAACCCAGAGAACAUUAAUUUACACAGUAAUAUGAUUAAGAGCUGAGAACGUACAUGUAGUAAAUGUCUAUCAAAAAACACCCAAGGGUUUCUUUAAAAUUAGAAACUAGUAAACAAAAAGAAAGAAUCAUUUUACAUUUUUAUCAACUUUGGGGUGAGUGAGGAGUGAGAAAUUGAAACCCUAAAGUAAUGACAACAGUAAGAUUCAGUAUGAAGUGAAACCCCAAUUUGAAAUGUAGGCAUGAGUUGCUGAGUCAGUAGAUGAAGCUGUAAAUAGGCAUUCGGUUUCCUUCUUUUCGGUUUGGAGGGCCAUGGAAUAGUGUAUUGGAGUGGGCUCCAAGUAAUAGCCUCUAUCACUGGAAUGACACAUCUAUAAAAUGUGAUACAUGGGGAAGGAUUGGACAUUAUAUUCUUAGAUUAGCGCCUUAUUUAGGGUGUAUAUUAAGCAGAUUAUAUAUUACAUGGAGAUGGAGUUUAUGAAAUAGAUUAAAAAGAAAAGGAAAUUUUGGUGCCUAAAGUUUGCCACUUGGAAUAUUUCGGUGUCUAAAAAUUCACUCACCACUUAUUUCAUGUUUGAUUAUAUGUUGAAAAGAUAUUAAAAUAGUAUAAUGCUAUUAAGGCUUAACGUAUAUUUUUUAUUAGUAGAGUGUAGAAUUUUUAAGAAAUAAAUUAUUAAAUUAUUAUAACUAACAUAUUAUUUUAAAGUUGUGUUAUGAAAAAAAUGAAAUAAAAAUGUACAGUAAAUAAGAAUAUUUUAAAACUUUUAUCUUUUUAAAAUUAUUUUUUAACAUAAGGUGAACUAUUUUUUUUUUAAAUCACAUAUUCUAGUUAAAAUCAAAUAUGUAUUUAUAUGAAGCUUGUAAAUUUUUUUUUUAGUACUGAUAUUUGGAUAUUACCAAUAAAAAAAAAGGUAAUGUGCAUGCUGAAUUAUUUUUGUAGCACACAAAAGGACAACACCGUUUAUGUUAUCAUACUAUCACUUCUGUUAUGAUAAUAUUUUUUUGUGGCCAAAUAUCUUCUUUUUUUUUUUAAGUAAAAGUGUGGACAAAAUGCAAAUCAGUUUUUAAUCCUCAAUCUCUCCCAAAAUAUAAAUUCGUAGGUACAUGGGUUGUUAAAACUAUAGCUGACAAAAAGUUACUAACAAAAACAGAAUGUCCAUUUUAUAACUUUCUUAAAAAACUUUCCUUAACUUUUUUAAAAAGUUACCAAUAAAAAGUUAUUUCUAAUUUUUAUUUUGUUAUAAUUUUUAUAACAAAAUUCGUAGUUCGUAGUUAACUAAACUCUUCUUAUUCCCUUUCUCAACUGCCAUACCCUAACCUUGUUCCCCACACUAAACCACGCUCAAUUAAGGCCAUCAGAUUCUCCCGGGCCCACAUUAAUCCAACUGCUCACAGAGACCGACAGCCUCUCUAUCUCCAUUUCAAGCUCCCUCUUCAACUGGCUUCUGCUACCGUCCUACUCUUUCUCGGCUUCGGAGUCCGUAUUUGCUCGGCCUGUCCCACGAAGCUCCCUCUCACUCCAAUUGUCGCCCCACAAGACCAAUUGCUUAAUCAAGACACCGAACAAGAAAAGGAUGAGAAGUUGAAACAAGAAUUUGAGAAUUGGAAAUAAAAAACGUACGCAUUGACCGUGCCUUUGAGAGUCGUUUCUCUUCAGAACUCAGUGCCUCAAUCUUGGGUUAAGGAUUUUAUGCGAAGUCAGGGAAAGAGAUUGAAGUUUCAGAUGAAUUUGUGUGCUAGCAUUGAUGGGAUCUUUAACAAUUUAUCUGUGCCCUUUAACAAAGUUAAGGCUAAGUCAGCUUCUUAUAUGGCUGCUGAUUUGGUUAGUGUUGGUGAUUCAUGGCUUAGUUUUGCCAUUAAAAAGAGAUUGAUUGAGCCAAUGGCUGGAGCUGAAGACCAAGAUUGGUUCAAAUGCUUAAGUCACAAAUGGAAGGUAACAUCUUUGUCUUUGAUCCUCGAGGUAAAAUAUGGGCGGCACCGUACAGGUGGGGCACAACGGUGAUAGCCUACAAGAAAAGUAAAUUUCGAAAGCAUAAUUUGGCUCCGAUUGAGGUAAUAAUUUUCUUUAAACUCAUUUAGUUUUAUAUCAAACAAAAUCAAGACUGCCUUUCUUUUCAAUAUUUUUUAUGAUAAUAUCUUUAGAAGCAUCUCAUUGACGGGUAACAAUGGCAUCCCUGAAAGAGUCUAUAAACUCAAUGAUAUUAUCUUCUACAAAUGGUUCAUUAAACUUUGUCGUUGUACUCAAAUGUACACUCAGAUCAAUGAGAAGCUAUGCUACGUUAGCAUGUAGUGAUGGCACUUAAUAAGUGAGUUGCUAGGAUGUGAACUAGAAAAAUUAAAUAUUGUCUCCUUGGGUAUGCUAGCUGGUAAGUCAGGGUUAAUAUCAGAGCUUAAGAUAGUAUAACCGUGAGAACCUAUUGACUGCCAAUUAAAAUAUCCAUUGAAAUGUCUAGGGAGUUAUGAAGGUGGAGGUAACUUCCAAUUUCUAAGGCCACAGAGUAGACAUCAUCCAGGAUCCUAAAAUAUCCAGUUAACCUCCUGCUCGAUGCGAUUAAUAAAUUUGGUCAAUGCCACUGAAACCUGCUAACUGACGUCACAAUGCGACAUGAGCACUUCAAAAUGGGACAGAUGGUCAGUAGCACUAAAUUUUUCUUGCCUAAGAUUGAGCAAUUGGUCUAACUACUAAUCCCUAUUGUAGGUUGAUCAUUAUUUUUUCAAUUAUGUUCAGUUUGACCCAAAAAGUUGCAGAAUCUUGAGCUGAAUAUUGUCACUGAACACUGUCAAUGUUGUUUAGCAUAGCCAACUAACUUGAUGUUAAAACAAACACACAGUGUGUCUCAUGUCUCACAAUUCAAAUUAUCAUCUGUAAUGAUGGAGAAUUUUUCCAAUGUAUGAAGUAUGCUUUGAUACGUGGGUUACCUUGGAGAAGAUAUCUCAAAAUAAAGAAUAUGGGGAGAAAACAGUUCAGUAGUUUAUUAUUCUGUAGUCAAGUUUUGUCUCGAAAAUGGUCAAAAUUUAAAUGAAUAAGGACAGGGAAUCUUCAUUCUUUUUUCCCUUUUUUAUACCAAGAUAUCUCUCAACCUUUAUAUAAUCCCCACUGGAUAUCUGCUUCUAAUAAUUAAAAUAAAAAUUUCACCGCUCUAACAAUAAAAAGUAACAUCUUUAAUCAAAUAAUUUACAGUUCCUCAUCACCUUAGUGUGAGACUAUCAGUACAUUCCAAAAACUUAAUAAAACUGGUUUGAUCCUGUUUAUUGAUGUUUAAAUGUUGUUCAUUGUGACAUGUAGAAAUGAUGAGGCGAAGUUUAUUUGGACAUCAAUUAGUAAGAUCUUGUUUGAAGUUGUUUUCUGAAAUGAACUGCCCAAUGGUAGUUUUUUGGGGGCAUUUGAUGGCUCUUUUUUUCCUCAUUUUCAACAUGUGCCUGCUUGGAACAGGAAGGAUUAGGCUGCAGAGUUGUUAUAUAUUUUUAGAUGCUCUGGUCAUUGCACAAUUUGUUCACACUGGAAAUUAGAAUGAGAAAUUUGUUGAUGCUGUUUUGAGAGAUCUGCAUUCUAUGCACAAUAACGUGAUUAAUGAAAAUGCAUUGUAGGACUGGAAAGAUCUGUGGCAGCCUGAGCUCGCAGGAAGAAUUUCAAUGGUUAAUUCUCCCCGAGAGGUUAUUGGUUCAGCUUUGAAGAAUAGGGGAGCAUCAUACAAUUCAAACGAUAUUGAUUUGCAAGUUGCUGGUGGGAAGAUUGCUGUUCAGCAGAAUCUGGCAUUACUGGCAAACCAAGUACUCUUACAGAAAUGAUAUCUGGUCAUUGCAUGUUAUUGCCUGACAACUGAUUUUGUUUGUACAAGUCUGCUUCUUCAUACAUAUGAAUGCAUAUGUUAGUGUUUUCUUCUCCUUUUCAUACAUAUAAAUGCAUAUGUUAGUGUUGUCUUUUCCUUUUCAUACAUAUUAAUACAUAUGUUGGUGUUCUCUCAUGAGAUGGAUGCAAUAGAGGCUUUUGCUCCUAAAUUUAGCUGAAGAAAUGGGAAGGGAUGUGAGAUUCUGUCUCAUUAAAUUAACAAAAACCCAAAACAAUGAAAAUCCAUAAUAAUGUGGUGUGGGUAAAUUGGCUCCAUUUGGUUCGUUUCCUUAAUGUGACUGCGCGAGCAAUAGAGACUAACAAAAUGAAGUGACAACAAGAAGUCAGUGUCCUUUGAUGGAUGCAUUUUUAGGCAGAAAUAGGUUUGUAAUUGACCAAAUUUGCCUGGCAUGCCAAUUUCAAAAAAAUUAAAUUAUGUGGUUAUUGGCUGUAAUGAAGGGGGAUAGUCGGUGCAAUCAGGUGGAUCCUGGAAAGUUCAACAAAGUUUGGUAUGGCGUAGUGAAAUUGGUUUGUGCAACUCAGGAGUCUUUCAGGUGAACGAUGAUAGGUUUUGAUUUAUGAAUAUUAUAAAUCUACUGUGCAUAUUAUUCUAGCAGAAUCAUCUAUAAGUUCUAGUUAUUGAAAUUGUAUACUUUGCCCGGUUUGAGUUAAGGGCACAUGUAAUAUGAAAGAUAGUUGUCGCAUCUUUUAGGUUACCUAACAUUUGAUCAAUCCUAUUAUGGGGGCUUCAAGAUGUCUAACAAUAUGUAGAAUGCCCAUGCUCCUCCCCAUUGUUUAUCUUAUACAAUAAUUUGUUUUAGAUGCUAAUAUCUUUGUCGAUACUGGUAACAAUAUUACAAUAUCUGCCUUUAUUGGGUUUUACAUAGGUUCGACUGUUUGACAGUACACACUAUCUGAAGGCAUUUGCAAUUGGAGAUGUAUGGGUUGCUGUUGGGUGGAGUAGUGAUGUUCUUCCUGCUGUCAAACGUAUGUCUAAGGUUUUAUGAGAAACGAAAGAUGAGUGUUUGUUUGAACAAAGUUGUUGCCAAUCUUGCAGAGUUCGAAAAGAAAGAUCACGGAGCGAAUGCCACCGAUUUCUUCAUCAUUUUAGCCUCCAUAGUUGAAGUUUCCUCAUUUGAAGCUGUUUAUGCAUACGCUUUUUCCCUGCUCUAGUACAGGAAAUUGAAGAAUUAACCAGAUGUGAUAUGCUGAAAGAGGGAAGUUUUCUUCCUUGAAUGUGGCCUUUGUGAUUUGUCUUGAAGGAAUAGGAUGAUCACUGGCAAAAACCCUAUCAAGGUAGAUUUUAUGAUGUUAACAUAUUAUUAAGCAUUUUGUUACAUCAGCAAUGAUGCUUUCAUAGCAUGAAAGUGUCUAAAUUUAACUGAAUGAUCUUGAUUAAUCAAUUAUGAGUUUUAAUCGAGUAAAAACUAAAUACAAUAAUCGUUGACAAAUACUGAAAUUGGGUAAAUAUGAUCUUGAUAUUGAGAAUCUGAAAACACAACCCACACAGGGAAUCACCCUUCGCGUGGGGAUGGAGAUGUUUACUGCAGCGAUAUUGCAUAUGUCCACUGCUCUUUGGGUUAUGGUGCGACUUGCGAUUUCAAGGUUUCCCUGAAACAAUGAAAAGAUUGACGUACCCUGCAAUGAAUGAAAGCGGCUGGACUAAUUCUGAUUACCUAAUUGACUCAGGAUCGGCUGGCAAUAAUGACAGUUUAUUAACAAUGCACAGUCCCGAGUACUUUCCAGGAUCAGAUAUUACGUGGUCUAAUGUUGAUAAUAAUAGAUUAUCAAAUGACAAAUCGUUGUUCUUGGGUGUUGAUUUCAGAAAUAAAAUACGUUCUGAGAGAUGCUGGUCUACUAUUGCAAGCCCCCAGAUUUAAGAAUCUUUUGAUGAUAAUUUACCACCUGUAACUGUGCCGGAAGAUUCACCUAGCACUGAAAAAGAUGAUAAUUUAAUUGAUAUGGACAGUUUCCAUAUCACUUUUAAAUCAUCUUAUGUAAUUGUGAUGUUAGGAAGCAUUAGUGAUCUACAUGUGAACUAUUAUUGGCGCCAUUUGUGGUUUUAUUUUAUUAAAAUAUGGAUGACUUCCCGUUACUAUUUCGUUGUAGACAAUCUUAUCAAUUAACAUAUAGUUUAAAAUCAUUAUGAUCUAUUAAUUUUCAUGAUAUUUAACUGAGUUAAAACUAAGUGCAUUCAAUAAAUCUUUCUUCCUUUAAAAAACUGUUGCGCUUUAAUUUUAGUGCUUAAUAUUUACAGAACUCUGGUACAGGGAAUUCGAAAUCAAACUAGUAACUACAGAUUAUCUAAUUGCAAGUUUUUGUCCAUAGUUGCAGAUUUGUAGUGAUUAUCUAAUUGACUGAGGUGACAACAAUUUUUUUUUUAAUUUUCAAUAGCAUAAUGUGGAAUUCAAUAAUUAAAUUCUCCUUUUUAAUUUGUUUCCAGUUAAAUUAUUAAUUACUUAAACUUUGUUUUAAGUCUUUAAUUUUAUGUCUUGGCCUAUAUGCAGGGUUGGAUUCUUGAGCGUGUUGGACACGACCAACAAUGAAAUUGACAGUAAACAAACAUUACAACACGUUGAGUGUCGACUCCAGUAGCUGCCCUACAAGUCUACAACUUUACAAACAAUAAUUGAGUACACACAUUUGAUUCUCGGGACCCUCCAAUGAAUUUCUAGCCCCGUUGACUCCGCCGACAAAAGUUUUGGAAAAUAAAAAAAAUUCAUAGAAUUCCACCAAAUACAAAACGCGUGGAAUUUAAUUUUCGGCCAUGUGGACCAAAACACAAUUUAAUGAAAAAAAAGAUAAGAUUUCUAAAAUGUGUAGAAAGUGAUCCAUAUUUUACUGAAACAACUUGUUAAAUUUUUCAAGGAUUUAGAAUAUUUGAUCAUAAAUUACGCCCAUGUUAAUUUUUCCGCUAUUGACUAUCAUUUUCUAGACUCACUGUCACCUUUCUUGAUGAACGGUACUUAGUCUCUCUUCUCCUCUUAUAAAAAUUAUAUUAAUUGAUUUCUUAUUAUAAUAAAUAGUCUUUAAGAACGUAUAGAUUUAUUGUUUUCGUGACCAAAUUAUGCCUGCUUAAGGUUGAGACUAUUAAUAAAAUUAAUAUUUAAUGUUUAUGUUAAAAGAUAUAAGAUUUUAUGCAUUCAUUAAUUGUUAUUAGCUAAAGGAUUAAUUAUUUUUUCAACCCAAUCAGUUGAUGCAUCUGCAAGAGUUUUUUCUUUUAUUUACCAUAAUUAUAUUCCGGGUACAAUAAAUUAUCUUUGGUGCUUGGAAAAUAUGACUUCUUACUUCAAGUUUGAUGUGUCUCUCUCCGUAAGCUUACUGGAAAUAUAUCCUCAUUUACUGUCAUUUAUCUAAUAUCAAAUGAAAGAUCUCACUUUUUCAAACUAUCACUUCCAAGUCUCAUUGUCACUUAGCCAUUCUUGGACCAUUCAAAACCAAUCUGUUGAAAUAAUCAAAUAUAUGCAAAAUUAGAGUCACGAUUGUUGGUCCCCCAAAUUCUAAUUAUAUAACUUCUAUAUAUCUCAUUGUCAGGUCACGAACUUGUUGGCACAUUUCCAAAUUCCUCUUCCAUCAGCUCUCACACGUUAAUUUUUAGGUUAUCUAAAUUUCAAGGAUUUAAAAUCUUUGAUCAUGGAUUACAUGUUUAAUUUUUCUGCCAUUGACUGUCAUAUUCUAGAUUUAAUGGUACCUUUCUUGAUCAAGCGUAAUUACUCUCUCGUCUCCUCUUAUAAAUUCCUCUUCCAUUAGCUGUUAGCCUAUAUGGCUAUAGAUAUUGAUUUUGAUGAUAACAAACCACAUGUGUUGAUUAAACAAAGAUUUAUGAAUUGUGCAUUUAUAAUAAGAAAAUGAUGUUAUGGAAUUAAAGUGUUUUUGGACUAAAGUGAAAGUAUUUUAAAACCUUUGAUAUUAUUUUAAAAUUUCAGAUUUGGACCUAUUUGAAAAUAUUUAAAUAUUUUGGGUCAUUCUAUAUUUUUACAUGGUUUGGGUGAAAUCAUAAUUUCAAUUUGAGUGUGUGAGACACUUGAGUGAAGAGGUUGGGAGAUAAUCUCUUUGUUGUAAGGGUUCAUUGACACAUUGAAGUCAAUUGUAAACGUUUGAAGCCUUAAAAAAACUUGGAUAGUGAAAUCCUCAAGUUUGAAUCGCUUGGAGGCGUGGACGUAAGCGGGGAUUGCCGAACUACGUAAAAAUUCGUGUGUUUGUUUCUCUUCUCUCUUGCUCAAUUGUUAUUGUGCUUUUAUUGAACUUAUUACUUUUGAAUUUAUUAAUGCAUUAAAUUGGAUUGUUAUGUGGCUUUGUUAGGAUAUUUUUUAAAAUACCAAUUCACCCCCCUCUUAGGUUGCACACUUGUAUUUCAUUAGCAUUACUAGGAAUUUGUUGAUCUCUAAGAUGCUAACUUGAGUGAAGAGUUUCCAAAUUGAUUGUUACAAAACAACAAAAAAACUAGACACACUUGAUCUGUCUAAUAAUUCUCUUUCGGUAAAAUUAAUUAAUUUUAGGGGAAUUUUCGGCCAACCUCUGUAAUUUCAAAGUGAUCAUUAAUUAAUUAAACGAUACAAAUAUCUAAAGUGAUUAGAUGUUUGCUGACAAUACAAGUUCAUGGCUUGAAAUUUGAUCUCUAUCGAUUGGUUUACAAAUGGACGCACUUGUGCCUUUGUGGCGAUAAUUAAACAGAGAUGUGAAGUUGUAAAGAUUUGACAAGUUCCCAUGAUUAGUAUUUUUUUUCAAAAACUUUUUUACAACAAAUUCAUCUCGCCCAAAAAUUAUAUUUUGCUAUCUAACAAUAAUUGAGCACUUGGCCGCAUUGACUCCACGUCUCCACCUACUUUCUAAGUAAAAACAUGGAAAUGUAAUCUCCACAAAAUGUCAAACGUGUGGAAUUUAAUUUUUGGCCUUGUGAACCAAAAUGCAAAUGAAAGAAAAAGAGAGAAAAAAACAAGGCCCAAAGACUACGAAAAGAUAUAAAAGUCUUUGGGCCUUUUUAUAACGGUGGAUUUUUUAAAAGGAAAAAAUAACAACACUUCUAUGGUUUGUUUUGAUAAUCACAUUUACAUAUACUCUCUAAUUUUUAAAAUGGACACAUAAAUCUUUUUUUUUUUUUUCUACAAACGUAUAUUAUUCGUAUUUUUUAUUAUUUUUAAUAUCAUAUUGUUAUUUUUUUUAGAAGAUAUUGUUAUUUAUUAUAAAUGUUUAAAGUAAAUUUUUAGGUUGAAAUAUAAUAAAAAGGUAUAAUCGUUCUCUUAUUAAACACCCAUACUUUUAAUUUCUAUCCAUUUGUCAUCUCAAUCUCUCUCAAUUAUUCUUUAUUGCUAGCUCAAAACGCGUUGCUGUUGCAAAUUAUAGCAAAAAGACAAAUAUGGAAAAGAAAAAAGGGAAGAAAAUUAAUGCAUGAAAGAUUUGGAGAAAACAACGAAGUAAGUCAACUAUAAUCUAGUUGGGUGUGUAAAUUGUUUGAUGCUUUAUAAGCAAAUAACAUAUAGAGACAGACAAUGUGUGUUCGUUUUUUCAUAGUUAAAGAUAUAGUUAGAAUGGGUGGUUCAAAAUCAAAAAUGGUGAUAAUGUUUGUUAUGUUAUUAAUAAUAUUUAAAAGUGGGUGGAGUGAGGGAUGUUUGGAUCACGAGAGAUUUGCUCUUUUGCGACUUAAACAUUUCUUCGAUGAUACUAGUAGUUAUCUUUACGAUUGGGGAGAUGGUGAGGGAGCUACUGAUUGUUGUCAGUGGAAAAGGGUUGAGUGCAGCAACACCACAGGUCGAGUGAUAGUGCUAGACCUUUCUAGCAUGUAUUGGGGAGAGUACAGCUGGUAUCUGAAUGCUUCUUUGUUUACUCCCUUCCAACAACUUGAGUCACUUGAUUUAACUGACAACAAAAUAGCCGGUUGUGUUGAGAAUGAAGGUGCUUCGUUUAAUUUAAUUAAUUUACUUUCUCCACCCUAAUUUAAGUUGAAUAUCAAGACCGAGCAAUUAUACACAUAUUCAUUUAGUCGACAAUUUUGACUUUUUUUUAAAUGAUUAAUUUUGAAAUUACACCAAUAUCUAUGAUCCUUUUUUUUUAUUUUACUUGCAGGUAUAGAGAGGCUAUCAAGAUUGAACAACUUGAAGAUGCUUAAUUUAAGUGAUAACUCGUUCAACAAUAGCAUUUUAUCAUCUCUAACUCAUCUUUCAUCAUUAAGAUCAUUAAAUUUAUUUUGGAAUAGAUUGGAAGGAAGUAUUGACGUUAAAGGUACAUAAUUAAAACUUCAUCCCUUCUCCAAGCUCUUUCAUUAACUUGCUAAAAUAAGAUUCAAGGCUUUGAAUUCAAAUUUUUUUAUGAUUAGUAUUAAAAAAAAACAGUUUUAAGCAAUUUAUAAAUACAAGUUUUAAUGUUUCUCAUAAUUUCAUCUUGUACUUUCAUAUGUCUUGAAUUUAAGAUUAAAAAAAAAAAACUCUAAUAGCGAACCAAACACCUCCACAACUAAUUAUUAUUAUUAUUAUCAUUUUUUUUUUAUUUGUGGUGAGGUUUGAAACAUUCAACUCAAUUUGUACUUAUUACAGAAUUUGAUUCUUUGAGAGAUUUAGAGGAGCUAGACAUUGGCGAGAACAAGAUUGACAAAUUUGUGGUCUCAAAAGGUACUAGAACGACUGCAAAAAAUGUAAACUUCUACAAAUUAGCUAGAUUCUUUGCCAUUUGGUUUAUUAUUUUGCAGGUUUGAGGAAGUUGAGGUAUCUCAGUUUAAGUGGUAUCAAACUCAAUCAUAGCAUAUUAUCUUCUCUGACUGUCUUUUCUUCGUUAAGAGAAUUAUAUCUAGAUGAUACGGGAUUCAAAGGAACAUUAGAUAUUCGAGGUAAGUCUAAGCCCUGCUUUCUCAUUUUAUAUAUGCCAGCUAGACUUGUGUAUCAUCGACAUAAUUUAAUAUUUAAUUUGAUUAGUCUGAAGGAAUUACAUGCUAAUUUAAACAUACUUUUAUUUACUCUGUCAAUCAAUUAAUUAAUUAAUUACUAUUUGGCUUGGUUUGGAUGAAUUCUCAUGAUGUUUUAAUUUCUUUAAAUUAAUUAAUUAAUUAACUCUGUUUUUAAGUCUUAAGUCUGGGCAUGUUUGCAGAAUUUGAUUCCUUCAACAACUUAGAAGUGUUGGACAUGAGUUACAACAAAAUCGACAAUCUUGUGGUUCCUCAAGGUAAACAAUUAAAAUAUUAUUCAAUUACAUUAAUAUAAUUCAUUUGGUUAGGGAAGGCCCAAAAGGUACAAAAAAAAUUAAAUAAAGAAACAGAGAAUUUGUAUUAUUUAAAAAACAGAAUGUAAUAAAGAUUUGAUUCUAGUUCUUUAAUCUUUAAAGCGAUUGAAAAAUAAUGUUGCUCUUUUCCCAAAGCAUAAAAUACGAAUUGAAUGCCAAUUAACUUAAUCAUUCAUUUCGUUUAGCUCUAAAUUUAGACAAUGAAUUUUUAUAUUAUUUCAAAAACAGGACGUAAUAGAAUUUAAAAAAAAAACAGAUUGUAAUAAAGAUUUGAUUCUAAUUUUUUAAUCUUUACUGCGAUUGAAAAAUGAUACAGCUCUUUUCCCAAAGCAUAAAAUACGAAUUGACUCCCAAUUAAAUUAAUCAUUUAUUCCAUUCAUCUCUUAAUUUAAAUAAUGAAUUUUGUUUUCUUAAAUCGUAUUCUAAUUACUAUUAAAAAACAGGUUACAGAGGUUUGAGGAAGUUGAAAAGCCUUUAUCUAUUGAGAGUUAGAAUUAGAGAUGGAAGCAAGUUGUUACAGUCAAUUGGAUCAUUCCCAUCCCUCAACACUCUUUACCUUUCGUCUAAUAAUUUGACGGAAACAGUGACAACUACUACUCAAGGUAAUUAAAAGGUACAAAUGUCGCCAAAUUUAUAAAUAAAUUGUUAAUUAAUUAAUUUUUCCGUAUUAUUAAUAAAGCUAAAUUCGUUGCUCCUUCCUUCUAAAUCUAAACAGAGUUGCACAAUUUCACCAACUUGGAAUAUUUGACAUUGGACGAUUCCUCUCUCCAUAUAAGCCUUCUGCAAAGCAUUGCAUCAAUAUUCCCUUCGUUAAAAAAUUUGUCGAUGAUUGGUUGUGAAGUCAAUGGCGUCCUACGUGGUCAAGGUAAAAGAAAAGUGUUAAUUGUGAACUCGCACAAUGGUGUCCUACGUGUUCAACAUUUUUAUUUAUUUAUUUUAUUGUUUAAUGUUUCUGCUAGGUUUUCCUCAUUUCAAGAGUUUGGAAUAUUUGAAUAUGGAUUUCACGCGCAUUGCACUCAACACCAACUUUCUUCAAAUCAUCAGUGAAUCGAUGCCUUCUCUUAAGUACUUAUCACUGUCAGAUUCUACUCUUGGCACUAACAGCAGCAGGAUUCUUGAUCGAGGUUAAUCAGAUGCUCCCACCCUCCCUUCUUAAUCUAUAAUAUUAAUUUUCAAUUCAAUAUUUAAUUACACAAACGAAUCACUUAUUAUAAAAGAAUAAUACGCAUUCAUUAAUUUUUAUGCUGUAUUAAUUGAUGAAUUUAAUAAAUUUUCAGGCCUCUGUUCGUUGGUGCAUCUGCAAGAGUUGCGCAUGGCUGAUAAUGAUUUAAGAGGUAGCUUGCCUUGGUGCUUGGCAAAUAUGACAUCCCUCCGAAUAUUAGAUGUUUCUUUCAAUCAACUUACUGGAAGCAUCUCCUCAUCUCCCCUCGUUCAUUUGACAUCCAUUGAAGAGCUGAGGCUUUCAGACAAUCAUUUUCGGAUCCCAAUUUCACUUGAACCACUUUUCAAUCACUCAAGACUCAAGAUUUUCCAUGCUAAAAAUAACCAAAUGAAUGCAGAAAUAACUGAGUCACAUUCUUUGACCGCCCCAAACUUCCAAUUACAAUCUCUCUCAUUGUCUUCCAGUUAUGGAGAUGGUGUCACAUUCCCCAAAUUCCUUUACCAUCAACAUGACCUGGAGUAUGUUCGUCUCUCACAUAUAAAGAUGAAUGGAGAAUUUCCAAAUUGGUUGUUGGAAAACAACACAAAAUUAGCAACUCUUUUUUUGGUUAAUGAUUCUCUUGCAGGACCUUUUUGGUUGCCAAUUCAUUCACACAAGCGGUUAGGAAUAUUGGAUAUAUCCAACAACAACAUCCGAGGCCACAUUCCAGUAGAAAUUGGAGAUGUUUUACCAAGUUUAUACGUUUUCAACAUUUCCAUGAAUGCUUUAGAUGGUAGCAUUCCCUCUUCAUUUGGUAAUAUGAAAUUCCUCCAAUUGCUGGACUUAUCCAACAAUCAAUUGACUGGUGAAAUCCCCGAGCACUUGGCCGUCGGUUGCGUCAACUUGCAGUUUCUCAUGUUAUCAAACAACAGCCUAAAAGGUCACAUGUUCUCUUGAAAUUUUAACCUGGCCAAUUUGAUGUGGUUACAAUUGGAGGGCAAUCACUUCGUAGGAGAGAUCCCACAAAGUUUGUCUAAAUGCUCCUCCUUAGAAGGAUUGUAUCUUACCAAUAAUAGUCUCUCGGGUAACAUUCCAGGAUGGUUGGGUAAUCUCACAUGGUUAAUACAUAUUAUAAUGCCCGAGAAUCAUCUUGAAGGUCCUAUUCCAGUGGAGUUUUGUCAACUUUAUUCGCUUCAGAUUUUGGACAUUUCAGACAACAACAUAUCUGGAAGUUUGCCAUCCUGUUUCCAUCCUCUCUCUAUCGAACAAGUUCAUCUUUCAAAAAAUAUGUUACAUAGACAGCUAAAAAGAGGUACAUUCUUUAAUUGCUCUUCCCUUGUGACAUUAGAUCUUAGUUAUAACCUCUUGAAUGGCAGCAUUCCGGAUUGGAUUGGUGAGCUUUCUCAGUUAAGCCACCUUAUCUUAGGUCACAAUAAUCUUGAAGGUGAAGUGCCAGUUCAAUUGUGCGAAUUGAACCAACUACAAUUGUUAGAUCUUUCUAAUAAUAGUCUUCACGGUUCUAUUCCUCCAUGCUUUGAUAACACAACACUUUAUGAAAGUUACAACAACAGUUCUAGUCUUGAUGAGAAAUUUGAAAUAUCUUUUUUCAUCGAAGGCCCUCAGGGAGAUGUAGAAAAGUGAAUCCGUGAAAAAUUUGAGUUCACAACAAAGAAUAUUGCGUACAUUUACCAAGGAAAAGUGCUUAGCCUCCUAUCAGGACUUUAUCUUUCUUGCAAUAAGCUAAUCGGUCAUAUUCCUCCUCAAAUUGGAAAUUUGACAAGGAUUCAAACAUUGAAUCUAUCAUAUAACAACUUGACAGGAUUGAUCCCAUCAACAUUUUCAAACUUGAAGCAUAUCGAAAGUUUGGAUCUUUCCUACAAUAAAUUAAAUGGGAAAAUCCCUCAUCAACUUGUGGAGUUAAAGACAUUGGAGGUUUUUAGUGUGGCAUACAAUAACUUAUCGGGCGAAAUUCUAGAAUGGACUGCACAAUUUGCAACAUUUAACAAGAGUAGCUAUGAGGGAAAUACUUUUCUUUGUGGAUUGCCAUUGCCCAUUUGCAGAUCACCAGCAACUAUGUCGGAGGCUUCAAUUGGCAAUGAACGAGAUGAUAAUUUAAUUGACAUGGAUAGUUUCUUUAUCACAUUUACAACAUCGUACGUAAUUGUGAUAUUCGCAAUUGUUAUUAUUUUAUAUGUAAAUUCUUAUUGGCGACGUAGAUGGUUUUACUUUGUUGAAAUGUGGAUAACUACAUGUUACUAUUUUGUUGUAGACAAUCUUAUUCCAACAAGAUUUUGUCAUUGAAAUUAUUUAGUAGUUUAAUUACGAUUCUUUAAGUACUAAUCAAGUUUGUAUAGGAAAUAAUUUUUUAUUAAAAUUGUAGUAGUAUUUAGCAUUAUAUAGCUUCCAACUUCCAAGCACUUCACAUUUGUCUCUACACUUACAAAACUGAGUGAUCAUGUUUUGCAGAUCUGGAUUUGGAGCAGGAUGGAUCCAAACCCAUAUCUGUCCACCAUAACUUAUAGCUUCCCUAUACUGUGCAGCAUACUUAAAUAAGAGAACCAUCUCCAAUGUUAAAAGCAUUCACUCUAUAACAUUCAUUUAGAAACUAUAUUCAGAAUAAUUUUAUAAUUAAACACAAGAAAUGAAACACCUAGAUACACUUGAUCGCCUAUUUUACUCUAAAAAAUAACGAUUAUGGUGCUAUCAUCAUCUUCUUCACUAGCAACAUUAACACCAAAUCGAUGGACCCAUACAUUUCAUCAAGAAAGGUAUAUAUCCAAUAAAGUUGAAGCCUAACAAAAAAAUCAGGAAGAUUAAUGCCUCACCACAACAAGGGGCAUAACAACAUCAAAGUAGAGAUUAAACAGUAUUCUCAAAGCUAAAACUCUCAAAUCCACCCACCAGAAUUUCAUAUCUCCUCAACAAUUUUAAGAACUAAAGAUAAUUAGGAUUUAACAUUAGUUUUUUAUAUAUUAGUUUCAUAAUUUACAAAUCAAUGAAGAUGAAGAUUAUGCGAAUAAAUUCAAAUUAUACCAUACAUUCUCUAGAUGUUACCAAAAAUUUCUAAGUCAAUCCCACAUAUUUCAUAAUUUUAAGACUAGAAAAUUCACUAGUUAGAAGUUUCAUUACCUUCAAGUGGAAGAUGAAGAACAUUAUGCAAGUGAUUCAGAUUAUAUCAUACAUACUCCAAAUGCAACUAGAAAUUAACAAGUUCAUGUGCACAUAUUUCAUAACAUUAUGAUUGAAAAGUUUCACAAAGAGAAAUUCUAAAUUCAAUCUCUUGCAUGAAGGCAGUUUGAUUGAUUUGAGUUACUUUAUGAUCAAGCUACUAAUAUAACAUUCAAGUCAGGGAGAAAGUAAAUUAAAAAUGGGAAGAAAUAACAGUAAAAAUUUGUUGCUAAACAUGAUGUGUAUUUUUUUCAAGGCAAUUUGGAAACACAAUUGUUACUACAGAUAUUCUCCUCAACUUAGAGAUAAAUACAAAUAUUAAAAUGCACAUGAUCGCACAUAUUACUUGGAGCUUAGUAAGAUUUCAUUAAAAGAAGCAAUCAAACCACUUAUCAAUUGUCGCAGUCAUUCUAUAAACUAAAAUAGCAAAUAUAAUAUAAGAAAAAGAACAUAUAGAUACUUGGCAAGAGUUCAUUAAGAAGUCACAUCACAUUCGGGUGAGGAGUUUGCUUCUGAUAUCUUGCUAGCUGGGGCUUUUUCUCGUCUUUCUAUGUAUGCCGAGGGAAACCAACCAGCUUGGCCCUUGCAUUCACCUUCCAACCAUCCAGUACGAGCCACCUUGAGAAGUUAUAACUAAAACGGUGAAUUAAACAAAAGUUGACCGUUCAAAGACCUAAGGGGAAAACUAAUUCUUUUAUGUAGAAUGAGUGAACUAGUUGUGAUCACUGGAAUAACAACAUAACUAUGGAAGCAUAACAAGAUAUAAAUUCACAUGUCUAUAAGGGUAAACUGGGUGGUUUAGAACUGAGCUAGCAACCCUACUAGAUUAUGAUUUGCAUUUCAAUGUAAAAGGGAAUAUAUGGUAGGAAGAAAGAAAACCAACCAUCAUUUGUUAACUCAUUGCUUUUCAAUCAAAAUUUUAAGAACAAAAUGCCAUGUGCUUUGAAUAUCAAAUAAGUAUAAGCAUUAUUUCUAAAUUCCACAUAUCAUAAGUUGUUAGAAGGAUAAGUUAAUAGCAUAGUAGAAAAAUCUAUGUGUCAGUAUUUAGAGGGGAAAGUACCUGGCGAACCACAACAUAAUCAUCAAUUAAAAGACUUAGCUCUCCAUUUGCUUGAGCAUCAAAUGGAUGUAUAACCUGCAAGAUAAUGGGAUAAAUAGAACUUAAAAAAAGCAUAACAAAAGCAGCAACAGUAGCAGCAGCGUUCAUUGUAACCACUAUGAUCAUGGCCAACAAAGAUAUAUUAGAAACAAAAUUCCAUUUUUACUACGACAUUAAUAUGUACUAUACGAUAUCAUGACGAUUGGGUUACUAAGAGCUAUCAAAGUCUAAUAAGUUAUGUAUAACUUUUGUAGUUAUUUAAAUUAUGGAUCAGAUUUUAAAUUUGAAAUUUUGACUGCUCUCCACAAAACAUGGCCUGUGCACAAAAAAGUCAUAGAUAAUGAGGAUUACAAGUGUCCGACAUCUUUUGAGUGAUGGAUUUAACAUGAGAGCUUAUGGUCAGUCAAUUUCCUCUGCCUAGCAAUAUAAGCUUUCUCGGCCAGAUUUAUCAUCAAAUACAUAGAUUGCCCCCAAGUCACAUCCAUAUAAACAUAAUUUUUCUAGGUAAACCAAGUAAGGAGAAUCAUAAUUCGGACAUAAUCAUAAAAAGGCCCAUCUAACUUAAGAGAAAAUCUUAAAAAGAGGGAUGCUGAGCUAUCAGUCUUGUAUCUAUAAGCAAUAUCAAGACUUUACAUCACCUGCUACAUCGUGAGUGGUUACACAACUUUUAGUGGUUUGUCUUUCUUUGGCAUGCCUAACUCAGCUUUGAUGUUGCUGAGAUAUUGAUAGUAGAGAGCAGAAGCCUUACUUUCGCUAUAAAUUAGACGUCAUUCUGAUUAAUAUGCGUUUGCAAAUCAGCUCUGUUUGAAUCAGUAUUCUGAUAGACACAUGAGGCAUUUACAUCCAUUUCCAAAGUCACAUGUUGCGGGGAGGACUCAUUUGAUUGCUCCUAUACGAUCAUCUAAUUCAAGUAGCAAGGGUUGGAAGAGAAUAAAAAGUCACAAUUAUUCUUUUGCAUAAGUGAGACGAAAAUGGUAAAUGCAAUAUUAUUAGCAGUAAAUAAGAAGAGAACGCUCCAAGGAAUAGAUAGAUGCAGACAAGCAAGUUAAAAUGCAUAGUCCCAAACCUCCGCAUACAACUUCUCUAAAAUAGCAAUAACGUGUUGAUGAUAUAUUUUCUCAGCAUCUACCUGCAAAGGCCCGAGACCGGGAAAACAACAAUAAAACCACUAGCUGAAGGAGAAAGCAAAGAAAAAAAUACACUUGACAUAAAUCUUGACAAGAAGCACAAUUUAAGACAUAACAAACCCCAAUCAUAUUAUUUUUGCUAGUCACACGCUAGUCUGUGCUAGUGAUGUAAGAAGUCACAAGGUCUCUUCAACAUUUGAACCAAUAAAAUUAUUAAGUCAUGGAUGUCACUAGCAAUGAUUUUAAUAUAAAACAUUAAAUAUUUCAGAGUUGUAACUUUAAAAUGGAUUCUUUUAUUCAAUACCAUAGAACUAAGUUUCCUUAUGAGAAGAUAGUAGUUUCGAUAAUAUUUUACAUAUAAUUUUUGCGAUACCUUCGUCUCGCACUACCAGUGAUACCCUCACUCUUNNNNNNNNNNNNNNNNNNNNNNNNNNNNNNNNNNNNNNNNNNNNNNNNNNNNNNNNNNNNNNNNNNNNNNNNNNNNNNNNNNNNNNNNNNNNNNNNNNNNUGUUGAAAUUUAUCUAAGUUCAAAAGUAAUGCAGAGUGGGUUUCUAAACUCCAUUCCACUAGCUACUUCCUUUAAGAAAAAUUCCACAUCAUUGGUUUGAAUUUUAACUGGUGGCAUAGGAUCAUAUGUCUUAAGCUUGAACUUCAUUGUGAUUUCGAAUUCCGAAGUAUUUAUAUCAAUAACUUGAGCUAUCUUCUCCACCAAUUCGGCAUAUGUUGUCGAUCGUGGUAUCAUUAUCCCUUUAGCCUUGGAACCUUUGAAUUUAUACUCGUCAUUUUGCUCAAUCCAUUCACCAUUGAAGAGAAUAAGCACACGUACCAAAACCAUAUAUGAUGAUACAAUAAAAACAAUAAUAUCAAAUUUCAUAUACAAGUAACUACACGACCUACACAACUACAUUACUUACAUGACCUACAUGACCUACAUGACUAUAUUACUUACAUGACCUACACGAAUUAUACGACUUACACGACUAUAUUACUUACACGACUUACAUGACUAACUAUAUGACAUACACAGUAUCAAAAGGAAUGCACGACGCGAAACAUUUUCGCCAUAAAUAAGUUAUAAACAACCUAUAUUGCAUAUAUUUCUAUAUAUAAGAAAAAAUGGUGAAAAUAAAACAUUAUAAUGUGAAGAAAAUUUCUAAAUUUUCCUAAAAAUAAAAAAACUUAAAACCCAACAACAUUAACAUACCUUAUUGGGUUGUUUAAUAAGUAAUGCACAUUAUUUCAGUUAAAAAAAAGUGGGUGUUAAAGAAAUGAAUACAUAAUCAUAUUUGUGUAAGAAGUUAUGAGAGAUUUUGAGAGAUUCUAGGAGAUUUUGAGAGAAUUUCGGCAGCAAGAAGAGAUUUGGGUGUUAAAGAAAUAUGAAGACAAGGAAGUUGAGUGAAUUUGAUUCAUUCAUUAAGGGCAUUUUAGACUUUACUCACAUUUGUUAGGGUAUCCAUGAAAACAAAAAAGGAAAGGGGUAUUUAAAUAAUUUUAAAACUAUUAAAGGGUAUUUAAUUAAAAACCCUAGGAGAAGAUGAUAGUGGAAGUAUGCAGUGUGGCUGCCAGGUACUUGGAUUGUAUUAUCGGGUAAGGUAAUAGUAGAGAAUUAUAAGUUUGAACAGAGCAUGUUGGACUUUUGUUGACCAAAUUCAAAAGCCCAAUGGCACGACCCAGAAGCUUUUGAAUAGAAAAACUUGCUAGAAAGCAUCAGUUUAAAUCACUACUUAAACGCUGCACCGCUUUGUACUGUUUUAGGUAUGUAGCGGUUGUGCAGUUGUAAUUCACGGCUGACGCUACGUGUUUGUUUGUACUGUUCUAUUCAGUGAUAGAGUAUUAUUAGUUAGGCCAAAACUAUGUUGCAACAGUGGUACAGUACCACUGUUGCUUUCAUAGCUGGACCCUAUUAGUUAUUUCAAAGGGAUAAAUAAGAUUGGUUACAACAAAUCUACUAUUUUUAUAAAAUUCAAGUAAUAUAGAAUAAAAUAAAAAAAUAAAUACAAAAUUGACUUUUAUUUUUUAUGGUUGACUAUAUUUUGUGUUCUCUUCGGGCACUGCUACAAUUGUUCCCCAUAUAUCAAUUACACCACAUACUAUCGACACAAGAAAUGAAAUCUAAUAUCACCUGUUUAGUUAAAAAAUCACUCAUGAAAAAAGUUUACCAUUUUGAUUUGAGGAUCCAUAUUUUGAACUGCAAGCUAAUGUUCAUCAAGAAUCACUGAUGGCCGUUGAGUAGAAAAAUUAUUUUUGGACAAAUUAUUUUUGUUGAUAGAAGAAUUUCUUUAGGGACUACUAAAUUAUUAAUAAAAAUGUCGAACACACCCACAUAUCAUCGACACAAUUGAUUUUGAGGAUCCAUGCUUUGAAUUGCCGCCUAAUGUUCAUCAAGAAUAGAGUAUGGCUUGUGAGUAGAAAAUUUUCUUAUUUUGGCCCAAAAUAAAAAGAAAUUAAAUUGGAUGAGAAUCUGCCACUUUCUCAUGAAGAAAGGCAUACGAAGCAUACCAUGAUACCAUACAAUAUAAGGAGCCGCCGUUCUUUGGUUUUUCAAACUUUGAAGGGGCCAAUAUUGCCAAAUUCCCCCUUGAAAAUUCUGACUACGACAUUAUUCAUCGCUUGAUGCAAUCAAAGUAGUGACAAAGUUAGGAAAAAUAUGAGCCCUAAGUAAUUGCUAGGCAGGGUUCCUGAGAGCAAAAUUGUCCUAAGCAUUAUAUGCAUACAUGGUGCGGUACAUAGAGCACGUUGAAUUCCCCACUAUAACACAAAUCCAGAAAGAGAAGUAAUAACUCAACUGAUAUAAAGACAAAAAGAAGAUAAAAUGAUAUAGAAAAAAGAAUUUCAAAGAGACAGCAACAUACGAUAGGCUGAAGCCACUUGAUCUACUCAUUGAUUGCAGCCUUAAACUUGCAAAUAGUUACUGUAUGCUAGUGCUCUAAGAAGUGAAAAUGAUGCAAGCCCUGAUUCCCUUUUGACUUCCAUUUACUGUCAAACAUUCUAGUAAUACAAAAAAUUGUUUAGAUAUCUUGCUAUAAAUAUAGUUGUUUGACUGUCAUAAUAAAGUCACAAAUAACCAUUCAUAUUGAUCUACUGUCACACAGCAUGCUUUAUGCAUACAACAGCUGUAUGUAUACCAACUCCUAACCUUAUCAAUGCAUUUGGCAAAAACUUAAGAAGAAAACUAUUUCUCCAUCUCUUUUUUGAAAUUUCACAAUAACCAGCACAAUGUGAAAGCUAUGUUCUAACCUUAUGAUAAAUGCUCCAGACUCCAAAAGGAUUUUAUAUAUGAGUUUUUGUUGCAGCAGAUAUAUUGACUUAUCAAGUAUGAAUCAUUUUCUGGAUGAACUAUCUUUAGAUAAAAGAAUAUUAGAACCACUGUAGAAUAUCUUUACGCUGCUGGUUCUAACAAGAAUCUGCUUGUGGCAACAAUUGCUAGAUCCACAAUUCCCCAACUUGAAAUACAUAGUUGCACACCAUGAGAUAGUGCUACGAUCUACUGAGAUCUAACUUAUAUGGUACUUUAAGCUACUAAUGUUUGCAUAUUUCUACAUGUUAAAUUAACACUAUCAUCUAUAAUCACUCCAAAACAACAAAUGAUAAGCAGCUUUUGGCCACUUAUUACUAGCAUCCACAAUUAUAAUAAGAGAUCAUGGGUUUACUUGUUGCACCUACUUAAUUAUCUGCAGUUGACAUCCUGACGCAAGGUUUAAAUAGUGACUGCUUAGAACCCUUGUAGUUGGAUCUUGACCUCUCCCAUUGUAGCCAAGAUUGGUUACUCUGGUAAUGAAUCAACACUCUCCUGCUCAGGGCCAUGAAGAUCUGAAAGCUCAGCACUAGUGGAGAACUUCAUCAAUCUCUUCUUCUCAGCAUACUUGAGACAAGGCUGCAUUACGAGACCAAUCACCACAGCACCAACGCUUAAAGCUACAACUUUUAAAGAAGAAAGAGCCAACACAACACAACACAAAUCAAUAUGGUUGGAGGAAUACACAUGAUAAUGGCUCUAACAGUGCCAGUGGGUAUCUUGUAGGGACGAGAUGCAGCAGGAUAUUGUAUCCUUAACCAUACAAAUGCUAUGAACUCCAUAAUCAUUCCAAAACAGUACAGGAAGUUCUCUGCAGCUACAAUAUCUCGAAAGCUCAGCCAUGAUAGCAAAACCACACCAGAUGCUGAGAAUAUGAUUCCAAUCAAAGGAGUCCCAUAACAAGACCUCUUAGCAAAAAACUCAGGUAGCAUUCCACGCUCAGCCAUCCCCAAAAGUUGGAAAGAGUCGCUGCUCAUCUCAGCCACAAACAUGCCCAUAUUGGACAUUGCUGCAACCCCCUGGAUGCACCAACUCAACCAAACUCCUCCAAGCACUUUAGCGAUACCUGAAAAGUAACCAUCGGUCCACAAGUCGCGAUCUAAUGGAAUAGCUCCAGUUCCAACUAGAAAGGGAAAGAAAUAUCCAAAAACGACCAAGAUCAAAGCAUAAAACAAAGCCUUUGGAAGAGUCUUCUUUGGGUUAUCCACCUCUCCAGCUAGUGUACUUAUUGAGUCCCAGUAGUUGAGAUUCCAAAACAGGGUGUUCAAAUACAAAUUCCAAUCCACUUCACCUAAAUUUAAUACAAGCCAUCUUGAAGGCUCUAACUUGGGAAGGGACACAAGUCCCAUAACCACAAAAGGAAGGAGUGAGAAAAUCCCUAAAAGAACAGCAGCCCAUCCCACAAUGGUUAGACCCCUAUAGUUCAUGAAAGUGAGAACAAAAGUCAAAGCUAACGCCGCAAAGGCUCUAGGUAACCCAUCGCCCAAAGCAGGGAUACCAGACUUCAAGUAAUCAAGAAACAGAACUGGGUAUAAAGCAUUAUCAGUAACCCCACUUAGCCAUUUCAUCCAAACUUGCUCAAAACCCCAAUAUGGGCCUAAGGCAGAUGAAACCCAAACCACAUAACCACAAUUUUCAGGAAACACGGUACCCAUCUCGGCAGUAAUUAAAGCUUCAGGGACACUCCAUAUAAUCGGAAACACCAAGAAACCAAGAAGUGCUAAAAGAGGACCAGCUGUCUUUACACUAUCCUCAACACCAAACGGCCCCCCAGAAACCUCAUAGAAUAUAAGGAAAAUAAGUGGCAAGAUUGAUACUUUUUUAGUGCCAUGGACUCUAGGAGAAGAUGGUUGGUCAUUGAUAUUAAAAUAUUCAACAGCAUCAGACUGCCCCAUUUCUACUGAAACUUGCCUAUUUACAGUGCUCCUCAAUUUCUGCAUCAAGUUUAAGCAUAACUAUCAAAAGGGUAUCCGCAUCUAAAUUAUGAAACAAAAUGAGCAUUUACUUAUUAAAAAAAAAAUCAAAAAACAGAAAUGGAUUUCACAGAACACAUGAACUUAAGUUCAACAUUAAACAGGCGCUUAAGAAAACAAAAGGGUCUGUUCGUAAAGCCAUCAGAUUGCAAGAUUGAACAACAUUAACGGAAUCAAUAGAAUGGAUGUAAAGAGAACUGAAAAGAAAAUAAAAUAAAAGAUGAAGAGAGAUAAAACGAACCAUCAAAUAAGUGCAUGCAGAGCAGAGAGGCAGAUACUAGUGAAGCUCCGUCAUGUUAGAGAGAGCCUAAAUCAAUCAGAGCUCACUGAGUUUCUUUUAAACCGACCGGCAAAUUUGGAGUAGCACAACAUAAUAUUUUUGCUUUUAUUUUUGGAACACUUUUGAAUGGAAUUUUUUGUUUUAAAAAAUGGCAAAGGAGAUUAGUAUUUCUAUCGUUAAAAUAAUAAUUUUCCUAACAUUAUUUUUUAUAUUUUUUAAUUUAUUUUUAUAAUAAUUUUUUAUUUAAAUAUUAAUAAAAAAUAAUUAAAUUAACAAUUUAAUCCUAAAAUAAAUAAACACGGUUUUGGGUUUUUUCUUUUGUUCGUUUAAUAUCAUCUGGUUCCCUGAUUUGUGACUAAUUAUCAACGGAAUCCCGUUAGUUUCUAAAUUGAAAUAAUAGAAGGUCAUGAGAUUAUUUACUCCAUUUAGCACUGCAGACUUAGAGUAUAUUGAAAAAGCUUUGUCAAAUAGUAGUAAUAGGGGCAUAAGAAAUAAAUUAUAGCUAUCACAAAUUCGUUAGGAGAAUUUCAAAUUUUUCCAUCAAUAAUGGCUAUGAAGCAAAAUUACUUUAGGUUAUAUUGCAACACUAAUACUUCAAAUCCUGACAAUAAAUUUGAAGAACUUGUUAAAAAGAAAAUGGUAAUGUUAUCAUUUUGAAAGACAAAAAAAAAAAGAGUGAAAGUGGCGUUACCUCAUGGUCAUUAGUGACUUGUUGCAAUGAUAGCUCAAAAUUAAAAAUUUGUGAAGAAUUAGUAGACAACGACGAUAUUAUAUUUAUACAGUCACCAACGUAUUGAUUUUUGUUUAAUGUUUGAUUGAUAGAAACUUUUGUCGUCGUCGCCGUUGUUGAAUUCGUGCUUAGAAUACCACAAGAGAAGAAAAAGGGAUGAAAGGGAAGAGAAGAAGAGAGAAGUGGUGGAUAGCAAAUAUGAUAUGCUAGCUACACACAGGCCUUAGAGAGUUUUUUUUUUUAAUAUUUAUUGUAUUUUUGUUUUUGUUAUUGGUUUGUCAUAUGCUUCCAAGGCAACAAUGCAUUACAUCAUAAAUUGCACCUUUUAGGGGAGGUGGUAAAAAACAUGAGAGCAAUGCAUUCUAGCGCAUACAUGCAGAAAGAGUUUCCAAAUUUUCAAAAGUUUCUUUAUUUCUUCCACCUUUUUUUGCUUAAAAUAAAUUUUAAUUGUAUUUUGCAUUAACUUAGAGAAAAAAAAAUCCAAUUCUAUGCAUAAACGCAUACAUUGAUUAGAAAAUGAGUUUUAUGGACACAAAGGGACAAUAUAAGAGAUUCUUUUUGUUUAUUAGAAGUAACAUAACUAGUUAGUGUAACAUGUAAUUAUAAGCUACCAAUAAUUUGCACUGAUGAUAAUUAACGGUACAGAUUUUGAGCUAUGAAUGUCUUGUGGCUAGUUUAAUUGGAUUUUUGAGUUUUCAGCAGAUCUAUUUUAAUGAUUAUUAAAUUAUUUUCACUUCUUAUGCCUUAAUAAAAAAAAUUCAAUAUUUUUUGCUGUAUUCUAUAUUUUAAAACUUAAUUUUUAGUUCUUUAUAUUGCAAACCAAACUGAGUCAAAUAGAGUAUGCUCUUCAAAUAAUUUUUCCAUUGCCUUCAAGAAGAAUUCAUUUUAUUUUUAUAUAUUAAUUCAACACUUGUAAACCGGGCCGUCAGAUUGCACAUAAAGCAAAUGAUCAAACCGUUACAAGACCGGCCCAGGCCCACUGACUCUAUUUUCUUUAAUUUGACCAUUAAAAAGCUUUUGGCCACCCCCACCAAAUAAAUAAGCUCUUGUUCUCUUUUGUAGGGGUGGGCAAAAAAACCGUAGUCUUAAAAAAACCGAACCGAACCGACGGUUUUUUCUAAUUCGGUUUGGUUUUUAUUUUUUUAAAAAACCGAAAUAUACCAUUUGUAAAAAAAAACCGAAAUGUCGGUUUGGUAUUCGGUUCACUUAGCUGAACCGAAAAACUGAACCGAAAAACCGAAUUAUUUUUUGAUUUUAUUCAAAUCAAACAUGUGUUAAUUUUUAACUGAUUGUGCAAGAUAACUAACAUAAACUUGCAUACACACAAUCAUGAGUAUAUAUAUGUAAGUGUUACAAUUUCGUAAAUCUUUAUUUCCCCCAAAAUAAACCCUAAAGCUAAAAUCAAAGAUUCAAAAUCGAAACCAAAUCCAAAUCACCCACCCCAAUCCACUGCAAUCACAGCCGACGCUGCUCACCGGCGAUAGUGUCACCGUGCAACACGCUGCUCACCGCGAAAGCUGCAGCUUCUUUUCACCGUGGGACAGCUUCAACUCACAGGCCUGAGGCCACCACGCGACAGCUUUGCUCUGCUCACCUGAUUGGAGUGGAAAUUCGAUGGUUUUGAAUGGUUUAUAUAUGCAUGUGAGGUGUUCGGCGCAUAUAAUCAACUUAAUUGUGCAAGAUGGGUUGUCACAAGUGAGUCAAUCAAUAGCUAGUAUUCGAAAUGCGGUGAAAUAUGUUAGAUCAUCUCCGGCAAGAUUACAAAAGUUCAAAACAUGUGUUGAUAGGGAGAAAAUCUCACGUGGAGGGCUUAUGGUGUUAGACGUGCCGACUCGGUGGAAUUCAACAUAUUUGAUGUUAGAAAAAGCGGUAGCAUUUGAGAGGCUAAAGGAAGAUGAUGGCCAUUAUACAAACUGGUUUGAUGAGGAUGAGAGUGAAUAAAGGAGGGUGGGGCCACCGAUUGAUAAGGAUUGGGAAAAUGCAAAGAGGUUAGUCAAGUGUCUUUCGAUUUUUUAUCAUGUGACUUUAAAAUUCAGCAGCUCUUUAACAGUCACUUCCAAUAAUUUCUUGAAUGAAAUGUGGAAAGUUUAUAUUCAUUUGAAGUCACUGGUUGAUUUUGUUAACAUAUAUGUUUUCAUAAUGUUAAUUUUGAUGAUAACAAACAAGAUUAAGAAUGAUUAAUCUUUUAAGAUCAAAUUAUUUUUUAUAUAUUUUAAAUAAAUCAUUAUUUUCACAUUAUAAAUGUUUUAUAUUUAAUGGAAAAAUGAUUUUAUGAAAAAUGAUUGUUUAAAUACAUGAAAUGUUUGUCAUCAUCAAAAAGGGGGAGAUUGUUAACAUAUAUGUUUUCAUAAUGUUGAUUUUGAUGAUAACAAACAAGAUUAAGAAUGAUUAAUCUUUUAAAAUCAAAUUAUUUUUUAUACAUCUUAAAUAAAUCAUUAUUUUCACAUUUUAAAGGUUUUAUAUUUAAUGGAAAAAUAUUUUAUGAAAUUGAUUGUUUUUAUUCUUUUUAAAUAAAUCAUUAUUUUCACAUUAUAAAUGUUUCAUACUUAAUGGAAAAAUGAUUUUAUGAAAUUGGUUGUUUUUCAAAGUUUAUGGUUUAAUUGAAAGAAUUUUGAAAACUUUGAUAUAAACAAGUAUUGCUUGAAAUUUUGGUAAAGGACUUAUUUGAAAAGUGUCAUAGCAUCUUUGGGCGAAAUCAUAAUUUCAGAAAGUUUUGGGAUUAACGAAGAAUUAUUUAGAAAUUCUGAAAUUGGACUUAUUUGCAAAGUUUAAUAACGUUUUGGGCCAUACUACAGUUUUAUAAAGUUUUGGGGUCAAACUAUAAAUUUUGGGAAAUGUUUUACUGUAGCAGUUACUGUAGCAAGCGGCUUACCGGAUACUAAUAAACGGCAAGUCGGAUACGGGGUAGUAAGCACCAGAACGAAAGCGGCUAACCGGAUGUCCAUAAACGGCAAGCCGGUUACGACAAAAAAUGUGCAUAACGGCUAGUAACGGCUAGUUUUUGAGUUCAAACUAUAUAAACUCAAAACCAAUUCAUUUUUGGUAACUCAAGCAAGCAUAAACAAGUGCACACAACUUAUAUUGAGCUUCAAAUUCGAAAAUCUUCAUAGAUUAAAUCUUCAUUGGGCUAUCAUUUGUAAAUCCACUCUUAAAGAGAGUUUUUGUUGUAAUUUUCAUUUCUCAUCAAAUUGUGAGAGUACAAGUGUGAGAAACACUUGGAGUGAAGAGAUUGGAGAUAUAAUCUCUUGUUGUAAAGGUUCAUUGACACCUUGAAGUCAAUUGUAAUCGUUUGAAGCCUUGGAAAGGCUUGGAUAGUGAAAUCCUCAAGCCCGGUGUGCUUGGAGGCGUGGACGUAGGCGGGGAUUGCCAAACCACGUAAAAAUCCUUGAGUUUGCUUUCUCUUCCCUUACUCUUUAAUUAUUGUGCUUUGAUUGAAUUUAUUGUUUUCGAAUUUAUUAAGGCAUUAGAUUGCUUGUUGUGUGGAUUUGUUAGGAUAAUUUUUAAAAUUCCAAUUCACCCCCCCCUCUUGGGUUGCACACUCAUAUUUCAGAUUUUAAUGAUUUUUUGUUAAAUCAAAUGGGUUACAAGAUGGAGGAAAAAUUUGUCAAGUAUUGGGGUCAUUUUUUUGAAAAGGUUAACAUGUUGUUGAUUGUGGCAAAUGUGCUUGAUCCUCGCUGCAAACUUGACUUUGUUAUAUGGUGUUUUAGUAGCUUGUAUGAUAUUAGAAAGGUUGAUGAAUUGAGAGCUAAUAUUAAAGAGUUGUUGUUGAAGCUUCUUGAAAGCUAUGGUGGUGAGAGUAAUCCAAAUAGAGGUGAGAGAUGUACGGCUGUUCAUGAUGGUGCUAGUAGUAGUAUUGAGUUAUUUGAUCCUUUUACACAAUUUAAAAAGAUGAAAGAAAGUUCAAAUGAUGACAUUAGUGGAAAAAAUGAUGUUGAAAAGUACUUGUCAGAGACUUGUGAGAGUGCUAGUAAUCCCCAGUUUGAUAUUUUGACUUGGUGGAAAUUGAAUGGGCCUCGGUAUCUGAUUUUAUCUCAAAUUGCCAAAGAUGUUUUGGCAAUUCCGGUGUCUACUGUGGCUUCUGAAUCAGCAUUUAGUACAGGAGGGCGCAUUCUUGAUCCUUUUAGGAGUUCUUUAACUCAUAAAACAGUCGAGUCAUUAAUAUGCACUCAAAAUUGGCUUCGUUCAACUCUAUUAGGAGAGCGUACAAUACAACCAAGUCAGGAAGAAGCUGAAUUCUAUGAAUUAGUUGAAACAUGUAAUAUUGUAAUUUAUUAUGUUAUUUUUUUCUAUUUCACUUAUAACAUUUUGAAUAUUAGAAUUAAUUAUUUUAAUAUAAUUGUUUUAAUUUCUUGAAGAAUUUUUUAGGCCAAUGCAAUCUCAAGAACAACAGCAAGUAGCUGAGGAGUAAAUGACAAUUGAUUGAUGUUGCUUACCAGUAAGUUUUCUUUAUUUUUUUUAAACUAGCAUCUUAUUUAUAUAGAUUGUUUAUUUAAUUAUUUAUUGUUUAAAUUUUUUUUAUAGAUCCAAAUAUUGAGUUGGAAAAUGCCUAAAGUUGAUGUUGAUAUUGAUGAAGAUGGGAGAAUAUUGUUGGCAUUUGUUUGCAAUUUUUUUUUUAUUUUGUGUUGUAAGUUGUAAUUGUUGUUAUUUUUAUUUCUCUUUAUAACAUUAUGAUUAUGUUUAUAUAGAUGGAGUAUUGGAGUUUGGUUAUGUAUUUUGAAAUUUUAAUAUUUCAUAUUUUGGGAGUAUCUUAUUAAUAGUUAGUAAGAUAUUAGUGAUAAAAUGUGUUUUGAAUACUUUGUAUUUAUUGUUAAUAUUUGUAAUAAAAUUAGAAUAAAUUAAUUGUUAAAAAAAUUAUUACAUUCAUGAGGCCCAAUGGGCUAAAAAUUCAAAAUAGGCCCAAUAGGCCCAGAAUCGAAAAAACCGAACCGAACCGAACCGAUCCGAAAAGAACCGUUUGAGUUCGGUUCUUAUUGAGUUCGGUUCUUAUUCAGUUCUUUUGAUAAAAUAACUGAUUUAAAUCGGUUCUACUUAAUUUCGAUCCGAACCGAACCGUGCCCACCCUUACUCUUUUGUUCCCUCUCAAAGGAAAAUAUCUAAUCACCGGAUAAUGAUUCCGGUGACACAAAAGAUCGAAACACCCCCUAAAUUCCCUAAAUUUAUGAUAAUACCCCACCAUGGAUGAUUCCGUUGAAAUGCCGCCUUACGAUGAAAGGCCUAAAAAGGGUUUUAACUUCACCUCCAUGCGCUUGAUCUUAACCCUCGUUUUCCCAAUUUUAACUUGCUUUUUGUUGGCAUUUUUUAUUGGAAUCGUAGUUGUUUUAUUCGGCGAAUCAUCAGUUUCCAGUUCCAUUUUUGUCCCUUCCCAGUGCAAGAUAGUGUCCAACAGUAAGCUUUUUUUAACAUUUUCAAUUUUUUUUCCAUUUAUGAAGUCCAAAAAAUUUAUUAAUUUUGAUUUUUUUGAAUGAUUUUUCAGGUGUUGAUAUAAGGUCAUCAAAAGUUCGUAAACUUGGGGUGUUCAAUUAUAAGGCGAAGCGCGUGUUUUAUCCAUUUGAAGCAAGUAAAUUUCGCUGUCGGUAUGAUUACUAUUGGGCUUCUAUCUUCAAGGUAUUCAUACAUUUUCCCCUGUACUAUAAGCUUCUUAGUGGCGGUCUUGUGUGCGGAAGUGAACGGUGUGGCUGACAGCUUCUUGAAAAUUAUAAGUUUGAACAGAGCAUGUUAGAGCACCACCAAAAGGCUCUUUAAAUAAGAUUUUAUUAUUUAUUUGAAGAGCCACAUCAAUAUUGAAAACUUCAAAAGACACUUCAAUUAAAAUUCUUCAAAUAAGAAUUGAUUCUCUCUCUUCAAAUUUGGAGAGUUAAUUUAUUCCUCUUCAAUUUAUAUUUUAUUACUUUUCAUUGAAGAAAGAGAGAAGUGCUUUAAUUGCUAUUGACUUUUCCUUUAAAAAACUAAUUAUAUGAUUAAAACAAUAUUAACUUAUUUAUAUUUGAAGAGUCUUUUGGAGAAUAUCAUAUUUUUUCACCCUUCUAUUUGCCACAUAGGUAAACAAAUAGAUAUUUAAAGAGUAAAAUUUAUAGAGGCUUUUAGAGAUGCUCUUAGACUUUUGUUGACCAAAUUCGAAAGCCAAAUGGCACAGCUCAGAAGCUUUUGAAUUGAAUAACUUACUAGGAAGCUCCAAUUUUUUGUUGGCUACAGUAAAAGGAUGUUGUUUUAUUCUUCUUAUACUUUACGCUUGCAUCAGCUUAAAUCACUUCUUAAACGCUUUGCUUUAACUCCACUGCUUCGCUGGGGCGGAUUUACCUUGGAACAAGUGGGGACUUAAGUCCCCACUGAAAAAAAAAAAUUGUUUUAAUAAUUAAUUUGAUUUGCCAAAACUUCUCAAUAAAUUUUUCUUAAGCCCCCCAUAAUUUCUUUCAACAAACAAUUGAUCUAAAUGAGUUAUUUUCUGUCAGUUGUAUCCAAAUGAGUUCUCUGCAAUUGAUAUCAUGGCACUUAAAAUUCAACUUGAUACAUAUAUUUUGGAUAUGCGCACUAGUGCGAGACUAAAAGACAUAAGGUAUAUCCAUUGGUUUACUUGUUAAUAAUAUUAGCAUUGACUUUACCUGUUGCCACUGCUAGUGUAGAGAGAGUAUUUUCAGCCAUGAACAUUUUGAAGAAUUGAUUAUAAAGCUGUGAGUAAUGGAUGAAUGAUAGUUUAAUUAUUUACAUAGAAAAAUACUUAUUUAAUAAUAUUGAUAAUGAACUUGUAAUGCAACAUUAUUAAUGUAUGAAAACUUGAAAGGACAAUUGUAAACAUAUAUUGAAGUAUGAUAAAUCUUUCAAAUUUAUAUAUUUAUUACUUUUUAAAUUUUUUUAUAUUGCCGUUGAAUGAGCCCCCAGUCAAUCAAUAUGUUGUCUUCGCCCUACUUCGUACUCUUCUAUAUAUGUAUCGGGUAUGCAGUUUUAGUUAACAGCUGAGACUACGUGUUUGUUUGACGUGGUAGUUACGUUACGAGUCUGUUAAACAUUCAAUGAUUAAAGUAUUAUCAGUUAUUUCAAAGGGACAAAUAAGAUUAGCUACAACACACCCACUAGUUUUAUAAAAUUCGAAUGAGAUGGAAUAAAAUAAAAAAAUAAAUAAGUAAAUUGACUUUUAGUUUUAGUGGUUGAAUAUAUUUUGCAUUCUCUUAGGGCACUGCUGUAAUUAUUCCUUAAACGUCAGUCAUACCCACAUAUAAUAGACACAAGAAAUGAAAUCUAAAAUCACCUGUUUAGUUAAAGAAUCAUCAUGAAAAAAUUUUGCCAUUUUGAUUUGAGGAUCCACAUUUUGAACAACCAACUUAUGUUCAUCAAAAACGGAUCAUGGCCUGUGAGUAGAAAAAUUAUUUUUGGACAAAUUAUUUUUUUUAAUAGAAUAAUUUCUCAAGGGACUAUUAAAAUUACUAAUAAAAAUGUCAGACACACCCACGUACCAUCGACACAAUUGACUAUGAGGAUCCAUGUUUUGAACUGCCACAUAAUGUUCAUCAAGAAUAGAAUAUGGCUCGUGAAAAGAAAAUUUUCUGAUUUUGGCCUGGAACAAAAAAAAAUUAAAUUGAAGGAGAAUCUGCUACUUUCUCAUUAAGAAAGGCAGACAGGGUAUACUAUGGUACCAUACAAUAUAAAAAGUCUCCGUUCUCUGGCUUUUCAAACUCUGAAGGGGGCAAUAUUCCCCAAUUCCCCCUUGAAAAUUCUGAUUACGACAUUAUUCAUCACUUGAUACAUAAGUACAAGUAGUGACAAAAUUAGGAAAAAUAUGACUCAUAAGUAAUUACUAGGCAGGGCUCUUGAGAGCAACAUUGUACUAGGCUUUAUAUGCAAACAUGGUGUGGUACAUAGAGCACGUUGAAUUCCACACUAUAACACAAACCCAGAAAGACAAGUAAUAUCUCAACUGAUAUAAAGACAAAAAGAAGAUAAAAUGAUACAGAACAAAGAAUUUCUAAGAGAUAGCAACAUACAAUAGACUGAAGCCAGUUGAUCUGCUCAUUGAUUGCAGCCUUAAACUUGCAAAUGUUUACUGUAGCCUGGUGCUCUAAGAAGUGAAAAUGAUGCAAACCUUGAUUCCCUGUUUACUUCCAUUUACCAUCAAACAUUCUAUUCAUAAGAAAAAAAAUGUUUAGAUAUCUUGCCGUAAAUAUAGCCAUUUGAUUGUCUUAAUAAAGCCACACACAACCAUUCAUAUUGAUCCACAUUGCCACAUAGCCUGAUUUAAGCAUACAACACCUGAAUGUAUACUGACUCCUAACCUUAUCAAUACAUUGGCGACAACUUAAGAAGAAAACUAUUUCUCCAUCUCUUUUUUGAAAUUUCACAAUAAAAUAGCACAAUGUAAGAGCUGCAAUGAAAAUGGACCAUCUGGAACUAUGGCGGAAGCUUCAACUAGUGUAGUGAUUUGACCUUCUUAUUAACCUAGCGAGAUCAAACACUGCCCUUGAUCUUGAACAGAUCAAUACGAUACGCACAACUUAUGAUUGAAUCCAGAAACAAUCAAAUCUUUAGCAAGAAUAAUUAAUCAGAAUCAAGAAACAAGUUUAAUGAAUAUAAACCUAUAAUUGGAACAAACACAGCAAAAGAACCCAAGAAUGACACAACCAGCACCAAGGGAGAAGCUUUCCAGUGAGAUUAUAUUGAUGAUCAAAGAAGAAUCUUUUUACAAAGCUAACAAAAGAGAUUUCAGAGAAUAAGCUAUGACCCUCUCUCUUCUCAAUCUCUGUCUAGUUUGUUAACAGUGAUGACCCCAAUCUCCUUCGUUAGCCAGCUUCAUAACUGCGUCAGUGACAAACUAGCAAACCCAGAUUGAGCAGACUAACGACACGUGCAUAACGGCUUUAACGAACUUGGUUAAAGAACUGCUCACAUGUUCGUCACGCGUGUUGCUUAAAUGAUAGCCAAAACGACUUCAACCAGAUGCCGUUUUGAAGCUUAUGAAUUAUAAGUGAAAACACGUGCUUGUCUCGUGACAUUUAAAUGCAACAACAAGCCCAAAACACUGCCGGUCCACUAUGUUGAGUUUGCCAUCUCUAAGCUUCACAACUAGCAGCGGACAAGAUGAUAAUUUAAUUGACUUGGAGAGCUUUUAUAUCACUUUUACAACAUUCUAUAUAAUUGUGAUAUUGGGAAUCGUCGGUGUUGUAUAUGUGAACCCUCGUUGGCGACACUGGUGGUUUUAUCUUUAUUGAAAUAUGGAUGACUUUUCGUUACUAUUUUGUUGUACAUAACCUUAUUCUCAGGAGAUUUAAUCAUUGAAAUUAACAUGUUAGUUUCAUUAGAAGGCUGAGUGGUUAGGGCUGCUACCUUCCAACUUGGAGGGCAAUAGUUUGAACCCACAAGCGCAAUGUGGGGGUAUUUCAUUCUUUAAUUACAUUGUAUAAUUGAAUAAAGAUAAUAUUCUCUCUUACCCAAGUGUGAGUGGAGUAGACAUCCUUCGAAUAUUAGCGAGGGUUAAAACUUGGGCAGAGCUCAAUAAGUAUUGAUGUAAGUUGGUCCUAAUAAUAGUCUGAUUUGUAAAUAUCAGUUAUAGUCUCAUGUUUCCUUCCUUAAUUAUAUUGCAUAAUUAAGUAAAUGUACUCUUUUCUCUUACCCAAGUGUGAGUGGAGUAAACAUCUCUCGAAUAUUAGUGAGAGUUAAAAUCUGGGCAGAGCUCCAUAAGUAUUGAUGUAAUUUGAUCCCAAUAAUAGUAUGAUUUGUAAAUACCAGUUAUAGUAUCAUGUAAUAUGAGUUGUAAUUUGAGUAAUAAUUUCAUGUAAUUACAAAAAAAAAUGUUACUUUCAUUACUUUUUUCUUCGUUAAAAUUCUCAAGUAUCAAUUAUGUUUGCUUAAGAAAUAAAAUUUCAUUAUGAAAAUUGUAGCAGUAUUUCCGAGCACCUCACAUUUUCAAUGAUUUUUCAUAAAUCAAUUAAUCUGCCAUACCAAUAUCAGGUUUAGUUUUUCAGACUAAAUGAUCAAGAAAGCAAACAUACAAAUUCACAUUUUAGAGGGGUAAACUAGCUUUUAGAUUUUAGAACUAGGCUAGCUACCUCACCAAAUUCCAAUCUGUACAGUGAACUACAAGAUUAAGAAAAUAAUGUAUUUAUAGUUUAAUUGAAUCAUGAGAAAACAAUGUAGUCAUAGCUCAAUCGGACAUGAUCACGGAGAGGCAUAUUCUUUUCAAGUUAAUUUGAUCCAUUUAUAAGAAAUGAAGUGGAUUGAAGUUAAAAGUUCAAAUAACAAAUCCUUGUUCUUGAGUUUUACGACGUCGUUACUCCUUCAAGAGGCUGAUUAUGCGAGUGAAUGAGGAAACAGAAUGCAUUAUCCAAUUUCACUCAUAUAGAAAAUUAAUUUUUUAUAUAUACUAAUCAACACUAGAUUGAUUAUGUUUUGUAUGUUUAUAUGCUAAUCAACAAUAAAUUAUAGUAAAUGAAGAAAUGCUUCAAAAUUUUUUAAUUUAAUUUAGAAAAUCAAUUAUUAACAUUAAUAUUCCUAAUAAAAAUUAUUUUCCAUCGGUAUUCAAAAUUUUCACUUAUAGAAAAUGCGUUUUACGUGAAUACAAGUUAUUGUGUAAAUUUGAAUGAUAGCGAAAAAUAUUUUUUUUAAUAAUUGUAAAAAUAAUUAACCAUAACAAAUCGCUUGCGUAAAUAAUAAUCAUUAUUUAAAAGGUAGAAAGAUGGUUAGUGCACAAUCAAAUUUUAAGCCCCUACCUCCUCGGCCCAAUAUUCAAACUUAGAUGAUCAGCCAAAUAAAAUUAUUUGAAAAUCAUUCAAUCAGGUUCUCGGGGCAAAAAUACAAGAUCCUUAUUUGCAUGAUAUAUAUGAAUUAAUGUAAUUUAUUUGAAUUAUCCAAAUUCAUUAGAGAUAAAACUAUAAAAUAUACGAAAAAAGUUAGAAGGAAGGGUGUGUUGGGAUAUUUUACAAACUAUAGGAAUCUGGUGAGAUUUUGAGCCAAACUGUAGGGAGUUGAAGGCAUUUGCCCAAUAUGUUUAGCCGUACACUAACCGUUAUUUGAUCUUGUUGUUGGUCCCGGAUGAGCUAUAGUCUUAUUUUAAUUUUAUUUAAACUCACCAUAAGAUUCGCAGAGCUCCUAACUAACUUAAAUGACUCUGCAGAGCAUGUCAACACAUAGCAUGUUUAACCGUUUUAUUUGUAGAAGAAUUUAUGAUUUCCCAUUAGCAUUAUUAUUGAAGUGGGGCGGGUCAAAUCUCAAUUGCUUGAAAAUUUUAUUUAUUAUUAUUAAUUUUGAAGUGGGGUGGGUAACGGUUCGUUCAAUUCGAGGGAAUCAAAUAUAUCAUCCAAGGUAGAAUUGUGGAAAAUUAAAGCAAAAUAAGAAAUAUGGACAGAAAAGAAGAAAGUUAAUGCAUGAAAGACAUUUACAGUUGAAAUUGAUAAUCAUGUUUCUAUUUUGUUAACUAAUCAAAUGGAAAACUGAACUGUAAACAAACAUUAAAACGUGUGGACCAAGCUAGCUGCCCUACAAGUCUACAAUAAUAAUUGAGUACUUUGAUUCAUCCUUCUAUGAAUUUCUACCCAUAUUGACUCCUCCGAAAUUUCCACAAAAUAAAAAAAAAAAAAAAACUGAAUUUCCACAAAAUGCAAAACCCGUAGAACUUAAUUUUUGGUCAUGUGAACUAAGAUGUAAAUUAAAGAAAAAGUAUAAAAUUAAAAAAGAUAAAAUUUCUAAAAUGUGUGGAAGGUGAUUCAUAAUUCACUGAAAUUACUUGCCCCAGAUAUAUAGGUAAACCUAUCUAAUUUCAUUAAAAAUAGUUGGAAAAAAUUAACUAAUAGAAAGCUACGGAAAUUAACCCCCCACAAAAAUAACUUUUUAUAGAAGAAUUUAUGUUUUUUAAAAUAUGUUAUCAAAGUGUAUUUGAUCAAAUCUCAAUUGCUUAGUAUGCUUAGGAUUUUGUGAACAUCACUAAAAAGCGAAAGCUAUGAAUGAUAGGGGUGAUGCUUGCAAUAUGAAUAAAUAAUGGACUGAUUCAAUUGAUGAUUACAUUUAUAUAUUAUUGAUUAUUUAUGAAUUUUCAGACUUGUUACGAUGUAUAACUAUGUGAUUUUGAAACUUGAAACCGUGGCAAACAUUGAAAGGAAUUAUAACUUGAAAUCAUGACUCACGGGGUAUGUCAUGAUUCACGUGCACAAAAAAAGGUAGAAUUGUGGAAAUUUAUAACCCAACGACAAAUACGGAAAGAAAGGAAGAAAAUUAAAAGACUUCGGGCCUAGCCUGCGUGUAUUAAUUAUUAGAUUAUUUUUUUUUUAUAAGGGUAAUCAUCAAUUUACUCCAUAACAAUCUUUAAUUCAUUUCUUAAAACUAUCAAAACUUUAAUUUAUCUUUUAAACAUCGUUACCUCUUCAUUGGUUUUAAUAGUUCAAAGGGUAAAAUUAUGUUUGCAUAUUUUCUUGACCGCCAACUAAAUGAUAAAACUCAAAAUUCAAUCUUGUUAUCUUGUUUCAAUCCUCUAUCAAUCAAAUAAGAUUUCUAAAAUAUGUGGAAGAUAUUGCAUGAUUUCCUCAACCUACCUGGCCCGAACAUCAAGGUAAAUAUCUCUAAAAUAGUUUAUUAAAUCUCAGUUGCUAAGUAUAGUAAGGAUUGUGUGAACAUCAAUCAAAACUAUGAUUGAUAGAAGUGAUCUUUGCAAAAUGAAUAAAUAAUUAACUGAAUCAAUUGAUUUACAUAUUAAAGUUUAUGAAUUUUCGGACUUGUUGCGAUAUAAUAAUAGCAUAUGAUUUUGAAACUUGAAACAGUGGUAAAUAUUGAAAGGAAUUAAUUUGAAAGCAUGAUCCGUGGGGAAUGUGAUGAAUCGUGUUUACCAAAAAGGUAGAAUUGUGGAAAUUUAUAACAGAACGAUAAAUAUGGUAAAAAGGAAGAAAAUUGAAAGACUUGGGGCCUGGCCUGGGUGUAUUUUCUAACAGUCCAAUGGACAAAAUUAUAUUUGUAUACUUUCUUAACAGUCAACUGAUUGAUAAAAGUCAAAACUGGUCUCUUUUUUUUUUCCUUGUUUCAAUCCCCUCUCAAUCAAAAAUGUUUCCUUGUCUAAGCAAUGAGGAAUAUGGCUGAAAAGAUUGCUAUUAGAAAGAUUUAUCAAUUGUAAUUGGUUUAAAAUUGAAUAGACACUUCAUUUUUAAGAUUGUUAUGAGUCAAUAUAGGUCCUAUUUGGGAUUGAGUUCUUGUAAUUUUUAAGCUACAGCGGCUGUGGAAAAAAAAUUAUAAUUAUGAAAUAAGAGUUAAAAACAUGUAAUAAAUAUAAAUUUUAAAUAAUAGUUUUGACAAAAUUAUAAAAUAUAUAAUAUAUCUUUCAUAAUACAAGUAAAAGAUCAUAUCAACAUAGAUUGCAAGCCACAACAGUUAGUGUUUACCAAACAAUUUAGUGCUGUAACUUUCAAGUUACAGCUGCCCAAUCUCAAUUUCAAAUGCACUUAUAAAGUGACUUGCUUCAAAAGCCUAGCAACCCAAAUUGGAAUGCUUUCAUUCAAGUGGCUAUAACUAAGAUAUAACGUCCCUAAGGAAGAGUAAUUAAAAAAUGUACCUUCUUUAACAUGUCCGUAUGGCAUUUUUUUUUUAAGUGAAUUUGUGUGAUAGAGAGAGGAUGUCAGCAAGAUAGUAAACUCCUAAAUAUAUUAUUGUUUGUAAUGUCUAAAAUUUGAAGAGAAUCAAGCUAAUAAAACUCCAUUGAAAUUAGACCUUCAAGAGUACGGUUCUUGGGCAUUAUAAAAUGUUGUAAUGUCGAGAGAUUACCCAACCAUUAUGGAAUCCUACCAAGAUGAUUGUUACCACUAAGAUACAAUCCUUCUAGUGAACAACAAUCAGACAAAUUUUUUGGGGAUCUCUCUUACAAAGUGAUUACCAUCCAAUCGCAAUUUUGAAUGAAAAUAAAUUUUUUUUAUUGGGAGUUUGACCUUAACAUUAAAUUUAGACAAUGAAUUUUAACUUUCUUCAAUUAUUAAACAGUUUACAGACAUUUGACAAAUUUGAAAACACUUCAUCCAUAGAAAGUUAAAAUUAGAGAUGGAAGCUAGGUGCUACAGCUAAUGGGAACAUUAAUUCCUGUCCCUCAUCACACUUUAUUUUGGGUCUAAUAAUUUUACGGCAGCAUUGACCACUGCUCAAGGUAAGUAAAACUUACAAAUGUGUGGCAAAAUAAAUAAUUAAGUGCAUAAAUUGUUAGCUAAUUUUCUUGAUAUAUACAGCUAAAGUAGUCGUUCCCCUUUAAAAAAAAUGUUAAACAAUUUCGGCUGAGCCUGCUUGUGGUUUUGAUAAAAAGGAGGGGCUGGCUUCAAAUAUUUGAAUAGGCAUCUCCGCCGUACCUCAAACAAAUCUGUCAUUAUUUGUGCCAUGAAACAUGUUUCGGCCGUCGAAGUCACGAGAGGGUUGAUGACGCUACUACGUAUGAUGACACACCAGCCGACAGUGUAGUAACAGCUCAAAAACAAAAUCUACCAAAAUCAACGAAAGUUAAUAAAAAUUUAUUUUAUUAAUAAAAAUAAAUAAAUAAACUUAUUAUUUUUGGAGACGUGUGUAUUUGAGUCUGUGGACUGAAAUGGAAAAUAUGAAGAAGUUCAGAGUCGUUGUGCAGAUUGACUUCAGUUAAAUGGGUCUAGUAGAUAUUUUAUGCUGACGUGGCACGAAUUAGUUAUAAUCUGUUACAACGUUUCCAGAAACAUCAGUAUAAAUAGAAGCUGAUGAGCAGUGCCUGUUGUACGAUCCUUUUUCUUCGUCAGUUGUUCGUCAAUUUUCAUAGAAUCUGUUUCAUUGUGAUCUGUACAAAGUCUUCUGUAAAUCCACUUAUGUUUGAUUAGUUGUUGAUCACUAACGAAGUAAAUUUUUCCUUCAAAUCUUGCUGGUUCGUGCCCCUGUUUCAGUUCUGGAUUUUUCUUUUUCUUUUUUUAGUUCUGGUUUCUUAAUUCAAUUGAAUUUCUUGGUGCUUAAUUCAUCAAGAUUCAGUGGAAUCGACUUGAAAAGGAAAACAUUAUCCACCUGGAACGACUUCAAGUCCAAAGUAAAAGACAAGAGUGGCUCCCCGCAAUUUUCUUGUUUUCAGUAUAUUUUCUCUUUUUCUUUUUUAAAAUCUUUUGACGCAUGCAUAAUAUACCCUUGUUUAUUAUCUCUACUUUGCUCUGCUCAAGUCCAUUUUUUUCAAAUAUUAUUUUAAAUAAUAAAUUUAAUAAAAGUACAUUUGUGUAAUUAAGACUCUGCUAUUAUAUCACACAUACGCAUAUAAUAUAACUAAGCAUUUGUUAUUAUAGCAAAGAUCCAUAGCAUGAAAGUGAAUAAAUUUAACUAAAUGGUUAAUUAAUCAAUUAAGUUUCAUGAGCUUUAAUCGAGUUAAAACCAAGUACAAACAUCGUUAACAAAUACUGAAAUUGAGUAAAUUAAAAAAAUAAAAAAAAUUAAUUCAAGUAAUAUGUAGUUUUUACAUGUUGAUCAGCAGAAUACAACAUUAAAUUUUGUCAUUGACAAUAUUGCAUACCAGUCAUCUAAAGCAUUACCUCACGAGGUUUUAUGAGAAACGAAAGAUAAGUGUUUGCUCUGAACAAUUAAAGUUGCUGCUACCAACCUCCCCGAAGACCAAGAAGACGGAACAGGAAGCUAAUGCAUCAAUGUCUUCUUCAUUAUAGCUGCUGCGUAGUUAGGUGUAGUUUCCUCAUUUGAAGCUGUCUAUACAUAGGCUUUCCCCCUGCUUAUGUACAAAUAAAUGAACAGCCUUGAAGCUUUAUUAUUCGCAACAAAAGGGAUUACCAAUUGGAGAAGACUUUACAGAGUUCCUCUCACACACUCUCUCAAUUUCAUCUAGAAGUCCCUCCGAAAGCAUCUCCCAAAACAGUUAGUCAUCUUUUAUACUCUGUUUUCUAGAAACAGAGUCCUAACUAAAUUAAUUGACUGUACAGUGCAUUUCAACAUAGCAUAUUUAACCGUUUUAACAGUAAUUUUAACCGUCUUCUGAGUUAUCAUCAACAAAUUCAUUCAUAUUUCUCCAGUCUUACGGACGAUAUCAUAUGUUUAAUAAUGAAUGAAUAGUCUUGGAUCAGUGUUUUGCAGCAAAUUCACAUCAUAGUUUUGAUUCUUUAGAUAUGAAUUCAUCACAUUACCGAAAAGAAUAUGCGCUAAAAAAUGAUUCCAAGACUAUUUGACUACCAAAAGCUGCUGUCAGAGUGCACUGAAAUCUUGACUCCUCUCAGCGAAAAAUAUAUCAAAGUUUAGAUUAUGUGUUCGAGCUUUAAUAAAUGCCUGAGUUAAUAAUAAUAACAACAAUAAUAAUAAACUAAAAAGCAAAAUUACUAUUGAAUGAUCGGAAAAAAAAAAAUUUGAAAACGUGUGAACUCCAAUAACCACCCCACAAAUUUAGUGGCGAAUUUUGGAGAGGGCAAGGCCGGGCUUCUCAGAAAAAAAAUGACGAGUAGAAUUGUGGAAAAUUAAGCAAAAUGACAAGUAUGGAAAGGAAGGCUGAAAGUAAGGCAUGACGAAAGGCUUUGAGAAGGCUGAAGACUACCAAAGAAGACAACUGAAAGCUAGUUGGGGCCUGGGUGUAUAAAUUGUAGAUGUGUUUGUUAUAAAUAACAUAGAGCCCUUUUGUUAUUUAUAGUUAUAGAGAAAGAGAGAAUGUGUGUUUUUUAAUAGUUAGAGAUAUAGCUAGAAUGGGUGGUUCAAAAUCCAAAAUGGUGACAAUGUUAGUUCUCGUAUUAAUAAUAUUAGGGAGGGGGGGGGGGGGGGGUGUGGAGUGAGGGAUGUUUGGAGCAUGAGGAAUUUGCUCAUUUUCGGCUUAAACAUUUCUUCAAUUCCCCUUAUAGACUUCAAAACUGGGUAGGUGAACAAAGGGAAAGGGUUGAGUGCAGCAACUCCACAGGCCGAGUGGUACAACUACACCUUAGUCUUACUAGGAAUAUCGAUCUGGGAGUGUGGUAUCUGAAUGCUUCUCUAUUUACUCCCUUUCAACAACUUGGUAACAAAAUAGCCGGCUGCAUGCGUUGAGAAUGAAGGUCCUUCAUUUAAUUUAAUUUACUUAAUUUCUCCCUCCUAAUUAAUGUCUAUAACCAUUAGGAGGAACAAGGGAUUUUAUUAACUCAAAUAUAUCUAAUGGAGCUCAUUCUUUGGUUUUACUUGCAGGUAUAGAAGCAGGUGUCAUCUAACAGCUGCUUUGAUAAUUUCCCACCCCUUCAUCUUUGAUGGAAAGAUGAAAUAAAAACAAAAUGGUGAAAAUGGUAUUGGUACCUGAGGCUAUGUAAUCUAAUUCAAAAACUGCACCAUCAAAACGAUUACAUAAGUCCCAGAAGAAUCAAACGUUAGUUUGCAAAAUAUCAAUUGCUGGAGUUGUUUCGGUUGCACGUUAAUAUCAAUUCCGCUCUUGAUUUUUAUGGGCAUGUUGUAUUGUACUUGCAUACGAAAAUCAUAUUUUAGUUUACUUCACUCAACACUUGGAUUAAAGUUUUAGGUGGGGAAAAUUGAAGGAGACUAAAAUGACUCAAAAAAAUAGUUGAAUGAGUGAGGGUUUUGUCUUCAUUUAAGGAGCUCUUUAUAAAUUUUAGGAUUCUUUUUCCUGAGAAAAUUUAUGCCAACUCAUUCUUUGCUUCUUUUUUGAAGGGACACAUGCAACCGAAAGUAUAUUCUUGAAUUCUCCAGGAUAAGAGACAUACGUUUAGAUUCUGGAGCAUUUAAAACAAUGUCAAAUUUUAGAUUGCUGAAAUUUUAUAUAUCCGAGUAUGAUGGUAUUCCAAUUAUAAGCUCCAGGGUGCAACUUCACUGAGGUUUAGAAUGCCUUCCUAUAGAAUUGAGAAAUCUCCAUUGGCCUAAAUAUCUUUUGAAAAUACUGGCAUCAGAUUUUGAAUUGGAGAACCUGAUUGGACUCAGCUUGCCUUGUAGUAAGGUUAAGCAAAUUUGGAAAAGAGAAAAGGUAUAAUGUAUUACUAUUACCAAAGUAUCUAUUUUUCUUUCUUUAAGUAUUUAUAAUGAAUAACUUUGAAAUUCAAUGAUGCUCAUUUAGUAUAGUUAUGUAUCUUUGGUUAUAGGAAGCUGUCAAGUUAAAAUCUAUAGACCUUCACCACCCCUCUAUCUCAAUAGGAUCCCAGAAAUACUAAAUCUUAAAAAAAUAAAUCUUUCAAAUUGUGAAAGCAUGCUUACGUUACCCCCGUAUAUCCACAAUUUCAACUAGCUGAGUAUGUUGUGUUUCAGGGAUGCAAAAUUCAUUUUGUUUCUCAUGAAAGGAUUGACUUGUCCGGAUGUAUUAGGGUUAAUAAACCAACUAAUCCCAUAAUUUGUUGAUGUAGUAGAUUGUAGAUCAGUACACUAUUCGAAAAUGUAUUUGAUCCACACAGUGAAGUGGAUAUUGGACCAAUUUGAUGAUAAUGAUUUUCUUUCAAUCUCAAUCUUUUUUCCUUUUAGCAACAUGACUAGUCAUUGCGCAAAUUCAAACUCUGACAAUGAUUUCUCAAUCGGUUUCUAAGAUGAUGACCAUGCAUGUAUAUGUAUAUGCGUGUGUAUAUGUGUGUGUGUGUGUGUGUAGAGAGAGAGAGAGAGAUCACACGUGUGUGAUUUCCUUUUGCCAAUAGGAUAUGCAGAGAGCUUGAUCUUACCCAAUAGCGAAACAAACUUCCUAAUAAGUGAAGGUUAGUAUAAAUACUUACACUUUCAUGUUAUUUUGUUCAUCAGUAGCUUGAUUAUUUUAUAUGCGUCUUCGAUUUUAAUUUUCUUUCCCUAUAAUCACUAUUAUCUUUGAACUGGUCGUGAUUUGCGUAUAAGAUUUCUCAUGUUGUUUUGAGGUGCAAUGGAUUUUGAAUUUAGUGACGAGCGGUGGAAGCCAGAAGGCAGAUUAUGAAAAUGGAUAAAGAUCUAUAAUUAGCUGUUAUGGGAUGUCACAUAUCAUAUUGAUGGUAACAUUAUAUAUAUGUACAUAUAAUUAAUGGGGUUGGCUCACGAGCCCAUUAAUAAUCAUAUAUUAGCUUAAAUACUUCAAACAAUGUACCAUGAAGCAAUUUCACAAACACUUUUUAGCUUAUGUUGAGCUUUAUCAAUAAAAUGCAGGUUUGCUAUUUUACGUACAUGGUUAUGGUGUGUGCAUUCUUCAUAAGGCUAACUACUAAUUUAUCAAUGAAACUUGAAAAAUGUGACAGAGAGAUGUCGAUAACAGCCGCAAAACACUGAGAUCGAAAAUCAGGGCUACUAAAUACUAUUAAAAGCUCUUAAAAUAGACAGUGAUCAUCCUUAAUCGCAAAGUUAUGCACUAAUAGAACUAUUGACUACUUAUCUUUAGCAGAAGGUAUAUUUUUAACUACAGCUUUCUGCUUUGUUCUAAGAACUAGGCAAGUGGUAUAUCUUCAAUCCAAUCAACGCAUAUACCACUUAUCUUCCUCUUCACUUUUGUCUAUUUUGAUUUCCACUUUAUAUCCUGCACUUGCUGCUUAGAAAUAGUCUUAGUCUGGACAUUGAAAGUAGAAAAAGUACUUGAAACAAUCAUUGGCACAGCCCGAGAUUCCAUUGAAUCGUGGACUCCAAGCUUUCAUAGUUCUAUAAAGAAAAUGACAUAACUUUAUACAACUGGCAUUCUGCUUUUAACAUUUGAUCAACCUGAGCGAGUUAGCAAGCCUCUUGUCGCGUUCCCAUUGAAUAGACCUACUUCUGUUAUCCACAGAAGAUCCACCACUCAAAAUGUUUAUCACCAGGCUAUUCUUAAACUGAGCCUAAACUGAGUAGAAAUUUCCGCACAUCUCUCAACAUUUACAUGAAGAAAUCGACAACUAUCCUCAUCUCUCAGCACAUCUCUCAGCAUUCUACAAAGUUGCAUUUCACUAAGCAAUCUAUCCUCUCCAUUCCUAGCAAAGUGACAUUGAUUCAUGUAUUUGUAAUCGCCUAACUUGGGUUUUGGGCAUAGCGUGGUCUUAAAAUUACCACCCAAUACUUUGUUCAGUGCCACUGGCAUCCACAAGCUCUAGCCCUGUUAGCUGAAUCAUAUUCAAUGGGAGAGUGAGGCAGCAUUUCACUAACAUAUUCAAUUUGACUACUUAUAUUGAUGCAAAUAUUAGAAUUUGAAAUCACUUCUUUUCUUGGAAUAUUAUAUUAAAAUGACCCCAAAUGAAAGUUCUUUAAUGGAAAUUAUUUUUAUUUAAUUUUCCAACAGAUUCAAGAAAACCCAGAGAACACAAAAUUUACACAGUAAUAUGAUUAAGAGCUGAGAACAUACAUGUAGUAAAUGUCUAUCAAAAAACACCCAAGUGUUUCUUUAAAAUUAGAAACUAGUAAACAAAAAGAAAGAAUCAUUUUACAUUUUUAGCAACUUUGGGGUGAGUGAGUGAGUGAGUGAGUGAGAAAUUGAAACCCUAAAGUGAUGACAACAGUAAGAUUCAGUAUGAAGUGAAACCCCAAUUUGAAAUGUAGGCAUGAGUUGCUGAGUCAGUAGAUGAAGCUAUAAAUAGGCAUUCGGUUUCCUUCUUUUCGGUUUGGAGGGCCAUGGAAUAGUGUAUUGGAGUGGGCUCCAAGUAAUAGCCUCUAUCACUGGAACGACACAUCUGUAAAACGUGAUACAUGGGGAAGGAUUGGGCAUUAUAUUCUUAGAUUAGCGCCUUAUUUAGGGUGUAUAUUAAGCAAAUUAUAUAUUACAUGGAGAUGGAGUUUAUGAAAUAGAUUAAAAAGAAAAGGAAAUUUCGGUGUCUAAAGUUUGCUACUUGGAAUAUUUCGGUGUCUAAAAAUUCACUCACCACUUAUUUCAUGUUUGAUUAUAUGUUGAAAAGAUAUUAAAAUAGUAUAAUGCUAUUAAGGCUUAACGUAUAUUUUUUAUUAGUAGAGUGUAGAAUUUUUAAGAAAUAAAUUAUUAAAUUAUUAUAACUAACAUAUUAUUUUAAAGUUGUGUUAUGAAAAAAAUGAAAUAAAAAUGUACAAUAAAUAAGAAUAUUUUAAAACUUUUAUCUUUUUAAAAUUAGUUUUUAACAUAAGGUGAACUAUUUUUUUUUUUAAAUCACAUAUUCUAGUUAAAAUCAAAUAUGUAUUUAUAUGAAGCUUGUAAAUUUUUUUUUUUAGUACUGAUAUUUGAAUAUUAUCAAUAAAAAAAAGGGUAAUGUUCAUGCUGCAUUAUUUUUGUAGCACACAAAAGGACAACAAAGUUUAUGUUAUAAUACUAUCGCUUCUGUUAUGAUAAUAUUUUUUUGUGGCCAAAUAUCUUUUUUUUUUUUAAGUAAAAAAAAGUGGACAAAAUGCAAAUCAGUUUUUAAUCCUCAAUCUCUCCCAAAAUAUAAAUUCGUAGGUCCAUGGGUUGUUAAAACUAUAGCCGACAAAAAGUUACUAACAAAAACAGAAUGUCCAUUUUAUAACUUUCUUAAAAAACUUUCCUUAACUUUUUUAAAAAGUUACCAACAAAAAGUUAUUUCUAAUUUUUAUUUUGUUAUAAUUUUUAUAACAAAAUUCGUAGUUAACUAAACUCUUCUUAUUCCCUUUCUCAACUGCCAUACCCUAACCCGAGCAAAUUGCGUAGGAUAUACCUGUUUUCCCUCAAAAUACUUAAAAUAUACCUCCAUAUAUUAAAAUUGCUAGCUUUACACAUUUAUACUUAAAAAGAUCAGGGAAAAUACAAAAAUAACCUUAAUAAAAAUACUCAACUUAUUAAUAUGCUUAAUCGACUCAUUUAAUAUUCUUACUCGACUUUUUACCGGACCAUACACUCGACUUAGUUAAUAUGCUUACUCGACUUAUUUAAUAUUCUUACUCGACUUCUUACCCGACCAUAUACUCGAUUUAUUUAAUAUGUUUACUCGACUCAUUUAAUAUUCUUACUCGACUUCUUACCCGACCAUAUACUCGACUUAUUUAAUAUGCUUACUCGACUCAUGUAAUAUUCUUACUCGACUUCUUAUCCGACCAUAUACUCAACUUAUUUAAUAUGCUUACUCGACUCAUUUAAUAUUCUUACUCGACUUCUUACCGGACCAUAUACUCAACUUAUUUAAUAUGCUUACUCGACUCAUUUAAUAUUCUUACUCGACUUCUUACCGGACCAUAUACUCGACUUAUGUAAUAUGCUUACUCGACCCAUGUAAUAUUCUUACUCGACUUCUUACCCGACCAUAUACUCAACUUAUUUAAUAUGCUUACUCGACUCAUUUAAUAUUCUUACUCGACUUCUUACCCGACCAUAUACUCGACUUCUUUAAUAUGCUUACUCGACUCAUUUAAUAUUCUUACUCGACUCAUUUAAUAUUCUUACUCGACUUCGUACCCGACCAUAUACUCGACUUCUUUAAUAUGCUUACUCGACUCAUUUAAUUUUCCUACUCGACUUCUUACCCGACCAUAUACUCGACUUAUUUAAUAUGCUUACUCGAUUCAUUUAAUAUUCUUACUCGACUUCUUACCCGACCAUAUACUCGACUUACUUAUCUCUAAUUCUUACUCGACUAAAUUCUCGAUUUACCCGACUUCUUCCUGCACUGAUUCUUCAAUCACUCAUAACUUAAAUGUAGUCUUAAAUCCCUACAUUGAAAUAGUGUGUGUGUGCAAGCACAAAAAAUGAAUAAUGUACUACUAAAAUUCAUAAAUCAUUAGGAAGUACACUUAUAAGAAAAAUAGAGAAUGGUGAGAGAAGCCCAAAAAAGAGAAGCAAUGGGAGAAGAGAGAUGUGAAUUCUUAGUUUUUUUAAGGUUAUUUUUGACUUGUCCUAUCUUCAUAAGGUAUAUGUGUGUAAUAGGGUACAAAUUUGGCAUUUAAGGGUAAAUUGAGGGUAUUUAAAUAAAAAACCCCCUAACCCUGUUCCCCAUGUCCCCACUAAACCACGCUCAAUUAAGGCCAUCAGAUUCUCCCGGGCCCACAUUAAUCCAACUGCUCACAGAGACCGACAGCCUCUCUAUCUCCAUUUCAAGCUCCCUCUUCAACUGGCUUCUGCUACCGUCCUACUCUUUCUCGGCUUCGGAGUCCGUAUUUGCUCGGCCUGUCCCACGAAGCUCCCUCUCACUCCAAUUGUCGCCCCACAAGACCAAUUGCUUAAUCAAGACACCGAACAAGAAGAGGAUGAGAAGUUGAAACAAGAAUUUGAGAAUUGGAAAUCAAAAACGUUUGAGAGUCGUUUCUCUUCAGAACUCAGCGCCUCAAUCUUGGGUUAAGGAUUUUAGAAGUCAGGGAAAGAGAUUGAAGUUUCAGAUGAAUUUGUGUGCUAGCAUUGAUGGGAUCUUUAACAAUUUAUCUGUGCCCUUUAACAAAGUUAAGUCUAAGUCAGCUUCUUAUAUGGCUGCUGAUUUGGUUAGUGUUGGUGAUUCAUGGCUUAGUUUUGCCAUUAAAAAUAGAUUGAUUGAGCCAAUAGCUGGAGCUGAAGACCAAGAUUGGUUCAAAUGCUUAAGUCACAAAUGGAAGGUAACAUCUUUGUCUUUGAUCCUCGAGGUAAAAUAUGGGCGGCACCAUACAGGUGGGGCACAACGGUGAUAGCCUGCAAGAAAAUUAAAUUUCGAAAGCAUAAUUUGGCUCCGAUUGAGGUAAUAAUUUUCUUUAAACUCAUUUAGUUUUAUAUCAAACAAAAUCAAGAAUGCCUUUCUCUUCAAUAUUUUUUAUGAUAAUAUCUUUAGAAGCAUCUCAUUGACGGGUAACAAUGGCAUCCCUGAAAGAGUCUAUAAACUCAAUGAUAUUAUCUUCUACAAAUGGUUCAUUAAACUUUGUCGUUGUACUCAAAUGUACACUCAGAGCAAUGAGAAGCUAUGCCACUUUAGCAUGUAGUGAUGGCACUUAAUAAGUGAGUUGCUAGGAUGUGAACUAGAAAAAUUAAAUAUUGUCUCCUUGGGUAUGCUAGCUCGUAAGUCAGGGUUAAUAUCAGAGCUUAAGAUAGUAUAACCGUGAGAACCUAUUGACUGCCAAUUAAAAUAUCCAUUAAAAUGUCUAGGGAGUUAUGAAGGUGGAGGUAACUUCCGAUUUCUAGGGCCACAUGGUAGACAUCAUCCAGGAUUCUAGGAAAGUGCAGUUAACUUCCUGCUCGAUGCAAUUAAUAAAUUUGGUCAAUGCCACUGAAACCUGCUAACUGACAUCACAAUGUGACAUGAGCACUUCAAAAUGGGACAGACGGUCAGUAGCACUAAUUUUUUCUUGGCUAGGAUUGAGCAAUUGGUCUAACUACUAAUCCCCUAUUGUAGGUUGAUCAUUAUUUUUUAAAUUAUGUUCAGUUUGACCCAAAAAGUUGCAGAAUCUUGAGCAGAAUUUUGUCACUGAACACUGUCAAUGUCAUUUAGCAUAGCCCACUAACUUGAUGUUAAAACAAACACACAGUGUGUCUCAUGUCUCACAAUUCAAAUUAUCAUCUGUAAUGAUGGAGAAUUUUUCCAAUGUAUGAAGUAUGCUUUGAUAUGUGGGUUACCUUGGAGAAGAUAUCUCAAAAUAAAGAAUAUGGGGAGAAAACAGUUCAGUAGUUUAUUAUUCUGUAGUCAAGUUUUGUCUCGAAAAUGGUCAAAAUUUAAAUGAAUAAGGACAGGGGAUCUUCAUUCUUUUUUCCCUUUUUUAUACCAAGAUAUCUCUCAACCUUUAUAUAAUCCCCACUGGAUAUCUGCUUCUAAUAAUUAAAAUAAAAAUUUCACCGCUCUAACAAUAAAAAGUAACAUCUUUAGUCAAAUAAUUUACAGUUCCUCAUCAUCUUAGUGUGAGACUAUCAGUACAUUCCAAAAACAUAAUAAAACUGGUUUGAUCCUGUUUAUUGAUGUUUAAAUGUUGUUCAUUGUGACAUGUAGAAAUGAUGAGGCGAAGUUUAUUUGGACAUCAAUUAGUAAGAUCUUGUUUGAAGUUGUUUUCUGAAAUUUCUGAAAUGAACUGCCAAAUGGUAGUUUUUUUGGGGCAUUUGAUGGCUCUUUUUUUUCCCUCAUUUUCAACAUGUGCCUGCUUGGAACAGGAAGGAUUAGGCUGCAGAGUUGUUAUAUAUUUUGAGAUGCUCUGGUCAUUGCACAAUUUGUUCACACUGGAAAUUAGAAUGAGAAAUUUGUUGAUGCUGUUUUGAGAGAUCUGCAUUCUAUGCACAAUAACAUGAUUAAUGAAAAUGCAUUGUAAGACUGGAAAGAUCUGUGGCAGCCUGAGCUCGCAGGAAGAAUUUCAAUGGUUAAUUCUCCCCGAGAGGUUAUUGGUUCAGUUUUGAAGUAUAGGGUAGCAUCAUACAAUUCAAAUGAUAUUGAUUCGCAAGUUGCUGGUGGGAAGAUUGCUGUUCAGCAGAAUCUGGCAUUACUGGCAAACCAGGUACUCUUACAGAAAUGAUAUCUGCUCAUUGCAUGUUAUUGCCUGACAACUGAUUUUGUUUGUAAAAGUCUGCUUCUUCAUACAGAUGAAUGCAUAUGUUAGUGUUUUCUUCUCCUUUUCAUACAUAUAAAUGCAUAUGUUAGUGUUGUCUUUUCUUUUUCAUACAUAUUAAUACAUAUGUUGGUGUUCUCUCCUGAGAUGGAUGCAAUAAAGGCUUUUGCUCCUAAAUUUAGCUGAAGAAAUGGCAAGGGAUGUGAGAUUCUGUCUCAUUAAAUUAACAAAAACCCAAAGCAAUGAAAAUCCAUAAUAAUGUGGUGUGGGUAAAUUGGCUCCAUUUGGUUUGUUUCCUUAAUGUGAAUGCGCGAGCAAUAGAGACUAACAAAAUGAAGUGACAACAAGAAGUCAGUGUCCUUUGAUGGAUGCAAUUUUAGGCAGAAAUCAGUGUCCUUUGAUGGAUGCAUUUUUAGGCAGAAAUAUGUUUGUAAUUGACCAAAUUUGUCUGGCAUGCCAAUUUCAAAAAAAUUAAAUUAUGUGGUUAUUAGCUGUAAUGAAGGAGGAUAGUAGGUGCAAUCAUGUGGAUCCAGGAAAGUUCGACAAAGUUUUGGUAUGGCGUAGUGAAAUUGGUUUGUGCAACUCAGGAGCCUUUCAGGUGAACGAUGAUAGGUUUUGAUUUAUGAAUAUUAUAAAUCUACUGUGCAUAGUAUUCUAGUAGAAUCAUCUACAAGUUCUAGUUAUUGAAAUUGUAUACUUUGCCCGGUUUGAGUUAAGGGCACAUGUAAUAUGAAAGAUAGUUGUCGCAUCUUUUAGGUUACCUAACAUUUGAUCAAUCCUAUUAUGGGGGCUUCAAGAUGUCUAACAAUAUGUAGAAUGCCCAUGCUCCUCCCCAUUGUUUAUCUUCUACAAUAAUUUGUUUUAAAUGCUAAUAUCUUUGUCGAUACCGGUAACAAUAUUACAAUAUCUGCAUUUAUUGGGUUUUACAUAGGUUCGACUGUUUGACAGUACACACUAUCUGAAGGCAUUUGCAAUUGGAGAUGUAUGGGUUGCUGUUGGGUGGAUUAGUGAUGUUCUUCCUACUGUCAAACAUAUGUCUAAUGUUGCUGUUGUUGUUCCCAAGUCUGGUGCUAGCUGCCUGCCAUUCUACUUCGAUAUUCACAUUGUUAUCUCCUUCAUAUUAGCGAUCAGUAAACACGAUAAUGUGGCUAAUAAGUUCGUAUUCUCUUUAUAGGCAAUCCCUGCUGCCUCAAGACUUGAAACAAAACAAAUUGGAGGGCGAGUCAGAGGUCCAUCUCCAUUAAUCCAUCAAUGAAUAGAAUUCUGCUUGCAAACAGCGAGAUUUUUGCCUUGCAAGCAAGAGGUUAUCCCGGGUGCAUCUCCCUCUGCCCUUGAAAGUACUCUGGUUAAGUUGCCUGAAGAACUUCUGGAGGGUAAACCAAGUCUGGAUACUAACUUAAUUGCUGGAGUACUCCCGGCUGAAAUUCUGGCCAGAUGUGAGUUUUUGGAGCCAUUAUCUGAAGCUACUUUGUCAGAUUAUGAGUGGCUGGUUGUUAAUCUGCAAAAACCUGCUCCUGUCUUGAUGAAAAGGGUGCAACAUUACUUGUCAUCAUUAAUCUAAAGCUUUCUAGCAAGAGCUACACUGAAAAGUUAAUGGCGCUGCAUGCCAGUCAUUAUAAUGCUGUCAGGGCAAUUGGGUCAGGGCAAUUAGGUCUGAGCAUAACUUCAUUAGGAAAAGAGGCUUCAGCUACGUUAAAUAUUACAGGAUGUACUGAGAUGGCUGAAGUUCUGAAGGUUUUAUGAGAAGCGAAAGAUGAGUGUUUGUUUGAACAAAGUUGUUGCCAAUCUUGCAGAGUUCGGAAAGAAAGAUCACGGAGCGAAUGCCACCGAUUUCUUCAUCAUUUUAGCCUCCAUAGUUGAAGUUUCCUCAUUUGAAGCUGUUUAUGCAUACGCUUUUUCCCUGCUCUAGUACAGGAAAUUGAAGAAUUAACCAGAUGUGAUAUGCUGAAAGAGGGAAGUUUUCUUCCUUGAAUGUGGCCUUUGUGAUUUGUCUUGAAGGAAUAGGAUGAUCACUGGCAAGAACCCUAUCAAGGUAGAUUUUAUGGUGUUAACAUAUUAUUAGGCAUUUUGUUACAUCAUGAAAGUGUUUAAAUUUAACCGAAUGAUCUUGAUUGAUCAAUUAUGAGUUUUAAUCGAGUAAAAACUAAAUACAAUAAUCGUUAACAAAUAUUGAAAUUGGGUAAAUAUGAUCUUGAUAUUGAAGAAUUUGAAAUCACAACCCACACAGGAAAUCACCCUUCGCGUGGGGAUGGAGAUGUUUACUGCAGCGAUAUUGAAUAUGUCCACUGCUCUUUGGGUUAUGGUGCGACUUGCGAUUUCAAGGUUGCCAUGAAACAAUGGAAAAGAUUAACAUACCCUCCAAUGAAUGAAAACGGGUGGACUAAUUCGGAUUACCUAAUUGACUCAGGAUCAAGAUCGGCUGGCAAUAAUAACAGUUUAUUAACAAUGCACAGUCCGAGUACCUUUCCAGGAUCAGAUACGACGUGGUCUAAUGUUGAUAAUAAUAGUUUAUUAAAUGACAAAUCGUUGUUCUUGGGUGUUGAUUUCAGAAAUAAAAUACAUUCUGAGAGAUGCUGGUCUACUAUUGCAAGCCCCCAGAUUUAAGAAUAUUUUGAUGAUAAUUUAUCACCGGCAACUGUGCCGGAAGAUUCAAGUAGCACUGAAAAAGAUGAUAAUUUAAUUGAUAUGGACAGUUUCCAUAUCACUUUUAAAUCAUCUUAUGUAAUUGUAAUGUUAGGAAGCAUUAGUGAUCUAAAAGUGAACUAUUAUUGGUGUCAUUGGUGGUUUUAUCUUGUUAAAAUAUGGAUGAUAUUUUAUUGUAGACAAUCUUAUUCAAUUAACAUAUGGUUUAAAACCAUUAUGUUUUAUAUAAAUCAAUCUACUAAUUUUCAUGAUAUUUAACUGAGUUAAAAUCAAGUGCACUCAAUAAAUGUCUUUUCCUUUAAAAAAACAGCUACGCUUUGAUUUUAGUGCUUAAUAUUUCGUAACUACAAAUUAUAUAAUUGCGAGUUGCUGUCCAUAGCUGCUAAUUUGUAGUGAUUAUCUAAUUGCCUGAGGUGACAAUAAUUCUUUUAUCUUCAAUAGCACAAUGUGGAAUUCAAUAAUUAAAUUCUCCUAUUUAAUUUGUUUCAAGUUAAAUUAUUAAUUACUUAAACUCUGUUUUAAGUCUUUAAUUUUAUGUGUUUAUGCAGAAUUGGAUUCUUGAGCGUGUUGGACAUGACCAACAAUGAAAUUGACAGUAAACAAACAUUACAACGUGUGGACUCCGGUAAGCACCAAUGAAUUUCUAGCCCUGUUGACUCCGCCAACUAAAGUUUUGUAAAAUAAAAAAAUAAUACAUAGAAUUCCACCAAAUGCAAAACGCGUGAAAUUUAAUUUUCGGCCGUGUGGACCAAAACAUAAUUUAACGAAAAAGGAAAAAAAUAAUAAGAUUUUUAAAAUGUGUGGAAGGUAAUCCAUAUUUUACUGAAACGACUUAUUAAAUUUUUCAAGGAUUUAGAAUAUUUGAUCAUAAAUUACGUGCAUGUUAAUUUUUCCGCCAUUGACUAUCAUAUUCUAGACUUAAUGGUACCUUUCUUGAUGAAGGGUACUUAGUCUCUCUUCUCCUCUUAUAAAAAUUAUAUUAAUUGAUUUCUUGUUAUAGUUAAUAGACUUUAAGAACGGAUAGAUUUAUUGUUUUCAUGACCAAAUUAUGCAUGCCUAAGGUUGCAACUAUUAAUAAAAUUAAUAUUUAAUGUUUAUGUUAAAAGAUAUAAGUUUUUAUGCAUUCAUUAAUUGUUAUUAGCUAAAGGAUGAAUUAUUUUUUCCCAAUCAGUUGAUGCAUCUGCAAUAGUUUUUUUUUUCUUUUAUUGACCAUAAUUAUAUUCCGGGUGCAAUAAAUUGUCUUUGGUGCUUGGAAAAUAUGACAUCUCUCCGUCAACUUACUGGAAAUAUCUCCUCAUCUACUCGCAUUUAUCUAAUAUCAAUUGAAGAUCUCAUAUUUCCAAACUAUGACUUCCAAAUCUCAUUAUCAUUUGAGCAUUCAAAACUAAUCAAGUGUGGAAAUAAUCAAAUAUAUGCAAAAAUCGAGUCACAAUCUUUGGCCCCUCAAAAUUCUAAUUAUAUAACUUCUAUAUAUCUCAUACAUUUUCCAAAUUCCUCUUCCAUCAACAUCACUAGGAGUAUGUUCAUCUCUCACACAUUAACUUGAGUGAAGAGUUUCUAAAUUGAUUGUUAGAAAAUAAUACAAAAGCUAGACACGCUUGAUCUGUCUAAUAAUUCUCUUUCUGUAAAAUUAAUUAAUUUUAGGGGAAUUUAGCCAACCUCUGUAAUUUCAGAGUGAUCAUUAAUUAAUUAAACAAUACAAAUAUCUAAAGUGAUUAGAUGUUUGCUGACAAUACAAGUUCAUGGCUUGAAAUUUGAUCUCUAUCGAUUGACUUACAGAUGGACGUACUUGUGCCUUUCUGGUGAUAAUUGAACCAGAGAUGUGAAGCUGUAAGGAUUUGGCAGUAGUAAAUUGUUAUAAAGACAUAAUGACAAAUUCCCAUGAUUAUUAUUUUUUCCAAAAACUUUUUUACAACAAAUUCAUCUCGCCAAAAAUUUUAUUUUGCUAACUAACAAUAAUUGAGCACUUGACCGCAUUGACUCCACGUCUCCACCUACUUUCUAAGUAAAAACAUGGAAAUGUAAUCUCUACAAAAUGCCAAACGUGUGGAAUUUAAUUUUUGGCCUUGUGGACCAAAAUGCAAAUGAAAGAAAAAGAGAGAAAAAAACAAGGCCCAAAGACUUCUAAAAGAUGUAAAAGCUUUGGGCUUUUUUAUAAUGGUGGAUUUUUUAAAAGGAAAAAAUAACAACACUUCUAUGGUUUGUUUUGAUAAUCACAUUUACAUAUACUCUCUAAUUUUCAAAAUAGACACAUAAAUAUUUUUUUUCUACAAAUGUAUAUUAUUCAUAUUUUUUUAUUAUUUUUAAUAUCAUAUUAUUAUUUAUUAUAAAUGUUUAAAGUAAAUUUUUAGGUUGAAAUAUAAUAAAAGGGGAUAAUCGUUCUCCUAUUAAACACCCAUACUUUUAGUUUCUAUCCAUUUGUCAUCUCAAUCUCUCUCGAUUAUUCAUUCUUUCUAGCUCAAAACGCGUUGCUGUGGAAAAUUAUAGCAAAAAGACAAAUAUGGAAAAGAAAAAAGGGAAGAAAAUUAAUGCAUGAAAGACUUGGAGAAAACAACGAAGUAAGUCAACUAUAAUCUAGUUAGGUAUAUAAAUUGUUUGAUGCUUUAUAAGCAAAUAACAUAUAGAGACAGACAGUGUGUGUUCGUUUUUUCAUAGUUAAAGAUAUAGUUAGAAUGGGUGGUUCAAAAUCAAAAAUGGUGAUAAUGUUUGUUAUGUUAUUAAUAAUAUUUAAAAGUGGGUGGAGUGAGGGAUGUUUGGAUCACGAGAGAUUUGCUCUUUUGCGACUUAAACAUUUCUUCGAUGAUACUGGUAGUUAUCUUUACGACUGGGCCGAUGAUGAGGGAGCUACUGAUUGUUGUCAGUGGGAAAGGGUUGAGUGCAGCAACACCACAGGUCGAGUGACAGCGCUAGACCUUUCUGACACGUAUUCGGGAGAGUACGGCUGGUAUCUGAAUGCUUCUUUGUUUACUUCCUUUCAACAACUUGAGUCACUUGAUUUUAGUUUAAACAAAAUAGCCGGUUGUGAUGAGAAUGAAGGUACUUCGUUUAAUUUAAUUAAUUUACUUUCACUCUCCUAAUUUAAGUGGAAUAUUAAGACUGAGCAACUAUAUGCAUAUACAUUAGUUGACAAUUUUGACAUAUUUUUUGAAGUGAUUAAUUAAUUUUGAAAUUACACCAAUAUCUAUGAUCUUUUUUUUUUUUUUAAUUUUGCUUGCAGGUCUAGAGAGGUUAUCAAGAUUGAACAAUUUAAAGAUGCUUAAUUUAAGUUAUAACUGGUUCAACAAUAGUAUCUUAUCAUCUUUAACUCGUCUUUCAUCAUUAAGAUCAUUAAAAUUAUAUGCGAAUAAUUUGGAAGGAAGUAUUGAUGUUAAAGGUACAUAUUUAAAACUUCUCUCUUCCCCAAGCUCUUUCAUUAACCUGCUAAAAUAAGAUUCAAGGCUUUGAAUUCAAUUUUUUUAUGAUUAAUAUUUUAAAAAAAAGUUUUAAGCAAUUUAUAAAUACAAGUUUUAAUGUUUCUCAUAAUUUCAUCUUGUACUUUCAUAUGUCUUGAAUUUAAGAUUAAAAAAAAAACUCUAAUAGCGAACCAAACACCUCCACAACUUAUUAUUAUUAUUUUUUAAUUUGUGGUGAGGUUUGAAACAUUCAAGUCAAUUUGUACUUAUUACAGAAUUUGAUUCUUUGAGAGAUUUAGAGGAGCUAGACAUUGGAUGGAACAUGAUUGACAAAUUUGUGGUCUCAAAAGGUACUACAAAUACCAUAAAAAAAUGCCAACUUUUACAAAUAAGCUGGAUUCUUUGCCAUUUGGUUUAUUAUUUUACAGGUUUGAGUAAGUUGAAGUCUCUCGGUUUAGCUGGUAUCAAACUCAACCGUAGCAUCUUAUCUUCUCUGACUGUCUUUUCUUCGUUAAGAGAAUUACAUCUACGUGAUACCGGAUUCAAAGGAACAUUCGAUGUUCGAGGUAAGUCUAAGCCUUGCUUUCUCAUUUUAUAUAUGCCAGCUAGAUUUGUGUAUCAUUGACAUAAUUUAAUAUUUAAUUUGAUUCGUCUGAAGGAAUUACAUGCUAAUUUAAACAUACUUUUAUUUACUUUGUCAAUUAAUUAAUUAAUUAAUUACUAUUUGGCUUGGUUUGGAUGAAAUUCUCAUGAUGUUUUAAUUUCUUUAAAUUAAUUAAUUAAUUAACUUUGUUUUUAAGUCUUAAGUCUGGGCAUGUUUGCAGAAUUUGAUUCCUUCAAUAACUUAGAAGUGUUGGACCUGAGUUGGAACGAAAUCGACAAUCUUGUGGUUCCUCAAGGUAAACAAUUAAAAUGUUAUUUAAUUACAUUAUUUUAAUUCAUUUGAUCUGGGAAGGCCAAAAAGGUAAAAAAAAAAUUAAAUAAAGAAACAGAGAAUUUGUAUUAUUUAAAAAACAGAAUGUAAUAAAGAUUUGAUUCUAGUUCUUUAAUCUUUAAAGCGAUUGAAAAACAAUGUUGCUCUUUUCCCAAAGCAUAAAAUACGAAUUGAAUGCCGAUUAACUUAAUCAUUCAUUUUGUUUAGCUCUAAAUUUAGACAAUGAAUUUUUAUAUUAUUUCAAAAACAGGACGUAAUAGAAUUUUUUUUAAAAACAGAUUGUAAUAAAGAUUUGAUUCCAAUUCUUUAAUCUUUACAGUGAUUGAAAAACGAUACUGCUUCCCAAAGCACAAAAUACGAAUUGACUCCCAAUUAAAUUAAUAAUUUAUUUCGUUUAGGUCUAAAUUUAGAAAAAUGAAUUUUGAUUCUCUUCAAUCCUUUCCUAAUUAUUAUUAAUAAACAGGUUACAAAGGUUUGAGGAAGUUGAAAAGCCUUGAUCUAUCGGGAGUUGGAAUUAGAGAUGGAAGCAAGUUGUUACAGUCAAUGGGAUCAUUCCCAUCCCUCAACACUCUUCACCUUUUGUUGAAUAAUUUUAACAAUAUAGCGACAGCUACUCAAGGUAAGUAAAAGUUGGAGAUGUGACCAAAUUUAUAAAUAAGCUGUUAAUUAAUUAAUUAAUUAAUUUUUCCGUAUUAUUAAUUAAGCUAAAUUCCUUGCUCCUUCCUUCUAAAUCUAAACAGAGUUGCACACUUUCACCAACUUGGAAUAUUUGACAUUGGACCAUUCCUCCCUCCAUAUAAGCCUUCUGCAAAGCAUUGCGUCAAUAUUCCCUUCGUUAAAAGAUUUGUCGAUGUUUGAUUGCAAAGUCAACGGUCUUGUACGCGGUCAAGGUAAAAGAAAAGUGUCGAUUGUGAACUCACUCAGUGUUGUCCUACGUGUUCAACAUUUUUAUUUAUUUAUUUUAUUGUUUAAUGUUUCUGCUAGGUUUUCCUCAUUUCAAGAGUUUGGACCAUUUGGACAUGGUUUUCGCGCGCACUGCACUCAACACCAGCUUUCUUCAAAUCAUCCGUGAAUCAAUGCCUUCUCUUAAGUACUUAUCAAUGUCAGAUUCUACUCUUGGCACUAACAGCAGCAGGAUUCUUGAUCAAGGUUAAUAAUAUAAAUAUUUAAUUACACAAACGAAUCACUUAUUAUAAAAGAAUAAUACGCAUUCAUUAAUUUUUAUGUUGUAUUAAUUGAUGAAUUUAAUAAAAUUUCAGGCCUCUGUUCGUUGAUGCAUCUGCAAGAGUUGUACAUCGAUAAUAAUGAUUUGAGAGGUAGCUUGCCUUGGUGCUUGGCAAAUAUGACAUCCCUCCGAAUAUUAGAUGUUUCUUCCAAUCAACUUACUGGAAGCAUCUCCUCAUCUCCCCUCGUUCAUUUGACAUCCAUUGAAGAACUGAUGCUUUCAAACAAUCACUUCCAGAUCCCAAUUUCACUUGAACCACUUUUCAAUCACUCAAGACUCAAGAUUUUCGAUGCUGCGAACAACGAAAUAAAAGCUGAAAUAACUGAGUCACAUUCUUUGACCGCCCCAAACUUCCAAUUACAAGCUCUCUCAUUGUCUUCCGGUUAUGGAGAUGGUGUCACAUUCCCCAAAUUCCUUUACCAUCAACAUGACCUGGAGGAUGUUCGUCUCUCACACGUAAAUAUGGAUGGAGAAUUUCCAAACUGGUUGUUGGAAAACAACACAAAAUUGAGACAACUUUAUCUCGUCAAUGAUUCUCUUACAGGACCUUUCCGAUUGCCAAUCCAUUCACACAGAUGGUUAAGAUUCUUGGAUGUCUCCAACAACAACUUCCAAGGCCACAUUCCAGUGGAAAUUGGAGAUAUUUUACCAAGUUUAAUAUCCUUCAACAUUUCAAUGAAUGCUUUAGAUAGUAGCAUUCCCUCUUCAUUUGGUAAUAUGAAAUUCCUCCAAAUUCUGGACUUAUCCAACAAUCACUUGACUGGUGAAAUCCCCGAGCACUUGGCCGUGGGUUGCGUCAACUUGCAGGCUCUUGCAUUAUCAAACAACAACUUAAAAGGUCAUAUGUUCUCCAGAAACUUUAACCUGACAAACUUGAGAUCAUUACAAUUGGAAGGCAAUCACUCGUAGGUGAGAUCCCACAAAGUUUGUCUAAAUGCUCCUCACUAGAAGGAUUGUAUAUUAACAAUAAUAGUCUUUCGGGUAAGAUUCCACGAUGGUUGGGUAAUCUCACAUGGUUACAAUAUAUUAUAAUGCCCAAUAAUCAUCUUGAAGGCCUUAUUCCAGUGGAGUUUUGUCAGCUUGAUUCGCUUCAGAUUUUGGACAUUUCAGACAACAACAUAUCUGGAAGUUUACCAUCUUGUUUCCAUCCUCUCUCUAUUGAACAAGUUCAUCUUUCAAAAAAUAUGUUACAUGGACAGCUAAAAAGAGGUACAUUCUUUCAUUGCUCUUCCCUGGUGACAUUAGAUCUCAGCUAUAACCGUUUGAAUGGCAGCAUUCCGAAUUGGGUUGAUGGGCUUUCUUAGUUAAGCCACCUUAUCUUAGGUCACAAUAAUCUUGAAGGUGAAGUGCCAGUUCAAUUGUGCGAACUGAACCGAUUGCAAUUGUUAGAUCUUUCUAAUAAUAAUCUUCACGGUCCUAUUCCUCCUUGCUUUGAUAACACCACACUUCAUGAAAGUUACAGCAAUAGUUAUAGUCUUGAUGAGCAAUUUGAAAUAUUUGUUUCCAUCGAAGGCUCUUGGGGAUCGGUAGAAAAGUAAAUCCAUGAAAUUUUUGAGUUCACAAUAAAGAACAUUGCGUACAUUUACCAAGGAAAAGUUCUUAGCCUCCUAUCAGGACUUGAUCUUUCUUGCAACAAGCUAAUCGGUCAUAUUCCUCCUCAAAUUGGAAAUUUGACAAGGAUUCAAACAUUGAAUCUAUCACACAACAACUUGACAGGAUUGAUCCCAUCAACAUUUUCAAACUUGAAGCAUAUCGAAAGUUUGGAUCUUUCCUACAACAAAUUGAAUGGGAAAAUCCCUCAUCAACUUGUGGAGUUAAAGACAUUGGAGGUUUUCAGUGUGGCAUACAAUAACUUAUCAGGCGAAAUUCCAGAAUGGACAGCACAAUUUGCAACCUUCAAUGAGAGUAGCUAUGAGGGAAAUACUUUUCUUUGUGGAUUGCCAUUGCCAAUUUGUAGAUCACCAGCAACUAUGUCGGAGGCUUCAAUUGGCAAUGAACGAGAUGAUAAUUUAAUUGACAUAGACAGUUUCUUUAUCACAUUUACAACAUCGUACGUAGUUGUGAUAUUCGGAAUUGUUAUUGUUUUAUAUGUAAAUUCUUAUUGGCGACGUAAAUGGUUUUACUUUGUUGAAAUGUGGAUAACUUCAUGUUACUAUUUUGUUGUAGACAAUCUUAUUCCAACAAGAUUUUGUCAUUAAAAUUAAUUAGUAGUUUAAUUACGAUUCUUUAAGUUCUAAUCAAGUUUGCUUAGGAAAUAAAUUUAUUUUUAUUUUUUAUUAAAAUUGUAGUAGUAUUUAGCGUUACAUAGCUUCCAACUUCCAAGCACUUCACAUUUGUCUCUACACUUCCAAACCCAUAUCUAUCCACCAUAACUUAUACUUCCCUAUACUGUGCAGCCUACUUAAAUAAGAGAACCAUCUCCAAUGUUAAAACCAGCCACUCUAUAACAUUCAUUUAGAAACUAUAUUUAGAAUAGUUUUAUUAUCAUACACAAGAAAUGAAACACCUAGAUGCACUUGAUCGCCUAUUUUACUUUAAAAAACAAUAAUUAUCGUGCUAUCAUCAUCUUCUUCACUAGCAACAUUAACACCAAAUCCAGCGAUGGACCCAGACAUUUAAUCAAGAAAGGUAUAUAUAUAACAAAGUUGAAGCUUGACAAAAAAUUCAGGAAGAUUAAUGCCUCGGUAUAUAUAUAUAAUAAAGUUGAAGCUUGACAAAAAAUUCAGGAAGAUUAAUGCCUCGCCACAACAAGGGGCACAACAACAUCAAAGUAGAGAUGAAGCAAUAUUCUCAAAGCUAAAACUCUCAAAUCCACCCACCAGAAUUUCAUAUCUCCUCGACAAUUUUAAGAACUAAAGAUAAUUAGGAUUUAACAUUAGUUUUUUAUAUAUUAGUUUCAUAAUUUACAAAUCAAUGAAGAUGAAGAUUAUGCUAAUGAAUUCAAAUUAUACCAUACAUUCUAUAGAUGUUACCAAAAAUUUCUAAGUCAAUCCCACAUAUUUCAUAAUUUUAAGACUAGAAAAUUUCAUUAGUUAGAAGUUUCAUUACCUUCAAGUGGAAGAUGAAGAACAUUAUACAAGUGAUUCAGAUUAUAUCAUACAUACUCCAAAUGCAACUAGAAAUUAACAAGUUCAUGCGCACAGAUUUCAUAACAUUAUGAUUGGAAAGUUUCACAAAGAGAAAUUCUAAAUUCAAUCUCUUGCAUCAAGGUAGUUUGAUUGAUUUGAGUUACUUUCUGAUCAAGCUACUAAUAUAACAUUCAAGUUAGGGAGAAAGUAAAUUAAAACUGGGAAGAAAUAACAGUAAAAAUUUGUUGCUAAACAUGAUGUGUAUUUUUUUUAAGGCAAUUUGGAAACACAGUUGUUACUACAGAUAUUCUCCUCAACUUGGAGACAAAUACAAAUAUUAAAAUGCAUAUGAUCGCACAUACUACUUGGAGCUUAGUAAGAUUUCAUUAAAAGAAGCAAUCAAACCACUUAUCAAUUGUCGCAAUCGUUCUAUAAACUAAAAUAGCAAUAUAAUACAAGAAAAAGAACAUAUAGAUACUCGGCAAGAGUUCAUUAAGAAGUCGCAUCACAUUAGGGUGAGGAGUUUGCUUCUGAUAUCUUGCUAGCUGGGGCUUUUUCUUGUCUUUCUACGUAUGCCGAGGGAAACCAACCAGCUAGGCCCUUGCAUUCACCUUCCGACCAUCCAGUAGGAGCCACCUUGAGAAGUUAUAACUAAAACGGUGAAUUAAAAAAAAGUUGACAAUUCAAAGACCUAAGGGGAAAACUAAUUCUUUUACGUAGAGGAAGUGAACUAGUUGUGAUCACUGAAAUAAAAAAAUAACUAUGGAAGCAUAACAAGAUAUAAAUUCACAUGUCUAUAAGGGUAAACAGGGUGGUUUAGAACUGAGCUAGCAACCCUACUAUAUUCUGAUUUGCACUUCAAUGUAAAAGGGAAUAUAUGGUAGGAAGAAAAAAAACCAACCAUCAUUUGUUAACUUAUUGCUUUUCAAUCAAAAUUUUAAGAACAAAAUGCCAUGUGCUUUGAACAUCAAAUAAGUAUAAGCAUUAGUUCUAAAUUCCACAUAUUAUAAGUUGUUAGAAGGAUAAGUUAAUAGCAUAGUAGAAAAAUCUAUGUGUUGGUAUUUAGAGGGGAAAGUACCUGGCGAACCACAACAUAAUCAUCAAUUGAAAGACUUAGCUCUCCAUUUGCUUGAUCAUCAAAUGGAUGUAUAACCUGCAAGAUAAUGGGAUAAAUAGAACUUAAAAAAAGCAUAACAAAAGCAGCAACAGCAGCAGCAGCAUUCAUUGUAACCACUAUGAUCAUGGCCAACAAAGAUAUAUUAGAAACAAAAUUCCAUUUUUACUACGACUUUAAUAUGUACUAUACGAUAUCAUGACGAUUGGGUUAUCAAGUGCUAUCAAAGUCUAAUAAGUUCUGUAUAACUUUAUAUAGUUAUUUUAAUUAUGGAUCAAAUUUUAAAUUUGAAAUUUUGACUGCUCUCCACAAAAUAUGGCCUAUGCACAAGAAAGUCAUAGAUAAUGAGGAUUACAAGUGUCCGACAUCUUUUGAGUGAUGGAUUUAACAUGAGAGCUUAUGGUCAGUCAAUUUCCUCUGCCUAGCAAUAUAAGCUUUCUCGGCCAGAUUUAUCAUCAAAUACAUAGAUUGCCCCCAAGUCACAUCCAUAUAAACAUAGUUUUCUAGGUAAACCAAGUAAGGAGAAUCAUAAUUUAGACAUAAUCAUAAAAAGGCCCAUCUAACUUAAGAGAAAAUCUCAAAAAGAGGGAUGUUGAGCUAUCAGUCUUGUAUCUAUAAGCAAUAUCAAGACUUUACAUCACCUGCUACAUCGUGAGUGGCUACACAACUUUCAGUGGUUUGUCUUUCUUUGGCAUGCCUAACUCAGCUUUGAUGUUGCUGAGAUAUUGAUAGUAGAGACACAUGAUACUUCUAGCUCAUGCAUUUUAUCUAGCUCAUCCGACAACUAUUUCUUUUUUAAUUCAUUAGUGUUUGCUAAACCUCAUGCUCAAAAGUCCUGUUCUCCUAAACAAAGUUUCCUAAGAAUGACUUCCUCAACACAACAUUUGGACACUUUUAGAGCAAUUUUAUUUGGAGGAAAAGAAUUUUCAAGGUGUUAACUAAUAAAUUUUAAAAUAUAAUUACAAUUUGUCCUACGAUCAUAUGACAAUUUAUUUGGGAUGAAAGGAUACAGACAGACAUCUUCCACUUUCAAGACUAAUCACUACUUCCGUAGAUGUUGUGCAAUGAUACAAAUACUUGACCAGAUGGUAGUGAUGGUAGAAAAAAAUUUAUUGCUCCAAAAUUAAAAUAAGAAUGCAAUAUGUUAAGCAAAAGACUGUGCAACAUCAAAUUAAUUGAUGAGUUUGUAAUUCAGUAAAUUAACAACUUUCAUGGUAAAAUACAACAAGUUUCUUUUAAAAAAAAUAAAUCUUAAAAGACAGCAUUCAUUUUUGUGCGCAUGUUAUUUCUUAAGAUUUUUCAGGAGGAGGGCAAUAGAGGGACUUUCACCUAUGCAAGAGAGCAGAAGCCUUACUUUUGCUAUAAAGUAGACGUCAUUCUGAUUAAUAUGCGUUUGAAUCAGCUCCGUUUGCUAUAAAGUAGACGUCACACAUGAGGCAUUUACAUCCAUUUCCAAAGUCACAUGUUGCGAGGAGGACUCAUUUGAUUGCUCCUCUAGGAUCAUCUAAUGCAAGUAGUAAGGGUUGGAAGAAAAUAAAAAGUCACAAUUAUUCUUUUGCGUAAGUGAGACGAAAAUGAUAAAUGCAAUAUUAUCAGCAGUAAACAAGAAGAGAACGCUCCAAGGAAUAGAUAGAUGCAGACAAGCAAGUUAAAAUGCAUAGUCCCAAACCUCCGCAUACAACUUCUCUAAAAUAGCAAUAACGUGUUGAUGAUAUGUUUUCUCAGCAUCUACCUGCAAAGGCCCGAGACCAGGAAAACGGCAAUAAAACCACUAGCUAAAGGAGAAAGUAAAGAAAGAAAUACACUUGACAUAAAUCUUGACAAGAAGCACAGUUUAAACCCCAAUCAUAUUGUUUAGAACUACCAUUCGUUAUUGUAACAUUUCGAACAAGUGUUGACUUAAUUCAACAUUGUUGGAAAGAUAGGCUUUUAAAAGCGGAAGAAAGCCACUCAAACCAAAGUGAUUGUCCUUGUAUUGAUCAAGGGAUGUAAACAUAUUACAUUUGCAGGAUAAGUUUUAAUUAAUCACUCCCCUGAUUUAUUUGGGUUGCAGUUUAAUUUGUGAAUUUCGUUAUUGUAACAUUUCGAACAAGUGUUGACUUAAUUCAACAUUGAAAAAUUAUUCAAUAAAUUAUGCAAACAUUAAAAUAGAGGACAUAUUAAAAAGUUUCUAAUUACAAUGUUAAUAUUUCCUAUAUUUUAGCAUUUGCAUAUUUUAAUUUAUUUAAAAGCUACGUCGAUCAACUUUGGGCGUGAAGAUUUUAGCUUCUACGAGACUUGAUUGGAAUAUGCAUAAGGAAGAGUGUUAAAAUAUGAUGCAUCCAACGAAAGACAAACCACGUGUAGUCUUUUAAUUAAGCCAAAGUAGCAGCUCAAACAAAUGACACUUGGACCAACAUGCAAUCAUGAAGUGGCCGGAAAAAGGACAAAUGCAACUUUGGCUUAAAUAAAAAAUAACAUGUGACUUGACUUUUGCUGGACAUGCAUCAUGUUAUUACAAGACAACAGAAAUCAGUAUGAUAGUACUAAAAGUUGACAAUAACAUGAAGAUAAGAGGCAGAAUAUCAACACAUGCAUAGGCACACACAAGGAAGUAUUAACUUAUAUACCAUAGCAAAAAGUCUUUGAUAUGUCAUCUGUUGCUGCUGUGAUUCAACUGACAGCAUGGCAGUUGUCGCUUCUCUACCAAGAGCCAUUAUUGUAGAUUUAAGCUCGGUCAAUCUUGCUUCUGCAUUUCGAAGCUUCACAGCACUCUCUGCUGAUAUAUCAGAUUCCCUAAUCUUUGAUCGGCGCCUAAAUACUUCAGCUGCCUGGUGAAAAUAUUCAAUAUAAAUCUAACAUAAUUCUAAUCUUGCCUUAUACAUGCAUAUGUUAACUCAAAGCUUACCUGGGCUUCAACUUCAUGUCGAAGUUUGUCAUAACGAUGAGUCAGGUGUCGAGCAUCUUCCAAAGGUGCUCCGUUGAUUAACGCCCGUAGUGGCUCAGAUACCUACAUGUCCAAAAACCUGUAACAUAGUUAGAAAAAUGAAAAGAAAGAGCGAAACCUCAAUUAAAAAGUUCCUCCAACAUAAUCAUGGAAUUUGGGCCUACUUCAAGGACAUAUAUAAGGAUAAUUUAUGCAAUUUUGGGUCUUAGGAUGAUUGGCAUUAGGUUAGUGUUCUUCUCUUCUGUAUUUAAGGUUAAAAUAGAAAUAAACCUAUGAAAAUAUCUAAAUUAGGGCUGUAAGACUUCCACAUGCAUCCUUCAGUCUCAUGGAUUUGAUUUUACUAUAGAUGCAAGUGUCUUUAUCGAAAAUGCUUGGAGUCAAUUGAGAGAACUCACGGCCAAUAACUUGUCACACGCUAGUCUUUGCUAGUGAUGUAAGAAGUCACAAGGUCUCUUCAACAUUUGAACCCAUAAAAUUAUUAAGUCAUGGAUGUCACUAGCAAUGAUUUUAAUAUAAAACAUUAAAUAUUUCAGAGUUGUAACGUUAAAAUUCUUUUAUUCAAUAUCUUAGAACUAAGUUUCCUUAUGAGAAGAUAAUAGUUUCAGUAGUAAUUUACAUAUAAUUUUCUAUAUUUGAAUUAUUUUCUAGUUAGGGAUGAACUAACCUGAUCACCAAGAAUCCCAAGCAAAGUUUCCCUCUCAUUUUCCAUCAAAUCAUGUGAAGUGCCAAAUUGAAGAGCAGCUCUUGCAACGCAAGAAUUGUCACUUUGAUUCUCCGCUCCAUACUUGCAACAAUCUUCAGCCAACUUUCUCGCUACAAUAUUUGAAUACAAAAAUAUUGUGCACAAGAACUAGUCAAGAAAAAAAAAAUCAAAUAUUAUAACGAAUGCAAGAGCAAACAAACAACCUAUUUCCAUUUGUUUCAAGCUUACUGCAACAAGCCCUUCAAUGCCACGAACAAUAUUCCUCUGAAAAUGCUGCGCUACAGAGCAUAUAUUCCAAAUUAUUGUUCAGAUAAAACCAUAGAAACCAUCAUAAUUAUUCAACAUACAUUAAGCUCCGUUUGGUAAAUACUUGCAACUUCAGUCUAGAGAAUACAGUUCUAUAUAUGUAGCAGUCUAAAGGAGGAUGGUGCCUUAGCUGCCCUGGUGGAAUUGUAUAGAUUUUGAAGUUGUUGGUGACACUCAAUUUCAGCUUCAUCAACUGCCUGUACAAAUCAUAAAAAACUAAUGAAAAAAAUAAAUAAAAUCGAGAAAUUUCACUAAUUAAAAGUCUAAAUAUAAUUUUAAAAAAGAAAGAAACGCACUUGGUGCUGCUUGGCGACUUGUUCUCGGAGCUUGAUUGCCUGUUUCUUGAUAGCUUCCAUACUGUUUCUUUCAAAAAGCGGCGACGGCUCAGCUCAUGGAAGUUGGGGAAAAAAAAAAGUGUGAUCAAGAAAAUAAAAAGGCAUAUUAUUGUUGACAAAAUGUGAAAAUAAAAAAGAAAAAAGAAAAUUAUAAGUUUGAAAGGAGAAGAUGAUAGUGGAAGAGUGCGGCGUGGCUGCCAGCUACUUGGAUUGUAUUGUCGGGUAAGGUAAUUGUAGAAAAUUAUAAGUUUGAACAGAGCAUGUUAGACUUUUGUUGACCAAAUUCAAAAGGCAAAUGGUACGGCCCAGAAGCUUUGGAAUACAGUAACUUACAAGAAAGCUCCAUUUAUUCUUCUUAUACUUUACGCUUGCAUCAGCUUAAAUCACUUCUUAAUCGCUUGCUUUAACUGCGCCGCUUUGUACUGUUCUAUAUAUGUAGCAGUUAUGCGGAUGUAGUUCACGGCUGAGGGUACGUGUUUGUUUGACGUGGUAGUUACGUUACGACGUUACGAGAGUAUUAUUAGUUAUUUCACAGGGAUAAAUAAGAUUAGUCACAAUAAACCCACUAGUUUUAUAAAAUUCGAGUAAUAUAGAAUAAAAUAAAAAAUGAAUACAAAAUUGACUUUUAUUUUUUAUGGUUGACUAUAUUUUGUGUUCUCUUCUGGUACUACUACAAUUGUUCCCUGUAUAUCACUCAUACCCAUAUAUCAUUGACACAAGAAAUGAAAUCUAAUGUCAGAUGUUUAGUUAAAGAAUCACUUAUGAAAAAAUUUUACCAUUUUGAUUUGAGGAUCCCUAUUUUGAACUGCAAGCUAAUGUUCAUCAAGAACAGAGUAUGGCAGUUGAGUAGAAAAACUAUUUUUGGACAAAUUGUUUUUAUUGAUAGAAGAAUUUCUCAAGGGACUACUAAAAUUAUUAAAAAAAAAUGUCAAACACGCCCAUAUAUCAUCAACACAAUUGGUUUUGAGAAUCCAUACUUUAAACUGCCGCCUAAUAUUCAUCAAGAGCAGAGCAUGGCUUGUGAGUAGAAAAUUUUCUGAUUUUGGCCCCAAAUAAUCCAGCACUUUCUCAUGAAGAAAUGCAUACAAAGCAUACCAUGGUACCAUACAAUACAAGGAGUCUCCGUUCUCUAGUUUUUCAAACUCUAAAGGGGCCAAUACUCCCUAAUUCCCCCUCGAAAAUUCUGAUUAUGACAUUAUUCAUCCCUCGAUGCAAUCAAAGUAGUGACAAAGUUAGGAAAAAUAUGAGUCCUAAGUAAUUGCUAGGCAGGGCUCCUGUGAGCAAAAUUGUCCUAAGCAUUAUAUGCAUACAUGGUGUGGUACAUAAAGCACAAUGAAUUCCACACUAUAACACAAACCCAGAAAGAGAAGAAACAACUUAAUUGAUGUAAAGACAAAAAGAAGAUAAAAUGAUAUAGAAAAAAAAAUUCAAAGAGAUAGCAACAUACUAUAGACUGAAGCCACUUGAUCUGCUCAUUGAUUGCAGCCUUAAACUUGCAAAUAGUUACCGUAAGCUAGUGCUAUAAGAAGUGAAAAUGAUGCACACCCUGAUUCCCUUCGACUUCCAUUUACUGUCAAACAUUCUAUUAAUACAAAAAAAUUGUUCAAAUAUCUUGCCAUAAAUAUAGCCGUUUGACUGGCUUAAUAAAGUCACAAAUAACCAUUCAUAUUGAUCCACAGUGUCACACCGCCUGCUUUAUGCAUACAACAGCUGUAUGUAUACCAACUCCUAACCUUAUCAAUACAUUUGGCAAAAACUUAAGAAGAAAACUAUUUCUCCAUCUCUUUUUUGAAAUUUCACAAUAAACCAGCAUAUUGUAAACGUUAUGUUGUAACCUUAUGAUAAAUGCUCUAGACUCCAAAUGAAUUUUAUAUAUGAGGGUUUGUUGCAGCAGAUAUAUUGACUUAUCAAGUAUGAAUCAUUGUCUAGAAGAACUAUCUUUAGAUAAAAGAAUAUUAGAACCAUUCUAGAAUAUCUUUAGGUUGCUAGUUCUAACAGGAAUCUGCAUGUGGCAACAGUUGCCAGAUCCACAAUUCCCCAACUUGAAAUACAUAGUUGCACACCGUGAGAUAGUGCUGCAAUCUACUGAGAUCUAACUUAUAUGAUACUUUAAGCUACUAAUGUUUGCAUAUUUCUACAUGUUAAAUUGACACUACCAUCUAUAAUCACUCUAAAACGACAGAUGAUAAGCAGCUUUUGGCUACUUAUUACUAGCAUCCACAAUUAAUUUUUGUUCAGCAAUCAGCUUAUUUUAUAGAAAUUGAUUUAGUCAGCAACAAACACUAUAAUCCUUGAAAUUAGUUCUUGUUCUUUGUAAUUUUCUAUGAUUUUUCAUACAUCAAUUAAUCUGCAGUGCCAAGAUGAGGUUUGGUUUUUCAAACUAAAUAAUCAAGUAGCAAAAAUACAAAUUUAGAGAUUAGGGGGUGAACUAGCUAGGUGGUUUACAAAUAUUCCUAUUUGUAAGGUGAAUUAAUUGAAUCAUGAGAAAACAAUGUGACCAUAGCUCAAUAUGAGAUGAUUUCGGAGAGGCAUAUUGUUUUCAAGUGAAUUUGAUCCAUUAAGAGAUGAAGUGGAUUGAAGUGGAAAGUUUAAAUAACAAAUCCUUGUUCUUGAGUUUUACGACGUUGUUACUCCUUCAGGUGGCAGAUUAUGCAAGUGAAUUCAAAAACACAAUGCAUCAAUCACGGGGAUGCUACACCAAAAGACGGGAUCAUAGUCUAUGCAUUGAACAGUUACAGUUGCUGCUACCAAUUGACUCGGCAAAGAUCAAGAAGACUGAACGGGAAGUUAAUGCCAUCAAUGUCGUCUUCACUAUAGCUGCUGGGAAUGUAGGUGAACUUUCCUCAUUUGCGGCUGUCUAUACAUAGGCUUUUCCCCAGCUUAAGUACAAAUAAAUGAACCUGCUUUGAAGGCUUUAUUAUUGACCACAAUAAGGAUUACUAAUUGAAGAAGACUAUACGGAGUUAAUCCCACACUUUCGUUCUCUCAAUUUCUUUCAGAAGUGCCUCUGAAAAUAGCUGCCAAACCGUUAGUCAGCUUGUUAGACUCUGUUUUCUGGAAACAGAGCCCUAACUAACUGACUGUACAGAGUAAGUCAACAUAGCAUAUUUAAUCGUUUUAAUUGAAUUGUCUUCGUAGCGAUCAUCAACAAACUCAUCAUGAGAUUUUUGAAGCACCCAAGGACUAUCACUGGGUUUCUCUUCUGGUUGAUUAAUUAAUUAAUCAAAGAACGGUUGGAUACCCAAGGACAAUUAAAAUUAUUCGACUUCUGGAACUGGGAAUGAAGUGCAAUGAUGGAGCAAAAUUUACAAUGUCUCCGGUUUCUCCUACCAUCGGACUUUUGCAGUGAGAACAUAUAACAAAAAGGCCUUCAUCAAAAUUUGUAGACUCCGGGUAUGGAUUGGAUCGAUUUUUUUGUUUGAUAUUGAAGAACCUCUUUACUAUCGCGAUAUAGAUUAUGUGCAAGGAGUUGUCUACUGUUCUUUGCCUUGUGCUAUGAUCGGUGCUCUUGAGGCUGCCCUGAAACACAGGAAAAUACUUCGAUAUCCUCCGUUCGAUGAUGCAAAGAACCGGUUAAUGUAUGAUUACCUAAUUGACUCAGGAUCAGGUAACAACAACAACAAUUUAUUAAUAUCACAAACGAAGAAGAUCGCGGAGAGGGAGAUGUAUGCCUAUACUGUUUACAGGUUUGAUCCAUUGGGGAUGAAGUGGUCUCAAGUCGAAAGUGAUUUAUUAAACAACAAAUCAUUGUUCUUGGGUUAUACCUCAUGAUGUCAUCAAGUGGAAGAUUAAGAUUAUGCAAGACGAAGAUCGUUUGAUAUUGAAGAAUUUGAACAGAAAGCCCAUAGAAAGUACUUAAAAAAGCAUAUUCUUGUUGGGGUAGAAUAUUGAGAAAGGAGUUGUCUACUGUGUGUUGCGUGAUUAUGCUAUGAUCUGUGCUUUGAACAUUGCCCUGAAAACAGUGGAAAAUACUUCAUAUCCUCGACAUGAUGAUAAAAAAUUGGUUACCGAUUACGUAACUGACUCAGGUGACAACAAUCCAUUAAUAGCACAAUUUGAGGUGAUGCCGUUUAGGUAUAUGGUUAACAGGUUUGAUUCAUCAAUGAUGAAGUGGGCUUAAAUUAAAAGAUCAUAUAAUAAGUCGUUCUUCUUGGGCAUAUCGUCAUUACUACUUCAAGUGAUCAAAGAUGAAGAUGAAGAUGAAAAUUGUGCAAGUGAGUUCAAGAAUACCAUACAUCGUUACUUGGGAUACUUCUUCAAAUAUGGAUGGGGUCAUAAUUUACUCCCACGAAUUUCAACCCAAUUUUAUGAUUGGAGUGUCCCACCAUGACUCAGAAAAAUUUUGAUUCAACCUCCUCCACCAAUGGAUUUUGAUUAGUCACUUUGUGAUCAAGCAACUUAAUUAAACUCAGAGAGUCAGAGUUCGAUUUUGCUGGCACCGCAUUUUCUUUAAAAUGUGGCCAUGUAAGGAGAGCGGCACAUAAUGUCACUUCCUUAUCAAGCACUUUAAAGAGGGAUUUUAGAAGAAGAUACAACUGCAAUUGUUUUCGUAUGUAUAUAUAUAAACAACAGCACACAUUCAGUUCAUAAAAGAAAUUUUUGCUAACCAUGAUAUGUGGUAGUGCUUUUUAGGCAAUUUAGAAACAGAGUUGUUCAACUUACAGCAGGUAUUCUCCUCAAGUUCGACGUAAAUACAAAUAUUAAUUAGAAUCCAUAUUAUAAUGACACACAUAACUUGCUUCAAAAUUAUCAGAAAUUAAAAUUGCUGAUUCAUAAUGCAGAUAACUUGGAUGAAUUGAUGUUAAAGGAAAAAUCACAGGCAUAACUUGGAGAGCAAUUGCGACAGCAGCCAAGUAUAUAUUUUUAUUUGAGAGUUGAGAAGAAUAUAUUUAAUGAAGCUUGAUAACAUUUGAUGGGAUAGCAAGUAAGGGUAAAUAAGAUAUUUUUAUUUGUUAUUUAUUUGAAUUAUAUCUAUUUUGUUCAAGUUAAAAUACUAAAUAUAAAUUGGAGGUAGACAUUUUAACAGAUCAUCUAAGCUCUCAAAUCUGAAAUUUUGUGUAGAUUUAAAUUCAUAAUUUUAGUUAAUUUUCAUUCAUUCAUAUAAACAAAUUUAUGAGAUUUUUCUUUUCAGCAUGUUAUAUUUUGAAACUUUCAAUGUAUUAUUCUAGCUUUAUUUAAACAAUUAAUUUAUUUAAUUUUGAAUUUGAUCAGUAGUAAAAUUAUUUUUAUAUCAAAUUUUUUUUAUUUAAAUAGUUCGUGGAUUGGACAAAAUUAAAAAAUUUUAAUCUACAAAAUGGUGGAUUAGAUAUGAAUUGGGUUAAAUCCACAUUCGAUUUGCAGUCGUAUGAAUUUGAUUUGGAUUGAAUUUCAUCAAUCCAUGGAUUAGAUUGGAUUGAAAAUUUAUUAUCCGCAAAAUCGUGGAUCGAAUAUGGACUGAUGUCCAAUCAGCAAAAUCCGAUCCCCGAACACGCCUCUAUCAAAAUUUUCAAGAAUAUGUUUUAUCUUACAAAUUUUUUUUUAAAGUCAUAAUCUAAUGGCAGCCCAAUUUUAUAAAGUCACACACAACCAUUCUUAUUAAAUUAGAAAGAUCAAACACUGCACUGGAUCUUGAACAGAUCAACACAAGUUGCACAACUUGCGAUUGAAUCCGGCCUGAAACAAUCAACUCUUUAGCAAGAACAAUUAAUCAGAGUCAAGAAACAAGUUUAAUGAAUAUAAACCUAUAAUUGAAACAAACAUAGCAAAGAAAAAAAAUACAGAUUUUACACGGUUCAGUUGUACCUAGGAUGGCACAACCUACACCACGAGAGAAGCUUUCUGGUGAGAUUUUAUUGAUGAUCAAAGAAGAAUCUUUUGACAAAGCUAAUAAUAGAGAUUUCAGAGAAUAAGCUAUAACCUCUCUCCCUCUUCAAUCUCUCUCUAUUUUGUUCCCAUUGAUGACCCCAAUCUGCUUAGUUAGCCAGCUUUAUAGCUGCAUCAGUAACAAACCAGCAAACCCAGAUUGAGCAGAUUGACGACACGUGGAUAACGGCUUUAACGAACCUGGUUAAGAACUGCUCACAUGUUCGUCACGCGUACUGCUUAAAUGAUGGCCAAAACGACUUCAAACAAAUGUCGUUUUGAGGCUUAUGAAUUACAAGUGAUAACACGAGAUUGUCUCAUGACUUUUAAAUGCAACAACGUGCCCAAAACGCUGUCGUUUUACUCUGUUGAGUUUGAUUCAUUACUAAGCUUUACGACUGGCAAUGGAGAAGAUGAUAAUUUAAUUGAUAUGGACAGUUUUUAUAUCACUUUUACAAAAUCCUAUGCAAUUGUAAUAUUGGGAAUUAUUGAUGUUUUAUAUGUGAAUCCUCAUUGGCAAAAACUAGUGGUUUUAUCUUUGUUGAAAUGUAGAUUACCUCUCGUUACUAUUUUAUUAUAAACAUAUAGUUUCGUAAGUGAAACUAUAUAUUUAUAAUAAAANNNNNNNNNNNNNNNNNNNNNNNNNNNNNNNNNNNNNNNNNNNNNNNNNNNNNNNNNNNNNNNNNNNNNNNNNNNNNNNNNNNNNNNNNNNNNNNNNNNNCAUUUCUGCCUCAUUAAGAUUCUCAAAUACCAGUCAGGUUUGCUUAAGAAAUAAAAUUUUUCCAUUAAAAUUGCAGUAGUAUUUCCAAGCAUAUCGCAUUUUCUAUGAUUUUUCAUAAAUUAAUUAAUCUGCGGUGCCAAUAUCAGAUUUAGUUUUUCAAACUAAAUAAUCAAGAAAGCAAACAUACAAAUAUACAGUUUAGAGGGGUAAACUAGGCAGGUGGUUUAGAUUUUAGAACUAAGGCAGCUACCUCACUAAAUUCCGAUUCGUACAGUGAACUGCAAGAAAUUGAGAAAACAAUGUAUUUAUAAUUUAAUAGAAUCAUAACAGAUGAAGUGGAAUGAAGUUGAAAGUUUAAAUAACAAAUCCUUGUUCUUGAGUUUUUACGACGUCGUUACUCCUUCAAGUGGCAGAUUAUGCAAGUGAAUGCAGAAACACAAUGCAUCUUCCGCGGGAUGAUACAUCAAAAGGCGGGAUUUGUUUAUGCCUUCAGAUUAGCAAUUUCACUCAUAUAGAAAAUUAAUUUUUUAUAUAUACUAAUCAACACUAAAUUGAUUAUGUGUUGUAUGUUUAUAUGCUAAUCAACACGAAAUUAUAUUGAAUUAUUAACAUUCAUAUUCCUAAUAAAAAUUAUUUUCCAUUAGUAUUCAAAAUUUUCACUUAUAGAAAAUGCAUUUUACGUGAAUACUAGUUAUUGUGUAAAUUUGAAUGAUAGCAAAAAAUAAACCUAUUUGAAAACUGUAAGGGUGUGUUGGGAUAUUUUACAACUGUCGGAAUCUGGUAGGAUAUUGCACCAUUUGCCCAAUAUUUUUAGACGUACUCUAACCGGUAUUCAAGAUAAGUAAAAUUUACAAGCGUGGCAAAAUAAAAAAAAUUAAAUUCGUAAUUUGUAAACGAAUUUUCCUGACAUGUAUAGUAGAUGAAGUUGUUGACCCUUUCUUUGGAUUAUUUCAGCUCUGGUUGUUGGUCACCGAUGAGCCGAAGUCUUAUUUUAAUUCUAUUUAAACUCAUCAUAAGAUUCGUGGAGCACCUAACUAACUUAACUGACUGUGCAGAGCAUCUCAACAUGGCAAAUUUAACCAUCAUUCAAGUGAUGGGUUUAAUAAGACUGCUUUUGUUCUACCAAGUUCCUCCGCCUCUAAGCAGAAUUACUAUUGAAGGGCCAAAUGGAAAAUGAAAACGUGUGAACUCCAACAACCACCCCACAAAUUCAAUGACGAUGCUCGGAGAGGGUUAGGUUGGGCCUCUGAGAAAAAAAAAAAUUAUUUAGUUAAAAAGUUACCCUUAUUGAAACCUGUAUAAAAAUUUUAUAUUAAUUAGUUAUGUUGCCUCUUCAACUAUGAUCAAAUUUUUAUCUGAGCUCAUCAUUUAAUGAGUAAACAUGUAUUUUAAUGAUCUCAAUUAAUAUUUAGAACAAAUAUUUUAAGAAGUAAAGCUCAUUAUAUCCCCCAUUAUUAUGUAUCUCUGUAAUGUAUUGAAUUAGAAGAAAAAAAAAAUUCAACUCACUCAAAAAAAAAAAAAUGCUGGUAGCUUCGUAAUAAUUACUGUCUUGACUGCACCAGAUAAAGUUUUGUAAAAGAAUUCUGAUAUUUACCCCGGGUCAAACCCCGAAAAUAACUUAAACGGUGUCGUUUUGAUUUUUUUUUUUUUUAUACUCCAAAACGUUCUUACCAUUUCCGUUUCACUUACCAUUUAAUGCUCACAACUCAAAUAAAAAGCCCAGAAACUAGAAUCAAACUUUACAGAAACUAGAAUGCCCAGAAACGUUGUAUAGCAGGAACGUAUGUAAAGAGAGUAAACAAGAGGGAUUAAACAGAACAUACGUUUUCUUCACUUAUUAUUAGCAACAAACACCCUACACAACACACAUUUAAUGCUCACAACUCAAAUAAAAAGCCCAGAAACUAGAAUCAAACUUUACAGAAACUAGAAUCAAACAAUACACAUUUCAUUUCUUCAAGGUUAGGGAGAGACUCAGGGGAGUGAUUAAUUAACAAAAAUAAGAAUAAUAAUACCAACAUUUGUACAGGUCAAAUAAGAAUAAUAAUACUCAACCUAAUACCCAGUAUAUACAAACAAAUGCCCAGGCCAUCGUUCCUAUUUUGCCAUAACCUAAAGAGGAAAAAGCGAAGCACUACCUCAGGCUGUGAACUUUGCCGCUUCGUGAGUUUAAUUUCCCGAACAAGUUUCGGCUACCAGCGUUACCAGUGUUGACGGUGACCGUGGCUGUCAGCGUUGACGGUGACCGUUGGUGGAUCCCGAAUGCCUGGACCUUGGUCGAGGAAGGAAAGUAACGAAUUUUUUGAACAAACGAAGAAACGAAGCACCGAAGAGAUUUACGGUCAAACGGAACAAGACCAACUUGCUCUUCUAUCUAUGGCUUUCCCAGUUGAAACGAAGAAACGAAGAGGAAGAGGUUUAAUUCUUCUCAAAAUCGUCCAUCAGAAACGGCAACGUUUUGGAGUAUAAAAAAAGAAAAAAAAAUCAAAACGACGCCGUUUAAGUUAUUUUUCGAGUUUGACCCAGGACAAACAUCAUUUUCCUUUGUAAAAUAAUAAGUUCUCAUUAGUGGUUUUUAAUUUUUAAUUUUUUUUUCGGCACACCUGAUCAAGAAUUCUAUUUUGUUAACUAAUAAAUUGCAAAGCAUAAGUGUUGAACGGUACAAAAAAAUUUGAAAAAAAACACUUAAAACGUAGGGAAAUGAGAAAUAUAGAAAGAAAGGAAGAAAGUUAAGACAUGAAACUGAUCUGCCGUGAAAUUGAUAAUCAUGUUUCUAUUUCGUUAACUAAUCAAACGGAAAACUGGAACUGUAAACAAACAUUAACACGUGUGGACUCUGCUAGCUGCCCUACAAGUCUACAAUAAUAAUUGAGUACCUUUGAUUCAUCCUUCUACGAAUUUCUAGCUGUAUUGACCCCAACUGCUAAAGUUUUGUAAAAUUAAAAAAAUAAAAAAUAAAAACUGGAAUUUCAACAAAAUUCAAAACGUGAGAAAUUUAAUUUUUGGCCAUGUGGAACAAAAUGUAAAUUACGGAAAAAGUAUAAAUCUCAAUUGCUUAGUAUGGUUAGGUUUUGUGAGCAUCACUAGAAAGUGAAAACUAUGAAUGAUAGGGGUGAUGUUUGCAACAUGAAUAAACGAUGAACUGAAUCAAUUGAUGAUCGUAAUUAUAUAAUGAACAAAAUUUACAAAAUCAACAAAAGUUAAUAAAAAUUUAUUUUAAUAAUAAAAAAUAAUAAAACUUAUUAUUUAACGGCGCUCUAACCAUGGAGUGCCAUAAUCAUAUUCUUCUUUUAAGAAAAUUAUAACUUAUUUCAAAUAGCACCAUAACAUAAUUCUAGAUAUUUAAAAGAAAAGCAUUAUCCACCUGAAAUGACUUGAAGUCUAAAGAAAAAGAGAGAGUGGCUCCCCACAAUUUUCUUGUUUUCAGUAUAUUUUCUUUUUUUUUUCUUUUUAAAAUCUUUUGACGCAUACAUAAUCUACCCUUGUUCAUUAUCUCUAUUUUGCUCUGUUCAAGUCCCUUUUUUUCAAAUCUUAGUUUAAAUAAGAAAAUUGAAUAAAAGUACAUUUGUGUAAUUAAUUAGUAUCUGUUUUUUUUGGGGGGGGGGGGGGGGGGGGGGGGGGGGGAGGGGGAGGAUAUUUGGUGUAAUGUUUUGCUAUGUAAGACUCAGCUAUUAUUAAACAGUUCCUUAACCUGUUUCGCAGUUUAUUUGCUAUCUUUGUGGAUCUCAUAGGCGUUGCAGAAUUUAAUAAUUUUAUUCGUCAGAAGAAUAGGAUACUGACUUCAAUAAAUUUAAUUUAAACCAACUUUUAUUUACUCCAUCAAUUAAUUAAUGCCAUUUUGUUUUGAAAAAUUCAAUAAUUAAAUUCUCACGUUUUAUGUGUUUGAAGUUAAAUUAUUCAUUAACUAGAACUCUGUUCAAAAUUGACUGUCUUGUGGUUCCCAAAUGUAGUUGUAAUAUUGAAUGAAAGUAAAAACUUUCUAUGGCGAGUUUAAAUCUAAAUCUGAACAAUGAAUUUUGACUUUCUCAAUGCUAUUCUAAUUACAAAAAUUAUAUUGAUUGAUUUAUUGUUACAGUUACUACCCUUUGAAAAUGUAUGGAUUUAUUGUUUCCGUGACCAAAUUAUGCCUGCCUAACGCUGCAACUAUUAAAAAAACUAAUAUUUAAUGCAUGUGUUAAAAGAUUUAAAAUUUUAUGCAUUUAUUAAUUGUUAUAAUCUAAAAAAAUUAAUUAGUUCAGGACAAUCUGAGUUGGUGCAUCUGCAGAGCCUUUUUUUUUUCCCCCCUUAUUGACCAUAAUGAUCUAAGGGGUAUAAUACGACCUUGGUUCUUGGUAAAAAUUAAUUAGUUCAGGUCAAUCUUUUAUGCUCUGUUUUCUAGAAACAGAGUCCUAACUAAAUUGAUUGACUGUACAGUGCAUUUCAACAUAGCAUAUUUAACCGUUUUAACAGUUAUUUGAACCGUCUUCAGAGUUAACAUCAACAAACUCAUUCAUAUUGGUCCAAUCUUACGGCCGAUAUCAUAUUAUCAUAUGCUUAAUAAUGAACAAAUAGUCUUGGAUCAGUGUUUUGCAGCAAGAGCAACUCGACACAAUCUGGAUUCAACCUCCUCCUAUCUAACAGGGGAUUUCGAUUUGAGUUACUUUGUGCUCAAGCAAAUUCACAUCAUAGUUUUGAUUCUUUAGGUAUGAAUUCAUCACAUUACAUAUAUCAGAUUAAGUGUAACAAAAUUUUUAAUUUAUUGCGAAAAGAAUACGCGCUAAAAAAUUAUUUGACGACUAUUUGAUUACCAAAAGCUGCUGUUAGAGUGCACUAAAAAUCGCCAUUGGCAUAAAUAUUUUUUGAAAAUACUGCCAUUAGAUAUUUUUAUUAUUCAUACUUCAUUGCACAAGGCAGCACCUAGCUUCUAUUUCCAGCCCUAAUAAUGAUCCGCUGCUGGAAAAGAAUUUGUGCAGCAUGUACGCUCCUUGACCACAACAGCAAAGUUUAUUGAUGUUAUUUCAUAUUCUGCUGUGACUCAAAUAAAAAUUUACCAUGCCCUUUCGGCAUGGCUUGCCUUUCAGCAAAAAAAGAAAAAAAAAAAUCUUUCAAAUUGUGGAAGCAUGCUUACAUUAAUCAGCUCAGUAUGUUGUGUUUCAUGGGAUGCAAAAUUCUUUUUGUUUCUCAUGGAAGAAUUGACUUGUCUGGAUGUAUUAAUCUCAUAGAUUUUCCACAGAUUCGUGGGAAUAUAACAAAGCUAGACUUAAGUGAGACCCCAAUAGAAGAAGUUCCGUCAUCAAUAGAGUGCCUAGCUGAUCUUAAAACGUUGCGUUUGAGUAAUUGCAUGAGGCUGAAGAGGCUUUCCAUCAAGCAUUUGUAAAUUGAAAUCUCUUCUUGAGCUUUAUCUCUAUAACUGCUCAAACCUUGAAAGUUUUCAAGAAAUCAUGGAGAAAAUGGAACGUUUAAAGAUAUAAAUUUAAAAAGGACGGCCAAUUACAGAGCUGCAAUCUUGAUAGCCUUCGGGAUAACAUUAGAAAUUUAAAAUCUUUGAGGUACAUCUCUACUAAUGGAUCGGCCAUUAGUCCUCUGUCGCAGGUUCGAUUGUACUUAAAUAUCUAUCAUUUUCUCAAUGCAGAGGUUUGGUAUCAUUGCCUCCAAUAUUAUUUUCAGGUUUAGUUUAUCGAAUUUGUUACAGCUAAAUUUAAGGGACUCUGCUAUAAUGGAAAUUCCCCAAAAUAUUGUUUGUCAAUCCUCAUUGAAAAUUUUAAAUCUAAAGGCUUGUUUGUUAACUACUUGAAGUAUGUAAUUAAUGCUUUUUUUUGUGUAAUUUAUGUUUGAUUUUGAGAUAUUUACAUUUGAAUAAAAAAAAAAAACUUUUGUUACAUUUAUCUAAAUAAGAAAAAGGCUGAAUGAGAAGUAAAUAAUCUCCUUUUUUGUUUUAACUUAGAAAAACAUAAACGUUAACUAACUAUGUUUAAAAAAAAUUUUAUUUAUGAAAAGAAACCAAAUACUACUUAUAUUCAUAUAUCAAAAAAUGAAAAACAAACAUAUUAUUCAUACGUGCACGCACAAACUCAUUCAGACCUCAGCUACAUACAAAUCCAUUUAGAUUUCAAACAAAAAAAUAAAUACUUCCUAAGUGGGAAUAACUUUGAGAGUUGACUUGCAAAUGUCAAGCAACUUGCAGGGCUAGAAUAUCUUGACUUGAACGGUUGCAAUGAUUUCUCAUCAUUGAGAGUUUAUCAUUGUGCUUCAUCAUCAUCAUCAUCAUCAUUAUUAAUAAAAAGGUAAGCAAUUAAGAGUCAAAUUAAACCACUUGAAAAUCACUCAUCCACACUUUUGGGACAUCAUCUGCUCAUUAUUUUUAUUCCGUAUCUUCAUUGUUUUAUUUGGUAAUUAUUACCAUUAGUAAAUAAAGGGAUUAGUUGAUUAUUGUGAAGUAACUAAAUGGAGCUCACCCUUAAAUGUCGGCUUAUAUCAAGGAGGCGCCUUAGGGUUAAUAAAUCAACUAAUCCCAUAAUUUGUUGAUGUAGGGUCCUAACAAAUUAUUGCCGUAGAUCAGCACACAGCUCGAAAACAUAUUUGAUCCACACAGUGAAGAUGAUUCAAUAUUAAGCAUGUCAUAUAAUCUGGAGUUGGAUAUUGGACCAAUUUGAUGAUAAUGAGUUUCUUUCAAUCUCAAUCUUUAUCUUAUUCGCAACAUGACUAGCCAUUGCGUAAAUUCAAACUCUGAAAAUGAUAAGUUUGUGAUAAAGGAAUCUAUGAGUACAAUGGGAAAAUUACAUGAACUUAUGUUAUCAAUCAUUGUUUUUCCUUCUCGUGAUAGAAUUCAGUGCAACAUAAAACAUGAUAUAUUUGUACCUUACCAUGCCAUGUUGUGAACCUAGAAGCAAUGCAAAUUGCAAGGAACAUUAAGCUAUCCACUGUAUAUAACAAAUUCUUAUUAGCCCACAAUCUUGUGCCGCCACAUUGAUCAAGUAACACUAUUAUAUCAUUUCCAAAAUGGCAUAUAUAAUCUAAUGUUGAACAAACCAAAUUGGGAAUCAUCAUUCCUUACAUUAAGUUGACAUUCGUACCUGCUAGUCCAUGAGCAAAGUUGCAUAUAUUUCUACACAGGCCGCUCCCCUUAUCUCUCGGUUCCGACAGAGCUUUGUUUUCCCAUCACCAGCUUUGGAUUCAUUCGAUCACUGGUGCUCCGAGUUAGAACGGUCUACAAAGCUGCAUUUCGUUAGGCAAUCUAGUCUCUCCAUUCCUAGCAAAGUGACAUUGAUUCCCGUAUUUGUAAUUGCCUAAUUGGGGUUUUGGCAAUAGCCUGGCUUAAAAUUACCACCCAUUACUUUGUUCAAUGCCACUGGCAUCCUCUGAUUAGGAACAUUUUCACAAUUUUUGGUCCUGUUAGUCGAAUCACAUUCAACGGGAUAGUGAGGCAGUAUUUCACUAAAAGAUUCAAUUUGACUACUCAUAUUGAUGCACAUAUAAGAAUUUGAAAUCACUUUCUCUUGGAAUAUUUAAUGACCCUUGAUGAAAGUUCUUGAAUGGAAUUAUUUAAUUUGAUUUGAUUUCCAACAAAUUCAAGAAACCCCACAUAGUAGCUAAACAAAAAUCAACCAAUAAUACGCAAUGGGUUUCUUUCUUUUUGCCUUUGGAGGGCCAUGGAGAUCUGGAGUGGGCUGUAAGUAAUAGCCUUUAUCACUGGAAUGACAGAUUUGCAGAAGAUGAUACAUGGGGAAGGAUUGGGCGAGCAUAAAAAUGGGUUUACACUCUUGGAUUAGCGCCUCAUUUAGGUUGUAGGCUUGUAGCGAGAUAAAGAUAUUAAUUAAAGUUUUAUAAUCCCUGUUAUGAUUAAGGCUUCACUUAGUAUAGCAUAGAGCUUUUUGAGUUUUACCAGAAAAUUUUUUUAAAAUUAUUAUUUAUCGGAAAAAGGAGACUUACACUCCAUGGUCUAAGGAAAUAGUCACAAAGAUACUAAGUUUUCAAUAAAAGACACCAAUUUUUUUUUUUUUUUCAUAAUGCCCUUUGACUCCAUAAAUUUCUAAAAAAAUAACUCCAAAAUUUUAUAAUAAAUGAAAAUAUGGCAUUAAAAUAAAUGCAGUAAUAUAUACAUUUCAAAAUAAUUUUAAUAUUUAGAAAUAUUUUAAUAUUUUUCAAUCUAUUAAACCUAUUUUUAAGCUGUUGACCUAUUAAAGUAAUUCUUAAUAAUGAUAGAAACAUAAUAUUAAAAUAAAUUAAUUAAAAUUAAAAUUAAAAUUAAAAGUAUUUUGAAAUUAUAUAAAACUAAUUUUAAUAUUAUUAAUAGGUAGAUUUUUAAUUGUAAAAUCUAUUUAACAAAAGAUUUAUUCAAAAUCUUUAUGAUAUUACAAAUAUAUUGUUAAAAUAAAUAUAAUAAUUUAAAAUUUUAAUAUUAUUUUAAAUGUAAAAAAUAAUUUAAUAUUAUUAGUCUACUAGAUAGAUUAUGUUAUUUAUAUUAAAUUUGUUUUAAUUAAAAGUCUUUAAAGUUAAUUUUUUAAUUACUAUAGUGAAAGGGUAUUAUGGGCAAAAAAGUGUCUUGGUAUCCUUCUUUUAAAACUUGAGAGUUUUUGUGACUAUUUUCCUAAAUCUUAAAGGUAUAAGUGUCAUUAUCCCUUAUUUAUUUGGUUGUUUUGCUCUCGAGAGUUUUUAAAGCUCCAAAAUCUUUAAUCAGUACUUUUUUUUUUUAAGUAAAACUUUUAACAAAAAAUUAUUAUUCAUUUGAUUGUUUACGAGAGUUUUUAUUAGAAGUUAUAUAAAGUUCUUUAAUUUUUUUAUUGGUGCAGCUUUUUACAUGUAUAAUUUUUAUUUUUUAACAAAAAUUAAUUAAAUAAUAUUAGAAAUCCUAAUAUUUGAGUCCCAAUAUCAUAUAUCACUCAUUUUUUAGAUGACAGAUUUCAUAACUUAUAAAAUUAUUUAACUAACAUCCAAUUAGUGAAUGUUACUAUAGUGAAGACUCAAAUUGAAAUUUAAAUGUUGGGUUGCGUGACAUUUCUCUUAUUUGGUUGUUUAUGAGAGCUUUCUUGUACAAAAUAAUUUUUAUACAAAUUGAUAUAGUCUAAAUUCAUUAAUUAGAUUAAAAUACAAAAUAAUAAAAAUAAAUAAGUUUGUAUAAGAAUAAUUCAUUCUUUAAUCCAUCUAAUUGAAUUAUCCUAUGUCUAUUUAUACUAAAUAAGUUUAUAUAAAAAUUUAUAGUUUUGUUUUUAGAUGUGCAACUAAAUUUUUAGUCUCUUAUUCCUCGUAAAAUUCAAAUCUGAGUGGCUCAUCAAAUAAAAUUAUUUGAAACCAUACGGUAUGGUAGCUGGAACCCUUGAAACCAUCGAGGUCAUGAAAUUUACCAGCCAAAAGAGUUUUAAAUGUCUAUUUUAUAAACUUUUAAAAAAAUUUUUAUUUACCAUUUUACCAUCCGUAGUAAAGGUGUCGCAUCGACAUUGAACAGAUCAACAUAUCAGUCAUUUCUCAUUCAGCCAUUAGGAAUUUACGUUUGGGGUAUUUUUGUAAUUAUAAGAAGGUAAACUAAUCGCAAAACUCGUUUGGCUUGCACUUGCUCGCCUGUGCUCUGUGACUCUGUGUAUGGUUAUGGCGUUAUCAUUAUCAUCUUCUCCACUCCUACUGACGCCAGACCUUAACAGUUCAGAUUCCCUUUCUCGACUGUCAUACCCUACGCCCCGUCUCCGUGUCUCCGAUAAACAGUGCUCAAUUAAGGCCAUCAGAUUAUCCCGGACCCACAUUGAUCCAACGGCUCACAAUGACCGACAUCCUCUCUAUCUCCAUUUCAAGCUCCCUCUUCAACUGGCUUCUGCUUCUGUCGUACUCUUUCUUGGAUUCGGAGUCCGUAUUUGCUCAGCCGGUCCCGCACAGCUCCCUCUCACUCCAAUUGUCACCCAACAAGACCAAUUGCUUAAUCAAGGCACAGACCAAGAAGAGGAUGAGAAGUUGAAACAAGAAUUUGAGAAUUGGAAAUCGAAAACGUACGCAUUAACCGUGCCUUAAAGGGUUGCUUCUCUUCAGAAUUCAGUGCCUCAAUCUUGGGUUAAGGAUUUUAUGCGAAGUCAAGGAAAGAGAUUGAAGUUUCAGAUGAAUUUGUGUGCUAGCAUUGAUGGGAUCGUUAACAAUUUAUCUGUGCCCUUUAACAAAGUUAAGGCUAAGUCAGCUUCUUAUAUGGCUGCUGAUUUGGUUAGUAUUGGUGAUUCAUGGCUCAGCUUUGCGAUUAAAAAGAGAUUGAUUGAGCCAAUAGCUGGAGCUGAAGACCAAGAUUGGUUCAAAUGCUUAAGUCACAAAUGGAAGGUAACAUCUUUAUCUUUGACCCGAUAAUUUUUAUUGUCUUACAUUGAAAUUUGGUAAUGUAAUUUGUUCUCUAUCUGUAUUACCCUUUUUAGUCGUUUUAUUUAUUUGUUUGUUUGUUUAUUUGCUUUUAUUUGCACUAACGAAGUCUCGGGUAUAUCUACCCAGGAAUGAUGCAGGAGAAAUUGAUCCUCGAGGUGAAAUAUGGGCGGCACCAUACAGGUGGGGCACAAUGGUGAUAGCCUACAAGAAAAGUAAAUUUCGAAAGCAUAAUUUGGCUCCGAUUGAGGUAAUAACUGUCUUUAAACUCAUUUAGUUUUAUAUCAAACAAAAUCAAGGCUGCCUUUCUCUUCAAUAUUUUUUAUGAUAAUAUCUUUAGAAGCAUCUCAUUGACGGGUAAUAAUGGUGUCCCUGAAAGAGUCUAUAAACUCAAUGAUAUUAUCUUCUACAAAUGGAUCAUUAAACUUCUUUUUUGUAGUCAAAUGUACACUAAGAACAAUGAGAAGCUAUGCCACUGUAGCACGUAGUGAUGGCACUUAAUAAGUGAGUUGCUAGGAUGUGAACAAGAAAAAUUAAAUAUUGUCUCCUUGGGUAUGCUAGCUCGUAAGUCAGGGUUAAUAUUAGAGCUUAAGAUACUAUAACCAUGCGAAACUAUUGACUGCCAAUUAAAAUAUCCAUUAAAAUGUCUAGGGAGUUAUGAAGGUAGAGUUAUCUUCCAAUUUCUAAGGCCACAUAGUAGACAUCAUCCAGGAUCCUAGGAAAGUGCGGUUGAUCUCCUGCUUGAUGCAGUUAAUAAAUUUGGUCAAUGCGACUGAAACCUGCUAACUGACGUCGCAAUGCGACAUGAGCACUUCAAAAUGGGAUAGACAGUAGCACUAAAUUUUUCUUGCCUAAGAUUGAGCAAUUGGUCUAAAUACUAACCCCUAUUGUAAGUUGAUCAUUAUUUUUUCAAUUAUGUUCAUUUUGACCCAAAAGUUACACAAUCUUGAUCUGAAUAUUGUCACUGAACACUGUCAAUGUCGUUUAGCAUUGGCAACUAACUCGAGUUUAGUAAAACAAACAUACACACUGUCUCAUGUCUCACAAUUCAAAUUAUCAUCUGUACUGAUGGAGAAUUUUUCUGAUGUAUGAAGUAUGCUUUGAUAUGUAGGUUAAGCUUGGAGAAGAUAUCUCAAAAUAAAGAAUAUGGGGAGUGAAUGGGAAGAAUCUGUAGUCAAGUUUUGUCUCAAAAAUGGUCAAAAUUUAAAUGAAUGGACGGGGGAUCUUCAUUCUUUUUUCACUUCUUUAUACCGAGAUAUCUCUCAACCUUUAUAUAAUUCCCACUGGAUAUCUGCUUCUAAUAAUUAAAAUAAAAAUUUCAACCACACCAAUAAAUAAUCAUCUUAGAGUGAGACUAUCAGUACAACCCAAAAACAUAAUAAAACUGGUUUGGUUCUUUUUGUUGAUGUCUAAAUGUUGUUCAUUGUGACAUGUAGAAAUGAUGAGGUGAAGUUUCUUUGGUCAUCAAAUAGUAAGAUCUUGUUUGAAGUUAUUUUCUGAAAUGAACAGUCAAAUGGUAGUUUUUUUGGGCCAUUCGAUGGCUCUUUUCUUCCUCAUUUUAAACUUGUGCCUGCUUGGAACGGGAUGGAUUAGGCUGCAGAGUUAUAUAUUUUGACAUGCUCUGGUCAUUACACAAUUUGUUCAUACUGGAAAUUAGGAUGAGAAAUUUGUUGCUGCUGUUUUGAGAGAUCUGCAUUCUAUGCACAAACAUGAUUAAUGAAAAUGGAUUGUAGGACUGGAAAGAUCUGUGGCAGCCUGAGCUCGCAGGAAGGAUUUCAAUGGUUAAUUCUCCCCGAGAGGUUAUUGGUUCAGUUUUGAAGUAUAUGGGAGCAUCAUACAAUUCAGACGAUAUUGAUUCACAAGUUGCUGGUGGGAAGAUUGCUGUUCAGCAGAAUCUGGCAUUACUGGUAAACCAGGUACUCUUAAAGAAAUGAUAUCUGGUCAUUGCAUGUUAUUGCCUGACAACUGAUUUUGUUUGUAAAAGUCGGCUUCUUCAUACAUAUGAAUGCAUAUGUUAGUGUUUUCUUCUCCUUUUCAUACAUAUGAAUGCAUAUGUUAGUGUUGUCUUUUCCUUUUCAUACAUAUUAAUACAUAUGUAGAUUUCUUCAUCAUUGUAGCCUCCAUAGUUGAAGUUUCCUCAUUUGAAGCUGUUUAUGCAUAUGCUUUUUCCCUUCUCAAGUACAGGAAAUUGAAGAAUUAACCAGAUGUGAUAUGCUGAAAGAGUGAAGUUUUCUCCCUUGAAUGUGGCCUUGUGAUUUGUCUUGAAGGAAUAGGAUGAUCACUGGCAAGAACCCUAUCAAGGUAGAUUUUAUGGUGUUAACAUAUUUUUAAGCAUUUUGUUACAUCAGCAAUGAUGCUUUCAUAGCAUGAAAGUGUUUAAUUUAACUGACUGAUCUUGAUUAAUCAAUUAUGAGUUUUAAUCGAGUAAAAACUAAAUACAAUCAUCGUCAAAAAAUACUGAAAUUGGAUUUGGAAACACAAUCCACACAGGAAAUCACCCUUCGCGUGGGGAUGGAGAUGUUUACUGCAACGAUAUCGAAUAUGUGCACGGUGUUGUCCACUGAAACAAUGGAAAAAAUUAACAUAGGGGUAUUUAAAUAAUUAAACUCAGACCUCUUUGUAUAUGUUAUCCUAACUUUACUUACCCUUGUUUGUAAUUUUCACUUAACAGUUGAUGCCUAAACCAUUAAAACCAAAUGACCAUAGGGGUAUUUAAAGUAUGUAAAAAUAAACAAAAACACGUAAAAAAUUUCAAACAAUUAAUAAUUACACUCUAAAUGUACCACUUAACUCUUAAUAAUAGCCAUACUCUAAAACAAUCUACAACCUUUGAGGGGAGUAGCUAUGAGGAAAAUCCUUUUCUCAGUGGAUUGCCAUUGUCCGAGAGUUACAAUGAAAAGAGACCACCAGCAACUGAGUCGGAAGAUUCAACUAGCACUGAAAAAGAUGAUAAUUUAAUUGAUAUGGACAGUUUCCAUAUCAUUUUUAAAUCAUCCUAUGUAAUUGUGAUGUUAGGAAGCAUUAGUGAUCUGUAUGUGAACUAUUAUUGGCGCCAUUGGUGGUUUUAUCUUGUUAAAAUAUGGAUGACUUCCAGUUACUAUUUUGUAGUACACAAUUUUAUUCAAUUAACAUAUAGCUUAAAACCAUUAUGUAUGUGCUUUAUUAAGAUUCUCAAGUACCAAUCACGUUUGCUUAAGAAAUAAAAUUUUGCCAUUAAAAGCGUAGUAAUAUUUCCAAGCGCUUCGCAUUUAUCUCAACAUUUUGAAGGAAUUUUGAGAAAUACACGGGUCCAAAAGUCUAGUCAUCAUCCUUAUUUUUCUAUCGUUCUUUUGGGUUUGCAGUUGGUGGUGCUUUCAAUGUUUCCCUGAAACAUAGCAAAAGAACGUACAUAUUCUUGGUAUGAGUUGAUUUUUAGUGAUUAUCUAAUUGACUGGGGUGACAACAAUAGCACAACGUAGAAUUCAAUAAUAAAAUUCUCUUGUUUAAUUUGUUUUAAGUUAAAUUAUUAAUUACUUAAAAUUCUGUUUUAAGUCUUUAAUUUUAUGUCUUGGCGUAUAUGCAGAGUUGGAUUCUUGAGUGAGUUGGACAUGACCUACAAUGAGAGUGGCAGUAAACAAACAUUAAAACGUGUGGACUCCGGUGGCUGCCCUGCAAGUCCACAACUCUACAAGAAUAAUUUCUAGCCCCGUUGACUCCACUAACUAAAGUUUUUUAAAAUUUAAAAAGGUACAUAGAAUUCCACAACAAGCAAAACGUGUGGAAUUUAAUUUUUUGCCCGUGUGGAACAAAAUACAAUUUAGCAAAAAAGGACAAGAAAAAUGGUAAGAUUUCUAAAAUGAGUGGAAGGUGAUCCAUAUUUUACUGAAACGACUUGUCCCGAACAUCACGACGAUUGAUUUUUUUUAUUUUAUUUUUGAAUAACAUCAACUUUCAUAUUUUUCUAACCCCCAGAAUAUGCUCACGUUCAAGUCUAUCUUGCUAAUUUAAAAAAAGAAAAUCAAAUCAACACCAAAACAAUGAAAAGUAAAGCUUUUGAAUUUCAACUCCAGCUAGCAAACGUAUUCAGCGUUUUCAAAUUCUUCCCAUUGCAUAUCUUCUUCCUCCAUCAAUGCAAUAUUUGAACGAUUAUGAAAGAAUUUAAGAACAUAAAAAAUCUCCAAGGUUUAUACGGUAUAACAAAUUUAAAUUCUCAAUUACAAUAGAUAAUAAUUAAACUAAUAAUUUUUUAUGUAUUUAUUUUAGUAAUUUCACCUAAGAAUAAUAUUGUAAUUAGAAAAAAAAAAUCUAAUAAGUAGGGUGGUCUUAUACAAAAUCAACUGCAUACAUUUACGCAGAUGCAGAUAAUAAUUUUUAAUUCCUUUUUUUAAUAAGAAAAUUGUGUAUUGAGAUGAAUAAGAUGUUUAAUUUAAUUAAUUUCCUUACUUUCGUAUGCAUUGUCUUUCUAUCUAGAGAAAGCUUGGUGUUCAGAACGACAUGAAGUUGCGAGUUGUCGCCCAUGGCUGCUGAUUAAUAAUAAAACGAGACAAAUUAAUUGAACUCAGGCCCAUAUGUAUAUGUUAUCCUAACUUUACUUGCUCUUGUUUGUUAAUAUUCAUUCUUAGAGAGGUGAAAAAAAUUUCAAGUCUUGAAUAACGAGGAGUUAGUUGCCUCUAACUUUACUUGGCCUUCUAUAAUCUCAUUAAUAAUACAGAGAAUUAAUUAUCUUUUUAUUAUUAAACCAUCUUCAGGAAGAUUUUCCUCAAUUUGCUCCAGAAGAGUUGGAGCUGUGGUUCUGAUAAACCAAAGAAUUAGUAGCAAUAUUAAUAUUGCCCACCCAAGAAAUAUGAGUGAAUUAAAGUAUUGACAAGACUUCGCUCAGAGGAGCAUUUAAACCACUUCCUUAUCAAUUGCGGCAGCCGUCUAUUAACUAAAACGCCAAUCUAAUACAAGAAGAAAGAACAUUUACAGACUUCGCUCAGAGGUCUAUUAACUGCGGCAGCCGUCUAUUAACUAAAACGCCAAUCUAAUACAAGAAGAAAUAACAUUUCCUUUUGUUAAUAAUUUUAGUCUAAUUUCAAUUGUACUGUGACCGCUUCUCAAGGUAAGUGAAAGUUACAGAUGUGGCAAAAUAAAUAAUUAAAUUAACAAAAUGCUAACUAAUUUUCCUAAAUACCUAGGGUUGUACAAUUUCACCAACCUGGAAGAAUUGACAUUAAUGGACUGGUCUCCUCCCCAUAUAAUUAUAAUCCUUCUAGAAAGCUAAUUUUUAUUAAAUAUUUGCUUUUAAGUUCAUUUCAAUUAAAAAAUGUUUUAAGUUAUUGAGAUUCUGAAUUCCUUUCUUCCAAUAAUAAUGAAAACGUAUUAAAUUAGAAAUGAAAAAAUUGGUGUUGAUGAUUCAACCUAUUUGGAUAGAUUACGUGAAUAAAAUUGAAAUUUUGAUUUAAUUUUUGUUUAUUGUUAAUUUUCAGGCUUAGUUUCAAGAAUUUAGAAUAUUACUUUGUUCAUGGAUUCAACUCGUGAGUGUCAUAUUCUAGACUUAAUGGUACCAUUUUUGAUUGAGGACAAUGACUCUCACUCAUCUUGUAAAAAAAUAUUUUCAACUAUUUUAAUGACUUAAAAAUUGAUAGAUUUAUUGUUGUCAUGAACAAAUUAUUCAUUUUAAUGAAAUAUAAUUAAUGCAUCAAAGUUAUCAGGUUUAUGUUCUAUCUUAACGCACUUUUUUUUUUUUUUGGGUUAUCAGCUAUGCCCCUGAGGCAUUUUGUAGAGUAUAGCUUCUGCCUACCUUUGUUUCAUUUUUUUUAAUAAAAAAACAAGGGAAGGUUUUUCCGAGUCAUCCAUUAUUUGAUUACCGUCAAUCAAGAAAACGACCAAAUUAAUUUCUCUCCAAAAUUUCCAAAAGCUAGAAAAUUUUGUUAUUUGAAAAUAACAUCAUUAAUUAUAGAGUGGAUCAAACCGCGUUAUUGUCUUUCAUAAAAUUGAUGUCUUUUUAAGAGUCAAUACUUUUUAUUUACGCAAACCAGUCGACAUCAACUUAAACUUCCAUAUUUUUAUUAUUAUUAUGUUAUUUAUUUUAAUCCCCGAUUAUUUGAUUAGCCACUAUAUAUAUCAAGAAAGCGACAAAAUUUAUUUCUCAUGACUUCCAAAAACUAGAAAAACGACAUCAUUUAUUAUUUUUUUGCAACCCUAAUUGACAUCAACUUUAACUUUAUUAUGUCAUUAUUUCAAUCCCCCAUUAUGACCUUUCUAAUCCUCCAUUAUGCAUCUUUUAUAGUGCAAAUUUAAUUGCACAUAUAAAUAAAUUGAUUAUUGUUACUCCACCACCAAUAUUUCAAAUAGUCACUAGACCAUUUCUGCCUUUAAUUUUCCCUUAAGUUUAACUAUUGACUGCUUUUAGCAUCUUAAAAUAUACAUUUAUUCCUCGAUUAUGUGAUAAAAUUAUGAAAAUAUCCAUUUUAGCUUAAAUUAAUUGGAAUAACCAUAAACAUAACUUAAAUUAAUAGAACAAAAUUAUCAAGUGUAUGUUCUAUCUUACUUUUUGAAGAAUUUAACAUAUAUAAUGCUAUACUAUUAAUAAAUUUAUCAUUUAAUAUAUAUGUUCAAAUAUUUUAUAUAUUUAUUAAUUGUUAUAUACUCAAAGGAUGAAUGAUUUUUCAGGUCUACAUGAGUUGGUGCAUCUGCAAGACUCAAUUUUGACAACAAUGAUCUAAGGGGUAAUUUACCUUGGUGUUUGACAAAUUUAACCUCUCUUCAAGAUUUACUUCCAAUCUACUUACUGUAAAUAUCUCCUCAUCUCCUCUCAUUUAUAUGAUAACCCUUGAAGAUCUCACAUUUUCAAACAAUCAUAUUAGGGUUUUUAUUAUUAGCAUCAUUGUGUCAAUAAUAUAUGUUGCAGUAAGAUUUUUUCAGACCAGUUCCCUUCUUCAAAUAAUAAUGGAAAAGUAUCAAUUUAAAAAUAAAAUGAAUAUGCAUUGAUUAAUUAUAUCCUGAUUUUGAUCGAUUAUAGCGAGAGUUUCUCCAAAUCAACGCCCUGAUUCAAAUAAUACAGAAAAAAUAGUAAUUUAAUAGUAAAAUUAACAAGUGUUGAUUAUAUAUCCUAAGUUUCAUCGAUUAUGUGAUCAAAGUGGCAUUGUUGAUUUAUUUCUUGUUCAAUGUUAAUUUUUAGGUUAUCUAAAUUUCAAGGAUUUAAAAUCUUUGUUCAUGGAUUACACGCUUAUUAAUUUUUCUGCCAUUGACUGUCAUAUUCUAGACUUAAUGGUACCUUCCUUGAUCAAGGACAAUUACUCUCUGUUCUCCUCUUAUAAAUUCCUCUUCCAUUAACAUCACUAGGAGUAUGUUGAUCUCUCAGACGUUAACUUCAGUGGAGAGUUUUCAAAUUGAUUGUUAUAAAACAACACAAAAACUAGACACACUUGAUCUGUCUAAUAAUUCUCUUUCGGUAAAAUUGAUUAAUUUUAGGGGAAUAUUCUACCAACCUAUAUAAUUUUAGAUUGAUCAUUAAUUAAUUAGACGAAAAAAGUACUUGUGCUUUUGUGGCGACAAUUGAACCGGAGAAGUGAAGCUGUAAAGAUUUGGCAGUAGUAAAUUGUUAGAAAGACGUAAAGACAAGUUCCCAUUAUUAUAAUUUUUUCAAAAAACUUUUUUACAACACAUGCACCUGGCCAAAAAUUUUAUUUUGCUAACUAACAAUAAUUGAGUAGCUGACCGUAUUGACUCCACCUACUUGCUAAAGUAAAAAAAUAGAAAUAGAAUUUCCACAAAAUGGCAAACAUGUAAAAUCUAAUAUUUGGCCGUGUGGAACAAAAUACAAAUUAAAAAAAAAUAGAAAAAAGGCCUAAAGACUUUUAAAAUGUGUGGAAGUCUUUCGGCCCUUUUAUAAUGGUGUGUUUUUCAAAGGAACAAAUAAUAAUAAUGACACUUCUAUGGUUUGUUUUGAUAAUCACACAUAUACUCUUUAAUUUGAUAAAUGGUUACACAAAUUUUGUUUACAAAAAUAUAUUAUUCAUGUUCUGUAUUAUUUUUUAACAUCAUAUUUUUAUUUAUUAUAAUUGUUUAAAGUUAAUUGUUAGGUUGAUAUAUAAUAAAAACGUAUAAUCGUUCUCUUACUAAACACACAUACUCGUAGUUUAUGUUCAUUUGUCAUCUCAAUCUCUCUCAUUUAUCCUUUAUUGAUAGCUCAAAACGCGUCACUGUGGAAAAUUAUAGCAAAACGACAAAUAUGGAAAAAAUGGGAAGAAAAUUAAUGCAUGAAAGAGUUGCAGAAGACAACCAAAUAAGUCAACUAUACGCUAGUUGGGUGUAUAAAUUGUUAGAUGUGUUAUAAACAAAUAGCAUAGAGCCUUGGUUGGUUACAGAGAUAGAAAAAGUGUGUGUGUUUUUUAGAACUUAAAGAUAUAGUUAGAAUGGGUGGUUCAAAAUCAAAAAUGGUGAUAAUGUUUGUUCUGUUAUUAAUAAUAUUAGAAGGUGGGUGGAGUGAAGGAUGUUUGGAUCACGAGAGAUUUGCUCUUUUGCGACUCAAACAUCUCUUCGAUGAUACUGGUAAUUAUCCUUACGAUUGGGGAGAUGGUGAGGGAGCUACUGAUUGUUGUCUGUGGGAAAAGGUUGAGUGCAGCAACACCACAGGCCGAGUGAUAGCGCUAGACCUUAUUGAUACGUAUGGGGGAGAGCACAGCUGGUAUCUGAAUGCUUCUUUGUUUACUCCCUUCCAACAACUUGAGUCACUUGAUUUACAUGGCAAAAAUAUAGCCGGUUUUGUUGAGAAUGAAGGUGCUUCGUCUAAUUCAAUUAAAUUACAUUUCGCUCUCCUAAUUUAAGUCGAAUAUCAAGACUGAGCAGCUAUAUGCAUAUUCAUUCAAUUGACAAUUUUUACAUAUUUUUUAAAAUGUUUAAUUUUGAAAUUACACCAAACAUCAUAUGUGAUCUUUGUUUUGAUUUUACUUGCAGGUCUAGAAAGAUUGAGCAACUUGAAGAUGCUGGAUUUAAGUGAAAACUUGUUCAACAAUAGCAUCUUAUCAUCUCUAGCUCGUCUUUCAUCAUUAACAUCAUUAGAUUUAUCUGAUAAUAGAUUGGAAGGAAGUAUUAAUGUUAAAGGUACGUAAUUAAAACAUCAUCUCUUCUCCCAACUCUUUCAUUAACAUGCUAAAAUAAGAUUCAAGGCUUUGAAUUCAAUUUUUUUAUGAGUAAAUAUUAGAAAAAUAGUUUUAAGCAAUUCAUAAAUACAAUUUUCAAUGUUUCUCAUAAUUACUCUAACUGUGAAGCAAAUACCCCAUGACUAAUUUAUCAUUUUGUCCAGUUAAAAAUGAUAAAAUUUAUCAUUUGUUUAUAUUGAUUUAUUAACUCUAUUUUAAGUCUUAAGUCUUGGCGUGUUGGCAUGUUUGCAGAAUUUGAUUCCUUGAGCAACUUAGAGGAGUUGGACAUGCGCGGUAAUGAAAUAGACAAUUUCGAGGUUCCUCAAGGUAAACAAUUAAAAUAUUAUUCAAUUACAUUAAUUUAAUUCGUUUGAUUAGGGAAGGCCCAAAAUGUACAAAAACAUAAUUAAAAAAAAAUAAAGAAACAGAGAAUUCAUAUUAUUUCAAAAAACAAAAGGUAAUACUAUUAUUUCAAAAAAAGAAUGUAAUAAAGAUUUGAUUCCGGUUCUUUAAUCUUUAUAGCAAUUGAAAAACAAUGUUGCUCUUUUCCUAAAGCAUAAAAUAUGAAAUGAGUCAUAAUUGAAUUAGUCAUUUAUUUUGUUUAGAUCUAAAUUUAGACAAUAAAUUUUGAUUUUUUUUUCAAUCCUAUCCUUAUUAUUAUUGUUAAACAGGUUACAGAGGUUUGAGGAAGUUGAAAAGCCUCUAUCUAUCGGAAGUUAAAAUUAGAGAUGGAAGCAAGUUGUUACAGUCAAUUGGAUCAUUCCCAUCCCUCAACACUCUUUACCUUUCGUCUAAUAAUUUUACGGAAACAGUGACAACUACUACUCAAGGUAAGUAAAAGGUAUAGAUGUGGCCAAAUUUAUAAACAAAUUGUUAAUUAAUUAAUUUUUCCGUAUUAUUAAUUAAGCUAAAUUUGUUGCUCCUUCCUUCUAAAUGUACACAGAGUUGCACAAUUUCACCAACUUGGAAUAUUUGACAUUGGACUCUUCCUCUAUCCAUAUAAGCCUUCUGCAAAGCAUUGCAUCAUUAUUCCCUUCAUUAAAAAAUCUGUCGAUGUCUAGUUAUGAAGUCAAUGGCGUCCUACGUGGUCAAGGUAAAAGAAAAGUGUUGAUUGUGAACUCGCUCAAUGGUGUCCUACGUGUUCAACAUUUUUAUUUAUUUAUUUUAUUGUUUAAUGUUUCUGCUAGGUUUUCCUCAUUUCAAGAGUUUGGAACUUUUGGAUAUGGAGUGCACGCGCAUUGCACUCAACACCAGCUUUCUUCAAAUCAUCAGUGAAUCGAUGCCUUCUCUUAAGUACUUAUCACUGUCAGAUUCUACUCUUGGCACUAACAGCAGCAAGAUUCUUGAUCGAGGUUAAUCAGAUGCUCCCACCCUCCCUUCUUAAUCUAUAAUAUUAAUUUUCAAUUAAAUAUUUAAUUACACAAACGAAUCACUUAUUAUAAAAGAAUAAUACGCAUUCAUUAAUUUCUAUAUUGAAUUAAUUGAUGAAUUUAAUAAUAUGCAUUUGUUAAUUUUUUUAUUGUACUGAUGGAUGAAUUAAUAAAUUUUCAGGCCUCUGUUCGCUGGUGCAUUUACAAGAGUUGUACAUUUAUAAUAAUGAUCUGAGAGGAAGCUUGCCUUGGUGCAUGGCAAAUAUGACAUCCCUCAGAAUAUUAUAUGUUUCUUCUAAUCAACUUACUGGAAGCAUCUCCUCAUCUCCCCUCGUUCAUUUGACAUCCAUUGAAGAGCUGCAUCUUUCAAACAAUCACUUCCAGAUCCCAAUUUCACUUGAACCACUUUUCAAUCACUCAAGACUCAAGGUUUUUUGGGCUAAGAACAAUGAAAUAAAUGCAGAAAUAACUCAGUCACCUUCUUUGACCGCCCCAAACUUCCAAUUAUCACGUCUCUCAUUGUCUUCCGGUUAUGGAGACGGUGUCAUAUUCCCCAAAUUCCUUUACCAUCAACAUGACCUGGAGUAUGUUGAUCUCUCACACAUGAAGAUGAAUGGAGAAUUUCCAACUUGGUUGUUGGAAAACAACACAAACUUAGAAUCUCUUUUUUUGGUUAAUGAUUCUCUUGCAGGACCUUUCCGGUUGCCAAUUCAUUCACACAAGCGGUUAAGACUGUUGGAUAUAUCCAACAACAACUUCCGAGGCCACAUUCCAGUAGAAAUUGGAGAUGUUUUACCCGGUUUAUUUUCUUUAAACAUUUCCAUGAAUGCUUUAGACGGUAGCAUUCCCUCUUCAUUUGGUAAUAUGAAAUUCCUCCAAUUACUGGACGUAACCAACAACCAAUUGACUGGUGAAAUCCCUGAGCACUUGGCUGUGGGUUGCGUCAACUUGGAGUAUCUUGCGUUGUCAAACAACAGCUUAGAAGGUCAUAUGUUCUCCAGAAACUUCAACCUGACAAACUUGAAAUGGUUACAAUUGGAAGGCAAUCACUUCGUAGGAGAGAUCCCACAAAGUUUGUCUAAAUGCUUCGUACUAGAAGGAUUGUUCCUUAAUAAUAACAGUCUUUCGGGUAUGAUUCCACGAUGGUUGGGUAAUCUCACAAGGUUACAACAUAUUAUGAUGCCCAAGAAUCAUCUUGAAGGUCCUAUUCCAGUGGAGUUUUGUCAACUUGAUUGGCUUCAGAUUUUGGACAUUUCAGACAACAACAUAUCUGGAAGUUUACCAUCUUGUUUCCAUCCUCUCUCUAUCGAACACGUUCAUCUUUCAAAAAAUAUGUUACAUGGACAAUUAAAAAGAGGUACAUUCUUUAAUUACCAUUCCCUUGUGACAUUAGAUCUUAGCUAUAAUCGCUUGAAUGGCAGCAUUUCGGAUUGGGUUGAUGGGCUUUCUCAGUUAAGCCACCUUAUCUUAGGUCACAAUAAUCUUGAAGGUGAAGUGCCAGUUCAAUUGUGCAAAUUGAACCAACUACAAUUGUUAGAUCUUUCUAAUAAUAAUCUUCAUGGUCCUAUUCCUCCCUGCUUUGAUAACACCACACUUCAUGAAAGUUACAGCAAUAGUUCUAGUCCUAAUAAGCAAUUUGAAAUAUUCUUUUUCAUCCAAGGCCCUCAGGGACAUGUAGAAAAGCAAAUCCAUGAAAAUUUUGAGUUCACAACAAAGAACAUUGCGUACAUUUACCAAGGAAAAGUGCUUAGCCUCCUAUCAGGACUUGAUCUUUCUUGCAACAAGCUAAUCGGUCAUAUUCCUUCUCAAAUUGGAAAUUUGACAAGGAUUCAAACAUUGAAUCUAUCGCACAACAACUUGACAGGAUCGAUCCCAUCAACAUUUUCAAACUUGAAGCAAAUCGAAAGUUUGGAUCUUUCCUACAACAAAUUGAAUGGGGAAAUCCCUCAUCAACUAGUGGAGUUAAAGACGUUGGAGGUUUUCAGUGUGGCAUACAAUAACUUAUCAGGCGAAAUUCCAGAAUGGAAAGCACAAUUUGCAACCUUCAACGAGAGUAGUUAUGAGGGAAAUACUUUUCUUUGUGGACUGCCAUUGCCCAUUUGCAAAUCACCAGCAACUACGCCAGAGGCUUCAAUUGGCAAUGAACGAGAUGAUAAUUUAAUUGACAUGGACAGUUUUUUUAUCACAUUUACAACAUCGUACGUAAUUGUGAUAUUCGGAAUUGUUAUUGUUUUAUAUGUAAAUUCUUAUUGGCGACGUAGAUGGUUUUACUUUGUUGAAAUGUGGAUAACUUCAUGCUACUAUUUUGUUGUAAACAAUCUUAUUGCAACAAGAUAUUGUCAUUGAAAUUAAUUAGCAGUUUAAUUACGAUUCUUUAAGUUCUAAUCAAGUUUGCUUAGGAAAUACAUUUAUUUUUAUUUUUUAUUAAAAUUGUAGUAGUAUUUAGCAUUAUAUAGCUUCCAACUUCCAAGCACUUCACAUUUGUCUCCACACUUCCAAACCCAUAUCUAUCCACCAUAACGUAUACUUCCCUAUACUGUGCAGCAUAAUUUAUUUAAGAGAACCAUCUCCAAUGUUUUUUUUUUUUUUUUGAAUACUGAUUAAUCAUCAGAUUACUGCAUUAUACAGAUAUUUACAACAACUGCUAUUGUAGAAGAGAUAUUAUACUGAUAUUUACAAUCAGAUAUACAUAAUUGGGACUUAUAUUAUGACAUUAAAUUCUAUGAAGUACAUGCCCAAACAAAUAACCUCUCACAAGAUAGGGAUGUCCAUACUCCACUCGCAUUUCGCAAGGAAGAAGGAUUUUGAAAUAUGAAGAACAUUUAGCCCCCACAAUGCUUUUAUGGGGGCUAGAACCGCUGCCCUCACAAUUCUUGUGAGGGCAGCAGCCCACCACUUCGGCCAUCUCCAAUGUUAAAAGCAGCCACUCUGUAACAUUCAUUUAGAAACUAUAUUCAGAAUAGUUUUAUAAUCAUACACAAGAAAUGAAACACCUAGAUGCACUUAAUCGCCUAUUUUACUUUAAAAAAUAAUGAUUAUGGUGCUAUCAUCAUCUUCUUCACUAGCAACAUUAACACCAAAUCCAACGAUGGACCCAGACAUUUUAUCAAGAAAGGUAUAUAUAUAUAUAAUAAAGUUGAAGCUUGACAAAAAAUUCAGGAAGAUUAAUGCCUCGCCACAACAAAGGGCACAACAACAUCAAAGUAGAGAUGAAGCAAUAUUCUCAAAGGUAAAACUCUCAAAUCCACCCACCAGAAUUUCAUAUCUCCUCGACAAUUUUAAGAACUAAAGAUAAUUAGGAUUUAACAUUAGUUUUUUAUAUAUUAGUUUCAUAAUUUACAAAUCAAUGCAGAUGAAGAUUAUGCUAAUGAAUUCAAAUUAUACCAUACAUUCUCUAGAUGUUACCAAAUAUUUCUAAAGUCAAUCCCACACAUUUCAUAAUUUUAAGACUAGAAAAUUUCAUUAGUUAGAAGUUUCAUUACCUUCAAGUGGAAGAUGAAGAACAUUGUACAAGUGAUUCAGAUUAUAUCAUACAUACUCCAAAUCCAACUAGAAAUUAACAAGUUCAUGCGCACAGAUUUCAUAACAUUAUGAUUGGAAAGUUUCACAAAGAGAAAUUCUAAAUUCAAUCUCUUGCAUCAAGGUAGUUUGAUUGAUUUGAGUUACUUUCUGAUCAAGCUACUAAUAUAACAUUCAAGUCAAGGAGAAAGUAAAUUAAAACUGGGAAAAAGUAACAGUAAAAAUUUGUUGCUAAACAUGAUGUGUAUUUUUUUUUUAAAGCAAUUUGGAAACACAGUUGUUACUACAGAUAUUCUCCUCAACUUGGAGAUAAAUACAAAUAUUAAAAUGCAUUUGAUCGCACAUAUUACUUAGAGCUUAGUAAGAUUUCAUUAAGAGAAGCAAUCAAACCACUUAUCAAUUGUUGCAGUCAUUCUAUAAGCUAAAAUAGCAAUAUAAUACAAGAAAAAGAACAUAUAGAUACUUGGCAAGAGUUCAUUAAGAAGUCGCAUCACAUUCGGGUGAGGAGUUUGCUUCUGAUAUCUUGCUAGCUGGGGCUUUUUCUUGUCUUUCUACGUAUGCCAAGGGAAACCAACCAGCUUGGCCCUUGCAUUCACCUUCCGACCAUCCAAUAGGAGCCACCUUGAGAAGUUAUAACUAAAACGGUGAAUUAAACAAAAGUUGACCGUUCAAAGACCUAAGGGGAAAACUAAUUCUUUUACGUAGGGGGAGUGAAUUAGUUGUGAUCACUGAAAUAACAGCAUAACUAUGGAAGCAUAACAAGAUAUAAAUUCACAUGUCUAUAAGGGUAAACUGGGUGGUUUAGAACCGAGCUAGCAACCCUACUAUAUUCUGAUUUGCACUUCAAUGUAAAAGGGAAUAUAUGGUAGGAAGAAAGAAAACCAACCAUCAUUUGUUAACUCAUUGCUUUUCAAUCAAAAUUUUAAGAACAAAAUGCCAUGUGCCUUGAACAUCAAAUAAGUAUAAGCAUUAGUUCUAAAUUCCACAUAUCAUAUGUUAAUAGCAUAGUAGAAAAAUCUAUGUGUUGUUAUUUAGAGGGGAAAGUACUUGGCGAACCACAACAUAAUCAUCAAUUGAAAGACUUAGCUCUCCAUUUGCUUGAGCAUCAAAUGGAUGUAUAACCUGCAAGAUAAUGGGAUAAAUAGAACUUAAUCUUAGAAAAAGCAUAACAAAAGCAGCAACAGUAGCAGCAGCGUUCAUUGUAACCACUAUGAUCAUGGCCAACAAAGAUAUAUUAGAAACAAAAUUCCAUUUUUACUACAACCUUAAUAUGUACUAUAUGAUAUCAUGACGAUUGGGUUACCAAGAGCUAUUAAAGUCCAAUAAGUUCUGUAUAACUUUAUGUAGUUAUUUAAAUUAUGGAUCAGAUUUUAAAUCUGAAAUUUUGACUGCUCUCCACAAAACAUGGCCUAUGCACAAAAAAGUCAUAGAUAAUGAGGAUUACAAAUGUCUGACAUCUUUUGAGUGAUGGAUUUAACAUGAGAGCUUAUGGUCAGUCAAUUUCCUCUGCCUACCAAUAUAAGCUUUCUCGGCCAGAUUUAUCAUCAAAUACAUAGAUUGCCCCCAAGUCACAUCCAUACAAACAUAGUUUUUCUAGGUAAACCAAGUAAGGAGAAUCAUAAUUCAGACAUAAUCAUAAAAAGGUCCAUCUAACUUAAGAGAAAAUCUCAAAAAGAGGGAUGUUGAGCUAUCAGUCUUGUAUCUAUAAGCAAUAUCAAGACUUUACAUCACCUGCUACAUCGUGAGUGGCUACACAACUUUCAGUGGUUUGUCUUUCUUUGGCAUGCCUAACUCAGCUUUGAUGUUGCUGAGAUAUUGAUAGUAGAGACACUUGAUACUUCUAGCUCAUGCAUUCUAUCUAGCUCAUCCGACAACUAUCUCUUUUUUAAUUCAUUAGUGUUUGCGAAACCUCAGGCUUAAAAGUCCUGUUCUCCUAAACAAAGUUUCCUAAGAAUGACUUCCUCAGCACCACAUUUGGACACUUUUAGAGCAAUUUUAUUUGGGGGAAAAGAAUUUUCAAGGUGUUAACUAAUAAAUUUUAAAAAAUAAUUACAAUUUGUCCUACGAUUAUAUGACAAUUUACCUAUGUGGCAAAUAAAAGGGUGAAAAAAUAUGAUAUUCUCUAAAAGACUUUUCAAAUAGAAAUAAAUUAAUAUUAUUUUAAUCAUAUAAUUAAUUUUUUAAAGGAAAAGUCAAUAGCAAUUAAAGCACUUCUCUCUCUUUCUUCAAUGAAAAAUAAUAAAAUAUAAAUUGAAGAGAGAUAAAUUAACUCUCCAAAUUUAAAGAGAGAGAAUCAAUUCUUAUUUGAAGAAUCUUAAUUGGAGUGUCUUUUGGAGCUUUAAAUAUUGAUGUGGCUCUUCAAAUAAGUAAUAAAAUCUUAUUUGAAGAACUUUUUGGUGAUGCUCUAAGAAGUGAAAAUGAUGAGAGCCCUGAUUCCCUUUUGACUUCCAUUUACUGUCAAACAUUCUAGCAAUACAAAAAAUUGUUUAGAUAUCUUGCUAUAAAUAUAGCCGUUUGACUGUCAUAAUAAAGUCCCAAAUAACCAUUCAUAUUGAUCCACUGUCACACAGCAUGCUUUAUGCAUACAACAUCUGUAUGCAUACCAACUCCUAACCUUAUCAAUACAUUUGGCAAAAACCUAAGAAGAAAACUAUUUCUCCAUCUCUUUUUUGAAAUUUCACAAUAAACCAGCACAUUGUGAAAGCUAUGUUCUAAUCUUAUGAUAAAUGCUCUAGACUCCAAAAGGAUUUUAUAUAUGAGAGUUUGUUGCAGUAGAUAUAUUGACUUAUCAAGUAUGAAUCAUUGUCUGGAUGAACUAUCUUUAAAUAAAAGAACAUUAGAACCACUGUAGAAUAUCUUUACGCUGCUGGUUGUGGCAACAAUUGCUAGAUCCACAAUUCCCCAACUUCAAAUACAUAGUUGCACACCAUGAGAUAGUGCUACAAUCUACUGAGAUCUAACUUAUAUGAUACUUUAAGCUACUAAUGUUUGCAUAUUUCUACAUGUUAAAUUAACACUACCAUCUAUAAUCACUCCAAAACGACAAAUGAUAAGCAGCUUUUGGCUACUUAUUACUAGCAUCCACAAUUAUAAAUAAGAGAUCAUGGGUUUACUUGUUGCACCUACUUAAUGAUCUGCAGUUGAGACCCUGACGCAAGGUUUAAACAGUCACUGCUUAGAACCCUUGUAGUUGGAUCUUGACCUCUCCCAUUGUAGCCAAGAUUGGCUACUCUGGUAAUGAAUCAACACUCUCCUGCUCAGGGCCAUGAAGAUCUGGAAGCUCAGCACUAGUGGAGAACUUCAUCAAUCUCUUCUUCUCAGCAUACUUGAGACAAGGCUGCAUUACGAGACCAAUCACCACAGCACCAAUGCUUAAAGCUGCAACUUUUAAAGUAGAAAGAGCCAACACAACACAAAUCAAUAUGGUUGGAGGAAUACACAUGAUAAUGGCUCCAACAGUGCCAGUGGGUAUCUUGUAAGGACAAGAUGCAGCAGGAUAUUGUAUCCUUAACCAUAUAAAUGCUAUAAACUCCAUAAUCAUUCCAAAACAGUACAGGAAGUUCUCUGCAGCUACAAUAUCUUGAAAGCUCAGCCAUGAUAGCAAAACCACACCAGAUGCUGAGAAUAUGAUUCCAAUCAAAGGAGUCCCAUAACGAGACCUCUUAGCAAAAACCUCAGGUAGCAUUCCACGCUCAGCCAUCCCCAAAAGCUGGAAAGAGUCGCUGCUCAUCUCAGCUACAAACAUGCCCAUAUUCGACAUUGCUGCAGCCCCCUGGAUCCACCAUCUCAACCAAACUCCACCAAGCACUUUAGCGAUAUCUGAAAAGUAACCAUCGGUCCACAAGUCGCGAUCUAAUGGAAUAGCUCCAGUUCCAACUAGAAGGGGAAAGAAAUACCCAAAAAUGACCAAGAUCAAAGCAUUAAACAAAGCCUUUGGAAGAGUCUUCUUUGGGUUAUCCACCUCUCCAGCUAGUGUACUUAUUGAGUCCCAGUAGUUGAGAUUCCAAAACAGGGUGUUCAAAUACAAAUUCCAAUCCACUUCACCUAAAUUUACUACAAGCCAUCUUGAAGGCUCUAACUUGGGAAGGGACACAAGUCCCAUAACCACAAAAGGAAGGAGUGAGAAAAUCCCUAAAAGAACAGCAGCCCAUCCCACAAUGGUUAGACCCCUAUAGUUCACGUAGAACAAAAGUCAAAGCUAACGCCACAAAGGCUCUAGGUAACCCAUUGCCCAACGCAGGGAUACCAGACUUCAAGUAGUCAAGAAACAGAACUGGGUAUAAAGCAUUAUCAAUAACCCCACUUAGCCAUUUCAUCCAACCUUGCUGAAAACCCCAAUAUGGGCCUAAGGCAGAUGAAACCCAAACCACAUAACCACCAUUUUCAGGAAACAUGGUACCCAUCUCGGCAGUAAUUAAAGCUUCAGGGACACUCCAUAUAAUCGGAGACACCAAGAAACCGAGAAGUGCUAAAAGAGGACCAGCUGCCUUUACACUAUCCUCAACACCAAACGGCCCUCCAGAAACCUCAUAGAGUAUAAGGAAAAUAAGUGGCAAGAUCGAUACUUUUCUAGUUCCAUAGACUCUAGGAGAAGAUGGUUGGUCAUUGAUAUUAACAUAUUCAACAACAUCAGACUGCCCCAUUUCUACUGAAACUUGCCUAUUCACAGUGCUCCUCAAUUUCUGCAUCAAGUUUAAGCAUAACUAUCAAAAGGGUAUCCACAUCUAAAUUAUGAAACAAAAUGAGCAUUUACUUAUUAAAAAAAAAUCAAAAAACAGAAAUGGAUUUCGCAGAGCACAUGAAUUUAAGUUCAACAUUAAACAGGCGCUUAAGAAAACAAAAGGGUCUGUUCGUAAAGCCAUCAGAUUGCAAGAUUGAACAAACAUUAAGGGAAUCAAUAGAAUGGAUGUAAAGAGAUCUGAAAAGAAAAUAAAAUAAAAGAUGAAGAGAGAUAAAACGAACCAUCAAAUAAGUGCAUGCAGAGCAGAGAGCCAGAUGCUAGGGAAGCUCCGUCAUGUUAGAGAGAGCCUAAAUCAAUCAGAGCUCAUUGAGUUUCUUUCAACUGACCGGCAAAUUUGGAGCAUCAUAACAUAAAAUUUUUGCUUUUAAUUUUUGGCACUCCUUCGAAUGGAAUUUUUUGUUUUUAAAAAAUAACGAAAUCAUAAAAUAAAUAAACACGUGUUUGGUUUUGGGCAUUUUCUUUUGUUCAUUUAAUAUCACCUGGCUCCCUGAUUUUUGACUAAUUAUCAACCGAAUCCUGUUAGUUUCUAAAUUGAAAUAAUAUUAGGUCAUGAGAUUAUUUACUCCAUUUAGGAUUCCUCCCACUUUAGUGUUUACUUAUUAAUUUUAAGAGAGUGCGAAUCCCACUCUAUGGGACUCAUUCUUUUUUGGAGUGUAGAGUGGGAUUCCCACUCCCAUGGGGGGAGGUGAGAGUGGGAAUCCACUCCCCCCUCUUCCAUUUUUAUCUUUAUAUUUAAUUUAAUAAAAUAAAAUAAUAUCAUAUUUACUUAAAUAAUAUUAUUAUAUUAUUUUAUAAAUUAUACUUAUUAAAAAUAAUAAUUUAUAUUGAUUCUAAGUUAAAAUUACUUAAAAAAAUAUUAUUAUACUCAUAGAGAAUUAAUAAUAUUACUAUAUACUCUUUUUAUUUGAAAAUAUAAUAUUAUUAUAUUUAUUUAAAAAUAAUAGUAUUAUAUUUAUUUAAUAUUAGUAAUUAAUAAUAAUCAAUAUUUUAUUCUGAGAAAAUAUUAAUUUUGUAUUAUAUUAUUAAUAAUAAUGUUUCAUUUGUGUUGCUCUUAAUAAUAAUUUUUUAUUUACAUAAUUAAAAUUAAAUUUAAUAAAAAAAUUAUUUACAUAAUUAAGAAUAUUAAUAAUUAUUAUUAAUUUACAAAUAUAAUAAAAUAAAUAUUUUAUUUUUCAAAUCUAUUUUUUAUUAAUUUUGUAAUUAAAAACUAUAAUUCUUUAAAUAAGGAUAAAACUGUAAUUUAAAAUUAUUUACUCCCAAAUCUAUGCUCUCAUUCCAGUGUAAGUAAAUAACUUACUCUCACUCCCACUCCACACUCCUAAUCCCAGGAUUCUUAUUUCAAUCCAAAAUGUAAACGCAGCAUUAGCACGGUAGACUUACUUAUAGUAUAUAAUACUAUUGAAAAAGCUUUGUCAAAUAGUAGUAAUAGGAGCAUAAGAAAAAGUUCUUCAGAAUUUAGAUAACGCACUUGGCUCUAGGAAGAUUGCCCUCUUAUCACUCGAGUUAGGCUUUUGGCUUAGAGUUGAGUAAAUCAUUAAAAUAAAUUAUAGCUAUCACAAAUUGUUAGGAAAAUUUCAAUUUUUUUUCCCAUCAAAUGUCUAUGAAGCAAAAUUUUCUUAGCUUAUAUUGCAACACUAAUACUUCAAAUCCUGACAAUAAAUUUGAUGACAGUUGUUUUUUUGUAUAGUAAUUGUCACUCUAUUGUUUAGUUUAAAAGUAGUUCUUAAAAUGAUAAUGAUGACUUAUUUAGAACAAAUGGUAAACUUGUAGUUUGUAAUAUUAUUUGUACAAACAAUAAAGACUAAUUUGAUAAUAAUCUUUCAAAGAAUAAAUUACUAUUUAACAUUUUAAAUUAAUUUCUAAAUUUAAAACAAAUAUGAAAGUUGAUUGCUUCGAAGGUUGGAUCGUGACAAAUUGACAAUUGAAAAGAGGAGGGAAUAUAUAUUUUGAUGAAAGGGACAAGAUUAAGCAAGGGGACAAUAUUUUCUAUUGGACCUACAAAUAGGGGGAAAGAUUUAUAUAUUUCAAAAUUUCUUAUUUGUGGAUUGGCCAGCACGUGUAACUAAUAUAAAAGGAGAAAAUUUGUCAUGGUUUUAACCGAUAUAAGAAGAGAAAAUUUUGAGUGCACAACAAGAACGAAGCAAAACUAGGGUUGGCAGAAAAGCCCGGGCCGGCCCAGGCCCGCAUCGGCCCGGGCCAGGCCCGCGGGCUUUAAGCCCGGCCCGUGGCUUGAAAUUAUGGGUAAGGGCUCAAAGUUAAUAAAGCCCAUAACAUAUGGGCUCAGUCAAGGACCUAAAUGAAAAGUCCGGGCUUAAGCCCGGGCUUUAUAAUAAAUAAUAAAUAAUAUAUAUAUAUAUAUAUAAUAUUAUGGAUAAUGGCUUUAUAUAUAUAUUAAAAAAUGUAUAAUAUAUUAUAAAAUUGAAAAAAUAAUUAAACAAAAUAAUAAAAAAAUCGGGCAAAGGGAAAGGGCAAAGGUUUUGUCACAAAAUGUCAAAAUUCCUAAAUCGGUAAAUCUCUAUUAGUUUUUUUUUUAUAUUAGUGGUUGAUUUGUACGUUGUGUACGGUAUUUGUAUUGUUAGUAUUUUUAUAUUUUGUGUUGCUAAUCAUGUAUUAGAGAAUUAUAUUUAAGUUUUUAGCCUAUUGUAGUAUUAUGUAUUGGUUAAUUAUGUUUUGAAAAUUUAUAAUUUUAUUUUUUAAAAAAAAAUUUUAAAAUUUCGUAAAAGCCCGGGCUUGGCCCGCGGCCCGGCCCAGACCCGUCAAGGCCCGGCCCGCCCAAAGUCUGCUCAACUUGGAUGGACUUUAAGAGGGCCUGGACUUAUUUAACAUUAUAUGGGCCUGGUCCUGAGCUUGAUAAAGCCCGGCCCAGGCCCUUAAAUUGCCAACCCUAAGCAAAACCCAUGAAAAUUCACCUUGUGGGUUGGAUUGGAUAAAAUCAAUAUCUUGAAUCAAACAAAAUGUUUGGUACAUUAAGGUUUUGAGUGUGUGUAAUGAGCAAGAAUCUACAUAAGGAUAUUUUAGUAAAUAUAAGAAAAAGGGCUCAAGGAAUGGCCUAGAGAUAGAAGCCCACAGCCCAUGAGUGAUGAGAAUACAAUUUAACCAUUCAAACUAAUUAGAAGCAAAUUAUUUCAUAUCUUUCGUUAAUUUUUCCGCUUACUUACUUAGCAUCCAAACAAGUUAAAGUUAAAACACUGUUGAGACAACAAUAUGCAGGCAUCAAUAAGCAUGGCAGUUUUUUAUAUGUAUUCUACACGAUAUUCUGGGGAUGUCAAUUGUAGAACAUUUUGCGGCAACUUUUUACAUUAAUUAAUGUUUGAAGAAUUUGUUAAAAAAGGGUAAUUUUAUCAUUUUGAAAGAGAAAAAAAAAAGUAAAAGUGGCGUUACCUCAUGGUCAUUAGAGACUUGUUGCAAUGAUAGCUCAAAAUUAACAAUUUGUGAAGAGUUAGUAGACGAUGCCGAUGUUGUCGUCGUCACUUUUGUCGUCGCCGCUGUUGUUGAAUUCAUGCUUAGAACACAACAAGAGAAGAAGAAGGGAGGAAAGGGAAGAGAAGAAGAGAGAAGUGGUGGAUAGCAAAUAUGAUAUGCUAGCUACACACCCGCCUUAGAAUUUUUUUUUUGUGUUUAUUAUAUUUUUGUUUUCGUUAUUGUUUUGUCAUAUACUUUCGGUGUAGCAGUGCCUUACAUCAUAAAUUGCACCUUUUAGGAGAGGUGGUAAAAAACGUGAGGGCACUGCGCUCCAGCGCAUACAUAUAGAAAGAGCUUCUUAAUUUUAAAAAGUUUCUUUAUUUCUUCCACAUUUUUGUGCUUAAAAUAAAAUUUAAUUGUAUUUUGCAUUAACUUAGAAAAAAAAUCCAGUUCUAUACAUAAACGCAUGCAUUAAUUAGAAAAUGAGUUUUACUAACGCAAAUGUACAAUAAAAGAGAUUCUUUUUGUAUAUUGGAAGUAACAUAACUAUUUAGUAUAAAAUGUAAAUAUAAGCUACCAAGAAUUUGCACUUGUGGUAAUUAACGACACAGAUUUUGAACUAUGAAUGUUUUGUGGCUGGUUUGAUUGGAUUUUCGAGUUUUCAGCAAACCUAUCUCAAUAAUUAUUAAAUUAUUUUCACUUCUUACGCCUUAAUAAAAAAAAUCAAUAUUUUUCUGGUCUAUUCUGUAUUUUAAAACUUAAUUUUAAUUUUUAUAUUGCAAACCAAAAUGAGUCAACCGGAGUAUGCUCUUCAAAGAAAUUUUCCAUUGCCUUCAAGAAGAAUUUAUUUUAUUUUUAUACAUUAAUUUAACAUUUUUUCAUUCACUUGUAAACCGGGCCGUCGGAUUGCACAUAAAGCAAAUGAUCAAACCGUUACAAGACCAGCCCGGACCCACCGACUGUCAUUUUCUUUCAUUUGACCAUUAAAAGCUUUUGACCACCCCCACCAAAUAAAUAAGCUCUUGUUCUCUUUUGUUCCCUCUCAAAGGAAAAAAAAUAUCUGAUCACCGGAUAAUGAUUCCGGUGACACAAAAUAUCAAAACACCCCCCUAAAUUCCCUUAAAUUUACAAUAAUACCCCACCAUGGAUGAUUCUGUUGAAAUGCUGCCUUACAGUGAAAGGCCUAAGAAGGGUUUUAACUUCACACCCAUGCGCUUGAUCUUAACCCUCGUUUUCCCAAUUUUAACUUUCUUUUCGUUGGCAUUUUUGAUUGGGAUCGUUGCUGUUUUAUUCGGCGAAUCAUCAGUUUCGAGUUCCAUUUUUGUCCCUUCCCAGUGCAAGAUAGUGUCCAGCAGUAAGCUUUUUCAAAAUUUUCAAUUUUUUUACCUUAAUGAAGCUAAAAAGUUUUAUUAAUUUUUUUUUUUGAAUGAUUUUGCAGGUGUUGAUAUAAGGUCAUCAAAGGUUUGUGAACUUGGGGUGUUGAAUUAUAAGGCGAAGCGUGUGUUUUAUCCAUUUGAAGCAAGUAAAUUUCGCUGUCGAUAUGAUUACUAUUGGGCUUCUAUCUUCAAGGUAUUCAUACAUUUUCUCAACUUUAAUUACUUACCUGUACUAUAAGCUUCUUAGUGGCGGUCUUGUUUUGUGUUUUGAUGAAUGUGUUUAAGGGUCAGUUUGGGAAUGCUGGUAAUAGGAUGUUGUUAGUGUUUGGCAGUAAAUUUGCUAUGCAUAAUUCAGCAAUGUGCUUGAUUUUGGUUAUUGUCUUUAACAAUUUUUAGGUAGAGUACUUAGAUCAUUCACUGGGACAAACGCAGAGCUUGGUUGACCAAAGAUAAGUUCCAGGUUGGGGUCGGCAAUGCAGAGCUUCUGCGUGUAUUAAAAUUUGAAGCCUAGUAAAUGAAUUUCUAAUUUAUUUAUAGUGUUUGUUUUAUCUUGACAGAAAUGAAUGCUAACUCAAGAUUUUCCCAACUUUAAUUACUUACCUGUACUAUAAGCUUCUUAGUGGCGGUCUUGUGAGCGGAAGUGAGCGGUGUGGCUGACAGCUUCUUGAAAAUUAUAAGUUUGAACAGAGCAUGUUAGACUUUUGUUGACCAAAUUCGAAAGCCAAAUGGCACAGCUCAGAAGCUUUUGAAUUGAAUAACUUACGAGAAAGCUCCAAUUUUUUGUUGGCUACAGUAAAAGGAUGUUGUUUUAUUCUUCUUAUACUUUACGCUUGCAUCAGCUUAAAUCACUUCUUAAACGCUUUGCUUUAACUCCACUGCUUCGUACUGUUCUAUAUAUGUAUCGGGUAUGCGGUCGUAGUUCACGGCUGAGACUACGUGUUUGUUUGACGUGGUAGUUACGUUACGAGUCUGUUAAACAUUCGGUGAUUAAAGUAUUAUCGGUUAUUCCAAAGGGACAAAUAAGAUUAGCUGCAACACACCCACUAGUUUUAUAAAAUUCGAAUGAGAUGGAAUAAAAUAAAAAAAUAAAAAAGUAAAUUGACUUUUAAUUUUAGUGGUUGAAUAUAUUUUGUAUUCUCUUAGGGUACUGCUGUAAUUAUUCCUUAAACGUCGUCAUACUCACAUAUAAUAGACACAAGAAAUGAAAUCUAAGAUCACCUGCUUAGUUAAAGAAUCAUCAUGAAAAAAUUUUGCCAUUUUGAUUUGAGGAUCCACAUUUUAAACAACCAACUUAUGUUCAUCAAGAACAGAGUAUGAAUUGUGAGUAGAAAAAUUAUUUUUGGACAAAUUAUUUUGUUAAUAGAAGAAUGUCUCAAGGGACUAUUAAAAUUACUAAUAAAAAUGUCAGACACACCCACGUACCAUCGACACAAUUGAUUAUGAGGAUCCAUGUUUUGAACUGCCUCCUAAUGUUCAUCAAGAACAGAGUCAAUUGAAGGAGAAUAUGCUACUUUUUCAUUAAGAAAGGCAGACGGGGCAUACCAUGGUACCAUACAAUACAAAAAAUCUCCGUUCUCUGACUUUUCAAACUCUGAAGGGGGCAAUAUUCCCCAAUUCCUUUGUGAAAAUUCUGAUUACGACAUUAUUCAUCGCUUGAUACAUAAGUAAAAGUAGUGACAAAAUUAGAAAAAUUAUGAUUCAUAAGUAAUUACUAGGCAGGGCUCUUGAGAGCAACAUUGUCCUAGGCUUUAUAUGCAUACAUGGUGUGGCCACACCAUAACACAAACCCAGAAAGACAAGUAAUAUCUCAACUGAUAUAAAGACAAAAAGAAGAUAAAAUGAUACAGAACAAAGAAUUUCUAAGAGACAACAACAUACAAUAGACUGAAGCCAGUUGAUCUGCUCAUUGAUUGCAGCCUUAAACUUGCAAACGUUUACUGUAGCCUGGUGCUCUAAGAAGUGAAAAUGAUGCAAACCUUGAUUCCAUGUUUACUUCCAUUUACCAUCAAACAUUCUAUUCAUAAGAAAAAAAAUGUUUAGAUAUCUUGACGUAAAUAUAGCCAUUUGAUUGUCUUAAUAAAGCCACACACAACCAUUCAUAUUGAUCCACAUUGCCAUAUAGCCUGAUUUAAGCAUACAACAGCUGAAUGCAUACUGACUCCUAACCUUAUCAAUACAUUGGCGACAACUUCAGAAGAAAACUAUUUCUCCAUCUCUUUUUUGAAAUUUCACAAUAAAACAGCACAAUGUGAGCUGCAAUGAAAAUGGACCGUCUGGAACUAUGGCGGAAGCUUCAACUAGUGUAGUGAAUAUAAACCUAUAAUUGGAACAAACACAGCCACAGAACCCAAGAAUGACACACCCUACACCGCGGGAGAAGCUUUCCAGUGAGAUUUUAUUGAUGAUCAAAGAAGAAUCUUUUUACAAAGCUAACAAAAGAGAUUUCAGAGAAUAAGCUAUGACCCUCUCUCUCUUCAAUCUCUCUCUAGUUUGUUCACAGUGAUGACCCCAAUCUGCUUCGUUAGCCAGCUUCAUAACUGCGUCAGUGACAAACUAACAAACCCAGAUUGAGCAGAUUACCGACACGUGGAUAACGGCUUUUAAGAACUUGGUUAAAGAACUGCUCACAUAUUCGUCACGGGUGUUACUUAAAUGAUGGCCAAAACGACUUCAACCAGAUGCCGUUUUGAAGCUUGUGAAUUAUAAUUGAAAACACGUGCUUGUAUCGUGACACUUAAAUGCAACAACAAGCCCAAAACACUGCCGUUUCACUUUGUUCAGUUUGCCAUCUCUAAGCUUCACAACUAGCAACGGAGAAGAUGAUAAUUAAAUUGACAUGGAGAGUUUUUAUAUCACUUUUACAACAUUCUAUAUAAUUGUGAUAUUGGGAAUCGUCGGUGUUGUAUAUGUGAACUCUCGUUGGCGACACUAGUGGUUUUAUUUUUGUUGAAAUAUGGAUGACAUUUCGUUACUAUUUUAUUGUACACAACCUUAUUCUUAGGAGAUUUAAUCAUUGAAAUUAACAUGUUAGUUUCAUUAGCCACUAGGCCUUUGGCUGAGUCGUUCGGGUGUCUGCCCUCCAACUUGGAGGGCAGCAGUUUGAACCCCCACAAGCGCAAUGUGGGGUAUUUCCUUCUUUAAUCCCUCGAAUAUUACUGAGGGUUAAAAUCUAGGUAGAGUUCCAUAAGUAUUAAUGUAAGUUGGUUCCAGUAAUAGUCUAAUUUGUAAAUAUCAGUUAUAGUCUCAUGUAAGAUGAGUUGUAAUUUGAGCAAUAGUCUCAUAUAAUAAUAAUAAAAUAAAAUAAACAUGUUAGCUUCAUUACAUUUUUCUUCGUUAAAAUUCUCAAGUAUUAGUCAGGUUUGCUUAAGUAAUAAAAUUUUGUCAUUAAAAUUGUAGUAGUAUUUCUGAGCACCUCACAUUUUCAAUGAUUGUUCAUAAAUCAAUUAAUCUGCCGUACCGAUAUUAGGUUUAGUUUUUCAUACUAAAUAAUCAAGAAAGCAAACAUACAAAUUCACAGUUUAGAGGGGUAAACUAGGUAGGUGGUUUAGAUUUUAGAACUAGGCUAGCUACCCCACUAAAUUCCAAUUUGUACAGUGAACUACAAGAAAUUGAGAAAACAGUGUAUUUAUAGUUUAAUUGAAUCGUGAGAAAGCAAUGUAGUCAUAGCUCAAUCUGAGAUGAUCACGGAGAGGCAUAUUCUUUUCAAGUUAAUUUGAUCAAUUUAUAAGAGAUGAAGUGGAUUGAAGUUAAAAGUUUAAAUAACAAAUCCUUGUUCUUGAGUUUUACGACGUCGUUACUCCUUCAAGAGGCAGAUUAUUUAUGCAAGUGAAUGCAGAAACGCAAUGCAUCAUCCACGGGGAUGGUACACCAAAAGGCGGGAUCAUAGUCUAUGCCCGCAGAUUAACAAUUUCGCUCAUAUAGAAAAUUAAUUUUUUAUAUAUACUAAUCAAUACUAAAUUGAUUAUGUUUUGUAUGUUUAUAUGCGAAUCAACACUAAAUUAUAUUAAAUGAAGAAAUAAUUCAAUUUUUUCUAAUUUAAUUUAGAAAAUAAAAUUAUUAACAUUAAUAUUCCCAACAAAAAUUAUUUUCCAUUAGUAUUCAAAGCUUCACUUAUGGAAAAUGUGUUUUACAUGAAUAUUAGUUACUGUGUAAAUUUGAAUGAUAGUGAAAAAUAAUUUUUUAAUUAUUGUAAAAAUAAUUAACCAUAUCAAAUCCCUUACGUAAAUAAUUUUUAUUUUUCAAAAAGGUAGAAAGAUGGUUAAUGCACAAGCAAAUUUUAAGCCCCUCUCUUCUUGGCCUAAGAUUCAAACUCAGAUGACUAGUUAAAUAAACCUAUGUGAAAAUCAUUCGGCCAGGUCCGCGGGGCAAAAAUACAAGAUCCUUAAUUUCAUAAUAUAUAUGAAUUAAUGUCAUUUACUUGAAUUAUCCAAAUUCAUCAGAGGUUAACGAGUUUUCCUGACAUGUAGCAGAUGAAGUUGUUGCUUCCUUCUUGGCAUUAUUUCAGCUCUGGUUGUUGGUCCCGAUGAGCUUUAGUCUUAUUUUAAUUUUAUUUAAACUCAUCAUAAGAUUCGUGAAGCACCUAACUGACUUAACUGACUGUGCAGAAAUGUCACAUAGCAUAUUUAACCGUUUUAACAGUAAUUUUGAACGGUCUUCGCAGUUAUCAUCUACAAACUCGUUCGUGUUGGUCCACUAGGUGAAGUUUUUGAAAUAAUAAUAAGCUCCCAUUCUUGAUUUUAAAAAAUGUGCUUAUAAUAAUUUUAGAAUAAUGGCUUAUUUAUAGAACAACUUAUGAUUUCCCAUUAGCAUUAUUAUUGAAGUGGGGUGGAUAACGGUUCACUCAAUUCGUCGGGAAUCAAAAAUUACCAUCCAAGGCAGAAUUGUGGAAAAUUAAAGCGAAAUGAGAAAUAUGGAAAUGAAGGAAGAAAGUUAAGGCAUGAAAGACUUCCAGUUGAAAUUGAUAAUCAUGUUUCUCUUUGGUAACUAAUCAAAUGGGAAACUGAACCAUAAACAGACAUUAAAACGUGUGGACUCCGCUAGCUGCCUUACAAGCCUACAAUAAUAACUGAGUACCUUUGAUUCAUCCUUCUAUGAAUUUCUAGCCGUAUUGACUCCACCGAAAUUUCCACAAAAAAAAAAAAAAAAAGAAUUUCCACAAAAUGCAAAACGCAUGGAACUUAAUUUUUGGCCCUGUGAUCACUAAGAUACAAUCCUUCUAGUGAAGAGCAAUCAGGCAAAUUUUUUUAGAUCUCUCCGACAAAGUGAUUACCAUCUAAUCGCAAUAUUGAAUAAAAAUAAAAAUUUUAAUGGGAGUUUGACCUUAAAUUUAGAAAAUGAAUUUUCACUUUCUUCAAUUAUUAAACAGAUUACAUACAUUUGAGGAAUUUGAAAACACUUUAUCCAUCGACAGUUAAAAUUAGAGAUGGAAGCUAGGUGCUACAGCUAAUGGGAUCAUUAAUUCCCCUCCCUCAAAUGUGUAGUUGUUCCUCUUUCCACAGCAUAAGCCUUAUAGUUAGAGUUUCUUUAAAAAAAAAAUGUUAAACAAUUUCGGUUGAGCAUGGUUUUGGUAGUUGAAUAGACACCUCCGCCGUACCUCAAACAAAACUGUCAUUAUUCGUGCCAUGAAACAUGUUUCGGCCGUCAAAGUCAUGAGUAGGAGUGUGCAUGGGUUGGUUUGGGUUAGAUUUUAAGUCAAUUCAAAGCAAACCAUAAAAAUUUGGGUUCAAUCCAAAUCAACCCAAAUAUUUUUAACCCAACCCAAACCAACCUAUUUGGGUUUGGGUUUGGAUUUUAUAAUUAAAAUAUUUUUUAUUUUAAUAAAUUUAACUAUAUCAAAUUAUAAUAAUUAUUAAAUUAAUAUUAAAAUACGAAAAAAUGUAGUGGAUAAAAAUUAUGAAUAAUGGAUUUUACAAUAACUUUGUUCUUAAAUAUUAACCAUAUUACAACAUAAAUUCUAACAAUGUCAAUACAAAUUAAAGUAAGAUAAGAUAUCUCAACUCAAGUAUCAAAGCAAUCCAUCAAAAUUAAAUUAUUUAAUUUUAUAAAUUUAAAUUUUCCGAGAAAUAAAUCUAAAAUUUAUUGUAAUUAGAAAAAGCGCCAAAAUUUUAAACGCAAUAAGAAAAAUUAGACAUAAAAUCUAAUUAGGUUUAAAUUUAAUUAAAAAAUAACAAUAGAAUCAUAUUUUAUUUGAUAAAAUCUUAAAAUCAAUUUCAUUUUUUAUUUUAAUAAGUUACAAUACAAAUAGGAUUAUAAAAUUAUAUUACAGAAUUUCAUAAAAAUAUUGUUUGAGUAAUUUAUUAAAGGACUCACCUACGUUGCCACAGUUGUAGCUUACCACGCUUUUUGUCUUUUUCCAGUAAAAUCGUAGAUGCUUUCAAAUUUAAUCUAACGGCUGCAAUUAAUUAUUAGAUAAUUUAAUCAGCCAUUGGCAACCUUUACAACCGGUUAUAUUCUCUCGUUACAUUUCUCGGCUACCAAAUAAUCCCCAAGAAAAUGACGAAGUGAGUAACUAAUACGCACACCGCAGAGAAAGAUGACAGGAGAAGAGAUGACGGUAGGCUCACCGGCACAAAGGUUCUUCGAUUGCUCUAUUUCUUCGGCGCUGGAUUUAUCUACACAGCUACAAUCGACAAGUGGCGGGAACUCGAGCAGAAGUCAUUGAAGAAGAAACAGCAAGAGAGCAAUCUAUGGACUGAUGAUAACUCAGCAACUACGGUAAAGAAAGCCGUCAAAUGAUCUUUUUUAUUUGACUUUUGAUGGAUUUUCAAGAGUUUUGGUAAUAAAAUGUCUCUUAAUUUUUCAUUUCAAUGGCCUAUUGUUUGAGUUAUUAUUAUGCAUAAUUGUUGGAAGAGUUAGGGUUUUACUAUUGGAUUUUGGAAUUUGUAUUUUGGCUUUGAUAUGUUAUUGUUGUGAUGUUGGUCAAGAAAUUUUUGACAACACUCUCCUCGAGUUUGAUACUAUAGCUAAUGAAUUUUUACGGCAGAUAUAUUCUUUUCUUUGAAAAAAAAAAACACUUUACAACUGGUUAUGCAUUCAUUUAGGAGCUGUUAACUGAGCGUGACUUCCAUAAUUUUCCAACCAGUGGUUAGGGUUUCACAGAAAAAUGUCGACAUUGAUCUUUAGGCAGCACUUAAGACUGAAAUUGGUUGUAGAGGAUUGAAUUUGGGGGACUAGAAAUUUCUGAUCAUUAAUAAUUGAAAAUGGCCUCUCACUUGUAGGCAGUUGUUGGAUGUAAUGUAUCCAGUUUCUGAAAUCGAAAGCAGAGUGAGUUCUUAGGUUAGAUGUACCUACAUGCAUUAAGGUUCGAAGAUGUAGAAUAGGCCAAUUGUUUGAUGUCAGCUUUGUUGCACAUGUUCUGAAAUUGAUCAUUUAAGAUGGCUUGGAAGCACUCCGUGAUGUGACUAAGAAGAUUCGAGGAAGUAUUAAAUAUGUUGAAAGUUCACAAUUAAUACAAGGAAAGUUCAAUGAGAUCACCCAACAAGUUGAAAUCAACAGUCAAAAGAGCCUAAAGUGUGAUAUUUUUCUCUUGGAUUGUUUUUUUAUUUUCCAUUUCAAAGCUGAUAGUGUAAAUAUUUUGUUUGCAAAAGUUUCUAAAAAGUACUUGAGUCAAGAUGGUUAGGUAUUUCAUAACUUCCUUUUUACUCUUAACUAGAUUCAUAGAGAGUUAUAACAUUAACAUAAUUUUUUUCUUUUAAAAGUGAUCAAUUAGACACUGAUGAGAUAUCUCACUUUUGAAUCAUUUAGCUUUAUGUAAUUUCAUUACUAUUAUAUGCCCCCAGGAAUUGUUGAAGUAUAUAUAUCUUGGCAUUUCUUCACUGACUGAAUUAUCUUUCAUAAUAUUCCAGCUUCAAAUGGGUACACUGCAGAGCCUAUUGGAUGCAGAAUUCCUUCUAGCUCAUAUGUGCUCUGUAAAAUUCAAAGACUGAAUAGUGGUUAUGGCAACUCUUUGUAGAUGAUCUAAGGUAUAAUGCCCAAUUAUUGCUUUUGCUUUAUCUGUUUUACCUUGCAACAUUUUGAAAUUUAUGAGAAGCAUAAAAUUACUGAGCCAAAAUUGAGGAUCUGAACUUUCGUAAAAAUAUUUGUAUUUUUAAAUUAUAAAAUAUUGCAUUUGAUGCUUUAGGUGGAACUUAGUUCACUACAGAAAGGAAAAUUAUGUUGGGCAUAACCAGAUGUUUUUCAAGAGAAAAUUUCACUUCUGAGGAUUUUACUUGGCCAUCUUAUUUCAAGCUGCUUGAAUUUUUUCUUUAUAUCAUCUUGGUUGUAUACUAUAACUCAUUGAAUUUGCUAGCACUUUUGCUAGUUGUUUAUUCUAUAUGUGAUUGUGGUGGUAAAGUUUGGAAGCUCAAAAAGUAAUGGAACUUAGGAAGNNNNNNNNNNNNNNNNNNNNNNNNNNNNNNNNNNNNNNNNNNNNNNNNNNNNNNNNNNNNNNNNNNNNNNNNNNNNNNNNNNNNNNNNNNNNNNNNNNNNNNNNNNNNNNNNNNNNNNNNNNNNNNNNNNNNNNNNNNNNNNNNNNNNNNNNNNNNNNNNNNNNNNNNNNNNNNNNNNNNNNNNNNNNNNNNNNNNNNNNNNNNNNNNNNNNNNNNNNNNNNNNNNNNNNNNNNNNNNNNNNNNNNNNNNNNNNNNNNNNNNNNNNNNNNNNNNNNNNNNNNNNNNNNNNNNNNNNNNNNNNNNNNNNNNNNNNNNNNNNNNNNNNNNNNNNNNNNNNNNNNNNNNNNNNNNNNNNNNNNNNNNNNNNNNNNNNNNNNNNNNNNNNNNNNNNNNNNNNNNNNNNNNNNNNNNNNNNNNNNNNNNNNNNNNNNNNNNNNNNNNNNNNNNNNNNNNNNNNNNNNNNNNNNNNNNNNNNNNNNNNNNNNNNNNNNNNNNNNNNNNNNNNNNNNNNNNNNNNNNNNNNNNNNNNNNNNNNNNNNNNNNNNNNNNNNNNNNNNNNNNNNNNNNNNNNNNNNNNNNNNNNNNNNNNNNNNNNNNNNNNNNNNNNNNNNNNNNNNNNNNNNNNNNNNNNNNNNNNNNNNNNNNNNNNNNNNNNNNNNNNNNNNNNNNNNNNNNNNNNNNNNNNNNNNNNNNNNNNNNNNNNNNNNNNNNNNNNNNNNNNNNNNNNNNNNNNNNNNNNNNNNNNNNNNNNNNNNNNNNNNNNNNNNNNNNNNNNNNNNNNNNNNNNNNNNNNNNNNNNNNNNNNNNNNNNNNNNNNNNNNNNNNNNNNNNNNNNNNNNNNNNNNNNNNNNNNNNNNNNNNNNNNNNNNNNNNNNNNNNNNNNNNNNNNNNNNNNNNNNNNNNNNNNNNNNNNNNNNNNNNNNNNNNNNNNNNNNNNNNNNNNNNNNNNNNNNNNNNNNNNNNNNNNNNNNNNNNNNNNNNNNNNNNNNNNNNNNNNNNNNNNNNNNNNNNNNNNNNNNNNNNNNNNNNNNNNNNNNNNNNNNNNNNNNNNNNNNNNNNNNNNNNNNNNNNNNNNNNNNNNNNNNNNNNNNNNNNNNNNNNNNNNNNNNNNNNNNNNNNNNNNNNNNNNNNNNNNNNNNNNNNNNNNNNNNNNNNNNNNNNNNNNNNNNNNNNNNNNNNNNNNNNNNNNNNNNNNNNNNNNNNNNNNNNNNNNNNNNNNNNNNNNNNNNNNNNNNNNNNNNNNNNNNNNNNNNNNNNNNNNNNNNNNNNNNNNNNNNNNNNNNNNNNNNNNNNNNNNNNNNNNNNNNNNNNNNNNNNNNNNNNNNNNNNNNNNNNNNNNNNNNNNNNNNNNNNNNNNNNNNNNNNNNNNNNNNNNNNNNNNNNNNNNNNNNNNNNNNNNNNNNNNNNNNNNNNNNNNNNNNNNNNNNNNNNNNNNNNNNNNNNNNNNNNNNNNNNNNNNNNNNNNNNNNNNNNNNNNNNNNNNNNNNNNNNNNNNNNNNNNNNNNNNNNNNNNNNNNNNNNNNNNNNNNNNNNNNNNNNNNNNNNNNNNNNNNNNNNNNNNNNNNNNNNNNNNNNNNNNNNNNNNNNNNNNNNNNNNNNNNNNNNNNNNNNNNNNNNNNNNNNNNNNNNNNNNNNNNNNNNNNNNNNNNNNNNNNNNNNNNNNNNNNNNNNNNNNNNNNNNNNNNNNNNNNNNNNNNNNNNNNNNNNNNNNNNNNNNNNNNNNNNNNNNNNNNNNNNNNNNNNNNNNNNNNNNNNNNNNNNNNNNNNNNNNNNNNNNNNNNNNNNNNNNNNNNNNNNNNNNNNNNNNNNNNNNNNNNNNNNNNNNNNNNNNNNNNNNNNNNNNNNNNNNNNNNNNNNNNNNNNNNNNNNNNNNNNNNNNNNNNNNNNNNNNNNNNNNNNNNNNNNNNNNNNNNNNNNNNNNNNNNNNNNNNNNNNNNNNNNNNNNNNNNNNNNNNNNNNNNNNNNNNNNNNNNNNNNNNNNNNNNNNNNNNNNNNNNNNNNNNNNNNNNNNNNNNNNNNNNNNNNNNNNNNNNNNNNNNNNNNNNNNNNNNNNNNNNNNNNNNNNNNNNNNNNNNNNNNNNNNNNNNNNNNNNNNNNNNNNNNNNNNNNNNNNNNNNNNNNNNNNNNNNNNNNNNNNNNNNNNNNNNNNNNNNNNNNNNNNNNNNNNNNNNNNNNNNNNNNNNNNNNNNNNNNNNNNNNNNNNNNNNNNNNNNNNNNNNNNNNNNNNNNNNNNNNNNNNNNNNNNNNNNNNNNNNNNNNNNNNNNNNNNNNNNNNNNNNNNNNNNNNNNNNNNNNNNNNNNNNNNNNNNNNNNNNNNNNNNNNNNNNNNNNNNNNNNNNNNNNNNNNNNNNNNNNNNNNNNNNNNNNNNNNNNNNNNNNNNNNNNNNNNNNNNNNNNNNNNNNNNNNNNNNNNNNNNNNNNNNNNNNNNNNNNNNNNNNNNNNNNNNNNNNNNNNNNNNNNNNNNNNNNNNNNNNNNNNNNNNNNNNNNNNNNNNNNNNNNNNNNNNNNNNNNNNNNNNNNNNNNNNNNNNNNNNNNNNNNNNNNNNNNNNNNNNNNNNNNNNNNNNNNNNNNNNNNNNNNNNNNNNNNNNNNNNNNNNNNNNNNNNNNNNNNNNNNNNNNNNNNNNNNNNNNNNNNNNNNNNNNNNNNNNNNNNNNNNNNNNNNNNNNNNNNNNNNNNNNNNNNNNNNNNNNNNNNNNNNNNNNNNNNNNNNNNNNNNNNNNNNNNNNNNNNNNNNNNNNNNNNNNNNNNNNNNNNNNNNNNNNNNNNNNNNNNNNNNNNNNNNNNNNNNNNNNNNNNNNNNNNNNNNNNNNNNNNNNNNNNNNNNNNNNNNNNNNNNNNNNNNNNNNNNNNNNNNNNNNNNNNNNNNNNNNNNNNNNNNNNNNNNNNNNNNNNNNNNNNNNNNNNNNNNNNNNNNNNNNNNNNNNNNNNNNNNNNNNNNNNNNNNNNNNNNNNNNNNNNNNNNNNNNNNNNNNNNNNNNNNNNNNNNNNNNNNNNNNNNNNNNNNNNNNNNNNNNNNNNNNNNNNNNNNNNNNNNNNNNNNNNNNNNNNNNNNNNNNNNNNNNNNNNNNNNNNNNNNNNNNNNNNNNNNNNNNNNNNNNNNNNNNNNNNNNNNNNNNNNNNNNNNNNNNNNNNNNNNNNNNNNNNNNNNNNNNNNNNNNNNNNNNNNNNNNNNNNNNNNNNNNNNNNNNNNNNNNNNNNNNNNNNNNNNNNNNNNNNNNNNNNNNNNNNNNNNNNNNNNNNNNNNNNNNNNNNNNNNNNNNNNNNNNNNNNNNNNNNNNNNNNNNNNNNNNNNNNNNNNNNNNNNNNNNNNNNNNNNNNNNNNNNNNNNNNNNNNNNNNNNNNNNNNNNNNNNNNNNNNNNNNNNNNNNNNNNNNNNNNNNNNNNNNNNNNNNNNNNNNNNNNNNNNNNNNNNNNNNNNNNNNNNNNNNNNNNNNNNNNNNNNNNNNNNNNNNNNNNNNNNNNNNNNNNNNNNNNNNNNNNNNNNNNNNNNNNNNNNNNNNNNNNNNNNNNNNNNNNNNNNNNNNNNNNNNNNNNNNNNNNNNNNNNNNNNNNNNNNNNNNNNNNNNNNNNNNNNNNNNNNNNNNNNNNNNNNNNNNNNNNNNNNNNNNNNNNNNNNNNNNNNNNNNNNNNNNNNNNNNNNNNNNNNNNNNNNNNNNNNNNNNNNNNNNNNNNNNNNNNNNNNNNNNNNNNNNNNNNNNNNNNNNNNNNNNNNNNNNNNNNNNNNNNNNNNNNNNNNNNNNNNNNNNNNNNNNNNNNNNNNNNNNNNNNNNNNNNNNNNNNNNNNNNNNNNNNNNNNNNNNNNNNNNNNNNNNNNNNNNNNNNNNNNNNNNNNNNNNNNNNNNNNNNNNNNNNNNNNNNNNNNNNNNNNNNNNNNNNNNNNNNNNNNNNNNNNNNNNNNNNNNNNNNNNNNNNNNNNNNNNNNNNNNNNNNNNNNNNNNNNNNNNNNNNNNNNNNNNNNNNNNNNNNNNNNNNNNNNNNNNNNNNNNNNNNNNNNNNNNNNNNNNNNNNNNNNNNNNNNNNNNNNNNNNNNNNNNNNNNNNNNNNNNNNNNNNNNNNNNNNNNNNNNNNNNNNNNNNNNNNNNNNNNNNNNNNNNNNNNNNNNNNNNNNNNNNNNNNNNNNNNNNNNNNNNNNNNNNNNNNNNNNNNNNNNNNNNNNNNNNNNNNNNNNNNNNNNNNNNNNNNNNNNNNNNNNNNNNNNNNNNNNNNNNNNNNNNNNNNNNNNNNNNNNNNNNNNNNNNNNNNNNNNNNNNNNNNNNNNNNNNNNNNNNNNNNNNNNNNNNNNNNNNNNNNNNNNNNNNNNNNNNNNNNNNNNNNNNNNNNNNNNNNNNNNNNNNNNNNNNNNNNNNNNNNNNNNNNNNNNNNNNNNNNNNNNNNNNNNNNNNNNNNNNNNNNNNNNNNNNNNNNNNNNNNNNNNNNNNNNNNNNNNNNNNNNNNNNNNNNNNNNNNNNNNNNNNNNNNNNNNNNNNNNNNNNNNNNNNNNNNNNNNNNNNNNNNNNNNNNNNNNNNNNNNNNNNNNNNNNNNNNNNNNNNNNNNNNNNNNNNNNNNNNNNNNNNNNNNNNNNNNNNNNNNNNNNNNNNNNNNNNNNNNNNNNNNNNNNNNNNNNNNNNNNNNNNNNNNNNNNNNNNNNNNNNNNNNNNNNNNNNNNNNNNNNNNNNNNNNNNNNNNNNNNNNNNNNNNNNNNNNNNNNNNNNNNNNNNNNNNNNNNNNNNNNNNNNNNNNNNNNNNNNNNNNNNNNNNNNNNNNNNNNNNNNNNNNNNNNNNNNNNNNNNNNNNNNNNNNNNNNNNNNNNNNNNNNNNNNNNNNNNNNNNNNNNNNNNNNNNNNNNNNNNNNNNNNNNNNNNNNNNNNNNNNNNNNNNNNNNNNNNNNNNNNNNNNNNNNNNNNNNNNNNNNNNNNNNNNNNNNNNNNNNNNNNNNNNNNNNNNNNNNNNNNNNNNNNNNNNNNNNNNNNNNNNNNNNNNNNNNNNNNNNNNNNNNNNNNNNNNNNNNNNNNNNNNNNNNNNNNNNNNNNNNNNNNNNNNNNNNNNNNNNNNNNNNNNNNNNNNNNNNNNNNNNNNNNNNNNNNNNNNNNNNNNNNNNNNNNNNNNNNNNNNNNNNNNNNNNNNNNNNNNNNNNNNNNNNNNNNNNNNNNNNNNNNNNNNNNNNNNNNNNNNNNNNNNNNNNNNNNNNNNNNNNNNNNNNNNNNNNNNNNNNNNNNNNNNNNNNNNNNNNNNNNNNNNNNNNNNNNNNNNNNNNNNNNNNNNNNNNNNNNNNNNNNNNNNNNNNNNNNNNNNNNNNNNNNNNNNNNNNNNNNNNNNNNNNNNNNNNNNNNNNNNNNNNNNNNNNNNNNNNNNNNNNNNNNNNNNNNNNNNNNNNNNNNNNNNNNNNNNNNNNNNNNNNNNNNNNNNNNNNNNNNNNNNNNNNNNNNNNNNNNNNNNNNNNNNNNNNNNNNNNNNNNNNNNNNNNNNNNNNNNNNNNNNNNNNNNNNNNNNNNNNNNNNNNNNNNNNNNNNNNNNNNNNNNNNNNNNNNNNNNNNNNNNNNNNNNNNNNNNNNNNNNNNNNNNNNNNNNNNNNNNNNNNNNNNNNNNNNNNNNNNNNNNNNNNNNNNNNNNNNNNNNNNNNNNNNNNNNNNNNNNNNNNNNNNNNNNNNNNNNNNNNNNNNNNNNNNNNNNNNNNNNNNNNNNNNNNNNNNNNNNNNNNNNNNNNNNNNNNNNNNNNNNNNNNNNNNNNNNNNNNNNNNNNNNNNNNNNNNNNNNNNNNNNNNNNNNNNNNNNNNNNNNNNNNNNNNNNNNNNNNNNNNNNNNNNNNNNNNNNNNNNNNNNNNNNNNNNNNNNNNNNNNNNNNNNNNNNNNNNNNNNNNNNNNNNNNNNNNNNNNNNNNNNNNNNNNNNNNNNNNNNNNNNNNNNNNNNNNNNNNNNNNNNNNNNNNNNNNNNNNNNNNNNNNNNNNNNNNNNNNNNNNNNNNNNNNNNNNNNNNNNNNNNNNNNNNNNNNNNNNNNNNNNNNNNNNNNNNNNNNNNNNNNNNNNNNNNNNNNNNNNNNNNNNNNNNNNNNNNNNNNNNNNNNNNNNNNNNNNNNNNNNNNNNNNNNNNNNNNNNNNNNNNNNNNNNNNNNNNNNNNNNNNNNNNNNNNNNNNNNNNNNNNNNNNNNNNNNNNNNNNNNNNNNNNNNNNNNNNNNNNNNNNNNNNNNNNNNNNNNNNNNNNNNNNNNNNNNNNNNNNNNNNNNNNNNNNNNNNNNNNNNNNNNNNNNNNNNNNNNNNNNNNNNNNNNNNNNNNNNNNNNNNNNNNNNNNNNNNNNNNNNNNNNNNNNNNNNNNNNNNNNNNNNNNNNNNNNNNNNNNNNNNNNNNNNNNNNNNNNNNNNNNNNNNNNNNNNNNNNNNNNNNNNNNNNNNNNNNNNNNNNNNNNNNNNNNNNNNNNNNNNNNNNNNNNNNNNNNNNNNNNNNNNNNNNNNNNNNNNNNNNNNNNNNNNNNNNNNNNNNNNNNNNNNNNNNNNNNNNNNNNNNNNNNNNNNNNNNNNNNNNNNNNNNNNNNNNNNNNNNNNNNNNNNNNNNNNNNNNNNNNNNNNNNNNNNNNNNNNNNNNNNNNNNNNNNNNNNNNNNNNNNNNNNNNNNNNNNNNNNNNNNNNNNNNNNNNNNNNNNNNNNNNNNNNNNNNNNNNNNNNNNNNNNNNNNNNNNNNNNNNNNNNNNNNNNNNNNNNNNNNNNNNNNNNNNNNNNNNNNNNNNNNNNNNNNNNNNNNNNNNNNNNNNNNNNNNNNNNNNNNNNNNNNNNNNNNNNNNNNNNNNNNNNNNNNNNNNNNNNNNNNNNNNNNNNNNNNNNNNNNNNNNNNNNNNNNNNNNNNNNNNNNNNNNNNNNNNNNNNNNNNNNNNNNNNNNNNNNNNNNNNNNNNNNNNNNNNNNNNNNNNNNNNNNNNNNNNNNNNNNNNNNNNNNNNNNNNNNNNNNNNNNNNNNNNNNNNNNNNNNNNNNNNNNNNNNNNNNNNNNNNNNNNNNNNNNNNNNNNNNNNNNNNNNNNNNNNNNNNNNNNNNNNNNNNNNNNNNNNNNNNNNNNNNNNNNNNNNNNNNNNNNNNNNNNNNNNNNNNNNNNNNNNNNNNNNNNNNNNNNNNNNNNNNNNNNNNNNNNNNNNNNNNNNNNNNNNNNNNNNNNNNNNNNNNNNNNNNNNNNNNNNNNNNNNNNNNNNNNNNNNNNNNNNNNNNNNNNNNNNNNNNNNNNNNNNNNNNNNNNNNNNNNNNNNNNNNNNNNNNNNNNNNNNNNNNNNNNNNNNNNNNNNNNNNNNNNNNNNNNNNNNNNNNNNNNNNNNNNNNNNNNNNNNNNNNNNNNNNNNNNNNNNNNNNNNNNNNNNNNNNNNNNNNNNNNNNNNNNNNNNNNNNNNNNNNNNNNNNNNNNNNNNNNNNNNNNNNNNNNNNNNNNNNNNNNNNNNNNNNNNNNNNNNNNNNNNNNNNNNNNNNNNNNNNNNNNNNNNNNNNNNNNNNNNNNNNNNNNNNNNNNNNNNNNNNNNNNNNNNNNNNNNNNNNNNNNNNNNNNNNNNNNNNNNNNNNNNNNNNNNNNNNNNNNNNNNNNNNNNNNNNNNNNNNNNNNNNNNNNNNNNNNNNNNNNNNNNNNNNNNNNNNNNNNNNNNNNNNNNNNNNNNNNNNNNNNNNNNNNNNNNNNNNNNNNNNNNNNNNNNNNNNNNNNNNNNNNNNNNNNNNNNNNNNNNNNNNNNNNNNNNNNNNNNNNNNNNNNNNNNNNNNNNNNNNNNNNNNNNNNNNNNNNNNNNNNNNNNNNNNNNNNNNNNNNNNNNNNNNNNNNNNNNNNNNNNNNNNNNNNNNNNNNNNNNNNNNNNNNNNNNNNNNNNNNNNNNNNNNNNNNNNNNNNNNNNNNNNNNNNNNNNNNNNNNNNNNNNNNNNNNNNNNNNNNNNNNNNNNNNNNNNNNNNNNNNNNNNNNNNNNNNNNNNNNNNNNNNNNNNNNNNNNNNNNNNNNNNNNNNNNNNNNNNNNNNNNNNNNNNNNNNNNNNNNNNNNNNNNNNNNNNNNNNNNNNNNNNNNNNNNNNNNNNNNNNNNNNNNNNNNNNNNNNNNNNNNNNNNNNNNNNNNNNNNNNNNNNNNNNNNNNNNNNNNNNNNNNNNNNNNNNNNNNNNNNNNNNNNNNNNNNNNNNNNNNNNNNNNNNNNNNNNNNNNNNNNNNNNNNNNNNNNNNNNNNNNNNNNNNNNNNNNNNNNNNNNNNNNNNNNNNNNNNNNNNNNNNNNNNNNNNNNNNNNNNNNNNNNNNNNNNNNNNNNNNNNNNNNNNNNNNNNNNNNNNNNNNNNNNNNNNNNNNNNNNNNNNNNNNNNNNNNNNNNNNNNNNNNNNNNNNNNNNNNNNNNNNNNNNNNNNNNNNNNNNNNNNNNNNNNNNNNNNNNNNNNNNNNNNNNNNNNNNNNNNNNNNNNNNNNNNNNNNNNNNNNNNNNNNNNNNNNNNNNNNNNNNNNNNNNNNNNNNNNNNNNNNNNNNNNNNNNNNNNNNNNNNNNNNNNNNNNNNNNNNNNNNNNNNNNNNNNNNNNNNNNNNNNNNNNNNNNNNNNNNNNNNNNNNNNNNNNNNNNNNNNNNNNNNNNNNNNNNNNNNNNNNNNNNNNNNNNNNNNNNNNNNNNNNNNNNNNNNNNNNNNNNNNNNNNNNNNNNNNNNNNNNNNNNNNNNNNNNNNNNNNNNNNNNNNNNNNNNNNNNNNNNNNNNNNNNNNNNNNNNNNNNNNNNNNNNNNNNNNNNNNNNNNNNNNNNNNNNNNNNNNNNNNNNNNNNNNNNNNNNNNNNNNNNNNNNNNNNNNNNNNNNNNNNNNNNNNNNNNNNNNNNNNNNNNNNNNNNNNNNNNNNNNNNNNNNNNNNNNNNNNNNNNNNNNNNNNNNNNNNNNNNNNNNNNNNNNNNNNNNNNNNNNNNNNNNNNNNNNNNNNNNNNNNNNNNNNNNNNNNNNNNNNNNNNNNNNNNNNNNNNNNNNNNNNNNNNNNNNNNNNNNNNNNNNNNNNNNNNNNNNNNNNNNNNNNNNNNNNNNNNNNNNNNNNNNNNNNNNNNNNNNNNNNNNNNNNNNNNNNNNNNNNNNNNNNNNNNNNNNNNNNNNNNNNNNNNNNNNNNNNNNNNNNNNNNNNNNNNNNNNNNNNNNNNNNNNNNNNNNNNNNNNNNNNNNNNNNNNNNNNNNNNNNNNNNNNNNNNNNNNNNNNNNNNNNNNNNNNNNNNNNNNNNNNNNNNNNNNNNNNNNNNNNNNNNNNNNNNNNNNNNNNNNNNNNNNNNNNNNNNNNNNNNNNNNNNNNNNNNNNNNNNNNNNNNNNNNNNNNNNNNNNNNNNNNNNNNNNNNNNNNNNNNNNNNNNNNNNNNNNNNNNNNNNNNNNNNNNNNNNNNNNNNNNNNNNNNNNNNNNNNNNNNNNNNNNNNNNNNNNNNNNNNNNNNNNNNNNNNNNNNNNNNNNNNNNNNNNNNNNNNNNNNNNNNNNNNNNNNNNNNNNNNNNNNNNNNNNNNNNNNNNNNNNNNNNNNNNNNNNNNNNNNNNNNNNNNNNNNNNNNNNNNNNNNNNNNNNNNNNNNNNNNNNNNNNNNNNNNNNNNNNNNNNNNNNNNNNNNNNNNNNNNNNNNNNNNNNNNNNNNNNNNNNNNNNNNNNNNNNNNNNNNNNNNNNNNNNNNNNNNNNNNNNNNNNNNNNNNNNNNNNNNNNNNNNNNNNNNNNNNNNNNNNNNNNNNNNNNNNNNNNNNNNNNNNNNNNNNNNNNNNNNNNNNNNNNNNNNNNNNNNNNNNNNNNNNNNNNNNNNNNNNNNNNNNNNNNNNNNNNNNNNNNNNNNNNNNNNNNNNNNNNNNNNNNNNNNNNNNNNNNNNNNNNNNNNNNNNNNNNNNNNNNNNNNNNNNNNNNNNNNNNNNNNNNNNNNNNNNNNNNNNNNNNNNNNNNNNNNNNNNNNNNNNNNNNNNNNNNNNNNNNNNNNNNNNNNNNNNNNNNNNNNNNNNNNNNNNNNNNNNNNNNNNNNNNNNNNNNNNNNNNNNNNNNNNNNNNNNNNNNNNNNNNNNNNNNNNNNNNNNNNNNNNNNNNNNNNNNNNACUCAUUUUCCGUUCCAUUUUUAUGGCUUUUUCAGUGCGAAGAUGGAGCUCAGCUUCUCUACGGCCUGUAAAUGUUGCGGAUACUGGUGCUGAUAUUGAGUGUAGAGAAAUUUCGCUUCUUCAAAGUCCAACUUGUUUAAAUGCAAAAAAAGAAAAGAAACGGACUUGCUGCUGCUUGGCGACUUGUUCUCGGAGCUUGAUUGCCUGUUUCUUGAUAGCUUCCAUACUGUUUCUUUCAAAAAGCGACGACGGCUCAGCUCGUGGAAGUUGGGAAAGAAAAAAAGUGUGAUCGAGAAAAAUAAAAAGGCAUGAAUAAUUGUUGACAAAAAGCGAAAAUCAAGGAAAGCCAGCUCUUUCCAGAAAAUAAAAAAGAAAAAAGAAAAUUAUAAGUUUGAAAGGAGAAGAUGAUAGUGGAAGUGUGCGGUGUGGCUGCCAGCUACUAGGAUUUUACUGUUGGGUAAGGUAAUAGUAGAGAAUUUUUUUUUUUUUUUUUUAAGAAAAAUAGUAGAGAAUUUUUUAAGAAGCUAGAACAGAGCAUGACAUUAGACUUUUGUGGACCAAAUUCAAAACCGAAUGGCACGGCCCAGAAGCUUUUGAAUAGCAAAACUUGCAUCAGCCUCAAUCACUUCUUAAUCGCUUGCUUUAACUGCAUCGCUCUCUCUGUGCUCUUGUACAUAUGUAACGGUUAUGCGGUUGUAGUUCACGGCUGAGGCUACGCGUUGGUUUGACGUGGCAGUUACGUGACAAGGGGAUAAAUAAGAUUGGUUGCAACAAACCCACUAAUUUUAUAAAAUUCGAGUAAUAUAGAAUAAAAUAAAAAAACAAAUACAAAAUUGGCUUUUAUUUUUUAUGGUUGACUGUAUUUUGUGUUCUCUUCCGGCACUACUACAAUUGUUCCCUAUAUAUCAGUCACACCCAUAUAUCAUUAACACAAGAAAUGAAAUCUAAUGUCACCUAUUUAGUUAAAAGAAUCACUCAUGAAAAAAAUUUACCAUUUUGAUUUGAGGAUCCAUAUUUUGAACUGCAAGCUAAUGUUCAUCAAGAAUCACUGAUGUUCAUAAAAAUCAGAGUAUGGACGUUGAGUAGAAAAACUAUUUUUGGACAAAUUAUUUUUGUUGAUAGAAGAAUUUCUUAAGGGACUACUAAAAUUAUUAAUAAAAAUGUAUAACACACCCACAUAUCAUCGACACAAUUGACUUUGAGGAUCCAUGCUUUGAACUGCCGCCAAAUGUUCAUCAAGAAUAGAGUAUGACUUGUGUGUAGAAAAUUUUAUGAUUUUGGCCCGAAAUAAAAGGAAAUUAAAUUAGAUGAGAAUCUGCCACUUCUCAUGAAGAAAGGCUAAAUUGUUGAACUGCUGCUUGGCAACAUAUAUCACUCUAACUCAUUAAGAAAAAUAUGAGUCCUAAGUAAUUGCUAGGUAGGGUUCCUGAGAGUAAAAUUGUCCUAAGCAUUAUAUGCAUACAUGGUGUGGUACAUAGAGCACGUUGAAUUCCACACUAUAACACAAACUCAGAAAGACAAGUAAUAACUCAACUGAUAUAAAGACAAAAAGAAGAUAAAAUGAUAUAGAAAAAAGAAUUUCAAAGAGACAGCAACAGACGAUAGACUGAAGCCACUUGAUCUGCUCAUUGAUUGCAGCCUUAAACUCGCAAAUAGUUACUGUACGCUAGUGCUCUAAGAAGUGAAAAUGAUGCGAGCCCUGAUUCCCUUUUGACUUCCAUUUACUGUCAAACAUUCUAGUUCCAGCAAUUUUUUUUUUUGAUAUCUCGCUAUAAAUAUAGCCGUUUGACUGUCAUAAUAAAGUCACAAAUAACCAUUCAUAUUGAUCCACUGUCACACAGCAUGCUUUAUGCAUACAACAGCUGUAUGUAUACCAACUCCUAACCUUAUCAAUACAUUUGGCAAAAACUUAAGAAGAAAACUAUUUCUCCAUCUCUUUUUUGAAAUUUCACAAUAAACCAGCACAUUGUAAACGUUAUGUUGUAACCUUAUGAUAAAUGCUCUAGACUCCAAAUGAAUUUUAUAUAUGAGGGUUUGUUGCAGCAGAUAUAUUGACUUAUCAAGUAUGAAUCAUUCUCUAGAAGAACUAUCUUUAUAUGAAAGAAUAUUAGAACCACUCUAGAAUAUCUUUAGGCUGCUGGUUCUAACAGGAAUCUGCAUGUGGCAACAGUUGCCAGAUCCACAAUUCCCCAACUUGAAAUACAUAGUUGCACACCGUGAGAUAGUGCUGCAAUCUACUGAGAUCUUACUUAUAUGAUACUUUAAGCUACUAAUGUUUGCAUAUUUCUACAUGUUAAAUUGACACUACCAUCUAUAAUCACUCCAAAACAACAGAUGAUAAGCAGCUUUUGGCCACUUAUUACUAGCAUCCACAAUUAUAAAUAAGAGAUCAUGGGUUUACUUGUUGCACCUACUUAAUGAUCUACAGUUGAGACCCUGACGCAAGGUUUAAAUAGUGACUGCUUAGAACCCUUGUAGUUGGAUCUUGACCUCUCCCAUUGUAGCCAAGAUUGGCUACUCUGGUAAUGAAUCAACACUCUCCUGCUCAGGGCCAUGAAGAUCUGGAAGCUCAGCACUAGUGGAGAACUUCACCAAUCUCUUCUUCUCAGCAUACUUGAGAUAGGCUGCAUUACGAGACCAAUCACCACAGCACCAACGCUUAAAGCUGCAACUUUUAAAGUAGAAAGAGCCAACACAACACAAAUCAAUAUGGUUGGAGGAAUACACAUGAUAAUGGCUCCAACAGUGCCAGUGGGUAUCUUGUAAGGACGAGAUAAAUAGUAGAGAAGUUUUUAAGAAGCUAGAACAGAGCAUGUUAGACUUUUGUGGACCAAGUUCAAAAGCCUAAUGGAACGGCCCAGAAGCUUUUGAAUACAAUAACUUGCUAGAAAGCUCCAUUUUUUGUUGGCUACAGUAAAAGGAUGUUGUUUUAUUCUUCUUAUACUUUACGCCUGCAUCAGCUUAAAUCACUUCUUAAACGCUUGCUUUAACUGCACCGCUUCGUACUGCUCUACAUAUGUAACCGUUAUGCGGUUGUAGCUCACGGCUCAAGCUACGCGUUUGUUUGACGUGGUAGUUACGUUAUGACGUUUCGAGUCUGUUAAACAUUCGGUGAUAAGAUUCGUUACAACAAACCUACCAGUUUUAUAAAAUUCAAGUGAGAUGGAAUAAAAUAAAAAAUAAAUAUAAAAUUGGCUUUUAUUUUUUAGGUUGACCAUAUUUUGUGUUCUCUUCGGGCACUACUACAAUUAUUCCCUAUUUAUCAGUUACACUCACGUAUCAUCGACACGAAAAAUAAAAUCUAAUAUCACCUGUUUAGUUAAAGAAUCACUCAUGUUUGAACUACCAAUUAAUGUUCAUCAAGAACGGAGUAUGGCCGUUGAGUAGAAAAACUAUUUUUGGACAAAUUAUUAAAUUCCAAUAUUGUAUCCAUAUGCAAACGAUGCCUGAAGCAGAGCCUCCAAACACUGACCAGGGCACAAAACAAGAGUGUAGUAAUCAAGUGUAUUGUCUCAUAAUCAAUUAAAAGCAGAUAUACAGGAUACCAUAUUCAAUUCCAAAAUAACAAAAGCAUAAUGAGGAUGAGAAGAACAAUGCAAGAUUUGUUGUCGUUUUAGUUGCUUCUAAUAUUUUUUAUGACGCACAUCUAUUGAAUUAAGAGAUUUCUAUAAUCAGUGCCGCAGUACUGAAAAUAAACUACUUGUCAGUCAAAUAGCUGAGUAUUUCUAUGAGAAUGUCAUUAUUAAUGAGUGUCAUUAUCUAUUCAAAUUAAUCAGUGUCAUUAUCGACUUAUUUAUAAAGACAAAAAGAAGAUAAAAUCAUAUAUAUAUGAAAAAAAAAAAGAAUUUCAAAGAGAUAGCAACAUACAAUAGACUGGAGCCAUUUGAUCUGCUUAUUGAUUGCAGCCUUAAACUAGUAAUUAGUUACUGUACGCUAGUGCUCUAAGAAGUGAAAAUGAUGCAAACCCUGAUCCCCUUUUGACUUCCAUUUACUGUCAAAUAUUCUAUUCAUACGAAAAAAAUGUUUAGAUAUCUUACUAUAAAUAUAGCCGUUUGACUGUCUUAAUAAAGUUACACACAACCAUUCUUAUUAAAUUAGCAAGAUCAAACACUGCCCUGGAUCUUGAACAGAUCCACGCAAGUUGCACAACUUACGAUUGAAUCCGGCCAGAAACAAUCAACUCUUUAGUAAGAACAAUUAAUCAGAGUCAAGAAACAAGUUUAAUGAAUAUAAACCUAUAAUUGAAACAAACAUAGCCAAGAAACAAAUAGAGAUUUUACAUGUUUCAGUUGUACCAAGGAUGGCACAACCUACACCACGGGAGAAGCUUUCUGGUGACCCCAAUCUGCUUAGUUAAUAAUAGAGAUUUCAGAGAAUAAGCUAUAACCCUCUCUCCCUCUUCAAUCUCUCUCUAUUUUGUUCCCAUUGAUGACCCCAAUCUGCUUAGUUAGCCAGCUUUAUAGCUGCAUCAGUAACAAACCAGCAAACCCAGAUUGAGCAGAUUGACGACACGUGGAUAACGGCUUUAACGAACCUGGUUAAGAACUGCUCACAUGUUCGUCACGCGUACUGCUUAAAUGAUGGCCAAAACGACUUCAAACAAAUGUCGUUUUGAGGCUUAUGAAUUACAAGUGAUAACACGAGCUUGUCUCAUGACUUUUAAAUGCAACAACGCGCCCAAAACGCCGUCGUUUUACUCUGUUGAGUUUGAUUCGUUACUAAGCUUUACGACUGGCAAUGGAGAAGAUGAUAAUUUAAUUAACAUGGACAGUUUUUAUAUCACUUUUACAACAUCCUAUGCAAUUGUGAUAUUGGGAAUUAUUGAUGUUUUAUAUGUGAAUCCUCAUUGGCAAAAACUGAGUGGUUUUAUCUUUAUUGAAAUGUAGAUGACCUCUCGUUACUAUUUUAUUANNNNNNNNNNNNNNNNNNNNNNNNNNNNNNNNNNNNNNNNNNNNNNNNNNNNNNNNNNNNNNNNNNNNNNNNNNNNNNNNNNNNNNNNNNNNNNNNNNNNNNNNNNNNNNNNNNNNNNNNNNNNNNNNNNNNNNNNNNNNNNNNNNNNNNNNNNNNNNNNNNNNNNNNNNNNNNNNNNNNNNNNNNNNNNNNNNNNNNNNNNNNNNNNNNNNNNNNNNNNNNNNNNNNNNNNNNNNNNNNNNNUCAAGUUAAUUUGAUCCGUUUAUAAGAGAUGAAGUGGAAUGAAGUUGAAAGUCUUGAGUUUUACGACGUCGUUACUCCUUCAAGUGGCAGAUUAUGCAAGUGAAUGCAGAAACACAAUGCAUCAUCCGCGGGGAUGAUACAUCAAAAGGCGGGAUUUGUUUAUGCCUGCAGAUUAGCAAUUUCACUCAUAUAGAAAAUUAAUUUUUUAUAUAUACUAAUCAACACUAAAUUGAUUAUGUGUUGUAUGUUUAUAUGCUACUCAACACGAAAUUAUAUUGAAUUAUUAACAUUCAUAUUCCUAAUAAAAAUUAUUUUCCAUCAGUAUUCAAAAUUUUCACUUAUAGAAAAUGCGUUUUACGUGAAUACUAGUUAUUGUGUAAAUUUGAAUGAUAGCGAAAAAUAAACCUAUUUGAAAACUGUAAGGGUGUGUUGGGAUAUUUUACAACUGUCGGAAUCUGGUAGGAUAUUGCACCAUUUGCCCAAUAUUUUUAGACGUACUCCAACCGGUAUUCAAGAUAAGUAAAAGUUACAAGCGUGGCAAAAUAAAAAAUUAAAUUCGUAAUUUGUAAACGAAUUUUCCUGACAUGUAGAGUAGAUGAAGUUGUUGAUCCUUUCUUUGGAUUAUUUCAGCUCUGGUUGUUGGUCACCGAUGAGCCGAAGUCUUAUUUUAAUUUUAUUUAAACUCAUCAUAAGAUUCGUGGAGCACCUAACUAACUUAACUGACUGUGCAGAGCAUCUCAACAUGGCACAUUUAACCAUCAUUCAAGUGAUAGGUUUAAUAAGACUGCUUUUGUUCUAUCAAGUUCCUCUGCCUCUAAGCAGAAUUACUAUUGAAGGGCCAAAUGGAAAAUGAAAACGUGUGAACUCCAACAACCACCCCACAAAUUCAAUGACGAUGCUCGGAGAGGGUUAGGUUGGGCCUCUGAGAAAAAAAAAAAUAUUUAGUUAAAAAGUUACCCUUAUUGAAACCUGUAUAAAAAUUUUAUAUUAAUUAGUUAUGUUGCCUCUUCAACUAUGAUCAAAUUUUUAUCCGAGCUCAUCAUUUAAUGAGUAAACAUGUAUUUUAAGGGUCCGCCUAAGUUACGUUAAACGUAACUUACGGCUUGGCUGUGAAAUUUCAUCCAGCCCCCCAUAUUCGCUGUUAUUUAUAUUAUAUUCAUAAAUAUUAUAAAAUUUUUUGAUUUAAAAAAUUUCAUUUAACCCCUUACACUCAAUUUUAUUUUAUUAAAAUCUUAGAGUAUGAAUUCGCCCCCUAUAAUUUUAAAUUCUCAAAAUAACCUCAUUUAAUUAAAAAUUUUAAUUAUUAUUAAUUGAAUUAUAAUUAUAAUUAUUAUUUUAUUAUAAUCAUAAAUAUAUUUAUAUUUUUUAAAUAGAUUAUUAUUAUUAUUAAUCACAAGAAUAAAAAGUAUUACAAUUAAUUAAUCUAUUAACAAUAAUUAAUAAUAAUUUUCUAUUAAAUUAAUAAUAAUUAACGAUAAUUAUUAUUAAUAAUUAAUUUUUGAAAAUUAAUGAUAAUUGUUCAGAGUCCUAGGAAUGCCAAUGCCCACCUAGGCUUAGCUAGCAAAGUAGCAACAUACCCUCAUCACUGAUAUUAAUUGCAGUACUACUUAGUGCCAUAAUUGUCCAAGUCCUUGUUAGUUUUGAGAAACGUGUGUUUCUGAUUUUGUUAAAUCUCUUGUUUGGUUAACAAGAAAGCUAUUGCUUUAAUUUCUUUUGCAGCUAGAAGUGAAUGCAUACAGUAUGAUAUAAAUAUCGGGCAACUUGUUCAGAGUCAGUCACAAUCUAUUAACGAUAAUUGUUAAUUAUUAUUAUUAUUCAAAAAUUAAUUAUUAAUAAUAAUUAUCGUUAAUUAUUAUUAUUAUUAUUAACAAUUUAAUAAAAAAUAUUAUUAAUUAUUGUUAAUAGAUUAAUUAAUUGUAAUACUUUUUAUUCUUGUUAUUAAUAAUAACAAUAAUCUAUUUAAAAAAUAUAAAUAUAUUUAUAAUUAUAAUAAAAUAAUAGUUAUAAUUAUAAUUCAAUUAAUAAUAAUUAAAUAAGGUUAUUUUGAGAAUUUAAAAUUAUAGGGGGCGAAUUCGUACUCUAGGACUUCAAUAAAAUAAAAUUGAGUGUAAGGGGUUAAAUGAAAUUUUCUAAAUAAAAAAUUAUUAUAAUAUUCAUGAAUAUAAUAUAAAUAACAGUGAAUAUGGGGGGCUGGAUGAAAUUUCACAGCCAGGCUGUAAGUUACGUUUAACGUAACUUAGGCGGACCCGUAUUUUAAUGAUCUCAAUUAAUAUUUAGAACAAAUAUUUUAAGAAGUAAAGCUCAUUAUAUCCCCCAUUAUUAUGUAUUUCUUUAAUUUCUUAUUUACAUAAUUAUAUUGUACAUUAAAAAUAUAUUGAAUUUGAAGAGAAAAAAAUUCAAAAAAUUCAACUCACUCAAAAAAAAUGCUGGUAGCUUCGUAAUAAUUACUGUAUUGACUGCACCAGAUAAAGUUUUGUAAAAUAAUAAGUUCUCAUUAGUGGUUUUUCGUUUUUUAUUUUCUUUUCCGGCACACCUGAUCAAGAAUUCUAUUUUGUUAACUAAUCAAUUGCAAAGCAUAAGUGUUGAACGGUACAAAAAGUGAAAACUAUGAAUAAUAAUUAUUCCUUAUUAUAUUGACUGCACCAAGCAAUAAACUAAUAAGUUCUCAUCAGUGGUUUUUAAUCUUUUUAAUUCUUUUUACCGCACACCUGAUCAAGAAUUCUAUUUUGUUAACUAAUCAAUUGCAAAUCAUUUAUUAGUGUUGAACGGUGAACAAAAUUGAAAAAAAAAAAAAUCUUAAAAAACGUAUAUUCUUAAAAAAUUCUUAACUUGCAAGGCUAGAAUAUCUUGACUUGAACGGUUGCAAUGAUUUCUCAUCAUUGAGAGUUUAUCAUUGUGCUUCAUCAUCAUCAUCAUCAUCAUCAUCAUCAUUAUUAAUAAAAAGGUAAGCAAUUAAGAGUCAAAUUAAACCACUUGAAAAUCACUCAUCCACACUUUUGGGACAUCAUCUGCUCAUUUAUUUUAUUCUGUAUCUUCAUUGUUUUAUUUGAUAAUUAUUACCAUUAGUAAAUAAAGGGAUUAGUUGAUAAUUGUGAAGUAACUAAAUGGAGCUCACCCUUAAAUGUCGGCUUAUAUGAAGGAGGUGCCUUAGGGAUAAUAAAUCAACUAAUCCCAUAAUUUGUUGAUGUAGGGUCCUAACAAAUUAUUGCUGUAGAUCAGCACACAGCUUGAAAACAUAUUUGAUUCACGAGAAAUGUUCCAGUCAGGAAUUUUAAAGUGCAGGAAAAUACGGAAAACCUUUAAAACCGCAUGGUUUUAAAGGCUUAAAACUGUAAGCCUUUAAAGCCGUGUGGUUUUAAAGCUUUCCCGGACUUUCCCGCACUUUAAAUUCCCUGACCAGAAAACUACUGUUUGAUCCACACAGUGAAGAUGAUUCAAUAUUAAGCAUGUCAUAUAAUCUGGAGUUGGAUAUUGGACCAAUUUGAUGAUAAUGAAUUUCUUUCAAUCUCAAUCUUUAUCUUAUUCGCAACAUGACUAGCCAUUGCGUAAAUUCAAACUCUAACAAUGAUAAGUUUGUGAUAAAGGCAUCUAUGAGUACAAUGGGAAAAUUACAUGAACUUAUGUUAUCAAUCAUUGUUUUGCCUUCUCGUGAUAGAAUUCUGUGCAACAUAAAACAUGAUAUAUUUGUACCUUACCAUGCCGUGUCGUGAACCUAGAAGCAGUGCAAAUUGCAAGGAACAUAUUAAGCUAUCUACUGUAUAUAACAAAUUCUUAUUAGCCCACAAUCUUGUGCCGCCACAUUGAUCAAGUAACACUAUUAUAUCAUUUCCAAAAUGGCAUAUAUAAUCUAAUGUUGAACUAACCAAAUUGGGAAUCAUCAUUCCUUACAUUAAGCUGACAUUCGUACCUGCUAGUCCAUGAGCAAAGCUGACAUUUGAAAUCACUUUCUCUUGGAAUAUUUAAUGACCCUUGAUGAAAGUUCUUGAAUGGAAUUAUUUAAUUUGAUUUGAUUUCCAACAAAUUCAAGAAACCCCACACAGUAGCUAAAUAAAAAUCAACCAAUAAUACGCAAUGGGUUUCUUUCUUUUUGCCUUUGGAGGGCCAUGGAGAUCUGGAGUGGGCUGUAAGUAAUAGCCUUUAUCACUGGAAUGACAGAUUUGCAGAAGAUGAUACAUGGGGAAGGAUUGGGCGAGCAUAAAAAUGGGUUUACACUCUUGGAUUAGCGCUGUUGAGAAUCAAAUAAAAUGGCAUUGAAUGAAGCUUUCAAAGACAGAAUCUGCACUUGUCAAAGGGGUAAUCUACACUUGUCAAAGACAAGAUCCGCGCCGAACGGAUUGACACAUUUCCUUCCGUAUUCACAUAUAUAAUCUAUGAAAAAAUGUAGCCUCUGCAUCUAUAAAUAACUCUCAAUGUAUAAUAUUUUUUUAAGAAAUGAAAACACGUUUCUUCAUGGUAUCAGAGCCAUGAAUACGCUCAACUUUCUUCAAGUUCCGCUGCUCUGUUUGUAACAAAAACAGAGGAAACCAAAUUCCUCCCACAACCAUUUUUCCCACCAUUUUCUUUCUUAAACCCAUUCUUACCAUUACACAUAUCCAUGCCGAUCAAGAAACAAGCCACCCAUACGUAAAAAACUCGAGUUUUCAAAUUUAUCAACAAUCCCAUCAAUUUUCCAAGAGUGUGCUCUUCAAAAACCAAGAACACCAUCAAAUUUCUCAGUUUUCAGUGAGGAAACUGUAAACAUUUCGCAAUUAAACACAUUUUCACGCGCUCACACGCGCCACCCGAAGCCACGGCCAGUCAACCACGCGCCUCUGUCAUUAUUCACGCGCUCUCACGCGCUCCAAAGGUUGAAGAAGACUUCAACCGACAUGUCGUUUUUUAUCUCAGAAGUGCAGCAGUAAAACACGACUUGUCGUUUUUUUAUUAUAUUACAACCGACAAGUCGUUUCUAAAUUAGAGAUAAAACGACGUGACGUUUAGUCUCCAGAAGUGCAGCAGGAUUCAAACGACAUGUCGUUUAUAUUCCACCAUAACCGACAUGUCGGUUUGUCAAGCAGUGGUCAAACGACCUGUCGUUUUGUUAUCUAAAAAGGUUAUUUUUUUCCUUCUUUCAAUCUAGACGAAAAAAAAACAAAAAAAAAAAAGAAAAAAGAGAAAAAAAAGAAAAAUAAAGAAAAAUAAAAAAAUAAAAAAAUGGAGAAAACUCCAACUGAAUCUAGUCCUGUUGUCAUUCAAUCUGAUGGAGUAUUUAAUGCUGGAAUUAUCCUCACUGAGACAAACUACGAUGUUUGGUCUCAAAUAAUGGAGAUGCAUCUUGCAGAAAGAGAAAAACUCUCAUAUAUUCGUAGCAGCACAAAGCCAUCUGAGGAAUUUUCAAAGGAAUAUGAGAAAUGGUAUAGUGAGAACCAAAAAGUAAAAAGAUGGUUACUCAUAUCCAUGUCUCCGGAGAUCAUGAAGCGGUAUUUACGAAUUCCUACAGCCUACGAAAUCUGGGAUGCAUUAUCAAAAGCCUUCUAUGAUGGAAGCGAUGAAUUACAAGUUUUCACUCUAAACCAGAAGGCAUUCUCUACCAAGCAAAAUGGACUACCACUCUCUAAAUUCUAUGGAGAAUUGAUCGAAAUAUUUCGAGAACUUGAUCACCGAGAUAAAGUGGUCAUGAAGGAUCCAGAAGAUGUUGUAAUAUACAGAAGGUCUGUUGAAAGAUUGAGAGUGCACAUUUUUCUUGCUGGGCUAGAUGAAGAAUUUGACCAAGUUCAUGGAGAAAUUCUACGAAAAGAUAUUAUCCCAGACUUAGAAGAAUGUUAUUCUCUGAUCCGAAGAGAAGAUGUACGGCAAAGCAAACUAAACAAGAAGGUCGACUCAGAAACGUCUGCUAUGAUAGCACGACAACAGCCUCAAAGAAAGUUUGUUGACAAGUCAUCACUCCAUUGCACUCAUUGUAGAAAGAAGGGUCAUACGAAAGAACAAUGUUUUGAAAUCAUUGGAUAUCCUGACUGGUGGGAUACUUGAAAGAAGAACACCAAGCAUGGAUCAAAAAGUGCAGUAGCUGAAUCCACAUCCACUACAGAUCUUAGAAAAGAAUCUUCAGUACAAAUCGCAACCGCUGUCAAUCCAGGUAAGGCCCUUAAAACUCUUACACCUGUUAUUAAUAGUACAUGGAUAAUUGAUUCUGGGGCAACUGAUCAUAUGACUUUUGAUUCUCGACAAGUUUCUCAACUGAAAACAUCUUCACAAAAACAUAUUUCCACUGCAAAUGGAACCACAACCUCAGUUAUUGGGGAAGGAUCUUUACGACUCACAAAUGAAUUAAAUUUAGACACUGUGUUAAUUGUUCCAUCUUUAGAUUAUAAUCUUUUAUCUGUGUCUCAAUUAACCACUUACUUAUCAUGUGUUUUAAUUUUUUGGCCUGAUCAUUGUGUGUUUAAGGACAUCCAAACGAAGCAAACGAUUGGUUAUGGUAUUAGACGAGGUAACUUGUACUACUUGGAAAUGUCAUCAACAAACACUGGAAAGCUAAGCCCCGCACUAGUCGCAGAUAGUUUCAUAAAAAAAGGGCAAUUAGAAAUUUGGUUAUGGCAUAGACGUUUAGGGCAUGUGUCAUUUGGUUACUUAAAAAAACUAUUUCCUAGUUUGUUUCUGAAAUUUGAUGUUUGUAACUUUAAAUGUGAUGUUUGUGAACUUUCAAAAAGCCAUCGAACUACUUUUCCAUUGUCCUUAAAUAAAAAUCCAGUUCCUUUCAUGGUAGUACAUUUCUGAUGUAUGGGGGCCAUCUAAAGUUUCUACAAUUGGAGGUGCUCGUUGGUUUGUUACAUUUAUUGAUGAUUGUAGCAGAAUGACAUGAUUUUUUCUGAUGAAAUCGAAAGACGAAGUAAACUCUUUAUUUCAAAGAUUUCAUAAGAUGGUGACAACUCAAUUUCAGACACAAAUUCGAGUUCUACAUACUGAUAAUGGAGGCGAGUAUAUGAGCACAGCAAUUCAACAGUUUCUGAAAUCACAAGGAUCUGUCCAUCAAACCACUUGUGUGGGGACACCCCAACAAAAUGGCGUUGCCGAACGAAAAAACAGAUAUUUACUAGAAGUUGUUCGAGCAUCACUAAUCCAAGCCCACAUGCCAUUAUCUUAUUGGGGAGAAGCACUGGCAUCCGCAGCAUACUUGAUCAAUCGAACACCUUCAAGCUCCCUUGGAUUCCAGACUCCUUUCCAAGUUCUGAAUGAUGCAAUUAUGUCACCAAAUGUGCCGAAUCUGCCCCCACAUGUGUUUGGCUGUGUUGCCUUCGUUCAUUUGCCGCAAUAAGACAAAUUAUCUCCUCGAGCGCUACGUUGUGUGUUUGUAGGGUAUGCCUUACAUCAAAAGGGAUACCGAUGCUAUCAUCCACCAUCAAGAAAAAUAUACAUCACCAUGGAUGUCGUUUUUCAUGAAGAUAUCAUGUACUACUUGUCAGAGUCUGAAUUUCAGGGGGAGUAUAAUGAAGAGGAAAUUCAUACUCUUACUUGUCUUCCACCUGAAGAAAGUCAAUCUUCCAUUGAGAUAGUAAACCUUCAAGAAACUGGAAAAGAAAAUGGUGAUGAUUCUCAGGCUGAGAUAAGUGAAGACACAUUUGGGGAGCACAAUAACUCAGACACAACUGCAAUCGAGAAUGAGUCACAUGAAGAAAUACCUAACCAAUCGUCUGCAGAGGAUGUUCCUACCACAAGUCCAAUAAGAAGAAUUCUUCCUCAGCGUCAAAAUAGAGGUAUCCCUAAACCCACAUAUGAGCCUGACUUCUCUAGUAGAGUCAAAUACCCUAUGAGUCAUUUUGUGUCUAACCAUCGCUUGUCAGAAUCAAAUCAGUCAUUUGUGAAUCAAUUAUCUGCUGUAUCUAUUCCUAACAGUGUGCAGGAAGCUUUAAAAGACCCAAAGUGGAAAGCGGCUAUGAAUGAUGAAAUGAGAUCUUUUCAGAAAAAUCAAACAUGGGAACUAGUUGAUCUUCCACCAAGAAAGAAACCAAUGGGUUGUCGAUGGAUUUACACUAUAAAAUACAAAGCAGAUGGCUCUAUUGAACGAUACAAAGCAAGACUCGUAGCUAAGGGUUACACCCAAACCUACGGGAUUGAUUAUACUGAUACGUUUGCACCGGUAGUAAAAAUUAAUACUAUUCGUAUCUUAUUAUCAUUAGCAGUCAUCUUGGAUUAGCCAGUGCAACAGUUCGAUGUAAAGAAUGCUUUCCUCCAUGGAGACUUGUCUGAAGAAAUUUAUAUGGAUCUGCCACCAGGAUGCAGUGGACCAGAACGACUCAAUCAGAAAGUAUGCAAAUUGAAGAAAUCAUUGUAUGGGUUGAAGCAAUCCCCAAGAGCAUGGUUCGGGAAAUUCACAAAGGCUAUGGUUCGUUUUGGGUAUAACCAAAGCAAUUCAGAUCAUACCUUAUUCAUUAAAAAACGACAAGGUAAAAUCACUGCCCUUAUUGUCUAUGUGGAUGAUAUGGUAGUUACAGGCAACGACGAGGAAGAAACAGAGGCUCUUCAGAAGUACUUGUCAAGAGAAUUUGAGAUGAAGGAUUUAGGUGCCUUAAAAUACUUUCUUGGAAUUGAGGUUUCUCGAUCCAAGGGAGGAAUCUUUCUGUCUCAAAGGAAAUAUGCCUUAGAUCUAUUGCACGAAACGGGAAUGACAGCUUGUCAGCCUAUUGACACCCCAAUAGAAGAAGGACUGAAGUUUUGUAUUACUUCAGACCAAGUUCCAGUAGACAAAGGAAGAUAUCAAAGGCUGAUUGGAAGAUUGAUGUACUUGUCCCACACAAGGCCAGAUCUUGCUUAUGCAUUGAGUGUUGUAAGUCAGUUUAUGCAUAAUCCCGGAGAACAACACAUGAAAGCAGUAAUGCGGAUCCUGAGGUACCUGAAGACAAAUCCAGGAAAAGGAAUCCUAUUUUCCAAAAAUGAAGAUUACAACAACAUAGAAGUUUAUACUGAUGCAGAUUGGGCCGGGUCAGUUAGUGAUAGACGCUCUACUUCAGGAUACUUUACCUUUGUGGGAGGCAACCUUGUCACAUGGAGAAGCAAGAAACAAAAUGUCGUUGCCCGUUCGAGCGCUGAAGCAGAAUAUCAAGGCAUGGCCCUUGGGAUAUGUGAAGGGCUAUGGAUAAGUUUUAUCUUAAACGAUUUGGGCUAUCCAUCACAACAACCAAUACAACUAUACUGUGACAACAAAGCUGCACGAGAUAUUGCUCAUAACCCAGUUCAACACGAUCGAACAUUACAUGUGGAGGUAGAUAGAUUUUUCAUCAAAGAGAAAUUAGAUGAAAAAAAUUUUUGAAAAACAAAAAAUAUUAUCAAAAGAUCAACUAGCAGAUAUUUUAAUGAAGGCCNNNNNNNNNNNNNNNNNNNNNNNNNNNNNNNNNNNNNNNNNNNNNNNNNNNNNNNNNNNNNNNNNNNNNNNNNNNNNNNNNNNNNNNNNNNNNNNNNNNNCCUAGACAAGUUGGGUAUGCAAGACAUCUAUGCACCAGCUUGAGGGGGAGUGUUGAGAAUCAAAUAAAACGGCAUUGAACGAAGCUUUCAAAGACAGAAUCUGCACUUGUCAAAGGGGUAAUCUACACUUGUCAAAGACAAGAUCCGCGCCGAACGGAUUGACACAUUUCCUUCCGUAUUCACAUAUGUAAUCUAUGAAAAAAUGUAGCCUCUGCAUCUAUAAAUAACUCUCAAUGUAUAAUGUUAUUUUUAAGAAAUGAAAACACGUUUCUUCAAGCGCCUCAUUUAGGUUGUAGGCUUGUAGCGAGAUAAAGAUAUUAAUUAAAGUUUUAUAAUCCCUGUUAUGAUUAAGGCUUCACUUAGUAUAGCAUAGAGCUUUUUGAGUUUUACAAGUAAUUUUUUUUUUACAGGUAUAAUUUUUAUUUUUAACAAAAAUUAAUUAAAUAAUAUUAGAAAUCCUAAUAUUUGAGUCCUAAUAUCAUAUAUCACUCAUUUAUUAGAUGACAUAUUUCAUAACUUAUAAAAUUAUUUAACUAACAUCCAAUUAAUGAAUGUUACUAUAGUGAAGACUCAAAUUGAAAUUUAAAUGUUGGGUUGCGUGACAUUUCUCUUAUUUGGUUGUUUAUGAGAGCUUUCUUGUACAAAAUAAUUUUUAUACAAAUUGAUAUAGUCUAAAUUCAUUAAUUAAAUUAAAAUAUAAAAUAAUAAAAAUAAAUAAGUUUGUAUAAGAAUAAUUAAUUCUUUAAUCCAUCUAAUUGAAUUAUCCUAUGUCUAUUUAUAUUAAAUAAAUUUGUAUAAAAAAUUAUAGUUUUGUUUUUAGAUGUGCAACUAAAUUUUUAGUCUCUUAUUCCUCGUAAAAUUCAAAUCUGAGUGGCUCAUCAAAUAAAAUUACAACUACUGGUUAAUCAAAUAAAGUUAUUCCAUCGAGGUCAUGAAAUUUACCAGCCAAAAGAGUUUUAAAUGUCUAUUUUAUAAAUUUUUUAAAAAUUGUUUUAUUUACCAUUUUACCAUCCGUAGUAAAGGUGUCGCAUCGACAUUGAACAGAUCAACAUAUCAGUCAUUUCUCAUUCAGCCAUUAGGAAUUUACGUUUGGGGUAUUUUUGUAAUUAUAAGAAGGUAAACUAAUCGCAAAACUCAUUUGGCUUGCACUUGCUCGCCUGUGCUCUGUGUAUGGUUAUGGCGUUAUCAUUAUCAUCUUCUCCACUCCUACUGACGCCAGACCUUAACAGUUCAGAUUCCCUUUCUCGACUGUCAUACCCUACGCCCCGUCUCCGUGUCUCCGAUAAACAGUGCUCAAUUAAGGCCAUCAGAUUAUCCCGGACCCACAUUGAUCCAACGGCUCACAGUGACCAACAUCCUCUCUAUCUCCAUUUCAAGCUUCCCUCUUCAACUGGCUUCUGCUUCUGUCGUACUCUUUCUUGGAUUCGGAGUCCGUAUUUGCUCGGUCGGUCCGCACAGCUCCCUCUCACUCCAAUUGUCACCCAACAAGACCAAUUGCUUAAUCAAGGCACAGAGCAAGGAGAGGAUGAGAAAUUGAAUCAAGAAUUUGAGAAUUGGAAAUCGAAAACGUACGCAUUGACCCUGCCUGUGAGAGUCGUUUCUCUUCAGAAUUCAGUGCCUCAAUCCUGGGUUAAGGAUUUUAUGCGAAGUCAAGGAAAGAGAUUGAAGUUUCAGAUGAAUUUGUGUGCUAGCAUUGAUGGGAUCGUUAACAAUUUAUCUGUGCCCUUUAACAAAGUUAAGGCUAAGUCAGCUUCUUAUAUGGCUGCUGAUUUGGUUAGUGUUGGUGAUUCAUGGCUCAGCUUUGCGAUUAAAAAGAGAUCGAUUGAGCCAAUAGCUGGAGCUGAAGGCCAAGAUUGGUUCAAAUGCUUCAGUCACAAACGGAAGGUAACAUCUUUGUCUUUGACCCGAUAAUUUUUAUUGUCUUACAUUGAAAUUUGGUAAUGUAAUUUGUUCUCUAUUUGUGUUACCCUUUGUAGUCGUUUUAUUUAUUUAUUUGUUUGUUUAUUUGCUUUUAUUUGCACUAACGAAGUCUCAGGUAUAUCUACGCAGGAAUGAUGCAGGAGAAAUUGAUCCUCGAGGUGAAAUAUGGGCGGCACCAUACAGGUGGGGCACAAUGGUGAUAGCCUACAAGAAAAGUAAAUUUUGAAAGCAUAAUUUGGCUCCGAUUGAGGUAAUAACUGUCUUUAAAGUCAUUUAGUUUUAUAUCAAACAAAAUCAAGGUUGCCUUUCUCGUCAAUAUUUUUGAUGAUAUUAUCUUCUACAAAUGGAUCAUUAAACUUCUUUUUUGUAGUCAAAUGUACAGUAAGAACAAUGAGAAGCUAUGCCACUGUAGCACGUAGUGAUGGCACUUAAUAAGUGAGUUGCUAGGAUGUGAACAAGAAAAAUUAAAUAUUGUCUCCUUGGGUAUGCUAGCUCGUAAGUCAGGGUUAAUAUUAGAGCUUAAGAUACUAUAAACAUGCGAAACUAUUGACUACCAAUUAAAAUAUCCAUUAAAAUGUCUAGGGAGUUAUGAAGGUAGGGAUAUCUUCCAAUUUCUAAGGCCACAUAGUAGACAUCAUCCAGGAUCCUAGGAAAGUGCGGUUGAUCUCCUGCUUGAUGCAGUUAAUAAAUUUGGUCAAUGCGACUGAAACCUGCUAACUGACGUCGCAAUGCGACAUGAGCACUUCAAAAUGGGAUAGACAGUAGCACUAAAUUUUUCUUGCCUAAGAUUGGGCAAUUGGUCUAAAUACUAACCCCUAUUGUAAGUUGAUCAUUAUUUUUUCAAUUAUGUUCAUUUUGACCCAAAAGUUACACAAUCUUGAUCUGAAUAUUGUCACUGAACACUGUCAAUGUCGUUUAGCAUUGGCAACUAACUCGAGUUUGGUAAAACAAACACACACAGUGUGUCUCAUGUCUCACAAUUCAAAUUAUCAUCUGUACUGAUGGAGAAUUUUUCUGAUGUAUGAAGUAUGCUUUGAUACGUAGGUUAGCUUGGAGAAGAUAUCUCAAAAUAAAGAAUAUGGGGAGCGAAUGGGAAGAAAACAGUUCGGUAGUUUAUGAUUCUGUAGUCAAGUUUUGUCUCGAAAAUGGUCAAAAUUUAAAUGAAUGGACAGGGGAUCUUCAUUCUUUUUUCACUUCUUUAUACCGAGAUAUCUCUUAACCUUUAUAUAAUCCCCACUGGAUAUCUGCUUCUAAUAAUUAAAAUAAAAAUUUCAACCACACCAAUAAAUAAUCAUCUUAGAGUGAGACUAUCAGUACAACCCAAAAACAUAAUAAAACUGGUUUGGUUCUGUUUGUUGAUGUUUAAAUGUUGUUCAUCGUGACAUGUAGAAAUGAUGAGGUGAAGUUUCUUUGGCCAUCAAAUAGUAAGAUCUUGCUUGAAGUUGUUUUCUGAAAUGAACAGUCAAAUGGUAGUUUUUUUGGGCCAUUCGAUGGCUCUUUUCUUCCUCAUUUUAAACUUGUGCCUGCUUGGAACAGGAUGGAUUAGGCUGCAGAGUUAUAUAUUUUGACAUGCUCUGGUCAUUACACAAUUUGUUCAUACUGGAAAUUAGGAUGAGAAAUUUGUUGCUGCUGUUUUGAGAGAUCUGCAUUCUAUGCACAAACAUGAUUAAUGAAAAUGGAUUGUAGGACUGGAAAGAUCUGUGGCAGCCUGAGCUCGCAGGAAGGAUUUCAAUGGUUAAUUCUCCCCGACAGGUUAUUGGUUCAGUUUUGAAGUCUAUGGGAGCAUCAUACAAUUCAGACGAUAUUGAUUCACAAGUUGCUGGUGGGAAGAUUGCUGUUCAGCAGAAUCUGGCAUUACUGGUAAACCAGGUACUCUUAAAGAAAUGAUAUCUGGUCAUUGCAUGUUAUUGCCUGACAACUGAUUUUGUUUGUAAAAGUCGGCUUCUUCAUACAUAUGAAUGCAUUUUUUUGUGUUUUCUUCUCCUUUUCAUACAUAUGAAUGCAUAUGUUAGUGUUGUCUUUUCCUUUUCAUACAUAUUAAUACAUAUGUAGAUUUCUUCAUCAUUGUAGCCUCCGAUUUCUUCAUCAUUGUAGCCACCGAUUUCUUCAUCAUUGUAGCCUCCAUAGUUGAAGUUUCCUCAUUUGAAGCUGUUUAUGCAUAUGCUUUUUCCCUUCUCAAGUACAGGAAAUUGAAGAAUUAACCAGAUGUGAUAUGCUGAAAGAGUGAAGUUUUCUCCCUUGAAUGUGGCCUUGUGAUUUGUCUUGAAGGAAUAGGAUGAUCACUGGCAAGAACCCUAUCAAGGUAGAUUUUAUGGUGUUAACAUAUUUUUAAGCAUUUUGUUACAUCAGCAAUGAUGCUUUCAUAGCAUGAAAGUGUUUAAUUUAACUGACUGAUCUUGAUUAAUCAAUUAUGAGUUUUAAUCGAGUAAAAACUAAAUACAAUCAUCGUCAACAAAUUCUGAAAUUGGGUAAAUAUCAUCUUGAUAUUGAAGAAUUUGAAAACACAAUCCACACAGGAAAUCACCCUUCGCGUGGGGAUGGAGAUGUUUACUGCAACGAUAUCGAAUAUGUGCACGGUGUUGUCCACUGAAACAAUGGAAAAAAUUAACAUAGGGGUAUUUAAAUAAUUAAACUCAGACCUCUUUGUAUAUGUUAUCCUAACUUUACUUACCCAUGUUUGUAAUUUUCACUUAACAGUUGAUGCCUAAACCAUUAAAACCAAAUGACCAUAGGGGUAUUUAAAGUAUGUAAAAAUAAACAAAAACACGUAAAAAAUUUCAAACAAUUAAUAAUUACACUCUAAAUGUACCACUUAACUCUUAAUAAUAGCCAUACUCUAAAACAAUCUACAACCUUUGAGGGGAGUAGCUAUGAGGAAAAUCCUUUUCUCAGUGGAUUGCCAUUGUCCGAGAGUUGCAAUGAAAAGAGACCACCAGCAACUGAGCCGGAAGAUUCAACUAGCACUGAAAAAAAUGAUAAUUUAAUUGAUAUGGACAGUUUCCAUAUCACUUUUAAAUCAUCCUAUGUAAUUGUGAUGUUAGGAAGCAUUAGUGAUCUGUAUGUGAACUAUUAUUGGCGCCAUUGGUGGUUUUAUCUUGUUAAAAUAUGGAUGACUUCCAGUUACUAUUUUGUAGUACACAAUUUUAUUCAAUUAACAUACAGCUUAAAACCAUUAUGUAUGUGCUUUAUUAAGAUUCUCAAGUACCAAUCACGUUUGCUUAAGAAAUAAAAUUUUGCCAUUAAAAGCGUAGUAAUAUUUCCAAGCGCUUCGCAUUUAUCUCAACAUUUUGAAGGAAUUUUGAGAAAUAUACUUUUAUUUACUUUGUCAAUUAAUUAAUUAAUUAAUUACUAUUUGGCUUGGAUUGGACGAAAUUCUCAUGAUGUUUUAAUUUCUUUAAAUUAAUUAAUUAAUUAACUCUGUUUUUAAGUCUUAAGUCUGGGCGUGUUUGCAGAAUUUGAUUCCUUCAACGAUUUAGAAGUGUUGGACAUGAGUGGCAAUGAAAUCGACAAUCUUGUGGUUCCUCAAGGUAAACAAUUAAAAUAUUAUUCAAUUACAUUAUUUUAAUUCAUUUGAUUAGGGAAGGCCAAAAAGGUAAGAAAAAAUUAAAUAAAGAAACAGAGAAUUUGUAUUAUUUAAAAAACAGAAUGUAAUAAAGAUUUGAUUCUAGUUCUUUAAUCUUUAAAGCGAUUGAAAAACAAUGUUGCUCUUUUCCCAAAGCAUAAAAUACGAAUUGAAUGCCAAUUAACUUAAUCAUUCAUUUCGUUUAGCUCUAAAUUUAGACAAUGAAUUUUUAUAUUAUUUCAAAAACAGGACGCAAUAGAAUUUUUUUUAAAAACAGAUUGUAAUAAAGAUUUGAUUCCAAUUCUUUAAUCUUUACUGCGAUUGAAAAAUGAUACUACUUCCCAAAGCAUAAAAUACGAAUUGACUCCCAAUUAAAUUAAUCAUUUAUUUCGUUUAGGUCUAAAUUUAGAAAAAUGAAUUUUGAUUCUCUUCAAUCCUUUCCUAAUUAUUAUUAAUAAACAGGUUAUAGAGGUUGGAGGAAGCUGAAAAGCCUGUAUCUAUCGGGAGUUGGAAUUAGAGAUGGAAGCAAGUUGUUACAGUCAAUGGGAUCAUUCCCAUCCCUCAACACUCUUUACCUGAAGCAUAAUAAUUUUACCGAUAUAGCGACAACAACGAACUAAAUGCAGAAAUAACUGAGUCACAUUCUUUGACCGCCCCAAACUUCCAAUUAUCACGUCUCUUGUUGUCUUCCAGUUACGGAGACAGUUUCAUAUUCCCCAAAUUCCUUUACCAUCAACAUGACCUGGAGUAUGUUGAUCUCUCACACAUAAAGAUGAAUGGAGAAUUUCCAACUUGGUUGUUGGAAAACAACACAAAAUUGAGACAACUUUCUCUCGUCAAUGAUUCUCUUGGAGGACCUUUUCGGUUGCCAAUUCAUUCACACAAGCGGUUAGGAAUGUUGGAUAUGUCCAACAACAACUUCCGAGGCCACAUUCCAGUAGAAAUUGGAGAUGUUUUACCAAGUUUAUACGUUUUCAACAUUUCCAUGAAUGCUUUAGACGGUAGCAUUCCCUCUUCAAUUGGUAAUAUAAAAUUCCUCCAAAUUCUGGACUUAUCCAACAAUCACUUGACUGGUGAAAUCCCCGAGCACUUGGCCGUGGGUUGCGUCAACUUGCAGUCUCUUGCAUUAUCAAAUAACAACCUACAAGGUCAUUUGUUCUCUAGAAAUUUUAACUUGACAAACUUGCAAUGGUUACAAUUGGAGGGCAAUCGCUUCGUAGGUGAGAUCCCACAAAGUUUGUCUAAAUGCUCCCCACUAGAAGGAUUGUAUCUUAACAAUAAUAGUCUUUCGGGUAAGAUUCCACGAUGGUUGGGUAAUCUCACAUGGUUACAAUAUAUUAUAAUGCCCAAUAAUCAUCUUGAAGGCCCUAUUCCAGUGGAGUUUUGUCAGCUUGAUUCGCUUCAGAUUUUAGACAUUUCAGACAACAACAUAUCUGGAAGUCUACCAUCUUGUUUCCAUCCUCUCAAUAUCAAACAAGUUCAUCUUUCAAAAAAUAUGUUACAUGGACAGCUAAAAAGAGGUACAUUCUUUAAUUGCUCUUCCCUUGUGACAUUAGAUCUUAGCUAUAACCGCUUGAAUGGCAGCAUUCCGGAUUGGGUUGAUGGGCUUUCUCAGUUAAGUCACCUUAUCUUAGGUCACAAUAAUCUUGAAGGUGAAGUGCCAGUUCAAUUGUGCGAAUUGAACCAACUACAAUUGUUAGAUCUUUCUAAUAAUAAUCUUCACGGUCCUAUUCCUCCUUGCUUUGAUAACACCACACUUCAUGAAAGUUACAGCAAUAGUUCUAGUCUUGAUGAGCAAUUUGAAAUAUCUUUUUCCAUCGAAGGCCCUGACGGAGAUGUAGAAAAGCAAAUCCGUGAAAAUUUUGAGUUCACAACAAAGAACAUUGCGUACAUUUACCAAGGAAAAGUGCUUAACCUCCUAUCAGGACUUGAUCUUUCUUGCAACAAGCUAAUCGGUCAUAUUCCUCCUCAAAUUGGAAAUUUGACAAGGAUUCAAACAUUGAAUCUAUCGCACAACAACUUGAUAGGAUCGAUCCCAUCAACAUUUUCAAACUUGAAGUAUGUCGAAAGUUUGGAUCUUUCCAACAACAAAUUGAAUGGAAAAAUCCCUUAUCAACUAGUGGAGUUAAAGACAUUGGAGGUUUUCAGUGUGGCAUACAAUAACUUAUCAGGCGAAAUUCCAGAAUGGAAAGCACAAUUUGCAACCUUCAACGAGAGUAGCUAUGAGGGAAAUAUUUUUCUUUGUGGACUGCCAUUGCCCAUUUGCAUAUCACCAGCAACUACACCGGAGGCUUCAAUUGACAAUGAAGGAGAUGAUAAUUUAAUUGACAUGGACAGUUUCUUUAUCACAUUUACAACAUCGUACGUAAUUGUGAUAUUCGGAAUUGUUAUUGUUUUAUAUGUAAAUUCUUAUUGGCGACGUAGAUGGUUUUACUUUGUUGAAAUGUGGAUAACUUCAUGUUAUUAUUUUAUUGUAGACAAUCUUAUUGCAACAAGAUAUUGUCAUUGAAAUUAAUUAGCAGUUUAAUUACGAUUCUUUAAGUUCUAAUCAAGUUUGCUUAGAAAAUAAAUUAAUUUUUAUUUUUUAUUAAAAUUGUAGUAGUAUUUAGCGCUAUAUAGCUUCCAACUUCCAAGCACUUCACAAUUGUCUCUACACUUCCAAACCCAUAUCUAUCCACCAUAACUUAUACUUCCCUAUACUGUGCAGCAUACUUAAAUAACAGAACCAUCUCCAAUGUUAAAACCAGCCACUCUAUAACAUUCAUUUAGAAACUAUAUUUAGAAUAGUUUUAUAAUCAUACACAAGAAAUGAAACACCUAGAUGCACUUGAUCGCCUAUUUUACUUUAAAAAAUAAUGAUUAUGGUGCUAUCAUCAUCUUCUUCACUAGCGUCAUUAACACCAAAUCCAGCGAUGGACCCAGACAUUUUAUCAAGAAAGGUAUAUAUAUAAUAAAGUUGAAGCUUGACAAAAAAAUUCAGGAAGAUUGAUGCCUCGCCACAACAAGGGGCACACCAACAUCAAAGUAGAGAUGAAGCAAUAUUCUCAAAGCUAAAACUCUCAAAUCCACGCACCAGAAUUUCAUAUCUCCUCAACAAUUUAAGAACUAAAGAUAAUUAGGAUCUAACAUUAGUUUUUUAUAUAUUAGUUUCAUAAUUUACAAAUCAACGAAGAUGAGGAUUAUGCUAAUGAAUUCAAAUUAUACCAUAGAUUCUCGAGAUGUUACCAAAAAUUUCUAAAGUCAAUCCCACAUAUUUCAUAAUUUUAAGACUAGAAAAUUUCAUUAGUUAGAAGUUUAUUACCUUCAAGUGGAAGAUGAAGAACAUUAUACAAUUGAUUCAGAUUAUAUCAUACAUACUCCAAAUGCAACUAGAAAUUAACAAGUUCAUGCGCACAAAUUUCAUAACAUUAUGAUUGGAAAGUUUCACGAAGAGAAAUUCUAAAUUCAAUCUCUUGCAUCAUGGUAGUUUGAUUGAUUUGAGUUACUUUCUCAUCAAGCUACUAAUAUAACAUUCAAGUCAGGGAGAAAGUAAAUUAAAACUGGGAAGAAAUAACAGUAAAAAUUUGUUGCUAAAAAUGAUGUGUAUUUUUUUUUGAAGGCAAGUUGGAAACACAGUUGUUACUACAGAUAUUCUCCUCAACUUAGAGAUAAAUACAAAUAUUAAAAUGCAUAUGAUCGCACAUAUUACUUGGAGCUUAGUAAGAUUUCAUUAAGAGAAGCAAUCAAACCACUUAUCAAUUGUUGCAAUCGUUCUAUAAGCUAAAAUAGCAAUAUAAUACAAGAAAAAGAACAUAUAGAUACUUGGCAAGAGUUCAUUAAGAAGUCGCAUCACAUUCGGGUGAGUUUGCUUCUGAUAUCUUGCUAGCUGGGGCUUUUUCUUGUCUUUCUAUGUAUGCCGAGGGAAACCAACCAGCUUGGCCCUUGCAUUCACCUUCCGACCAUCCAGUAGGAGCCACCUUGAGAAGUUAUAACUAAAACAGUGAAUUAAACAAAAGUUGACCGUUCGAAGACCUAAGGGGAAAACUAAUUCUUUUACGUAGGAGUGAAUUAGUUGUGAUCACUGAAAUAACAGCAUAACUAUGGAAGCAUAACAAGUUAAAAAUUCACACGUCUAUAAGGGUAAACUGGGUGGUUUAGAACUGAGCUAGCAACCCUACUAUAUUCUGAUUUGCACUUCAAUGUAAAAGGGAAUAUAUGGUAGGAAGAAAGAAAACCAACCAUCAUUUGUUAACUCAUUGCUUUUCAAUCAAAAUUUUAAGAACAAAAUGCCAUGUGCUUUGAACAUCAAAUAAGUAUAAGCAUUAGUUCUAAAUUCCACAUAUCUUAAGUUAGAAGGAUAAGUUAAUAGCAUAGUAGAAAAAUCUAUGUGUUGUUAUUUAGAGGGGAAAGUACCUGGCGAACCACAACAUAAUCAUCAAUUGAAAGACUUAGCUCUCCAUUUGCUUGAGCAUCAAAUGGAUGUAUAACCUGCAAGAUAAUGGGAUAAAUAGAACUUAAUCUUUAAAAAAGCAUAACAAAAGCAGCAACAGUAGCAGCAGUGUUCAUUGUAACCACUAUGAUCAUGGCCAACAAAGAUAUAUUAGAAACAAAAUUCCAUUUUUACUACGACAUUAAUAUGUACUAUAUGAUAUCAUGACGAUUGGGUUACCAAGAGCUAUCAAAGUCCAAUAAAUUCUGUAUAACUUUAUGUAGUUAUUCAAAUUAUGGAUCAGAUUUUAAAUCUGAAAUUUUGACUGCUCUCCACAAAACAUGGCCUAUGCACAAGAAAGUCAUAGAUAAUGAGGAUUACAAGUGUCUGACAUCUUUUGAGUGAUGGAUUUAACAUGAGAGCUUAUGGUCAGUCAAUUUCCUCUGCCUAGCAAUAUAAGCUUUCUCGGCCAGAUUUAUCAUCAAAUACAUAGAUUGCCCCCAAGUCACAUCCAUAUAAACAUAGUUUUUCUAGGUAAACCAGGUAAGGAGUAUCAUAAUUCAGACAUAAUCAUAAAAAGGCCCAUCUAACUUAAGAGAAAAUCUCAAAAAGAGGGAUGUUGAGCUAUCAGUCUUGUAUCUAUAAGCAAUAUCAAGACUUUACAUCACCUGCUACGUCGUGAGUGGCUACACAACUUUCAGUGGUUUGUCUUUCUUUGGCAUGCCUAACUCAGCUUUGAUGUUGCUGAGAUAUUGAUAGUAGAGACACAUGAUACUUCUAGCUCAUGCAUUCUAUCUAGCUCAUCCGACAGCUAUCUCUUUUUUAAUUCAUUAGUGUUUGCUAAACCUCAUGCUUAAAAGUCCUGUUGUUCUAAACAAAGUUUCCUAAGAAUGACUUCCUCAGCACCACAUUUGGACACUUUUAGAGCAAUUUUAUUUGGGGGGAAAGAAUUUUCAAGGUGUUAACUAAUAAAUUUUAAAAAAUAAUUAUAAUUUGUCCUAUGAUUAUAUGACAAUUUAUCUGGGAUGAAAGGAUACAGACAGACAUCUUCCACUUUCAAGACUAAUCACUACUUCUGUAGAUGUUUUGCAAUAAUACAAAUACUUGACCAGAUGGUAGUGAUGGUAGAAAAAAAUUUUAUUGCUCCAAAAUUAAAAUAAGAAUGCAAUAUGUUCAGCAAAAGACUGUGCAACAUCAAAUUAAUUGAUAAGUUUGUAAUUCAGUAAAUUAACAACUUUCAUGGUAAAAUACAACAAAUUUCUUUUCAAAAAAAAAAAUCUUAAAAGACAGCAUACAAUUUUGUGCGCAUCUUAUUUCUUAAGAUUUUCCAGGAGGGCAAUAGAGGGACUUUCACCUAUGCAAGAGAGCAGAAGCCUUACUUUCGCUAUAAAGUAGACGUCAUUCUGAUUAAUAUGCGUUUGCAAAUCAGCUCCAUUUGAAUCAGUAUUCUGAUAGACACAUGAGGCAUUUACAUCCAUUUCCAAAGUCACAUGUUACGACUAUAUUUGAAGAUUGUUCUAUAGUUAGAAGAAAUGCCAAAUGAAUGAACUUACUUGACCUUAAUGUAAAAUGUUAUCACAUGCAUAAGUGAGACGAAAAUGAUAAAUACAAUAUUAUCAGCAGUAAACAAGAAGAGAACACUCCAAGGAAUAGAUAGAUGCGGAUGAGUAAUAUGAGGAACUCCGGUGAGUCUCACCCGAGCAACAAUGCCCAACUUCUCUAACUUAUGAUGAUAUGUUUUCUCAGCAUCUACCUGCAAAGGCCCGAGACCAGGAAAACAACAAUAAAACCACUAGCUAAAGGAGAAAGUAAAGAAAGAAAUACACUUGACAUAAAUCUUGACAAGAAGCACAAUUUAAGACAUAACAAACCCCAAUCAUAUUGUUUAGAACUACCAUUCGUUAUUUCGUUAUUGUAGCAUUUCGAACAAGUGUUGACUUAAUUCAACAUUGUUGGAAAGAUAGGCUUUUAGAAGCGGAAGAAAGCCACUCAAACCAAAGUGAUUGUCCUUGUAUUGGUCAAGGGAUGUAAACAUAUUACAUUUGCAGGAUGAGUUUUAAUCACUCCCCUGAUUUAUUUGGGUUGCAGUAAAACUAAGCGAGCAACUGUUUGACUUUCAAGCAACAUCUAAAUCAGCUAUUAAAAUUCAAAUAAAAUUAUAAUAGAAUAAUAACAGGCCAUCUUGCAUCAAAAAUUAAGUUUAGUUUGUGAAUUUUUUUCUAUAGACAUGUUAGUUCCUGCUAUUGAAAUGUUAAAAGCAUUGAAAAAUUAUUCAAUAAAUUAUGCAAACAUUAAAAUAGAGGACAUAUUAAAAAGUUUCUAAUUACAAUGUUAAGAUUUCCUAUAUUUUAGCAUUUGCAUAUUUUAAUUUAUUUAAAAGCUACGUCGAUCAACUUUGGGCGUGAAGAUUUUAGCUUCUACGAGACUUGAUUGGAAUAUGCAUAAGGAAGAGUGUUAAAAUAUGAUGCAUCCAACGAAAGACAAAUGACACUUGGACCAACAUGCAAUCAUGAAGUGGCCAGAAAAAGGACAAAUGCAACUUUGGCUUAAAUAAAAAAUAACAUGUGACUUGACUUUUGCUGGACAUGCAUCAUGUUAUUACAAGACAACAGAAAUCAGUAUGAUAGUACUAAAAGUUCACAAUAACAUGAAGAUAAGAGGCAGAAUGUCAACAAAUGCAUAGGCACACACAAGAAAGUAUUAACUUAUAUACCAUAGCAAAAAGUCUUUGAUAUGUCAUCUGUUGCUGCUGUGAUUCAACUGACAGCAUGGCAGCUGUCGCUUCUCUACCAAGAGCCAUUAUUGUAGAUUUAAGCUCGGUCAAUCUUGCUUCUGCAUUUCGAAGCUUCACAGCACUCUCUGCUGAUAUAUCAGAUUCCCUAAUCUUUGAUCGGCGCCUAAAUACUUCAGCUGCCUGGUGAAAAUAUUCAAUGUAAAUCUAACAUAAUUCUAAUCUUGCCUUAUACAUGCAUAUGUUAACUCAAAGCUUACCUGGGCUUCAACUUCAUGUCGAAGUUUGUCAUAACGAUGAGUCAAGAAAAUAUCUUAGAACUAAGUUUCCUUAUGAGAAGAUAAUAGUUUCAGUAGUAAUUUACAUAUAAUUUUCUAUAUUUGAAUUAUUUUCUAGUUAGGGAUGAACUAACCUGAUCACGAAGAAUCCCAAGCAAAGUUUCCCUCUCAUUUUCCAUCAAAUCAUGUGAAGUGCCAAAUUGAAGAGCAGCUCUUGCAACGCAAGAAUUGUCACUUUGAUUCUCCACUCCAUACUUGCAACAAUCUUCGGCCAACUUUCUCGCUACAAUAUUUGAAUACAAAAAUAUUGUACACAAGAACUAGUCAAGAAAAAAAAAAUCAAAUAUUAUAACGAGAGCAAGAGCAAACUAACAACCUAUUUCCAUUUGUUUCAAGCUUACUGCAACAAACACUUCAACGCCACGGACAACAUUCCUCUGAAAAUGCUGCGCUACAGAGCAUAUAUUCCAAAUCAUUGUUCAGAUAAAACCAUACAAACCAUCAUAAUUAUUCAACAUACAUUAAGCUCCGUUUGGUAAAUACUUGCAACUUCAGUCUAGAAAAUACAGUUAAUUUUUAUUUAAAAAACAUCAUAAUUAUCAACAUACAUAUUUGACAAAAUUAUUAUUUAAAAAUCAUAACUAAUUACCAAAAGCCACAAUAAAUCAAUAUCAAACAGAGUCUUAUUAUUAGCUAAAGGAGGAUGGUGCCUUAGCUGCCCUGGUGGAAUUGUAUAGAUUUUGAAGUUGUUGGUGACACUCAAGUUCAGCUUCAUCAACCGCAACAUUUUCAAUGCCAAGAUGGAGCAGAUGCUUCAAUACUGCCUGUACAAACCAUAAAAAACUAAUGAAAAAUAAAUAAAAUCGAGAAAUUUCACUAAUUAAAAAAGAAAAGAAACGGACUUGCUGUUGAAAACAGCAGCUGUGAAGAGUCAAAGAUUGACCUUGAAUCCAAGCUGGCAUGCCACCUAAGCUUCUGUAAUCUACAGCCAGCUGACAUGGAAGAUGAGUCAGGAUUAUUGAGCUGGCAGAACAGCUGUGCUGAAGAAUAUCAGCACAUAAGCAUGGAGCAGCUGAAGCUUCUAGAAUUCUAAAAUGAUUGGCUCAUGAUUGGCAGUCUGACAAAAUUAGUUUUUCUGUGUAAUAUUCUUUAUUAGCUGUCAUUAUUUUCUUGUCUCUAUAUAUACUACAAUUGCUCUGUAAUACGUCAGUUGGGUAAGCAAUAAUAAAAGGAAUACUCUGUCUUGUUCACUCUGCUUGCAAUACUAAGCAAUUCUUUAGAAUUUAAGUUGGUAUCAGAGCCAUCUUUUAGCUAUGGCAAGCAGCAGCGACAAUGAAACAAAUGUUAAUCCAACACAGGUUGAUUCAAGUGAUCAACCAGACGAUUUGAAUCAAAACACUGAGCCACAAAAUCCAGGCCUUAACACCAGAAACACAGCACAAAUAAGUGCAUCACCAACCCAGCAUAUCACCAGCAACACCUAUGUCUUUACUACUCCAAUCAAACUAACUCAAAGCAACUUUAUGCUCUGGAAAUCACAAGUGAUUUCUAGCAUUAGAGCAAAUGAGCUUAAGGGGUUUAUUGAUGGCAGCCAUGUCUGCCCUCCUAAGGUCUUCAUGAGUCCUGGACCAAAUCGAUCCACCAUUACCACACCUAACCCUGAAUACCAGAUUUGGAGGAAACAUGAUCAUAUCCUAUUGAGUUGGCUACUCUCCUCUCUAAGUGAAGGAGUACUAGGCACAGUGGUAGAUUGUUCCACCUCCUGUGAGGUGUGGACAACUCUAGCCAACCAAUUUGGUGCUAGAACAAGGGCAAGAGUCCUAUAUCUCAGAACUCAAAUUCAAACUACUAAAAAGGGUUCAUCAACCAUUCACGAAUACUACUCAAAAAUGAAAACUUUAUUGAACUCACUUAGAGCUGCAGGGAAUAACAUGAAUGAUGAUGAUUUCAUCAUGUGUGUGCUUGCUGGUUUGGGGACAAAAUAUUACUCAGUAGUUACCAACAUCAACUCAAUGCAGGAGAGUCCCUCGAUCUCGGAAGUAUAUGGUAUGCUCUUGAGUCAAGAAAACAGAACUGAGCAAAACUUGAGCUCAGGGAACAUUGAAGCAAACUAUGCUCAAAUGAGGAAUGGAAGAAGGAGCUGGAACAACAGUGAAAGAACUACACAUCAGCAGCUGCCUGGAAUUGUUUUCAGAAAUCCUGGAAACAACCCCACGAAUAACCAAACCAAUCAGAAUCCUCAAGACAAAGGAAAAGGAAAAGCAGUGGCUGAUGACAGUGGUUCUGACCCAAAAGGGCCUUGUCAAAUCUACUGGAAAAUGGGACACACAGCAGCUGAGUGUUGGCACAGAUUCAAGAAGAACUUUGUACCUCAGCCAAACAGAAGAAGAGAGCAGAGAGGUGCUUAUGUUGCUGCAGCUGAAGGUCAAAGUAGUGGAGCUUGGUACCUUGACAGUGGUGCUACAAAUCAUGUGACUAACUCUCUUGGAAAUCUCAGCAUCAACUCUGAAUACCAAGGUAAAAACAAGCUAGCUGUUGGUAAUGGUGAAAAGCUUUUGAUUAGUCACAUUGGUUAUUCUGCUUUGCCCACAUAUGAUCCACACAAGCACAUCACCUUAACUGCUAUACUAUGUGUGCCUGACAUAACCAAAAACCUUAUUAGCAUUUCUAAAUUGCUGCAUGACAAUGAUGUUGAUGUUGAGUUUCAAAAAUCUGUUUGUUUUAUUAAGGACAAGAGACAAGGGAAAAUUCUGGUGAAAGGAGUGGCUAGAGAUGGGCUAUAUGAGCUGAUGCACUUACCUGCCAUCCUGAGCAGGAACAAAAAUCCACAUGCUGUUUUGUCUUCUAUUCUGUCAAAUUCAGAGUCAAUGAAUAAUAAUAGUUGUCCAGUGUCCAUGUUGUCUUUCAAUUCAAGUAAUGAGUCCGUCAAAGUUAGUGUCGAGCCAAAUAUAGCUGAUGAGUCAAGAAGCAACAAUCUGCAAGCUGCUGAAGAAACUGAUGUGUGGCAUUCCAGACUAGGACACCCUAGUACUUCAGUCCUGAAAAACACCUUGUUAUCUUGUAAUCAGCUCAAAAUUAAUAAAGAUAUUGUUCCUUCAUUUUGCUCAGCAUGCCAAUAUGGAAAGCAAUCAAAACAAUCUUUCAAAAGCACUGAAACCAAAACUAAGACAGCCCUUGAACUGAUUCACACAGACCUUUGGGGACCAGCACCAAUUCUAUCCACUCAUGGACACAGAUAUUACAUCUCCUUUGUUGAUGACAGAACAAGAUACACAUGGCUCUUCCCUUUAGCAACCAAGUCUCAAGCUCUUGAAACCUUCAUUACCUUUAAAAAUCAGAUCGAAAAAUAAUUGAACCUAACAAUCAAAGCACUACAAACAGACAUGGGAGGAGAGUUCAGAGCCUUUGAACCAUAUUUGAAAAGAGAGGGAAUAACUCUAAGGCAUUCAUGUCCAUACUUACAUGAACAAAAUGGCAAGGUUGAGAGAAAACAUAGACACAUUGUGGAGACUGGACUUGCCUUACUUGCCCAAGCCAAAAUGCCCUUAAAAUUUUGGCAAGAAGCUUUCAGCUAUGCUAUCUUCAUUAUCAACAGACUUACCUCACCUGUGCUAAAGAACAAGACACCAUUUGAGUUAUUGUAUUCUUUCAAACCAGAUUAUACACAAAUUAAAAUCUUUGGCUGUGAGUGUUUUCCAUUUCUUAGACCAUACAACAGACACAAAUUUGAUUUUCACACUUCCAAAUGCAUCUUAUUGGGGAUCAGCAGUGCUCACAAAGGUUAUGUUUGUAUGAACAGUUCAGGAAGAGUUUAUAUCUCAGCUAGUGUCAAAUUCAAUGAAAAAUCCUUUCCUUUCGAAAAUGAUUCUAGCUUUAGGAAACAAGAGUCAGUAAAGGAAGGUGAUGAAAUUGCCUUACUUGAAAAAUUCCAGGUUGUGUCAUUCUCUGUCAACAAUCCCCAUGGUCUCACACAAGUGGCAACAUCUCAUAGCAACUCUCCAGACACUACUGGAAACACAGAAUGCAUCCUAAGUCCAGUCCAGAAUGAAAUGCAACAGGUAAAUGAUACUGACACAAUAUCAGGUAGCCUUUCAACUCACAGUCCACCUCACAUUACAGAAAUAAACAGCCAAAACCUUCCCACACAAAAGGCCUUGCCUUCACACCCCAUGGUAACAAGAUCCAAGGCUGGGAUCUUCAAACCAAAGCUGUACCAGGUUUCCAGUAAACCACAACCUUCUCUUCCCAAAAACACAUUUGAGGCUUUGAAGGAUCCCAAGUGGAGAAAGGCAAUGAAGGAUGAGUAUCAUGCAUUGAUGAAAAACAAAACCUGGACCUUGAUACCAAACAACCAAAAUUGCAAAUUGAUUGGAAAUAAGUGGAUCUACAAAGUAAAGGAAAACUCAGAUGGCAGCAUCAACAAGUACAAGGCCAGAUUAGUAGCAAAUGGAUUCUUACAAACUCCAGGACUUGAUUUCAAUGAAACUUUCAGCCCUGUUAUUAAGGCUGCAACUAUUAGAAUCAUCCUAACCAUGGCAGUAAGCAAUGACUGGUUGCUUAGGCAAGUGGACAUAAACAAUGCCUUCUUGAAUGGUGACCUGACAGAGGCAGUAUACAUGCCACAACCUGAGGGUUUUGAAGACAAGAAUAGACCAAGCUACAUUUGCAAACUGGAAAAGGCUUUGUAUAGAUUGAGGCAAGCUCCGAGAGCAUGGUUCGACAAACUAAAAGGUGCCUUGAGUUCUUGGGGAUUCAAAAAUUCCAGGAGUGACACAUCUUUGUUUUUCAGAAGAAUUGAAUCAAAGAUAGUCAUCAUGCUCAUAUAUGUAGAUGACAUUAUAAUCACUGGAAGUGACAGUCAAGGCAUUGAGGAAGUCAUUAAAGAUCUGAACACAUCCUUUGCUCUGAAGGAUCUCGGAAAUUUGAAUUUCUUCCUUGGGAUACAAGUUCUAAGGAAUCAAAACUCUAUCCUACUCUCUCAAGCAAAAUAUAUUCAAGACUUGUUGGCCAAAACAGAAAUGACAGACUGUAAAGGAAUAGAGACACCCUUCAGCUCUUCUGAGAAAUUGGAAAAGGAUGCUGGGAAUAGAUUCCACGAUCCCAUACUCUAUAGAAGCAUCAUAGGAAGCCUGCAAUAUGCAGUAUUGACCAGGCCAGAGCUUGCUUUCUCAGUUAACAAGCUCAGUGAGUUCAUGUCUGAUCCUAGACAGCCACAUUGGGUAGCAUGCAAAAGAGUGCUGAGAUAUCUCAAAAACACAAUGAAUAUGUGUUUAAGUUUCAAAAAAUCUGAACAUCUGGAUCUCAUUGCCUAUACGGAUGCAGAUUGGGCAACUGAUCCAGAUGACAGAAGAUCCAUAAGUGGAUACUGUGUGUACUUGGGAGAUAAUCUGGUUGCUUGGAGCUCGAGAAAACAAGGCAUAGUAGCAAGGUCAACAGCUGAAUCAGAAUAUAGAGCAAUGGUUCUAUGCAGCACUGAAAUCACAUGGAUUAAUUCUCUACUUGGUGAGUUGAAGAUGGAUGUUGAAAAUAUACCAAUUAUCCUAAGUGACAGCACCAGUGCAGCAGCCAUAGCAGCAAACCCAGUCUAUCACUCCAAAACAAAACAUUUCGAGAUAGACCUUUAUUUUCUCAGAGACAAAGUUACAAAGGGAGAAUUGGAAAUAAACUAUAUUGGCAGCAAUGAUCAAAUUGCGGAUGUGCUGACCAAGCCAUUACCACAUCACAAGUUUAGCUGUUUUAGAAGCAAACUCAAAGUCAUUGACAAGACCUUGAGUUUGAGAGAGGGUGUUGAAAACAGCAGCUGUGAAGAGUCAAAGAUUGACCUUGAAUCCAAGCUGGCAUGCCACCUAAGCUUCUGUAAUCUACAGCCAGCUGACAUGGAAGAUGAGUCAGGAUUAUUGAGCUGGCAGAACAGCUGUGCUGAAGAAUAUCAGCACAUAAGCAUGGAGCAGCUGAAGCUUCUAGAAUUCUAAAAUGAUUGGCUCAUGAUUGGCAGUCUGACAAAAUUAGUUUUUCUGUGUAAUAUUCUUUAUUAGCUGUCAUUAUUUUCUUGUCUCUAUAUCUACUACAAUUGCUCUGUAAUACGUCAGUUGGGUAAGCAAUAAUAAAAGGAAUACUCUGUCUUGUUCACUCUGCUUGCAAUACUAAGCAAUUCUUUAGAAUUUAAGUCUUGCUGCUGCUUGGCGACUUGUUCUCGGAGCUUGAUUGCCUGUUUCUUGAUAGUUUCCAUACUGUUUCUUUCAAAAAGCGACGACGGCUCAGCUCAUGGAGGUGGAAAAAAAAAAGUGUGAUCGAGAAAAAUAAAAAGGCAUGAAUAAUUUUUGAAAAAAAAAACGAAAAUCAAGGAAAGCCAGCUCUUUCCAGAAAAUAAAAAAAGAAAAAAAAAAUUAUAAGUUUGAAAGGAGAAGAUGAUAGUGGAAGUGUGCAGUGUGGCUGCCAGCUACUUGGAUUGUAGAGAAUUUUUUUUUUGUGGACAGAGCAUGACAUUAGACUUUUGUGGACCAAAUUCAAAAGCCGAAUGGCACGGCCCAGAAGCUUUUGAAUACAAUAACUUGCUAGAAAGCUCCAUUUUUUAUUCUUCUUAUACUUUACGCUUGCAUCAGCCUCAAUCACUUCUUAAUCGCUUGCUUUAACUGCAUCGCUCUCUCUGUGCUCUUCUAUAUAUGUAACAGUUAUGCGGUUGUAGUUCACGACUGAGGCUACGUGUUGGUUUGACGUGGCAGUUACGUUACAAGGGGAUAAAUAAGAUUGGUUGCAACAAACCCACUAAUUUUAUAAAAUUCGAGUAAUAUAGAAUAAAAUAAAAAAUAAAUAUAAAAUUGGCUUUUAUUUUUUAUGGUUGACUGUAUUUUGUGUUCUCUUCCGGCACUACUACAAUUGUUACCUAUAUAUCAGUCACACCCAUAUAUCAUUAACACAAGAAAUGAAAUCUAAUGUCACCUAUUUAGUUAAAGAAUCACUCAUGAAAAAUUUUUACCUUUUUCAUUUGAGGAUCCAUAUUUUGAACUGCAAGUUAAUGUUCAUCAAGAAUCACUAAUGUUCAUAAAAAUCCGAGUAUGGCCGUUGAGUAGAAAAAUUAUUUUUGGACAAAUUAUUUUUGUUGAUAGAAGAAUUUCUUAAGGGACUACUAAAAUUAUUAAUAAAAAUGUAGAACACACCCACAUAUCAUCAACACAAUUGACUUUGAGGAUCCAUGCUUUGAACUGCCGCCUAAUGUUCAUCAAGAACAGAGUAUGACUUGUGAGUAGAAAAUUUUAUGAUUUUGGCCCGAAAUAAAAAGAAAUUAAAUUAGAUGAGAAUCUGCCACUUUCUCAUGAAGAAAGGCAUACGGAGCAUACCAUGGUACCAUACAAUACAAAGAGUCUCCGUUCUCUGGUUUUUCAAACUAUAAAGGGGCCAAUAUUCCCGAAUUCUCCCUUGAAAAUUCUGAUUACGACAUUAUUCAUCGCUUGACGCAAUCAAAGUAGCGACAAAGUUAAGAAAAAUAUGAGUCCUAAGCAAUUGCUAGGUAGGGUUCCUGAGAGUAAAAUUGUCCUAAGCAUUAUAUGCAUACAUGGUGUGGUACAUAGAGCACGUUGAAUUCCACACUAUAACACAAACCUAGAAAGACAAGUAAUAACUCAACUGAUAUAAAGACAAAAAGAAGAUAAAAUGAUAUAGAAAAAAGAAUUUCAAAGAGACAGCAACAUACGAUAGACUGAAGCCACUUGAUCUGCUCAUUGAUUGCAGCCUUAAACUUACAAAUAAUUACCGUACGCUAGUGCUCUAAGAAGUGAAAAUGAUGCAAGCCCUGAUUCCCUUUUGACUUCCAUUUACUGUCAAACAUUCUAGUAAUACAAAAAAUUGUUUAAAUAUCUUGCUAUAAAUAUAGCCGUUUGACUGUCAUAAUAAAGUCACAAAUAACCAUUCAUAUUGAAAUAUCUUGCUAUAAAUAUAACCAUUCCUUAUCAAUACAUUUGGCAAAAACUUAAGAAGAAAACUAUUUCUCCAUCUCUUUUUUGAAAUUUCACAAUAAACCAGCACAUUAUGAAAGCUAUGUUCUAAUCUUAUGAUAAAUGCUCUAGACUCCAAAAGGACUUUAUAUAUGAGAGUUUGUUGCAGCAGAUAUAUUGACUUAUCAAGUAUGAAUCAUUGUCUGGAUGAACUAUCUUUAAAUAAAAGAACAUUAGAACCACUGUAGAAUAUCUUUACGCUGCUGGUUCUAACAGGAAUCUGCAUGUGGCAACAAUUGCUAGAUCCACAAUUCCCCAACUUGAAAUACAUAGUUGCACACCAUGAGAUAGUGCUACAAUCUACUGAGAUCUAACUUAUAUGAUACUUUAUGCUACUAAUGUUUGCAUAUUUUUACAUGUUAAAUUAACACUAUAAUCUAUAAUCACUCCAAAAUGACAAAUGAUAAGCAGCUUUUGGCUAGUUAUUACUAGCAUCCACAAUUAUAAAUAAGAGAUCAUGGGUUUACUUGUUGCACCUACUUAAUGAUCUGCAGUUGAGACCCUGACGCAAGGUUUAAAUAGUGACUGCUUAGAACCCUUGUAGUUGGAUCUUGACCUCUCCCAUUUUAGCCAAGAUUGGCUACUCUGGUAAUGAAUCAACACUGUCCUGCUCAGGGCCAUGAAGAUCUGGAAGCUCAGCACUAGUGGAGAACUUCACCAAUCUCUUCUUCUCAGCAUACUUGAGACAAGGCUGCAUUACGAGACCAAUCACCACAGCACCAACGAUUAAAACUGCAACUUUUAAAGUAGAAAGAGCCAACACAACACAAAUCAAUAUGGUUGGAGGAAUACAUAUGAUAAUGGCUCCAACAGUGCCAGUGGGUAUCUUGUAAGGACGAGAUAAAUAGUAGAGAAGUUUUUAAGAAGCUAGAACAGAGCAUGUUAGACUUUUGUUGACCAAAUUCAAAAGCCAAAUGGCACAGCCCAGAAGUUUUUGAAUAGAAUAACUUACUAGAAAGCUCCAUUUUUUGUUGGCUACAGUAAAAGGAUGUUGUUUUGUUCUUCUUAUACUUUACGCCUGCAUCAGCGUAAAUCACUUCUUAAACGAUUGCUUUAACUGCACCGCUUCGAGUCUGUUAAACAUUCGGUGAUAAGAUUAGUUACAACAAACCUACUAGUUUUAUAAAAUUCAAGUGAGAUGGAAUAAAAUAAAAAAUAAAUAUAAAAUUGGCUUUUAUUUUUUAUGGUUGACUGUAUUUUGUGUUCUCUUCGGGCACUACUACAAUUGUUCCCUAUAUAUCAGUUACACUCACGUAUCAUCGACACGAAAAAUGAAAUCUAAUAUCACCUGUUUAGUUAAAGAAUCACUCAUGAAAAAAAAUUACCAUUUUGAUUUGAAGAUCCAUAUUUUGAACUACCAAUUAAUGUUCAUCAAGAACAGAGUAUGGCCGUUAAGUAGAAAAACUAUUUUUGGACAAAUUAUUAAAUUCCAAUAUUGUAUCGAUAUGCAAACGAUGCCUGAAGCAUAGCCUCCAAACAAUGACCAGGGCACAAAACAAGAGUGUAGUAAUCAAGUGUAUUGUCUCAUAAUCAAUUAAAAGCAGAUAUACAGGAUACCAUAUUCAAUUCCAAAAUAACAAAAGCAUAAUGAGGAUGAGAAGAACAAUGCAAGAUUUGUUGUUGUUUUAGUUGCUUCUAAUAUUUUUUAUGACGCACAUCUAUUGAAUUAAGAGAUUUCUAUAAUCAGUGCCGCAGUACUGAAAAUAAACUACUUGUCAGUCAAAUAGCUGAGUAUUUCUAUGAGAAUGUCAUUAUUAAUGACCGACUUUUUCCAGAUUCUUGGACAAACAUAAGAGACUAUUGUGCUUAGUUAAAAUGAUCACUCAAAUAUGAUUUCUUCACUUUGGUUGUCAAUUAUCUAUUCAAAUUAAUCAGUGUCAUUAUCGACUUAUUUAUUUAGAAGAGCGGGUGAUAAAUAUAUUUAAUAAUGUGAACAAGAAGUUCGUUAACUUUUAUGAUCAUUUGGAAGGUCGGCGUGUCAUCACUCGUCAAACACAUUGCAUCGAUCCACCAGCAUGAACCGACAGGAUUAUGAUUGAACACAAGAUGCACAACUUAUGAUUGAACCCAGAAACAAUCAAAUCUUUAGCAAGAACAAUUAAUCAGAGUCAAGAAACAAGUUUAAUGAAUAUAAACCUAUAAUUGAAAAUUUGAAACAAACAUAGCCAAGAAAAAAAUACAGAUUUUACACGGUUCAGUUGUACCUAGGAUGGCACAACCUACACCACGAGAGAAGCUUUCUGGUGAGAUUUUAUUGAUGAUCAAAGAAGAAUCUUUUGCCAAAGCUAAUAAUAGAGAUUUCAGAGAAUAAGCUAUUACCCUCUCUCCCUCUUCAAUCUCUCUCUAUUUUGUUCCCAUUGAUGACCCCAAUCUGCUUAGUUAUCCAGCUUUAUAGCUGCAUCAGUAACAAACCAGCAAACCCAGAUUGAGCAGAUUGACGACACGUGGAUAACGGCUUUAACGAACCUGGUUAAGAACUGCUCACAUGUUCGUCACGCGUGCUGCUUAAAUGAUGGCCAAAACGACUUCAAACAAAUGUCGUUUUGAGGCUUAUGAAUUACAAGUGAUAACACGAGCUUGUCUCAUGACUUUUAAAUGCAACAACGUGCCCACAACGCCGUCGUUUUACUCUGUUGAGUUUGAUUCAUUACUAAGCUUUACGACUGGCAAUGGAGAAGAUGAUAAUUUAAUUGACACGGACAGUUUUUAUAUCACUUUUACAACAUCCUAUGCAAUUGUAAUAUUGGGAAUUAUUGAUGUUUUAUUCUGUGAAUCCUCAUUAGCAAAAACUAGUGGUUUUAUCUUUGUUGAAAUAUAGAUGACCUCUCGUUACUGUUUUAUUAUAAACAUAUAGUUUCGUAAGUGAAACUAUAUGUUUAUAAUAAAAUUAACAUAUAGUUUCGUUACAUUUCUGCCUCAUUAAGAUUCUCAAAUACCAGUCAGGUUUGCUUAAGAAAUAAAAUUUUUCCAUUAAAAUUGCAGUAGUAUUUCCAAGCAUAUCGCAUUUUCUAUGAUUUUUCAUAAAUUAAUUAAUCUGCGGUGCCAAUAUCAGAUUUAGUUUUUCAAACUAAAUAAUCAAGAAAGCAAACAUACAAAUAUACAGUUUAGAGGGGUAAACUAGGUAGGUGGCUUAGAUUUUAGAACUAAGCCAGCUACCUCACUAAAUUCCGAUUCGUACAGUGAACUGCAAGAAAUUGAGAAAACAAUGUAUUUAUAAUUUAAUAGAAUCAUAAGAAAACAAUGUAGUCAUUGCUCAAUAUAAGAUGAUGAUUUCGGAGAGGCACAUUGUUUUCAAGUUAAUUUGAACCGUUUAUAAGAGAUGAAGUGGAAUGAAGUUGAAAGUUUAAAUAACAAAUCCUUGUUCUUGAGUUUUACGACGUCGUUACUCCUUCAAGUGGCAGAUUAUGCAAGUGAAUGCAGAAACACAAUGCAUCAUCCGCGGGGAUGAUACUUCAAAAGGCGGGAUUUGUUUAUGCCUGCAGAUUAGCAAUUUCACUCAUAUAGAAAAUUAUUUUUUUAUAUAUACUAAUCAACACUAAAUUGAUUAUGUGUUGUAUGUUUAUAUGCUAAUCAACACGAAAUUAUUUUGAAUUAUUAACAUUAAUAUUCCUAAUAAAAAUUAUUUUCCAUCAGUAUUCAAAAUUUUCACUUAUAGAAAAUGCAUUUUACGUGAAUACUAGCUAUGUAUUUGGUGUAUUGUUAUACUAUGUAAGACUCAGCUAAAAUCAAACCGUCCCUUAACCUGUUUCUCAUAAGCAUGGCAGAAUUUAAUAAUUUUAUUUGUCAAAAGAAUAAGAUAUUGGCUUCAGGAAAUUUAAAACAACUUUUAUUUACUCUAUCAAUUAAUUAAUGUUAUUUUGUUUUGAAAAAUUCAAUAAUUAAAUUCUCACGUUUCAUAUGUUUGAAGUUAAAUUAUUCAUUAACUUGAACUCUGUUCAAAAUUGGCCAUCUUGUGGUUCCCAAAUGUAGUUAUAAUAUUGAAUGAAAGUAAAAACUUUCUAUGCGAGUUUAAAUCUAAAUCUGAACAAUUUUGACUUUCUCAAUGCUAUCCUAAUUAUAAAAAAUAUAUUAUUUCAUUUAUUGUUAUAGUUACUAGUCUUUGAAAAUGGAUGGAUUUAUUGUUUCCGUGACCAAAUUAUGCCUGCCUAAGGCUGCAACUAUUAAUAAAUCUAAUAUUUAAUGCACAUGUUAAAAGAUUUAAAAUUUUAUGCAUUUAUUAAUUGUUAUACUCGAAAAGAUUAAUUAGUUCAGGUCAAUCUGAGUUGGUGCAUCUGCAGGAGCCUUUUUUUCCCCCUCGUUGACCAUAAUAAUAAUAAUAAUGGAUAAAAAUGACAUCUCUUUCAACACGACUAGGAGCGUGUAAAAACAUGGAAACAGAAUUUCCACAAAAUGCCAAAUGUGUGGAGCUUAAUUUUUGGGCUGUAGACCAAUACAAAUGAAAGAAAAAAGGAAAAGAAGCCCAAAGACUUCUGUAGAACGUGAUCUAUCUUCUAAUAAUAAUAAUAAUGGGUUUUCAAAAUUAAAAAAAAAAAAAAAAAAACAAAGACGCCUCUUAUUAAACACGGAUACUCUUAGUUCUAUCCACUUCUCAUCUCACAAUCUCUCUCAAUUAUCCUUUAUUGAUAGCUCAAAGCGAGUUGCUGUGGAAAACUGUAGCAAAAUGAAAAAUUGGAAAGAAAGGGAUGAAAAUCAAUGCAUGAAAGACUUGGAGAAAACAACCAAAUAAGUCAACUCCUCUUUAAUGAGAGCAUAUUACAAAAAGGCCUCGAUCAUCAUAUCGUAGACUCGGGGAUAAGGAUUGGAUCGAGUUUUUGUUUUGAUAUUGAAGGACCUGUGUUCCUGUCGCGAUGUAGAAUAUGUGCAAGGAGUUGUCUACUGCUCUUUAGGUCAUAAUAAUGCGAUUGUCGUUGCCCUGAAACAGUGGAAAAUACUUCCAUAUCCUCCGGAUGACAACUGAUUUAUAUCUGAUUUCCUAAUUGACUCAGGAUCAGCUGACAACAACAACUUAUUAAUAGUUAUAUCAAAACGGCAGAAGACGUACAUUGUUUAUAGGUUUGAUCCAUUUGGAAUGAAGUGGUCUCAAGUCGAAAGUAAUUUGUUAUUACAACUAGGAUGUACUAGAACUUAGAUCAAAACUUUAAUUUACUGUAAAAAGAAUAUGCUUAGCAAUUCAAGACCAUGUGGUUACCAAAAGCUAUGAGUCAUAUAACAGUUGAUAAAUUAGUUAAUUAAUAAUUGCCGGUCAAUCUUGUCACAUCUCUGCACGUGGCAGAAUCUUGUUCAUUCGCUUGUCACUUCAGAUUCUGUUGAAGACAUAGUUUGAAACGUUGGGAUGUAGGUGUACGCCGUAUGAUUAUUAUUACAUGCCGGCAAAGAAUUCUAUUUUUAUUAUUAACUAAUUAAUCAACUGGAAAUUAAGCUGUAUGUGAAAAAACAUUAACUUGUGGACUCAGCUGCUUACUUAUCUAACACGCUGACUGUGCAUGCAUAACGGCAUUGGGGUUUCCGAAGAAUUUAUAUUUCAGACACAAAAAAAAUCUUACUUAUAUGAAUCCUUUCAACAAACUGAGACAGAUCAUAUUUUACACCCACAGAUUUCAUAAUUUUGUCAUUGGAGUGUUUGCCUAACGACGACUUGAGAAAUUCUGAAUUCAGCCUCCUCCACCAAGGGAUUUCGAUUGAUGUUAAUUUUACUAUUGGAGUUAAUUUGUGAUCAACCUUUCAAAUCUUGUGCCAUUUAAGGAAUAUGAUAAUUGAUCACUAGAAAGAAACCUAUCAAGCUAUAUUUUAUGAUGUUAAUUAACAUGUAAUUAAGCAUUUGUUAUUAUAGAACUGGUUCAUAGCAUGAAAGUGAAAUAAAUUUAACUAAAUGAUUGAUUAAUCAAUUCAUUUUCAUGAGCUUUAACAGAGUUAAAACCAAGCACAAACAUCGUUAUCAAAUACUGAAAUUGGCUAAAUUAAAAAAAAAAAUUCUAAUUCAUGUAAUAUGUACUUCUCACAUCUAAAGCAUUACCUCACAAGGUUUAAUGAGAAACGAAAGACGAGUCUUUGCUUUGAACAAUUAAAGUUGCUGCUACCAACCUCGGCAAAGAUCAAGAAGACAGAACAGGAAGCUAAUGCCAUCAAUGUCUUCUUCAUUAUAGCUGCUGCGUAGUUAGGUGUAGUUUCCUCAUUUGAAGCUGUCUAUGCACAGGCUUUUCCCCAGGUAGUGUACAAAUAAAUGAACAGCCUUGAAGCUUUAUUAUUCUUAAAGCUUUAGUGUUCGCAGCAAAAAGGAAUACUAAUUGGAGAAGACUUUACAGAGUUUCACUCACACUCUCUCUCUCUCAAUUUCAUCAAAAAGUCCCUCCGAAAGUAUCUCCCAAAAUAGUUAGAGCAUCUCCAAAAGACUCUAUAAAUUUUACUCUUCAAAUAUUUAUUUGCUUACCUAUGUGGCAAAUAGAAGAGUAAAAAAAUAUAUUAUUCUCCAAAAGACUCUUCAAAUAUAAAUGAGUUAAUAUUAUUUUAAUUAAAUAACUAUUUUUUUAAUGGAAAAGUCAAUAGUAAUUAAAACACCUCUCUCUCUUUCUCCAAUAAAAAGUAAUAAAAUAUAAAUUGAAGAGGGAGAAAGCAACUCUCCAAAUUUGAAGAGAGAAAAUCACUUCUUAUUUGAAAAAUCUUAAUUGGAGUAUCUUUUGGAACUUUAAAUAUUGAUGCGACUCUUCAAAUAAGUAAUAAAAUUUUAUUUGAAAAGUCUUUUGGUAAUGCUCUUAGUCUUCUUUUAUACUCUGUUUUUUGGAAACGGAGUCCUAAGUAACUUAACUGACUGUACUGAGUAUGUCAACAUAACAUAUUUAACCGUUUUAACAGUAAUUUGAACCGUCUUCAGAGUUAUCAUCAACAAGCUCAUUCAUAUUGUCUCUACACUUCGUAUUUGUCUCUACACUUAGAAAGCUAAGCAACAUGUUUUGUAUAUAGCUUUCCUAUGUUGUGCAACAUACUAAAACGAGAGCACCAUCUCCAGUGUUAAAAGUAGCCACUUUAUAACAUUCAUUUAGAAAAUAUGUUUAGAAUAGUUUUAUAAUCAUGCAUAAGAAGCCCAGAUGCACUUGCUAGCCUAUUUUGUUGGAAAAAUUUUCAAAAUAAAUGGUGUCUUGUUGUAAAGACAUGUCUAAACAAAUGGUGUCUUAUUGUAAAGAGAUGUCCAAUUAAUGGUACCUUAUAGAAAAUGUAUAUUUUCACUUGAGGAUAUAAUUUUUCAUGGUGACAUUCCACUUGAAAUGCAUCAUUUUAUGGUGACAUUUCAUUUGAAAUGAUGAUGGUUCAAUUUGAACAAUUGAUUAAAAUUAAAUUCUGAUCCAAAGGCCAUGAAUAAAGGGGUAUCAUAAAAAAUGACAACCCAAAUGGAAGGGCACAAGUAUGUCUAUAAAGAAAGGUCAUGUUUAAGCCAUUUAGACAUGCAAAUAAUGAUCCUACACCACUCUUUUCUUAACCCUCUUUCCAAAAAUGAAUUUCAUCAUAUAACACAUACUUUUUGUACUUUAAAAAUCCAAUAUAUUGUUUUCUGCAGGAACAAUAUAUUGUUUCUUAGCAGGCUUGCAACAUUCAAGAGUAUUCUGAUUUACUUUCGUCGAUGCACAAUGCAAGCAAACAAAUAACUACUUCAUUGUAUCCUGGAGGCAUAUUUGCUUAACCCAUGUGCAUCACUUAAUUGGUGGGGGCAAAUAACGUCUUAAGGAAAGCGACAUUUGUAACGUGCCUUGAAGAACACAUUAAUUUUCUACAGUUUACCUAUAACUAUUAUUUUCUUUCGACAUACAGAGUUGUAAACACAUUACUUUACACAAUAAAAUUCUACAAUUAUUACUGUGAUUCUCAAUAUUUUCCAUUCCCCACCAACAUAUAUUACUCUGAACAAGAACAAUUAUGGCGUUAUCAUCAUCUUCUUCACUUGCAACAUUAACACCAAAUUCAAGAUAGACUCAGACAUUUCAUCAAGAAAGGCAUACGUCCAAUAAAGUUGAAGCUUGAUAAAAAAUUCAGUGGAAGGUCAAUGCCUCGCCACAACAAAGGACCUAACAAUAUCAUUCUAGCAAAGAUGAAGCAAUAUUCCUAAAGCUAAAGCUCUCAAAUUCACCACACCAGAAUUUAAUAUCUCAUCAAUUUUAAAAACUAAAGAUAAUUAGGAUUUAACAUUAGGUUGUUAUAUAUUAGUUUCAUAAUUUACAAGUCAACAAAGAUAUAGAUUAUGCAAUUGAAUUCAAAUCAUGCUGGAUGUUACUAAAAAUUUACAAGUCAAUCCCAUAUAUUUCAUAAUUUUAUGACUGGAAAGUUUCAUUGGUUUAAAUUUUUAUUACCUUCAAGUGGAAGAUGAAGAUGAACAUUAUGCAAGUGAUUCAGAUUAUAUCAUACACUCUCCAAAUGCAACUAGAAAUUAACAAGUUGAUGCCCAUAGAUUUCAUAACUUUAUGAUUGGAAAGUUUCAAAAAGUUUGAAACUUGAGAAAUUCUGAAUUUAACCUCCACGAAGCUAUUUUGAUUGAUUUGACUCACUUUGUGAUCAAACUAAAAAUACAACAUGCAAUUCAAGGUAGGAGUAAACUAAAACUAGGAAGAAAUAGUGGUAAAAAUUUGUUGUUAAAUUGAAAGCACAACAAAGAUAAGAACCUAUAAAAAGUACACGCAUAUAAAGUAUCCAUAAAAUUACUACAUUCUACAAAGGAUUAUAAAUUAUUCUCUCACUUGUACUCCCUCUAAAUUCCAUGAGGAAUCUGUUUAUCUUAUAGAAAUUGGUUUAGUCAGCAACAAGCACUAUAAUUCUUGAAAUAAAUUUUUUUAAUGCAAUUUUCAAUCAUUUUCCAAAAUACAAUUAAAUUGGAGCCAAGAUUAGGUUUAGCUUUCACACAAAAUAACCAAGCAAACAUAAAAAAACUCACAAUUUAGAGGGGUAAACUGAGUGGUCUAGAAUUGAGCUAGCAGCCUUACUAUAUCCUGAUUUGGACUUCAAUGUAAUAAGGAAUAUGACAGGGUUAGGAAAAGAGAAAAUCAACCAUCAUUGCAGUUGUUAUUUGUUGACUCAUUACUUUUCAAUCAAAACUUUAAGAACAAAAUGCCAUGAGCUUUGAAUAUCAAAUAAGUAUAAAUAUUAGUUCUAAAUUCCACAUAUAAAGUUGUUAGAAAGAUAAAUUAAUUGCGGAGUCGAAAAAUCUAUAUGCUGUUGUUUGAACUAGCAAAGGAGAAAGUACCUGGCGAACCACAACAUAAUCAUCAACUGAUAGACUUAACUCCCCAUCUGCUUGAGCAUCAAAUGGAUAUAUAACCUACAAGAUAAUAGGAUAAAUAAAACUUAAUAUUAAAAAAAAUUAAUAAAAGCAGAGCAAUAGUAGCAGCAUCUAUUAACAACUAUGAUCAUGACAAAUAAGGAUAUACUAGAAACAAAAUUCUAUUUCUACUAGGAAAAGAAUACCUUCUAGAUGAUAUCCAGGACUACUGGACUACCAACAGUUAUUAGACUCCCAUAUAUGAGUUUUGUAUGACUUAAUGUAGUUGUUUAAAUUAUAGAUGGGAACAUAAUUCUCAAAAUUUGACUGUUUUCCACAAAGCAUAGCCUAUGUAACAAGAAGGCCAUAGAUGUUAACAUAUAUGUUUCCAUAAUGUUGAUUUUGAUGAUAACAAACAAGAUUAAGAAUUAUUGAUCUUUCAAGCUCAAAUUAUUUAAUAUUCUUUUUAAAUAAAUCAUUAUUUUCACAUUAUAAAUGUUUUAUAUUUAAUAAUGAUUUUAUGAAAUUGAUUGUUUUUAUUCUUUUUAAAUAAAUCAUUAUUUUCACAUUAUAAAUGUUUCAUAUUUAAUGGAAAAAUGAUUUUAUGAAAUUGGUUGUUUUUCAAAGUUUAUAGUUUAAUUGAAAGAAUUUUGAAAACUUUGAAAUAAACAAGUAUUGCUUGAAAUUUCGGAUUUGGACCUAUUUGAAACUAUUUAAAUAUUCUUGGGCCAUUCUAUAAUUUCACAAAGUUUGGGUGAAGUCAUAAUUUCAGAAAGUUGUGGGAUUGACAAAGCAUUAUUCUAAAAUUCUGAAAUUGGACUUUUUUGUAAACUUUCAUAACAUUUUGGGCCACACUAUAGUUUUAUAAAGUUUUGGGGUCAAACUAUAAUUUUGGAAAAUAGUUUACUGUAGCAGUCACUGUAGCAAGCGGAAAUCCGAAUUCUGACAAAUGGAAGUCCGGAUUUUAGGCAGAAUCUAUCCGAAUUAAAAGCGGAAAUCCAGAUCCUGACAAACGAAAAUCCAGUUGUUGGGCAGUAAGCUACUGAGCGUAAGUGGAAAUUCAGAUGUGACAAAGCGGAAGUCCGGAUGUUCAGAAAUUCAAAUUUGUGGCUGUAACGGUAACAUUAAGCAAAAUUCCGGAUAUCCAUAACCGGUAAUCCGGUUACGACCAAAAUGUGCAUAACGGCUAGUUUUUUAGCUCAAACUAUAUAAACUCAAAACCAAUUCAUUUUUGGUUAAUCCAAGCAAGCAAGAACAAGUGCACACAACAUAUAUUGAGCUUCAAAUUCGUAACUCAUCAUUCAUUCAAUUAUCUUUGUUCUUCAAUUUGUAUAUCCAUUCUUAAAGAGAGUUUCAUUGUUGUGAUUUUCAUUUCUCAUCAAUUUGUGAGUGCACAAGUGUGGGAAACACUUAGGGUGAAGAGAUUGGGGAUAUAAUCUCUUGUUGUAAAGGUUCAUUGACACCUUAGAAGUCAAUUGUAAACAUUUGAAGCCUUGGGAGGCUUGGAUAGUGAAAUCCUCAAGCCGGGUGAGCUUGGAGGCGUGGACGUAGGCGGGGAUAGCCGAACCACGUAAAAAUCCUUGUGUUCGUUUUCUCUUCCCUUACUCUUUUAAUAUUGUGCUUGAUUGAAUUUAUUGUUUUCGAAUUUAUUAAGGCAUUAGAUUAAAUUGUUGUGUGGUUUGCCUAGGAUAAUUUUUAAAACUCCAAUUCACCCCCCCUCUUGGGUUGCACACUUAUAUUUCAUUUGGUAUUAGAGCGAGGUGCUCUUGUGUAGACUUAACCGUCUAGAGUUAAAGAUUCAUGGCAACCCAUAAUGACUCAAUCUUUAGGGAAGGACAAUUCACAAUUAGACCACCGUUCUUUGACGGUAAUGACUACCCAUAUUAGAAAACUAGGAUGAGAAUUUAUUUACAAGCACUAGAUUAUGAAAUUUGGGAAGUUGUUUGUGAUGGUCCUUUUAUGCCUUUAACUAAAAAUGAAGUCGAGGAAGAUAUUCCAAAACCUUCACGGGAAUGGAAUGAAUUGGAAAAGAGAAAAGCUACUCUAAAUUCCAAAGCUAUGAAUGCCUUGUUUUGUGCACUAGAUAAGAAAGAAUUUCAUAGAGUAUCUAGUCGUGAGAGUGCUAAUGAAAUUUGGCAUAAACUUGAAGUUGUUUAUGAAGGCACAAAUCAAGUGAAAGAGUCUAAAAUUAGUAGGUACACUCGGCAAUAUGAAUUGUUCCAAAUGGAACAAAAUGAGAGAGUGUAUUCUAUGUAUACUAGAUUUACGGACAUAGUGAACACUCUAGGAGCCCUAGGAAAGACUUUUUCAAAUAGCGAGAAGGUUAAGAAAAUUAUUAGAUCACUACCUAAUGAAUGGAGACCAAAAAGGAUUGCCAUUGAGGAAGCCAAGGAUUUAAAUAUCUUACCUAUUGAUGAUUUAAUUGGUUCUCUUAUUUCUUAUGAGGAAGACUUGGCAGCCGAAAGAGGCAAUGAGGAGAAGAAGAAAAACAUUGCUCUCAAAACCUCGAAACAGGAGAGUGAUGAGGAAAGCGAGCUGGAUGAGGAGGAGAUGGAUAUGCUGGCUAGGAGGUUCAGAAAACUUUUUAAGAAAUCCGAUGAGCGAAGAAAACUUAGAGACCUCAAGAACCGAAAGGAAAAGAAGGAAUUAAUCAAAUGUUAUGAGUGCAAGAAGCUUGGCCAUAUAAAAAUGGAAUGUCCUCUUCUCAACAAGCUCAAGAAGAAAGCAAUGGUAGCCACAUGGGAUGAUAGCGAUGAGGAAACAAGUGAUGAUGAAGAGCAUCAAGAAAUGAAAAAUCUAGCUCUCAUGGCAAUUGGAGAUGAAUCGGAUGAUGAACUUGAUGAGGUAAAUGAUCUUUUUACUUAUGAUGAAUUAUAUGAUGCUUUUAAAGAAUUGCAUGAUAAUUGGAUAAAAAUUGGUAAAAAGAAUGCAUGUCUUAAAAAGAAAAUGGUAGAGCUCAAAAAUGAAAAUGAAUCUCUAUGUGCAAAGAUUACAUGCCUAGAAUUAGAGAAUAAAACAUUGCAUGAUAGAGUUGUAUUAUCAAAUGAGAAAUCUAGCACUUCACAUGAGCAUGAAAAAUCACAUGUUGAUGAAUUGAUGAAAGAAAAUGAAGUGCUUAAGAAAAAGAGUAAUGAACUCAAUGAAAUUGUAUUAAAAUUCACAAAUGGUCAAAAGAACUUAGAAAAAUUACUAAGCACUCAAAAAUGUGUGUUUGAUAAAGGAGGACUUGGGUAUAAGCCUUACUUGAAACAAAAAUAUUAUAAGAAUUAUUUUGUUAAGGCUACCUCCACAAGUGAUCAUAAAAUUGUUUGUCAUUAUUGCAAUCAAAAUGGUCAUAUGAAGAAUAGAUGUCCUAUUAAAAGAAAUGUGUAUUAUGGAGUCAAAUGUAUUUGGGUUCCGAAAGGAACUAAAUCUAACACUCAAGGACCCAAGAGUAUUUGGGUACCAAGGGAUACAACUUGAAUUUGUUUUGUAGGUACCACAAACAAGGAAUGGUGGAGAGUUCCUUGAUGAAGCUUGUGAGGAUAAUCAUUUGAGCAUGAUCUAGGAGAAAAAGAUGAGGCAAGAUGAUUUAAUUGUUUUGGUAACAAUUCUUGUCAUAUUAAUUUUGUUGAAUGAAUCAUGAUAAAUGGAAUUUGCGAAAGUAUACUUGUAUGUUUACAUGAUAGAAUUAUCAUUGUGUAUAAUAUUCAGUGAUUUAUCAUGAUGCCUUUGUUUGAUUUUGAUGAUUGUAUGGUCUUUGAUUUCAUCUUCUAAAAUGUCUAUCAUCAUUGUCCAUCUCUUAUAUAUGUGUGAAAUCAUAUGCCAUUAAUUGUGUUAUAUCAUCAUUCUUUUAUAAAAUUGACAUCAUUGUUUGAUAUGACGUCAUAUGUUUGGUCUUGUAUGCAUAUAUGUUUCAUGCAUUAAAUGGCUUAUUGAAAAGUUUUAAAUCUCAAAAUGAUUUAAAAUUAAUCAAUCUUUAAAGCCAAAAAUAAAAUGGUGUGUGUAAUACUAGUAUAAGAGCUUGCCAAAAAUCAAUUAGAGCCAAAUAGAUUUCCAAUGACUAAACCGGUUUAUCACUUUCUCUAAUCCGGAAAAUGCUCUCUUAUUGAUUACUCUCGGGUCAACAUUCGGAUAACCGGAUUUGCAAUCCGGAAGACCGGAUUUGCUAAGCCUCCUCUAUGCCUCAAAACCGGAUAACCAGUGCUUAAAAUCCGGAAAACCGAAUUCAAGAGGCAACUUUUUGCCUCAAACCGGACUACCGGUUAUCAAAACCGGAAAGCCGGUUUCGCGUCGAACCUUGCUGGAGAAAACCGGAUUUCCGGUUCAUCUCAUCCGGCAAGCCGGUUUCGGGUUUCAAGCUUCUGGUCACAACCGGAAUUCCGGUUAGUGCAAACCGGAAAUCCGGUUUCGGAAGCUAUUUCAACUGUUCUUCUUCCAUCUUCAAACAGAAAUCCGGUUCUCUCACUCUCUCUAAAAACCGUUUGCUUCUCUCUCUUUCUCACUUGAUUUCAUUCCAAAAUCCAUCAUUCUCAUUUGUUUUUCAAUCCAAAUUGAUUCAUAUAAAUUAUUCCCCAUCCAUUCUUGUGUCUAAAAUCUUUUUAAUUGAUUAAAACUUACUCAAUUUUACUCAAUAUCUUAAAAAAAUUCGAAUUUAUGCAUUUUGAGUAUUUCAAAUUACCACUUCCAUAGUGUGCUUUCCUUAUGGAUUUUACCGUAGUUUUCUAUUAUAUUAUGUACUUACAUUUUCAUAUGCAUUGUUGCUUUCAUUGUGGAUUGAUGAUGAUUAUUGUUUGAUAUUUGGAUGUUUUAUAUUUGGAUAAUGUGGAACUAAUGUGCUUAUCUUGACUUUUUGAUGAUCAAGAGGGAGAUAUGAGAUGUAAGGGAGAAAUACAUCUACUUUGAGAAUCUUAAGCAUAUGAGAUUUUUUUUAAGUUAUAUUAAAAUGUCACAUUAAGAUCUUUGAUGAGCUUAGUUGUCUUGAUUUCUAAAAUGUGAUUAGUAAUUAUAUGACUUUUGAAUUGUUGACAUUAUGCUCUUAUGACUUUUGCAUUCCCUUGCUUAGCUUAUUACUUGUUCUAUUUUGGAUAAUAUGCUUUUUGAACAUUUUUUAUUGUCCAAAGGGGGAGACAAAGUAAUAAAUCAUUUUAAUGAUAUAAAUUGGGGGAAAUAAUAUGCAUUUUGAGCAUUCUUUUAAUAGUUGAUAAAUGAUUAUGGAAUCCUCGGAUUUAAUUGUUACAAGUGUUUGAGGAAUUCAUAUUGAUUUUGAUGAUUAAUGAUUAUAUGUGCAUUGCUUGAUGAAUGGAUGGAGUUAUUGAUUUGUUAUAAUUGUUUAAGCUUAUAUGGAAGUAUUUUUAACCAUGUUGUGUAUUUGAGGAUUUGUUCAUUUUUAAGGGGAGACUUUACCGAAAUUUUUGCUCAUACAAAAUUGGUAAUAUCUUUAUCAACUUAUUUUUUAUGCUCUUGUUUCGAUUGCAUCUAUCUAUUUUUUAUGAAAGGGGAGAUAAAUAUGAUAUGUUUUUGGAUAAAAUCGUUUUGGUUAAAAUUUUUAAUUGGCCAUAUAUUUAGGGGGAGCAUAUAAUAUGAUUUUGGAUAAUAUGCAUUUUGAAUUUUUUUAUUGUCCAAAAGGGGAGACAAAAUAAUAUAUCAUUUCGAUGUUGUCAAAAGGGGGAGAAUAACAUGCACUUUGAAUAUUCUUUUGAUGAUUAAUAUGUGCUUAUGGUGAUGAUUUUAAGAUAUGAUGAUGAUUUGAUUACAUUGUUUUAUAUGAUAUUUUGGAAGUGAUAUCACUAAUCUUGUAUUUGAGGUGAUGCUUGUUGUUAGGGGGAGAUUCUUUCAAAAUUUCCACUUGGACAACAUGGGUAACAAAUUUGCUAUUUUUAUUCUUUUCCUUUAAGUUUUCUUUUUUUAUGAUGAAGGGGGAAAAGAAUACAUGCUUUUAAAUUUAUAAAAAUUUACUACUCUUUUUCUUUGCCAAUUAAGUUUUCUUUUUGAUGAUGAGGGGGAGAAAAAUCCAUGUAUUUAAAUCAUUAAUUUAGCUAAUUGGCAAAUUGUAAAAGAAUAUUAUAUUUAGGGAAGCAAUUUGUGGAAUCAUUCUUUAAAUACAUGAAAUGUUUGUCAUCAUCAAAAAGGGGGAGAUUGUUAACAUAUAUGUUUCCAUAAUGUUGAUUUUGAUGAUAACAAACAAGAUUAAGAAUUAUUGAUCUUUCAAGCUCAAAUUAUUUAAUAUUUUUUUAAAUAAAUCAUUAUUUUCACAUUAUAAAUGUUUUAUAUUUAAUAAUGAUUUUACGAAAUUGAUUGUUUUUAUUCUUUUUAAAUAAAUCAUUAUUUUCACAUCAUAAAUGUUUCAUAUUUAAUGGAAAAAUGAUUUUAUGAAAUUGGUUGUUUUUCAAAGUUUAUAGUUUAAUUGAAAGAAUUUUGAAAACUUUGAAAUAAACAAGUAUUACUUGAAAUUUCGGAUUUGGACCUAUUUGAAAUUAUUUAAAUAUUUUUGGGCCAUUCUGUAAUUUCAUAAAGUUUGGGCAAAGUCAUAAUUUCAGAAAGUUGUGGGAUUGACAAAGCAUUAUUCUAAAAUUCUGAAAUUGGACCUUUUUGUAAACUUUCAUAACGCUUUGGGCCACACUAUAGUUUUAUAAAGUUUUGGGGUCAAACUAUAAUUUUAGAAAAUAGUUUACUGUAGCAGUCACUGUAGCAAGCGGAAAUCCGGAUUCUGACAAACGGAAGUCCGGAUUUUAGGCAGAAUCUAUCCGAAUUAAAAGCGGAAAUCCGGAUCCUGACAAACGGAAAUCUGGUUGUUGGCAGUAAGCUACUGAGCGUAAGCGGAAAUUCGGAUGUGACAAAGCGGAAGUCCGGAUGUUCAGAAAUUCAAAUUUGUGGCUGUAACGGUAACAUUAAGCGGAAUUCCAGAUGUCCAUAACCGGUAAUCCGGUUAUGACCAAAAUGUGCAUAACGGCUAGUUUUUUAGCUCAAACUUUCAUUGUUGUGAUUUUCGUUUCUCAUCAAUUUGUGAGUGUACAAGUGUGGGAAACACUUAGGGUGAAGAGAUUGGGGAUAUAAUCUCUUGUUGUAAAGGUUCAUUGACACCUUAGAAGUCAAUUGUAAACAUUUGAAGCCUUGGGAGGCUUGGAUAGUGAAAUCCUCAAGCCGGGUGAGCUUGGAGGCGUGGACAUAGGCGGGGAUAGCCGAACCACGUAAAAAUCCUUGUGUUCGUUUUCUCUUCCCUUACUCUUUUAAUAUUGUGCUUGAUUGAAUUUAUUGUUUUCGAAUUUAUUAAGGCAUUAGAUUAAAUUGUUGUGUGGUUUGCCUAGGAUAAUUUUUAAAACUCCAAUUCACCCCCCCUCUUGGGUUGCACACUUAUAUUUCAAUAGAUAAUUAGGGUUACAAGUGUCCGUCAUCUUUCGAGUAAUGGAUUUAAUAUGACAGCUUAUGGUCAGUCAAGUUCCCCUACCUAACAAGAUAAGCUUUCUGGGCUAGAUUUCUCAUAAAAUGCAUUGAUUGCCCCGAGGUCACAUCACUCGUAUCUAUAUGAACAUAGUUAUUUUAGGUAAACAAAGCAAAGAGAAUCAUAAUUCAACCACAAUCAUAAAAAAAGGCCAAACCAACUUAAGAGAAAAUCUUAAGAGGGAUCAUAUGUUGAGCUAUUAGCCUCAUAUCUAUAAGCAAUAUCAAGACUUUAGAUCACCUUCGAGGGAUGGCAAAUAUCCAAUUACGUGUCCAAGGCCUUUUGUUCUUUUUGGCAUCUGUUGUUUUGGCACAAAUAUUUUUGGCUCUUAAAAAGAAACAGUUUGAGAAAGUUCAAUUGUCCGAAAUGAAUUUCUAGAUCCGCGGAUUUAUCGACAUCAAGUUUGUAAAAAGAAUCCAAUUUUUCUUGGCAAUUAUAAUUAUAUUAUGUAGGAGCACAAAACUUACGAAAAGCCUUUUGAUUAUUUCAAUUCUGUUUCUACCGGAUGUCGGGAAUUUCUUGUACUGCAUUCCUAAAGCACAGUAUAUAUAUUGUGAAGAAGACUAUUGAACUUUCCCCCUUCUUUGUUUUUUCAAUACAAACUGGAGAAUGUCACUAUUACCAUAUUUAAAUAUCAUAGAAUGUGUCAAUAGUUUUCGAUUCUAUUAGACUAGAAUCAAAUUCGGCCUAUUUCCAAUUCUUUUUGCCUGAGAGCUUGUUUGUGCGAGCUCAUGUCCGUAUUUCCGUACUUUCAUCUCAUUCCCUUCCUCUAUAUGCUCUUCUCUUUCCUUUCCUUUCUAAGCGGGGGUUGGAAGCGACUCUCGUACAUUCGCUUUCCUCUGGCAGCACGAUGCCAAUUCCACCUCAGAGCCAGAAAAGAGUGGUGGUUCCUUACCGUUACAGAAGAAAUGAAUUGCGCGGGGACGAAGGCCCUUAGGCCAGAGUCCAUGGGGAGAUCCAUGGAUAUUUUAUUUUUAUUAUAUAAAAAUAAUAAUAUAAAAUAGUUAAAAUUUCAAUAUUAAAUUUGGUUAUUAAACUAUUUAUAUUAGUAAUAAUAUAUAUAUAUAUAUAUAUAUAUAUAUAUAAAAUAAAAUGGCGGUCCGGUGGUCGGUGGCGGCGGUCCAGCAACUUUCCGGUGAAUUCCGGCGGAGCUCCGGCGACCUUCCGGCGAUGUCUGCGGUGGUCCGGCGAUCUUUCGGCGAGGUCCGGGGAUGUCCGGCGGUGGUCCGGCGAGGUCCGUCGUUAAUUCCGGCGGAGUCUGACUGUGGCCCGGCGAGGUCCGGCGGUAAUUUCGGCAAUGUCCGAUGGUGGUCCAGCGAUGUCCGGUGGUGGUCUGGCGACUUUCCGCUGGAUGUCCAUUUAUAAUAUUAAAUUAAUAAAAUAAAAUAAUAAUUAUUAAUAGUAUUAAAUAAGUUAAAAAAUUAAAGGAUAAUUUUGAAAACUUUAGUUUUUAAUAUAAGAGGAAUUUAAAAUUUCACUAGUUAAUAUAAUAUUUUUACAAUUGUUUGUUUAUUAUAUUUUUAUUUUUAAUUUUAUUAAAUUAAAAUUUUUUAAACUUGUGUUGGGUUAAACGGAUAUCCAUUGGAUAAAAAUAAUUAACCAUAUCCAUCCAUAUCCAUCUGGAUAUAAUUUUAAAAUAUCCAUUUCAAAAUCCAAAAAUUUUUGGAUAGAUAUUAUCCGAUCCAAUUGGAUGGAUAUUGUAGAUAUCUAUUAUGGAGCGAUCCAGUUGUCAUCCCUACCUACGACAUCAUAAGUGGCAACACAACUUUGGAGUGGUCAGACAAUCGAGUUAGGAUGCAUAGUCCCAAACUUCAGCAUACAACUUCUCUAAAAUAGCAAUUGUUAACAUAUAUGUAUGCAUAAUGUUGAUUUUGAUGAUAACAAAUAAGAUUAAGAAUGAUUAAGUUUUAAAAACUCAAAUUAUUUUUCAUACAUUUUAAAUAAAUCAUUAUUUUCAUAAUAUAAAGGUUUUAUACUUAAUGGAAAAAUAAUUUUAUGAAAUUGGUUAUUUUCAAUUAAUGGCCUUCAACAAAAGCUUUCCAAGUUACUGUUUGUCCUUCUUCCUAGUAUGCCCUACACAACCACUGCCACCACUGAUUGGCUUCUCCCUCGAGGUGAAAGGAUGCUAACACCACUCGUUGAUCUUCGGUUGUUUCCUAGUAAUCAAAAACUUGGGUUACACGAUUAAACCACUCAGUGGGAUCAUCACCUGAGUAACGUGGGAAUUCAAUCCUAGCCAAUCUUGAUGGGAACUGUUGUCGUUCCCUGCCACUCUCUUCUCUUCUAGGCCGUGAUGUUGUGCGCGGAAUGCGGAAUCAAGCGCACCAAAUAAUUAUAGAAAAAUAAAGGAAACAAGAAUUACGUGGUUCGGUAAUUAAACCUACAUCCACGGAGGCGAGAAAGAAUAAUUGUUUAUUUAACAAUUAACAGAGUACAAUAUUUGAGUAACGAAUCUUACUUGCUAGAAACCCAAAUAUACCCAGUACUCUCACACUCUGCAGGAAAGAUAAAUUCUUCAGACACACUUCUCUCACUUCUCUCAAAAGCUUAUAAACUUAUAAGCUUAACAAUUUUGGGAUGAUUCCAAAUGAAUGAAAUCCUUAGCUAUUUAUAGGAGAAAUGAAUUACUAUGCUAAGAAUAAAAUAAUAAAAAAUAUAAUUUUUAAUUAUUAUUUUUCAAUUAUUAUUAUUUUUCAACAAAUUGUUGGUGCACCAACAAUUUGUUGACUUCAACACGUGAUGAUGCUGCAUGCUCAUGAUGACUCGAUACUCCCUUAGAUGCACUAAUUGAGCCGGCCAAUUUGCUGAUCACUCUUCCAAGUGAUGCAAUUUAUUGUUAAUGCCCAUCUCCAUCCGCUGCAUGCUAUCUUGCAUACUUCCGAGCUCUACUUCGACACGUUCAAUUCGCUCCUUGUUGGUUGUCAUUGUUGAUCCUAUGCUCUGAUACCAAUGAUAAGUCCCGAUCAUAAACGUACAACAAUGGCUAAGUUUACGUUGUUCUACUUAUGGUGAGAACUACCAAGAAUAGUAAUUUGAGAUAAUUCUAUGGAUAAUCCUCUUAUUAAUUGCAGGAGCUUAUUUAUAGUAGUUAAUAAAACACUACAAAUUAUUUGUAGCCACAAUUCCCGGCUAAAAUCAAUUCAAAUAAGUAAUAUUAAAUAACAAACUAGAACCAACGAGGCAUUGGAUCAAUUGGCAACUGGUCCCCCUUAAGUGGCUCGAAUGGGUGUGAUUCUCAGUUCGUGUCGCAGAGAAGUAAUCUUUGUUAGGAGGACUCGUGCCUCCCGGUCCGAAUCCGGAUUACUCGGGACCUAAUGCGGUCUACCGAUACCGAGUGACUUCAAUAAAAAUAAAUAACAAACUAGAAACAGAAAUAGAAUCCCACUUGAUUUGAUUCUCCACUCGAUCCGCAACGUGGCUUGACGUGGUAAUUUCCUUGCCUUGCUCCAACAAACAACUACUCUUUAAUCCAUACGUAGAUAAGUCUUGCAUGAUUUUGCAUGCAACAUGCAUGACCACAUGCAUGGCUGCAUGAGAUUGAUAAAUGUUCAAACAAAGCCCUCAUAUCUGUAGUUAGGCUUAUGAACCCUUGCUGACCUCCUUGGCUCUCUAUCAAUAAACCAUCGAAGCAAUUUGCAUGCUUAUAUACUAUGAAUUCAGUGGUGGAGGCGGUGCUGUGGUGGUGCUGGUGAUCGUUCUGCUGGCGGGGGAAAAAUCAACCAGCUAUGACGAUUAUUUAUCUUCGGUGAAGAUGGUUCUAUAUUCCGUACUCUAAGGGACCUAUGUGACGCCAUCUUCAAAUUAUGAAAAUUAAUAACUUGUGAAGAUAUUUCAAUCAAAGACGACUUGGAAACAAUUUCAGUGGCUUUGGUCAUAUAAGCAUCAUGUGAAAGAAGCAGCCCAUGAAUCUAGAAGAAAAUGAGAAAAUAUGAAUUGGCAUUCAUUUUCAAGCAAUGAUGUUAUGACCUCUUUAAGCCAUGCUCUUAAUAUACAUGUCAGUGAAAUAUGUAAUUGGUUUAUUUAUCAAGAGAAGUCAUGACUAUUAUAUUUGAAUAGAAGAAUUUAUGAUUUCCCGUUAACAUUAUUAUUGAAGUGGGGUGGCUCAAAUGUCAAUUGCUUGAAGAAUUUAGUUAUUAUUAGUAGUAUUGAAGUGGGGUGGGUAACGGUUCACUCAAUUCGUGGGGGAAUCAUAUAUUACCAUCCAAGGUACAAUUGUGGAAAAUUAAAGCAAAAUGAGAAAUAUGGAAAAAAAAAUGGAAGAAAGUUAAGGCAUGAAAGACCUACAGUUGAAAUUGAUAAUCAUGUUUCUAUUUUGUUAACUAAUCAAAUGGAAAACUGAACCGUAAACAAACAUUAAAACGUGUGGACUCCGCUAGCUGCCCUACAAGUCUACAAUAAUAAUUGAGUACCUUUGAUUCAUCCUUCUAUGAUUUUCUAGCUCUAUUGACUCCAUAGACUCAACAUUAUUUAACGACACUCUGACCUUUUUUUUUUUAAAUAGCGCCACAAUAUAAUAGUCUGAUUUUAGAAUUUCAGUGUAAUCAUAGUCUGAUUUUAAGAAAAUUAUAACUUAUUUUAAAUAGCGCCACAAUAUAAUUCUAAAUAUUUAAAAGGAAAACAUUAUCCACCUGGAACGACUUCAAGUCCAAAGUAAAAGACAAGAGUGGCUCCCCGCAAAUUUCUUGUUUUCAGUAUAUUUUCUCUUUUUCUUUUUUAAAAUCUUUUGACGCAUGCAUAAUCUACCCUUGUUUUUUAUCUCUACUUUGCUCUGCUCAAGUCCCUUUUUUUCAAAUAUUAUUUUAAAUAAUAAAUUGAAUAAAAGUACAUUUGUGUAAUUAAUUAGUAUCUUGUAAUUAAUUAGUAUCUGAGGGGGCAUAUUUGGUGUAAUACUAUGUACAAACAUCGUUAACAAAUACUGAAAUUGGGUAAAUUGAAAAAAAAAAAAUCUAAUUCAAGUAAUAUGUAGUUUUUACAUGUUGAUCAGCAGGAUACAACAUUAAAUUUUGUCAUUGACAAUAUUGCAUGCCUGUCAUCUAAAGCAUUACCUCACAAGGUUUUAUGAGAAACGAAAGACUAGUGUCACAAGGUUUUACUAUUCGCAACAAAAAGGGGUUACUAAUUGGAGAAGACUUUACAGAGUUCCUCUCACACUUUCUCUCACUCAAUUUCAUCUAGAAGUCCCUCCGAAAGCAUCACCCAAAACAGUUAGUCAUCUUUUAUACUCUGUUUUCUGGAAACAGAGUCCUAACUAACUUAACUGACUGUACAGAGCACGUCAACAUAGCAUAUUUAACCAUUUUAACGGUAAUUUGAACCGUCUUCAGAGUUAUCAUCAACAAGCUCAUUCAUAUUUGUCCAAUCUUACGGACGAUAUCAUAUGCUUAACUCGACACAAUCUGGAUUCAACCUCCUCCUAUCCAACAAGGGAUUUCGAUUUGAGUUACUUUGUGCUCAAGCAAAUUCACAUCAGAGUUUUGAUUCUUUAGAUAUGAAUUCAUCACAUUAUAUAUGUCGGGUUAAGUGUAACAAAAUUUUUAAUUCAGUGCGAAAAGAAUAUGCGCUAAAAAAUGAUUUCAAGACUAUUUGAUUACCAAAAGCUGCUGUCAGAGUGCACCGAAAGUUUCUGUAGGAUGCUUUGCGGUUGUCUAUUAUGUUAUGAUGGGCAUAUAAUCCUCAAAUUUUGACUCCUCUCAGCGAAGAAUAUGUCAAAGUUUAGAUUAUGUGUUCGAGCUUUAAUAAAUGCCUGAGUUAAUAAUAAUAACAACAAUAAUAGUAAACUAAAUAACAGAAUUACUAUUGAAUGGUUGGAAAAAGAAUUGAAAACGUGUGAACUCCAAUAACCACCCCACAAAUUCAGUGCGAAUUUUGGAGAGGCAAGGCCGAGCUUCUCUGAAAAAAAAUUAUUUAGUUACAAAAUUACCUUUAUUGAAACCUAUAUAAAAAUUUUUAUAUUAAUUAGUUAUUUNNNNNNNNNNNNNNNNNNNNNNNNNNNNNNNNNNNNNNNNNNNNNNNNNNNNNNNNNNNNNNNNNNNNNNNNNNNNNNNNNNNNNNNNNNNNNNNNNNNNAGGGGAAAAAAAAAAUUCAGCUCACUCAAAAACAAAAAAAUGGUAUUAACUUCGCCACCGCACAAAUCUAGAAUAAUAAUAAUUCCUUAUCAUGCUGGGGAUCCUGUAAUUUCUCGCCGUAUUGACAGCACCAGGUAAAGCUUUGUAAAAUAAUAAGUUACUCAUUAGUGGUUUUUAGUCUUUUUAAUUCUUUUUACCGCACACCUGAUCAAGAAUUUUAUUUUGUUAACUAAUCAAUUGCAAAGCAUAUAUAAGUGUUGAACGGUACACAAGAUUGGAAAAAAAAAUCUUAAAAAACGUGCGGAUUCGGGUGGCCACACCAGAAAUCUAUUACAAUAAUUAGCUUUGAUGCUGGGAAUCUUUUAAUUUCUGGCCGUAUUGAAGUUUUUAAAAUAACAAGUUCCCCUUCUCGUUUUUUUUUUUUUAAAUAUAUAUGGUUAUAACAAUUUUAGAAUAAUGACUCAUUUGUAGAAGAAUUUAUGAUUUCCCAUUAAUAUUAAUAUUGAAGUGGGGACUGGGGUGGGUCAAAUCUCAAUUGCUUGAAGAAUUUUUUUAUUAUUAUUAAUAUUGUUAAUAUUGAAGUGGGGUGGGUAACGGACCAGCGUUUCACUCAAUUCGUGGCGAAUUAAAUAUUACCAUCCAAGGUAGAACUGUGGAAAAUUAAAGCAAAAUGACAAAUAUGGAAAGGAAGGCUGAAAGUAAGGCAUGACGAAAGGCUUUGAGAAGGCUGAAGACUACCAAAGAAGUCAACUGAAAACUAGCUGGGGCCUGAGUGUAUAAAUUGUAAAAUGUGUUUGUUAUAAAUAACAUAGAGCCCUUUUGUUAUUUAUAGUUAUAGAGAAAGAGAGAACGUGUGUUUUUUAUUAGUUAGAGAUAUAGCUAGAAUGGGUGGUUCAAAAUCCAAAAUGGUGACAAUGUUAGUUCUCAUAUUAAUAAUAUUAGGAGGGGGGGUGGAGUGAGGGAUGUUUGGAGCAUGAGGAAUUUGCUCAUUUUCGGCUUAAACAUUUCUUCAAUUCCCCUUAUAGACUUCAAAACUGGGUAGAUGAACAAAGGGAAAGGGUUUAGUGCAGCAACUCCACAGGCCGAGUGGUACAACUACACCUUAGUCUUACUAGAAAUAUCGAUCUGGGAGUGUGGUAUCUGAAUGCUUCUCUCUUUACUCCCUUUCAACAACUUGGUAACAAAAUAGUCGGCUGCAUGCGUUGAGAAUGAAGGUCCUUCAUUUAAUUUAAUUUACUUAAUUUCUCCCUCCUAAUUAAUGUAUAUAACCAUUAGGAGGAACAAGGGAUUUCAUUAACUCAAAUUUACCUCAUGGAGCUCAUUCUUUGGUUUUACUUGCAGGUCUAGAAGCAAUUGUCAUCUAACAGCUGCUUUGAUAAUUUCCCACCCCUUCAUCUUUGAUGGAAAGAUGAAAUAAAAACAAAAUGGUGAAAAUGGUAUUGGUACCUGAGGCUAUGUAAUCUAAUUCAACAACUGCACCAUCAAAACGAUUACAUAAGUCCCAGAAGAAUCAAACAUUAGUUUGCAAAAUAUCAAUUGCUGGAGGUUUGAUUCUAACUUCUGCUCUUCAUUUUUAUGGGCAUAUUGUGUUGUACUUGCAUCCAAAAAUCAUAUUUUAGUUUACUUACACUCAACGCUUGGAUUAAAGUUUUAGGGGGGGGGGGGAUUGAAGAAGACUAAAAUGACACAAAAAAAGAGUUGAGCGAGUGCGGGUUUUGUCUUCAUUUAAGGAGCUCUUUGUAAAUUUUAGGAUUUUUUUCCUAAGAAAAUUUAUGCCAACUCAUUCUUUGCUUCUUUUCAGAACGGACAGAUGCAACCGAAAGUAUAUUCUUGAAUUCUCUAGGAUGAGAGACAUACGUUUAGAUUCUCGAGCCUUUGAAACAAUAUCAAAUUUUAGAUUGUUGAAAUUUUAUAUAUCUGAGUAUGAUGGUGUUCCAAUUAUAAGCUCCAGGGUGCAACUUCACUAAGGUUUAGAAUACCUUCCUAUAGAAUUGAGAAAUCUUCAUUGGCAUAAAUAUCCUUUGAAAAUAUUGCCAUCAGAUUUUGAAUUGGAGAACCUGAUUGAACGGAGCUUGCCUUGUAGUAAGGUUAAGCAAAUUUGGAAAAGAGAAAAGGUAUAAUGUAUUGCUAUUACCAAAGUAUCUAUUUUUCUUGCUUUAAGUAUUUAUAAUGAAUAACUUUGAAAUUGAAUGAUGCUCAUUUAGUAUAGUUAUGUAUCUUUGGUUAUAGGAAGCUGUCAAGUUAAAAUCUAUAGAUCUUCACCACCCCCUGUAUCUCAAUAGGAUCCCAAAAAUACUAAAUCUUAAAAAAAUAAAUCUUUCAAAAUGUGAAAGCAUGCUUACGUUACCCGCGUAUAUCCACAAGUUCAACUAGCUCAGUAUGUUGUGUUUCAUGGGAUGCAAAAUUCAUUUUGCUUCUCAUGAAAUGAUUGACUUGUCCGGAUGUAUUAGGGUUAAUAAACCAACUAAUCCCAUAAUUUGUUGAUGUAGGGUCCUAACAAAUUAUUGCAGUAGAUUGUAGAUUAAUACACUAUUCGAAAACGUAUUUGAUCCACACAGUGAAUGUUUGAGGGUGCAUUUCUCGCCAACUAGCCAUACCCUAAACGAGGAGCCGGUCUCCUUGUAAUUGAGCAGACAUGUGAAGUCUGGUAGCAAAUAUCCAAGAGUAGGAAUUCUCUGCUCAAUCACAAGGACAUCCUCUUUUGGACUAUAAUUCGAACAAGGUUCCUGCUAGGAGCCGAGAGCCUUUCCUGCUGAAGAUCGGGGUCGGCAAACCUAGUCUAUAAUGGUUAGCGAGACGUGUACUCCUAUUCAAGAAUCUAGGCACGAAACCCACUCAGUCGCAACUACGACAUUCAGGCAUCCACUUCCGUGAGCUGAGGAAGGUGAUGGACGUGGAUCGUGGGGCACCGGAUUCGUAGGAAUGCUAUAAAACGGUAAUCAACGAAGGUAAAUGGGUUAGACACUUUUACACUAGAACUUAAGAAAUAAGAGCAUUUACUAAAAAAAGGAGAGAAACACUCAUAGGUGUUCCACUGCCUAAGAGAUCAUGAGAGAGCCACGAGAUCAGUGGCCGAGUUUCCCAAAAAGUAAACCUAAAUUUCUGAUUUGAGCGUAGGAGGGUUUCUCCGGCGUGCUCUGACCAUUUUUUGUGUGCGCAGGAGUCUGCUAAGUCAUACAACGCAUAGCUCUGCUCGGUUAGAAGAGUUACGUGAAGUAUCCUAGGUUGGUCGUGAGUUCGGGAGUUGAGGAGAGAUCCUGGUCGCAGACGAGCAGGCACCAGAAUCUCGCAUCAAUAGUGAAGAUGAUUCAAUAUUAAGCAUGUCAUAUAAUCUGGAAGUGGAUAUUGGACCAAUUUGAUGAUAAUGAAUUUCUUUCAAUCUCAAUCUUUUUCUUUUUAGCAACAUGACUAGUCAUUGUGCAAAUUUAAACUCUGACAAUGAUUUCUCAAUCGGUUUCUAAAAUGAUGACCAUGCAUGUAUAUGUAUAUGCGUGUGUAUAUGUGUGUGUGUGUGUAGAGAGAGAGAGAGAGAGAUCACAUGUGUGUGAUUUCCUUUUGCCAAUAGGAUAUGCAGAGAGCUUGAUCUUACCCAAUAGCGAAACAAACUUCCUAAUAAGUGAAGGUAUAGUAUAAAUACUUAUACUUUCAUGUUAUUUUGUUCAUCAGUAGCUUGAUUAUUUUAUAUGCGUCUUCGAUUUUAAUUUUCUUUCCCUAUAAUCGCUAUUAUCUUUGAACUGGUCAUGAUUUGCCCGUAAGAUUUCUCAUGUUGUUUUGAGGUGCAAUGGAUUUUGAAUUUAGUGACAAGCAGUGGAAGCCAGAAGGCAAAUUAUGAAAAUGGAUAAAGAUCUAUAAUUAGCUGUUAUGGGAUGUCACAUAUCAUAUUGAUGGUAACAUUAUAUAUAUGUACAUAUAAUUAAUGGGGUUGGCUCACGAGCCCAUUAAUAAUCGUAUAUUAGUUUAUAUACUUCAAACAAUGUACUAUGAAGCAAUUUCACAAAUACUUGUUAGCUUAUGUUGAGUUUUAUUGAAUCAGUAGUUCACAGUUCAAUAAAAUGCAGGUUUGCUAUUUGAAGUACAUGGUUAUGGUGCGUACAUUCUUCAUAAGGCUAACUACUAAUUGAUCAUUGAAACUUGAAAAAUGUGACAGAGAGAUGUAGAUAAUAGCCGCAAAACACUGAGAUUGAAAAUCAAGGCUACUAAAUUCUAUUAAAAGCCCUUAAAAUAGACAGCAAUCACCCUGAAAUGUAUAUACUGAAACUAAGAAAUAUUAAUCGCAAAGUUAUGCAUUAAUAGAACUAUUGACUACUUAUCUUUAGCAUAAGGUAUAUUUUUAACUAUAGCUUUCUGCUUUGUUCUAAGAACUAGGCAAAAGUGGUGUAUCUUCAAUCCAAUCAAUAUAUAUACCACUUAUCUUCCUCUUCACUUCUGUCUAUUUUGAUUUGCACUUCAUAUCCUGCACUUGCUGCUUAGAAAUAGUCUUAUUCUGGACAUUGAAAGUAGAAAAAGUGCUUGAAACAAUCAUUGGCAUAGCCCGAGAUUCCAUUGAAUCGUGGACUCCAAGCUUUCAUAGUUCUAUAAAGAAAAUGACAAAACUUCAUACAACUGGCAUUCUGCUUUUAACAUUUGCACAAUCUGAGCGAGUUAGCAAGCCCAUUGUUGCGUUCCCAUUGAAUAGACCUACUUCUGUUAUCCACAGAAGAUCCACCACUCAAAAUGUUUAUCACCAGGCUAUUCUUAAACUGAGCCUAAACUGAGUAGAAACUUCCGCACAUCUCUCAGCAUUCUACAAAGUUGCAUUUCACUAAGCAAUCUAUCCUCUCCAUUCCUAGCAAAGUGACAUUGAUUCCCGUAUUUGUAAUCGCCUAACUUGGGUUUUGGGCAUAGCGUGGUCUUAAAAUUACCACCCAAUACUUUGUUCAGUGCCACUGGCAUCCACAAGCUCUAGCCCAGUUAGCUGAAUCAUAUUCAAUGGGACAGUAAGGCAGCAUUUCACUAACAUAUUCAAUUUGACUACUUAUAUUGACGCAAAUAUUAGAAUUUGAAAUCACUUCUUUUCUUGGAAUAUUAUAUUAAAAUGACCCCAAAUGAAAGUUCUUGAAUGGAAAUUAUUUUUAUUUAAUUUUCGAACAGGUUCAAGAGAACCCAGAGAACACAAAAUUUACACAGUAAUAUGAUUAAGAGCUAAGAACGUACAUAUAGUAAAUGUCUAUCAAAAAACACCCAAGGGUUUCUUUAAAAUUAGAAACUAGUAAACAAAAAGAAAGAAUUAUUUUACUUUUUUAGCAACUUUGGGGUGAGUGAGUGAGUGAGUGAGAAAUUGAAACCCUAAAGUGAUGACAACAGUAAGAUUCAGUAUGAAGUGAAACCCCAAUUUGAAAUGUAGGCAUGAGUUGCUGAGUCAGUAGAUGAAGCUAUAAAUAGGCAUUCAGUUUCCUUCUUUUCGGUUUAAAUCACAUAUUCUAGUUAAAAUCAAAUAUAUAUUUAUAUGAAGCUUGUAAAUUUUUUUUUUUAAUACUGAUAUUUGAAUAUUAUCAAUAAAAAAAGGGUAAUGUUCAUGCUGCAUUAUUUUUGUAGCACACAAAAGGACAACACCGUUUAUGUUAUAAUACUAUCGCUUCUGUUAUGAUAAUAUUUUUUUUGUGGCCAAAUAUCAUUUUUUAAGUAAAAUGGUGGACAAAAUGCAAAUCAGUUUUUAAUCCUCAAUCUCUCCCAAAAUAUAAAUUCGUAGUUAACAAAACAAAAUUGUUGGAAAACCAUUAAGCUAGGUUUAAAACUAUAGCUGACAAAAAGUUAAUAACAAAAACAGAAUGUCCAUUUUAUAACUUUCUUAAAAAACUUUCCUUAACUUUUUUAAAAAGUUACCAACAAAAAGUUAUUUCCAAUUUUUAUUUUGUUAUAAUUUUUAUAACAAAAUUCGUAGUUAACUAAACUCUUCUUAUGCCCUUUCUUAAUUGCCAUACCCUAACCACGCUCAAUUUAGGCCAUCACAGUGACCGACAGCCUCCCUAUCUCCAUUUCAAGCUCCCUCUUCAACUGGCUUCUGCGAUCGUCCUACUCUUUCUCGGAUUCGGAGUCCGUAUUUGCUCGGCCGGUCCCACGCAGCUCCCUCUCACUCCAGUUGUGACCCAACAAGACCAAUUGCUUAAUCAAGGCACAGAACAAGAAGAGGAUGAGAAGUUGAAACAAUAAUUUGAGAAUUGGAAAUCGAAAAAGUACGCAUUGACCGUGCCUGUAAGGUUUGUUUCUCUUCAGAAUUCAGUGCCUCAAUCUUGGGUUAAGGAUUUUAUGCGAAGUCAAGGAAAGAGAUUGAAGUUUCAGAUGAAUUUGUGUGCUAGCAUUGAUGGGAUCUUUAACAAUUUAUCUGUGCCCUUUAACAAAGUUAAGGCUAAGUCAGCUUCUUAUAUGGCUGCUGAUUUGGUUAGUGUUGGUGAUUCGUGGCUUAGUUUUGCCAUUAAAAAGAGAUUGAUUGAGCCAAUAGCUGGAGCUGAAGACCAAGAUUGGUUCAAAUGCUUAAGUCACAGGUGGGGCACAACGGUGAUAGCCUACAAGAAAAGUAAAUUUCGAAAGCAUAAUUUGGCUCCGAUUGAGGUAAUAAUUUUCUUUAAACUCAUUUAGUUUUAUAUCAAACAAAAUCAAGACUGCCUUUCUCUUCAAUAUUUUUGAUGAUAAUAUCUUUAGAAGCAUCUCAUUGACGCGUAACAAUGGCAUCCCUGAAAGAGUCUAUAAACUCAAUGAUAUUAUCUUCUACAAAUGGUUCAUUAAACUUUGUCGUUGUACUCAAAUGUACACUCAGAUCAAUGAGAAGCUAUGCCACUGUAGCAUGUAGUGAUGUCACUUAAUAAGUGAGUUGCUAGGAUGUGAACUAGAAAAAUUAAAUAUUGUCUCCUUGGGUAUGCUAGCUCGUAAGUCAGGGUUAAUAUCAGAGCUUAAGAUACUAUAACCGUGAGAACCUAUUGACUGCCAAUUAAAAUAUCCAUUAAAAUGUCUAGGGAGUUAUGAAGGUGGGGGUAACUUCCAAUUUCUAAGGCCACAGAGUAGACAUCAUCCAGGAUCCUAGUACAGUGCAGUUAACCUCCUGCUUGAUGCAAUUAAUAAAUUUGGUCAAUGCCACUGAAACAUGCUAACUGACGUCGCAAUGCGACAUGAGCACUUCAAAAUGGGAGAGACAGUCAGUAGCACUAAAUUUUUCUUGCCUAAGAUUGAGCAAUUGGUCUAACUACUAAUCCCUAUUGUAGGUUGAUCAUUAUUUUUUCAGUUAUGUUCAGUUUGACCCAAAAAGUUGCAGAAUCUUGAGCUGAAUACUGAACAUUGUCAAUGUCGUUUAGCGUAGCCAACUAACUUGAGUUUGGUAAAACAAACACACAGUGUGUCUCAUGUCUCACAAUUCAAAUUAUCAUCUGUAAUGACGGAGAAUUUUUCCAAUGUAUGAAGUAUGCUUUGAUACGUGGGUUACCUUGGAGAAGAUAUCUCAAAAUAAAGAAUAUGGGGAGAAAACAGUUCAGUAGUUUAUUAUUCUGUAGUCAAGUUUUGUCUCGAAAAUGGUCAAAAUUUAAAUGAAUAAGGACAGGGGAUCUUCAUUCUUUUUUCCCUUUUUUAUACCAAGAUAUCUCUCAACCUUUAUAUAAUCCCCACUGGAUAUCUGCUUCUAAUAAUUAAAAUAAAAAUUUCACCGCUCUAACAAUAAAAAGUAACAUCUUUAGUCAAAUAAUUUACAGUUCCUCAUCAUCUUAGUGUGAGACUAUCAGUACAUUCCAAAAACAUAAUAAAACUGGUUUGAUCCUGUUUAUUGAUGUUUAAAUGUUGUUCAUUGUGACAUGUAGAAAUGAUGAGGCAAAGUUUAUUUGGGCAUCAAUUAGUAAGAUCUUGUUUGAAGUUGUUUUCUGAAAUGAACUGCCAAAUGGUAGUUUUUUGGGGGCAUUUGAUGGCUCUUUUUUUUUCCUCGUUUUCAACAUGUGCCUGCUUGGAACAGGAAGGAUUAGGCUGCAGAGUUGUUAUUUAUUUUGAGAUGCUCUGGUCAUUGCACAAUUUGUUCACACUGGAAAUUAGAAUGAGAAAUUUGUUGAUGCUGUUUUGAGAGAUCUGCAUUCUAUGCACAAUAACAUGAUUAAUGAAAAUGUAUUGUAGGACUGGAAAGAUCUGUGGCAGCCUGAGCUCGCAGGAAGAAUUUCAAUGGUUAAUUCUCCCCGAGAGGUUAUUGGUUCAGUUUUGAAGUAUAGGGGAGCAUCAUACAAUUCAAACAAUAUUGAUUCGCAAGUUGCUGGUGGGAAGAUUGCUGUUCAGCAGAAUCUGGCAUUACUGGCGAACCAGGUACUCUUACAGAAAUGAUAUCUGGUCAUUGCAUGUUAUUGCCUGACAACUGAUUUUGUUUGUAAAAGUCUGCUUCUUCAUACAUAUGAAUGCAUAUGUUAGUGUUUUCUUCUCCUUUUCAUACAUAUAAAUGCAUAUGUUAGUGUUGUCUUUUCCUUUUCAUACAUAUUAAUACAUAUGUUGGUGUUCUCUCCUGAGAUGGAUGCAAUAAAGGCUUUUGCUCCUAAAUUUAGCUGAAGAAAUGGCAAGGGAUGUGAGAUUCUGUCUCAUUAAAUUAACAAAAACCCAAAGCAAUGAAAAUCCAUAAUAAUGUGGUGUGGGUAAAUUGGCUCCAUUUGGUUCGUUUCCUUAAUGUGAAUGCGCGAGCAAUAGAGACUAACAAAAUGAAGUGACAACAAGAAGUCAGUGUCCUUUGAUGGAUGCAUUUUUAGGCAGAAAUAUGUUUGUAAUUGACCAAAAUUGUCUGGCAUGCCAAUUUCAAAAAAAUUAAAUUAUGUGGUUAUUAGCUGUAAUGAAGGAGGAUAGUAGGUGCAAUCAGGUGGAUCCAGGAAAGUUCAACAAAGUUUUGGUAUGGCGUAGUGAAAUUGGUUUGUGCAACUCAGGAGUCUUUCAGGUGAACGAUGAUAGGUUUUGAUUUAUGAAUAUUAUAAAUCUACUGUGCAUAGUAUUCUAGUAGAAUCAUCUAUAAGUUCUAGUUAUUGAAAUUGUAUACUUUGCCCGGUUUGAGUUAAGGGCACAUGUAAUAUGAAAGAUAGUUGUCGCAUCUUUUAGGUUACCUAACAUUUGAUCAAUCCUAUUAUGGGGGCUUCAAGAUGUCUAACAAUAUGUAGAAUGCCCAUGCGCCUCCCCAUUGUUUAUCUUCUACAAUAAUUUGUUUUAGAUGCUAAUAUCUUUGUCGAUACCGGUAACAAUAUUACAAUAUCUGCGUUUAUUGGGUUUUAUAUAGGUUCGACUGUUUGACUGUACACACUAUCUGAAGGCAUUUGCAAUUGGAGAUGUAUGGGUUGCUGUUGGGUGGAUUAGUGAUGUUCUUCCUGCUGUCAAACAUAUGUCUAAUGUUGCUGUGUUGUUCCCAAGUCUGGUGCUAGCUGCCUGCCAUUCUACUUCGAUAUUCACAUUGUUAUCUCCUUCAUAUUAGCAAUCAGUAAACACGUAAUGUGGCUAAUAAGUUUGUAUUCUCUUUAUAGGCAAUCCCUGCUGCCUCAAGACUUGAAACACAACAAAUUGGAGGGCGAGUCAGAGGUCCAUCUCCAUUAAUCCAUCAAUGGAUAGAAUUCUGCUUGCAAACAGCGAGAGCAUUGCCUUGCAAGCAAGAGGUUAUCCCGGGUGCAUCUCCCUCUGCCCUUGAAAGUACUCUGGUUAAGUUGCCUGAAGAACUUCUGGAGGGUAAACCAAGUCUGGAUACUAACUUAAUUGCUGGAGUACUCCCGGCUGAAAUUCUGGCCAGAUGUGAGUUUUUGGAGCCAUUAUCUGAAGCUACUUUGUCAGAUUAUGAGUGGCUGGUUGUUAAUCUGCAAAAACCUGCUCCUGUCUUGAUGAAAAGGGUGCAACAUUACUUGUCAUCAUUAAUCUAAAGCUUUCUAGCAAGAGCUACAUUGAAAAGUUAAUGGCGCUGCAUGCCAGUCAUUAUAAUGCUGUCAGGGCAAUUGGGUCAGGGCAAUUAGGUCUGAGCAUAACUUCAUUAGGAAAAGAGGCUUCAGCUACGUUAAAUAUUGCAGGAUGUACUGAGAUGGCUGAAGUUCUUAAGGUUUUAUGAGAAACGAAAGAUGAGUGUUUGUUUGAACAAAGUUGUUGCCAAUCUUGCAGAGUUUGGAAAGAAAGAUCACGGAGCGAAUGCCACCGAUUUCUUCAUCAUUUUAGCCUCCAUAGUUGAAGUUUCCUCAUUUGAAGCUGUUUAUGCAUACGAUUUUUCCCUGCUCUAGUACAGGAAAUUGAAGAAUUAACCAGAUGUGAUAUGCUGAAAGAGGGAAGUUUUCUUCCUUGAAUGUGGCCUUUGUGAUUUGUCUUGAAGGAAUAGGAUGAUCACUGGCAAGAACCCUAUCAAGGUAGAUUUUAUGGUGUUAACAUAUUAUUAAGCAUUUUGUUACAUUAGCAAUGAUGCUUUCAUAGCAUGAAAGUGUUUAAAUUUAACUGAUUGAUCUUGAUUGAUCAAUUAUGAGUUUUAAUCGAGUAAAAACUAAAUACAAUAAUCGUCAACAAAUAUUGAAAUUGGGUAAAUAUGAUCUUGAUAUUGAAGAAUUUGAAAUCACAACCCACACAGGAAAUCACCCUUCGCGUGGGGAUGGAGAUGUUUACUGCAGCGAUAUUGAAUAUGUCCACUGCUCUUUGGGUUAUGGUGCGACUUGCCCUGAAACAAUGGAAAAGAUUAACAUACCCUCCAAUGAAUGAAAACGGGUGGACUAAUUCUGAUUACCUAAUUGACUCAGGAUCGGCUGGCAAUAAUAACAGUUUAUUAACAAUGCACAGUCCGAGUACCUUUCCAGUAACAGUUUAUUAACAAUGCACAGUCCGAGUACCUUUCCAGGAUCAGAUACGACGUGGUCUAAUGUUGAUUUCAGAAAUAAAAUACAUUCUGAGAGAUGCUGGUCUACUAUUGCAAGCCCCCAGAUUUAAGAAUCUUUUGAUGAUAAUUUAAUUGAUAUGGACAGUUUCCAUAUCACUUUUAAAUCAUCUUAUGUAAUUGUGAUGUUAGGAAGCAUUAGUGACCUAUAUGUGAAUUAUUAUUAGCGACAUUAGUGGUUUUAUCUUGUUAAAAUAUGGAUGACUUCUAGUUAUUAUUUUAUUGUAGACAAUCUUAUUCAAUUAACAUAUAGUUUAAAACCAUUAUGUAAAUUAAUCUAUUAAUUUUCAUGAUAUUUAAUUGAGUUAAAACUAAGUGCAAUCAAUAAAUCUCUUUUGCUUUAAAAAACUGCUACCUUUUGAGUUUAGUGCUUAAUAUUUAUUGAACUCUGAUGCAGGGUAUUUGAAAUCAAACUCGUAAUACAGAUUAUCUAAUUGCGAGUUGCUGUCCAUAGCUGCUAAUUUGUAGUGAUUAUCUAAUUGAUUGAGGUGACAAUAAUUCUUUUAUUUCAAUAGCACAAUGUGGAAUUCAAUAAUUAAAUUCAUGAUAUUUAACUGAGUUAAAACUAAGUGCAUUCAAUAAAUCUCUCUUCCUUUAAAAAACUGUUGCGCUUUAAUUUUAGUGCUUAAUACUUACUAAACUCCGAUACAGGGAAUUUGAAUUCAAACUCGUAACUACAGAUUAUCUAAUUGCAAGUUUCUGUCCAUAGCUGCUGAUUUGUAGUGAUUAUCUAAUUGACAUAGGCCACGACAACUUUUUUUUUUUUUAAUUUUCAAUAGCACAACGUGGAAUUCAAUAAUUAAAUUCUCCUUUUUAAUUUGUUUCAAGUUAAAUUAUUAAUUACUUAAACUCUGUUUUAAGUCUUUAAUUUUAUGUGUUUAUGCAGAAUUGGAUUCUUUAGCGUGUUGGACACGACCAACAAUGAAAUUGACAGUAAACAAACAUUACAACGCGUUGAGUGUCGACUCCGGUAGCUGCCCUACAAGUCUACAACUUUACAAAAAAUAAUUGAGUACACACAUUUGAUUCUCGGGACCCAAAUUUCUAGCCCCGUUGACUCCACCGACAAAAGUUUUGGAAAAUUAAAAAAAAAAUUCAUAGAAUUCCACCAAAUGCAAAACGCGUGGAAUUUAAUUUUCGGCCGUGUGGACCAAAACAUAAUUUAAUAAAAAAAAAGAUAAAAUUUCUAAAAUGUGUGGAAGGUGAUCCAUAUUUUAUUGAAACAACUUAAAUUUAUUAAGGAUUUAAAAUAUUUGGUCAUAAAUUACGCUCAUGUUAAUUUUUCCGCUAUUGACUAUCAUAUUCUAGACACAAUGAAAUUGACAGUAAAGAAACAUUACAACGUGUCGACUCUGGUAGCUGACCUACAAGUCUACAACUUCACAAAUAAUAAUUGAGUAAGCACCUUUGAUUCUCGGGACCCUUCAAUGAAUUGCUAGCCCCGUUGACUCCACCGACAAAAGUUUUGUAAAAUAAAAAUAAUAUAUAGAAUUCCACCAAAUGCAAAACGCGUGGAAUUUAAUUUUCGGCCGUGUGGACCAAAACAUAAUUUAAUGAAAAAAGAAAAAAAAUGAUAAGAUUUCUAAAAUGUGUGGAAUGUGAUUCAUAUUUUACUGAAACGAUUUGUUAAAUUUUUCAAAGAUUUAGAAUAUUUGGUCAUAAAUUAGGCGCAUGUUAAAUUAGGAGCAUGUUAAUUUUUCCACCAUUGACUAUCAUAUUCUAAACUUAAUGAUACAUUUCUUUAUGAAGAGUACUUAGUCUCUCUUCUUCUCUUAUAAAAAUUAUAUUAAUUGAUUUCUUAUUAUAAUAAAUAGUCUUUAAGAACGUAUAGAUUUAUUGUUUUCGUGACCAAAUUAUGCCUGCCUAAGUUUGUGACUAUUAACAAAAUUAAUAUUUAAUGUUUAUGUUAAAAGAUAUAAGAUUUUAUGCAUUCAUUAAUUGUUAUUAGCUAAAGGAUUAAUUAUUUUUUCAACCCAAUCUGUUGAUGCAUCUGCAAGAGUUUUUUCUUUUAUUGACCAUAAUUAUAUUCCGGGUACAAUAAAUUGUCUUUGGUGAUUGGAAAAUAUGACUUCUUACUUCAAGUUUAAUAUGUCUCUCUCCAUAAGCUUACUGGAAAUAUAUCCUCAUCUACUGUCAUUUAUCUAAUAUCAAUUGAAGAUCUCACUUUUUCAAACUAUCACUUCCAAGUCGCAUUGUCACUUGGCCAUUCUUGGACCAUUCAAAACCAAUCAAGUGUUGAAAUAAUCAAAUAUAUGCAAAAUUAGAGUCACGAUUUUUGCUCCCUCAAAUUCUAAUUAUACAACUUCUAUAUAUCUCAUUGUCAGGUCACGAACUUGUUGGCACAUUUUCCAAAUUCCUAUUCCAACUUAAGUGGAAAGUUUCCAAGUUCAUUGCUAGAAAACAACACAAAAACUAGACACACUUAGUUUGUCUAAUAAUUCUCUUUCGGUAAAAUUAAUUAAUUUCAGGGGAAUAUUCUGCCAACCUCUGUAAUUUCAGAGUGAUCAUUAAUUAAUUAAACGAUACAAAUAUCUAAAGUAAUUAGAUGUUUGCUGACAAUACAAGUUCAUGACUUGAAAUUUGAUCUCUAUCGAUUGGUUCACAAAUAGACGUACGUGUGCCUUUGUGGCGAUAAUCGAACAAGUUCCCAAGAUUAUUAUUUUUUCCAAAAACUUUUUUACAACAAAUUCAUCUCGCCAAAAAUUAUAUUUUGCUAACUAACAAUAAUUGAGCACUUGACCGCAUUGACUCCACGUCUCCACCUCUUUCUAAAUUCUAAGUAAAAACAUGGAGAUGUAACCUCCACAAAAUGCCAAACGGGUGGAAUUUAAUUUUUUUGCCUUGUGGAUCAAAAUACAAAUGAAAGAAACAGGAGAAAAAAAAGGCCCAAAGACUUCUAAAAGAUGAAGAAGUCUUUGGGCCUUUUUAUAAUGGUGAAUUUUUUAAAAGAAAAAAAAUAACAACAUUUUUAUGGUUUGUUUUGAUAAUCAUAUUUACAUAUACUCUCUAAUUUUCAAAAUGGACACAUAAAUUUUUUUUUUUUACAAAUAUAUAUUAUUCAUAUUUUUUUAUUAUCAUAUUUUUAUUUAGAGCAAAUUUUUAGGUUGAAAUAUAAUAAAAAGGUAUAAUUGUUCUCUUAUUAAACACACAUACUUUUAUUAGUUUUAUUAGUUUCUAUCCAUUUGUCAUCUCAAUUAUUCUUUAAUGCUAGCUCAAAACACGUUGCUGGUGCAAAUUAUAGCAAAAUGACAAAUAUGGAAAAAAAGGGAAGAAAAUUAAUGCAUGAAAGACUUGGAGAAAACAACAAAAUAAGCCAACUAUGAGUUAGUUGGGUGUAUAAAUUGUUAGAUGUGUUAUAUACAAAUAGCGUAGAGCCCUCUAGUUGGUUCCAAAGACAGAAAGAGCGUGUGUGUUUUUUCACAGUUAGAGAUAUAGUUAGAAUGGGUGGUUCAAAAUCAAAAAUGAUGAUAAUGUUUAUUAUGUUAUUAAUAAUAUUUAAAAGUGGGUGGAGUGAGGGAUGUUUGGAUCACGAGAGAUUUGCUUUUUUGAGACUCAAACAUUUCUUCAAUGAUCCUCUUAAUUCUCUUUACGACUGGGUAGAUGGUGAGGGAGCUACUGAUUGUUGUCAGUGGGAAACGGUUGAGUGCAGCAACACCACAAGUCGAGUGAUAGCGCUAGACCUUUCUUACAGGUAUGGGGGAGAGUACAGUUGGUAUCUGAAUGCUUCUUUGUUUACUCCCUUCCAACAACUUGAGUCACUUGAUUUAACUCGCAACAACAUAGCCGGUUGUGUUGAGAAUGAAGGUGCUUCGUUUAAUUUAAUUAAUUUACUUCUUCUCUCCUAAUUUAAGUGGAAUAUCAAGACUGAGCAACUAUAUGCAUAUUCAUUCAGUUGACAAUUUUGACAUAUUUUUUUAAGUGAUUAAUUAAUUUUGAAAUACACUAGUAUCUAUGAUCUUUUUUUUUUAUUAUUUGGCUUGCAGGUCUAGAGAGGCUAUCAAGAUUGAACAACUUGAAGAUGCUUAAUUUAAGUGGAAACUCAUUCAAUAAUAGCAUUUUAUCAUCUCUAACUCAUCUUUCAUCAUUAAGAUCAUUAAAUUUAUUGUGGAAUAGAUUGGAAGGAAGUAUUGACGUUAAAGGUACAUAAUUAAAACUUCAAGCUCUUUCAUUAACUUGCUAAAAUAAGAUUCAAGGCUUUGAAUUCAAUUUUUUUAUGAUUAAUAUUAAAAAAACAGUUUUAAGCAAUUUAUAAAAACAAGUUUUAAUGUUUCUUGUAAUUUCAUCUUGUACUUUCAUAUGUCUUGAAUUUACAAUUAACAAAAAGACUCUAAUAGCGAACCAAACACCUCCACAACUUCUUAUUAUUUGUGGUGAGGUUUGAAACAUUCAACUCAAUUUGUACUUAUUACAAAAUUUGAUUCUUUGAGAGAUUUAGAGGAACUAGACAGUGGCGGGAUCAAGAUUGACAAAUUUGUGGUCUCAUAAGGUACUACAAUUUACCAUAAAAAAAAUUUGCUACCUUUUACAAUUUAGUUUAGAUUCUUUGCCCUUUGGUUUAUUAUUUUUACAGGUUUUGAAAAAAGUUGAAAUCCUCCUCGGUUUAAGUGGUAUCAAACUCAAUCGUAGCAUCUUAUCUUCUCUGACUGUCUUUUCUUCGUUAAGAGAAUUACAUCUACGUGAUACGGGAUUCAAAGGAACAUUCGAUGUUCGAGGUAAGCCUAAGUCUUGCUUUCUCAUUUUAUAUAUGCCAACUAGAUUUGUGUAUCAUCGACAUAAUUUAAUAUUUAAUUUGAUAAGUUUGAAUGAAUUACAUGCUAAUUUAAACACACUUUUAUUUACUUUGUCAAUUAAUUAAUUAAUUAAUUAAUACUAUUUGGCUUGGUUUGGACGAAAUUCUCAUGAUGUUUUAAUUUCUUUAAAUUAAUUAAUUAAUUAACUCUGUUUUUAAGUCUUAAGUCUGGGCGUGUUUGCAGAAUUUGAUUCCUUUAACGACUUAGAAGUGUUGGAUAUGAGAUACAAUGAAAUCGACAAUCUUGUGGUUCCUCAAGGUAAACAAUUAAAAGGUACAGAUGUGGCCAAAUUUAUAAAUAAAUUGUUAAUUAAUUAAUUUUUUCGUAUUAUUAAUAAAGCUAAAUUCGUUGCUCCUUCCUUCUAAUUCUAAACAGAGUUGCACAAUUUCACCAACUUGGAAUAUUUGACAUUGGAAUCUUCCUCUCUCCAUAUAAGCCUUCUGCAAAGCAUUGCAUCAAUAUUCCCUUCGUUAAAAAAUCUGUCGAUGUCUUUUUGUGAAGUCAAUGGUGUCGUACGCGGUCAAGGUAAAAGAAAAGCGUUGAUUGUGAACUCACUCAAUGGUGUCCUACGUGUUCAACAUUUUUAUUUAUUUUAUUGUUUAAUGUUUCUGCUAGGUUUUCCUCAUUUCAAGAGUUUGGAACAUUUUGACAUGAGGUUCGCGCGCAUUGCGCUCAACACCAGCUUUCUUCAAAUCAUCGGUGAAUCGACGCCAUCUCUUAAGUACUUAUCACUGUCAGAUUUUACUCUCAGCACUAACAGCAGCAGGAUUCUUGAUCGAGGUUAAUCAGAUGCUCCCACCCUCCCUUCUUAAUCUAUAAUAUUAAUUUUCAAUUAAAUAUUUAAUUACACAAAUGAAUUAUAAAAGAACAAUACGCAUUCAUUAAUUUUUAUAUUGUAUUAAUAAUUGAUGAAUUUAAUAAAUUUUCAGGCCUCUGUUCAUUGGUGCAUCUGCAAGAGUUGUACAUUGAUAAUAAUGAUUUAAGAGGUAGCUUGCCUUGGUGCUUGGCAAAUAUGACAUCCCUCCGAAUAUUAGAUGUUUCUUCCAAUCAACUUACUGGAAGCAUCUCCUCAUCUCCCCUCGUUCAUUUGACAUCCAUUGAAGAGCUGAGGCUUUCAGACAAUCACUUUCGGAUCCCAAUUUCACUUGAACCACUUUUCAAUCACUCAAGACUCAAGAUUUUCUAUGCUUACAACAACGAAAUAAAUGCAGAAAUAACUGAGUCACAUUCUUUGACCGCCCCAAACUUCCAAUUACAAUCUCUCUCAUUGACUUCCGGUUAUGGAGAUGGUGUCACAUUCCCCAAAUUCCUUUACCAUCAACAUGACCUGGAGGAUGUUCGUCUCUCAAACAUAAAGAUGAAUGGAGAAUUUCCAAAUUGGUUGUUGGAAAACAACACAAACUUAGAAUAUAUUUUUUUGGUUAAUGAUUCUCUUGCAGGACCUUUCCGGUUGCCAAUUCAUUCACACAAGCGGUUAAGACUGUUGGAUAUAUCCAACAACAACAUCAGAGGCCACAUUCCAGUAGAAAUUGGAGAUGUUUUACCGGGUUUAUUUUCUUUAAACAUUGCCAUGAAUGCUUUAGACGGUUGCAUUCCCUCUUCAUUUGGUAAUAUGAAAUUCCUCCAAUUUCUGGACUUAUCCAACAACCAAUUGACUGGUGAAAUCCCUAAGCACUUGGCCGUGGGUUGCGUCAACUUAGAGUCUCUUGCGUUGUCAAACAACAGCUUAGAAGGUCAUAUGUUCUCCAGAAACUUCAACCUGACAAACUUGAAAUGGUUACAAUUGGAAAGCAAUCACUUCGUAGGAGAGAUCCCACAAAGUUUGUCUAAAUGCUCCUCACUAGAAGGAUUGUAUCUUAACAAUAAUAGUCUUUCGGGUAAGAUUCCACGAUGGUUGGGUAAUCUCACAUGGUUACAAUAUAUUAUAAUGCCCAAUAAUCAUCUUGAAGGUCCUAUUCCAGUGGAGUUUUGUCAGCUUGAAUCGCUUCAGAUUUUGGACAUUUCAGACAACAACAUAUCUGGAAGUUUACCAUCUUGUUUCCAUCCUCUCUCUAUCAAACAAGUUCAUCUUUCAAAAAAUAUGUUACACGGACAGCUAAAAAGAGGUACAUUCUUUAAUUGCUCUUCCCUUGUGACAUUAGAUCUUAGUUAUAACUGCUUGAAUGGCAGCAUUCCGGAUUGGGUUGAUGGGCUUUCUCGGUUAAGCCACCUUAUCUUGGCUCACAAUAAUCUUGAAGGUGAAGUGCCAGUUCAAUUGUGCAAAUUGAACCAACUACAAUUGUUAGAUCUUUCUAAUAAUAAUCUUCAUGGUCUUAUUCCUCCUUGCUUUGAUAACACCACACUUCAUGAAAGUUACAACAAUAGUUCUAGUCCUGAUGAGCAAUUUGAAAUAUUUGUUUUCAUCGAAGGCCCUCAGGGAGGUGUAGAAAAGAAAAUCCAUGAAAUUUUUGAGUUCACAACAAAGAACAUUGCGUACAUUUACCAAGGAAAAGUGCUUAGCCUCCUAUCAGGACUUGAUCUUUCUUGCAACAAGCUAAUCGAUCAUAUUCCUCCUCAAAUUGGAAAUUUGACAAGGAUUCAAGCAUUGAAUCUAUCGCACAACAACUUGACAGGAUCGAUCCCAUCAACAUUUUCAAACUUGAAGCAUGUCGAAAGUUUGGAUCUUUCCUACAACAAAUUGAAUGGGAAAAUCCCUCAUCAGCUUGUGGAGUUAAAUACAUUAGCUGUUUUCAGUGUGGCAUACAAUAACUUAUCAGGCGAAAUUCCAGAACGGAAAGCACAAUUUGCAACCUUCAACGAGCGUAGCUAUGAGGGAAAUACUUUUCUUUGUGGACUGCCAUUGCCCAUUUGCAGAUCACCAGCAACUACGCCGGAGGGUUCAAUUGGCAAUGAACGAGAUGAUAAUUUAAUUGACAUGGACAGUUUCUUUAUCACAUUUACAACAUCGUACGUAAUUGUGAUAUUCGGAAUUAUUAUUGUUUUAUAUGUAAAUUCUUAUUGGCGACGUAGAUGGUUUUACUUUGUUGAAAUGUGGAUAACUUCAUGUUAUUAUUUUAUUGUAGACAAUCUUAUUACAACAAGAUAUUGUCAUUGAAAUUAAUUAGCAAUUUAAUUACGAUUCUUUAAAUUCUAAUCAAGUUUGCUUAGGAAAUAAAUUUAUUUUUAUUUUUUAUUAAAAUUGUAGUAGUAUUUAGCGCUAUAUAGCUUCCAACUUCCAAGCACUUCACAUUUGACUCUACACUUCCAAACCCAUAUCUAUCCACCAUAACUUAUACUUCCCUAUACUGUGCAGCAUACUUAAAUAAGAGAACCAUCUCCAAUGUUAAAACCAGCCACUCUAUAACAUUCAUUUAGAAUAGUUUUAUUAUCAUACACAAGAAAUGAAACACCUAGAUGCACUUGAUCGCCUAUUUUACUUUAAAAAAUAAUGAUUAUGGGCUAUCAUCAUCUUCUUCACUAGCAACAUUAACACCAAAUCCAGCGAUGGACCCAGACAUUUUAUCAAGAAAGGUAUAUAUAUAAUAAAGUUGAAGCUUGACAAAAAAUUCAGGAAGAUUAAUGCCUCGCCACAACAAGGGGCACAACAACAUCAAAGUAGAGAUGAAGCAAUAUUUUCAAAUCUAAAACUCUCAAAUCCACCCACCAAAAUUUCAUAUCUCCUCAACAAUUUUAAGAACUAAAGAUAAUUAGGAUCUAACAUUAGUUUUUUAUAUAUUAGUUUCAUAAUUUACAAAUCAAUGAAGAUGAAGAUUAUGCUAAUGAAUUCAAAUUAUACCAUAGAUUCUCGAGAUGUUACCAAAAAUUUCUAAGCCAAUCCCACAUAUUUCAUAAUUUUAAGACUAGAAAAUUUCAUUAGUUAGAAGUUUCAUUACCUUCAAGUGGAAGAUGAAGAACAUUAUACAAUUGAUUCAGAUUAUAUCAUACAUACUCCAAAUGCAACUAGAAAUUAACAAGUUCAUGCGCACAGAUUUCAUAACAUUAUGAUUGGAAAGUUUCACAAAGAGAAAUUCUAAAUUCAAUCUCUUGCAUCAAGGUAGUUUGAUUGAUUUGAGUUACUUUCUCAUCAAGCUACUAAUAUAACAUUCAAGUCAGGGAGAAAGUUAAUUAAAACUGGGAAGAAACAACAGUAAAAAUUUGUUGCUAAACAUGAUGUGUAUUUUUUUUUAAGGCAAUUUGGAAACACAGUUGUUACUACAGAUAUUCUCCUCAACUUAGAGAUAAAUACAAAUAUUAAAAUGCAUAUGAUCGCACAUAUUACUUGGAGCUUAGUAAGAUUUCAUUAAGAGAAGCAAUCAAACCACUUAUCAAUUGUUGCAAUCGUUCUAUAAGCUAAAAUAGCAAUAUAAUACAAGAAAAAGAACAUAUAGAUACUUGGCAAGAGUUCAUUAAGAAGUCGCAUCACAUUCGGGUGAGUUUGCUUCUGAUAUCUUGCUAGCUGGGGCUUUUUCUUGUCUUUCUACGCAUGCCGAGGGAAACCAACCAGCUUGGCCCUUGCAUUCACCUUCCGACCAUCCAGUAGGAGCCACCUUGAGAAGUUAUAACUAAAAGUCUAAAACAAUGAAUUAAACAAAAGUUGACCGUUCAAAGACCUAAGGGGAAAACUAAUUCUUUUACGUAGGAGGAGUGAAUUAGUUGUGAUCACUGAAAUAACAGCAUAACUAUGGAAGCAUAACAAGAUAUAAAUUCACACGUCUAUAAGGGUAAACUGGGUGGUUUAGAACUGAGCUAGCAACCCUACUAUAUUCUGAUUUGCACAUCAAUGUAAAAGGGAAUAUAUGGUAGGAAGAAAGAAAACCAACCAUCAGUUGUUAACUCAUUGCUUUUCAAUCAAAAUUUUAAGAACAAAAUGCCAUGUGCUUUGAACAUCAAAUAAGUAUAAGCAUUAGUUCUAAAUUCCACAUAUCAUAAGUUAGAAGGACAAGUCAAUAGCAUAGUAGAAAAAUCUAUGUGUUGUUAUUUAGAGGGGAAAGUACCUGGCGAACCACAACAUAAUCAUCAAUUGAAAGACUUAGCUCUCCAUUUGCUUGAGCAUCAAAUGGAUGUAUAACCUGCAAGAUAAUGGGAUAAAUAGAACUUAAUCUUAAAAAAAGCAUAACAAAAGCAGCAACAGUAGCAGCAGCGUUCAUUGUAACCACUAUGAUCAUGGCCAACAAAGAUAUAUUAGAAACAAAAUUCCAUUUUUACUACGACAUUAAUAUGUACUAUAUGAUAUCAUGACGAUUGGGUUACCAAGAGCUAUCAAAGUCCAAUAAAUUCUGUAUAACUUUAGGUAGUUAUUCAAAUUAUGGAUCAGAUUUUAAAUCCGAAAUUUUGACUGCUCUCCACAAAACAUGGCCUAUGCACAAGAAAGUCAUAGAUAAUGAGGAUUACAAGUGUCUGACAUCUUUUGAGUGAUGGAUUUAACAUGAGAGCUUAUGGUCAGUCAAUUUCCUCUGCCUAGCAAUAUAAGCUUUCUCGGCCAGAUUUAUCAUCAAAUACAUAGAUUGGCCCCAAGUCACAUCCAUAUAAACAUAGUUUUUCUAGGUAAACCAAGUAAGGAGAAUCAUAAUUCAGACAUAAUCAUAAAAAGGCCCAUCUAACUUAAGAGAAAAUCUCAAAAAGAGGGAUGUUGAGCUAUCAGUCUUGUAUCUAUAAGCAAUAUCAAGACUUUACAUCACCUACUACAUCGUGAGUGGCUACACAACUUUCAGUGGUUUGUCUUUCUUUGGCAUGCCUAACUCAGCUUUGAUGUUGCUGAGAUAUUGAUAGUAAAGACACAUGAUACUUCUAGCCCAUGCAUUCUAUCUAGCUCAUCCGACAACUAUCUCUUUUUUAAUUCAUUAGUGUUUGCUAAACCUCAUGCUUAAAAGUCCUAUUCUCCUAAACAAAGCUUCCUAAGAAUGACUUCCUCAGCACCACAUUUGGACACUUUUAGAGCAAUUUUAUUUGGGGGAAAAGAAUUUUCAAGGUGUUAACUAAUAAAUUUUAAAAAAUAAUUACAAUUUGUCCCACAAUUAUAUGACAAUUUAUCUGGGAUGAAAGGAUACAGACAGACAUCUUCCACUUUCAAGACUAAUCACUACUUCUGUAGAUGUUUUGCAAUAAUACAAAUACUUGACCAGAUGGUAGAAAAAAAUUUUAUUGCUCCAAAAUUAAAAUAAGAAUGCAAUAUGUUAAGCAAAAGACUGUGCAACAUCAAAUUAAUUGAUAAGUUUGUAAUUCAGUAAAUUAACAACUUUCAUGGUAAAAUACAACAAAUUUCUUUUCAAAAAAAUUUAAAAAAUAAUUAAAAGACAGCAUUCAAUUUUUUGCGCAUCUUAUUUCUUAAGAUUUUCCAGGAGGAGGGCACUAGAGGGACUUUCACCUAUGCAAGAGAGCAGAAGCCUUACUUUCGCUAUAAAGUAGACGUCAUUCUGAUUAAUAUGCGUUUGCAAAUCAGCUCCAUUUGAAUCAGUAUUCUGAUAGACACAUGAGGCAUUUACAUCCAUUUCCAAAGUCACAUGUUGCGAGGAGGACUCAUUUGAUUGCUCCUCUAGGAUCAUCUAAUUCAAGUAGCAAGGGUUGGAAGAGAAUAAAAAGUCACAAUUAUUCUUUUGCAUAAGUGAGACGAAAAUGAUAAAUGCAAUAUUAUCAGCAGUAAACAAGAAGAGAACACUCCAAGGAAUAGAUAGAUGCGGACAAGCAAGUUAAAAUGCACAGUUCCAAACCUCCGCAUACAACUUCUCUAAAAUAGCAAUAACGUGUUGAUGAUAUGUUUUCUCAGCAUCUACCUGCAAAGGCCUGAGACCAGGAAAACAACAAUAAAACCACUAGCUAAAGGAGAAAGUAAAGAAAGAAAUACACUUGACAUAAAUCUUGACAAGAAGCACAAUUUAAGACAUAACAAACCCCAAUCAGAUUGUUUAGAACUACCAUUCGUUAUUUCGUUAUUGUAGCAUUUCGAACAAGUGUUGACUUAAUUCAACAUUGUUGGAAAGAUAGGCUUUUAGAAGCGGAAGAAAGCCACUCAAACCAAAGUGAUUGUCCUUGUAUUGAUCAAGGGAUGUAAACAUAUUACAUUUGCAGGAUGAGUUUUAAUCACUCCCCUGAUUUAUUUGGGUUGCAGUAAAACUAAGCGAGCAACUGUUUGACUUUCAAGCAACAUCUAAAUCAGCUAUUAAAAUUCAAAUAAAAUUAUAAUAGAAUAAUAACAGGCCAUCUUGCAUAAAAAAUUAAGUUUAAUUUGUGAAUUUUUUUCUAUAGACAUGUUAGUUCCUGCUAUUGAAAUGUUAAAAGCAUUGAAAAAUUAUUCAAUAAAUUAUGCAAACAUUAAAAUAGAGGACAUAUUAAAAAGUUUCUAAUUACAAUGUUAAGAUUUCCUAUAUUUUAGCAUUUGCAUAUUUUAAUUUAUUUAAAAGUUACGUCAAUCAACUUUGGGCGUGAAGAUUUUAGCUUCUAGGAGACUUGAUUGGAAUAUGCAUAAGGAAGAGUGUUAAAAUAUGAUGCAUCCAACGAAAGACAAACCACGUGUAGUCUUUUAAUUAAGCCAAAGUAGCAGCUCAAACAAAUGACACUUGGACCAACAUGCAAUCAUGAAGUGGCCGGAAAAAGGACAAAUGCAACUUUGGCUUAAAUAAAAAAUAACAUGUGACUUGACUUUUGCUGGACAUGCAUCAUGUUAUUACAAGACAACAGAAAUCAGUAUGAUAGUACUAAAAGUUGACAAUAACAUGAAGAUAAGAGGCAGAAUGUCAACACCUGCAUAGGCACACACAAGAAAGUAUUAACAUAUAUACCAUAGCAAAAAGUCUUUGAUAUGUCAUCUGUUGCUGCUGUGAUUCAACUGACAGCAUGGCAGCUGUCGCUUCUCUACCAAGAGCCAUUAUUGUAGAUUUAAGCUCGGUCAAUCUUGCUUCUGCAUUUCGAAGCUUCACAGCACUCUCUGCUGAUAUAUCAGAUUUCCUUAUCUUUGAUCGGUGCCUAAAUACUUCAGCUGCCUGGUGAAAAUAUUCAAUAUAAAUCUAACAUAAUUCUCAUCUUGCCUUAUACAUGCAUAUGUUACCUCAAAGCUUGCCUGGGCUUCAACUUCAUGUCGAAGUUUGUCAUAACGAUGAGUCAGGUGUCGAGCAUCUUCCAAAGGUGCUCCGUUGAUUAACGCCCGUAGUGGCUCAUAUACCUACAUGUCCAAAAACCUGUAACAUAGUUAGAAAAAUGAAAAGAAAGAGCGAAACCUCAAUUAAAAAGUUCCUCCAACAUAAUCAUGGAAUUUGGGCCUACUUCAAGGAUAUAUAUAAGGAUAAUUUAUGCAAUUUUGGGUCUUAGGAUGAUUCAUAUUAGGUUAGUGUUCUUCUCUUCUGUAUUUAAGGUUAAAAUAGAAAUAAACCUAUGCAAAUAUCUAAAUUAGGGCUGUAAGACUUCCACAUGCAUCCUUCAGUCUCAUGGAUUUGAUUUUACUAUAGAUGCAAGUGUCUUUAUCGAAAAUGCUUGGAGUCAAUUGAGAGAACUCACAGCCAAUAACUUGUCACAUGCUAGUCUUUGCUAGUGAUGCAAGAAGUCACAAGGUCUCUUCAACAUUUGAACCAAUAAAAUUAUUAAGUCAUGGAUGUCACUAGCAAUGAUUUCAAUAUAAAACAUUAAAUAUUUCAAGUUGUAACUUUAAAAUGAAUUCUUUUAUUCAAUAUCUUAGAACUAAGUUUCCUUAUGAGAAGAUAAUAGUUUCAGUAGUAAUUUACAUGAAAUUUUCUAUAUUUGAAUUAUUUUCUAGUUAGGGAUGAACUAACCUGAUCAUGAAGAAUCCCAAGCAAAGUUUCCCUCUCAUUUUCCAUCAAAUCAUGUGAAGUGCCAAAUUGAAGAGCAGCUCUUGCAGCGCAAGAAUUGUCACUUUGAUUCUCCGCUCCAUACUUGCAACAAUCUUCAGCCAACUUUCUUGCUACAAUAUUUGAAUACAAAAAUAUUGUACACAAGAACCAGUCAAGAAAAUAAAAAAAAAAUCAAAUAUUAUAACGAGAGCAAGAGCAAACAAACAACCUAUUUCCAUUUGUUUCAAGCUUACUGCAACAAACCCUUCAACGCCACGGACAAUAUUCCUCUGAAAAUGCUGUGCUACAGAGCAUAUAUUCCAAAUUAUUGUUCAGAUAAAACCAUAGAAACCAUCAUAAUUAUCAACAUACAUUAAGCUCCGUUUGGUAAAUACUUGCAACUUCAGUCUAGAAAAUACAGUUGUUUGUACCAUAUUUGACAAAAUUAUUAUUUAAAAAUCAUAACUAAUUACCAAAAGCCACAAUAAAUCAAUAUCAAACAGAGUCUUAUUAUUAGCUAAAGGAGGAUGGUGCCUUAGCUGCCCUGGUGGAAUUGUAUAGAUUUUAAAGUUGUUGGUGACACUCAAUUUCAGCUUCAUGAACCGCAAUAUUUUCAAUACCAAGAUGGAGCAGAUGCUUCAAUACUGCCUGUACAAAUCAUAAAAAACUAAUAAAAAUAAAUAAAAUCGAGAAAUUUCACUAACUAAAAGUCUAAAUAUAAUUUUUGAAAAAAGAAAAGAAACGGACUUGCUGCUGCUUGGCGACUUGUUCUCGGAGCUUGAUUGCCUGUUUCUUGAUAGCUUCCAUACUGUUUCUUUCAAAAAGCAACGAUGGCUUAGCUCAUGGAGGUGGAAAAAAAAAGUGUGAUCGAGAAAAAUAAAAAGGCAUGAAUAAUUUUUGACAAAAAGCGAAAAAUAAAAAGGCAUGAAUAAUGAAUAAUUUUUGACAAAAAGCUCUUUCCAGAAAAUAAAAAAAGAAAAAAGAAAAAAGAAAAUUAUAAGUUUGAAAGGAGUAGAUGAUAGUGGAAGUGUGCGGUGUGGCUGCCAGCUACUUGGAUUGUAUUGUCGGGUAAGGUAAUAGCAGAGAAUUUUUUUUUUUGAAGAAAAAUGGGUAAUUUUUAAAAACCUCCGCUGAGGUUUGGGCUUGUUGUAAGUAGAUGGCGAGAAUCCAUUUAUUUGUAAAAAACCCCCUACGUUUUUGCUCCGCUUGGUUGCCGUUUGGGCAAUUGUGGGCAUUGUUGACAUUUCGCAAUAAAACAAAUCUUUUGCAACUUUCGUUUCCUUGAGAACAAUAGCUAGAUUUCUCAAUCUGUUUCAUCCAACACUUCAAAAAUUUCAACUUUUAUGAGUUAUUGCAUUCUCUGGCAAAGUAGACUUCUUCUAAUUUUAUCACAGUGCUUUCAGGAACAAGAAUGGGAUGCAUUAACAUCCCCUCAAAUUUUACAGCUUCCUUACAGCUAUACACUGCUGUAACACGAAGUUUAAUGAUUCCAUCGCCAAAUAGUCCCCAAAAUCUAUUCUUCCCCAUAUUGAACAACUUAAGUUCACAACACUUGCAUUCUAAAGGCUUCCCACUAACAUCUAAUAUCUCAAGACUCAACGUUGCUUUACAAUAAUUGUUAUUACUACCAAACAAACAUGAAGAAACCCCGAUUAUCGGAUAAAUCAACCCAAAAUGAACAAGAGAAGAACCCAAAACAAGUGAAUCGCUAGAGCAAAACCCCCAACCCAUAUCCCUAAUCCCACACUCAAAAAAACCCAAUUUCUCUCCAAAGUCAUUGACACUAGCAUCACUACUAGACUCUAAUUCCAAUCCUAGAUUACAUUUAAUGUUAACCCAACUAAAAUGAAUGUUCUUACUACAAUACGCAUCGUUUACACUCUCAAACAACGCGCUGAACUUACUCUUAAACGAUCCCACAUUGGUCAAACACUCAUCACUCACAUCGACAUCCAAGAAUUCACUCAAAAACUUCAUAGACUCGACAAUUGGAGAAAACAAAACCACUAAACUCAACUUUAUACAAGCAUACCCAUCGAGAAUCUUACCGUCAUUAACCGAAUCACAACAAAUGACCGGGUCCCACGCGCAGUCGUGAACGAGCUUACGCAUGGACGGGGCAACAUUUAACCCCCGCGGCAAAAACGACGAAGCUUUGGAAAAAUUGUGUUUUAGAGCUGGGUUGAGGAGUAGAGAUUGGAGAGAUUGGAAGGUGGAAUCGGGACGGUCAAAGGAUAGAGAGAUAGAAGGGAAGGGGAUCUUUAAAAGAGAAGUGGGGAGAGGGAGGAGAAGAAGGAUUUGAAAGAGAAAAGAGAGGAACGGAGAGGCGGGAAUGAGAUUAAGGUUUUCACUGCAACUAAAAGAGUAAUCAUGUAUGGCUCUUGGUCUUGGAGAUGAAGGAGAGGAUUCAGGUCGAUUAAGAGGACUAUACGCUGCAUUUUGGUGUAGUCUGCCGCCAUUGGUAGAAGUUUCGAAGUGGGUUUCUGUUUAGAUCCGAGUUUGACGAAGAAACGUGGUGGUUGCGCUUGGGACAAUAUUGUUUUUGCACUGGUCAUUGUAAAAAUUAAAUGACGGUAGGGAGUUUUUUUAUAAAUAAAUGAAUUCUCGUCAUUUAUAACAAGUCGAAACCUCAAAAAAGAUUUUAAAAAUUAGCCGAAGAUUCGAAAAAUAGUAGAGAAUUUUUUAAAAAGCUAGAACAGAGCAUGUUAGACUUUUGUGGACCAAAUUCAAAAGCCGAAGGGCACGGCCCAAAAGCUUUUGAAUACAAUAACUUACUAGAAAGCUCUAUUUUUUGUUGGCUACAGUAAAAGUAUGUUGUUUUAUGCUUCUUAUAUGUUACGCUUGCAUCAGCCUCAAUCACUUCUUAAUCGCUUGCUUUAACUGCAUCGCUCUCUGUGUACUCUUCUACACAUGUAAUGGUUAUGCGGUUGUAGUUCACGGCUGAGGCUACGUGUUGGUUUGACGCGACAGUUACGUUACGACAUUACGAGUCUGCUAAACAUUCGGUGAUAGAGCAUUAUUAGUUAUUUUAAGGGGACAAAUAAGAUUGGUUGCAAUAAACCCACUAAUAUUAUAAAAUUCGAGUAAUAUAGAAUAAAAUAAAAAAAUAAAUACAAAAUUGGCUUUUAUUUUUUAUGGUUGACUGUAUUUUGUGUUCUCUUCCGGCACUACUACAAUUGUUCCCUAUAUAUCAUCAAUACAAGAAAUGAAAUCUAAUGUCACCUAUUUAGUUAAAGAAUUACUCAUGAAAAAAUUUUACCAUUUUACUUUUUUACUUUGAGGAUCCAUAUUUUGAACUGCAAGCUAAUGUUCAUCAAGAAUCACUAAUGUUCAUAAAAAACAAGUAGAAAAACUAUUUUUGGACAAAUUAUUUUUGUUGAUAAAAGAAUUUCUUAAGGGACUACUAAUAUUAUGAAUAACAUUAUGAAUAACAAUGUAGAACACACCCACAUAUCAUCGACACAAUUGACUUUAAGGAUCCAUGCUUUGAAUUGCCACCUAAUGUUCAUCAAGAACAGAGUAUGCCUUGUGAGUAGAAAAUUUUAUGAUUUUGGUCCGAAAUAAAAAGAAAUUAAAUUAGAUGAGAAUCUGCCACUUUCUCAUAAAGAAAGGCAUACGGAGCAUACCAUGGUACCAUACAAUACAAAGAGUCUUUAUUCUCUGGUUUUUCAAACUCUGAAGGGGCCAAUAUUCCCGAAUUCCCCCUUGAAAAUUCUGAUUACGACAUUAUUCAAUUCUUGACACAAUCAAAGUAGCGAGAAAGUUAAGAAAAAUAUGAGUCCUAAGUAAUGGCUAGGUAGGGUUCUUGAGAGCAAAAUUGUCCUAAGCAUUAUAUGCAUACAUGGUGUGGUACAUAGAGCACGUUGAAUUCCACACUAUAACACAAACCCAGAAAGACAAGUAAUAACUCAACUGAUAUAAAGACAAAAAGAAGAUAAAAUGAUAUAGAAAAAAGAAUUUCAAAGAGACAGCAACAUACGAUAGACUGAAGCCACUUGAUCUGCUCACUGAUUGCAGCCUUAAACUUACAAAUAGUUACUGUACGCUAGUGCUCUAAGAAGUGAAAAUGAUAAGAGACCUAAUUUCCUUUUGACUUCCAUUUACUGUCAAACAUUCUAGUAAUACAAAAAAUUGUUUAGAUAUCUUGCUAUAAAUAUAGUCGUUUGACUGUCAUAAUAAAGUCACAAAUAACCAUUCAUAUUGAUCCACUGUCACACAGCAUGCUUUAUGCAUACAACAUCUGCAUGUAUACCAACUCCUAACCUUAUCAAUACAUUUGGCAAAAACUUAAGAAGAAAACUAUUUCUCCAUCUCUUUUUUGAAAUUUCACAAUAAACCAGCACAUUGUGAAAGCUAUGUUCUAAUCUUAUGAUAAAUGCUCUAGACUCCAAAAGGAUUUUAUUUAUGAGAGUUUGUUGCAGCAGAUAUAUUGACUUAUCAAGUAUGAAUCAUUGUCUGGAUGAACUAUCUUUAAAUAAAAGAAUAUUAGAACCACUGUAGAAUAUCUUUACGCUGCUGGUUCUAACAGGAAUCUGCAUGUGGCAACAAUUGCUAGAUCCACAAUUCCCCAACUUGAAAUACAUAGUUGCACACCGUGAGAUAGUGCUGCAAUCUACUGAGAUCUAACUUAUUUGAUACUUUAAGCUACUAAUGUUUGCAUAUUUCUACAUGUUAAAUUGACACUACCAUCUAUAAUCACCCCAAAACGACAAAUGAUAAGCAGCUUUUGGCCACUUAUUACUAGCAUCCACAACACAAUUAUAAAUAAGAGAUCAUGGGUUUACUUGUUGCAACUACUUAAUGAUCUGCAUUUGAGACCCUGACGCAAGGUUUAAAUAGUGACUGCUUAGAACCCUUGUAGUUGGAUCUUGACCUCUCCCAUUGUAGCCAAGAUUGGCUACUCUGGUAAUGAAUCAACACUCUCCUGCUUAUUUUUUUGUUUUUAAAAAAUAACGAAAUCAUAAAAUAAAUAAACACGUGUUUGGUUUUGGGCAUUUUCUUUUGUUCAUUUAAUAUCAUCUGGCUCCCUGAUUUUUUACUAAUUAACAACGGAAUCCUGUUAGUUUCUAAAUUGAAAUAAUAAAAGGUCACGAGAUUAUUUACUCCAUUUAGCACUGUAGACUUAGAGUAUAUUGAAAAAGCUUUGUCAAAUAGUAGUAAUAGGGGCAUAAUAAAUAAGUUUUUCAGAAUUUACAUAAUGUACUUGGCUCUAGGAAGAUUGCCCUCUUAUCACUCAAGUUAGGUUUUGCCUUAGAGUUGAGGUAAAUCAUUAAAAUAAAUUAUAGCUAUUACAAAUUCGUUAGGAGAAUUUCAAUUUUUUUUCCAUUAAAUGGCUAUGACGCAAAAUUACCUCAGCUUAUAUUGCAACACUAAUACUUCAAAUCCUAACAAUAAAAUUGAUGACAAUGGUUUUUAUGUAUAGUAAUUUUCACUCUUUUGUUUGAUCUAAAAGUAGUUCUUAAAAUGACAAUGAUGACUUAUUUAGAAGAAAUGGCAAACUUAUAGUUUGUAAUAUUGUUUGCACAAACAAUAAAGACUAAUUUGAUAAUAAUGAAGUGUUAAUUACUAUUUAACAUUUUUAAUUAAUUUUUAAAUUUAAAAAAAAUGAAGGCCGAAACUUGUGCAUUAAAUUUUAAUUAAAAGUUGAUUGCUUCGAAGGUUUGAUCGUGACAAAUUGACAAUUGAAAAAAGAAGUAGGGAAUAUAUAUUCUGAUGAAAGGGACAAGAUUAAGCAAGGGGACAAUAUUGUCUAUUGGACCUACAAAUGGGGGCAAAGAUCUAUAUAUUCCAAAAUCUCUUAUUUGUGGAUUGGCCACCACGUGUAACUAAUAUAAAAAGAGAAAAUUUGGCAUGGUUUUAACCGAUAUAAGGGUCCGUUUGGGAUUGAGGUGUUGUAGCUUUUAAGCUAUAGCUGUUGUGGAAAAAAAACUGUAAGUAUUAAAUAAAAGUUAAUAAUAUAUAGUAAAUAUAAAUUUUAAAUAAUAAUUUUGAUGAAAUUAUUAAAGAUAUAAUAGAUUUUCUAUUAUACAAAUGAAAAUUCAUAUCAACAUAGCUUAAAAGUUACAGCAGUUAGUGUUUACCAAACACUUUAGUGCUGUAGCUUUUAAACUACAGCUGCCCAACCUCAAUCUCAAACGCACCCUAAGAAGAGAAAAUUUUGAGUGUAUAAGAAGAGAAAAUUUUGAGUGCACAACAAGAACAAAGCAAAACCCAUGAAAAUUCACCUUUCAUGUGGGUUGGAUUGGAUAAAAUCAAUAUCUUGAAUCAAACAAAAUGUUUGGUACUUGAAGUUUUUUUUAACAUUUUCAUUUUUUUUCCAUUUAUGAAGUCCAGUUUUUUUUUAAUUUUUAUUUUUUUGAAUGAUUUUGAAGGUGUUGAUAUAAGGUCAUCGAAGGUUUGUGAACUUGGGGUGUUGAAUUAUAAGGCGAAGCGUGUGUUUUAUCCAUUUGAAGCAAGUAAAUUUCGCUGUCGGUAUGAUUACUAUUGGGCUUCUAUCUUCAAGGUAUUCAUACAUUUUCCCCUGUACUAUAAGCUUCUUAGUGGCGGUCUUGUGAGCGGAAGUGAGCGGUGUGGCUGACAGCUUCUUGAAAAUUAUAAGUUUGAACAGAGCAUGUUAGACUUUUGUUGACCAAAUUCGAAAGCCAAAUGGCACAGCUCAGAAGCUUUUGAAUUGAAUAACUUACUAGAAAGCUCCAAUUUUUUGUUGGCUACAGUAAAAAGAGGUUGUUUUAUUCUUCUUAUACUUUACGCUUGCAUCAGCUUAAAUCACUUCUUAAACGCUUUGCUUUAACUCCACCGCUUCGUACUGUUCUAUAUAUGUAUCGGGUAUGCGGUUGUAGUUCACUGCUGAGACUACGUGUUUGUUUAACGUGGAAGUUACGUUACGAGUCUGUUAAAACAUUCGGUGAUUAAAGUAUUAUCAGUUAUUUCAAAGGGACAAAUAAGAUUAGCUACAACACACACUAGUUUUAUAAAAUUCGAAUGAGAUGGAAUAAAAUAAAUAAGUAAAUUGACUUUUAAUUUAGUGUUUGAAUAUAUUUUGUAUUCUCUUUGGGCACUGCUGUAAUUGUUCCUUAUCACACCCAUAUGUUAUAGACACAAGAAAUGAAAUUUAAGAUCACCAGUUUAAUUAAAGAAUCACUCAUGAAAAAAUUUUGCCAUUUUGAUUUGAGGAUCCACAUUUUGAACAACCAACUUAUGUUCAUUAAGAACAAAGCAUUGCCUGUGAGUAGAAAAAUGAUUUUUGAACAAAUUAUUUUUUGUUUAUAGAAGAAUUUCUCAAGGGACUAUUAAAAUUACUAAUAAAAAUGUCAGACACACCCAUGUACCAUCGACAAAAUUAACUAUGAGGAUCCAUGUUUUGAACUGCCACCGAAUGUUCAUCAAGAACAUAGUAUAACUUGUGACAAGAAAUUUUUUUGAUUUUGGCCUGGAACAAAAUGAAAUUAAAUUGAAGGAGAAUCUACUACUUUCUCAUUAAGAAAGGCAGACGGGGCAUACCAUGGUACCAUACAAUACAAAAAGUUUCUGUUCUCUGGCUUUUCAAACUCUGAAGGGGGUAAUAUUCCCCAAUUCCCUUGUGAAAAUUCUGAUUACGACAUUAUUCAUCGCUUGAUACAUAAGUAAAAGUAGUGAUAAAAUUAGAAAAAAUAUGACUUAUAAGUAAUUACUAGGCAGGGCUCUUGAGAGCAACAUUGUGCUAGGCUUUAUAUGCAUACAUUGUGUGGUACAUUCUACACUAUAACACAAACCCAGAAAGACAAGUAAUAUCUCAACUUAUAUAAAGACAAAAAGAAGAUAAAACGAUACAGAACAAAGAAUUUCAAAGAGACAGCAACAUACAAUAGACUGAAGCCAGUUGAUCUGCUCGUUGAUUGCAGCCUUAAACUUGCAAAUGUUUACUGUAGCCUGGUGCUCUAAGAAGUGAAAGUGAUGCAAACCUUGAUUCCCUGUUUACUUCCAUUUACUGUCAAACAUUCUAUUCAUACGAAAAAAAUUGUUUAGAUAUCUUGCCGUAAAUAUAGCCAUUUGAUUGUCUUAAUAAAGCCACACACAACCAUUCAUAUUGAUCCACAUUGCCAUAUAGCCUGAUUUAAGCAUACAACAGCUGAAUGCAUACUGACUCCUAACCUUAUCAAUACAUUGGAGACAACUUAAGAAUAAAACGAUUUCUCCAUCUCUUUUUUUGAAAUUUCACAAGAAAACAGCACAACGUAAGAGCUGCAAUGAAAAUGGACCGUCAGGAACUAUGGCGGAAGCUUCAACUAGUGUAGUGAUUUGACCUUCUUAUUAACUUAGCGAUAUCAAGCACUGCCCUUCAUCUUGAACAGAUCAAUACAAUACGCACAACUUAUGAUUGAAUCCAGAAACAAUCAAAUCUUUAGCAAGAAAAAUUAAUCAGAAUCAAGAAACAAGUUCAAUGAAUAUAAACCUAUAAUUGGAACAAACACAGCCAAAGAACCCAAGAAUGACACAACCUACACCACGGGAGAAGCUUUCCAGUGAGAUUUUAUUGAUGAUCAAAGAAGAAUCUUUUUACAAAGCUAACAAAAGAGAUUUCAGAGAAUAAGCUAUGACUCUCUCUCUUCAAUCUCUCUCUCUUCAAUCUCUCUCUAGUUUAUUCACAGUGAUGACCCCAAUCUGCUUCGUUAGCCAGCUUCAUAACUGCGUCAGUGACAAACUAGCAAACCCAGAUUGAGCAGAUUACCGACACGUGGAUAACGGCUAUUAAGAACUUGGUUAAAGAACUGCUCACAUAUUCGUCACGCGUGUUACUUAAAUGAUGGCCAAAACGACUUCAACCAGAUGCCGUUUUGAAGCUUGUGAAUUAUAAUUGAAAACACGUGCUUGUCUCGUGACACUUAAAUACAACAACAAGCCCAAAACACUGCUGUUAUCCACCUCUCCAGCUAGUGUGCUUAUUGAGUCCCAGUAGUUGAUAUUCCAAAACAGGGUGUUCAAAUACAAAUUCCAAUCCACUUCACCUAAAUUUAAUACAAGCCAUCUUGAAGGCUCUAACUUGGGAAGGGACACAAGUCCCAUAACCACAAAAGGAAGGAGUGAGAAAAUCCCUAAAAGAACAGCAGCCCAUCCCACAAUGGUUAGACCCCUAUAGUUCAUGAAAGUGAGAACAAAAGUCAAAGCUAACACCGCAAAGGCUCUAGGUAACCCAUCGCCCAAAGCAGGGAUACCAGACUUAAAGUAGUCAAGAAACAGAACUGGGUAUAAAGCAUUAUCAAUAACCCCACUUAGCCAUUUCAUCCAAACUUGCUGAAAACCUCAAUAUGGGCCUAAGGCAGAUGAAACCCAACCCACAUAACCACAAUUUCAGGAAACACGGUACCCAUCUCGGCAGUAAUUNNNNNNNNNNNNNNNNNNNNNNNNNNNNNNNNNNNNNNNNNNNNNNNNNNNNNNNNNNNNNNNNNNNNNNNNNNNNNNNNNNNNNNNNNNNNNNNNNNNNAAACACCAAGAAACCAAGAAGUGCUAAAAGAGGACCAGCUGCCUUUACACUAUCCUCAACACCAAACGGCCCCCCAGAAACCUCAUAGAAUAUAAGGAAAAUAAGUGGCAAGAUUGAUACUUUUUUAGUGCCAUGGACUCCAGGAGAAGAUGGUUGGUCAUUGAUAUUAACAUAUUCAACAGCAUCAGACUGCCCCAUUUCUACUGAAACUUGCCUAUUUACAGUGUUCAUCAAUUUCUGCAUCAAGUUUUAGCAUAACUAUCAAAAGGGUAUCCGCAUGUAAAUUAUGAAACAAAAUGAGCAUUUACUUAUUAAAAAAAAAUAAAAAACAGAAAUGGAUUUCACAGAACACAUGAACUUAAGUUCAACAUUAAACAGGCGCUUAAGAAAACAAAAGGGUCUGUUCGUAAAGCCAUCAGAUUGCAAGAUUGAACAACAUUAACGGAAUCAAUAGAAUAGAUGUAAAGAGAUCUGAAAAGAAAAUAAAAUAAAAGAUGAAGAGAGAUAAAACGAACCAUCAAAUAAGUGCAUGCAGAGCAGAGAGGCAGAUGCUAGAGGAGCUCCGUCAUGUUAGAGAGAGCCUAAAUCAAUCAGAGCUCACUGAGUUUCUUUUCAACCGACCGGCAAAUUUGGAGUGGCACAACAUAAUAUUUUUGCUUUUAAUUUUUGGAACACUUUUGAAUGGAAUUUUAAAAAAAAAAAAAGGUAAGGGAGAUUUGUAUUUAUUUAGCCUUAUAUUUUUUAAAAUAUUUUUAAAAUAUUUUUAUUAAUAUUUUUAUUAUAUUUUUUAAAUUUUUAAAUUUAUUUUUAUAAUAUUAUUUUUUUAUAAUAAUUUUUUAUUUAGAUAUUAAUAAAAAAAAUUAAAUUAACAAUUUAAUCCCAAAAUAAAUAAACACGUGUUUGGUUUUGGGCUUUUUCUUUUGUUCGUUUAAUAUCAUCUGGCUCCCUGAUUUGUGACUAAUUAUCAACGGAAUCCCGUUGGUUUCUAAAUUGAAAUAAUAGAAGGUCAUGAGACUAUUUACUCCAUUGAGCACUGCAGACUUAGAGUAUAUUGAAAAAGCUUUGUCAAAUAGUAGUAAUACGGGCAUAAGAAAUAAAUUAUAACUAUCACAAAUUCGUCAGGAGAAUUUCAAUUUUUUCCAUCAAUAAUGGCUAUGAAGAAAAAUUACCUUAGGUUAUAUUGCAACACUAAUACUUCAAAUCCUGAUAAUAAAUUUGAUGACAGUCGUUUUUAUAUAUAGUAAUUUUCGCUCCUUUAUUUAGUUUAAAAGUUGUUCUUAAAAUGACAACGAUGACUUAUUUAGAAGAAAUGGUAAACUUAUAACUUGUAAUAUUAUUUGCACAAACAAUAAUAAUGAAGUGUUAAUUACUACUUAACAUUUUUAAUUAAUUUCUAAAUUUAAAAAAAAUAUGAAAGUUGAUUGCUUCGAAGGUUGGAUCGUGACAAAUUGACAUUUGAAAAGAGAAGUAGGGAAUGUAUAUUCUGAUGAAAGGGACAAGAUUAAGUAAGGGGACAAUAUUCUCUAUUGGACCUACAAAUGGGGGGAAAGAUAUAUAUAUAUUUUAAAAAAAAAUUCUUAUUUGUGGAUUGGGCACCACGUGUAACUAAUAUAAAAGGAGAAAAUUUAGCAUGGUUUUAACAGAUAUAAGAAGAGAAAAUUAACUGUUCAAACAAAUUAGAAGCAAAUUCUUUCAUAUCUUUCUUUUAUUUUUCCGCUUACUUUCUUAGCAUCCAAACAAGUUAAAGUUAAAACGCUGUUGAGCCAACAAUAUGCAGGCAUCAAUAAGCAUAGUAGUUUUGUAUAUGUAUUCUAUUCGAUAUUCUGGGGAUGUCAAUUGUAGAACAUUUUGUGGUAACUUUUUUACAUUAAUUAAUGUUUGAAGAACUUGUUAAAAAGAAAAUGGUAAUUUUAUCAUUUUGAAAGACCAAAAAAAAAAAAAAGAGUGAAAGUGGCGUUACCUCAUGGUCAUUAGAGACUUGUUGCAAUGAUAGAUCAAAAUUAAAAAUUUGUGAAGAAUUAGUAGACAACGACAAUACUAUAUUUAUACAGUCACCAACGUGUUGAUUUUUGUUUAAUGUUUGAUCGAUAGAAACUUUCGUCGUCGUCGCCGUUGUUGAAUUCAUGCUUAGAAUACCACAAGAGAAGAAGAAGGGAGGAAAGGGAAAAGAAGAAGAGAGAAGUGGUGGAUAGCAAAUAUGAUAUGCUAGCUACACACAGGCCUUAGAGAGUUUUUUUUUUUUAAUAUUUAUUGUAUUUUUGUUUUUGUUAUUGGUUUGUCAUAUGCUUCCAAUGCAACAAUGCGUUACAUCAUAAAUUGCACCUUUUAGGGGAGGUGGUAAAAAACAUGAGAGCAAUGCAUUCUAGCGCAUACAUGCAGAAAGAGUUUCCAAAUUUUCAAAAGUUUCUUUAUUUCUUCCACCUUUUUUUUUGCUUAAAAUAAAUUUUAAUUGUAUUUUGCAUUAACUUAGAGAAAAAAAAAAACCAGUUCUAUACAUAAACGCGUACAUUGAUUAGAAAAUGAGUUUUAUGGACACAAAGGGACAAUAUAAGAGAUUCUUUUUGUUUAUUAGAAGUAACAUAACUAGUUAGUGUAACAUGUAAUUAUAAGCUACCAAGAAUUUGCACUGAUGGUAAUUAACAGUACAGAUUUUGAGCUAUGAAUGUCUUGUGGCUAGUUUAAUUGGAUUUUCGAGUUUUCAGCAAACCUAUUUUAAUGAUUAUUAAAUUAUUUUCACUUCUUAUGCCUUAAUAAAAAAAUUCAAUAUUUUUUGCUGUAUUCUAUAUUUUAAAACUUAAUUUUUAAUUCUUUAUAUUGCAAACCAAACUGAGUCAAACAGAGUAUGCUCUUCAAAGAAUUUUUUCCACUGCCUUCAAGAAGAAUUCAUUUUGUUUCUAUAUAUUAAUUUAACACUUGUAAACCGGGCCGUCGGAUUGCACAUAAAGCAAAUGAUCAAACCGUUACAAGACCGGCCCAGGCCCACCGACUCUAUUUUCUUUCAUUUGACCAUAAAAAAGCUUUUGGCCACCCCCACCAAAAAAAUAAGCUCUUGUUCUCUUUUGUUCCCUCUCAAAGGAAAAUAUCUGAUCACCGGAUAAUGAUUCCGGUGACACAAAAGAUCGAAACACCCCCCUAAAUUCCCUAAAUUUACGAUAAUACCCCACCAUGGAUGAUUCCGUUGAAAUGCCGCCUUACGAUGAAAGGCCUAAAAAGGAUUUUAACUUCACCUCCAUGCGCUUGAUCUUAACCCUCGUUUUCCAAAUUUUAACUUGCUUUUUGUUGGCAUUUUUUAUUGGAAUCGUAGCUGUUUUAUUCGGCGAAUCAUCAGUUUCCAGUUCCAUUUUUGUCCCUUCCCAGUGCAAGAUAGUGUCCAGCAGUAAGCUUUUUUUAACAUUUUCAAUUUUUUUUCCAUUUAUGAAGUCCAAAAUUUUUUUUAAUUUUGAUUUUUUUGAAUGAUUUUGCAGGUGUUGAUAUAAGGUCAUCAAAGGUUUGUGAACUUGGGGUGUUGAAUUAUAAGGCGAACCGUGCCUUUUAUCCAUUUGAAGCAAGUAAAUUUCGCUGUGGUAUGAUUACUAUUGGGCUUCUAUCUUCAAGGUAUUCAUACAUUUUCUCAACUUUAAUUACUUACCUGUACUAUAAGCUUCUUAGUGGCGGUCUUGUGAGCGGAAGUGAGCAGUGUGGCUGACAGCUUCUUGAAAAUAUAAGUUUGAACAGAGCAUGUUAGACUUUUGUUGACCAAAUUCAAAAGCCAAAUGGCACAGCUCAGAAGCUUUUGAAUUGAAUAACUUACUAGAAAGCUCCAAUUUUUUGUUGGCUACAGUAAAAGGAUGUUGUUUUAUUCUUCUUAUACUUUACGCUUGCAUCAGCUUAAAUCACUUCUUAAACGCUUUGCUUUAACUCCACCACUUCGUACUGUUCUAUAUAUGUAUCGGGUAUGCGGUUGUAGUUCACUGCUGAGACUACGUGUUUGUUUGACGUGGAAGUUACGUUACGAGUCUGUUAAAACAUUCGGUGAUUAAAGUAUUAUCAGUUAUUUCAAAGGGACAAACAAGAUUAGCUACAACACACACUAGUUUUAUAAAAUUCGAAUGAGAUGGAAUAAAAUAAAUAAGUAAAUUGACUUUUAAUUUUAGUGCUUGAAUAUAUUUUGUAUUCUCUUUGAGCACUACUGUAAUUGUUCCUUAAAUGCCAGUCACACCCAUAUGUUAUAGACACAAGAAAUGAAAUUUAAGAUCACAUGUUUAAUUAAAGAAUCACUCAUGAAAAAAAUUUGCCAUUUUGAUUUGAGGAUCCACAUUUUGAACAACCAACUUAUGUUCAUCAAGAACAAAGCAUUGCCUGUGAGUAGAAAAAUGAUUUUUGAACAAAUUAUUUUUUGUUAAUAGAAGAAUUUCUCAAGGGACUAUUAAAAUUACUAAUAAAAAUAUCAGACACACCCAUGUACCACCGACAAAAUUAACUAUGAGGAUCCAUGUUUUGAACUGCCACCGAAUGUUCAUCAAGAACAUAGUAUAACUUGUGAGAAGAAAAUUUUCUGAUUUUGGCCUGGAACAAAAAGAAAUUAAAUUGAAGGAGAAUUUGCUACCUUCUCAUUAAGAAAGGCAGACGGGGCAUACUAUGGUACCAUACAAUACAAAAAGUUUCUGUUCUCUGGCUUUUCAAACUUUGAAGGGGGCAAUAUUCCCCAAUUCCCUUGUGAAAAUUCUGAUUACGACAUUAUUCAUCGCUUGAUACAUAAGUAAAAGUAGUGAUAAAAUUAGAAAAAAUAUGACUCAUAAGUAAUUACUAGGCAGGACUCUUGAGAGCAACAUUGUCCUAGGCUUUAUAUGCAUACAUUGUGUGGUACAUUCUACACUAUAACACAAACCCAGAAAGACAAGUAAUAUCUCAACUGAUAUAAAGACAAAAAGAAGAUAAAAUGAUAUAGAACAAAGAAUUUCUAAGAGACAGCAACAUACAUAGACUGAAGCUAGUUGAUCUGCUCAUUGAUUGCAGCCUUAAACUUGCAAAUGUUUACUGUAGCCUGGUGCUCUAAGAAGUGAAAGUGAUGCAAACCUUGAUUCCCUGUUUACUUCCAUUUACUGUCAAACAUUCUAUUCAUAAGAAAAAAAAUGUUUAGAUAUCUUGCCGUAAAUAUAGCCAUUUGAUUGUCUUAAUAAAGCCACACACAACCAUUCAUAUUGAUCCACAUUGCCACAUAGCCUGAUUUAUGCAUACAACAGCUGAAUGUAUACUGACUCCUAACCUUAUCAAUACAUUGGCGACAACUUAAGAAGAAAACUAUUUCUCCAUCUCUUUUUUGAAAUUUCACAAUAAAACAGCACAAUGUAAGAGCUGCAAUGAAAAUGGACCGUCUGGAACUAUGGCGGAAGCUUCAACUAGUGUAGUGAAUAUAAACCUAUAAUUGGAACAAACACAGCCACAGAACCCAAGAAUGACACACCCUACACCGCGGGAGAAGCUUUCCAGUGAGAUUUUAUUGAUGAUCAAAGAAGAAUCUUUUUACAAAGCUAACAAAAGAGAUUUCAGAGAAUAAGCUAUGACUCUCUCUCUUCAAUCUCUCUCUAGUUUGUUCACAGUGAUGACCCCAAUCUGCUUCGUUAGCCAGCUUCACAACUGCGUCAGUGACAAACUAGCAAACCCAGAUUGAGCAGAUUACCGACACGUGGAUAACGGCUUUUAAGAACUUGGUUAAAGAACUGCUCACAUAUUCGUCACGGGUGUUACUUAAAUGAUGGCCAAAACGACUUCAACCAGAUGCCGUUUUGAAGCUUGUGAAUUAUAAUUGAAAACACGUGCUUGUAUCGUGACACUUAAAUGCAACAACAAGCCCAAAACACUGCCGUUUCACUUUGUUGAGUUUGCCAUCUCUAAGCUUCACAACUAGCAACGGAGAAGAUGAUAAUUAAAUUGACAUGGAGAGUUUUUAUAUCACUUUUACAACAUUCUAUAUAAUUGUGAUAUUGGGAAUCGUCGAUGUUGUAUAUGUGAACUCUCGUUGGUGACACUGGUGGUUUUAUUUUUGUUGAAAUAUGGAUGACAUUUCGUUACUAUUUUAUUGUACACAACAUUUUGUUACUAUUAACAUGUUAGUUUCAUUAGCCACUAGGCCUUUGGCUGAGUCGUUCGGGUGUCUGCCCUCCAACUUGGAGGGCAGCAGUUUGAACCCCCACAAGCGCAAUGUGGGGUAUUUCCUUCUUUAAUCCCUCGAAUAUUAGUGAAGGUUAAAAUCUAGGCAGAACUCCAUAAGUAUUGAUGUAAGUUGGUUUCAGUAAUAGUCUAAUUUGUAAAUAUCAGUUAUAAUCUCAUAUAAGAUGAGUUGUAAUUUAAGCAAUAGUCUCAUAGAAUAAUAAUAAUAAUAAACAUGUUAGCUUCAUUACAUUUUUCUUCGUUAAAAUUCUCAAGUAUUAGUCAGGUUUGCUAAAGUAAUAAAAUUUUGCCAUUAAAAUUGUAGUAGUAUUUCUGAGCACCUCACAUUUUCAAUGAUUUUUCAUAAAUCAAUUAAUCUGUCGUACCGAUAUCAGGUUUAGUUUUUCAUACUAAACAAUCAAGAAAGCAAACAUACGAAUUCACAGUUUAGAGGGGUAAACUAGGUAGGUGGUUUAGAUUUUAGAACUAGGCUAGCUACCCCACUAAAUUCCAAUUUGUACAGUGAACUACAAGAAAUUGAGAAAACAGUGUAUUUAUAGUUUAAUUGAAUCGUGAGAAAGCAAUGUAGUCAUAGCUCAAUCUGAGAUGAUCACGGAGAGUCGGAGAGGCAUAUUCUUUUCAAGUUAAUUUGAUCAAUUUAUAAGAGAUGAAGUGGAUUGAAGUUAAAAGUUUAAAUAACAAAUCCUCGUUCUUGAGUUUUACGACGUCGUUACUCCUUCAAGAGGCAGAUUAUUUAUGCAAGUGAAUGCAGAAACGCAAUGCAUCAUCCACGGGGAUGGUACAUCAAAAGGCGGGAUCAUAGUCUAUGCCCGCAGAUUAACAAUUUCGCUCAUAUAGAAAAUUAAUUUUUUAUAUAUACUAAUCAACACUAAAUUGAUUAUGUUUUGUAUGUUUAUAUGCGAAUCAACACUAAAUUAUAUUAAAUGAAGAAAUAAUUCAAUUUUUUCUAAUUUAAUUUAGAAAAUAAAAUUAUUAACAUUAAUAUUCCCAACAAAAAUUAUUUUCCAUUAGUAUUCAAAGCUUCACUUAUGGAAAAUGUGUUUUACAUGAAUAUUAGUUACCGUGUAAAUUUGAAUGAUAGUGAAAAAUAAUUUUUUAAUUAUUGUAAAAAUAAUUAACCAUAUCAAAUCCCUUACGUAAAUAAUUUUUAUUUUGAAAGAUGGUUAAUGCACAAGCAAAUUUUAAGCCCCUCUCUUCUUGGCCUAAGAUUCAAACUCAGAUGACUAGUUAAAUAAACCUAUGUGAAAAUCAUUCGGCCAGGUCCGCGGGGCAAAAAUACAAGAUCCUUAAUUUCAUAAUAUAUAUGAAUUAAUGUCAUUUACUUGAAUUAUCCAAAUUCAUCAGAGGUUAACGAGUUUUCCUGACAUGUAGCAGAUGAAGUUGUUGCUUCCUUCUUGGCAUUAUUUCAGCUCUGGUUGUUGGUCCCGAUGAGCUUUGGUCUUAUUUUAAUUUUAUUUAAACUCAUCAUAAGAUUCGUGGAGCAGCUAACUGACUUAACUGACUGUGCAGAAAUGUCACAUAGCAUAUUUAACCGUUUUAACAGUAAUUUUGAACGGUCUUCGCAGUUAUCAUCUACAAACUCGUUCGUGUUGGUCCACUAGGUGAAGUUUUUGAAAUAAUAAUAAGCUCCCAUUCUUGAUUUUAAAAAAUGUGCUUAUAAUAAUUUUAGAAUAAUGGCUUAUUUAUAGAACAACUUAUGAUUUCCCAUUAGCAUUAUUAUUGAAGUGGGGUGGAUAACGGUUCACUCAAUUCGUCGGGAAUCAAAAAUUACCAUCCAAGGCAGAAUUGUGGAAAAUUAAAGCGAAAUGAGAAAUAUGGAAAUGAAGGAAGAAAGUUAAGGCAUGAAAGACUUCCAGUUGAAAUUGAUAAUCAUGUUUCUCUUUGGUAACUAAUCAAAUGGGAAACUGAACCAUAAACAGACAUUAAAACGUGUGGACUCCGCUAGCUGCCUUACAAGCCUACAAUAAUAACUGAGUACCUUUGAUUCAUCCUUCUAUGAAUUUCUAGCCGUAUUGACUCCACCGAAAUUUCCACAAAAAAAAAAAAAAAAAGAAUUUCCACAAAAUGCAAAACGCAUGGAACUUAAUUUUUGGCCCUGUGAUCACUAAGAUACAAUCCUUCUAGUGAAGAGCAAUCAGGCAAAUUUUUUUAGAUCUCUCCGACAAAGUGAUUACCAUCUAAUCGCAAUAUUGAAUAAAAAUAAAAUUUUUAAUGGGAGUUUGACCUUAAAUUUAGAAAAUGAAUUUUAACUUUCUUCAAUUAUUAAACAGAUUACAGACAUUUGAGGAAUUUGAAAACACUUUAUCCAUCGAAAGUUAAAAUUAGAGAUGGAAGCUAGGUGCUACAGCUAAUGGGAUCAUUAAUUCCCCUCCCUCAAAUGUGUAGUUGUUCCUCUUUCCACAGCAUAAGCCUUAUAGUUAGAGUUUCUUUUAAAAAAAAUGUUAAACAAUUUCGGUUGAGCAUGGUUUUGGUAGUUGAAUAGACACCUCCGCAGUACCUCAAACAAAACUGUCAUUAUUCGUGUCAUGAAACAUGUUUCGGCCGUCAAAGUCAUGAGUAGGAGUGUGCAUGGGUUGGUUUGGGUUACAUUUUAAGUCAAUUCAAAGCAAACCAUAAAAAUUUGGGUUCAAUCCAAACCAACCUAAAUAUUUUUAACCCAACCCAAACCAACCUAUUUGGGUUUGGUUUGAAUUUUAUAAUUAAAAUAUUUUUUAUUUUAAUAAAUUUAACUAUAUCAAAUUAUAAUAAUUAUUAAAUUAAUAUUAAAAUACGAAAAAAUGUAGUGGAUAAAAAUUAUGAAUAAUGGAUUUUACAAUAACUUUGUUCUUAAAUAUUAACCAUAUUACAACAUAAAUUCUAACAAUGUCAAUACAAAUUAAAGUAAGAUAAGAUAUCUCAACUCAAGUAUCAAAGCAAUCCAUCAAAAUUAAAUUAUUUAAUUUUAUAAAUUAAAAUCAUCUGAGAAAUAAAUCUAAAAUUUAUUGUAAUUAGAAAAGCGCCAAAAUUUUAAACACAGUAAGAAAAAUUAGAUAUGAAAUCUAAUUAGGUUUAAAUUUAAUUAAAAAAUAAUAAUAGAAUCAUAUUUUAUUUGAUAAAACCUUAAAAUCAAUUGCAUUUUUAAUUUUAGUAAGUUACAAUACAAAUAGGAUUAUAAAAUUAUAUUACAGGAUUUCAUAAAAAUAUUGUUUGAGUAAUUUAUUAAAGGACUCACCUACGUUGCCACAGUUGUAGCUUACCACGCUUUUUGUCUUUUUCCAGUAAAAUCGUAGAUGCUUUCAAAUUUAAUCUAACGGCUGCAAUUAAUUAUUAGAUAAUUUAAUCAGCCAUUGGCAACCUUUACAACCGGUUAUAUUCUCUCGUUAGAUUUCUCGGCUACCAAAUAAUCCCCAAGAAAAUGACGAAGUGAGUAACUAAUACGCACACCGCAGAGAAAGAUGACAGGAGAAGAGAUGACGGUAGGCUCACCGGCACAAAGGUUCUUCGAUUGCUCUAUUUCUUCGGCGCUGGAUUUAUCUACACAGCUACAAUCGACAAGUGGCGGGAACUCGAGCGGAAGUCAUUGAAGAAGAAACAGCAAGAGAGCAAUCUAUGGACUGAUGAUAACUCAGCAACUACGGUAAAGAAAGCCAUCAAAUGAUCUUUUUUAUUUGACUUUUGAUGGAUUUUCAAGAGUUUUGGUAAUAAAAUGUCUCUUAGUUUUUCAUUUCAAUGGCCUAUUGUUUGAGUUAUUAUUAUGCAUAAUUGUUGGAAGAGUUAGGGUUUUACUAUUGGAUUUUGGAAUUUGUAUUUUGGCUUUGAUAUGUUAUUGUUGUGAUGUUGGUCAAGAAAUUUUUGACAACACUCUCCUCGAGUUUGAUACUAUAGCUAAUGAAUUUUUACGGCAGAUAUAUUCUUUUCUUUGAAAAAAAAAACACUUUACAACCGGUUAUGCAUUCAUUUAGGAGCUGUUAACUGAGCGUGAGUUCCAUAAUUUUCCAACCAGUGGUUAGGGUUUCACAGAAAAAUGUCGACAUUGAUCUUUAGGCAGCACUUAAGACUGAAAUUGGUUGUAGAGGAUUGAAUUUGGGGGACUAGAAAUUUCUGAUCAUUAAUAAUUGAAAAUGGCCUCUCACUUGUAGGCAGUUGUUGGAUGUAAUGUAUCCAGUUUCUGAAAUCGAAAGCAGAGUGAGUUCUUAGGUUAGAUGUACCUACAUGCAUUAAGGUUCGAAGAUGUAGAAUAGGCCAAUUGUUUGAUGUCAGCUUUGUUGCACAUGUUCUGAAAUUGAUCAUUUAAGAUGGCUUGGAAGCACUCCGUGAUGUGACUAAGAAGAUUCGAGGAAGUAUUAAAUAUGUUGAAAGUUCACAAUUAAUACAAGGAAAGUUCAAUGAGAUCACCUAGCAAGUUGAAAUCAACAGUCAAAAGAGCCUAAAGUGUGAUAUUUUUCUCUUGGAUUGUUUUUUUAUUUUCCAUUUCAAAGCUGAUAGUGUAAAUAUUUUGUUUGCAAAAGUUUCUAAAAAGUACUUGAGUCAAGAUGGUUAGGUAUUUUAUAACUUCCUUUUUACUUUUAACUAGAUUCAUAGAGAGUUAUAACAUUAACAUAAUUUUUUCUUUUAAAAGUGAUCAAUUAGACACUGAUGAGAUAUCUCACUUUUGAAUCAUUUAGCUUUAUGUAAUUUCAUUACUAUUAUAUGCCCCCAGGAAUUGUUGAAGUAUAUAUAUCUUGGCAUUUCUUCACUGACUGAAUUAUCUUUCAUAAUAUUCCAGCUUCAAAUGGGUACACUGCAGAGCCUAUUGGAUGCAGAAUUCCUUCUAGCUCAUAUGUGCUCUGUAAAAUUCAAAGACUGAAUAGUGGUUAUGGCAACUCUUUGUAGAUGAUCUAAGGUAUAAUGCCCAAUUAUUGCUUUUGCUUUAUCUGUUUUACCUUGCAACAUUUUGAAAUUUAUGAGAAGCAUAAAAUUACUGUGCCAAAAUUGAGGAUCUGAACUUUCGUAAAAAUAUUUGUAUUUUUAAAUUAUAAAAUAUUGCAUUUGAUGCUUUAGGUGGAACUUAGUUCACUACAGAAAGGAAAAUUAUGUUGGGCAUAACCAGAUGUUUUUCAAGAGAAAAUUUCACUGAUAUUUUUCUGAGGAUUUUACUUGGCCAUCUUAUUUCAAGCUGCUUGAAUUUUUUCUUUAUAUCAUCUUGGUUGUAUACUAUAACUCAUUGAAUUUGCUAGCACUUUUGCUAGUUGUUUAUUCUAUAUGUGAUUGUGGUGGUAAAGUUUGGAAGCUCAAAAAGUAAUGGAACUUAGGAAGAGUAUGACAUAGAAUGCUGGAUAGAAUCAAAAUAAUCAUUCUUCAGGCAUCCAAAGAUGAUGUAUUCAAAAUAGCUAGUUUUGACUUUUGAGGCCGUAUAAAUAACUAUUAUCUCACAUGGUUACAUUAUGAUAGGUAGGCACUAGCUUAAUAACUCCAAUUAACUUGAAGUUGUUACCUGAUUUAUUAUGACAGUGUGCAUUACGAUAAGUAUCCUUGCAUAUUAAGAUUUUCCUUCCAGAUCUUUGCGGUACUUUUGAUCUUUUCCGACAUGAUAUGCGAUUAUGGGAAGCAUAUGCCAUCACCUUACAGGUAUUCUCUUAAUUUUUAGAUAGUGCUCAAGAUGACAUUCAAGUUGGCUAUUAUUGGGUGCAAGAUUUACCAUGCUCUUAUUUUGCUUUUUUAGUCUAACCCGACAUUUGCUUAAUACCAUGAUCUGCUUCAAGCCUUGGAUGAAAAACUUUCAUUUUUUGUAUAUUCUGCAAUGAGAUGAGGGUAGUUUUUCUGAUGAUAUUUGGCAGUAAAUUGGGACUAACUAAAGUAAUUUUCUUAAUUGCAUGUCUACUUCUCAGAUGAAUGACCGUCUGUUCAGACUCCCAAGUGAUGAAUUAACAACCACCGAUCUAUUCUGGGUGAAGAUGAUGACGUUGACACCAAGCCAGUGGAAUGACUAGGACUUCCCUUUUGUUACAAUAAAUUGCGUUCAUUAGACACACGCAGUUAAUUAGUGUAGAUAAAGGAGGUCUAUGCACUAUAGACUGUUUUGUAUUUCGAGAGUCCUUUUUUUGUUUCUUUCAUUCUCCAUUCUUUUGAAAUUAUGUACAAUGGUUAUAGUCUGUAUUAUUACGGAUUUAUGAUGGGAGUAUCCUAAGUUUAUGGAAUAAUUAUAAAUAAGGACUUUAAAUUUUUGUUGAAAGAAGUUGAGUGAGAGAAAAGAAGCUAAAGCAGUAAGCAUUUGUUAUACUUCAUUCGAUUGUAUCUAAAUUACAAAGGUUGGUGGCCUUAUUUAUAGUGAAGUUCCCACAGGCCACUUGCACUCAAAACAUUCGAAAUAUGCAAACAUAUUGAUAUAUAAACAUACAGAAUUAAUAUUCUGGAUCCUUGUAAGUAAUGCAAAUAAAAGUGAGGUUGGGGCAGACAAUAUUUACAUCAUGUAUUAAUAGAAAUAAAAUCAAUUAUUUCCAAAUAAAGUCACUUAGUUCAAAGCACGGGCUUCGGUUAAGUUGAACAAGCAAGCCAAUUUUUGUUGUUACUUCAUGAUUGUCGUAAGCUGUGGGUAGUGGAUCGUGUUCCCUAUAAAAGACAAACAGAAGCAUGUCUACUAACUUGGUCAUUCCUCCAUGAACUAAACCCUUCUGAGGAUCUUGAAUAGAUUUAUAGAGAUCUCAGAUAAUUUCCUCACGGUGUGCCUGAGUAAAGACAAGUCUUAUGUACUUGAUUACUUCUGGCCAAUCCAUCGAGGCCACCACCUGUCUCAGUCAAUUCAAUCUUUUAAUAGAGUGAAUUACUAGAAUAAAAUUGAUUAAAGUUGAUAUAAAAUCUAAAUUAAAAAAAUCAGAUAAGAGAAUGAUCCAAAAUCCAAAAAAUGAAAUAUUUAAGGAGUGGACUUGUGACCCUCUAUAGAAUCCAUGGAAGAGUAACUAAGGGAAAAACAUUAGAGGUACUUUUGGCGAUACUAUUAGUAUUCUUGUGUUGAUCAUAAUCUUGGGGGUAGAUCUAGACUAAUUAGCUAUUCAUUGAACAUUCCAUUUCUCCACAAUUACAUGCAAAAGUGCACCUUGCAGUUGCAGCCUAGACCAUAGAAAUAUAGAUUUCCAAUUAUCAACACCUAAAGCUACUGUAGUGACUUGCAACCAUGAGAUGAUAUAUAAAUAUGCUGAGAUUCAAAUAUUUGAGAAGUUUAAACAUCCUGAUGAAAAAUAGACUAGUUCACAGCUACUUUGGGGAAAUUGAUUUCUAAUAGCAGUAGAAAAUACAAGUUUUUUUAAACAUCCCUACUCUAGUAAACUCAAUUAACCAAAACAAAACUCAAAGCAUGAAAAAGAGGGAUUUUAACUAACCUAAUCAUUAUCAUUGAUAUUUUAACAUAUUGAUCUUCACAUGGAGUUAACAAACACAAGACUUAGUGCCUAGUACAUAUGUCUGGGGUUGCACAGUCUGUUCGACAAAUUUAUUGAAACUAUAUCCAUGCUCCUUCUUCAAUUUUUUCUCCAAUAAAUAAAUAUCCUCUUGCUUCUUCCAUCCUACUCUAAUUCUUCCUGGAAAGCAUUCUCCCCUUCUCUAAUUCUUCCGAAAAAACAUAACCGACAAUCCUAAACUAAUUACCACCGUUAAAUCUUUCAAACAAAAUUUACAAUUUCUUAUCAGUAGUUUCCUGCCGCAUCCGAUCGAACGGCUCAUCAACGAAUCAAACAGACUUCUUUCCACCCUUUUUCCAUAUAAUUACAUUUGCCUAAUUCCUAAAGUUUCGGCUCCGCCCAAUGUCGGCCGCAAUUGGCUGCCGCAGCGAUAUGUUCAUCUUCAACUUCUCUGCUGCGAUUUCAAAUUUACUUCAGCCUCGUACCACCACACUUCCACUGGCAAUUAAUUUCAUUAUCCGAUUUUACUAUGUGUGGAAUAGAUUUGAGCAAUUUAUGAGUUUUCGCUACGAUUUCGACGAUGUCCUCUCAACACUAAUUUGAUCACCUAAUUUUAACUGUUUUGGGUUAUUUAUUUUUUAUUAUAUUUAUAUACAGUCUCUGCAGGCAACCGACUACUUUACUUAUAUGUGGAACUCAUCUGAGCCAUUAGAUGGAGGCCCUCCAGAUCCUACGGCGAUUAUAUAUGAGGACAAAAAGUGUUGUAUGUUGGAACUGUUGCAACGUAGGAGGAUCCUUUAUUAAAAUGUUAAUUUAGUUUUUUAACUCAAGUUGAGACCGUAAAAAGUUGUUAUAUAAUAGUGUAUUGUAUAACCAAUUACAUAUGUAUUUGACUUGUGCAACACUUCUAUUAUUAUUAUAUAAUAAUAAUUAGUAGUAGUAUAAUUACUAUAUAAUAAUAAUUAUUAGUAGUAUAAUUAUUAUAUAAUAAUAAUUUUAAUAAAAAAUUAUUAUUAAAAUAUUGAUUUAGCCUUUCUUAGUUCCAUAUUUGUUGUUUUGCUAUAAUUUUCCACAAUGACGCAUUAUCAGACUUUCUUAGUUCCGUCAUCUUCUAUUACUCAACUUAACGUCUUAUCAUCUCUAGCUCGUCUUCCAUAGCAUGAAAGUGAAUAAAUUUAACUGAAUGGUUAAUUAAUCAAUUAAGUUUCAUGAGCUUUAAUCGAGUUAAAACCAAGUACAAACAUCGUUAACAAAUACUGAAAUUUAGUAAAUUAAAAAAAUAAAAAACUAAUUCAAGUAAUAUGUAGUUUUUACAUGUUGAUCAUCAGGAUACAACAUUAAAUUUUGUCAUUGACAAUAUUGCAUGCCUGUCAUCUAAAGCAUUACCUCACAAGGUUUUAUGAGAAACGAAAGACUAGUGCUUGCUUUGAACAAUUAAAGUUGCUGCUACCAACCUCCCCAAAGAUCAAGAAGACAGAACAGGAAGCUAAUGCCAUCAAUGUCUUGUUCAUUAUAGCUGUUGGGUAGUUAGGUGUAGUUUCCUCACUUGAAGCUGUCUAUACACAGGCUUUUCCCCUGCAAAUGGACAAAUAAAUGAACAGCCUUGAAGCUUUACUAUUCGCAACACAAAGGGAUUACUAAUUGGAGAAGACUUUACAGAGUUCCUCUCACACUUUCUCUCUCUCAAUUUCAUCUAGAAGUCCCUCCGAAAGCAUCACCCAAAACAGUUAGUCAUCCUUUAUACUCUGUUUUCUGGAAACAGAGUCCUAACUAACUUAACUGACUGUACAGAGCACGUCAACAUAGCAUAUUUAACCAUUUUAACGGUAAUUUGAACCGUCUUCAGAGUUAUCAUCAACAAGCUCAUUCAUAUUUGUCCAAUCUUACGGACGAUAUCAUAUGCUUAACUCGACACAAUCUGGAUUCAACCUCCUCCUAUCCAACAAGGGAUUUCGAUUUGAGUUAAUAAUAAUAAUAACGACAAUAAUAAUAAACUAAAAAACAGAAUUAAUUACUAUUGAAUGGUCGGAAAAAAAAAAAAUUGAAAACGUGUGAACUCCAAUAAUCACCCCACAAAUUCAGUGGCGAAUUUUGGAGAGGGCAAGGCCGGGCUUCUCAGAAAAAAAUUUAUUUAGUUACAAAAUUAUCUUUAUUGAAACCUAUAUAAAUUUUUUUAUAUUAAUUAGUUAUGUUACCUCUUCAAUUAUCAUCAAAUUCUUGUCUGUUCAUCAUUUGGUGAAUAAAUGUGUGUCUAAAUAAUUUCAAAUAACAUUUAGAACAAAUAUUUUGAGAGGUAAAGCUUAUUUUGUCUCGCAUUAUUAGGUGCAUCUAUAAUUUCUUAUUUACAAAAUUAUAUUGUACGAUAAAAAUUUAUUGAAUUAGGGAAAAAAAAAAAGUUCAGCUCACUCAAAAACAAAAAAUGGUAUUAACUUCGCCACCGCACAAAUCUAGAAUAAUAAUUAUUCCUUAUCAUGCUGGGGAUCCUUUAUACUUUCUAGCCGUAUUGACAGCACCAGGUAAAGCUUUGUAAAAUAAUAAGUUACUCAUUAGUGGUUUUUAAUCUUUUUAAUUCUUUUUACCGCACACCUGAUCAAGAAUUUUAUUUUGUUAACUAAUCAAUUGCAAAGCAUAAAUAAGUGUUGAACGGUACACAAGAUUGGAAAAAAAAAUCUUAAAAAACGCGCGGAUUCGGUAGCCACACCAGAAAUCUAUUACAAUAAUUUCUGGCCGUAUUGAAGUUUUUAAAAUAACAAGUUCCCCUUCUCGUUUUUUUUUUAAAUAUAUAAGCUUAUAACAAUUUUAGAAUAAUGACUCAUUUGUAGAAGAAUUUAUGAUUUCAUAUUAAUAUUAAUAUUGAAGUGGGGUGGGUCAAAUCUCAAUUGCUUGAAGAAUUUAUUUAUUAUUAUUAAUAUUAUUAAUAUUGAAGAGGGGUGGGUAACGGACCAGCGGUUCACUCAGUUCGUGGCGAAUUAAAUAUUACCAUCCAAGGUAGAAUUGUGGAAAAUUAAAGCAAAAUGACUAGUAUGGAAAGGAAGGCUGAAAGUAAGGCAUGACGAAAGGCUUUGAGAAGGCUGAAGACUACCAAAGAAGUCAACUGAAAGCUAGCUGGGGCCUGAGUGUAUAAAUUGUUAGAUGCGUUUGUUAUAAAUAACAUAGAGCCCUUUUGUUAUUUAUAGUUAUAGAGAAAGAGAGAAUGUGUGUUUUUUAAUAGUUAGAGAUAUAGCUAGAAUGGGUGGCUCAAAAUCCAAAAUGGUGACAAUGUUAGUUCUCAUAUUAAUAAUAUUAGGAGGGGGGGGGGGGGGGGACUCAGGGGAGGUCGAGUGAGGGAUGUUUGGAGCAUGAGAAAUUUGAUCUUUUGCGGCUUAAACAUUUCUUCAAUUCCCCUUAUACACUUCAAAACUGGGUAGGUGAACAAAGGGAAAGGGUUGAAUGCGGCAACUCCACAUGCCAAGUGGUACAACUACACCUUGGCCUUACUAGGAAUAUCGAUCUGGGAGAGUGGUAUCUGAAUGCUUCUCUAUUUACUUCCUUUCAAUAACUUGGUAACAAAAUAGCCGGCUGCAUGCGUUGAGAAUGAAGGUCCUUCAUUUAAUUUAAUUUACUUAAUUUCUCCCUCCUAAUUAAUGUCUAUAACCAUUAGGAGGAACAAAGGAUUUUAUUAACUCAAAUAUAUCUAAUGGAGCUCAUUCUUUGGUGUCUAAACAUUCACUCACCACUUAUUUCAUGUCUGAUUAUAUGUUGAAAAGAUAUUAAAGUAAUUUAACGCAAUUAAGGCUUAGUAUAUUUUUUAUUAGUAGAGUGUAGAACUUUUAAGAAAUAUAUUAUUAAAUUAUUAUAACUAACAUAUUAUUUUAAAGUUGUGUUAUGAAAAAAAUAAAAUAAAAGGACAAAUAUGUAUUUAUACGAAGCUUGUAAAUUUUUUUGUACUGAUAUUUGAAUAUUAUCAAUUAAAAAAAAUUAGGGUAAUGGUCAUGCUGCAUUAUUUUUGUAGCACACAAAAGGACAACACCGUUUAUGUUAUAAUACUAUCGCUCUGUUAUGAUAAUAUUUUCUUUUGUGGCCAAAUAUCAUUUUUUAAGUAAAAAAAAGUGGACAAAAUGCAAAUCAGUUUUUAAUCCUCAGUCUCUCCCAAAAUUUAAAUUCGUAGUUAACAAAACAAAAUUGUUGGAAAACCAUUAAGCUAGGUCCAUGGGUUGUUAAAACUAUAGCUGACAAAAAGUUACUAACAAAAACAGAAUGUCCAUUUUAUAACUUUCUUAAAAAACAUUCCUUAACUUUUUUAAAAAGUUACCAACAAAAAGUUAUUUCCAAUUUUUAUUUUGUUAUAAUUUUUAUAAUAAAAUUCGUAGUUAACUAAACUCUUCUUAUACCCUUUCUCAACUGCCAUACCCUAACCCUGUUCCCCAUUUCCCCACUAAACCACGCUCAAUUAAGGCCAUCAGAUUCUCCCGGGCCCACAUUAAUCCAACUGCUCACAGAGACCGACAGCCUCUCUAUCUCCAUUUCAAGCUCCCUCUUCAACUGGCUUCUGCUACCGUCCUACUCUUUCUCGGCUUCGGAGUCCGUAUUUUCUCGGCCGGUCCCACGAAGCUCCCUCUCACUCCAAUUGUCGCCCCACAAGACCAAUUGCUUAAUCAAGACACCGAACAAGAAGAGGAUGAGAAGUUGAAACAAGAAUUUGAGAAUUGGAAAUAAAAAACGUACGCAUUGACCGUGCCUUUGAGAGUCGUUUCUCUUCAGAACUCAGUGCCUCAAUCUUGGGUUAAGGAUUUUAUGCGAAGUCAAGGAAAGAGAUUGAAGUUUCAGAUGAAUUUGUGCGCUAGCAUUGAUGGGAUCUUUAACAAUUUAUCUGUGCCCUUUAACAAAGUUAAGGCUAAGUCAGCUUCGUAUAUGGCUGCUGAUUUGGUUAGUGUUGGUGAUUCAUGGCUCAGUUUUGCAAUUAAAAAGAGAUUGAUUGAGCCAAUAGCUGGAGCUGAAGAUCAAGAUUGGUUCAAAUGCUUAUGUCACAAAUGGAAGGUAACAUCUUUAUCUUUGACCCGAUCAUUUUUAUUGUCUUUUUAAUUGCAAUGAGAAGAAAUGCCACUGUAGCAUGCAGUGAUGGCACUUAAUAAGUGAGUUGCUAGGAUGUGAACUAGAAAAAUUAAAUAUUGUCUCCUUGGGUAUGCUAGCUCGUAAGUUAGGGUUAAUAUCAGAGCUUAAGGUACUAUAACCGUGAGAAGCUAUUGACUGCCAAUUAAAAUAUCCAUUAAAAUGUCUAGGGAGUUAUGAAGGUGGAGGUAACUACUAAUAAAAAAUAUCCAGUUAACCUCCUGCUCGAUGCAAUUAAUAAAUUUGGUCAAUGCCACUGAAACCUGCUAACUGACAUCACAAUGCGACAUGAGCACUUCAAAAUGGGACAGACGGUCAGUAGCACUAAAUUUUUCUUGCCUAAGAUUGAGCAAUUGGUCUAACUACUAAUCCCUAUUGUAGGUUGAUCAUUAUUUUUUCAAUUAUGUUCAGUUUGACCCAAAAAGUUGCAGAAUCUUGAGCUGAAUAUUGUCACUGAACACUGUCAAUGUCGUUUAGCAUGGCCAACUAACUUGAGUUUGGUAAAACAAACACACAGUGUGUCUCAUGUCUCACAAAUCAAAUUAUCAUCUGUAAUGAUGGAGAAUUUUUCCAAUGUAUGAAGUAUGCUUUGAUACGUGGGUUACCUUGGAGAAGAUAUCUUAAAAUAAAGAAUAUGGGGAGAAAACAGUUCAGUAGUUUAUUAUUCUGUAGUCAAGUUUUGUCUCGAAAAUGGUCAAAAUUUAAAUGAACAAGGACAGGGGAUCUUCAUUCUUUUUUCCCUUUUUUAUACCAAGAUAUCUCUCAACCUUUAUAUAAUCCCCACUGGAUAUCUGCUUCUAAUAAUUAAAAUAAAAAUUUCACCGCUCUAACAAUAAAAAGUAACAUCUUUAGUCAAAUAAUUUACAGUUCCUCAUCAUCUUAGUGUGAGACUAUCAGUACAUUCCAAAAACAUAAUAAAACUGGUUUGAUCCUGUUUAUUGAUGUUUAAAUGUUGUUCAUUGUGACAUGUAGAAAUGAUGAGGCGAAGUUUAUUUGGACAUCAAUUAGUAAGAUCUUGUUUGAAGUUGUUUUCUGAAAUGAACUGCCGAAUGGUAGUUUUUUGGGGGCAUUUGAUGGCUCUUUUUUUUUCCUCAUUUUCAACAUGUGCCUGCUUGGAACAGGAAGGAUUAGACUGCAGAGUUGUUAUAUAUUUUGAGAUGCUCUGGUCAUUGCACAAUUUGUUCACACUGGAAAUUAGAAUGAGAAAUUUGUUGAUGCUGUUUUGAGAGAUCUGCAUUCUAUGCACAAUAACAUGAUUAAUGAAAAUGCAUUGUAGGACUGGAAAGAUCUGUGGCAGCCUGAGCUCGCAGGAAGAAUUUCAAUGGUUAAUUCUCCCCGACAGGUUAUUGGUUCAGUUUUGAAGUAUAGGGGAGCAUCAUACAAUUCAAACGAUAUUGAUUCGCAAGUUGCUGGUGGGAAGAUUGCUGUUCAGCAGAAUCUAGCAUUACUGGCAAACCAGGUACUCUUACAGAAAUGAUAUCUGGUCAUUGCAUGUUAUUGCCUGACAACUGAUUUUGUUUGUACAAGUCUGCUUCUUCAUACAUAUGAAUGCAUAUGUUAGUGUUUUCUUCUCCUUUUCAUACAUAUAAAUGCAUAUGUUAGUGUUGUCUUUUCCUUUUCAUACAUAUUAAUACAUAUGUUGGUGUUCUCUCCUGAGAUGGAUGCAAUAAAGGCUUUUGCUCCUAAAUUUAGCUGAAGAAAUGGCAAGGGAUGUGAGAUUCUGUUUCAUUAAAUUAACAAAAACCCAAAACAAUGAAAAUCCAUAAUAAUGUGGUGUGGGUAAAUUGGCUCCAUUUGGUUCGUUUCCUUAAUGUGAACGCGCGAGCAAUAGAGACUAACAAAAUGAAGUGACAACAAGAAGUCAGUGUCCUUUGAUGGAUGCAUUUUUAGGCAGAAAUAGGUUUGUAAUUGACCAAAUUUGUCUGGCAUGCCAAUUUAAAAAAAAAUAAAUUAUGUGGUUAUUAGCUGUAAUGAAGGGGGAUAGUAGGUGCAAUCAGGUGGAUCCUGGAAAGUUCAACAAAGUUUUGGUAUGGCGUAGUGAAAUUGGUUUGUGCAACUCAGGAGUCUUUCAGGUGAACGAUGAUAGGUUUUGAUUUAUGAAUAUUAUAAAUCUACUGUGCAUAGUAGAAUCAUCUAUAAGUUCUAGUUAUUGAAAUUGUAUACUUUGCCCGGUUUGAGUUAAGGGCACAUGUAAUAUGAAAGAUAGUUGUCGCAUCUUUUAGGUUACCUAACAUUUGAUCAAUCCUAUUAUGGGGGCUUCAAGAUGUCUAACAAUAUGUAGAAUGCCCGUGCUCCUCCCCAUUGUUUAUCUUAUACAAUAAUUUGUUUUAGAUGCUAAUAUCUUUGUCGAUACCGGUAACAAUAUUACAAUAUCUGCGUUUAUUGGGUUUUACAUAGGUUCGACUGUUUGACAGUACACACUAUCUGAAGGCAUUUGCAAUUGGAGAUGUAUGGGUUGCUGUUGGGUGGAGUAGUGAUGUUCUUCCUGCUGUCAAACGUAUGUCUAAUGUUGCUGUUGUUGUUCCCAAGUCUGGUGCUAGCUGCCUGCCAUUCUACUUCGAUAUUCACAUUGUUAUCUCCUUCAUAUUAGCGAUCAGUAAACACGAUAAUGUGACUAAUAAGUUUGUAUUCUCUUUAUAGGCAAUCCCUGCUGCCUCAAGACUUGAAACAAAACAAAUUGGAGGGCGAGUCAGAGGUCCAUCUCCAUUAAUCCAUCAAUGGAUAGAAUUCUGCUUGCAAACAGCGAGAGCAUUGCCUUUCAAGCAAGAGGUUAUCCCGGGUGCAUCUCCCUCUGCCCUUGAAAGUACUCUGGUUAAGUUGCCUGAAGAACUUCUGAAGGGUAAACCAAGUCUGGAUACUAACUUAAUUGCUGGAGUACUCCCGGCUGAAAUUCUGGCCAGAUGUGAGUUUUUGGAGCCAUUAUCUGAAGCUACUUGGUCAUAUUAUGAGUGGCUGGUUGUUAAUCUGCAAAAAGCUGCUCCUGUCUUGAUGAAAAGGGUGCAACAUUACUUGUCAUCAUUAAUCCAAAGCUUUCUAGCAAGAGCUACAUUGAAAAGUUAAUGGCGCUGCAUGCCAAUCAUUAUAAUGCUGUCAGGGCAAUUGGGUCAGGGCAAUUAGGUCAGAGCAUAACUUCAUUAGGAAAAGAGGCUUCAGCUACGUUAAAUAUUACAGGAUGUACUGAGAUGGCUGAAGUCGUUGAGGUUUUACGAGAAACGAAAGAUGAGUGUUUGUUUGAACAAAGUUGUUACUGCAGCGAUUUUGAAUAUGUGCAAGAUGUUGUCCACUGCUCUUUGGGUUAUGGUGUGACUUUCGAUUUCAAGGUUGCCCUGAAACAACGGAAAAGAUUUACAUACCCUCCAAGGAAUGACAACGGCUGGACUAAUUCUGAUCACCUAAUUGACUCAGGAUCGGCUGGCAAUAAUAACAGUUUGUUAACAAUGCACAGUCCCGAGUACUUUUCCAGGAUCAGAUACGACGUGGUCUAAUGUUGAUAAUAAUAGUUUAUUAAAUGACAAAUCGUUGUCCUUGGGUGUUGAUUUCAGAAAUAAAAUACAUUCUGAGGGAUGCUGGUCUACUAUUGCAAGCCCCCAGAGUUAAGAAUCUUUUGAUUGGGGCAUUUGGCAACGAUUCGACAAAUUCUAUUUUCAGCCUCGUCCACCAAGGGAUUCCAACUGAGUUAUCAAUUAUCGUAGCAGUUCUAUUAACUAAAAUUAGCAAAUAUAGCACCAGAAAAAGAACAACAAAUACGCAGUGAAGUUGAAUUGAAAAUGAAGUUGCCGUUGCCGCCCAUAGCGGCUGACUAAUAAUAAAACGAGACAAAUUAAUUAAACUAUUUAUGGUAUGCAAAAACAAACAAAAACCCGUAAAAAAUUUCAAAAAAUUAUUAAUCACACUCUAAACUUACCACUCAACUCUUAAUAAUAGUCAUAAUUUAAAACAAUUUACAACUUUUGAAAACAUUUUCAAAGUUGCCUUUGCCCAAGAGUGGAUUGCCAUGAGGAAAAUCAUUUUCUCAGUGGAUUGCCAUUGCCCAGGAGUUGCAAUGAAAACAGACCACCAACUGUGCCGGAAGAUUCAACUAGCACUGAAAAAGAUGAUAAUGGAUAGUGUCCAUAUAAUUUUUAAAUCAUCUUAUGUAAUUGUGAUGUCAGGAAGCAUUAAUGUUCUAUAUGUGAACUCUUAUUGGCAACAUUGGUGGUUUUAUCCUGUUAAAAUGUGGAUGACUUCCGGUUACUAUUUUGUCGUACACAAUUUUAUUCAAUUAACAUAUAGUUUAAAACCAUUAUGCAUGUAUGUGCUUUAUUAAGAUUCUCAAGUACCAAUCACGUUUGCUUAAGAAAUAAAAUUUUGCCAUUAAAAGUGUAGUAAUAUUUCCAAGCGCCUCGCAUUUAUCUCAAUAUUUUGAAGGAAUUUCGAGAAAUACACGUGUCCAAAAGUCUAGUCAUCAUCCUUACUAUUGGGGUAUUGGUAUUGAAAAGCCCUACGCUAAAUGCAGUUUGUAAGAGGAUGGAGAUAUUUACUGUCGCAAUAUUAUGGAAUAUGCACAAGGAGUUUUUCUAUUGUUCUUUUGAUGUUGCAGCUGUUGGUGCUUUCAAUGUUUCCCUGAAACAUAGCGAAAGAACGCACAUAUUCUUCGUAUGAGUUGAUUUUUAGUGAUUAUCUAAUUGACUGAGGUGACAACAACAGAACGCACAACGUGGAAUUCAAUAAUAAAAUUCUUCCGUUCAAUUUGUUUUUAAGUUAAAUUAUUAAUUACUUAAAACUCUGUUUUUUUAAGUCUUUAAUUUUAUGUGUUGGCGUAUAUGCAAAGUUGGAUUCUUAAGUGAGUUGGACAUGACCUACAAUGAGAGUGACAGUAAACAAACAUUAAAACGUGUGGACUCCGGUAGCUGCCCUACAAGUCUACAAUAAUAAUUUCUAGCCCCGUUGACUCCACCAACUAAAGUUUUUUAAAAUUUAGAAAAGUACAUCGAAUUACACAACAAGAAAACGCGUGGAAUUUAAUUUUUUGCGAAUAAAAUAUAAUUUAACGAAAAACAACAAGAAAAAUGGUAAGAUUUCUAAAAUGAAUGGAAGUUGAUCCAUAUUUUAGUCAGGGUGCGUUUGAGAUUAAGGUUCUGUAGCUAUAAUUUAAAAGUUGUAGUAUUAAAAUGUUUGGUAAACACUAAUUAUUGUAACUUAAAAGUUAAGUUAAUAUAAUUUUUUAUUUAUAUGAUGAAAAAUUUAUUAUAUCUUUAUUAAUUUUGUCAAAAUUAUUAUUUAAAAUUUACUCAUUUUUGUUUCAUAGUUACAACAUUUUUCCCACAACAACUGUAGCUUAAAAACUAUAGCAUCUCAAUCCCAAACGCACCCUCAAACAACUUGCCUCCAACAUUAAGAUGAUUGAUUUUUUUUAUUUUUUUAAUAAUAUCAACUUCCAUAUCUUUCCAGAAUAUGCUCACGUUCAAGUCUAUCUUGCUAAUUUGAAAAAGAAAAUCAAAUCAAAUCAACACCAAAACAAUGAAAAGUAAAGCUUUUGAAUUUCAAUCCAGCUAGCUAACAUAUUCAGCGUUUUCAAUUUCUUCCCAUUGCAUAUCUUCUUCCUCCAUCAAUGCAAUAUUUGAACGAUAGGAAAGAGUUUAAGAACAUAAAAAAUCUCCUAGGUUUAUAAGGCAUAACAAAUUUAAAUUCUCAAUUUUAAUAGAUAAUAAUUAAACUAAUAAUUAUUUAUAUACUUAUUUUAGUAAUUUCACCUAAGAAUAAUAUUGUAAUUAGAAAAAAUCUAAUAAGUGGGGCGGUUUUAUACAAAAUCAACUGCAUACAUAUAUGCAGAUGCAAAUAAUAAUUUUUUUUUUUUAAUAAGCAAAUUGUAUAUUGAGAGGAAUAAGAUGUUUAAUUUAAUUAAUUUCCUUACUUUCAAGUUUCAUAUACAUUGCCUUUCUAUCUAAAGAAAGGUUGGUGUUCAGAAUGACAUGAAGUUGCGAGUUGCUGCCCAUGGCUACAGAUUAAUAAUAAAACGAGACAAAUUAAUUAAACUCAGGCCUUUAUGUAUAUGUUAUCCUAACUUUAAUCGCUCUUGUUUGUUAAUAUUCAUUCUUAGGGAGGUGAAAAAAUUACAAGUCUUGAAUAACAAGGAGGAGUUUAAUUGCCUCUAACUUUACUUGGCUUUCUUUAAUCUCAUUAAUAAUCAAUCUCCCUGCAAUUUCGUAAGCCAAGCGCAAAAUCAUACAGAGAAUUAAUUAUCUUUUUAUUAUUAAACCAUCUUCAAGAAGAUUUUCGUCAAUUUGCCCCAGAGUGGUUGGAGCUGUGUUUCUGAUAAGCCAAAGAAUUAGUAUUAAUAUUGUCCACCCAAGAAAUAUGAGUGAAUUAAAGUAUUAGCAAGACUUCAUUGAGAGGAGCCGUCUAUUAACUAAAAUGCGAAUUUAAUACAAGAAGAAAUAGUAUGUACAUACUUGGCAAUUGAGUUCGUUAAGAAGUGGCAUCGCAUUCUGGUGAUGAGUUUACUUUUGUUAAUAAUUUUAGUCUAAUUACAAUCGUACUUUGACCACUACUCAAGCUAAGUGAAAGUUACGGAUGUGGCAAAAUAAAUAAUUAAAUUAACAAAAUGCUAACUAAUUUUCCUGACUAAAUAGAGUUGCACAAUUUCACUAAUUUGGAACAAUUGACAUUAAUGGACUAGUUUUCACCCCAUAUAAUUAAAAUCCUUCUGGAAAGCUAAUUUUUAUUAAGUAUUUGCUUUUAAGUUAAUUUCAAUUAAAAAAAAGGUUUUAAGCUAUAUGUAGUCUAAUGAGAUUUUCUUCGGAACUUUUUUUUUUGUUUAUUUUUAAUUUCAAGUUACCUUAAUUUUAAGAAUUUGGAACAUUGAUUUGGUCAUGGAUUAAUUUCAACUAGUAACUGUCAUAUUCUAAACUUAAUGGUAUCAUUCUUGAUCAAGGGCAAUGACUCUUAACUCCUCUUAUAAAAAAAAAUAUUUUCGACUAUUUUGAUGACAAACCUCUCUAACAGAUAGUAGUCUUUAAAACUGAUAGAUUUGGCCAAAUUAUUCAUUUUAACGAAAUAUAAUUUAUGCAUCAAAAUUAUCAGGCAUAUGUCCAAUGCAGCACUUUUUUUUCCCUUAAAAAAAAUGAAAUUAUCGGUUAUGCCCCUGAGGCAUUUUCUAGAGUAUAGGUUCUGCUUACCUCUAUUUCUCUUGUAACUUUCUUUUUCAUUUUUUUAAUGAAGUUAAUUAAUAAAAGAACAAGGGAAGGUUUUUCAAUCAUGAUUUUCCAAGUCAUGCAUUAUUUGACUACCGAUCAAUCAAGAAACCGACCAAAUUAAUUUCUCUCCAUGAUUUCCAAAAGCUAGAAAAUUUUAUUAUUUGAAAACAACAUCGUUAAUUAUAGAGUGAAUCAAACCGCAUUAUCGUCUCUCAUGAAACUGAUGUGAGUCAUACUUUUUAAUUACGCAAACCAGUCAACUUGAACUUUCUUAUUUUUAUUAUUAUUAUACCAUUCAUUUCAAUCCCCGAUUAUUUGACCAGCAACUAUCAAGACACCGACCAAAUUUAUUUCUCCAUGACUUCCAAAAACUACAAAAUAACAUCAUUAAUUGGAGUUGAUCAAACCACAGUAUUAUUGUCAUGUAUUAUUGUGUAAAAAGUAACUCAUGAACAAUGAUGCAGAAUCGCAUGAAUAGAUCUCUGCGAACAGAGAUUUCAGAGUUAGUUAAUUAGGUUAAUUAAUUUUCAAAGGUUUUAGUUUUCCUAUACUUACUAAAAUAGAUAUAAAUUUUUAACAAAUCACUUCCAAAUCUCAACAUCACUUGAACGAUUCUUAAAGUAAAUUGUUAAUUAAUUUCCCUGACGUAUACAGCUAAAGUUGUUGCUCCUCCUAAUUAAAUAAAGUCGCAUAAUUUCACCAACUUGGAAGAAUUGACAUUAAUGGACUGGUCCCCUCUCUAGAUGUAAAGUCUUCUUAAAAGAUAAUUUUAUUGCCUGUUUGCUUUUAAGUUAAUUUAUAUUUCGAAAAAAAUGUUUAAGUUACAUAUAUGACGGAGGGAGUCUUUUAAGGACAAUUCCCUUCUUCAAAUAAUAAUGAAAAAAGGGGUAAUUUAAAAAUAAAAUAAAUAAGUGUUGAUUAUAUCUUGAAUUUCAUCGAUUAUGUGAUCAAAGUGAUAAUUUUGAUUUAUUUUUUGUUCAAUUUUAAUUUUUAGGUUAUCUUAAUUUGAAGAAUUUAGAAUAUUCGGUCAUAAAUUACGCACAUGUAAAUUUUUCUGCCAUUGACUAUAAUAUUUUAGACUUAAUGGUACCUUUCUUGAUGAAGGGUAAUGAGUCUAUAUUCUCCUCUUAUAAAAACUAUAUUAGUUGAUUCUUGUUAUGGUUAAUAGUCUUUAAGAAUGGAUAGAUUUAUUGACUUCAUAACCAAAUUAUGCCUGCCUAGGGCUGCGACUAUUAAUAAAAUUAAUAUUUAAUGUUUAUGUUAACAGAUUUAAGAUUUUAUGCGUUCAUUAAUUGUUAUUAGCUAAAGGAUGAAUUAUAUUUUCAAGCCAAUCAGUUGAUGCAGCUGCAAGAGUUUUUUUUGUUUUACUGACCAUAAUUUUCUCCCAGGUAAAUCUUCUCAUCAGCCCUCAUUUAUCUUUUAUAAAUUGAAGAUCUCACAUUUUCAAACUAUCACUUCCAAACUUCAGUAUCACUUGAGCCAUUCUUGAACCAUUCAAAACUGAACAAGCUUGGAAAUAACCAAAUAUAUGCAAAAAUCGAAUCACAUUCUUUGGCCCCUCAAAAUUCUAAUUAUAUAACUUCUAUAUAUCUCAUUGUCUGGUCACGAAGAUGGUGGCACAUUAAACUUCUCUUCCAUCAACAUCAUUAGGAAUAUGUUCAUCUCUCACACAUUAACUUGAGUGGAGAGUUUCCAAAUUGAUUGUUAGAAAACAAUGCAAAAGCUAGGCACACUUGAUCUGUCUAAUAAUUCUCUUUCGGUAAAAUUAAUUAAUUUUAGGGGUAUAUUCGGCCAAUCUAUAUAAUUUCAGAUUGAUCAUUAAUUAAUUAGACGAUACAAAUUGCUAAAGUGAUUUGAUUUUUGCUGACAAUACAACUAUACAAGUUCAUGACUUGAAAUUUGAUCUCUAUCGAUUGGUUUACAAAUGGACGUACCUGUGCCUUGUGAUGAUAAUUGAACCAGAGAUGUAAAGCUAUAAGGAUUUGACAGCACUAAAUUGUUACAAAGACAUAAAAACAAGUUCCCAUUAUUAUUACUUUUGGCAAAUGUGUGUAAUUUAAUUUUUGACUAUGUGGACCAAAAUGCAAAUGAAAGAAAAAAAAAAACCAAAGAUGUGGAAGUCUUUGGGCUUUUCUUAUAAUUGUGGGUUUUUCAAAGGGAAAAAAUGAGGACACUUCUAAUGUUUGUUUUGAUAAUUACACAUAUACUGUUUAAUUUUAUAUAUGGGCAUAUAAAUCUUUUUUACAAAUAUAUAUUAUUCAUUUUCUGUAUUAUUUUUUAACAUCAUAUUUUUAUUUAUUAUAAAUAUUUAAAGCUAGUUUUUAGGUUGAUAUUUAAUAAAAGGGUAUAAUCGUUCUUUUACUAAACACACACGCUCCUAGUUCCUAUCCAUUUGUCAUCUCAAUCUCUCUCAAUUAUCCUUUAUUGAUAGCUCAAAACGCGUCAUUGUGGAAAAUUAUAGCAAAACAACAAAUAUGGAAAGAAUGGGAAGAAAAUUAACGCGUGAAAGACUUGGAGAAGACAACCAAAUAAGUCAACUAUAAGCAAGCUGGGUGUAUAAAUUGUUAGAUGUGUUAUAAACAAAUAGCGUAGAGCCCUCUAGUUGGUUACAGAGACAGAAAGAGUAUGUGUAUUUUUUAGAACUUAAAGAUAUAGUUAGAAUGGGUGAUUCAAAAUAAAAAACGGUGAUAAUGUUUGUUCUGUUAUUAAUAAUAUUUGGAGGUGGGUGGAGUGAGGGAUGUUUGGAUCAUGAGAGAUUUGCUCUUUUACGACUAAAACAUUUCUUCACUGAUCCUUAUGAUAAGGGAGCUACUGAUUGUUGUCAGUGGGAAGGGGUUGAGUGCAGCAACACCACAGGGCGAGUGAUAGGACUAUACCUUUCUGAAACGUAUUCGGGAGAGUACUGGUAUCUGAAUGCUUCUUUAUUUACUCCCUUUCAACAACUUGAGUCACUUGAUUUAAGUUGGAACAAUAUAGCCGGUUGUGCUGAGAAUGAAGGUGCUUCGUUUAAUUUAAUUAAUUUACUUCCUCCCUCCUAAUUUAAGUUGAAUAUCAAGAUCGAGCAAUUAUAUGCAUAUUCAUUCAGUUGACAAUUUUGACAAUUUUUUUUAAAUGAUUAAUUUUGAAAUUAGACCAACAACCAUGAUCUGUUUUCAUUUUACUUGCAGGUCUAGAGGGGCUGUCAAGAUUGAACAACCUAAAGAUGCUUGAUUUAAGUGGGAACGCAUUCAACAAUAACGUCUUAUCAUCUCUAGCUCGUCUUUCAUCAUUAAGAUCAUUAUAUUUAUCUGACAAUAGAUUGGAAGGAAGUAUUGAUGUUAAAGGUACAAAAUUAAAACUUCAUCUCUUCUCCGAACACUUCCAUUAACUUGCUAAAUUAAGAUUUAAGGCUUUGAAUUCAAUUUUUUUACGAGUAGUAUUGAAAAAAAAUGGUUAUAAACAAUUCAAAAAUAAAUGUCCACUGUUUCUCAUAAUUUUAUGUUGAACUUUCGUAUGUCUUAACUUUAGGGUUAAAACAAAAUUACUCUAAUUGCCAACCAAACACUCAUAGCUAAUUUAUCUUUUUUUUUAAUUAUUUAAAAGUGAUGAAAUUUAUCUUAUUUUUCGUGAGGUUUGAAACAUUCAACUCAAUUUGUACUCUUUACAGAAUUAGAUUCUUUGAGAGAUUUAGAGGAGCUAGACAUCGGCGGGAACAAGAUUGACAAAUUUAUGGUCUCAAAAGGUACUACAAAUACCAUAAAAAAUGUAAACUUUUACAAAUUAGCUAAAUUGUUUGCCAUUUGGUUAUUAUUUUGCAGGUUUAAGUAAGUUGAAGUCUCUCGGUUUAAGUGGUACGGGAUUCAAAGGGACAUUCGAUGUUCGAGGUAAGACUAAGCCACUUUCUCAUUUUAUAUAUGCCAGCUAGACUUGUGUAUCAUCGACAUAAUUUAAUAUUUAAUUUGAUUAGUCUGAAGGAAUUACAUACUAAUUAAACAUACUUUUAUAUACUCUGUCGAUCAAUUAAUUAAAUGCUAUUUGGUUUGGUUUAGACGAAAUUCUUAUGACAUUUUAAUUUCUUUCAAUUUAUUAAUUAAUUUACUCUGUUUUAAGUCUUAAGUCUGGGUAUGUUUGCAGAAUUCGAUUCCUUCAACAACUUAGAAGUGUUGGACAUGAGCGGCAAUGAAAUCGACAAUCUUGUGGUUCCUCAAGGUAAACAAUUAAAAUAUUAUUCAAUUACAUUAAUUUAAUUCAUUGAUUAGGCAGGCCCAAAAGCUACAAAAAUAAUAGUAAUAAUAAUAAAGAAACAAAGAGUUUAUAAUAAUAAUAAUAAUAAUAAGCUGUUAAUUAAUUAAUUUCGCUGCUACUUCCUUCUAAACAGAGUUGCACAAUUUCACCAUCUUGAAUAUUUGAGAUUGGACUCUUCCUCUCUCCAUAUAAGCCUUCGGCGAUUGCUUGAAGAAUUUGUUUAUUUAUUAUUAAAAUGUUUAAUUUUGAAAUUACCCCAAACACAUGUGAUCUCUGUUUUGAUUUUACUUACAGGUCUAGAGAGGCUAUCAAGAUUGAGCAAGUUGAAGAAGCUUGACUUAAGAGGAAACUUGUGCAAUAAUAGCAUCUUAUCAUCUGUAGCUCGUCUUUCAUCAUUAACGUCAUUACAUUUGUCUCAUAAUAUAUUGCAAGGAAGUAUUGAUGCUAAAGGUACAUAAUUAAAACUUCAUCUCUUCUCCCAACUCUUUCAUUAACAUGCUAAUAUAAGAUUGAAGGCUUUGAAUUCAAUUUUUUUAUGAGCAAUAUUAGAAAAAUAGUUUAAGCAAUUCAUAAAUACAAUUUUCAAUGUUUCUCAUAAUUCCAUCUUGUACUUUCGUAUGUCUCGACUUUAAAAAAAAAAUUACUCUGACUGUGAAGCAAAUACCCCAUGACUAAUUCAUCAUUUUUUCCAGUUAAAAUUGAUAAAAUUUAUCACUCGUUUUUAUUGAUUAAUUAACUCUGUUUUGAGUCUUAAGUCUUGGCGUCUUGGCAUGUUUGCAGAAUUUGAUUCCCUGAGCAAUUUAGAAGAGUUGGACAUCAACGACAACGAAAUAGACAAUGUUGAGGUUUCUCGAGGUAAACAAUUGAAAUAUUAAUUCAAUUACAUUAAUUUAAUUCAUUUGAUUAGGAAAGGCCCAAAAAGUACAAAAACAUUUAAAAAAAUAGAGAAACAGAGAAUUUAUAUUAUUUAAAAAACAGAACGUAACACUAUUAUUUCAAAAAUAGAGUGUAACAAAGAUUCGAUUCCAGUUCUUUUGAUAUUUACAUCAAUUGAAAAACGAUGUUGCUCUUUUUCCAAAGCAUAAAAUACGAAUUGACUCCCAAUUAAACUAAUCAUUUAUUUCGUUUAUCUCUAAAUUUAAACAAUGAAUUUUGAUCUUCAAUCCUAUCCUAAUUACUGUUAAAAAACAGGUUACAGAGGCUUGAGGAAGUUGAAAAGCCUUGAUCUAUCGGGAGUUGGAAUUAGAGAUGGAAACAAGUUGUUACAAUCAAUGGGAUCAUUCCCAUCCCUCAACACUCUUCACUUGGAGUCUAAUAAUUUUACCGCUACACUGACAACUACUCAAGGUAAGUAAAAGGUACAUAUGUAGCCAAUUUUAUAAAUAAAUUGUUAAUUAAUUAAGUAAUUUUCCAUAUUAUUAAUAAAGCUAAAUUCGUUUUUCUUCCUUAUAAUUCUAAACAGAGUUGCACAAUUUCACCAACUUGGAAUAUUUGACAUUGGACGAUUCCUCUCUCCAUAUAAGCCUUCUGCAAAGCAUUGCAUCAUUAUUCCCUUCGUUAAAAAAUCUGUCGAUGUCUGGUUGUGAAGUCAAUGGCGUCCUAAGCGGUCAAGGUAAAAGAAAAGUGUUGAUUGUGAACUCACUCAAUGGUGUCCUACGUGUUCAAAAUUUUUAUUUAUUAAUUUAUUUAUUGUUUAAUGUUUCUGCUAGGUUUUCCUCAUUUCAAGAGUUUGGAACAUUUGGACAUGAGGUUCGCGCGCAUUGCACUCAACACUAGCUUUCUUCAAAUCAUCGGUGAAUCGAUGCCUUCUCUUAAGUACUUAUCACUGUCAGGUUCUACUCUUGGCACUAACAGCAGCAGGAUUCUUGAUCAAGGUUAAUCAGAUGCUCCCACCCUCCCUUCUUAAUCUAUAAUAUUAAUUUUCAAUUAAAUAUUUAAUUACACAAACCAAUCACUUCUAUAUGAAAGAAUACUCUGCAUUUGUUAAUUUUUAUGUUGUAGUGAUGGAUGAAUUAAUAAAUUUUCAGGCCUCUGCCCAUUGGCGCAUCUGCAAGAGUUGUACAUUGAUAAUAAUGAUUUAAGAGGUAGCUUGCCUUGGUGCUUGGCAAAUACGACAUCCCUCCGAAUAUUAGAUGUUUCUUUUAACCAACUUACUGGAAGCAUCUCUUCAUCCCCCCUCGUUCAUUUGACAUCCAUUGAAGAGCUGAGGCUUUCAAACAAUCAUUUCCGGAUCCCAGUUUCACUUGAACCACUUUUCAAUCACUCAAAACUCAAGAUUUUCGAUGCGAAAAAUAACGAAAUAAAUGGAGAAAUAAAUGAGUCACAUUCUUUGACCCCAAAAUUCCAGUUAAAAUCUCUCUCAUUGUCCUCCAAUUACGGGGAUAGUGUCACAUUCCCCAAAUUCCUUUACCAUCAACAUGAACUGAAGGAAGCUGAACUCUCACACAUUAAGAUGAUUGGAGAAUUUCCAAAUUGGUUGUUGGAAAACAACACAAAAUUAGAAUUUCUUUACCUCGUGAAUGAUUCUCUUGCAGGACCUUUCCGCUUGCCAAUUCAUUCACAUAAGCGGUUAAGAUUCUUAGAUGUCUCCAACAACAACUUCCAAGGCCACAUUCCAGUAGAAAUUGGAGAUAUUUUACCAAGUUUAGUUUAUUUCAACAUUUCCAUGAAUGCUUUGGAUGGUAGCAUUCCCUCCUCAUUUGGCAACGUAAUCUUCCUCCAAUUUCUGGACUUAUCCAAUAAUAAAUUGACUGGUGAAAUCCCUGAUCACUUGGCCAUGUGUUGCGUCAACUUGGAGUUUCUUUCGCUAUCAAACAACAGCCUAAAAGGUCACAUCUUCUCCAGAAUUUUUAGCUUGAGAAACUUGAGAUGGUUACUAUUGGAGGGCAAUCACUUCGUAGGAGAGAUCCCACAAAGUUUGUCUAAAUGCUCCUCAUUAAAAGGAUUGUAUCUUAAUAAUAACAAUCUCUCGGGCAAGAUUCCACGAUGGUUGGGUAAUCUCAAAGGGUUACAACAUAUUGUAAUGCCCAAGAAUCAUCUUGAAGGUCCUAUUCCAGUGGAGUUUUGUCGGCUUGAUUCGCUUCAGAUUUUGGACAUUUCAGACAACAACAUAUCUGGAAGUUUACCAUCUUGUUUCUAUCCUCUUUCUAUCAAACAAGUUCACCUAUCGAAAAAUAUGUUACAUGGACAACUAAAAGAAGGUACAUUUUUUAAUUGCUCUUCCCUUGUGACGUUAGAUCUUAGCUAUAACUACUUGAACGGGAGCAUUCCAGAUUGGAUUGAUGGGCUUUCUCAGUUAAGCCACCUUAACUUGGCUCACAAUAACCUUGAAGGUGAAGUGCCAAUUCAAUUGUGCAGAUUAAACCAACUGCAAUUGUUAGAUCUUUCUGAUAAUAAUCUUCACGGUCUUAUUCCUUCUUGCUUUGAUAACACCACACUUCAUGAAAGUUACAACAAUAAUUCUAGUCCUGACAAGCCAUUUAAAACAUCUUUUUCCAUCAGUGGUCCUCAGGGAAGUGUAGAAAAGAAAAUCCUUGAAAUUUUUGAAUUCACAACAAAGAACAUUGCCUACGCUUACCAAGGAAGAGUGCUUAGCCUCCUAUCAGGACUUGAUCUUUCUUGUAAUAAGCUAGUUGGUCAUAUUCCUCCUCAAAUUGGAAAUUUGACCAGGAUUCAAACAUUGAAUCUAUCACACAACAACUUGACAGGAACAAUCCCUUUAACUUUUUCAAACUUGAGGCAUAUCGAAAGUUUGGAUCUUUCCUAUAACAAAUUGAGUGGGAAAAUCCCUCAUCAACUUGUGGAUUUAAAUACAUUAGCUAUUUUUAUUGUGGCAUACAAUAACUUAUCAGGCAAGAUCCCAGAAUGGACUGCACAAUUUGCAACCUUCAACAAGAGUAGCUAUGAUGGAAAUCCUUUUCUUUGUGGACUACCAUUGCCUAUCUGCAGAUCACUAGCAACUAUGUCGGAGGCUUCAACUAGCAAUGAAGGGGAUGAUAAUUUAAUUGACAUGGACAGUUUCUUUAUCACAUUUACAAUAUCAUACGUAAUUGUGAUAUUCGGAAUCGUUGUUGUUCUAUAUGUGAAUCCUUAUUGGCGACGUAGGUGGCUUUAUCUUGUUGAAAUGUGGAUAACGUCUUGUUACUAUUUUGUCAUAGACAAUCUUAUUCCAACAAGAUUUUGUCAUUGAAAUUAAUAUGUAGUUUAAUUAAGAUCCUUUAAGUUCUAAACAAGUUUGCUUAAGAAAUAAUUUAUUUUUUAAGUACUAAUCAAGUUUGGUUAAUAAAUAAUUUUUUUUUUAUAUUGAAAUUGUAGUAGUAUUGAGCACUAUAUAGCUUCCAACUUCCAAGAACCUAGCAUGUCUCCACACUUAGAAAGCUGGGUGAUUAUGCUUUGCAGAUCUAGAUUUGAAGUAGGAUGGUCCCAAACCCAUAUCUAUGUAUUGUAGCUUACCUAUGAUGUCCAACAUACUUAAACGAGAGCACCAUCUCUAAUGUUAAUAAUAGCCGCUAUAUAGGAUCCUUUUGGAAACUAUAUUCAGAAUCGUUUUAUAAUCAUACAUAGGAAAUGAAAAAUCUUGCUGCAAUUGGUUGCCUAUUUUACUCUGAACAAGAACGAUUAUGGCGUUAACAUCAUCUUCUUCACUAGUAGCAUUAACAUCAAACCACGGGAUAGACCCAGACAUUUCAUCAAGAAAGGCAUACAUCUAAUAAAGUUGAAGCUUUGACAAAAAAUUCAAUGGAAGGUCAAUGUCUCGCCACAACAAAGGGCACAACAACAUCAUUCUAGAAGAGAUGAAGCAAUAUUCUCAAAGCUAAAGCUCUCAAAUACACCACACAAUAAUUUCAUAUCUCCUCAUCGAUUUCAAAAACUAAAGAUAAUUAGGAUUUAACAUUGGUUUGUUAUAUAUUAGUUUCAUAAUUUAAAAGCCAAUGAAGAUGAAGAUUAUGCCAAUGAAUUCAAAUUAUACCAUACAUUCUCCGGAUAUCACAAAAAAUUUACAAGUCAAUCCCACAUAUUUCAUAACUUAAAGACUGGAAAGUUUCAUUAGUUAGAAGUUUCAUUACCUUUAAGUAGAAGAUGAAGAAGAACAUUAUGCAAGUGAUUAAGAUUAUAUUAUACAUUCUCCGAAUGCAACUAGAAAUUAACAAGUUCAUGCCACAUAUUCGAUAACAUUAUGAUUGAAAAGCUUGAUAAGGACUUGAGAAAUUCUGAAUUCAACCUUCUGCACUAAGGUUAUUUGAUUGAUUUGAGCUACUUUGUGAUUAAGCUACUAGUACAACAUUUAAUUCAGGGAGGAAAUAAAUUAAAAUUUGGUAGAAAUAGUAAUAAAAAUUUGUUGCUAAACAUGAUGUGCAGUUUUUUUUCUUAAGGCAAUUUGGAAACACAGUUGUUAGUAAAUAUAUUCUCCUCAACUUGGAGAUAAAUACAUAUAUGAAAAUGCCUACGAUCAGAUAAAUACAGAUAUGAAAAUGCAUAUUGUUUGGAAUUUAGAUCUAUUAGAAAUAGAUGUAGGUAAUUAAAAAUUAAAAAUUAACAGCUUAAUUAUUUCCGGAAGUACUGUUCACUGUUACUGUUCAUGAAUACUGUUCAUCCGCAUAAAAAAUAUUAAUUUUCCAAAAACAUAAUAAAAUGCAGAAAAUAAAUGACACGGAGAUUUUUACGUGGUUCAGAUUAACCAAUCCUACAUCCAUGAGGCCACGCCUAGAUAAAAAGCAAUUCACUAAGUUGAGAUGUUACAACCUAUGGAUUUACCAAACUUAAUACUCUCACUUACAGUUUAUCACCAUACAGUUUACUCAACCUUAGACUAAAUCUGCUUCUCUUGAAUAAUCGCUACCCCUCUUGAUCCACGAUCCUUAAGGCACUUCGCAAAGUGAUCAAUAGCAAUUCUUCAAUUCUUCAAAGUCUAGUGAUCCAAGAUCCACAUAGACUCUCCGCAGAGAUGAACAGAAGAUAAGAAAACAAAUCAACAUAACAUGAUGCGCCAAAUCCAGAUUCUCUGGGGAGGACGCCGAAUUUUGCUUCUGUGCUUUAUGCUCUGUGUUGUGCCAUCUUCAAUUGUGAAAUACCUCUCUUUAUAUAGGCACUAGGAUUUCACCAAAAUAGCAAGUCUUAAAAGACUUGGAUUCUUUCCAAAUAAGAGUUUCUUUCCUCUUAUAAUUCCCAUGAAUUUGAAUAGGAAUAAAUCUGAUCUUCUUGCCUUGCUUGUCUCCCAAGAAAUAUCUAGAGCAUUUAAUGACUUCCUGUUUGAACCAACUUUUAGCUCUAAAUAAAUCUCAUGCGCCAAUUAUAGAAUCCCACCAUUAAUUGACUUGCUAAAAUAGACAUCUAAUUAAAUUAGGAAACAAAUAUUCCUAAUAAAUUGGAAUCUCACUAAAUUAGGGAAUUAAUAAAUUAAUCCCUAUUACAAGAUAUGCAAUAAAUAAACUUCUAAUUUAAUUAGACUUGCCAUAAAAUAUCAACUCUAUAAAUAAUGACCUUAACACAUAUGAUCACACAUAUUACUUGCAACUUAGCAAGAUUUAAUUAAGGGGAGCAAUCAAACCACUUAUCAGUUGUCGUAGUUGUUCUAUAAUCUAAAAUGGCAAUAUAACACAAGAAAAAGAUAACAUAUAGAUACUUGGCAAGGGUUCAUUAAGAAGUCGCAUCACAUUCGGGUGAUGAGUUUGCUUCUGAUAUCUUGCUAGCUGCGGCUUUCUCCUGUCUUUCUACUCAUGCUGAGGGAAACCAACAAGCCUUGCCUUUGCAUUCACCUUCCGACCAUCUAGGAGGAGCCACCUUGAGAAUUUAUAGCCAAAAAGGGUGAAUAAAACAGAAGUUGACCAUUCAAAGACUUGAGGUGAAAUAAUUGAAGCAAAAUAGGAUAAUUCUUUGACUUAGAAAGAGUGAAUUAGUUGUAAUUAUUCAAAUAACUGCAUUAACCAUGGAAGUUUAACAAGAUAUAAAUUCACGUGAAAUUCUUAAAUGAAAAUAUAAGAUUAGGGCUCCUCAAUUUGCUUUUAAAUCAGCUAGACAGCUAAGAGUGUUUUGUAGGUGAAAGUAGUUUGUAUAAGCAUAUAUUUAAUUUUUUAGCAAUUCAGUAAGAGUUAAAUCCUUCUUAAUCAUCAAAAUAUGCAGAUUUAUUGCGCCCCUUUGAACAAAGAAUAUAGCAAUUUCAUUAGGAUUUAUUGUCAAAUUAGGCAAUGCACAACAAAGAUUUUUUUAAAAACAAAUCACCUAUUAAAAGAACACACAUAUAAAGUAUCCACAAAAUUACUCCAUUCUACAACGAAUUAUAAAUUGCUCUCUCACUUGUAUUUUCUCUCUCUUCCAUCAAUCCGUUUAUCUUAUCAAUACAAGAAAAAAAAGAAUACUUGACAUUUUUUAUUUGACAAUUUUUAAGAAAUAUCAAAUAUAUAUGACAUUUUGUGAAAAAUUGAGUAAUUGUGAAAUAUAAAUGACAAUUUAUUUAAACGUCAAAUACUUAUGAUGUUUUACCAAAUAAGUAGAAAAUAUAUUAUAUUUUUAUUGAAUAAUUACCAUUUACCUUUUCCUUUUAUUGACUUAAGAAAAAAACAAAAAACGCACUAUACUGCCUUUGUCUCGUUCUUAGAACAUAUUUGUUUCUUUUAAGAAAAUUCAAACUCGUUCCCCUUGCUUUCUUUUCAAUAAUCACCUCACAUUUUUAUCAAUCACUCAAUUUCGAAUUUCAUCUCAAUCCUCUCUCGAAGAAGAACGCACAAAGAAUUUCAGCUUGCUUUAGCCUCAUUUGCUUCUCGAAUUUCAGGUAUUGUUUCCUUUAAUUUUGAUAAUUUGUUUCUACUUCUCUCUUUCUGGUUUGAUAAUUUUAGGGUCAUAGUUGAAUUAUUUGUAUUUUUAAACAAUCUAGGGUUGAUUUAAUUGAUUCCAAGUGUCGUAUCUGUUCUGCUAUUUGAAUGCACAUUACUUGUUUGAUGAAAUGUCUCUUUAAAAGAUUAUUUUUUUUAACAAGCAUCUUAUUGAGAUGUUUCUCGUGAUAAUAUUAACGUAAUGCACUUAGCUUCAAUUUGGUAUGUUUAAUACAUUUUAACAAAGGAAAAUUACAGAACUGCAACAAUUCUCAAAUUGCUUGCAGAUUAGAAGUAAUGUUAUUGAUUUUUAUUAAUUAAUGAGAUUUUUUUUUAUUGAGUCUGUAAACUCACUAUAAGAAGUGAUUAUUGCUAUAAUUUGGUCUGUUUCAUACAUUUUCAUUCUCAUUAUAAAUGACGGUCAACUCUCAUUUUUUUCAUCAAUCACUCAAUUUUAAAUUUCAUCUCCAUUCUCUCUCGAAGAAGAACCCACGAAGAAGUUCAGCUUGCUUCAGCUUCAUUUGCUUCUUGAAUUUCAGGUAUUUUUCUUUUAAUUUUGAUAAUUUUUUUUAAUUCUCUCUUUCUAGUUUGAUAAUUUUAGUGUUAUACUUGAAUUAAUUGUAUUUUUAAUUGAUACUAAGUCUUAUAUCUGUUCUCAUUCAACAAAGAAAGAACGCACAAAUAAUUUUCACUUUCAUUCUCAAUUUUGAAAGAAUCAAUUUAUUUUAUAAACUAUAUUAGACACACUCUAGUUGCUUAAUUAGUAAAAUUGUAAGCUCAUUGCCUUAUUUUUUGGGGUUAAUUCUAUAAUUUUAUCAGUUGUUCUUGUGGUUGCAAACAAUAUCAUUUUUUAAUAUUAAUAAAACUAAAUGAAUAUUAUGUGAUACAUUUGCAGGAAAGUUAAUAGUUUAAAUAUGGAUAAAUCUUGGAUGUUGAUGGAUAGAAGGUUUAUAGAAUAUGAAAAUGGGGUAAAUGAGUUUCUCAAGUUUGCAAUACUUCAUGCUAGUAAUCCUGAACUUUUAAGAUGUCCAUGCCAAGCAUGUGGUAAUUUGGUCUUUCAUGUACCUGUUGAGAUAAGAAAUCAUCUUUAUUGGAAAUGUAUUGACCAAAGCUAUCAGACAUGGACUUGGCAUGGAGAAAGAGCUUCUAGUAGACGACCAUCAAAUGUAAAAGCUUCAUUUGAUGGCAGUCAACAAGAUGAUGAAGCUGCUGAUACAGUAGAAAUGGUUAAUGGUGCAUUUGACACUUGUAAUGGUGACCCCAAGUCUUUCGAAACUCUACUUAAAGAUGCUGAAAAACCUUUGUUUCCUGGCUGUGUGAAAUUCACUAAGUUAUCGGCCUUAAUAAGGCUUUACAACAUUAAAGGAAGAAAUGGAUGGUCAAACAAAAGUUUUUCAGAUUUACUAAGUUGUUUAUCAGAUAUGCUUCCUGAUAAAAAUGAAAUACCUUUAUCUGUAUAUGAAGCAAAGAAGAUUAUGGUUGCAUUAGGCUUAGAAUAUGAAAAAAUACAUGCAUGUCCCAACGAUUGCAUCCUAUAUAGAAAAGAAUAUAAGGAUUUAUCUGCAAGUCCCACUUGUGGAAUGUCAAGAUGGAAGAGUCCCAAUAAAAGUAAGGGAAUUCCUGCUAAAAUCUUAUGGUAUUUUCCUCCUAUACCAAGGUUUAAGAGGAUGUUUCAAUCUCUUCGAAUCGCAAAAGACUUAACUUGGCAUGCCAAUGAAAGGGUGAUUGAUGGCAAACUACGUCACCCAGCUGACUCACUGUCAUGGAGGCUAAUGGGCCAAAAAUGGCUAGAUUUCGCUGCAGAAGAAAGAAAUCUUUGGCUGGCUAUUUCUACAGAUGGGAUAAAUCCCCAUAAAACUUUCGCAGUUCGUAUAGUUGUUGGCCAAUUGUUAUGAUUACUUAUAAUCUUCCUCCUUAGUUAUGCAUGAAGAGAAAAUUCAUGAUGUUGACUAUGCUAAUAUCUGGUCCACGACAGCCCGGUAACGAUAUUGAUGUCUAUUUGUCACAACUGAUUGAUGACUUGAAAACUUUGUGGGAAGUUGGUGUCCAAAUUUAUGAUGCAUAUAGACAAGAAUUAUUUACUCUACGGGCUGUCUUGUUGUGGACAAUUAGUGAUUUUCCUACUUAUGGGAACUUGUCUGGAUGCUCAAUUAAAGGAUAUUUUGCAUGUCCUAUAUGUGGGAAAGAUACACAGUCCUAUAGACUUAAGCAUGGGAAGAAAAAUGUGUACAUGCGCCAUAGGCGAUAUCUCCCAGAAUCUCACUUGUUUCGAGAUUUAACAAAGGCUUUUGAUGGUAAACCAGAAAGAGACUUUCCUUUUAAGCCGUUAAGUGGUGAAGAAACAUUAAGAAAGGUUGAAGGGAUUCAAAACUCAUGGGGGAAGAAAACUAGAAAGCGUAAAAAAUUAGAUUCUGAUGAAAAAAUUUGCUGGAAAAAGAAAUCAAUAUUUUUUUCUCUCCAGUAUUGGAAACAUUUGCAUGUUCGCCAUAUGUUAGAUGUAAUGCACAUUGAAAACAAUGUGUGCGAAAGUAUAUAUGGUACAUUAUUGAACAUUCCAGGAAAAGCAAAAGAUGGACUUAAUUCUUGGUUGGACCUUGUUGAUUUCAAUAUUAGGAAAGAAUUAGAAGGGAAUCACACUUAUUUACCUGCUGCAUGUUAUUCAUUGACUAGAGCGGAAAAAGUAAUGUUUUGCGAAACAUUAUUUAAUCUGAAGGUUCCUGAAGAAUACUGUUCAAACUUUAAAAAUCUUGUAUCAAUGAGUGAUUAAAGCUUAUUAGGUUGAAAUCUCAUGAUUGUCAUGCUUUGAUGCAACAACUCCUACCAUUGGCUAUUCGAGGAAUUUUGCCAUAACAUGUUAGAUAUGCCAUCACUAGAUUUUGCUUUUUCUUCAAUGAUCUUUGUAGCAAAGUUGUGGAUGUAGAGAAGUUAAACCAAAUACAAAAGGAUCUUGUGGUCACAAUUAAUUUAUUUAAAAUGUAUUUCCUUCCUGAAUUUUUUGAUAUCAUGGUUCAUUUAAUUGUGCAUCUUGUUAGAGAAGUCAGAUUAUGUGGGCCUGUAUAUCUUAGAUGGAUGUAUCCCUUUGAAAGAUUUUUAAAAGAUCUAAAAGGGUAUGUGCGGAAUAAAAAUCGUCCCGAAGGUUGUAUUGCUGAAUGUUACAUUGUAGAGGAGGCAUUGCACAUAAUAUUUACCCAAUGUGGAUCCAAUUGGAAUUCCAAUUGCAAGGACGAAUAAUAUAGAAACUGAGGGUCCGCUUCUUGGUGGUCGUUUAAGUGAUAUUGAUCGCGACGAAUGGAAGCAAGCACACCAUUAUGUUUUGCGGAACACACAAGCAGUUCAACCUUACAUUGAGUAAGUUUUCUUAUCUUAACUUUAUUAAAACCAUGUAGAUUCAUCACUAAUAUAUUCGUUUUAUUAUGAAUCUUAAUCUUAGGAUGCAUAUGACAUGGUUGAAAUUGAAUUAUCCUCGCCAAUCUAAAAACAAGAAGUGGUUACGAGAUGAACAUGCUCGAAACUUCAUUUACUGGUUACAAGAAAAUGUUUAAUAAACUAUUUCCUUUUAUUUCUGAAAUUUCUAUAAAAUGUUAUGUAUAGGCAUAAUUUCAACUAUUUUCUUUUCUAAAUUUUAUAGGUUUCAAAUGGUAACGAUAAUCAGUCAUCCAAAUCAUCUUUAUUGAAAUGGCUAGUACAAGGACAUUGGCCUCAUGCAUUCUUAUAUCCUGGUUAUCUUAUUAAUAAUUACCGUUUUCACAUAAAAGAUCGUGAUAAUGAUAAAACCACUCAAAAUAGUGGAGUGACUCUUGUAGCUGAAACAGAGCAAAUUACAAGUGCCAAGGACAAGAAUCCUAUUUUUGGAGAAAUGCCUUACUAUGGAGUCAUUAAAGAGAUAUGGGUGCUCGAAUAUCACAUGAUCCAAAUUCCCAUAUUUAAGUGUGAUUGGGUUGAGAGUCAUAGUGGUGUUAAAGUUGAUGAGCUUAGGACAAUCUUAGUUGACCUUAAUCGUAUAGGUCAUAAAUCAGAUCGUUUUAUUCUAGCCUCACAAGCAAAGCAAGUCUUUAACUGACCAACUAGAUCCAAGGUGGUCAGUUGUACUCCAUUUCCCUAAAAUGAUGCCAAAUCCUGAAAAUUUUGAGAAAGGGGAGAAGGACAGUAAGAAUUACAAGCGUGAUGAUGGUGAGAAGAUCUGGAUUCAUAAUAAAACAAUUAGGAAAGCUUAAUUGUUUGUGUUGUAAAAUAAGAAUGUAGUUUAUUGUUUCUGAAUUUUAAUGAUUUCACUUCUUUGCUUAUUUAAAUUAAUUAUAGUUAAUGAUGUCCUAAUAGCUAAAUUAUCUAUUGAUAUGUGACAAAUGAGUACUUAAUAUUGCAUUGUGCUUUUGCAGGAUUAUGACCAUGGAGGAAUAUGAUGAUGAUAUUAUGUCCAUGGAUGAUAUAGAUGAUGUUGAUGCUGAUGUAGAAGAUCUUGAUUUAGAAGACUUUGAUACUAAUAAGAAGAUACAUAAGACUAGAGGAAUUGUCAAGAUGGAGAGUGUUACUAAGAAUCGUAGUGAUGGGAAGAGAGAGAGUUAGAUUUAAUAGCGAUGGACAAUUGGUGGGUGAAGAGAGACAUAAUGUUAUUAGUACAAUUGGUGCUGUCACUAAGACAUUAGUUUCCAUUCUUUCGAUGGAUUUGCGAAAAGUACCAAAGAAUUCAAAAGAAAAAAAAUAUGGGAAUACAUUCAGGUAUGCUUUAUAAACAUAUUAUGCAUUUUGCAAAGGCAUGAAAAUUUUUUUUAAACUGUCUUUAUAUUUCAUGUCUUACAGAGUUCGUUUGAUGUGGAUGAUCGAUUUAAAAGACAAUGUUUGCAAAUUGCUUGAAGUUCAUUUCGUUCUUUUAGAUAUAAUCUCACACAACAUGUAAAAAAAUACAAAGCCUAUCCAAAUCGUUUGCGUAACCCACCACUAUUGUACUCUUUCAUACAAAAAGGUCAUUGGGAUGCAUUUGUUAAUGAUCGAUUAUCUAAAGAAUUUAAGGUAAUCCUUUUUUAUUAUUGUGAACAUUAUUUUUUUAUAUUUUAUUUAUGUCAAUGCUAAUAAACAUAUGUAUUAUAUGCAUUAGACACUUAGUGGCCUUCAAAAAGAAAGACGAGCACUAAAUCUUUACAACCAUCACCUUGGUUGAAAAGGUUAUAAUGGAUUAGAAGAAGAAAUAGUAAGUAUUUUUUUCAUAAAAAAUUAUAAUUAUUUUUAGCAGUUGAUGUAUGUUUAACAUUGGUCACAUUGCUAUUGGAAUUAGAAAAAAGAAUGUGGAAAUCCCAAUUUGAAAGUGGAUAGAAGUGUAGCAUGGAAAAGGGCUCGUCAAAACCCAAAUGGUGGAUAUCAUCUGGUUGUGAUACCUGUUGUGGAUACAAUUGUAAGUAUAAUAUUCUUUGAGCAAUUUUCCAUCAAUUCCUUGUAUGUUGCAUGAAUAAUCACUACUAGAAAAACAGGCUACCAUGACAGAGAGUAUCUGUCAUCCGACCCCCCUUAUGAGUUAUGACAGAGUUUUCAUCUAUCAUUGUAGCCCUUGUGAUAAAUCCGAGACAAUAUUUUAUCUAUCACAUGUUCCCAUGACAGUGUAUAUCUAUCACGCAUACAUCACGAACCAAGCGAUGUCGUUUUGCAAGGCUUUUGAGAAUUAGUUGGAAAUUUUAGCAAGUAAUUUAAAUUAUAUUGAAUUUGGUGGGCUUUUUCAAAAUCUUUCAUAUAUUAAUGAUUCACAUUCUCUGUCAUGAGAUUUAAGGUUUUAAAAAAUAAAAUUAUUAUUUUUAAUUUUGAAAUUAUAAUAAUACUAAUUAAUAUUAUUUAAAUUCCAAAAUUUUGAAAUAGAAAUAACAAAAGCCACAUUUUAAAAUUUGAAUUAACUGAAAUAAAAAUUACAUUCAAAUUCAUAAAAACUAUCGAAUACCAAAUAUCACCAUAUACUAAAAAUUUCAAUUACUUGAAACUUCCAACAAAUAGCAUCAUCAAAAUACGUGGUGAAUCAAAUCCGUAACAAUAGCUCAUAAAUUCUCUACAAUAUUCAAUCACUACCCCAUCAUUAGAAAAACAAUUAAUCUGGAAAAAGAACACUGAUAGUAAAUUCACAAGAGCCACCAACAUCACCUGAAACACAUAUUACAUUUAGAUGAGUGCCAGAAGAAUAUAUAUUAGCGUAUUGGCCACUUACAAUUAAUCCAAUUCAUGAUGAAGUAUUUUUCCAAGAUUACAAAUUAAUUAAUGCACAACAUCUAACAACAUAAAACCUCUGUUACAUAAUUAAAUAAAAUUCAUCAAAAUUCUAUCCUCUAUCCUCUUCUCUUGAUUCCCCUGUUCUCCUAAAGUUUCACCAUCCUUUUCUUUAUUUCUACUCUUUUUUUUUCAAUCUUCUCUUUAUUUUUCUUCCACUGUACUUGUUCAAAUUUGUUUAUCAAUCUAAGUUCUAAAACACAUAUAUUACACUGAGACUCCAAGCAACGCAAAUCCAUUUAACUUGUUCAUUAGGGCAAGACAAUCUUGGCUAAGAAGCAGCAUGUGGAAGUAUUUCAAAAUGACUAGAGAAAGACUUGCUCUAGAACUAUGGAAAUUAGCAUAUAAAAAGAAAUAGAAAAACACUAAAUAAACAAACCACCCAAAGAUUUCAUCACAUAAAGCAAGGGCAAAUUAUGUGAGAUUUCAUCACAUCAUCACAUGAAGCAAGGGCAAAAUUAUUAUCACAUCCCACUUCACACAACUCAUUACAUACCUUACCUCAUGGCAUUACCUCAAGAACAAAUACUCUGAAAAAUCACGGAUAUCAUUUGGCCUGGAAUGAUCAGCAGAAAACAAAAACGUUAACAAAGUGCUGCAGCAAUGAUAUCAGCACAAUUUCAAACUUAGAUAGAAUCUCACUUGGGGAGUCCAAUAUUCUCAUCAAACCUUUGACUUUUAUAAAAUUUCACCAGAUGGAGCAAACCAGCUCAAUCAAUUUCCUAUACAAUAGUGUGUAUUUAUCAUAUAUCAAUAUUGAGAACUGGUAAGUGCAACAUGGUCCACAAACCAAAACAUUUCCAAUUAAUAAAGCACAAUAUGUGACAAAUCAAAUAAAAAAAAAUAUCUUCCAAAAAGUUCAACAUGUCAAUUAAGAGAAAAAUUAUAGGAUUCAUAUCAGUGCAUCCAUAAAUGGCCUAGUUUCUCUGUCAACAAGUUAGUUAUAAAUCAUUUCACUGAAAUGCUAGAAGACCAAGCAAAUAAGCACAAUCACCACCACACAAAGCAUUUGCAUUUCCAAAAAUGUAGUUCACAAAGAUUUUACAGAAGAUAUCUUUCUAAUAGAAAAACACAAGCACCAAUCAAUUGUAAUGGGUUUGAGAACUACGAAAGUAAUUUUCACAGUUGAAGAAUAGUUUCUCAGAAAAAUUCACUUUAUGCGAAUACCUCUGGUGAAUAGAUUUUGCAUACAUUUUGGUAACAUACAAUAUUGGACCUACCAUGUGCUCAAUAUAUUUAAUAAAUAAAGGUGAGAAUAAUAACAAUACCUUAGAUAUUGUAUUAGCUAAGGCAAACGUUGCUUCAAUCCGAACUCUUCAAAAGGCCUAGAAACAACAGAAAAAUUCCUUAAUUGUAUUUCAUUAAAAGUAAGUCAAAUCAAAACCACAUAUACCUCUAAAUUUGGUUAACUUGUCACUAAGGAAAUUAUUCAGUGUGCCAACAACAUUGAAAGAAAGACAGGGCAGAGAGUCUAGACUGCUGUAAUUGGUCGUACCUGAGCAACAACAUCUCCAUUCUUCUCUAAUUGAUUUAUCUAAUAAAUCAAAAUAGUCAUGCAAGAUUGUUAUCCAGUUAAUUAAGUAAACAUUGUUAAAAGUUUGUAUCGUCACCAUCUACUCAAUAAAGAACAAUAAAGAAGUAAAAACAGAGAAGCCAUCACUCCACACCCAAAAAGUUUCUCUCACUUUCUCGCCAGCCAAACACUCCUUUUCCUCCCUCAAAACCUCGUCUUACCACUCAAAACUCACUAAAUUUCAGCUCAAAUUCUGUUACAAUUUUACCCUAAGUCGAAGACGUAGCAGCUAACUCACCGUCUUUCUGACGUCGCCAACUCCUCGCAGUACAAUCUUCUCCGAUCCGACUCCACGUAAAUAGCACGCUGCCACUCACUUGUCACGGAAUCGUUCCACGAAGGCCGUAAAGCGGAGUCAUUGGCACGUUAGUCCACGAACUCGAAGUCAGUCCCUUAAGGCCAUGGAGCGGCUUUAUUUUUUUCCUUUUUUUGGCAUAAUUUUAGGGAUUUUGAUAAAUUUAUGGCGAUUGUUGUCUCUUUAAAAAAAAAGAACUCAUCACUUACCUCUCGCGAAAGAAGUCAAUAAUAAUGGCUCGAACUUGAAGAAUAUCGGUUGUUCAAGCUAUAAAAUCUUAGUUAAAGAAAACAAACAAAGGGAAAUGGGAAUAGCUAGCAAGCAGUGGAGUGGGGAUGAAGAUGACGACAAAUACGAACAACAGCAAUUUGUUGUCGGCAAGUGUGAUAGUGUAUUUUUGUGUGAUUCGGUUUGGAUGUAGAAAUUAGGGUUUUCUGUGUGAAGUUCAAAGGAGUGUCCAAUACUUAGAAUUUUUUUAAAGGCUUCAAGACACGGUGUCGUUCAAUGCCCAAAUUGGCCAAUCUUAAACUCACCGUUUCAUUACUAUAUGAAUAUGCUAUCAUGUGCAAGUGACAGAUAAAGAAACUAUCACAAAUCUAUCAUGCCUUGCUGAUAUAUGACAAUUCUAUCAUGUGCGUGUCAUAUUUUUGUGAUAAAUGACUAAUUUUCUGAUAUCUAUCACAAAAAUUCUGUCAUAGUAGCCUGUUUUUCUUGUAGCGAAUGGUCUUAUAUUCUUGUAGGAUGAGUUGACCCAGCUAGCAAAAUCAAGGGUUAUAACCACAUCUAGUGGGAAUGAUAUUUUGGCCCAAGCAUUAAAGAAGCCUGAGCGUAAUGGGCGUGUUACAAGGAAGGGAAGAGGAGUCAACCCAUCUUCUUUCUUUCACAAUGUUAAUUUAGAAUCUGAUUGGCAAAGAGAGAAGAGGCUAUUGAAUGAAAAAAUAGUGAAGAUGCAAGCUAUUAUUCAUGAUCUCUCAAAAUCUUCACCAAAAGCAAGACACUCCAAUGUCUGUAGCAACAUAUUUGGAUCACAAGAUGUAUCUAAUGAGACAAAUAACAAAACAGAUCCAAUUUUUGAAAAGCAAAAAAAUUAGGUAUGCACACUCAAGUAAUUAAAUUAAUCUUUUGAAUUUAUACUUUAAGUGCAUAUUUAAUAAUCUUAUUACUUUUUUUUGUUAGGAUCAAACUUGUCAGUUGGCUGUAGGAUGUAAAGAAAACAUUGUUGCUAUUGGAACUAUUUUGGAGUAUAGGAAGCCAAAUUUUUAGUUGUAAUUGAUAUGGUAUUAAGUUCAGAUGCCCAUCUUCCCAUCCGGACUAGUGAGCUUGUUUACGUCAGUGAUGGGUUAGGACAACAGGUAUUAUGGCCAAAAAAGCUUGUUUCCCAGCUGCUGUAGUAAACAAGGUAUUGAAUUUGGCAUAUAUUACUUUUUUUUUUAAUUCCUUAAUUGAGAAUUUAAAUUGUAACCACAUGUGAAUGCUUAAAUUUCUAGAUGUCUAAGUCAGCUGUAAAGCCUUCCAAGGGGAAAUUAGAUGUGAAUGCUGAAGUAAACACCCCAUUGAUACCUGGCCUAUAUUACUAGCUUUAAUUCUUGUUUUAUUUCUUUAUUUAAAAUUUAAGUAAUGAUCUUAUUUGAAUGUUUGCAUUUCUAGGUGUCUAAAUCAGUCAUCAAGCCUUUUAAGGAAAAAUUAGAGGUGAAUGAGGAAGUAAACUCUCCCAUAGUUCAGCAAACAUUUAAAAAAACCUCCUGACAUACAAGUUUUUGAUAAAAUGGUAAAGAAAGUUAUGAAACCUGGUUCCCAAGUUAAGGUUGAUUUUGAGAACACAUUUAGUUACAAAUUGCAUACAUAUCUCACUUUGGAGGAAAUUCAAGAUCUUAUUGAUAUGCAAGAGCUUUCACAAAACUGCAUUGUUGUAUACAUGAGGUAUGAUACUUCAAUAAUGCUUUAUAUUUUGUCGAAUAUUUUUGUUUCACUUUAAUUGACCUAGCACUUUUUCUUAUAUACUAGAUAUCUUUGUGCUGAAACAAAGGCCAGGCUAAUUAAUGAAAAGUUUGGGUUCAUUCAUCCUACCACUCUUUCUUUUUUGGAUGAGAGUACUUUCAAACAGAAAGCAAAAACUCUUGCUAAUCGCUUCCAAGAAUUGAGUGCAAAACAAUUUAUCUUCUUACCAUAUAAUCCUAGGUUAGUUAUUUUGUUGCUUUAAAUAUCUUUGUUUAUCUACUUAGUUUUUACUUUUUAAUUAGUAUUUUUUUCUAACUCUUUAUUCAUUUGUUAAUAGUUGUCAUUGGAUCUUGCUUGUGAUCGACUUGCCCUCAAUGGUUGUUCAUUAUUUGAAUUCAGUGAGAAAUGAAAUCAGUGUUGAUAUAAAAAAAAUUGUAACUGUGUAAGUAUAUUAAAGAUAUUUAGCAAUAAGUAUACUAGUGGUUUUUGCUAUAUAUAUAAUUAUUGAGUUUAAUAUUUCAUAUUUGAUUUGUAUUUUUUUGUAGUGGGAUUCGAAUGUUUCUUGCCAAAAAAGGACAGCAAAUGAAAAAGAUUAAUUUGAAAUGGAAUGAUGUUAAGGUGCCUAUGCAAAUUGGUAAUGUUGAAUGUGGCUACUAUGUCAUGCGAUUCAUGAAGGAGAUUAUUGCAUAUCAAAGUAUACUUUGUGCAAAGGUUAGAUCAUUAACAUAGCUUAAACUUAUUGCAGAUUUUACAGGGAAAUGUGGUUAAAAUGAAGUCUAUGAAUUAAAAGAGUGACAAAUAAAUAUAGUUUUUUGUCUAUUGAUGUUAGUUUAAUGAAAAAGAUACUUAUGAUGAAGAUGAGAUCAACGAAAUUCACUUUGAUUGGACAACUUAUGUUAGUGACUUGAUUUGAAAAAAAAAAUGCAAAAGAGACAAGUAAUGCAGGUAAAUAGCAUAUGAUUCAAUUGAAGUACAUUAGUUUAUUGUUAAUAUUUUUCAUGCAUAGAUUUUUCCUUCUCUUUGUGCAUAGAUAUCUUAUGCUUUCAUUGCAUAAGGCAACUACAUCAUCUAGUUGGAUUCAUAAUAAAAGCUCUCAGUUAAUUCAAUCAAAAUUUGUCAAUGCCUUACUGGUAACCAUAACUUACUUUUUUAGCCUCUUCCUUAGACAGUAACAAUAGUAGAUGGCAGUAAUUUUGGUUUCUUGAUGUGUAGGGCUAUGCCGUGGAGUUAUAUAGAUCUCAAGACCAAGACACAUUUACAAUCAAAGAGGAUAUAAGGGUUAUAAAAUAUCAGAUCUAUUGGGUUAAUGCAAAAUUGGUUUAAAAGCUUUUCCUUUUGUAUGUACAACGCUGCUAUGAAAAACUUUUGGACCGAUGGUGGAAUGCUAACUAUAGGCUCAAUGUAUAGUUUUAGAAACAACAUCUUAUUUUAGAUUUAUACUUAAGACAUUUGAUACAUUUAUACGUACAAUACAAGUUCAAGUUAAUAUGAAUUCAGGUUUCCUAUGCUUUAUUAUGGUGUUUGAAGUUAGUUGAAAUUUUUUGAAUUUUAUCAUGUUUCAAUGUUAUAACAUAUAUAAUGUGCAGCCCAAGACAAGGAAUUUCACUAUUGUAAUUUUUUUUUUAAAUUAUAAUAUUUGAUAUUUUUAUCAAGUCAUUUGCAUUUGACCAUUUUGAAUAAUGUCACAUGCAUAUGACUAUUAUUAAGUGUCAUACACAUUUGACAAUCUUAUAUUGUGAAAAAUAUUUGAUUAUUAUUAAUUGACAAAAAUAAAUGACAAUUUUGCUAAUUGUCAAAUAAGCAUAUUUGACACAGGAAUAUUUGGCACUUUUUAAUUGUCAAAUAUUCCUUUAUUUGACAGUUUUUAAAUAUUAAUUAUUCUCUUUUUUCUUAUAGUGUAUAGAAAUUGGUUUAGUCAGCAACAACCCCUAUAAUCCUUGAAAUAAAAUUUUUUAUGUAAUUUUCUAUAAAUUUCAACAAUACUUUAAACUGGAGCCAAGAUCAUGUUUGAUUUCUAGACAAAAUAAUCAAUCAAACAUAAAAAUUCAUAGUUUAGAGGGGUAAACUGGGUGGUUUAGAACUGAGCUAGCAACCUUAUUAUAUUUUGAUUUGCACUUCAUUGUAAAAGGGAAUAUAUUAUAGGAAAAAAGAAAACCAAUCAUCAUUUGUUAACUCAUUGCUUUUCAAUCAAAAUUUUAAGAAUAAAAUGCCAUGUGCUUUGAAUAUCAAAUAAGUAUAAACACUAGUUUUAAAUUCUACAUAUAAUAAGUUAUAGCAUAAUAGAAAAAUCUAUAUGCUGUUACUUGGACCAGUAAAGGGGAAAAUACCUGGCGAACCACAACAUAAUCAUCAACUGAUAGACUUAGCUCCCUAUCUGCUUGAGCAUCAAAUGGAUGUAUAACCUACAAGAUAAUGGGAUAAAUAAAACUUAAUCUUGAAAAGAAUAACAAAAGCAGCAGCAAUAGCAGUAGUGUUUAUUAUAAGCACUAUGAUUAUGGCCAACAAGGAUACAUUAGAAACACUAUUUUUAUUAGGAAAAUAAUAUGUAGUACAAGAUAUCAUGACUGUUGGGUUUCCAAGAGCUAUCAGAGCUCCACAAGUUCUAUAUGACUUUAUGUAAUUGUUUAAAUUAUGGAUGGGAUUUUAAUUCUGAAAUUUUGAUUGCUCUCCACAAAACAUGGCCUAUGCCACAAGAAAGUCAUAGAUAAUGAGGGUUACAAGUGUCCAACAUCUUUCGAGUGAUGGAUUUAAUAUGACAGCUUAUGGUCAGUCAAUUUCCUCUGCUUAAUAAGAUAAGCUUUCUAGGUCAGAUUUUUCAUCAAAUACAUAGAUGGCCCCCAAGUCACAUCCAUACAAACAUAGUUUUCUGAGUAAACCAAGUAAGGAGAAUUAUAAUUCAGCCACAAUCAUAGAAAGGGCCCAUCUAACUUAAGAGAAAAUUUUAAGAAGAGGGAUCAUACUAUGAGCUAUCAAUCUUGUAUCUAUAAGCAAAUAUCAAGACUUUAGAUCACCUGCUACAUCGUGAGUGGCUACACAACUUUGCGGUGGUUUGUCUUUCUUUGGCAUGUCUAACUCAGCUUUGAUGUUGUUGAGAUAUUGGCAGCAGAGACACAUGAUACUUCUAGCUAUACAUUCUAUCUAGCUCAUCAUGCAACUAUCUCUUUUUAAUCCAUUAGGGUUGGCUAAAACUCUUGUUUAAAAGUCUUGUUCUCCUAAACAAAGUUUCCCUAAGAAUGACUUCUUCAGCACCACAUUUUGACACUUUUUAGAGCAAUUUUAUUUGGGGAAAAGAAUUUUCAAGGUGUUAACUAAUAAAUUUUAAAAGAUAGUCACGACUCUGUCCCGUAAUCAUAUGACAAUUUAUCUGGGAUGAAAGGACACAGACAAACAUCUUCCACUUUCAAGACUAAUCACUACUUUCAUAAAUGUUGUGCAAUAAUAAAAAUCCUUGACCAGAUGGUAGUGAUAGUAGAAAAGAAUUUUAUUGCUCUAGAAUUAAAAUAAGAAUGUAAUGUGUUAAGCGAAAGACUGUGCGAGAUAUCUACAUAAGGAGGAGUGUUAAAAUAUGAUGCAUCCAACAAAAGACAAGCCUUGUGUAGUCUUUUAAUUAAGCCAAAGUAGCAGCUCAAACAAAUGACACUUGGACCAACAUGCAAGCAUGAAGUAGUCGGAAAAAGGACGAAUGAUACUUUGGCCUAAAUUAAAAAGUUAUUACAAGACAACAGAAAUCACUAUCAUUGUAAAAUAAGUUGGCAAUAAGUAAGAUGAAGAUAAGAGGUAGAAUCUCAACACAUGCAUAGGCAUACACAAGAAAGUAUUAACUUAUAUACCAUAGCAAAGAGUCUUUGAUAGGUCAUCUGUUGCUGCUGUGAUUCAACUGACAACAUAUAUGGUAGUUGUCGCUUCUGUGCCAAGAGCCAUAACUGUAGAUUUAAGCUCGGUCAAUUUUGCUUCUGCAUUUCGAAGCUUCAUAGCACUCUCUGCUGAUAGAUCAGAUCCCUUAAUUUUUUAUCAGCGCCUCAAUACUUCAGCUACAUGGUGAAAAUAUUCAAUAUGAAUCUAAUAUAAUUCUCAUCUCCCCUUAUACAUAUGUUACCUUAAAGCUUACUUGGGCUUCAACUUCAUGUAGGAGUUUGUCAUAACAAUGAGUCAUGUUGCGUAAAUUAGCAAGGGCACUAGUCGGCACAAGUAAUAUAAUGAAAAAUAGAAUAUCGUCCCAUAGAGAUUAUAUAUCCUAUUAACUACCGAAAUUAUUCUAACAAUAAUAUAUUUGAAUAACCGAAUAAAUGAAUUUAGAUUAAUAAUUAAAUAAAAUAAAAUAACUAGAAAAAUUAAAUAAAGAUGUAUGCAGUAAUAGAAAUCACUAAGAUAUGAAGACACUAGCACAUCGAAUUUCACCAUAACCAAUCCAAUUUAAUCCUUCAUCUAUGUUAUUAAUGUUUAUUACCCAUGUUGACAGUGAAUUUUCCUAAUCUAUUUAAUAUCCUCUCUCGAGUAAUAUAAAAAAUACUUCACAUAUUAACCCACUAUAUCUCUAUGUGAAUUUAAAUAAGCAAAAAUUCAUUAAGCUCUACGGAAAUUCUUAGAAAAACUGCGUGAACCACAUUGGCACAUCUCUGUCUUUCCUUCAGUUCAUGGCAUCUAUUACGCAAACAAAAAAUAUAUAAAUCUCCUCUUGGUCUCAUUAUGUAUCCUCAAGUCAUUCAAAUAUUUGCCAGAUAUUUAAGGGUACGUUGGGCACACAAUACUGUAUUAUGUUGUAUUGCAUUAUUUUAAUGCUGAUGUAUUGUAUUAUGUUGUAUUGCAUUAGCACUGUAUUAUAACAAUGCUGUACAAUGUUUGGUGCUACACUGUACUUUAUUAAUUUUUUGAUUAAUUUAAAUUAUAUAUUAUAUUAUAUUAAUAUUUUAUAUUAUAUUCAUAUAUUUAAAUUGUAUUAAUAUUUAUAUUAUUAUUUAUAUUAUUAUUAAUUUUAAAUUAAUAUUAUUCAAAUUUAUUCAUAUUUAAAUAUUUAUUAUUAAUUAUAUUAAAUUAUAAAUUUACUAACAAAUUAUAAUGUAAAAAUAAAAAAUAUAAUAUAAUAUUAUUGAUUAAUAAAUUAUAAAUUUAUUAAUUUAUAUCAAUAAUUGUAACGUAAAAUAACAAAAUUAAAAUUAAUAUUACAUUAAAAAAAGGAAGAGGCAAGCUAAUGUGGCAGUUGCCGCAUUAGUUUGGGCCCAUUAAUGCAAUACUGCUGUAGCUUUUUAUAUGCCAAACAUGGGUCUGUAUAAAUUUAAUACAAUAAGGAGGUCUAAUACUUUAACAAACAUGCCCUAAAAGCAUUAAGCAUAAUAAUGAACACUCAACCAUGAAAUAAUAAACUAAAUAUAACACAGAUUUAUAUAAUUAAAUUUUCAUAAUUAGACUACAUUAUAUCCCUAAUAAAAUAUUUUGGAAGUUGCUCCGUUGAUUAACGCCCGUAUUGGCUCAGAUACCUCCAUGUCCAAAAACCUGUAACAUAAUUAAAAAGAUGAAAAAAAAAAGACUGAAACCUUAAUUGAAAAGUUCCUGUAGCAUAAUCAUGAAAUUUGGGCCUACGUUAAGAAUAUAUAUAUAAGGAUAAUUUAUGCAAUUUUGGGUGUUAGGAUGAUUAGUCUUAGGUUAGGGUUCAUCCUUCUGUAUUUAAGGUUAAAAUAGAAAUAAACCUGUGUAAAUAUUUAAAUUAGGGCUAUAAGACUUCCACAUGCAUCCUUCAGUGUCAUGGAUUUGAUUUUACUAUAGAAACAAGCGUCUUUAUCCAAAAUGCUUGGAGUUAAUUGAGAGAACUCACGGCCAAUAACUUGUCCCACGCUGAUCUUCGCUAGUGAUUUAACAAGUGACAAUGUUUCUUCAACAUUUGAACCAACAAAAUUAUUAAGUCAUGGAUGUCACUAGCAAUGGUUAAAACAUUAAAUAUUUCAGAGUUGUAACGUUUAAAUGGACUCUUUUAUUCAAUAUCUUAGAACUAAGUUUCCUUAUGAGAAGAUAAUAGUUUUGAAAGUAAUUUUACAUAUAAUUUUCCAUAUUUGAAUUAUUUUCUCGUUAGGGAUGAAUUUACCUGAUCACCAAGAAUCCCAAGCAAAGUUUCCCUCUUAUUUUCCAUCAAAUGAUAUGAAGUGCCAAAUUGAAAAGCAGCCCUUGCAACACAAGAAUUGUCACUUUGAAUCUCCGCUCCACAUUUGCAACAAUCUUCGGCCAACUUUCUCGAUACAAUAUUUGAAUACAAAAAUAUUAUACACAGAAACUAGUCAAGAAAAACAAAAUCAAAUAUUAUAAUGAAAGCAAGUGCAAACAAACAACCUAUCUCCAUUUGCUUCAAGCUUACUGCAACAAACCCUUCAACACCACGGACAAUAUUCCUCUGAAAAUGCUGUUCUACAUGGCAUAUAUUCCAAAUUAUUGUUCAGAUAAAACCAUAAAAACCAUCAUAAUUAUUCAACAUACAUUAAGCACUGUUUGGUAAAUACUUGUGACUCCAGUCUAGAAAAUAUAGUUGUUUGUACCAUAUUUGACAAAAUUAUUAUCUAAAAAUCAUAUUUAAUUAGCAAAAGCCACAAUAAAUCAAUACGAAAACAGAGACGAUAGUACCUUAGCUGCCCCGGUGGAAUUGUACAGAUUUUGAAGUUGUUGGUGACACUCAAAGUUCAGCUUCAUCAACCGCAACAUUUUCAUUACCAAGACGCAGCAAAUGCUUCAAUACUGCCUGUACAAAUCAUAAAGAAAUAAUAAAAAAUAAAAUUGAGAAAUUUCACUAAUUAAACGUCUAAAUGGUUUUAAAAAAGAAAAGAAACGGACUUGCUGCUGCCUGGCGACUUGUUCGCGGACCUUGAUUGCCUGUUUCUUGAUAGCUUCCAUACUGUUUCUUUCAAAAAGCGACGACAGCUCAGCUCAGUUAAUUGAAAAAAGUGUGAUCUAGAAAAAUCAAAAGGGAUGAAUAAUUUUGGCAAAAGGCAAAGCCAAGUAAAGCCAGCUCUUUCCAGAAAACAAAAAAAUUAAAAAAAAAAAUUGUAAGUUUGAAAGGAGAAGAUGAUAGUGGAAGCGUGCAGUGUGGCUGCCAGCUAUUUGGAUUGUAUUGUCGGGUAAGGUAAUAGUAGAGAGAGAAUUUUUUAAGGAUCUAAAAUCGGGCACGUUGACUUUGUUGACCAAAUGGCACAGCCCAGAAAAUUUUUAAUACACUACAAGCAAGCUGUUUUAUUCCUCUCAUACUUUACGCUUGCAUCAGCUUAAAUCACUUCUUAAAUGCUUGCUUUAACCGAACCGCCUCGUACUAUUCUAUAUAUGUAACGGUUGCGCGGUUGUAGUUAACGGCUGAGGCUACGUGUUUGUUUGACGUGGUAGUUUUGUUACGACGUUACGAAUCUGUUGAACGUUCGGUGAUAGAGUAUUAUUUGUUAUUUUAAAGUGACAUAAAAUUAGUUACAAUACACCCGCUUGUUUUAUAAAAUAAAAAAUAAAUAAGUAAAUUGACUUAUAUUUUUAGUGGUUGAAUAUAUUUUGUGUUCUCUUGGGGCACUGUUGCAAUUGUUUCUUAAAUGUCAGUCACACCCACAUAUCAUUGACACAAGAAAUAGAAAUCUUAGAUCACUUGUUUAAUUAAAGAAUCACUCAUAAAAAAAUUUUGCCAUUUUGAUUUGAGGAUUCAUGUUUUGAACUACCAACUAAUGUUCAUCAAGGACAAAGUAUGGCUUGUAAGUAAAAAAAUUAUUUUUGGACAAAUUAUUUUUGUUGAUGGAAGAAUUUCUCAAGGGACUAUUUAAAUUAUUAAUAAAAAUGUCAGACACACCCACAUAUCAUCCCACAUAUCAUUGACACAAUUGAUUUUGAGAAUUCAUGUUUUGAACUACCACCUAAUGUUCAUCAAGAACAAAGUACGGCUUGCGAGUAGAAAAUUUUCUGAUUUUGGCCUAGAACAAAAAGAAAUUAAAUUGAAGGAGAAUCUACUACUUUCUCAUUAAGAAUGGCAUACGGGGCAUACGGGGCAUACCAUGGCACCAUACAACACCAGGAGUCUCCGUUCUCUGCUUUUUCAAACUCUGAAGGGGGCAAUAUUGUAAAAGUCAAACCAAGCUUUUGACAAAGAAAAGCUUUAUGAUAAAAGCUUGACAAAAUUGACCAAAACGUGUUAAAAUUUGGCACCAAACUUGGAAAUUUCAACAAACAUAUAGCUGGCAUGCAAGCUUUCUAUAGCUGGCAUGCAAGCUAGCACAAAUGGGCAAAUUGCCGUGUUGAAUUUUGGCCAUUCUUUAGGCUAUAAAUAGAGAAGUGAUGAGAGCUUGAAUUGCAUCCCGAAAACUUAAGAGCAUCCCAUUUAUUUAAGAGCUUAAGAGGAAUUGCAAGUGAAGCAAUUCUAGAGUUAUGAAAGUGUGAGCAAUUGGAGAGUGUGUGUGAGAGUGCUUUGGGUGUAUUUGGGUUUUGGGAAGUGAGGUUUUCAUUACUCAAAUAUUGUACUCCAAUAAUUGUUAGUAAUACAAUUAUUUUUCUCUUGCUCUCGUGGACGUAGGCAUAAUUGCCGAACCACGUAAUUAUUGUGUCCUUUAUUUUUCUGUGAUUAUUUGGUGCGCUUGAUUCCGCAUUCCGCGCACAAUAAGCGGUAUCAGAGCCGACGGUUCGUAUUUGGGGGGAUACGUACUGUUCACGUAUAUGAUACUAUUCACGUAUACGACACUAUUCCUAUAUACGGUACUGUUCACGAAUAUGGUAGAGACGGCCAUUUGUACUUGGGAGACAGUCUAUUGUAAGUAGUGUGUAUUUUUGCAUGUCUAGGAAAGUUCUGUGAACAAGGCGAUAAGAGUCUAAGGAUUCUGGUUUUUAAUUGGGACCGAGUUCCCGUCCAGUCUCCUGGGAACUUUCCCGGUGCAUUUAUUCACGCGAAAUUAACAUCAUAGAGAAUGUUUUUCAAGUGGAAUAGUUCGUUGAGAAAAUGGUAGAAUGUGAAACUUCCAGAAUUGGGGAGAGAUCUACCGAGACUAUUUCAAGAGAUACUUCAGGUGGGAAGCGAGAUUUGUCAAAUCGCUAUUCAACACCUGUUAUAGGAGACCAAAAGAUCGAUGUUGAAAAGUUUGAUGGGAAAAUCAACUUCGGCAUGUGGAGGCGCGAAGUUAUGGAUGCCCUUAUUCAAAUCGAUCUCGAUGUUAUUCUGAAAAAUAAAAAACACUUGUAUGAUGAAGAAAUUUGGGAUCGUAUGAACGAGAAAGCUUGUGGUCAGAUCAGAUCUUGUUUGACCAAGGAGGUGAAAUACUUGGUGAAAGAUGAGGAGUGUACGAUGACUUUGUGGCGUACAUUGGAGGAGAAGUACUUGCUGAAAAAUCCUGAAAAUCGUCUUCAUGCAAUUAGGGGUGGGCAAAAUAUCCGAUCCGACCCGACCCGAUCCGAUCCGAUCCAAAAAAUAUCGGGUUCGAAUCGGAUCAGAUUGUUGAUAUAACCCGAUCGGAUCAUGAUCGGAUCGAAUGAAACCCAAUCCGAUCCGAAAAACCGAUCGGGUUGCCAAAGAAAAAAAAAGAAAUUAAAGGUAAAAAAAGGAAACCUAAACCCAAAGACUAAAGAGCACAUGCACGUGAAGAACAUUCAACACUCUUUAAUAGCUAAAAGACAAAAUCACAUUUUAGCCAAGCUAAUAACAUUCUUCAGUUGCAUCAAAACGGAAAAAAAAAGAAAAAAAACAGAGAAGACUCUUCCUCCCUUCCUCAACUUCUCAAUCUCAUCUCAAGAACACUCUUCACAAUUUCAUGCACACAACCACGCACACAUAUCGGAAAAGCAAAGGGCAGCCAGAUCGAUUUUUCCCGCAGUCACCGCCGACGCUAACUGCUCCGCGAGGACCGCAAAUGGAUCUGCUGCUACCGGAUUUGUUGCUACCAGAUCUGUUGCUACCGGAUCUGUUUCUACCGGAUCUGCUGCUACCGGAUCUGCUGCUCCACGCCGCCAUUCCUCCACCAUCACCUGAUCUGAUCCAAGAUCCAUUCAACCCGGUAAUUGCAAGGCUGCAACCCGAGUUUCCUUUUCCUCUUUUGAAGCUCUGUUGGUAUAAUAGUACUAUACCAGAUUGUUCGCCAUUUAGCAGUAAUAUAUCAUAUAUUAUUAUAUUACAUGUGAAAUUGUUAAUUUGUAAUUAUGUAUUGUUAAAUGUUAAUAAAAAAAUAAGAAAAUUGUAAAUCUGAACCCGAUCCGAACCGAAUUUAACCCUAUUUAUUGACCCGAUCCGAUCCAAUCCGAAUAUAUAUCGGAUCAGAUCGGAUCGGGUUAUAAGUUCGGGUUGUGUUCGGAUGAAUUUGUGUUCAACCCGAUCAAUCCGAAAUCCGAUCGGGUUGAUCCGAAUCCGACCCGAACCCGUAUUUGCCCACCCCUACAUGCAAUGAGCCAAGUAUAUGGCUUUCGAAUGAAGCCUGAGGUGUCAAUGCACGAUCAUGUCUCAAGAUUUGAAAAGUUACUUGUUGAUUUGAAGAAUCUUGAUGAAGAUAUUAAGGAUGAAGUCAAGGCUAUGAUUCUGUUACACUCACUACCAGAGGAAUAUAGUCAUUUUGUGACUACCUUGAUAUAUGGGAAGAGUGUGAUCGUCUUCAAAGAUGUUUGCACAGCAUUGACUAACUUGGAGAUUCGAAAUAAUGAUAAAAAUUCUGAACGAGCAUCGUCUGAAGCUUUGGUGAGCAGAGAUUGGGCGAUGGAGAAAAAGAAAAAGCGUGGUGGAAAGAAUUCUCGAUAAGCGUGGUGGAAAGAAUUCUCGAUCCAAAUCGAGAAGCAGAAAUAUAGCUCGAGACGACUGUGCCUUUUGUCAUGAAAAGGGUCAUUGGAGGAAAGAUUGUCCAAAGGCUCAAAAGAGAUAUGGGAAUAAACCAGCAGCAGCAAACAUGGCACAGAAAGAUGAGGACUCUGAUUAUUCACUAAGUAUUACUCCUGCAGCAUACAUGGCUAGUUCGAGCGAGUGGAUACUUGAUACUGGAGCAACAUACCAUUUGUGUCCUAUUAAGGAAUGGUUUACGGAUUUUCGUAAUCUGGAAUCCGGUGCAGUUGUGAUGGGGAAUGAUCAACCUUGUCGCACAAUGGGGAUAGGAACAAUUCGACUCAAAAUAUUUGAUGGAAUGAUCAGAGAACUCAAAGAGGUUAGAUUUAUUCCAACUUUAAAGAACAAUCUAAUUUAUAUGGGUGCUUUGGAAGCUAAAGGCUACAAGGUUACCAUUGAAGAUGGAACAAUGAAGUUUACACAUGGGGCUAUGGUGAUUAUGCAAGGGGUUCGACGUCACAAUUUGUACUAUUUGAAAGGAGGUACAACUGAUGAAGCAAAUGUUGUUGAGGUGCACAGUGACACCACCAAGCUAUGGCAUGUACGACUGGGACAUGCUGGAGAGAAGUCUUUGCAAACUCUGAUGAGGCACGGACUCUUAAAAGGUACUAAAACCUAUAAAUUAAAUUUUUGUGAGCAUUGUGUAGUAGGUAAGAAAACAAGGGUCAAGUUUGGUACGGCUAAUCACGAUACUCGUAAGAUCCUUGAAUAUAUUCACAGUGAUGUAUGGGGACCAACCAAGACUGCAUCAAUUGGUGGAAGCCAUUAUUUUGUUACAUUUGUUGAUGAUUUCUCUAGACAUAUGUGGGUGUACACUAUGCGAGCUAAGGAUGAGGUUCUAGAGAUUUUCGUGAAAUGGAAGAAAUUGGUGGAGACUCAAACUGGCAGAAGAUCAAAGUAUUACGAUAUGAUAAUGGUGGUGAAUAUACUUCUGAUCCAUUUUUGCAAGUAUGCUAGAACGAGGGUAUUAAAAGACAUUUCACGGUGAGACAUACUCCGCAACAGAACGGUGUGGCUGAGCGUAUGAAUCGUACUUUGCUAGAGAAAGUACGGUGUAUAUUAUCUCAUGCUGGUUUAGAUAAAACGUUUUGGGCUGAAGCCGUGAGCUACGCAAGUCACUUGAUAAACCGGUUGCCUUCUACUACAAUUGGAUGUAAAACUCCUAUGGAAAUGUGGUCUGGAAAGCAUGCACAAGACUAUGAUUCCCUUCGUAUAUUCGGGUGUCCAGCUUAUUAUCAUGUCAAAGAUGGUAAAUUGGAUCCUCGUGCUAGAAAAUCUAUCUUUGUGGGAUUCAAAGGUGGAGUAAAAGGCUUCAAGCUUUGGGAUCUCGAAGAUAAAAAGUUUGUGUGUAGCAGAGAUGUCACGUUUGAUGAAGCUUCAAUAAUGAAAGUUUCAAGUUCUCAGCAGGUGGAGAACAAGACCACAGAGGUAUUGCAACGGGUGGAGUUUGAUGCAACUCCAUAUGUACCAGUUAGUUCUACAUCAGAGAAUGAUUCAACUAUGGAGGUGACACCUAGGGUUGAAGAAGAUGUUGUUUUUUCUGAUGUCCCACAAAAUGCAGAAACAAUUGAAGAUGUAGAUAAUGAUGAUUUCAUUGCAACAAGGAGGCCAAGAAGAGAGAUAAAGAAACCCGGAUGGCUUACUAAAGACAUGGUGGUAGCAUAUGCACUUCCAGUUAUUGAUGAUGACAUCUCCAACACUUUCAGUGAAGCAUUACGCAGCAGUGAAAGUGAUCAAUGGAAGUUAGCCAUGGAGGAAGAGAUGAAAUCUCUCCAUCAAAACCAGACUUGGGAACUUGUAAAGUUACCAAAGGGGAAAAAGGCUAUUGGCAAUAAAUGGGUCUACACCAAGAAGCAAGGAUCUCCGAAUCAAUCAACUCCUCGAUAUAAGGCAAUGCUCGUUGCAAAAGGUUUUGCUCAGAAGGAAGGUAUUGACUACAAUGAAGUUUUAUCUCCAGUUGUAAAACAUACUUCCAUUCGUAUCCUACUUGCCUUAGUUGCAGAAUAUGAGUUAGCGUUGGCUCAAUUGGAUGUUAAGACGACGUUCUUACAUGGAGAUUUGGAGGAGGAAAUCUAUAUGAUUCAGCCUUGUGGUUUCAAAGUUGCUGGAAAGGAGAAUCAUGUGUGUAGAUUGAUUAAAUCUUUGUAUGGACUGAAGCAAUCGCCAAUGCAGUGGUACAAAAGAUUUGAUCAAUUUAUACAAGGGCAGAAAUUCACUAGAAGUGAACACGAUCAUUGUGUUUACUUUAGAAGACUACUAAAUGGAGCUUUCAUCUAUUUGUUACUCUAUGUCGACGAUAUACUUAUAGCUUCGAAGAAUAAAGAUGAGAUCGAGAGACUGAAGAAUCAGCUGGCUUCUGAGUUCGAGAUGAAAGACUUGGGUGAUGCACAGAGAAUACUUGGAAUAGAGAUUUGUAGAGACAAGAAGAAUGUGAGCGUAUAGUUGACUCAAAAGUCUUAUUUGAAGAAAGUGCUAGAAAAAUUCGGUACGGAUGACAAAACUAAACUGGUAUGUACACCUCUAGCUCCUCAUUUCAAAUUAAGCUCUUCUUCAUGUCCUACAUCUCAAGAAGAACGUGAUUAUAUGGCUCGUGUUCCAUAUGCUAGUGUUGUGGGUAGUCUUAUGUAUGUUAUGGUAUGCACAAGGCCCGAUAUAUCUCAAGCAGUGAGCAUGGUUAGUAGAUACAUGCACAAUCCGGGUAAAAAUCAUUGGCUUGCGGUGAAGUGGAUUCUCCGAUAUCUGUAUGGGACAGUUGAUGUUGGGUUAUUAUUUAAGAAGGAUUGUGGUCAACAAUGUGUUGGAUAUUGUGAUUCUGAUUUCGCCGGAGACCUAGAUAAGCGAAGAUCAACAACGGGCUACGUAUUCACAUUGGGUGGAGGUCCGGUUAGCUGGAGGUCGAUUCUACAAUCGACAAUUGCUCUGUCCACUACAGAAGCAGAGUACAUGGCAGCAACUGAAGCUGUAAAGGAAGCUAUCUGGUUGAAAGGCUUGUUAGGUGAUUUGGGAGUAAUCCAAGAGAACAUUGCGGUCUUUUAUGAUAACCAAAGUGUGAUAUUCCUCGCGAAGAAUCAAACAUAUCACUCUCGGACGAAGCACAUAGAUGUGAAAUAUCAUUAUGUGAGGGAGAUUAGCGAGGGUGGUGAUGUGUUGUUGAAAAAGAUCAAUACCAAGGAUAACCCAUCAGAAAUGUUGACAAAUGUGAUUUCUGGAGUUAAGUUUCAACAUUGCUUGAAACUAAUUCAAAUUCUUCGAAUGCAUUAAGUUUGGGAAAUUUUGAACUACGGUUGGCUUGAUCCCAAAUUUGUGGGUACGUAGGCAGUCACAGAGAUGCAGUCACUUUUGGGAUGAUGGAUCGUUAGUAGUCGGCUCAGAUUUGGACAAAUUUUCGCCGAGGUGGAGAUUUGAGAUUUGUAAAAGUCAAACCAAGCUUUUGACAAAGAAAAGCUUUAUGAUAAAAGCUUGACAAAAUUGGCCAAAACGUGUUGAAAUUUGGCACCAAAACUUGGAAAUUUCAACAAACAUAUAGCUGGCAUGCAAGCUUUCUAUAGCUGGCAUGCAAGCUAGCACAAAUGGGCAAAUUGUCGUGUUGAAUUUUGGCCAUUCUUUAGGCUAUAAAUAGAGAAGUGAUGAGAGCUUGAAUUGCAUUCCGAAAACUUGAGAGCAUCCCAUUUAUUUGAGAGCUUAAGAGGAAUUGCAAGUGAAGCAAUUCUAGAGUUCUGAAAGUGUGAGCAAUUGGAGAGUGUGUGUGAGAGUGCUUUGGGUGUAUUUGAGUUUUGGGAAGUGAGGUUUUCAUUACUCAAAUAUUGUACUCCAAUAAUUGUUAAUAAUACAAUUAUUUUUCUCUUGCUCCCGUGGACGUAGGCAUAAUUGCCGAACCACGUAAUUCUUGUGUCUUUUAUUUUUCUGUGAUUAUUUGGUGCGCUUGAUUCCGCAUUCCGCGCACAACAAAUAUUCCCUAAUUUCCCCUUGAAAAGUAUUUCUCCAUCUCUUUUUCGAAAUUUCACAAUAAACCGGCACAUUGUAAAAGUUAUGUUCUAACCUUAUGAUAAAUGCUCUAGACUUCAAAUGGAUUUUAUAUAUGAGAGUUUGUUGCAGCAGAUAUAUUGACUUAUCAAAUAUGAAUCAUUGUCUCGAUGAACUAUCUUUAGAUAAAAGAAUAUUAGAACCACUGUAGAAUAUCUUUACCCUGCUGGUUCUAACAAAAAUCUGCAUGUGGCAGCAAUUACUAGAUCUACAAUUUCCCAAAUAAUAUUUUGUGUUUCUUAAAAAAUUUGAAAUACAUAGUUGCACACCGUGAGACAGUGCUACAAUCUACUGAGAUCUAAAUUAUAUGAGACCUUAAGCUACUAAUGUUUGCAUAUUUCUACACGUCAAAUUAACAUUACCAUCUAUAAUCCAAAACGACAGAUGAUAAACGGCUUUUGGCCACUUAUUACUAGCAUCCACAAAUAAUUAUUUUGCAGCAAUCAGCUUAUUUUAUAGAAAUUGAUUUAGUCAGCAACAAACACUAUAAUUCUUGAAAUUAAUUUUUGUUCUUUGUAAUUUUCUAUGGUUUUUCAUAAAUCAAUUAAUCUGCAGUGCCAAGAUGAGGUUUAGCUUUUCAAACUAAAUAAUCAAGCAAGCAAAAAUACAAAUUCAGAGAUUAGGGAGUGAACUAGCUAGGUGGUUUAGAACUGGGCUGGCUAGCUCACUAUAUUCCAAUUUGUACAGUGAAUUCAUUGAAUCAUGAGAAAACAAUGUGGUCAUAGCUCAAUAUGAGAUGAUUUCGGAAGGGCAUACUGUUUCCAAGUUAAGUUGAUCCAUUAAGAGAUGGAGUGGUAGGGGUGUCAAAAAAGCCCGCUCGGACCGGACCCGCCAAUCCGGUCCGGGCAAAACCCGAACCGCAUGCACAUAAAAACCGGACCCGGGUUUGAAAUUCUCAAACCCGGACAUUUCCGAGCCCGGGUCCGGGUUCAACACAAAAAAUCCGGAACCCGGACCGGACCCGGUUUUUUAAUAAAUUUUAAAAAAAAUAAAUAUAUUAUAUAUAAAUAUAUAAUUAUGAAUUUAUGAUAUGUUGGAUGUUAUUUAAAUUUAUUGUGUGAUUAUUGUGUUGUUGAAUUUAAUUUAUUUAUUUUAUAUAUAGAUUGAAUGAGUUUAAGUUAGAAAUUGGAUGAAUUUAGGUAUUAGAAAGUAGAUUGAAAUAAUUUUUAUUUAUCAUUUGUGAAAAAUUUGCAUUGUUAGUGUGUUAUAUAUUUGUAUUUGACUAUUUUCUUUUUUAAAGUUUGAGAUUGAAUGAGUUUAUUUGAUUAUUUUCUUUUUUAAAAUUUGUAUUGUUAGAGAAAUGAAAGAAAAAAUUGAAGAAAAAAAAUUGAAGUUAUCACAUGCGGGUUUAAAAAAUCCGGAUCAAAACCCGGACCCGGAAGGUGCCGGGCUCAAGCCCGGACCGCACCCGGAAAAACCGGAUUUUAACCCGGAUCCGGUCUUGCAUUUCUCUCAUCCGGUCCAGUCCCAGGCAACACCAAAACCUAUGGAGUGGAUUGUGUGGAAAGUCUAAAUAACAAAUCCUUGUUCUUGAGUUUUACGACGUCGUUACUCCUUCAAGCGGCAGAUUAUGCAAGUGAGUUAAAAAACACAAUGCAUCAAUCACGGGGAUGCUACAUCAAAAAGACGGGAUCAUAGUGUCUAUGCAUUGAACAGUUACAGUUGCUGCUACAUCAAAAACACAAUGCAUCAAGAACACUUUCGCUCUGUCUAUAUCCUUAUUGACCCCAAAAAGGAUUAAUAAUUGAAGACGACUAUACAGAGUUAAUCUCACACUUUCGUUCUCUCAAUUUCUUUCAGAUGUCCCUCUGAAAAUAGCUGCCAAAACAGUUGGUAAGCUUUUAUACUCUGUUUUCUGGAAACAGAGUCCUAACUAACUGAACUGACGGUGCAGAGUAUGUCAACAUGCAUAAUUAAUCGUUUUAACAGUAUUUUUGAGUUGUCUUCGCAGUGAUCAUCAACAAACUCAUCACAAGAUUUUUGGAGCACCCUAGGACUAUCACUAGAUUCUAAAAUGACUAGUUCACUAUUCUUUUACAGUCCUUUCACCAGUAAAAUUAUUCGACUUCUGGAACUGGGAAUGAAGUGCAAUGAUGGAGCAACAUUUACAAUGUCUCUGGUUUCUCCUGACUCUCAGAUUUUUGUAGUGAGAACAUAUAACAAAAAAAGGCCUCCAUCAACAUAUGUAGACUCCGGGAUAUGGAUUGGAUCGAGUUUUUGUUUGAUAUUGAAGAACCUCUUUACUAUCGCGAUUUAGAAUAUGUGCAAGGAGUUGUCUACCGUUUUUUGCCUUAUGCUAUGAUCGGUGCUUUUGACGUUGCCCUGAAACGGUGGAAAAUACUUCGAUAUCCUCCGUUUGAUGAUGCAAAGAACUGGUUAAUGUACGAUUACCUAAUUGACUCUGGAUCAAGUAACAACAACAAUUUAUUAAUAGUAAUAGCAUAAACUAAGAAGAUUUUGGAGAGGGAGAUGUAUGCGUAUACUGUUUACAGGUUUGAUCCAUUGGGGAUGAAGUGGUCUCAAGUUGAAAGUGAUUUAUUAAAUAACAAGUCAUUGCUCUUGGGUUAUACCUCAUUAUGUCUUCAAGUGGAAGAUAAGAUUAUGCAAGAUGAAGAUCGAGUUUUAGUUUGAUAUUGAAGAAUUUGAACAGAGAGCCCAUAGAAAGUACCUAAAUAAGCAUAUUCUUGAGGUAAAAUAUGGAGGAGGAGUUGUUUACUGUGUGCUGCGUAGUUAUGCUAUGAUCGGUGCUUUCGGCAUUGCGCAAACAGUGGAAAAUACUUCAUUUCCUCGACAUGAUAAUGAAAAGAAAUUGGUUGCCGAUUACCUAAUUGACUCAGGUGGCAACAAUCUAUUAAUAGCACAAUUUGAUGUGAUGCCAGUUAGGUAUAUGAUUUAGAGGUUUGAUUCAUCAGUGAUGAAGUGGACUGAAUUAAAAGUUUAAAUAAUAAGUAGUUGUUAUUGGGCAUAUCCUCAUUACUAUUUUAAGUGAUCAAAGAUGAAGAUGAAAAUUGUGCAAGUGAGUUCAAGAAUACCACACAUCAUUACUUCGGAUACUUCUUCAAACCUGGAUGGGGUUAUAAUUUACUCCCACGAAUUUCAACCCAAUUUUAUGAUUGGAGUGUCUCACCAUGACUCAGAAAAAAUUCUGAUUCAACCUCCUCCACCAAUGGAUUUUGAUAAAGUUACUUUGUGAUCAAGCAUAAAUUCACAGUUUGAUUUUGUUGCUACCACAUUUUUUUUAAAAUGUGGCCACGUGAGGAGAGCGGACCAGAGUGUCACUUCCUCAACAAGCACUUUAAAGAUGGACUUUAGAAGAAGAUAUAACUGCAAUUGUUUUCGUGUGUGUGUGUAUACAAAACUACAGAACAUUCAGUUCAUAAAAGAAAUUUUUGCUAACCAUGAUAUGUGGUAGUGUUUUUUAGGCAAUGUAGAAACAGAGUUGUUCAACUUACAACAGAUAUUCUCCUCAAGUUCGACUUAAUUAAUCUUACGAUGACACAUAUAACUUGCUUCAAAAUUAGAAAUUAUAAAUUGCCGAUUUACAAUGCAUAUAACUUGGAAGAAUUGGUGUUAAAAGAACAACUACACGCAUAACUUGGAGAGCAAUUGCGACAGUAGCAAAGGAUAUAUUAACUAAACUGGCCAUUGAGCAAUUAAGAGGAGCCAUCAAACAUCUUACUAGUUCUGGCAGCAGUUUAUUAACUAAAAUAGCAAUAUGAUGUGAGAAAAAGGAACAUACGUAGACAUACUUGGCAACAGUUCAUGAGAAGUAGCAUCGCAUUAAGGUAAUGACUUUACUGCCGUUAUCGUGCAAGGUAAUACUUCAUUUCUCCCUUUCUUUUUUUCACUUUAACAAAGUUGAAGUCAGUGAAAUUAUGACUCGACAUAAAAAAAAAGUCAGUGAAAGGCCAAUACCCUACUACAACAACAGGUACAAAUUAAAAGCUUCAUUCUAGAAAAGAUGACGCAUUAUUCUUUAUCCCUAAGGCUUAAGCCCACCACAGUGGAAUUUCAUAUUAAUUUCCGAAUGACUCGAGCAAUUCUUGAUUCAAACUCGUCCACCAAGCUGGGAUUUCGAUUGAGUGAGUUACCUUCUGCUCAAGCAACUUAAAGUCGUCGUUUGAUUUUGCUGCCACCCCAUUUUUUAAAAUUAAUUUCAAUUCCACCUCAAGGAAUUCUUAUCACUGAACAGUUGAAGUUAAUUUACUUUGAACUUUUGAAAAUUAUAUUUUUGAUGUUUUGCACUUUAUGGUUACUUAAAAUAAAAUUUGACGGUGUUUCUAUGAUUAAUUAUUUGUGAUAGUCUGUACUUAGCAAGAGUUCACGAGAAGUUUGUCUAAAUGCUCUUCACUAGAAGGACUAUAUCUUAUUAAUAAAAAUCUCUUGGGGAAGAUUCCACGCUGGUUGGAUAAUCUCUCAAUGUUAAAGCAUAUUAUAUUGUCCAAGACCUAUCUUGAAGGUCAACCUAUUCCAUUGGAGUUUUGUCAUCUUUAUUCUCUUCAAAUUUUGGACAUUUGAAAAAACAAUAUAUUUGGAAAUUUACUAUUUUUUUUCCACUCUCUCCCUAAUUAACAAGUUCACUUGUCGAAUAAUAUGUUACAUAGGCAUCUAAAAUGAAAGUACAUUUUCUAAAUGCUCUUCCUUAGUGACAUUAGAUCUUAGAUAUAACUGUUGUUGAUGCUGAAAUCUGCUCGCCUUUUACCCGACCAGAUCUUUUCACCAACGUUUAUGUGGUCAAUCGAGAAAAUGUCGCCUUCUUUCUGUUUCAACGAUUGCUUGAGUCCCUGGGACUAGAACCACCCUUUUUCUUCUUUCUGAUGCCUAUGUUCACAAAAACAGAUCAGAGACGCCGAUGGUUUUACCGACGUAAACCCUCCGAUGCUUAAGUUAGCACGAGAUGUUUACGGGAAAACUAUGUAAUUUAGAUUGUGUGAUUUCUUAAAAUACUCUCACAAAUUUGUAUGGAAUGUAAUCUGGUUUCAAUUUGGCAGAGUUUUCCCUUUGCUCUCAAUUUUUUCUGUCUCCUUUUUCAUCGGUUUCCUGGCUUCUUAUAGCCGUUGUCCCACGUUUCUGCGUACUCUUCAUGCCCCCCUUUUUCGAGUGAUGGCAGACCCUCAUGGGUCUCCAACCACUGGAUUGUGGGUAAACGUGGAAUGCCAUGUCUCUCCCAACAGUUCGGGAUAUAGUGAAACUGUCGCAAUUUCGUGAGAUCGUGUGCCCUUUCUUUGGGUGAUGGGUAUCUGGUCGGUAUAUGUCUCUGGUUGGUGCUCGUCUCUAGUUGGCACAUGUUUGUAUAAGAUGUUUUAUCAGGACUCUUCUUGUGCCAUUCAGUUGAGGAGAUUCGCCUCGGGGUGGGAGAUGAGGGCAUGGCCGAGCUGGUACUUUUUAUUACUUAACAACUGCUUGAAUGACAGCAUUUUGAGAUUUGGUUGUUAACUUUCUCAAUUAAGAAACCUUAUCUUGACUCCCAAUAAUCUUGAAGGUGAAAUGCAAUUUCAGUUGUGCUAAUUGUACCAAUUGCGAUUAAUAGAUCCUUCAAAUAACAAAUUUUAGAUAACGUUGCACUUCAUGAUAGAAUGUAAGAUAAAACUUGUUUUUUUUUUCUUUUUUAUAGUAUUGACAUUUGAACGCUAUCAAAAUAGAAUGUAAGAUAUUGUUCAUACUACAAUAUUAUUGUAGCAAAACUAGCUGAUAGCAGUAUUCAUACUACAGUGCUAUUGUUUCUAUCAUAGUAAUAUUUUGUUGGUGGCUAAAUAUUAUUUUUUUUAUUAAAUAAAAAAGUGGGUAAUACUCAAAUUAAUUUUUAAUUUCCAAUCUCUCUCGAGUUCUCAAUUCAAGUAGCCAAUCAAAUAAAAAUAUUUAAAAUUAAUUAGAUCAUCCAUGGGCCUUUUUUUUUUUUUUUUUUUCAAAGGAGAUGGAUUCUUAAAACUACAGGUAAUGAAAUUAACUAACAAAAACAGGUUUAAAUGUCCAUUUUAAAUUUUUUUAAUAAUUUUUUGUUUACUAUUUUACCAGCUAUAUAAAGAGUGCCACGUCAAUACAUCAAUUGAUUUAGAAAUUACAUUUGGGGUUUUUUUAAUCAUAUAAAGGUGAUUAAAUAAUUUUGUAAAAUUCAUUUGGCUUGCACUUGGUCGCCUCUGUUCUCUGAAUGGUCAUGACGUUAUCAUCAUCUUCUUCUUCACUUGUACUAACAUUAAAUUCUUCUUGUUCACUUGUACUAACAUUUUAAUUUCCAAUCUUUCUCAGCUAUAUAAAGAGUACUCUUUCUCGGAUUCUAGGUAGUCCCACACAGCUCCAUCUCACUCCAAUUGUCACCCAACAAGACCAAUCGCUUAAUCAAGACACAGAACAAAAAGAGGAUGAGAAAUUGGAACAAGAACUUGAGAAUUGGAAAUCGAAAACGUACGCAUUGACCGUGCCUUUGAGAGUCGUUUCUCUUCAGAAUUCAAUACCUUAAUCUUGGGUUAAGGAUUUUAUGCGAAGUCAAGGAAAGAGAUUGAGUUCUCAGAUGAAUUUGUGUGCUAGCAUUGAUGGGAUCUUAACAAUUUAUCUGUGCCUUUUAACAAAGUUAAGGCUAAGUCAGCUCUUAUAUGGCUGCUGAUUUGGUUAGUGUUGGUGAUCCAUGGCUCAGUUUUGCGAUUAAAAAGAGAUUGAUUGAACCAAUAGUUGGAGCUGAAGAUCAAGAUUGGUUCAAAUGCUUAAGUCACAAAUGGAAGGUAACAUCUUUAUCAUUGUCCCGAUAUUUUUUAUUGUCUUACAUUGAAGUUUGGUAAUGGAAUUUGUUCUCUAUUUAUUUCCCUUUGUAGUCAUUUUAUUUAUUUUUUUGUUUGCAUUUAUUUGCACUUACGAAGUCUCAGGUAUAUCUACGCAGGAAUGAUGCAGGAGAAAUUGAUCCUCUAGGUAAAAUAUGCGCGGCACCAUAUCAGUGGGGCACAGCGGUGAUAGCUUACAAGGAAAGUAAAUUUCGAAAGCUUAAUUUGGCUCCGAUUGCGGUAAUAAUUGUCUUUAAACUCAUUUAGUUUUAUAUCAAACAAAACCAAGACUGCCUUUCUCUUCAAUAUUUUUUAUGAUAAUAUCUUUAGAAGCAUCUUAUUGAUGGGUAAUAAUGGUACCCCUUAAAGAGUUUAUAAACUCAAUGAUAUUAUCUUCUGCAAAUGGUUCAUUAAACUUUGUCGUUGUAGUCAAAUGUACACUCAGAGCAAUGAGAAGCUAUGCCACUGUAGCAUGUAGUGAUGGCACUUAAUAAGUGAGUUGCUAGGAUGUGAACUAGAAAAAUUAAAUAUUGUCUCCCUGGGUAUGCUAGCUCAUAAGUCAGGGUUAAUAUUAGAACUCAAGAUACUUUAACCAUGAGAAGCUAUUGACUGCCAAUUAAAAUAUCCUUUAAAAUGUCUAGGAAGUUAUGAAGGUGGAAGUAUCUUCCGAUUUCUAAGGCCACAUGGUAGAUAUCAUCCAGGAUCCUAGUACAGUGCAGUUAUCCUCCUGCUAGAUGCAAUUAAUAAAUUUGGUCAAUGCCACUGAAACAUGCUAACUGACGUCACAAUGCGACAUGAGCACUUCAAAAUGGGACAGACGGUCGGUAGCACUAAAUUUUUCUUGCCUAAGAUUGAGCAAUUGGUCUAACUACUAACCCCUUUUGUAGGUUGAUCAUUAUUUUUUCAAUUGUUUUCAGUCUGACCCAAAAUGUUACAGAAUCUUGAUCUGAAUAUUGUCACUGAACACUGUCAAUGUCGUUUAGCGUAGCCAACUAACUUGAGUUUGGUAAAACAAACACACAGUGUGUCUCAUGUCUCACAAUUCAAAUUAUCAUUUGUAAUGAUGGAGAAUUUUUCCAAUGUAUGAAGUAUGCUUUGAUACGUGGGUUACCUUGGAGAAGGUAUCUCAAAAUAAAGAAUAUGGGGAGAAAACAGUUCAGUAGUUUAUUAUUCUGUAGUCAAGUUUUGUCUCAAAAAUGGUCCAAAUUUAAAUGAAUAAGGACAGGGGAUCUUCAUUCUUUUUUCCCUUUUUUAUACCGAGAUAUCUCUCAACCUUUACAUAAUCCCCACUGGAUAUCUGCUUCUAAUAAUUAAAAUAAAAAUUUCACCCACACAAAUAAUGUAAUACCCCACACCCGAUUAUUUUUUUACUCUCCACCUAUAUAAAUUGAGCGCGAUUAAAAGUUCGAGUAGUCGGAUGUAUUUUCAUCACGGGACCGGUAUAAGUUUAAUUUGUAUCAAGUUUAAGUGGAAAAAAAAAGAGAAAGAAAAAGAAAUCGGGUUUUAUAUAUGGAAAUGGGGGAAACUGUUUUUGAUUUACAAAGAAAGAGGGAGAAGGCACGAGAGAGAGAGAGAGAGAGAGAGAGUGUUUGACCCGGUUUGACCCGCAACCCGACCCGGAACCCGCGACCGUGACCCGGAAUUUUCUCUCGAUUCCGGCCACCUCACCGGCCGUGCUUGGUACCGAUUUGAAGCUUGGAAGCCGCCCGACCUAUCCCCGCUGUCCUCGUUGCCGGAAACUGACCAGAACGCCGGCGAUUUGAGCUCGAAAACUCGCGGCCAAGGCUCGUUUUUGCCGCCGUCGAUUUCGCCGGAUUUUGGGCACACUUCCAGCUGGGUUCUACUCCUCACGUCACCAGCAUCAUUUUCCGACCAACCUCGUCACCUGAAACGGCCGGAUUGCCGGCGAUCAACCACUUGGGAAGCUCGUGGUUUUUGGAAGCUCGAUUUGCCGCCGCUGCCGCGCGUGGAAGGUCACCACCGCCACCAUUGGACUCAGCAUGGCUUGAACUUUCAGUUCUGAGCUUCUCGUCGCCGUCGGAUGAAUUCCGGUGACCGUUGACCGGCAAGGGUAUUUUGGUAAUUUCACAGUCUAAGGGCAAUUUUGUAAUUUCAGAUUUUGUGGGUAUUUUAGUAAUGGCUGUAAUUGAGGAUAAAGUUGGUAAUUUAUGAUUUUGAGGUUAAUUUGGUAAUUUUGAUAUGAGGGUAUUUUGGUAAUAUUGAAUUCAAGGGUAAUUCGGUAAAUUCAUAAAACUUGAGGGUGAAUCUGUAAUUUGUGGAAUCAUGGGAUAAAUUGGUAAUUUUAAGUUAGGGCAGUGUGGUAAUUUGAGAUUACGAGGGUAAUUCGGUAAUUUAAGACGUUAAGGACAUUUCGGUAAUUUUAUGCCCCAAGGGUAAUUUCGUACUUUCGGACAAUGUGAUUAAUUUAUGUAAUCUGAAUUGAGGACAAUAUGGUAAUUGACGAAUAUGAGGAUAAUUUGGUAAAAUAAUGAAGUUUGAGGAUAAGUUGGUAAAAUAUUGAUGUUGGGGGUAUUUUGAUAAUUUUGGCAUGUAGGGGUAUUUCGGUAAUUUUGUGCAUGCGGGAAUAGUUUAUUGUUGAUAAAUAUUCGUUUCGAGAUUUAUUAUAUAAAAUUGGUUGUAUUUCAAGUUUACGGAGAAUGUUUAUGUCGUUUCCCUGAUUAGGAGGAUCUGCGAACGAGAAUCAACCCGCGGACGUUGUUGAUACCGAGUCUAGACAUCAUCACUGUGAGUGGAAUAUACAAAACCUAUUUUCAUAGUAUAUGCUGAUUUUAUGAUAAGUAUUUAAUGCUUCGAUUAAAUGAUUUUCCGGCAAAUUAAUUUUUAUCUAUGUGUCGGUCUUUAUUGUUAUUGAGAAUGAGUUUGAUUAAUGAUUUUAUUAGCGUUUUUGAGUAAAGGCAUGAUAUUAGAAUUGAGCAGAUUUUGAGAUAUGUUGAAUAGAAAGAAAAUGAGAUUUCAGAUGAGAUUCUAUGUUUAUGUAUAUGUUAUUUUUGAAAUCAUUAGACAGUACCCUUCCCUCCAGAUACAGAGAAACAGAUAAUAUGAGAUGAGAAAAGAGAUACAGAUAAGAUGAGAUAGAGGCCUUUGGGGCCCGUCAGGACACACAUAGAGGCUUUGGGCCGUGUGUUCGGGCGCUUUUGCCUUUUGGGGGCUUAUGCAUGCGCAGUACAGAUAUAUCAGAUAUGAGAUGAGAUCGUCCCCAUCUAUCCGUUGUAGCUCCGGGGCGUGACGUUACCCAGAUAGUACGUCAUUGCCCGUCCGUCGAGGUCCGGAUAUGAUCAGAUUAUCCCCUGGGUACUUGCUUGAUGAUAGUUUUCAGUAUUCAGUAUUUUAUAUGAUAAGUAUUAUGAUUCCAUUGAAUUUAUGCAGAUUUUAAUGUGAUAUAGUAUUUCAAUGAACUAAUUUGAACUUAAUAAGUUUAUGUAAGUUCUUAUGAUAUUUUGAUGAAAUUGUUUGAGCAAAUUGAUUUAUGAAAUUGAUUUGAGGAAGUGAUUUGAGAAAGUGAUUUGAGAAAGAUUAAAUGAUUUUAAAUAAAUUUAUUAAAUUGUCAGCAACUACUAUCCACUCACUGAGCUCACUGAGUUUUAUACUCACCCCUCUUUUAUUAUAUUUCCCCCCCCCCACAGGAGAUUUACAGGUACAUCAGUCAACCUAGUAGCGAACGUUAGUGUGAUAUUGUGGCCACGUGAUGGUGCUAGGAGUCGUGAAUUUAAUUAUUAUUAUAUUUGGGAUUUUUGCGAGUUGUGUUUAUUUAUUAUUUUAUGUUAUUAAGGAUAAUCGAUGUAUUUUAAUAUUAGGAUGAUUUGGAUGAUGUUUGAUAUAUUGAUUUGAGAAGUUGGUUAUGGAGGAUGGUUGGAUAUUAAAUUAUUUUGGGAGUGUUGCUUUAUAAUUUGCAGGAUUGGAUAUGUUUUAUUUAUAAGGGAGAUUCUGCCGAAAUUUUUAUAGAAUAGUUUCGAUUUUACGAGUUUAGAUAGACUCGCCCUGGGGAGUUGCGGGGCGGGUCGUUUCAAAUAAAUACUGACCAAGCUCUAACAAUAAAAAGUAACAUCUUUAGUCAAGUGAUUUACAGUUCCUCAUCAUCUUAGUGAGACUAUCAGUAUGUUCCAAAAACAUUAUAAAACUGGUUUGUUCCUGUUUAUUGAUGUUUAAAUGAUGUUCAUUGUGACAUGUAGAAAUGAUGAGGCGAAGUUUAUUUGGCCAUCAAUUUGUAAGAUCUUGUUUGAAGUUGUUUUCUGAAAUGAACUGCCAAAUGGUAGUUUUUUUGGGCAUUUGAUGGCUCUUUUUUCCUCAUUUUAAACAUGUGCCUGCUUGGAACAAGAAGGAUUAGGCUGCAGAGUUGUUAUAUAUUUUGACAUGCUCUGGUCAUUGCACAAUUUGUUCACACUGGAAACUAGAAUGAGAAAUUUGUUGCAUUCUAUGCACAAUAACAUGAUUCAUGAAAAUGGAUUGUAGGACUGGAAAGAUCUGUGGCAGCCUGAGCUCGCAGGACGAAUUUCAAUGGUUAAUUCUCCCCAAGAGGUUAUUGGUUUAGUUUUGAAGUAUAUGGGAGCGUCAUACAACUUGAUUCGCAAGUUGCUGGUGGGAAGAUUGCUGUUCAGCAGAAUCUGGCAUUACUGGCAAACCAGGUACUCUCAAAGAAAUGAUAUCUGGUCAUUGCAUGUUAUUGCCUGACAACUGAUUUUGUUUGUAAAAGUCUGCUUCUUCAUACAUAUGAAUGCAUAUGUUUGUGUUUUCUUCUCCUUUUCAUACAUAUGAAUGCAUAUGUUACUUCUUUUCCUUUCCAUACAUAUUAAUACAUAUGUUGGUGUUCUCUCCUGAGAUGGAUGCAAUAAAGGCUUUUCUGAAGAAAUGGCAAGGGAUGUGAGAUUCUGUCUCAUAAAAUUAACAAAAACCCAAAACAAUGAAAACCCAUAAUAAUGUGGUGUGGGUAAAUUGACACCAUUUGGUUCGUUUCCUUGAUUUGAAUACGCGGGCAAUAGAGACUAACAAAAUGAAGUGACAACAAGAAGUCAGUGUCCUUUGAUGGAUGCAUUUUUAGGCAGAAAUAGGUUUGUAAUUGACCAAAUUUGUCUGGCAUGCCAAUUUCAAAAAAAUUAAAUUAUGUGGUUAUUAGCUGUAAUGAAGGGGGAUAGUUGGUCCAAUCAGGUGGAUCCAGGAAAGUUCAACAAAGUUCUGGUAUGGCGUAGAAAUUGGUUUGUGCAACUCAAGAGUCUUUCUGGUGAACGAUGAUGGGUUUUGAUUUAUAAAUGUUAUAAAUCUACUGUGCAUAGUAUUCUAGUAGAAUCAUCUAUAAGUUCUAGUUAUUGAAAUUGUCUACCUUGUUCAGUUUGAGUUAAGGGCACAUGUAAUAUGAAAAAUAGUUGUCGCAUCUUUUAGGUUACCUAACAUUUGAUCAAUCCUAUUAUGAGGGCUUCAAGAUGUCUAACAAUAUGUGGAAUGCCCAUGCUCCUCCCCAUUGUUUAUCUUAUAUAAUAAUUUGUUUUCGAUGCUAAUAUCUUUGUCGAUACCGGUAACAAUAUUAUAAUAUCUGCGUUUAUUGGGUUUUACAUAGGUUCGACUGUUUGACAGUACACACUAUCUGAAGGCAUUUGGAAUUGGAGAUGUAUGGAUUGCUGUUGGGUGGAGUAGUGAUGUUCUUCCUGCUGUCAAACGUAUGUCUAAUGUUGCAGUUGUUGUUCCCAAGUCUGGUGCUAGCUUAUGGGCUGAUCUUUGGGUAUACCCAUGCCUGCCAUUCUACUUCAAUAUUCACAUUGUUAUCUCCUUCAUAUUAGCGAUCAGUAAACACGAUAAUGUGACUAAUAAGUUUGUAUUCUCUUUAUAGCCAAUCCCUGCUGCCUCAAGACUUGAAACAAAACAAAUUGGAGGGCGAGUCAGAGGUCCAUUUCCAUUAAUCCAUCAAUGGAUAGAAUUCUGCUUGCAAACAGCAUGAUCAUUGCCUUUCAAGCAAGAGGUUAUCCCGAGCGCAUCUCCCUCUGCUCUUGAGAGUACUCUGGUUAAGUUGCCUGAAGAACUUUUGAAGGGUAAACCAAGUCUGGAUACUAACUUAAUUGCGGGAGUACCCCCGGCUGAAAUUCUGGCCAGAUGUGAGUUUUUGGAGCCAUUAUCUGAAGCUACUUUGUCAGAUUAUGAGUGGCUGGUUGCUAAUCUGCAAAAACCUGCUCCUGUCUUGAUGAAAAGGGUGCAACGUUACUUGUCAUCAUUAAUCUUUAGCUAAAGGUACAUUGAAAAGUUAAUGGCACUGCAUACCAGUCAUUAUAAUUGGGUCAGGGCAAUUAGGUCAGAGCAUAACUUCAUUAGGAAAAGAGGCUUCAGCUACGUUAAAUAUUACAGGAUGUACAGAGAUGGCUGAAGUUGUUGAGGUUUUACGAGAAACGAAAGAUGAGUGUUUGUUUGAACAAAGUUGUUGCCAAUCUUGCAGAGUUCGAGAAGAAAGAUCACAGAGCGAAUGCCACCGAUUUCUUCAUCAUUGUAGCCUCCAUAGUUGAAGUUUCCUCAUUUGAAGCUGUUUAUGCAUUAAGCUUAUUCCCUGCUCAAGUACAGGAAACUGAAGAAUUAACCAGACAUGAUAUGCUGAAAGAGGGAAGUUUUCUUCCUUGAAUGUGGCCUUGUGAUUUGUAGUGAAGUAAUAGGAUGAUCACUAGCAAGAACCCUAUCAAGGUAGACUUUAUAAUGUCAACAUAUUAUUAAGCAUUUGUCAAUUUAGCACUUUCGCAAUGAUACAUUCAUAGCAUGAAAUUAAUUAUAUGAUCCUGAUUAAUCAAUUAAUCUUCAUGAGAUUUAACCUAGUUAAAACUAAGUACAAUCAUCGUUAACAAAUACUGAAAUUGGGUAAAUAUGAUCUCGACAUUGAAGAAUUUGAAAACACAACCCACAGAGGAAAUUACUUAUUGCAUGGGGAUGGAGAUGGUUACUGCAGGGAUAUAGAAUAUGUGCAAGGUGUUGUCCACUGCUCGUUGGGUUAUGGUGUGACUUGCGAUUUCAAGGUUGCCCUGAAACAAUGGAAAAGAUUAACAUAUCCUCCAAUGAAUAAAAACGGCUUGACUAAUUCAAAUUACUCAGGAUCAGGUGGCAAUAAAACAGUCCAUUUACUUUUCCAGGAUCAGAUGUUGAUAAUAAUAGUUUAUUAAAUGAAAAAUCAUUGUUCUUGGGGGUUGGUUGUAUACGUCAUUACUACUUCAAGUAGAAGAAAAAGGUUGUGUAGGUGAUUUCAGAAAUAAAAUACAUUCUGAGAGAUGAUGGUCCACUAUUGCAUGCCCCCCAGAUUUAAUAAUCAUCACUUUUCCUUAAAAAACUGCUACGCUUUGAUUUUAGUGCUGAAUAUUUAUUGAACUCUGAUAGAGGGAGUUUGAAGUCAAACUCGUAAUUACAGGUUAUCUAAUUGCGAGUUGCUGUCCAUAGCUGUUGAUUUGUAGUGAUUAUUUAAUUGACUGAGGUAACAACAAUUUUUUUUUUAAUUUUCAGUAAAAUAAAUUCUCCUAGUUAAUUUGUUUCAAGUUAAAUUAUUAAUUACUUAAACUCUGUUUUAAGUCUUUAAUUUUAUGUCUUGGCGUAUAUGCAAAAUUGGAUUCUUGAGCGUGCUGGACACGACCAACAAUGAAAUUGACAGUAAAUAAACAUUACAACGUGUGGACUCCGGUAGCUACAAGUCUACAACUUCACAAAUAAUAAUUGAGUAAGCGCCUUUGAUUCUCGGGACCCUUCAAUGAAUUUAUAGUCCCGUUGACUCCGCCGACUAAAGUUCUGUUAAAAAAAAAAAUACAUAGAAUUCCACCAAAUGCAAAACGCGUGGAAUUUAAUUUUCGGCCAUGUGGACCGAAACAUAAUUUAACAAAAAAAGAAAAAAAAUGAUAAGAUUUCUAAAACGUGUGGAAGGUGAUCCAUAUUUUACUGAAACGACUUGUUAAAAUUUUCAAAGAUUUAGAAUAUUUGGUUAUAAAUUACGCUCAUGUUAAUUUUUCUGCCAUUGACUAUCAUAUUCUAGACUUAAUGGUACCUUUCUUGAUGAAGGGUACUUAGUCUCUCUUCUCGUCUUAUAAAAAUUAUAUUAAUUGAUUUCUUGUUAUAAUUAAUAGUCUUUAGGAACGGAUAACUUUAUUGUUUUCAUGACCAAAUUAUGCCUCCUAAGCUUGCGACUAUUAAUAAAAUUAAUAUUUAAUAUUUAUGUUAAAAGAUAUAAGAUUUUAUGCAUUCAUUAAUUGUUAUUAGCUAAAUGAUGAAUUAUUUUUUAAACCCAAUCAGUUGAUGCAUCUGCAAGAGUUUUUUCUUUUAUUGACCAUAAUUAUAUUCCGGGUACAAUAAAUUGUCAUUGGUGCUUGGAAAAUAUGACUUCUUACUUCAAGUUUGAUAUGUCUCUCUCCAUAAGCUUACUGGAAAUAUAUCCUCAUCUACUGUCAUUUAUCUAAUAUCAAUUGAAAGAUCUCACUUUUUCAAACUAUCACUUCCAAGUCUCAUUGUCACUUAGCCAUUCUUGGACCAUUCAAAACCAAUCUGUUGAAAUAAUCAAAUAUAUGCAAAAUUAGAGUCACGAUUGUUGGUCCCCCAAAUUCUAAUUAUAUAACUUCUAUAUAUCUCAUUGUCAGGUCACGAACUUGUUGGCAUAUUUUCCAAAUUCCUCUUCCAUCAGCUCUCACAUGUUAACUUGAGUGGAAAGUUUCCAAGUUGAUUGCUAGAAAGCAACGCAAAAUCAGACACACUUGAUCUAUCCCCUAAUUCUCGUUUCUACGUUGAAAAAGAAAGUAUCUAUGUAAAAAUAAAUAAUAAACUGAGUAAAAGUACAUUUGUUUAAUUAACAUCUGAUCGGGGCAUUUUUGGUGUAAUUUCGUGCCGUGUAAGCCACAACUAAAAUCAAACAGCCCCUUAGCAUACUUCUUCCAUAUUAUCUGCUACUUUUGUGGAUCUUAUAGGGUGGGCAUGUGGACAGAAUUUAAAAGUUUUAAUAGUCUCAAAGAAUAAGAUAUGUUAAAGCUAAAGUUGUUGCACCUUCUAAUUAAAUAAAGUUGCAUAAUUUCACCAACUUGAAAGAAUUGACAUUAAUGGACUGGUCCCCUCUCCAUAUAUGAAGCCUUCUUAAAAGUUAAUUUUUAUUUCAGAAAAAAAAAGUUUAAGUUACAUAUAUUACAGUAAGAUUUUUUGAGACCAAUUCCCUUCUUCAAAUGAUAAUGGAAAAGUAUUAAUUUAAAAAUAGCAUGAAUAUGUAUUGAUUAUAUCUUGAUUUUCAUCAAUUAUAGUCAGAGUUUCUCCAAAUCAAUUCCCUUAUUCAAAUAAUACAGAAAAUAAUUUAAUAGUAAAAUAAAUAGGUGUUGAUUAUAUAUCCUAAGUUUCAUCGAUUAUGUGAUCAAAGUGGCAUUGUUGAUUUAUUUCUUGUUCAAUGUUAAUUAAUUUUAGGGGAAUAUUCGGCCAACCUCUGUAAUUUCAGAGUGAUCAUUAAUUAAUUAAACGAUACAAAUAUCUAAAGUGAUUAGAUGUUUGCUGACAAUACAAGUUCAUGGCUUGAAAUUUGAUCUCUAUCGAUUGGUUUACAAAUGGACGCACUUGUGCCUUUGUGGCGAUAAUUGAACAGAGAUGUGAAGUUGUAAAGAUUUGGCAGUAGUAAAUUGUUAUAAAGACAUAAUGACAAGUUCCCAUGAUUAGUAUUUUUUUCCAAAAACUUUGUUACAACAAAUUCAUCUCGCCCAAAAAUUCUAUUUUGCUAACUAACAAUAAUUGAGCACUUGGCCGCAUUGACUCCACGUCUCCACCUACUUUGUAAGUAAAAACAUGGAAAUGUAAUCUCCACAAAAUGCCAAACGUGUGGAAUUUAAUUUUUGGCCUUGUGAAUCAAAAUGCAAAUGAAAGAAAAAGAGAGAAAAAAACAAGGCCCAAAGACUACGAAAAGAUAUAAAAGUCUUUGGGCCUUUUUAUAACGGCGAAUUUUUUAAAAGGCAAAAAUAACAACACUUCUAUGGUUUGUUUUGAUAAUCACAUUUACAUAUACUCUCUAAUUUUCAAAAUGGACACAUAAAUCUUUUUUUUUUCUACAAAUGUAUAUUAUUCGUAUUUUUUAUUAUUUUUAAUAUCAUAUUGUUAUUUAUUAUAAAUGUUUAAAGUAAAUUUUUAGGUUAAAAUAUAAUAAAAGGGUAUAAUCGUUCUCUUAUUAAACACCCAUACUUUUAGUUUCUAUCCAUUUGUCAUCUCAAUCUCUCUCAAUUAUUCUUUAUUGCUAGCUCAAAACGCGUUGCUGUUGCAAAUUAUAGCAAAAAGACAAAUAUGGAAAAGAAAAAAGGGAAGAAAAUUAGUGCAUGAAAGACUUGGAGAAAACAACGAAGUAAGUCAACUAUAAUCUAGCUGGGUGUAUAAAUUGUUUGAUGCUUUAUAAGCAAAUAACAAACAGAGACAGACAGUGUGUGUUCGUUUUUUCAUAGUUAAAGAUAUAGUUAGAAUGGGUGGUUCAAAAUCAAAAAUGGCGAUAAUGUUUGUUAUGUUAUUAAUAAUAUUUAAAAGUGGGUGGAGUGAGGGAUGUUUGGAUCACGAGAGAUUUGCUCUUUUGCGACUGCAACAUUUCUUCAAUGAUCCUCGUAAUUCUCUUUACAACUGGGUCGAUGAUGAGGGAGCUACUGAUUGUUGUCAGUGGGAAAGGGUUGAGUGCAGCAACACCACAGGCCGAGUGAUAGCGCUAGACCUUUUUGAAAUGUAUUCGGGAGAGUACAGCUGGUAUCUGAAUGCUUCUUUGUUUACUCCCUUCCAACAACUUGAGUCACUUGAUUUAACUGCCAACAAAAUAGCCGGUUGUGUUGAGAAUGAAGGUGCUUCGUUUAAUUUAAUUAAUUUACUUUCUCCCCCCUAAUUUAAGUUGAAUAUCAAGACCGAGCAACUAUACGCAUAUUCAUUUAGUCGACAAUUUUGACUUUUUUUUAAGUGAUUAAUUAAUUUUAAAAUUACACCAAUAUCUAUGAUCUUUUUUUUUUUUAAUUUUGCUUGCAGGUCUAGAGAGGCUAUCAAGAUUGAACAACUUGAAGAUGCUUAAUUUAAGUGAAAACUCUUUGAACAAUAGCAUUUUAUCAUCUCUAACUCAUCUUUCAUCAUUAAGCUCAUUAAAUUUAUUUUUAAAUAGAUUGGAAGGAAGUAUUGACUUUAAAGGUACAUAAUUAAAACUUCAUCCCUUCUCCAAGCUCUUUCAUUAACUUGCUAAAAUAAGACUCAAGGCUUUGAAUUCAAUUUUUUUUAUGAUUAGUAUUAAAAAAAACAGUUUUAAGCAAUUUAUAAAUACAAGUUUUAAUGGUUAUCGUAAUUUCAUCUUGUAAUUUCAUAUGUCUUGAAUUUAAGAUUAAAAAAAACUCUAAUAGCGAACCAAACACCUCCACAACUUAUUAUUAUUAUUAUUAUUAUUAUUAUUUGUGGUGAGGUUGGAAACAUUCAACUUAAUUUGUACUUAUUACAGAAUUUGAUUCUUUGAGAGAUUUAGAGGAGCUAGACAUUGGCGGGAACAAGAUUGACAAAUUUGUGGUCUCAAAAGGUACUACAAAUACCACAAAAAAUGUAAACUUUUACAAAUUAGCUGGAUUCUUUGCCAUUUGGUUUAUUAUUUUACAGGUUUGAGUAAGUUGAAGUCUCUUGAUUUAAGUGGUAUCAAACUCAACCGUAGUAUCUUAUCUUCUCUAACUGUCUUUUCUUCAUUAAGAGAAUUACAUCUACGUAAUAUCAUAUUCAAAGGAACAUUUGAUGUUCGAGGUAAGCCUAAGCCUUGCUUUCUCAUUUUCUAUAUGCCAACUAGAUUUGUGUAUCAUCGGCAUAAUUUAAUAUUUAAUUUGAUAAGUCUGAAGGAAUUACAUGCUAAUUUAAACAUACUUUUAUUUACUUUGUCAAUUAAUUAAUUAAUUAAUUACUAUUUGACAUUGGACGGUUCCUCUCUCCAUAUAAGCCUUCUGCAAAGCAUUGCAUCAUUCACUUCGUUAAAAAAUCUGUCGAUGUCUGAUUGUGAAGUCAAUGGUGUCCUACGUGGUCAAGGUAAAAGAAAAGUGUUGAUUGUGAAUAAGCUGUUAAUUAAUUAAUGUUGUUGCUCCUUGCUUCUAAACAGAGUUGCGCAAUUUCACCAACUUGGAAUAUUUGAAUUGGAUUCUUCCUCGCUCCAUAUAAGCCUUCUACAAUUGCUUGAACAAUUUAUUUAUUUAUUUAUUUAUUAUUAUUGUUGUUGUUGUUGUUGUUGAAGUGGGGUGGGCAAGCGUUCACUCAGUUAAUAUGUGGGGAAUUAAAUAUUACAAUCCAAGGUAGAAUUGUGGAAAAUUAAAGCUAAAUGAGAAAUAUGGAAAGAAAGGAAGAAAGUUAAGGGCAUGAAAGACUGGGAGAAUACUAAAAACCACCAAAUAAGUCAACUGAAAACUAGCUGAGGCCUGGGUGUACAAAUUGUUAGAUGUGUUUGUUAUAAAUAACAUAGAGCCAUCUUGUUGGUUGCAGAGGCAGAGAGACAGAGAGUGUGCAUUUUGUCCAGUUAAAAAUGAUAAAAUUUAUCAUUUGUUUAUAUUGAUUUAUUAACUCUAUUUUAAGUCUUAAGUCUUGGCGUCUUGGCAUGUUUGCAGAAUUUGAUUCCUUGAGCAACUUAGAGGAGUUGGACAUGAGCGGCAAUGAAAUAGACAAUUUCGAGGUUCCUCAAGGUACACAAUUAAAAUAUUAUUUAAUUACAUUAAUUUAAUUCGUUUGAUUAGGGAAGGCCCAAAAUGUACAAAAACAUAAUUAGAAAAAAUAAAGAAACAGAGAAUUCAUAUUAUUUCAAAUAACAAAAGGUAAUACUAUUAUUUCAAAAACAGAUUGUAAUAAAGAUUUGAUUCCAAUUCUUUAAUCUUUACAGUGAUUGAAAAACGAUACUACUUCCCAAAGCAUAAAAUACGAAUUGACUCUCAAUUAAAUUAAUCAUUUAUUUCGUUUAGGUCGAAAUUUAGAAAAAUGAAUUUUGAUUCUCUUGAAUCAUUUCCUAAUUAUUAUUAUUCAACAGGUUACAGAGGUUUGAGGAAGCUGAAAAGCCUGCAUCUAUCGGGAGUUGGAAUUAGAGAUGGAAGCAAGUUGUUACAGUCAAUGGGAUCAUUUCCAUCCCUCAACGCUCUUUACCUGAGCAAUAAUAAUUUUACCGGUACAACGUCAACUACUCAAGGUAAGUAAAAGGUACAGAUGUGGCCAAAUUUAUAAAUAAACUGUUAAUUAAUUAAUUUUCUGUAUUAUUAAUAAAGCUAAAUUUUUUGCUCAUUCCUUCUAAUUCUAAACAGAGUUGCACAAUUUCACCAACUUGGAAUAUUUGACAUUGGACGAUUCCUCUCUCCAUAUAAGCCUUCUGCAAAGCAUUGCAUCAAUAUUCCCUUCGUUGAAAAAACUGUCGAUGUCUUAUUGUGAAGUCAAUGGUGUCGUACAUGGUCAAGGUAAAAGAAAAGUGUUGGUUGUGCACUCACUCAGUGGUGUCCUACGUGUUCAAUAUUUUUAUUUAUUUAUUUUAUUGUUUAAUGAGAUGCUUCCACCCUCCCCUUUAAAUCUAUAAUAUUAAUUUUCGAUUAAGUGCCUGUUUGGUAUGGCUUAUUUAAGAGCCAUAAGUGCUUAUUUAAUCGCAUAAGCACUUUUUAAAAAAUUUUAUGGUGUUUGGUUAUUUUUUUAGUAGAGUUUUUUUAGCUUAAAUAAGCUAAUUUACCUCUACUAGCAAAAGCCCAAAAUUUGAGCUUUUGGGAGUAGAGGUUAUAGAGCUUUUCUAAAAAUAUAUAAUAUAAAAAAUAUUACACAGUUUAAUGGUUCAAAAGUACUUUUUUUAUUGACAACCAAACACCUAAUGACUUUUUGUCUAAAAGCUCUAUUGGUAUAAUCUCUAAUGCUAUAAGCUCUACUGUUAUAAGCUCUAUUUAAUAAGCUGUACCAAACGGAGCCUAAAUAUAUAAUUAUAGAAACCAAUCACUUAUAAAAGAAUGCUAUGCAUUUGCCAAUUUUUUUAUAUUUUACUGAUUGAUGAAUUAAUAAAUUUUCAGGCCUCUGUUCGUUGGUGCAUCUACAAGAGUUGUACAUUGCAACUCUUGUAGUAAUUAAUUAAUUAAGUAUUAGUUAAUUAAUUAAUUAAUUAAUUUUCUGUAUUAUUAAUAAAGCUAAUUUUUUUGCUCAUUCCUUCUAAUUCUGAACAGAGUUGCACAAUUUCACCAACUUGGAAUAUUUGGCAUUGGACUCUUCCUCUCUCCAUAUAAGCCUUCUGCAAAGCAUUGCAUCAUUAUUCCCUUCAUUAAAAAAUCUGUCGAUGUCUAGUUGUGAAGUCAAUGGUGUCGUACGCAGUCAAGGUAAAAGAAAAGGGUUGAAUGUGAACUCACUCAAUGGUGUCCUACGUGUUCAACAUUUUUAUUUAUUUAUUUUAUUGUUUAAUCUUUCUGCUAGGUUUUCCUCAUUUCAAGAGUUUGGAACAUUUUGACAUGGAUUUCACGCGCAUUGCACUCAACACUAGCUUUAUUGCACUCAACACUAGCUUUCUUCAAAUCAUCAGUGAAUCGAUGCCUUCUCUUAAGUACUUAUCACUAUCAUAUUAUACUCUUGGAACUAAUAGCAGCGGGACUCUUGAUCAAGGUUAACGAGAUGCUCCCACCCUCCCCUCCUAAUCUAUAAUAUUAAUUUUUUAUUUAAUAUAAUUACACAAACGAAUCACUUAUAAAAGAAUGAUAUGCAUUUGUUAAUUUUUUUAUUGUACUGAUGGAUGAAUUAAUAAAUUUUCAGGCCUCUGUUCGUUGGUGCAUCUACAAGAGUUGUACAUUGCAAGCAAUGAUUUAAGAGGUAGCUUGCCUUGGUGCAUGGCAAAUAUGACAUCCCUCAGAAUAUUAGAUGUUUCUUCUAAUCAACUUACUGGAAGCAUCUCCUCAUCUCCCCUCGUUCAUUUGACAUCCAUUGAAGAGCUGAUGCUUUCAAACAAUUACUUCCAGAUCCCAAUUUCACUUGAACCACUUUUCAAUUACUCAAGACUCAAGAUUUUCAAUGCUGAGAACAACGAAAUAAAAGCUGAAAUAACUGAGUCACAUUCUUUGAUCGCCCCAAAAUUCCAAUUAAAUACUCUCUCAUUGUCUUCCAAUUACGGAGACGGUUUCAUAUUCCCCAAAUUCCUUUACCAUCAACAUGACCUGGAGUAUGUUGAUCUCUCACACAUAAAGAUGAAUGGAGAAUUUCCAAAUUGGUUGUUGGAAAACAACACAAAAUUAGAAACUCUUUUUCUGGUUAAUGAUUCUCUUGCAGGACCUUUUCGGUUGCCAAUUCAUUCACACAAGCGGUUAAGACAGUUGGAUGUCUCCAACAACAAC